rnacentral:lncRNA from 1 species
CAACAAUUAUGUUGUCAACGGUUGUGGCAGAUCCCCGAGCAGUCGCGGUGCCAGGCCAUCCACAAUGUCGUCCAUGCUAUUAUUCUGCAACAACAACAACAACAACAACAACAACAACAACAACAACAACAACAACAACAACAACAACAACAACCGUCGAGCCAGAUCUCCCUCCAGCAGCCUCAACAACAGUAUCCAUCAGGCCAGGGCUCCUUCCAGCCAUCUCAGCAAAACCCACAGGCCCAGGGCUCUGUCCAGCCUCAACAACUGCCCCAGUUCGAGGAAAUAAAGAACCUAGCGCUGCAGACGCUACCGGCAAUGUGCAAUUUCUACAUCCCUCCAUAUUGCUCGACCACCAUUGCGCCAUUUGGCAUCUUCGGUACUAACUGAGAAGAUAAGAACUCUAGUACUAGAUAUAUAUGAAACACCGUUUCCUUAGUCCAUGGUUUGGUCGUUGUAGCGGUGAAAAAAUAAAGUGGCAUGCACUAUCAUGUAAGAACCCAAACUAUACUAGUUCAAACUUGGGAAUAAAAGACAAACACAUGUCUUGUCUGCAUAUGAUUGUUUGUUUGAGUUCCAUUCAUGUGCCCGUUCACAAGUUCACCCCUAAUUAUAUAUAUUACACAUUAAGUAGAUAUUUAUGUUUCAUUAAUCUAAAGAAAACAAAAUGAGUCUGAAACUUGAAUUAAAUUGAAGUAUUUUCUUGGACUUUCAAAUUAAGUAUUAUUAAAGUAGUAAGGACUAUCCAUAUCCUUGGCUUGCCCUUGAUCAAUUAUUUCCAAGGAAGCAUUCAAUUCAUCAAUCAAUUACAUUGAUUUUUGUGCCUGGUACUUCUCCUCAUCAUGAGUAUCAUUGCGGCUACUCCAAAUCGCCCACAUAACCGAAGCAUUAAUAGCACUCUUCUUGCAUCAAGGAACUAUGGGUUGAAGAUAUCACUUGACCAUGUUUCCGGGUGCAACCUUGGGAGUUUUAUAUCAAAAUAUUCUUAAGAAGAAUCCAAGAAUAAACUUGCAUGCUCACGUGUGAUAAGGGCUUAUGAAGUAACAUUACCUCCCCAUGGCCACACAUAUGGCGCACACAUAACCCCAUCACAUGCCUUUUUAGUUAUGCAUAUGAAAGGUAGGAUGUUUUUAGUUACUCCACCAAUAUACUCUUAACUUUGCUUGUACCAUAAGCUUUCGCUGCCUUUUCAAUUUCCUUCCCCAUUAGACAAACUAGACAGUCCAUCUACCACACCAUACCUUGUGUCUGUACAACAAUUGAACAGAACAAAUGUCAUUUCUUUACGAUACCCAUGACGAAAUGUCCUCUACUGGAUUAUUUGGUCCUGGCAUAUUAAGGAUGGCCACCUCAUCUGAUGGGAUAAACACCUAAUGAAUGAAAGCAGUGUUCCACUCGCCCAUGUUUUUCAUCGAUAAGAUCAGCUACAAGUUGCACCGAAGUUUCUCAAGUGCAUCAUAGUGGUUUCAUCAGCGGCGUGCCCUGCACCCAUUUAUCAUGCCAUAUCUCAGUAGUAUGUGCAUUCCCAAUUUUUUACCGCACAUUAGUAGAAAACAGGGCUUUGGUCCAUGCUGGGUUAGCCCAUUAGUCCUGGUUCAGUCAUGAACCAGGACUAAUGUGAGCAUUGGUCCCGGUUCAUGCGGUAAAGGCAUUAGUCCCGGUUCAAAUGGGACCUUUAGUCCCAGUUGGUGCCACGAACCGGUACUAAUGGUUGCGAUGCCCAUUAGUACCGGUUCGUGGCACGAAUCGGUACUAAUGGUUGAUCUUUAGUACCGGUUCGUGCCACGAACCGGUACUAAUGGGGUUUGAGGCAUUAGUACCGGUUCGUGGCACGAACCGGUACUAAAGGUCCCAUUUUCAAACUGUACCCCCCCUGUGGAUCGCCUUUUCAGUUUUGUAAAAAGCAAAAGAAAAUGAUAAAAACUUCCAAAAUUAAAAUCCUUCAAGAUGUAGUUAUGUUACUACAUCUACUAGUUAGGAAAAUUUAAAAACUUAAAUUUGGACAUGUUUUGCAAAAAGUGUAGGGAAAAUGUAAAGCUAUAACUUUUGCAUACUAUGUCAGAAAAAAAACGUAUAGUAUAUCAAAAUUUUCAGCACAAAAAUCCGCAUCCGAUUUUGUCAUCCUACGGCCUGUUUGCAAAUUUUUAGAAUCCUCAAAUUCUAAAAGAAAAAAAAGUUAUGCUCAAAUUUCAGUUUUUUUUAAUUUUUUUUUUAAUUUUUGGUAAAUCUGGUCAAACUACUUAUUCAAGAAGUAUUAGUGUUACUAAAUAAUUAUUCAAGAAUAUUAGUAUUACUAAAUAAUUAUUUCAGUUUUUUUUGAAUUUUGGUCAAAUUUGGUCAAAUUGUGGUCAAACUGUGGUCAAACAAUGGUCAAACUACUUAUUCAAGAAAUAUUAGUGUUACUAAAUAAUUAUUUCAGUGUUUUUGAAUUUUGGUCAAAUCUGGUCAAAUUGUGGUCAAACUGUGGUCAAACUGUGGUCAAACUAUGGUCAAACUACUUAUUCAAGAAAUAUUAGUGUUACUAAAUAAUUGUUGUUUUUUAGAACAAUAAUUUCAAACUCAAACAGUGAAAUGUGUGACUUCAUGCUCAAGCUUCCUGAGGGUUAAUAGGACUGACAUCUUACUAUUGUCGGGAAAACAACAAGUGCAGACUUGGAAACGAGGGAGAAUAGAACCCGGAAGUUAAGCGUGCUCAGGCUGGGGUAGUGAGAUGGGUGACCGUCCGGGAAGUUAGAUGAUUUGGAAUGAUGAGGGGUGAUUAGAGAUUAGAAGUUAAAUUGAGCAGUGAUGAGGGUGAUUAGAGAUUAGAGGUUAAAAUAAUUCAGAAAUUUGAAAAUAAAAAAAAAUUAAAAAAAUAAAAAAGAAAAUUUUCUGAAAAAUCAUAAAAUUUCUUUAGUACCGGUUGGUGUUACCAACCGGGACUAAAGGUGGACCUCCAGGCAGCGGCGAUGGGUGACCGUCCGGGAAGUUAGAUGAUUUGGAAUGAUGAGGGGUGAUUAGAGAUUAAAGGUUAAAUUGAGCAGUGAUGAGGGUGAUUAGAGAUUAGAGGUUAAAAUAAUUCAGAAAUUUGAAAAUAAAAAAAAUUUAAAAAAAAUAAAAAAGAAAAUUUUCAAAAAAAUCAUAAAAUUUCUUUAGUACCGGUUGGUGUUACCAACCGGGACUAAAGGUGGAGCUCCAGGCAGCGGCCACGUGGACGGCCUUUAGUCCCGGUUCGUGUAAGAACCGGGACUAAAGGGGGAGGCUUUAGUAACGACCCUUUAGUCCCGGUUCCAGAACCGGGACUAAAGACCCUUAUGAACCGGGACAAUAGGCCUUAUUUGUACUAGUGGCAUACCCUCCUUCAAACCUUCUUGGCCUUUCAGAAUAGAACGCCAAGUUAGCGAUGCACUAUGCGGGAACCCGCAUUUGAAAAAAAGAAUCUCAUUUCAUGGUAUCUUCAUAAAAGGACCCUCGUACAUGAGCUAUCUAGAUAGAAAUAGCCAUGUAUGUUUAGCAAACUUUGCAUAAGUGAAUAGAUCAAGGUCGUGGAACCCCAAGCCACCAAUUACACCCGGCCUCUCCACCAACAAGAUGGCCAAAGACAUCAAGGAUACAUAGAGCCAAAAAACAAAAUAAAAAACAGAAGAAAAAAAAUACUCCGCCAUGGUGAUUAAUCACUAGCAUCAGCAGCACUCUAACCACCACCGAAGACAACGCCCCCAAGAAGGGAACAAUGCACAAGCGUUGUCGUUGCCCUAUCGAAGAUCGUGGGUUUUCACCCUGGAAAAAUUUCGAGUUCACCCAAAAACAAUGCCUUCAACAAGGCCAUUGCCAAUUAUAAACAAUAAGUGCCUGAUGACCCACAAGUAUAGGGGAUCUAUUGUAGUCCUUUCGAUAAGUAAGAGUGCCGAACCCAACGAGGAGCAGAAGGAAAUGAUAAGCGGUUUUCAGCAAGGUAUUCUCUGCAACUACUGAAAUAAGUGGUAACAGAUAGUUUUGUGAUAAGAUAAAUGGUAACGAGCAACAAGUAACAAAAGUAAAUAAAGUGCAGCAAGGUGGCCCAAUCCUUUUGUAGCAAAGGACAAGCCUGGACAAACUCUUAUAAUAGGAAAAGCGCUCCCGAGGACACAUGGGAAUAUUGUCAAGCUAGUUUUCAUCACGCUCAUAUGAUUCGCGUUCGGUACUUUGAUAAUUUGAUAUGUGGGUGGACCGGUGCUUGGGUGCUGUUCUUACUUGAACAAGCAUCCCACUUAUGAUUAACCUCUAUUGCAAGCAUCUGCAACUACAACAAAAGUAUUAAGGUAAACCUAACCAUAGCAUGAAACAUAUGGAUCCAAAUCAGCCCCUUACGAAGCAACGCAUAAACUAGGGUUUAAGCUUCUGUCACUCUAGCAACCCAUCAUCUACUUAUUACUUCCCAAUGCCUUCCUCUAGGCCCAAAUAAUGGUGAAGUGUUAUGUAGUCGACGUUCACAUAACACCACUAGAGGUUAGACAAUAUACAUCUUAUCAAAAUAUCGAACGAAUACCAAAUUCACAUGACUACUAAUAGCAAGACUUCUCCCUUGUCCUCAGGAACAAACGUAACUACUCACAAAGCAUAUUCAUGUUCAUAAUCAGAGGGGUAAUAAUGUGCAUAUAGGAUCUGAACAUAUGAUCUUCCACCAAAUAAACCAACUAGCAUCAACUACAAAGAGUAAUCAACACUACUAGCAACCUACUAGCACCAAUCCCGGACUUGGAGACAAGAAUUGGAUACAAGAGAUGAACUAGGGUUUGGAGAUGAGAUAGUGCUGGUGAAGAUGUUGAUGGAUAUUUCCCUCUCCCGAUGAGAGGAGCGCUGGUGAUGACGAUGGUGAUGAUUUCCCCCUCCCGGAGGGAAUUGUCCCCGGCAGAACAGCUCUGCCGGAGCCCUAGAUUGGUUCCGCCAAGGUUCCGCCUCGUGGCGGCGGAGUCUCGUCCCAAAAGGUUCUCUUCUAUUUUUUUCUCAUCGAAAGAAUUCAUAUGGGAGAAGAUGGGCGUCGGAGAGCCACCAAGGGGCCCACGAGGUAGGGGGGCGCGCCCGGGGGGGCGCCCCCCACCCUCGUGAGCAGGGUGUGGGCCCCCUGACCUUCAUCUUUGGCGACGAUUUUUCUUUAUUUAUUUUAAGACAUUUCGUGGAGUUUCAGGACUUUUGGAGUUGCGCAGAAUAGUCCUUCAAUAUUUGCUCCUUUUCUAGCCCAGAAUUCCAGCUGCCGGCAUUCUCCCUCUUCAUGUAAACCUUGUAAAAUAAGAGAGAAUAGCCAUAAGUAUUGUGACAUAACGUGAAAUAACAGCUCAUAAUGCAAUAAAUAUUGAUAUAAAAGCAUGAUGCAAAAUGGACGUAUCAACUCCCCUAAGCUUAGACCUCGCUUGUCUUCAAGCGAAAAGCCGAUAACAAUAAAUAUGUCCUCAUGUUUAGAGGUAGAGGCGUCGAUAAAAAUAAAAUACGGACAUGAAGGCAUCAUGAUUAUUUCAUAACAGCAACAUAUAAAGAUUUCGUCAUAUGAUUACUCAUGUUCAAGUGAUGAUCUUUUCACAAAGCCAAAGUAUGAAUUAGAAACCUUAUUGAGCAUCAACAAAUUAUACCCUUAGUCAUUGAAGCAAUUGCAAUUUAUCAUAACAUCAGAAAGAGUCUAUGUCAGAGUUUAAAAGCAAGUCCACAUACUCAACUAUCACUUAGUCCUUCAUAAUUGCUAACACUCACACGAUACUUGUGGUUACGGAGUUUUAAUCGGACACAGAGAAAGAUAGGGGAUUAUAGUUUUGCCCCACAACCUUUUACCUCAAGGGUAAUGUCAACAAUAAUAAUUCAUGCUCCCCCACAUCCAAUUAGAUAUAUAUAUAUAUCAUGUUCUUUCCAACAUGCUGAGCUUGCCAAAGGAUAAAAUGAAAAAGGAAAGGUGAGGAUCACCGUGACUCUUGCAUAGGGUAGAGGAUAAUAAUAAAAGAUAGGCCCUUCGCAGAGGGAAGCAGAGGUUGUCAUGCGUGUUUAGGGUUGAUGCACAAAAUCUUAGUGCAAAAGAACGUCACUUUAUAUUGCCCCUUGUAUGUGAACCUUUACUAUGCAGUCCGUCGCUUUUAUUGCGUCCACAACAAGUUCGUACAAAGUUUAUUUUCUCCGCACUAAUAAGUCAUGCAUAUUUAGAGAGCAAUUUUUAUUGCUUGCACCGAUGACAACUUACUUGAAGAAUCUUACUCAAUCCAUAGGUAGUUAUGGUGGACUCUCAUGGCAAAGCUGGUUUAAGGGUAUUUGGAAGCACAAGUAGUAUUUCUACUUGGUGCUAAGAAUUUGGCUAGCAUGAGGGGGAAAGGCAAGCUCAACACGGUAGAGGAUCCAUGACAACAUACUUUAUCUCAGAUGUAAGAAAACUCACUAUGUUGCCUUGCUUGUCCAACAUCAACUCUUUAGCAUGUCAUAUUUUAAUGAGUGCUCCCAAUCAUAAAAGAUGUCAAUGAUAAUAUAUCUAUAUGUGAAACCUCUCUUUCCUUAUUACUUCCUAUUAAUUGCAACAAUGACCAAAGCUAUAUUUGUCAACCCCCAACAACUUUUAGUCAUCAUACUCUUUCUAUGUGGAGUCAUUACUUUCACUAAGAUCAAUAUGAACUCUUUGAUUCUUUUUAUUCUUUUUCUUCUAAUCACCCAAGAUCAUGGCAAAAUACUCAAGCCCUUGACUCAACACUAAUCUUUAUUAUAUAGCUCACGGACUCGAUUACAAAGAAGGAUCAUAAAGCAAAACUCAAAACUAGAUCAUGCCAUGACUUUAUUUUACUAAAUCAAGAUACUACUAAUAGGAUCGAACUAAGAAAAACGGUAAAGAUAGGAGUUGUGAUGGUGAUACGAUACCAGGGCACCUCCCCCAAGCUUGGCAGUUGCCAAGGGGAGUGCCCAUACCCAUGUGAUUAUUUCUCCUUCUUUGUUGUUGGUGGUGGAAGUGUUGAUGAUGAUGGAGUUGUCGCAUUUUUCUUCUCUAGCUUGCGUCUAAGGCUAAAAUUUUCAUCCCUCAGAUCCUCAUUCUCGAGCUCAAGUUUCAUUAUCUUUUUGCAUAGUGCUGCCUUGCUGUCCUGCAAAAAACGAGGCGGGAUAGAUUGGACCUUAUGGAGGCUUGACUUCUUGAACUCCACAUGCAUAUCACCAAGUUGAGGUAGGGGAUAGUCCUCUUCGUCGGAACUCGUUUCCUCCUUCCUCUUUGGAUCAUAGUCUUCCUCUUCCUCCGUGGUCCAGCCAUAAUGCUCCACAUCCCCAUAUACUUUUGGAUUUGCAAUAUAAUCAGCCAUGUAGCUCUCUCCCUCUGAAUCUUGGGAAGACAUCUUGCUCUAAUCUGCAGCAGAAACAGCUCGAAACAAAAACAGAGGAUAUUUGCGUGAUACGAGAGUCAAAACCUUCAGGAGUAUAUAUAAUGAAUUUUUACUGGCCAAAAUACGUAUCGUGCAAGGAAACGGAGUCCGGAGGGCACACGACGUGCUCGCGAGGUAGGGGGCGCGCCCAGGGGGGUAGGGCGUGCCCUCCACCCUCGUGGAGGCCUCGUGUCCUCCCCGGACUGCUACUUAUUUUUUUAUUUUUCUAAAUAUUCCAAAACAGAGAAAUAUUGCCUUAAAAAUUGUUUUGGAGUCGGUUUACUUACCGUACCACAUACCUAUUCCUUUUCGGAGUCUGGAACGUUUUGGAGAGUGUCCCUUAUGUACUCCUCCGGGGUUACGGUUUCAAUAACAUUAGUUUCAAUGUUUAUAGGAUUACCUGAGAUAUAGUGUUUGAUUCUUUGGCCGUUCACCACCUUCGGAUUUGUGCCUGCGAAGUUGUUGAUUUUUAUGGCACCGGAACGAUAGACCUCCUCGAUAACGUAAGGACCUUCCCAUUUGGAGAGAAGUUUUCCUGCAAAAAAUCUUAAAUAAAAGUUUUAUAGCAAUACAUAAUCACCUACAUUAAACUCACGCUUUUGUAUCCUUUUGUCAUGCCACCUUUUAACUUUUUCUUUAAACAGCUUGGCAUUUUCAUAAGCUUGGGUUCUUCAUUCAUCAAGUGAGCUAAUAUCAAAUAACCUCUUCUCACCGGCAAGUUUGAAAUCAUAGUUGAGCUCCUUAAUAGCCCAAUAUGCCUUAUGUUCUAGUUCGAGAGGUAAGUGACAUGCUUUUCCAUAAACCAUCUUGUAUGGAGACAUACCCAUAGAAUUUUUGUAUGCAGUUCUAUAGGCCCAUAAUGCAUCAUCAAGUUUUUUGGACCAAUUCUUUCUAGACCUAUUGACAGUCUUUGCAAAAUUAAUUUGAGCUCUCUAUUGCUCAAUUCUACCUGACCACUAGACUGCGGGUGAUAUGGAGAUGCAAUCCUAUGAUUAACGUCGUAUUUAACAAGCAUCUUACGGAAAGCACCAUGAAUGAAGUGUGAACCACCAUGAGUCAUUAAGUAUCUAGGGACUCCAAACCUCGGAAAAAUAACUUCCUUAAGCAUUUUAAUAGAAGUGUUAUGAUCAACACUACUAGUUGGAAUAGCUUCUACCCACUUAGUAACUUAAUCAACAGCAACUAGAAUAUGAGUGUAACCAUUAGAGGCAGGAAAAGGUCCCAUGUAACCAAAGCCCCAAACAUCAAAUGGCUCAAUAACAAGUGAAUAAUUCAUAGGCAUUUCUUGAUGUCUACUGAUAUUACCAAUUCUUUGCCAUUCAUCACAAGACAAAACAAACUUACGAGCAUCCUUGAAGAGAGUAGGCCAAUAAAACCCGGAUUGCAAUACCUUAUGUGCAGUUCUAUCUCCAGCGUGAUGUCCUCCAUAAGCUUCGGAGUGACACUUGCAUAGGAUCUGUUCCUGUUCAUGCUCAGGUACACAACGUCUAAUAACACCAUCUACUCCUUUAUAAAGAUGUGGGUCAUCCCAAAAGUAAUGUCGCAAGUCAUAGAAAAACUUUUUAUUUUGUUGGUAUGUGAAGCUAGGCGGUAUAAAUUUAGCAACAAUAUAAUUAGCAUAAUCAGCAUACCAAGGAGUGCUACGAGAAGUACUUAUGACAUUUAAUUGCUCAUCAGGAAAGCUAUCAUCAAUAGGUAGUGGGUCAUCAAGAACAUUCUCUAGCCUAGACAAGUUGUCUGCAACAGGGUUCUCAGCUCCUUUUCUAUCAACAAUAUGGAAAUCAAAUUCUUGAAGCAAGAGAACCCAUCUAAUGAGUCUACGUUUUGCAUCUUUAUUUUCCAUAAGAUAUUUAAUAGUAGCAUGAUCUGUAUGAAUAGUUACUCUAGAGUCAACAAUAUAGGGCCUAAAUUUAUCACAAGCAAAUACAACCGCUAAAAGUUCCUUUUCGGUAGUAGCAUAAUUUCUUUGAGCAUUCUCUAGAGUCUUACUAGCAUAAUAGAUAACAUUCGAUUUCUUAUCAACUCUUUGCCCUAGAACAGCACCUACAGCAUAAUCACUAGCAUCACACAUAAUUUCAAAGGGUAAAUUUCAAUCAGGUGGCUGAACAACAGGUGCAGAGACUAAUGCUUUCUUAAGUAUUUCAAAUGCUUCUACACAAUCAUCAUCAAAGACAAAUGGUACAUCUUUUUCUAAUAAAUUAGUCAGAGGCCGAGAGAUUUUUGAGAAGUCCUUGAUGAACCUCCUAUAAAAUCCGGCGUGACCAAGGAAACUUCUUAUACCUUUGAUGUCCUUGGGACAUGGCAUCUUUUCAAUAGCAUCAACCUUGGCUUUAUCAACUUCAAUACCUCUUUCAGAAACUUUGUGCCCCAAGACAAUACCUUCAUUAACCAUAAAGUGGCACUUUUCCCAAUUCAAGACAAGAUUAGUUUCUUCACAUCUUUGCAAAAAUCGAGCGAGAUUGCUCAAGCAAUCAUCAAAAGAGGAACCAUAGACGGAAAAGUCAUCCAUGAAGACCUCAAAAAUUUUCUCGCAAAAGUCAGAGAAUAUAGCCAUCAUGCAUCUUUGAAAGGUAGCAUGUGCAUUACAUAAACCAAAAGGCAUACGUCUAUAAGCAAAAGUACCAAAAGGGCAUGUAAAAGUAGUCUUUGAUUGGUCUUUAGCCGACACAGGUAUUUGAGAAAAACCAGAGUAACCAUCUAGACAGCAAUAAUGUGUAUGUUUGCAUAGUCUUUCUAGCAUUUGAUCAAUAAAAGGUAAGGGGUAAUGAUCUUUCUUAGUAGCCUUAUUUAAUUUGCGGAAGUCAAUUACCAUCCUAUAACCUGUGAUAAUUCUUUGCGGAAUCAAUUCAUCUUUAUCAUUAGGGACAACAGUAAUACCUCCCUUCUUAGGGACACAAUGGACAGGACUUACCCACUAACUAUCAGCAACGGGAUAAAUUAUACCUACCUCCAGAAGCUUGAGUAUUUCUUUUCUUACCACUUCUUUCACUUUAGGAUUCAAACAUCGUUGAGGAUCACAAACUGGUUUGGCAUCAGCUUCUAAAUUUAUUUUAUGUUGACAUAGAGUGGGACUGAUGCCCUUAAGAUCAUCCAGAGUAUAUCCAAUAGCGGCACGAUUCUUCUUCAGAGUUUUCAAUAAUCUUUCUUCUUCAUGCUCUGAAAGGUUAGCGCUAAUAAUAAUAGGAUAUAUUUUCUUUUCAUCAAGAUAAGCAUAUUUAAGAUUAUCAGGCAACGGUUUAAGCUCAAACAUGGGAUCACCCUUGGGUGGAGGAGGAUCCCCUAGGAUUUCAACAGGCAAAUUGUGUUGCAGAAUAGGUUCCUGUUUAAAGAAUAAUUCAUCUAUUUCCCUUCUUUCAUUUAUGAACAUAUCAUUUUCAUGGUCUAGCAAAUAGUGUUCUAAAGGAUCAUUAGGAGGUACAGCAAUAGAAGCAAGACCAAUAAUUUCAUCCUUACUAGGCAAUUCUUCCUCACGAUGUUGUUUACUAAAUUUAGAGAAAUUAAACUCAUGGACCAUACCAUCCAAGCCAACAGUAACAACAUUCUUUUUGCAAUCUAUCUUAGCAUUAACGAUACGCAAGAAGGGUCUACCAAAUAUAAUGGGACAAAAGCUAUCUUGUGGAGAACCAAGAACAAGAAAAUCAGCGGGAUAUUUGGUUUUCCCACGCAAGACUUCAACAUCUCUAACAAUUCCCAUUGGAGAUAUAGUAUCUCUAUUGGCUAGUUUAAUUGUAACAUCGAUAUCUUCUAACUCAGCAGGUGCAACCUCAUGCAUAAUUUCUUUGUAUAAGUCAAUGGGUAUAACACUAGCACUAGCACCCAUAUCACAUAAGCCAUGAUAACAAUGAUCUCCUAUUUUAACAGAAAUAACAGGCACGCCUACCACAGGUCUAUGUUUAUCUCUAUCACAGGGUUUAGCAAUUCUAGCAGUUUCACCAGUAAAUUGAAUAACAUGCCCAUCAAUAUUAUCAGACAAGAGAUCUUUAACAAUAGCAAUAUUGGGUUCUACUUUGACUUGCUCAGGAGGUGUAUAAGUCCUAGUAUUGCUUUUAUGAACAACAGUUGAAGCUUUAGCAUGAUCCUUCAUUCUAACAGGGAAAGGAGGUUUCUCAACAUAAGAAGUAGGAACAAUAGGAUCAUUAUAAGUGACAAUCUUUUCUUCAACUUUAAUAGGUGCAGCUACUUUUACUUCUAUGGGAGGAUGAUAUUUAAACCACUUCUCCUUGGGGAGAUCAACAUAAGUAGCAAAAGAUUCACAGAAAGAAGCUACUAUCUCAGAGUCAAGUCCAUAUUUAGUGCUAAACUUACGGAAAAUAUCGGUAUCCAUAAAAGAUUUAACACAAUCAAACUUAGCUGUCAUACCUGACUCCUUACCUUCGUCGAGGUCCCAAUCUUCAGAGUUGCGUUUAAUUCUAUCCAAUAAAUUCCAUCCAAAUUCAAUAGACUUCAUCAUAAAAGAGCCAGCACAAGAAGUAUCGAGCAUGGUGCGAUUAUUAUCAGGAAGCCGAGCAUAAAAUUCUGGAGAAUUGUCAAUUUUGAGAGCUCAUGAUUGGGGCAUGAAUAUAACAUUGAUUUAAGACUCCCCCAAGCUUGAGCGAUGCUUUCUCCUUUGCGAGGCCAAAAAUUAUAUAUAUAAUUGCGAUCACGAUGAACAAGAUGCAUAGGGUAAUACUUUUGAUGAAAUUCCAAUUUCAAUCUUUUAUAGUUCCACGAUCUUGUAUCAUCACAUAGCCUAUACCAUGUCAAUGCGUCUCCCUCCAAAGAUAAAGGGAAAGCCUUCCUCUUAACGGCAUCAUCGGGUAUACCUGCAAGCUUAAAUAGUCCACAAAUAUCAUCCACAAAGCGUAGAUGUUCGUCCGGCUGCUUUGUUCCAUCUCAUGCGAAAGUGUUAGCUAGCAGUUUUUCCAUCAUACCCGAAGGAAUCUGAAAAACAGUUUCAUUUUUAGUAGAUUCAGUAGGUUCAGUAGGUUGAGGAGCAACUCUUGGCUCAACUGGACGGGGUGAAGAUACCCCGAACAAACCCCUCAAGCAAUUACUUUCCAUGGUAACAAGUGACAGAAAAUUUCAGCACACUAAAUAAAUUUUUCCUUACCAAAUUCCACCUACCAAAGGCGCUUCACUCCCCGGCAACGGCACCAGAAAAGAGUCUAGAUGACCCACAAGUAUAGGGGAUCUAUCGUAGUCCUUUCGAUAAGUAAGAGUGUCGAACCCAACGAGGAGCAGAAGGAAAUGAUAAGCGGUUUUCAGUAAGGUAUUCUCUGCAAGUACUGAAAUAAGUUUUAAUAGAUAGUUUUGUGAUAAGAUAAAUGGUAACGAGCAACAAGUAACAAAAGUAAAUAAAGUGCAGCAAGGUGGCCCAAUCCUUUUUGUAGCAAAGGACAAGCCAGGACAAACUCUUAUAAUAGGAAAAGCGCUCCCGAGGACACAUGGGAAUAUCGUCAAGCUAGUUUUCAUCACGCUCAUAUGAUUCGCGUUCGGUACUUUGAUAAUUUGAUAUGUGGGUGGACCGGUGCUUGGGUGUUGUUCUUACUUGAACAAGCAUCCCACUUAUGAUUAACCUCUAUUGCAAGCAUCCGCAACUACAACAAAAGUAUUAAGGUAAACCUAACCAUAGCAUGAAACAUAUGGAUUCAAAUCAGCCCCUUACGAAGCAACGCAUAAACUAGGGUUUAAGCUUCUGUCACUCUAGCAACCCAUCAUCUACUUAUUAAUUCCCAAUGCCUUCCUCUAGGCCCAAAUAAUGGUGAAGUGUUAUGUAGUCGACGUUCACAUAACACCACUAGAGGUUAGACAACAUACAUCUUAUCAAAAUAUCAAACAAAUACCAAAUUCACAUUACUAAACAGUAAAACUGAGCUAGCUAUGCCUCCUCACAGCGAUUUGAACUGCUAAACCGUCCGAUUAAGUACACGGAUGCUUCAGAUUAGUUCACCGCCCCGCAACAUUCUCUCGGGCCUCGUUCGCCUCUUCUGCUCGCUGAACCGACCGAGCCAACGUCUAAUGGGCCGCUGCUCCACAGACCUAUUUUUGAGCGUUUACAUGAAUGGGGCUGCCAUGGGCGUGUGACUGUGAGGUGAUUUACAGCCAAUUCUUGGUGAUUGUGCAGGAGGUGGGCCGCUUGUUGCCUUUCCUAUUCUGUCCGUCCGUCGCCUUUCACACGCAGUGGAUCUGAGUUUUUGGCUGCUUACCGUUCAAUUUUUUUUGCGAGUACUUACGGUUCAAUUGCAUCAUUAUUUGUUUAUUUUCUUUCUCUGUGCAGCAUAUAAUAUGGCAAGGCUACAACGGACCAUGACGCGUGACACACAGAGAAUCUCCCCCACUUAUUCAAAUACCUUAGCAAAUGUGAUGCUUAGACAAACUUUUUUGUACAUUGACGUUCCAAUGCUGAUUUAGAUGGCAUUGUCACCUGUAUCAAUUUUGCAACUUAUACCUAAAGCUUCAAUAGUGCCCCACCAUCUAAAUGUUCUUCUUUUGUUCAGGUUUUUUGAUAUACUUAUAUUAUUAUUUCAAUAAGAUGUACGGGCGUGACAACGUGCGCCUUUAUGUUCUAGUGACUACUAAUAGCAAGACUUCUCCCUUGUCCUCAGGAACAAACGUAACUACUCACAAAGCAUAUUCAUGUUCAUAAUCAGAGGGGUAAUAAUGUGCAUAUAGGAUCUGAACAUAUGAUCUUUCACCAAAUAAACCAACUAGCAUCAACUACAAAGAGUAAUCAACACUACUAGCAACCUACUAGCACCAAUCCCGGACUUGGAGACAAGAAUUGGAUACAAGAGAUGAACUAGGGUUUGGAGAUGAGAUGGUGCUGGUGAAGAUGUUGAUGGAGAUUGCCCUCUCCCGAUGAGAGGAGCGUUGGUGAUGACGAUGGUGAUGAUUUCCCCCUCCCAGAGGGAAUUUUCCCCGGCAGAACAGCUCUGCCGGAGCCCUAGAUUGGUUCCGCCAAGGUUCCGCCUCGUGGCGGCGGAGUUUCGUCCCGAAAGGUUCUCUUCUAUUUUUUUCUCAUCGAAAGACUUCAUAUGGGAGAUUAUGGGCGUCGGAGAGCCACCAGGGGGCCCAUGAGGUAGGGGGGCGCGCCCAGGGGGGCGCCCCCCACCCUCGUGAGCAGGGUGUGGGCCCCCUGGCCUUCAUCUUUGGCGAUGAUUUUUCUUUAUUUAUUUUAAGACUUUCAGUGGAGUUUCAGGACUUUUGGAGUUGCGCAGAAUAGUCCUUCAAUAUUUGCUCCUUUUCCAGCCCAGAAUUCCAACUGCCGGCAUUCUCCCUCUUCAUGUAAACCUUGUAAAAUAAGAAAGAAUAUCCAUAAGUAUUGUGACUGAAAUAACAGUCCAUAAUGCAAUAAAUAUUAAUAUAAAAGCAUGAUGCAAAAUGGACGUAUCAGUGCGAUACCUUGGGUUUUCACCCUAGGAAUUGAGACUUGAUACUCGAGUACCAUCAAAAAUGCAGUCCACCAGUGCUGCCGCCCCCGCUUGCCGAGGCCGCUGGUACAAGUCACCAAACACCUGGCAUACAAUUGUCAUCGCAUCCAAUACACCCUUCUACCGAAGCUUCAAGACCUCCAAUCGCAGUCUCCAUGACUUUCUCCAUAUCUAUCAAUGCCUUGAGAAUCUUGACUUAAACAUGUCCCAUGAUAAAAAAUAAGAAAUCGAAGCUUCACGUCGCAUCCUCUUGAGGCCGUGUUGGUUGAUAAUAUUAGCGCGCACGACCGGAGCCUUUCCGAUCUAGAUAUCCAGGGGCGACAUACACCAAUCCAUAUAGAUCUCCGCUCGAAAAGACCAGAACUCAUCAACGACUAGAUCCAAGAGGUCGACAUCCGGCAGAAAGACGACUUGGCGGAAGAAGAGCAUCAGGGCCAAACCACCAUUAUUAGUCCGAAGCUAAUAGCCCCCACGCCGCCCUCUUCUAUAUCCAGACCCGCAGAAAAAGAUCAACGACGCCGCAUCGUGCCACUCGCAUCCGUGGAGGCCUGAACUUGGCAAGACGCCAACCAUGGCUGGAGACGGGGACCAGCCACUCCUGGCCGGAUCCGGUGACUCCUAGUCCCACCGCUGCCGCUACGGCGGUACCGCGUGUAGCCUACAAGGACAUCCACGAUGAUGUCUGAUUAGAAGGAUACAUGGAUAUACAGAUGAAAAGGCCCUCGUUGUCCCUCCAACAAUAUAUAUAAAGCUUACUGGGAUGUGAGAAAGCUCGCACAAUGUUAUAUUGGCUAUGAAAAUGUGUUGCCAGACAGAGAUAUAAGAUUUUUGUUUGGAAUCCAGAUCGGUUGUGUCAUCCUUAAUCGAUGGUCACUUUAAUUUUUUCGGCGGGCCUUCCCUGUGGUACCGCAGCCUUACAUGUGUAGGGGUUUCAUACAGCUAUUCUGUCCUGUCGGAAAAGGAGAAAACCAAAAUUACUUGGAGUUGAUAACUAAUACGUUUCCUUUAACUACCACAUGCACGGCGAGGAUUUACGGCACGCAAGUGCGGGGGCACUCAGGUCAUGGUGCCGCCUUUUUAUUUUAGCGUCCGAUUUUCAAACUUCUAUAUCUUUUAAACGAAAAAAUCAAUUUAAGUUAUGUUUUCAUAUUCGUGUUUCUUGCUGCCAGCGCUUUCAAAUAAUAUUCAUUUUGAAUAUAUUUUGGCAUCUUUUGGAAACAAUGUUAAUUUUCAUUGUUCGAAACUUAGUACGAGCGACCGAUAAUAUCCAAUUAUUUUGUGUCUAUGACCAACAGAAAAAAUUGCUUAAAGUUGCAUCUUUGAAACUUGUUGAAGAUGGUCAAUUAACAUUUUCUAAUUGCCAUGAGAAGAAGUAUGAAGUGCAGUAGAGAACAAUGUACACAGUAUAUAUACAACAUGGAAGUACAGUAAUAGUGAGUUCACUCGACGGAACCCCGUCACGGCACGGCCAUGUGAAUAGGAUCCACCUCGUACUGCUCCUCUCCUGCUCUGCCCUGAGCAGUAUCGUCCGUCGUCGCCGAGCGGCGCAGCGGCCGGCGGCCGGGGGGAAGCCGAGAUUUCCUCUUUGGAGGCGCCGAAUCCCAGUCGUAACUCGUAAGUCGAAAUCCCUCUCUGUCCCGCCUCUCGAAUCCCCACCGGUCUCCUACCCAAAACUUCCGUGCCGCCAAUGCCCGCCUUUUCUUUGGGUUUCGAGCGAGGAAUCGGAGGGAAAUCUGGGUACUUCCUGUGGCUUGAUACCCCGGCAAUGGCGGCCCUGCUUGCUUUCUGUUACCACUGGGUCGCUCUACUCUUUGCAUGCCCGUCCGCAAGGUGUUCGAUGGAUUGUGCGCAGGGUGUCGGCCCGGCUGGUCUCGUUUCAGCUCUUGGAUGUCUCGGUCCGUUUACCGUCGGUUACUGGAAAUGUGCUCGAAACCCAUGAAAAUGCUGGGAUUUGCGCUCUUUGUUUGCCGUCAUUUGUUUGGUUGCAGGAAGCACCCGGUCUUAAGCAUAGUAUAGAUAAAGUUGUAUGUUCUGCUCUGUUUGUUUGUUUGCUGUCUGAUGAUUGAGACAAGGGCAUAAUCCAAAGUUUGGCACCUGCUCCUGCACGUUUAUGUGUUGGAAACUGGAAUCUGUUGAGAGUAGUAUGGCCACGCCACAUGUCUUGGCUUCCACUCAAGGACCACAUUACUUCUUGACUUUCUUGGAUGCUUGUUGGCCCAACCUUGGAUCUAUAUCUUUCUAAUAGUGUUAUAAAUCAGAAACAUAUCCCCGCAAAAAAAUAGAAAUAAAUCAGAAACACAACAAUUUUUUGUGUUGCUUACUAGAUUCGGUGUAUUUACUUCGUGUGUUUAGUCGAAUCACCUGUCAUUGUUCUCUCAAGUUGCUUUUCCUUGCGAUAUUCAUGUUCAACCCAGCGGUUUAAAAUUCCUGCAAUUGCUUCAUUCAAAGUGAUUUUCACUUCUUUGUUGUUGUUUUCCACAGCAUUUGGGCUGAGGCUCCAAAUAGUGCUACUCUUUUACAUGGACUAUGUUACUUUGGAGAAUACAAGAAUUGUGCAUUGGUAUCACGAUAACAUAUGCCUAAUGGUUUUUCUUACAGGAGGGCGUUUCCAACACAUAAAUAGUUUGCUAGCAUGCAGACAAGUGUCCAGUAGCCUUUGUGCCAUUUGAGGCGUAAUGGAGAUAGCUUUUCUCAUGUUGUUGGUUCUUUCUCUGCUUCUGUUCCCUAAUGGCAUCUGCAAGAGUUUAGCCACACGGCCUCCUGUUGUGAAUAUUGGGUCUAUUCUUCAAUUUGACUCCACCACUGGAGGUGUUGCGGCAGUUGCCAUCCAUACAGCCUUGGAAGAUAUCAACUCCGAUCCAACAGUUCUAAAUGGAACUACACUGAAGGUUCAAAUCAAGGAUACAAAUUGCUUUGAUGGUUUCCUUGGCAUGGUUCAAGGUAGGCUAGCUUUAAUGUCACUCAUUCAUUUCACAACCUUCAAAUAGUUUUUACUUCUAUUGUGGAGUGGUGGCAAUGAUGCCGUGUUCCUUGUAUCAGCUUUGCAGUUCAUGGAGACUGAUGUUAUUGCAAUCGUUGGCCCUCAGUGCUCCACAAUUUCUCAUAUCAUUUCAUAUGUAGCAAAUGAGCUUCGAGUCCCUUUGAUGUCCUUUGCUUCUGAUGCAACUCUUUCAUCGAUACAGUUCCCAUUCUUUGUCAGGACUGGUCCCAAUGACCUCUAUCAAAUGGCGGCUGUGGCAGAAGUUGUUGACUACAACCACUGGAAGAUAGUGACUGCCAUAUACAUUGAUAAUGUUUAUGGUAGAAAUGGCAUUGCUGCUUUGGAUGAUGCACUCGCUUUAAAGCGCUGCAAAAUAUCCUACAAGAUUGGCUUUCCUUCCAACGCUAAAAGGAGUGACCUCAUAAAUUUGUUGGUUAGUGUCAGUUCUAUGGAGUCUCGUGUUAUCAUUCUCCAUACUGGAACUGAACCUGGACUCAAGCUUUUCUCUAUGGCACACCAACUGAACAUGAUGGGCAACGGCUAUGUGUGGAUUGCAACUGACUGGCUGUCCGCAUAUCUUGAUGCUAAUUCAUCAGUUCCUGCUGAGACUAUAUCUGGCCUGCAAGGUGUUCUUACUUUACGGCCACAUAUUCCCAACUCAAAGAUGAAUAAUUUGGUCUCUAAAUGGAGCACGCAAAGUAAAAAGUACAACUACAGUGAUCUUCGUGUAAAUACUUAUGGUUUUUAUGUUUAUGAUAGUGUCUGGGCAGUAGCUCGUGCUCUGGAUGCCUUCUUUGAUGAUGGUGGUAGGAUUUCCUUUUCAAAUGACUUGCAUGAUGAAACUGGAGGAACUCUUCACCUUGAAGCAAUGAGCAUUUUUGACAUGGGAAAUAAAUUACUGGAGAAGAUUAGAAAGGUAAACUUCAGUGGGGUAUCUGGGCAAGUGCAAUUCGAUCCUGUAGGCAACCUCAUUCACCCUGCGUAUGACAUCAUAAAUGUCAUCGGAAAUGGCAUGCGGACCAUUGGUUUUUGGUCAAACUAUUCUGGCUUGUUGUCGACUGUCUCUCCAGAGGCUCUAUAUUCAAAGCCUCCUAAUACUUCUCUCGUCGAUCAGCAUCUCUAUGAUGUUAUUUGGCCUGGGGAGACUGCACAGAGGCCUCGAGGAUGGGUCUUUCCUUCUAAUGCCAAGCAAUUGAAAAUUGGUGUUCCCAACAGAUUUAGCUUCAAAGAGAUCGUCACGGUAGACAAUGCUACUGGGUCAAUGAAGGGUUAUUGCAUCGAUGUCUUUACUCAGGCAUUGGCUUUGCUUCCUUAUCCUGUUAGUUACAAGUUUGUACCUUUUGGGAAUGGUACUGAAAAUCCUAAUUAUGACAAACUCGUACAGAUGAUUGAAUCAAAUGUAAGUAUGGAAUGCCUCUUUUCUUCCUCUAACCAUUUCAUCAUAUACCAUGCUGACCAGGGUCAUCUUGUCCUGCAGGAGUUUGAUGCAGCUAUAGGGGAUAUUGCAAUUACAAUGAGGCGGACAGUAACUUUUGAUUUCACCCAGCCAUUCAUUGAAACAGGCUUGGUUAUCUUGGCUCCGGUUAAAGAGCAUAUAACAUCAUCGUGGGCAUUCUUGCAGCCAUUUAGUUUGGAGAUGUGGUGUGUUACAGGGCUGUUCUUUCUUAUUGUGGGUGUGGUUAUUUGGGUUCUUGAACAUCGGAUCAAUGACGAUUUCCGUGGUUCAGUAUGUCAACAAAUAAUAACUAUUUUCUCGUAAGGAGCUGACCUUUACCUUUUGUAUCGUCUUCUUGUAUAUCAUUUCUGUUUUCGAAGUGUUGAUGUUUUAACAAGUCUUGUGCAAUAUGUUGCAUACAGCGAGCACCUUAGAGCAGUGGCCAGUUAACAAACCUAAAUGAAGCAUCUAGUGAUUACCAAUGAACUACUCCCUCCGUCCCAUAAUAUAAGAGUGUUUUUUGACGGCGGGAGUAUUAUCUUAAUAAUCUUGUGAGACAUAUAUACAUGCACAGUAUAUAUAUUCGCUUAAUGAUAUUUAUGAUGCAUUGCUCUAUUUUUUCCUGUUUUCAUGUACUUCUCCACAUGUAUUUGCCAAAUGCUCUUAUCAUGACGUGAUUCCUUGCUGUGAGUAUAAUUUCAAAUUUUAUUGCCUGCAGGUUCAGCUUUUCGACUUUGUUCUUCGCACACAGUGAGUAAACCAACCUUUUCUCUUAUGUGUUUUUUGGCUAUAACAUUUUGUUCUGAGGCAUGACUUGUGAUUUCAUCCGUGUCUGCUCGCAGGAGAAAAUACGAUGAGUGCCUUAGGGCGUGGUGUCCUGAUCAUAUGGCUGUUUGUUGUUUUGAUAAUUGUAUCCAGCUAUACCGCGAGUCUUACUUCCAUCCUGACCGUGCAACAACUUGAUACUUCUAUAAAAGGAAUUGAUGACCUGAAAAAUAGCGAUGGUCCUAUUGGUUUCCAAGUUGGUUCUUUUGCACAAGACUACAUGGUCAAGGAGCUCAACAUCUCACGGUCAAGGCUAAGAGCUCUGGGUUCACCACAAGAAUACGCGGAUGCCCUCAAGAUAGGCCCUAAGGAAGGAGGUGUUAUGGCCAUUGUCGACGAGCGCCCCUAUGUUGAACUGUUUUUGUCAACCUACUGCAAAAUUGCGGUAGCUGGCACAGAUUUCACCAGCAGAGGAUGGGGCUUUGUAAGUACAGUUAAACCAUAUUCUUUUAUGUAAAUUAGAAUAUAAGAACAAAACAUUUUUCUGUUAAUAUCCUGGAAUAGAAGUUUUAACUUUGAAUAGCUGUGUCUAGUAUCUAGUUUAUUAUGCAACUGUUCUUGCACAUAUCUGUGGGUACUUUGUUUCACAAAUCAAAAUGUAGCACCUUACAAGUUCAUUCUGGCAGGCAUUUCCAAGGGACUCCCCUUUGCAAGUAGACCUCUCCACCGCAAUCCUGUCUCUGUCAGAGAAUGGGGAGCUGCAGCGGAUCCAUGCCAAAUGGCUCAAUACAGGGGAGUGCGCAACUGAAAACAGUGAGUUUGUCGACUCGAACCAGCUCCGCCUUGAGAGUUUCCUUGGUCUGUUCCUAAUCUGUGGUGUGGCAUGUGUUCUCGCGCUGCUACUCUACUUUGGUAUCAUGCUAUGCAAAUACCUGAGGCAUGAACCGCGGAAGAGCCUCAGAAGAUUCAUCUCGUUCGUCCAUGGGAAGGAGCCGCUGAAGAACAAGGAGAGGCGGUCCAUGAGCCUGCCUGGAAGCUCGACGCCAACAACGCCGAUGAGCAGCCUUAGUUCCCUUGACAUGGAAAGGCCGGCCAGGCCAGUCAGAAACGGCAGCGUUAUUGAUAUGGAAAGCUAGUUCAUGUGUAGAAAGCUAGUUAACAAUGCGGUCGACUAACCUAGGUUCUGGUAGUCGGACAGCAGGGGUGUAUAGGGGGAUUCAAAAUACUUCUUAAGUACUCCCUCCGAUUCAAAUUAAUUGACGUUGACUUAGUACAAAGUUGUACUAAGUUGGCGUCAAGUAAUUUGGAUCGGAGGGAGUACUAAAGUUUAGAAAUAAGAGAAGGAAGGAUUAAUAAGAAGUAGAAAUAUUGAAAUGCUCAUCCUGUCCUACAUAUAUUGUUUUUACCUUUGCAUGACUGUAUUUUGGGGGAUACUGUGUCGGUUCAGACUUGCCGUUUGGCAGCGUGGCCUGUUCAUGUGUUUGAUAGGGCGUAGUAGUGUGUGGGUACUUCAGUUAGAAGGUAUGCAGCGGACCGAGUCUAUUGACCGUGUGGCGAUGCCUGUAGUUUGUAGCACUAAAUUUUGAUGCUCAUUCAUAAACUAAUUUAGAUAAAAGCCGCACAAAAAAUGUGCUAGUUUUUUGUUGUUGUUGCUCACGUACUCUGUUUUGUCUCAGUUUUAGUCCAGGGCAACUUUGAAGCUUAUCUUAGGGUGGUAGCCAUAAAAAUGUGUUAGCACCUUACACAGGAGAAAUAGGUAAAGACCUUAUUAAGAAGUGAAGAAGAAUAGACGUCUCCAGUUUUUGUUUCUCCAACUCCAUGCCUACAAUGUAAAUUAUUUAUGGAUUAGCUCCAGUUGCUGCAACUGUACUCUUUCCGGUAGGUCUGAGAUGCGACUGAGCAUCCUAAGCUAGCUACUUGUCUCCCUUAAGUUUUACAGCAAGACAAAUGCACUGGACUGCAAAGAGGAAAUUCCCGCAGGUUCGUAGUGCAUCUGUUUUGGUUCUUGCAUUCACACCAAUCAUAAAACAGUGUUUGUUAGUAGCGGAGUGGUAGGCAGAAGCAAAUCAAACCAUCAUUUUUCUUCUAAUUACACUUGUAAAAGCAUCGAUACAUCUCCACCGCUUAAUUUAUUUGUCAUUCUGUUCAGUACCUGGUUCAGGAAGAGUCUUUUUCCUAUGCAAAAUAUAUAACGUAUAUGUUCCUAAUUCCGAUUGCAGGCAUAUUCAUCGCGCUUGUGUUUUGACGUGUCGCGGGGAACCAAGAGUCGUUCAGCAGGGCGUUUCUAGGAUACGCCACGGGUCUUACAGUAAAGGUAACGGUGAUGAACUGGUUUCAAGCUGUGCUGAUCAGUUCUGCUGUUACUAAUAUAUCAUGGCAUCCUGCUGCUCUCGGUCGAUGUUCUGUCAUCUCUGAAAAAUAUCAUUAUCACCUGUUUUAUUUCCCCGUCUUUUUUGCGCUUUGAUGCCCAGCCUGCUCUGUUGCACAUUGUUCCUGGCACGUGACUGGUUUGGUCGCCGUUCACUCUCCAUGGAAUGGAGAAGUGAAAGCGGGCAAGUAAGCCUAUAUACCUUUUGUCCCUUUUGUGUAGAUCAGAGAAAAUAACUGGCAAUCUUGAUCAGCCUGGUUUUGAGACGCGACUUGUUUGCCACUGACUGUUUUGCGUUGGUUGGAGAGGAGGAAGAAGACGAAGGUCCCAACCGUGAGAGCUAAAAGGUGAACCAGCGCUCGCCUUUUUAAUUACUAGGAGAAAUAAACAUUGAGGCAGCAAUUUCUUCCGGCAAGAUCAAUUGGCAGCUAAUUAUGUAGGCUGGAUGGCAUUGAGAAAUCCAGAANNNNNNNNNNNNNNNNNNNNNNNNNNNNNNNNNNNNNNNNNNNNNNNNNNNNNNNNNNNNNNNNNNNNNNNNNNNNNNNNNNNNNNNNNNNNNNNNNNNNNNNNNNNNNNNNNNNNNNNNNNNNNNNNNNNNNNNNNNNNNNNNNNNNNNNNNNNNNNNNNNNNNNNNNNNNNNNNNNNNNNNNNNNNNNNNNNNNNNNNNNNNNNNNNNNNNNNNNNNNNNNNNNNNNNNNNNNNNNNNNNNNNNNNNNNNNNNNNNNNNNNNNNNNNNNNNNNNNNNNNNNNNNNNNNNNNNNNNNNNNNNNNNNNNNNUAUAUACAUUGUGUAUUCAAACAUAAAAAGUGCAAAACUCACUCACAAAUAUUUGACUAUUCAUACAAAAAAAAAAGAAUUUCCUGAAAUAAGGGAGCACAUCUUCUCCAGAAUUGAUCACUGAGGUCAUCUAUUGAGCAAUCCAGGUUCACCUAGUUAUCUAUUUCAAAAUUUAUGGACAACAAUUUGGGUGGUGUUUUUUCAAACAAGGCACAUAUUUAUAGUUCAUUGAAAUACAUCUAUCUUUUGACCUCAUUAAUAUCUCAUCCUUCAUCAUAAACAUACAGAGAAACCGCUCGUUUCUCACAUGUUCCUGAGACGAUAACACCAUAGCUAUUACUGCCCCUUCUCUCUUAAUACCUUCCACCCUUUCCAUUAUAAAUAAUAAAACUGAAACAUAUCAUUCUCUUGAUUGUAUUUUUUCUAAAAUGUUUAAGGUGUAUGUGUCAUUGAGUGUGAAUAUAUUCUGUUGCAAAGUUUCACGAAAUUUAAUUAGUAUGCAACCUGUGCACAAGAGAAAUAAAUAUUAAAAUAAAUUUAGUUAUUUUUGUUAGCCCGCCAUUAUUUAAAAAAAAGUGAAGUCACUUUUUCAUGAAAGCUGGAGAUAAAUUGUGUAUAAACAUAAAAAUGAUGGAUUUUCCUAUCUUUCUCUCUGUCACACACACGCGCGCGCGCGCAUGCACACGCGUGCAAACUUAGGAUUUUAGGAAAUAAUGGGAGCAAAGGCCAUGUGAAAAUAUGAGGUACUCCCUCCGUCCUCGAAUAAGUGUACGUUUGGCAUUCAAGUCUUCAUACUUUUUCUCAUGGCACAGGUUUGCCUUCUCAUGAUGAUGGCCGCACUGUGUGCACAAGCCGCUGGGAGGCCUGUGGCAUGCUUACCAUGGAUAGCGGGGUGUUGCCCGAGGAACUAUUUGUGUUGUGGUGUCGGUGCCGUUGCCCCGACAUCCCAUGCAUCGCAGGCCACCUCUGUACCUUGAGUUAUGGUUUCGCUUGAUCUCCUCUCAUAACAUAGUUGAUAUAGCACAGUAGCAUCACAAAGGUUGCAUGGUUUCAUUGAUUCAUCUCUUCUCUACUCGAACUUGUGAUGCCACUUUUGAACAAUGUCAUUGCUAUGUCUUCUUAUAACUUGUUGGGAUUAACCACGAUGUAGUGGUUCCCUUGUCCGGCACGGACAGAUAGUGGUAGCAGUCACCGAUUUAACAUUGGAUUUGUAAUAGGACUCGGACUAGUUUAGGACUAGCAUAGCUCCUUUAAAUAUCCAUGUACCCCUACGUUGUAGUACUGUACCGAACCAGAUCAAAGCAAUACAGAUCAACAGGACCGACAAGGCCCUGUUUAGCCAUCAACUCGCGUGUUCCUGUGUUAUCGUGUGUAUCGUGUGUUUCGGCGUCGGCAAAACCGAUUUGCUAGUUUGACUAAGCGUAAGGCUGUGCAAAGCUAGCUAGACGUUGUGCCUGCUUGUACGUGCAUAUCUCUAGAGAAAAGCCAGCUUAUGUACACGUGUACGUCCGAAAGUACUCAGACGUACGGGAUCUGUGCCAACAUAACUAAUAAAAUGGGAGGAUAUUUUUAUCUUAUUUGAAUUGUGUUGUAACAUUACCUACUAAUGUGGAUGAUCUAGGUGGACCACAUAGAUCGGAUCUUCUAAAGAUGUAAUCUAGGACUUUGCAAGAUGAUAAAAUUGUCCUUUAUCUUGCUCCACACCUUUUCGUAGAAGUUGGUCGGCCGUCGGCGUCCCUUCAUCUGUGCCUGCUUGCGGUGCAUGCCGUAGAAUGCUCCAUGUUUUGUAGUUGUACAAUAACCUUUGACGUAACUUUUUUUCGACGUGCCAGCCAUCAAUAUUUAUAAUGAGACCUUGACCAUGGAUGGCAAGUAAUUCGCCCUGUGCUGAUGUCGUCGGGUGACCCGCUCACUGAUGUUUUGACUCAAGGAGUCGCUAUGUUCCCUGAAUGAUCUUUUUGUAUAUAAUUGGUUGUUACUUUAAUUAGAAGAAACCACACAAAUCAUAAGUGUUAUUAGUAAAGUGGUAGGCAUGUGCAAAUCAAAACGCCAUUUCCCUUCUAAAUACACUUGUAAAAUCAUUAUGAGUGUCUUCUUCUGAUUUCUUCUGAUUUCUUCUGAUUUAAUAUUUAUGCAAGACACAUUACGAGUGCCAGCUGUGCUGUAACUUUUUUUGUGAGGCACAGCAACUGGAUUGUUGUCGAUACAAGGUAAAACAGAAACUAGUAUCAGAACUUCUGUAUUUAGAAACCUGUUACUAAUAUAUAGUGGCAUCUUUAUCGCUGUUCACUCUCCAUAGAGUGGGGAAGUAAAAUCGGUAAGUAAGCCUAUUUACCUAGUCGCCGUUCAUUUGUUCACCGAGUCGCGAGACAGCGGGAGGAAGGAGAAGAAGGUCCCAACCGUCAGACCAAAAAGGUGGACUCGACUAUUUUCAGUUAUUAGUAGGAGUAAGAAGCAUUGCAAAUUGCUCCGUCUGUUCAAUCCGUAUAUAUGUAGUCCAUAUUAAUAUAUUCAAAAUAUUUUAUAUUUGUGAACGAAGGGAAUAAUUAAUAGUAAUGCAACAAGGGGAGGCCAGUCAGCAGCUAACUAAAUGUGCUGGAUGAGACUGGAGAAAUGAUAAACGAUUUACAUGAUAGAACUACUCUUUUCUUGUUAAGGAAUGAAAGAAUGGAUGAUUUUAUCCGUUCGGAACAAAACCCAUCCAGUUAGACGUUGUCCUGAAUUCCGACGCUUUUGAAAGUUUUCUCGCAGAAAUAUGUGUGUGUAUUCCAGUUGUAUCAUUAGCAAACCAAGGCUGUAUAUAUUAUAGCACAAAGAAUGUUUGGUUGAUUCGUUCAGGCGAAUCAGGUUUCGUGGUUGACUGCCAAAGUUACGGCUAUUUCUGCCUUUGGCGCAGACAAGAGAUUCUGCACUGUAAGGCCUCGUUUGACAUGGAGGGAUUCGUGAGGAUUUGAGGUGUGGGGAUUGGAGGGGAUUUGGUGAAUCCCUCCCCUCCAUCCAAUCUCCUCAAUUCCCUUUGCAUCCAAUCCCCUGAAAAAACUCGUUUGGUAGGCGGACAGUGGAGGAGGCGUGCACUGCCGCUGCCCUCGAGAUUCUGCUUUCGCAAGGCCCUUGACUAGAGUUCUGAACCGCACGGGUGCGAGGGGAUUGGAAGGGAUCGGAGGGGGUUGGGCUGUGCAAACCCCACCUAUCAAAUGGGCCGACGAGGUUUCGUGGGGCUUCUUUCCCUCCCAGGGUUCAUCCUCUCCAAACCUCUUGAAUCCUCCUGCGCCAAACGAGGCCUAAAGAAAAAGCUGAAAGCUCUCUUUUCUCGUGUGUUUCUGUUCUCUUUCACCUUGUCGGAAAACAGCGUGCACCGGGGACGCUCGAUUCCAUUGCAGGCAUCAGUUCAAUCUAUCAUGCUACAGGGAACCGGCUCUAUCUUCUUUUUCCUUUUCUUUUAGGUCGUGAACGCAAGUCAUUUGAGAUAUUCACAUAGGACUUACAAAAUCGGUACGUUCUGACGGAAUUGGACGCACACGAUGGAAAAUAUAGAUAUUCCUAAGGUAGAUUUAUCAACAUCAGUGUGGAGCUAAAGUGUUUGAUGUUUUGUAUGAAUGGUCUGGUCUGAACAAUAAAGCCGGCCACUCAUGACCUACUUUUGGGCUUUCUUUGUAUUAGUGUAUACUAGCAAAAGGGCCCGUGUAUGGGAGAGAAAAAAAAUAUAAUCUUGAAUGGCCAUGAUCACAUUUUUUUGCAUCACCGAGAUACACUAUCACUAUCAAUUUCGGGAAAUCAUGUACAUUUUUUAAACUUGUGGCAUUUUGCAAAUUCAUGAACACUUUUACAAAUUUUCAAAUAUAUUCUUAAAUCAAGAACAAUUUUUGAAAUUCAUGAACAUAUUUUCAUUUACCGAACAUUUUUGAAAAGCAUGAUCAUUUUGGAAUCAGCGAACAUUUUAUGAAUGAAUAAACUAUUUUGUAAGUCACGAACAGUUUUCCAAAUAUUUGGAUAUUUCCCCAUUCAUGAACAUUUUUUGAAUUGGGGACAUUCAAUUUUAUUAACAUUUUUUUAUACACGAAUUUUUAAAAAGUCAUAAAUGUUUUUUGAUAUCACGAACAUUUGUUUUCAAAAUUUUGAACAUUUUUUGAAUCAGAUUGUUCCAAUAAAAUUGCAACCAUUUUUUGAAUACACAAACAUUUUAUGAUUUAUUAAAACUUCAUUUGAAAAUAAUUUUUUAAUUUUCAAAUAUCUUUUGCAUUCCGAAAUUAAUUAAAGUAGAAAAAAUGAAAAGAAAGAUAAAAGGGAAAUUUUAAAUAGGGGCCACUCGGACAUAGGCCGGCCCAAAUGGGCGGCCGCGCCUUCUCCCAACCUGCAGAGCCCAGUAUAGGAGGUCCCUACUACAUGGGCCAGUCCAGACAGGGAUACCCCUGUGUGAAACAUUUUUAUCACUUAUACGUGAUAUUUGUGGGUGAUUUCUAUGACGUACCAUCAGAAGAAAUAGCCCCUUUCUUAUUACUAGCAAAAAGGUCCGUGCAUUAUAACGGGAGAAAAAAAAUUAGAAUCUCCAAUGGCCAUGACCAUAUUUUGCUCCAUCACCGAGAUACCCUAUCUCUCUCAAUUUCGUGAAAUCAUGAACACUUUUUGAAAUCACGAACAUGUUUUAAAACUCUUACACAUAUUUGAAAUAGUAAACAUUUUUCAAAUUCAUGAACUUUUGUACAAAUUUUCGGAUAUUUUCUAAAACUAAGAACAUUUUUGGAAUUGAUGAACAUUUUAUAAUAUUUGCAAACAUUUUUAAAAAAAUUUGAACAUCUUUAGAAACAAUUUUCUCUAAUUGACGAACUUUUUUGUGGAAAUUGAUGUAACAAUUUUAGAAAUUUCUGAACAUUUUUUGAAAUACAUGAUUAUUUUUUGAAUCAGUGAACAUUUUUUAAAUGACUAAACUGUUUUGUAAGGCACCAAUAGUUUUUUGAAUUUUUAGGAUAUUUUUCCAUUCAUGAACAUUUUUUGAACUGGCGAUUAAAUUUUCAAUUUCAUUAAUAAUUUUGGAUGCAUAAACUUUUAAGUAAAAUGAGGAACAUUAUUUAAUUCCCAAAAAAAUGUUUUUAUAAUUUUCAACAUUUAUUGUCCAAGCAAUUGGUUUUUACAAAAUGGCGAAUGCAUUUUGAAUCCACAAACAUUUUAUGAUUUACGAAAAUUUUAUUUCAUGGUACUCAUUAUUUUAAUUUUCGAAACCUUUUUGAAAUCCCAAAUUAUUUAUAGUAGAAAAAACGAAAACAGAAAAGAAAAAAGAAAAUAGAAAACCUAAUUCAAAAAACAGGCCAGCCUGAAAUGGGCCGGCCUAAACGGGCGUGCAGCGUCUUUUCCCAGCGUGCAGAGAGCAUUAUAGGAGGUCCCAACUGUAGGGCCGGCCCAGAUGGGGGAAUUCCCCUGUGCGAAACUUCUUUUUAUCACUUAUAUGUCGAGAUGUGUUUGGGCGUUAUCAGAUGAAAAUAUUGUGUCUAAGAUGACGGCGAGCACGGAGCCAAGUGCGAAGAAUUGCCUUUUUGAACUUCAUGAGUCACUAGACCACGCGAGCUUCUCAAGGAUGAUUGUCACAUUAUGGGCUGUGUGGUAUGCAAGGCGCAAGGUGAUUUAUGAAUCUCUUUUUCAAAAUCCACACUAGACAAUUUCCUUUGUAGACUCUUAUCUUCAAGAGCUACACCAGGCUAUCGCUUGUGAACCGAGGUUACAAGGUCAAGCGGCAAGGGAGCAGCAACGACGUUGGAUUCCACCUCCGCCUGGCUCACAUAAGAUAAACGUGGAUGGUGCAUUAUCAAGAAACAGGCGAGUGGGAGUUGCAGCCGCAAUCUGCCGUGAUUCAAAUGGCAACUAUCUUGGCGCGUCAGCGGUGGUCUAUGGGGACGUACGCGACCCGAUUAUCCUGGAGACAUACGCGUGUCGGGAGGCUCUAGCGCUGGCGGAAAAUCUACACGAGCAGAAUAUCAAGGUGGCAUCGGAUUGCCAAGGUGUGGUGCAGGACAUCAAUGAAGGGACAGCUGGCCCCAAUGCGGCUGUUAUACAUGAAAUAACGAACCGUAAAGAUAGUUUUACGUCUUGCUCUUUUGUUUUUGAGCGUAGGAAUUUUAAUUUCGAGGCUCAUAAUCUCGCUAAAUUUGCUUGUAACCUAGAUAUAGGUAGACAUGUUUGGUUGGGUACUCCUUAUGACCCAAGCCGUGUACCUAUGAACAUUUUUAUGAAUCAAUAAAGACAGCGAGAUUUCUCAAAAAAAAAACUUAUAUGUGGCAUUGAACUCGUGAAGCAUGCGCUAUCCCUUCCAGAUGGCCACCAUGUCUGGCUCGGUCAACUAGACAGACUUUCUUUCGUCCCUGUAAACGUUUUGACGAUAUAAAAAAAAGCUUCAGAGUUUGUCUAAAAAAAACUUAUAAGUGGCAUUGGUGGGUAAUAUUUUGCAACUUUAGAGGUAAUUUCCAUGACGUACCACCAGAAGCGCAAUAGCCCCUUUACUAUUAUUAGGUACUCUUUUUUCCUUGUGGAGCUUUGGAAAUGAGAGAAUUUGAAUAUAGUAACUCUCGGAAACUCUUAUUGGACGAGAGAAAUUUAAUAUGUUAUUGGCAUGGCUUCUACCAACUAAAAUAAGAAGUAUUUUAUUGGAUAAACGGACAAUUUCCUUUAAUCGAUGAACAUUUUUUUGAAAAUUGGUGGAACAACUUUUGAAAUUCAUUUUUUUUUGAUUUAACAAACAUUUUUUUAACUUAACAAACAUAUUUUGAAAUACAUGAUUAUUUUUUGAAUCUGUGAACGUUUAUGAAUGAAAAAACUAGUUUGUAAAUCAAGAGCAGUUUUUGAAUUUUUUGGAUAUUUUUCUGUUCAUGAACAUUUUUUGAAUUGGUGAAAUUUUUCUCAAUUUCAUUAACAAAAGUCAGUACACAAACCUUUUUAAAAAUUAAUGAACAUUAUUUUUUACCGAAAAAUAAAAUUGUUUUUUUCAAAAUCGUGAACAUUGUUUGAAUCCACAAACAUUUUAUGAUUUAUGAAACAUUUAUUUCAAAAUACACAUUUUUUUAAUUUUCGAAAUUUUGUGAAAACCAAAUUAUUUAAAGUAGAAAAACAAAAACAGAAAAGAGAAAGGAAUAAUAGAAAACGAAGUUGAAAAAAUAGGCCGACCGAACAUUAGCCGCCCCAAACGGGCACGCUGCAUCUUCUCCCAGCGCGUAGAGCGCAGUAUAGGAGGUUCCUAUUACAUGGGCCGGGCCAAGCGGGAGAUUUCUCUGCGCGACGCCGCAUCAUGCCACCCACAUCCGUGGAGGCCCGAACUUGGCAAGACGCCAACCACGGCAGGAGACUGGGACCAGUCACUCCUGAGCUGAUCCGGCGACUCCCAGGCCCACCCCUGCCACUACGGUGGCACGCGGGUAGCCUACAAGCCCAUCCACGACGAUGCCUGAUUAGAAGGAUACAUGGAUAUACAGAUGGAAAGGCCCUUGUUAUCCCUCAAGCAAUAUAUAUAUAAAGCUUAAUGGGUCCCAAGAAAGCUCGCACAACCGCUUGUGUCAUCCUCAAUCUAUGGCCACUCUAAUUUUUCCGGUUGGACCUUCCCUGUAGUACCACAGCAAGGCUUGCGUGUGUAUAUAUUUCCUUUAACUACCAUGUGCAGGAUGAGGAUUUACUGCACACAAGUGCGGGGGCACUCAGGUCCUGGUGCCAGCUUGUUAUUUUGGCUUCCGAUUUUCAAACUUCUAUAUCUUUUAAACGAAAAAAUCAAUGUAAGUUAUGUUUUCAUAUUCGUGUUUCUCAUGGCCAGCGCUUUCAAAUAAGAACCAUCUUGAAUAGAUUUUGGUGACUUUUGAAAACAAUGUUAAGUUUCAUUAUUUGAAACUUAGUACGAGCGACCGAUAAAAUUUAAUUAUUUUGUGUCUACGACCAACAUAAAAAAUUGCUUAAAAUUACAUCCUUGAAACUUGUUGAAACCGGGUAUUUUUUGAUGUAAAAAGGUAAGUUUCAUUAUUGAAACUUAAAUUUUUUUGAGGGAUUCUUUUUACCAUGCCCUACUUCACAAAUCGCGAGGCAAAUCGAGCAUGCGGCAUGGCCUGGCCGGUGAGUUAUGAAAGAUGGUGCAUUGUAGAUUUCUUUCUCCCAGUCCUGCGAAUGAAAGAUGGUGCAUACAAAAGUCUAUCCUAUAUGCGUACAUGUGCAUGAUCAGAACAUGUUUUUACGUGUGUCUACUAUAAAUCUCGACCAUUUUUAACACAAAUCAUGACCAUUAAAAUACAUGAUUAGUGAAUCAUACUAUCUUAACCUAUGUGAAAUCAUGUGGAGUAAUAUAAUAUAAUAGAUAGAGAGAUCCAUGUUGUAUUAUUUUUUGUUUAGAAAAAAUAUCUGUCAGUACAUAUCUAGAUUUAUGCAACAUUUCAUGGUGGAAAGUUUGUAUUGUUUCAUACUGAACACCAAAGUUUCCCCGUAAAAGAAAAUAAUGCAUAUGCAUAUGCUUUUAUAUUAUUAUUAUUGUUUCAAAUAUAUUCAUAUAUUAUUUUGGAUUGUACAAUCAUAAUUUUUCUUAUCUCUCUUGUUCCACUACAUGCUCCUAGUCAAUGAAUUAUGUUUUUUUUUCAAUAAUGGGCGUUUUUGUUAACUCAAAAUAUAGCAUCAAGUGGAUACAAAACAUAAUGAAACCCGGCCUCUGUAUAACUAAGAUGCACACAGCCAAAAGCAGAAGUCUGACAAAAAUAAGAUAAGAAAAUCGACAUAUCAACAACAAUGAGUCAUAUAGGACCGCUAUGCCUCUGUCGAAGGAGGUGGUGGUGCGAUCCGGAGAUUAUGCUGCCAUCCAUGCUGAGUAAAAACCUCACUGGCCACUUACUCCAACCGUAUACACACCACCAUGAACAACGGUUGGUAUGCAGUUCGGUGUAGCAUACACCAUGUAGGAAGCGAGUGCUUACUCCUAGUUACUGAAUUAUAUACACCAAAUAAACCCAUUUACACGUAGUUAAUGACAAAAAAAAGUUGAUGCUUGCUACGCAGAUGUGUAGUACUCCCUCCGUCCGAGAAUACUUGUCAUCAAAAUGGAUAAAAAGAGAUAUAUUUAGAACUAAAAUACAUCUAGAUACAUCCCCUUUUAUCCAUUUUGAUGACAAGUAUUUCCGGAAGGAGGGAGUAUAAAUUAAGAAGUGCAAGAUAAGAAAAACAUUGCUGGCCCUUGAUUCGUUGUUGACCCUCAGCAUGCCAUCAUCAACUUGUAGUUAAUUACCAUACAAAUUAGCUCUUUCAUAGAGUUGGAGGCUAGCUCCUUUGAUCAGCACGCGCUUAAACACAAAGAACACGUACAUGUUUUCUCUCCGGAGUUCAACUCUUGAUUGGCCAGCAAAAAUGGUCCGACCGGUUAGAGGAAAGGGCAUGUUUGCUAGUACGCCUGGAUGAAAUGCCUUUGAUUAGGGCAUCUCCAACGGCAAUCAGUAAAUUUCCUCCCGCGUUCAUCCACGGGCAGGGGAUCAAUCCGCAGAUGCAUACAGGAAUCGGCCAUCCAACGUUGUCCGCAUAUAUUUCGAACACUUUUUUUAAAAAAAUCGGAUGAAAUUCAUGCAAAUACAGUGGAUUUCAUACAAACCAAACAAAAACGUUUACAUUUUGAACAUAUUUUUUUACUAAAAACUCUACAGCCAGCGCCGGCGACGGCGAAUAUCCACUCCGGCGACGUGGAUACCCUUGACUAGUCUACUGCCGGCCGCAGCGGAUCUCCAAUGUCGUCCCCAUGUCCAGCAGCUGUGAGCCCUAGAGGUAUAUGUUUGAACGCAAAGAGCGGCUCGCCUUCCUACCGCUCAUCGGAGUGGAACAACCAGCUGAUGCUUCUGCUAGUGGGGAAGGGUCCCUACGCUACAUGGAUCAGAGUUGGUUUUGGGUUGGGAACGGCGGUGGCCUGCCAGAGGGCAAGACACCGGCUGUGAACGUUGGUGUCACCUAACCCAAGCGACAGCUUCUCCUCGAUGAUGGCGGCGAGCGCGGACGUGUUGGACACCACCUCGUCGAUGUCCAUGCAGCCCGCUUCUUUCUCUGUAAGCAGGACACAGUUACGCGCGCGGUGACAUCGGAUGAUGCGGUGACGGGCACGUGAGGGGUGGUACGACAUGGUACCGUCAAUGGCAGCCACGAUGCCUGUGCCACCGUGCUCCCUCCCCAGUGCCGACCUGGAGCAACUCGCCACUCCUUGGCUCGUGACCGGCGGGCUUGACGGGCCACCUAGCACUACUAGGAAAAUGCUUAUAGAUAGAAGUUUACCGGUAGCGAGUUUUUUGACCCCACGCCACUAGUAAUUACCAGUAGUGCUGUGUAGAAAACACGCUACUACUAACAUAUAACAGCAGUGUUUGUUUGCUUGGGCCGCGCUACUAUUACAUGGGCCGCAGGGCAGAAUCAAUAGCCCACUUAGCUGUAGCGUUUGUUCUGAAAGGGUGCUACAGCUGGUGGGCUUAGCAGUAGGGUGGUGCUCCAACCAAAGCUACUACUAUAGCUAAAGAAAACCGGCCCGAUCGAGCGCCCCCGCACCCCCCUCCUCUCACAAUCGAUCCCCUCCGCCCGACGACGACGCCGCCGCGGUUAGGGUUCGUCCUCGGCCGCCUCACCCCCGUCGAUGGUGCCGUGCGCCGCCACCACGCGCGGUCGCCUCUCGCCUCCUCCGACGCUCUAGCCCCGUAAGUCCCCCUCUCGAUCUCCUCCUCCCUGCGCGCGCCACAGUAGCUCCUCUCGAUCUCUCGGUUAGGGUUCGUCGUAGGGGCUCCAAUCGAUUUGCCGCGGCAGCUCGCCAUGUUUUGGGAUUUAGGGAUUGCACGGUUGCUCCGCGCUUCGAUGCAUGGCUCCAAUCGAUUUGCCGCGGCGGCUCGCCACUCCCCUUGCUGCCCCUACGCGGCGCUCCGCCCUCUCUGUUAAUUAGUAUCACAUAUGAAUUAAUAGGAUUAGUAUCACAUAUGCAUCUCUAGAUCCUACUGUUAAUUAGUAUCACAUAGGGGAGAGAGUAGAGGAUUUUGUUGCUCAUUGAAACUUAGGAGAGAGUAGAGAGAAGUAGCUAGAGAAGUAGAGGCUUUUAGCACAUAUAAUUGAAACUUGGGUUUCAAUUCUUGGCUGCUGCCCCUGGAGGAGUGGUGGCAGCGGCGGUGCCUAGUGUUCUAGGGUUUAGAGAGGGGGCGUCCAUGUCAUGCCUUUUCCGGAGAGGAGCCACGGGCGGCGUCGGUUGCCGUGUGCCGUUUCGUGAACGCCUCCACACGCUCAAGUUUGUCGAUGAUGGUCGUAGGAUCGGCUCCCCUUCUGAACGCCUCCACAUCGGUCGUUUCGAGAAGGGGUACGUGGGGUGCACCUUCGGUCUACACUUUGCAUCAUUUACGCUCGACCUACUGUAUGAUUGGAUCCUUUUCCUCUCUUUACGUAUUUCCCACUUGUUGCUGACAUGAUUGUUGGUUUGGUUCUACUCCGUGCCUGGCUGGGAGGAGUUUUGGUGGUUUUCAUGUUGGGGUUUGGGUUGGUUGUUUGAUGUGUGCUUAUUGUUACCAGGGUGUUGCCGAUUUGGCAUUGGAUUGGGCUGGCUCAUGUUUGACUUUUUGCUUUGUGGUUGGGUGGUUUCGACUUUUCUGAUGUGAUGUUAUGGAUAUUGCUUCUAUAGGAGUGUAAGUGCUCGGUUCGGGUUGUAUCAAGUGUUUUCCUUGUUGUUUCUCAAAUUAACCCUAAUGAAUAUUGAUGGUCAGAUGGGUUAGUGUUCGGUUUGGUUAACAAAUGUAGAUUUUUUUGAGGUGAUGUUCAUGGCCAAAAAAGUAUAGGCUUGGCCACUAGGUGUUGUUCAUGUGAGAGACAAAGCUACAAGCUCAUGUUCCUAUCAUAGAAAAAUAGUUAAUUUGUAAGUGCUAUACUCAGAAAUCAUCAAGAUUUAGGAUUACUGAUAUGAGAAGGGGGUAGUUUAUUUAGUGUGCUUUGUUGUGAUUAACGAAGAUGAGAUGAGAUCAAAGUAUUAUUAUGUUUUGCCAUAUAUUUGUUUGUUACAUCUCUAGAUUAUUGAGCUACUAGUAUUGUUUAACCUUGUGUUUAGUGCAAAUUUCAUGCUGAUAGCAACGCUUCAUCUGAAGAGUUGGGGACAUUAGUUUACUAGAUUGCUAGCUUUCUUGGUAUGCUUUGUUGGCAAUUUGCUGACAGGAUUCUAACUUUGUUUGAGUCCGCGACAGAAUAAGUUUGACACAGAUUUGAGGUGCGCAUGAAACUCUUGUGUUUUAUCAUACAAUCAAUCUACUUUUGCAAUUUGUUAUUGUUGGACUGAACUUUAUGUUUACUUUUUAGUUGUUGUUUUGCUUGCCAUGUGAACUAUAGCUAUGAAAACUUUAUGUUUACUUUUUAGAUCGUUAAUCCUUUAAUCAUAUUGCUUUAGGGAAAUGGCGCCACCACCACCACCACCAUGUCGACGGUGCAAGUCAAGGUGCGCCAACAGCCUUGCAACUGGCAUGCUGUUUGGCAUCUACUUCGAGUCUAGUUUUCUUCAUGCGGUGGUAAUAAAUUAUAUGAAACUAGUAACUACUAUUUUGUUUUUAGUGUUAUUGGCAUUAAUGCAUUGUGUAUAUAUCAUUUUGCUUUUUGUACACAGAUCGUCCCAUGCAAUGUGAGGUCAGAAUUCAACAAUCUGACUGGAGACUCUGUGACAUUUGAGGCUCCUGGGGGCCCCUACACUAUGGAGAUUGAGAAAGGACGAAAGAUGACGCGGGUGGGAGGAGAUGGAUGGGCCCGUUUCAUCGACAACAUGCGUAUCACCGGUGGUGAGUUGAUCAGCUUCUCCUUCAGAGCUGAACGACCCAAGCUGGCCGUGAUUUAUAUCAACAAAGCAGAAGAUUAUGAGGAUGAUGAGGAUGAUGACGACCCACUCGGUGAUGCCAUCGUAGCUCAAAGAAUGAAGUUGAGCGAGGAGGAGGUGUGCAACCUAUGGGACAUCAUUCCGCCACGUGCUGACUUCGUCGGGGUGCCAUUCGUGACCCGUCUGACAAGUACCAUGGUUGAUCGGCAUAUGAUGGUAUGUUGCAUUUACUGUAGUUUUUAGAGUAAUUUGAUGAUAUGCUUUAUUGUUAUACUUAGUGUAGAGUCCGAUGAUAUAUAUGCAUAGUGAAUCUUAUAUGCUUUAUUAUUAUACUUUAGUGUAGAGUCCGAUCAUAUAUAUGCUUACUGAAUCUUAUAUGCUUAGUGAAUCUUAUAUGCUUUAUUGUUAUACUUAGUGUAGAGUCCGAUGAUAUAUAUGCUUAGUGAAUCUUAUAUGCUUUAUUGUUAUACUUAGUGUAGAGUCCGAUGAUAUAUAUACUUAGUGUAGAGUCCGAUGAUAUAUAUGCUUAGUGUAGAGUCCGAUGAUAUAUAUGCUUCGUGUAGAAUGUGUGAGGCUACUUAUUAGUUGAUAUGUUUUUCUUAUCCAGAAAUUGCCAAAGAGCCUAUCUGAGAGUUAUGGUAUCAAGCCUGAUGAAGAAGGCUCUGCUGGAAUACGCCUUACCGCAAGGGGCUCCGUCGCCACUUCUGCGUACGGCGUGGACACGGACGGUCGCACACACUUCAACUCGGUUCGGUGGAAGAGCUUCCUCGUCGGCAAGAAUCUUCAUGUUGAACAGACAAUCCUAAUUACUAUCAGGAACACCCACCGCCCAUGCUUGAGGAUGAUGGUCGUCAUCGACAUCAUCUAGAACUUCAUAUGCAUGCGUGUGGCUGUUGAACCAUAUAUAUGCUAGUAUGACUACCUAGUAGACUUAUCAACUAUGAUCUAUCCAUGCAUUGUUGACUACUAAAUGAGUUUGUGAGAUUGUGUGGUUAUAUUAAAUGUGGUACUGUCGUUAAUGUUUGUGAGAUGGUUCUGUGAACUUAGUUUAUUUGCACUGGACUUGUCUUGAUUUCCAUGAAUAUUGCACCUGACUCCUUUUUUUAUUUUUUAUUUCUAUUUGCCUAGUUGUAGCGUGGGGAGAAAAUAGGGCGCUACUACUACGUGAUGAUAGUAGUAGCGCUGGUGGAGGAAGCAUCGCUACUAAUAAGUAUUUUAGCUGCAUCGCUUGUUCAGAAAUGCGCUACUGUUAAAUAAUAGCUGUAGCACCUAGCAGUAGCGCGGGUGCCCGCGCUACUGGUAUGUAAAAAACCAGCGCCACUAGUAAGCUUUUCUCUAGUAGUAUAGCCAUUGUUUAUGCCAGACAACUCUUCUUCCUGCUCGUCAGAUGCCAUGGAGAAAACUGUUCAAGGAGGAAAAUGGUGAGUGGAGGUGUGAUGCGGUCUUGCUCGACAUCUGACAUUGUUUAAACAGCUAGGGGACACGAGGAGCCAACCAGUGUUCUGUUUAAUGCCAGCCGGCUCGCGAACGGACAUGUGGCCGGAGUAAUUAUCCUGGCAUAAGCGCGGGUUUAAUGGUGGAAGGCAGGCAGUCUGUAGGAAUGAGGCGAGGAUGUGUGUUUAGCGGGCGUGCAGCGGGGCAGCACCCUCGGCUGGCGUGCCGCUUCCGUUGCGAAGGCAGUGAGAGGCCGCGUCCGCUCUGCAGUGGCAUGAAUGCGGGCAGCUGGCGCGCCACUUCCAUUGCGAAGGCAGCGAGAAGCCGCGUCCGCUCUGCAGCGGCAUGAAUGCUGGCAGCUGGCGCAGAGCGGGAACGCGUGCGGGCGAGGGAGGAGGGGGUUUGGGUGGGCACGGGUGGUCAGAAGCGGUUGUGGGUGUUGUCCGGAUGCCUGCAAAGCCACCAUCCCCAUGUUCGUCUUCGGUUUGUGGGAGAAAGUACGUACGGAUCGCCCUGUGGACCGAUACAAGCCCGCAUUCGAUGGCACAACACGUCCAGACCAUGUGGUCCGAAUGGUUGUAGAUGGUUUAUUUGAGAGUCGGUGUUGGAUAUGCCUUAGAGUUUAUGAUACCAUUGUGUUUUUCUAAUCAUAAAAAAAUACUUAUAAUAAGUUAUAAGGAAAGACACGUAUAUAUGUUAGGUUCACACUCCAGCUUUCCUCUUACAUAUGUUUUUUCUGAUCCGACUGAUUCCAAUAGAGUGAGCCUAGCGUUGUUUUUCUAAAAACUCGAGGGAUAAGGAGACAUGCAUACACAUUGUUUCAAGCAAAUCACAUCCACUCUUUUUAACUCAUUUUUUCUUGUUUUAAUAAUAUAAUAAAUCAUUUUUAAUUUUUAUUUCAAAUAGUUGACGUGUAAUUUAUAUUGUAAUCUAAGGAAAAUGUUUGGAUUUUACUUUGAAAUAUAUUUCAAAUGGCCAUGAUGGAAUCACAUCCAUUUACUUUAUUUUUAUUUGGAUUUGCUUCAAAAGAUAAAUAAUGGGUAGAGGUCAUGUCAACUUUUCUGAGAAGUUUGCUAAUCAAAAUAUAAUUUUUAUCUUAAUACAAUCCAUUAUUUGACUACUCUAUUGAUUUGUAUUUAAAGACAUCUAUUUUUAGCACGCAUGAAAAACAUAACACAUAUCUUUCCACACAUAAUGAACGGUUGUCAUUAGAAUUCAUGCCAUGCCACAGCCUCCCUCUGACCCUGCCAAUAUUGUUGCAGCUGCGCUCGCAAGCCUUUGCGUAGAUGAUCAUUUAUAUGAUUUGUGUAAAACAAAAUAAGAUCUACAAACGAAUAGAAGCUAGAGCGUACCUUGGCGUGCACACACAUUGCAAGCCAUACUAACUUGAUAAGUGUUAAUGACUUGUACAACAUAUACAUCAAUUAAGACAAGUAAAAGCGAUUUGAUGAGUCAUGGUCUAUCAAAGCAGCCACAUUACUAGUCUAAUCCAUCUUAACAGGUCACGCAUGAUUACAAUCUUGUUUGUGUGCAAGUCAAGCCUAUCUAGUUUACACGUAACAACUUGUAGAACAUUACAAAAUUGAUGUUUGCUAAUAACUUCUAGAACACUACAACACUUGACAUGUAAAAGGAAUUUGAUGAGUCAUGGCCUACUAAAGCAAGUUACAUUACUAGUCUUAUCUAUCUUAACAUGCCACACAAGAUUACAAACUAAGUUCUGUGCCAGCCAUGCUUAUCUAGUUUAUGUGUAAAAAUUUGCAAAACAUUACAAACUUAGUUUCAGAAAAGUAGGCAAUCUAGAUUAGUGUUUGAGUUGUAAAGUGAAGAAGAUGAGUCAUGCGUGUUAUCACACCUUUUUGGUGGUGGAAUGAUAGUGCAACAACAAGGAACUUUAAUGACUAGUCCAAGAAUACACUUGUAAGUAGUGCCACCAAACACAACAUACCAAAUUAUGAUUUUGGGAAGCAUCCAAACACUUUACACACAAGCAAAUGCCAAUUGUGAAAGAGAUCAUGCCAUGACAGCUAUAAAUAGGCCCGUAGCAUGAUGAUCAUCCUUCCUCAUCCAUCAUUCUCAUAAGUAGAGUGCAUCAUUAAAGGCAAGCAAGCAGUGGUCAAUACAAAUCCAUCAUGAAGACCUUUCUCAUCCUUGCCCUCGUGGCGACCACCGCCACAACUGCAGUUAGAGUUCCAGUGCCACAAUUGCAGCCACAAAAUCCAUCUCAGCAACAGCCACAAGAGCAAGUUCCAUUGGUACAACAACAACAAUUUCCAGGGCAGCAACAACAAUUUCCACCACAACAGCCAUAUCCGCAGCCGCAACCAUUUCCAUCACAACAACCAUAUCUGCAGCUGCAACCAUUUCCGCAGCCGCAACCAUUUCUGCCACAACUACCAUAUCCGCAGCCGCAAUCAUUUCCACCACAACAACCAUAUCCACAACAGCGACCAAAGUAUCUACAACCACAACAACCAAUUUCGCAGCAACAAGCACAACAACAACAACAACAACAACAACAACAACAACAACAACAACAACAACAACAACAAAUCCUUCAACAAAUUUUGCAACAACAACUGAUUCCAUGCAGGGAUGUUAUCUUGCAACAACACAACAUAGCGCAUGCAAGCUCACAAGUUUUGCAACAAAGUACUUACCAGCUAUUGCAACAAUUGUGUUGUCAACAACUGUUGCAGAUCCCUGAGCAGUCGAGGUGCCAAGCCAUACAUAAUGUUGUUCAUGCUAUUAUUAUGCAUCAACAAGAACAACAACAACAGUUGCAACAACAACAACAACAGCAACUGCAACAACAACAACAACAACAACAACAACAACAACAACAACAACAACCGUCAAGCCAGGUCUCCUUCCAACAGCCUCAGCAGCAAUAUCCAUCAAGCCAGGUCUCCUUCCAGCCAUCUUAGCUAAACCCACAAGCUCAGGGCUCCGUCCAACCUCAACAACUGCCCCAGUUCGCGGAAAUAAGGAACCUAGCGCUACAGACGCUACCUGCAAUGUGCAAUGUCUACAUCCCUCCACAUUGCUCGACCACCAUUGCGCCAUUUGGCAUCUUUGGUACCAACUGAGAAGAGAAGAACUCUAGUACUAGAUAUAUGAAACACCGUUUUCUUAGUCCAUGAUUUGGUCGUUGUAGCAGUGAAAAAAUAAAGUGACAUGCACUAUCAUGUAAGAACCCGAACUAUACUAGUUCAAACUUGGGAAUAAAAGACAAACACAUGUCUUGUCUACAUAUGAUUGUUUGUUUGAGUUCCAUUCAUGUGCCAUCACAAGUUCACCCCUAAUUAUAUAUAUUAUGCAUUAAGUAGAUAUUUAUGUUGCAUUAAUCUAAAGAUAAAAAAAUGAGUCUGAAACUUGAAUUAAAUUGAAGUAUUUUCUAGGACUUCCAAAUGGAGUAUUAUUAAAGUAGUAAGGACAAUCCACAUCCUUGGCUUGCCCUUUAUCAAUUAUUUCCAGAGAAGCAUUCAAUUCAUCAAUCAAUUACAUCGAUUUUUGUGGCUGGUACUUCUCCUCAACAUGAGUAUAUUCAUUGCGGCUACUCCAAAUCGGCAUGAAUGAGGUACUGGUGCUCUGGAGCAGUGCUAGCUGACUGCUUCUCAUGUGAAGGGACGCAGGCACAGGAGAGGUGUUCCGGGUGGGCCAGGGGAGUAAGAAGUGGCCAUGGCAGUGGUUCGGACGCUUGCAAAGUCCCGUAGUUUGUAUAUGGUUUACGGGAAAAUGCACAUUUGGACCGGCCUGCGGGCCGAUAUAGGACCGUAUUGGAUGGAGAAACAUGUCCUCAUCGUUGUGAGCGGUUUGAGGGUUAGGUUUGGAGAUAGCCCUUACUUGGCCCCUCGUUCUGAAAACACGUUUGACGAUAGUUUUGUCUCGGUUCAAAUAUAUGUCAAGUUUGACAAAGUUCAUAGGAAUUUUUUUAUCAUAUCUACAGUACCAUACAAAUACACCGUAGACAAAAAACAUAUUUCACACUGCACCAUGAAUUGGUCAGGUAAAUGUUGGGUAUGGAGACUCUAUUCUCUUUUGGCAUGAGUUGCCUCGGUCUCAAAAGUUUCAUGAACUGUUCUCUUUUGCCACUAAGAAAAAGCUCUCUUUGCCUGAUUUUAUUCAUAGUGACCAUAUGGCUCUCUAUUUUCAUAGGCAUAUCACCCUGCAAGCUCUUGCUCAAUUCAUUGACAUCAUUGACUUAGUUCAUUAAAAAAAUUCAAUAAAGGGAAUAAAAUAAUAUCACGAAGAUACCAAUUACACCCGUCCUCUCUAUCAACAAGAUAUGCAAAGACAUCAAGGAUACGCACAGCCAGAAAAAAUAUAGAAGAAAAAAGACUGCUCCAAGGUGAUAAAUCACUAGCAUCAGUAGCACUCUAAGCACACCGAAGACAACGUCCAGAUUACAAAAAAGGUUCUCCAAAAGCAACCCCCCAAGAAGGAAACAAUGCACAAGCGUUGUCAUUAUCCGAUUGGAGAUCGUGGGUUUUCACCCUAGAAAAAUUCGAAGCUCACCCAAAAACAUUGCCUUCAACUAGGCCAUUGCCAGGUACAACCAAUAAAGGCUAGACCUUAGAUUUUUACCCUAGGAAUUGAGACUUAGUACUCGAGGAGUACAACCAAAAAUGCAGUCCUCCAGUGAUGGCGCUCCCGCUUGCCGAGCUCGCUGUUUUGGGUCACCAAACACCUGGCGCACAUUCUUUCUGGCAUCAAUUACACCCUUCCACCAAAGCUUCAAGACCUCCAAUCGCAGCCGCCAUGACUUUAUCCACCUCUAUCAAUGCCUUGAGAAUCUUCACUUGGACAUGUCCCAUGACACCAAUAAGAAAUCAAAGCUUCUUGCCGCGCCCUCUUGAGGUCGUGUUGGCUGAUAAUAUGGGCGUGCGCUACUGGAGCCUUUCCGAUCUAGAUAUCCAGGGUCGACAUACACCAAUCCAUAUAGAUCUCCGAUGGGAAAGACCGAAACUCGUCAACGACUAGAUCUAAGAUGUCGACAUCCAGCAGAAAGACGACUUGGCGGAAGAAUAGUACUAGGGCCAAUCCACCAUUAUUAGGCCAAACCUAACAUCCCCACAUGCCGCCCUCCUCUUGAUGUAGACCUACAGACAAAUAUCAGCGACGCCGCAUCGUGCCACCUGCAUCUAUUGAGGCCCGAACUUGGCAAGAUGCCAACCAUGGCAGGAGACUGGGACUAGCCACUCCUGGGCACUGAUCCGGCAAUUCCCUGGCCCACCCCUGCCACUACGGCGACACCGCGGGUAGCCUACAAGCCCAUCCACGACAAUGCCUGAUUAGAAGGAUACAUGGAUAUACAGAUGGAAAGACCCUUGUUAUUGCUCAAGCAAUAUAUAUAUAAAGCUUAAUGGGGCCUAAGAAAGCUCGCACAAUUUUACGGUGGCUAUGGAAAUGUAUUGCCAAACUGAGACAUAAGAUUUUCGUUUGGCAUCCAGACCGUUUGUGUCAUUCUUAAUUUAUGGUCACUCUAAUUUUUCCGGCUGGGCCUUCCCUGUGGUACCGCAGCAAGGCAUGCGUGUGUAUACGUUUCCUUUAAGUACCAUGUGCAGGAUGAUGAUUUACUGCACGCAUGUGCGGGGGCACUCAUGUCCUGGUGCCGGGUUUUUAUUUUGGCUUCCGAUUUUCAAACUUCUAUAUCUUCUAAGCCAAAAAUUCAAUUUAAGUUAUGUAUUCAUAUUCGUGUUUUUCGCGGCCAGCGCUUUCAAAUAAGAUCCAUUUUGAAUACAUUUUGGCGACUUUUUGAAACACUGUUAAGUUUCAUUGUUUGAAACUUAGUACGAGCGACCAAUAAAAUUCAAUUAUUUUGUGUCUACGACCAACAGAGAAAUUUUCUUAAAAUUACAUCUUUGAAACUUGUUGAAACCGGGCAUUUUUUGAUGCAAAAAGGUAAGUUUCAUCAUUGAAACUUUAAGGUUUUUGAGGGAUUUUUUUCCUUGUGGAGCUUUGGAAAUGAGAGAAUUUGAUAAAGUAAAUCUCGGAAACUCUUAUUGGACGAGAGAGAUUUAAUAUGAUAUUGGCAUGGAUUCUACCAACUAAACGAAGAAGUAUUUGAUUUGGUAAACAGACAAUUUCCUUUAAUCGAUGAACAUUUUAGGAAAAUUGGUGGAACAACUUUUGAAAUUCAAAAAAAAAAUUCUUGAUUUAACGAACAUUUUUUAACUUAACGAACAUUUUUAAAAAAUACAUGAUCAUUUUUUUGAAUCUGUGAUCGUUUUAUGAAUGAAUAAACUAGUUUGUAAGUCAUGAACAGUUUUUAAAAUUUUAGGGUAUUUUUCCAUUCAUGAACAGUUUUUGAAUUGCUGAAAUUUUGUUCAAUUUCAUUAACAAUUUUUAGUACACAAACCUUUUUAAAAAAUCAUGGACAUUAACUAGUACGUGAAAUCCCUAAUUAUUUAAAGUAGAAAAAAUAGAAAAGAGAAAGUAAUGGAAAAUGAAGUUAAAAAAAUAGGCCGACCGAACAUGGGCCGGCCCAAACGGGCGCGUUGCGUCUUCUCCCAGCGUGUAGAGCGCAGCAUACGUGGUCCCUACUGCAUGGGUCGGCCCAAGCGGAAGAUUUGUCUGUGUGAAACUUUUUUUAUCACGUACUGGUGGCAUUGGUGCAUAAUGCAUGUUUGCAUCUUUAGGGGCACUUUUCCUGACGUACCGCUAGAAGCAAUAGCCAUUUUAUUAUUAGUUAGAGAUUAGGUAUAGAUAUGAACCACCGGUAAAUUAGGUAGACGAUAGAUGACGACUCUAAAGAAGAUCACAUGUGUCAAGCUUGGAAUAGGCUAACAGAUGUUAGGGCAUCUCAAAUGUAAACCCAUAAAACAGACAUCACAAAUGUCCUUGAACACAAAACGGGCAUGAUAGGGGAGGGAGCCAUCAAACCUUGAUGGCUGCUACCCAUAUUUCUCUCACAUUUCUCCAGCAUUUCAUCGAACAGUUGAUGUGCAGUAGUAGGACACGUCUGGUUCACGCAGCUGGCGCGUCAUGGGAGUUCUGCCUCAUCGGGCAUGACUGAUGUGUCGCAGGAUGACGGGUGUGGUCUCGGGCGCGUCAGUAGCGGCCACGACGACAAGAGGAGGCCGCGCCAUGGGCGGAGCUAGCCACGGGAGCCAGCAUUGGCGCGGCACUAGACACAGCCAGCCCACGACAUGCCGGGCACGGUGGCAAGAGAGCUUCAUGAGGCCAGAGCCGAGCUAGGCCUUGAGUUGUUCGCCGAGCAGCCAUGGAGGGCAUGGGGAGAUGAGAUGCACAGGGAGAGAGGAGUGGAGAGAUAGGAGGAGGCGGAGAUGAGGAUGGAGUGCUCGCUGGCAGCUGCCCUCAUGGUCGUCCGUAGCCGGCGUAAGUGCUCUCCGUUUAGUGUUAUUUGUACAGAGAGGGAGGGAGUGGAGAUGUGGUGUUUCUUUUGGUUAGCUGGAUGUUCAGACUCUCGCAUAGUCCCUCAAAUUUGUUCCUGUGAUAUCGAAAUUUGAACAUGUGGGCUGGUCCGCGGAUAUUUAGAGGUCCCCACUUGAAGAAUAAAAGUGGUCUAGACACUACUAUCUGACAUUUUGCCCUUAGUAGUUGGUGGAUAUCGAUGUGCUGUCCCUCCAACCUAUAUUAAAAGAUUCAUUCACCAUCCGAUCCCUUCUACAAAACACGUCAUUGCUUUCCAUGAUUCUCUUUUGUCAAUGUGUGAAAUAUUAGAAUUUGAGUUGUUUGGUGAAAUGUACGAGCUGACCGCCAAAAGGACAGAUUUUUACUUUUAUUUUCUACUAUUUUCUUUAUUUUAUAGUUUUUGGCAAGUGCAUUUUCAUAUGGUCAAUGUCUAGACCAUUUGAACAGUUUAUUUUGAAUUUGUUUCUUCCAUUCUAGCUAAAUAUAAGAAUUUACAAUGUUCGUUUUAAUUCUUUGGAAUAAACAUUUAUUACUAGUAUUAAAAAGACUAAAUUAGCUGCCGCAUUUUUAUUCCCUAAUCANNNNNNNNNNNNNNNNNNNNNNNNNNNNNNNNNNNNNNNNNNNNNNNNNNNNNNNNNNNNNNNNNNNNNNNNNNNNNNNNNNNNNNNNNNNNNNNNNNNNNNNNNNNNNNNNNNNNNNNNNNNNNNNNNNNNNNNNNNNNNNNNNNNNNNNNNNNNNNNNNNNNNNNNNNNNNNNNNNNNNNNNNNNNNNNNNNNNNNNNNNNNNNNNNNNNNNNNNNNNNNNNNNNNNNNNNNNNNNNNNNNNNNNNNNNNNNNNNNNNNNNNNNNNNNNNNNNNNNNNNNNNNNNNNNNNNNNNNNNNNNNNNNNNNNNNNNNNNNNNNNNNNNNNNNNNNNNNNNNNNNNNNNNNNNNNNNNNNNNNNNNNNNNNNNNNNNNNNNNNNNNNNNNNNNNNNNNNNNNNNNNNNNNNNNNNNNNNNNNNNNNNNNNNNNNNNNNNNNNNNNNNNNNNNNNNNNNNNNNNNNNNNNNNNNNNNNNNNNNNNNNNNNNNNNNNNNNNNNNNNNNNNNNNNNNNNNNNNNNNNNNNNNNNNNNNNNNNNNNNNNNNNNNNNNNNNNNNNNNNNNNNNNNNNNNNNNNNNNNNNNNNNNNNNNNNNNNNNNNNNNNNNNNNNNNNNNNNNNNNNNNNNNNNNNNNNNNNNNNNNNNNNNNAUUCAUAUUUAAAAGGUAUGAUAGAACAAAAGUUAUUUUUUCAAUCAAGUCUUGAAAUUGAAUAAAUUUAUAAUGUAUAUACAUAUAUUUCCAUACAUUUGUAUGUGUUUAUCGAGAUUUUAUUGUCAUUAAAUAUCAUGUUAGGGAUUUCAAAAGUGUGCUUUCUAACAUGUAUCUUAGUUGUAGUUUCUAGUGCAAUACUAUGUAAUCAUAUUUACAGAAAUUUCUAGAGCAUGAAAUAUAUGUCUUGCAAGUUGCAUUCCGUAAUAAGUUGGCAUCAUGACCAUGCUAUUGGUUACAAUUAUUUUUUAUUUUAGAUGAUAACAAAUAACAAAAAAAUUUAUAAAAUAUAAGGGUGAAUCAUGCAAGUGAGGAGAACACACCAAUGAUGAAAGACAUUGCAUUUCCACGUGGAAUUCAUAUUGACAAACCUUAAGAAUCACAUGCAUUUGUAUGUUUUUACAAAUUAUGCCCCAUUUGCGGGACUCAAAUACAAGUCAGUUCAGGGUGUGGAGCUACGAGAAAACGUAGCAUUCAAGACUAGAUGAGCCACCGACUUAAAAAACAAAUAAGUAAAAAUGGAGCAAAUAGGAGUAGCUGGAAAAUUAUUUGAAAGAUUAAGAGUAGCUGGAAAGUUAUUUGAAGGAAAUGGAGCAAAUAGCUAUGCAAGAAGUGCUCUCGCUAGAAAAUAAAUGUUGCAUUAGAUGAUCGACUUGAAAACACACAUAUGAAGUGGUGGAGCCAGAAUUUUCACAAUGGGUAUGUGAUACAUCUCCAACGUAUCUAUAAUUUUUAAUUGUUUCAUGCUAUUAUAUUAUCCAUCUUGGAUGUUUUAUAUGCAUGUAUAUGCUAUUUUAUAUGAUUUUUGGGACUAACCUAUUAACCUAGAGCCCAGUGCCAGUUUUUGUUUUUUCCUUGUUUUUGAGUUUUACACAAAAGGAAUACCAAACGGAGUCCAAUUGACCUGAAAAUUGACGGAGAUUGUUUUUAGUGUUAUUGGCAUAAUGCAUCGUGUAUAUAUCAUUUUGCUUUUUGUACACAGAUCGUCCCAUGCAAUGUGAGGUCAGAAUUCAACAAUCUGACUGGAGACUCUGUGACAUUUGAGGCUCCUGGGGGCCCCUACACUAUGGAUAUCGAGAAAGGACGAAAGAUGACGCGGGUGGGAGGAGAUGGAUGGGCCCGUUUCAUCGACAACAUGCGUAUCACCGGUGGUGAGUUGAUCAAGCUGGCCGUGAUUUAUAUCAACAAAGCAUAAGAUUAUGAGGAUGAUGAGGAUGAUGAUGACCCACUCGGUGAUGCCAUCAUAGCUCAAAGAAUGAAGUUGAGCGAGGAGGAGGUGUGCAACCUAUGGGACAUCAUUCCGCCACGUGCUGACUUCGUCGGGGUGCCAUUCGUGACCCGUCUGACAAGUACCAUGGUUGAUCGGCAUAUGAUGGUAUGUUGCAUUUACUGUAGUUUUUACAGUAAUUUGAUGAUAUGCUUUAUUGUUAUACUUAGUGAAGAGUCCGAUGAUAUAUAUGCAUAGUGAAUCUUAUAUGCUUUAUUGUUAUACUCUAGUGUAGAGUCCGAUCAUAUAUAUGCUUACUGAAUCUUAUAUGCUUAGUGAAUCUUAUAUGCUUUAUUGUUAUACUUAGUGUAGAGUCCGAUGAUAUAUAUGCUUACUGAAUCUUAUAUGCUUAGUGCAUCUUAUAUUCUUAGUGCAUCUUAUAUGCUUUAUUGUUAUACUUAGUGUAGAGUCCGAUGAUAUAUAUACUUAGUGUAGAGUCCGAUGAUAUAUAUGCUUAGUGUAGAGUCCGGUGAUAUAUAUGCUUCGUGUAGAAUGUGUGAGGCUACUUAUUAGUUGAUACGUUUUUCUUAUUCAGAAAUUGCCAAAGAGCCUAUCUGAGAGUUGUGGUAUCAAGCCUGAUGAAGAAGGCUCUGCUGGAAUACGCCUUACCGCAAGGGGCUCCGUCGCCACUUGUGCAUAUGGCGAGGACACGGACGGUCGCACACACUUCAACUCGGUUGGGUGGAAGAGCUUCCUCAUCGGCAAGAAUCUUCAUGUUGAACAGACAAUCCUAAUUACUAUCAGGAAUACCCACCGCCCAGGCUUGAGGAUGAUGGUCGUCAUCGACAUCAUCUAGAACUUCAUAUGCAUGCGUGUGGCUGUUGAACCAUAUAUAUUUGCUAGUAUGACUACCUAGUAGACUUAUCAACUAUGAUCUAUCCAUGCAUUGUUGACUACUAUAUGAGUUUGUGAGAUUGUGUGGUUAUAUUAAAUGUGGUACUGUCAUUAAUGUUUGUGAGAUGGUUCUGUGAACUUAGUUUAUUUGCACUGGACUUGUCUUGAUCUCCAUGAACAUUGCACCUGACUGCUUUUUUUUAUUUUUUAUUUCUGUUUGCCUAGUUAUAGCGUGGGGAGAAAAUAGGGCGCUACUACUACGUGAUGAUAGUAGUAGCGCUGGUGGAGGAAGCAUCGCUACUAAUAAGUAUUUAAGCUGUAGCGCUUGUUCAGAAACGCGCUACUAUUGAAUAAUAGCUGUAGCGCCCUAGCAGUAGCGCGGGUGCCCGCGCUACUAGUAUGUAAAAAACCAGCACCACUAGUAAGCUUUUCUCUAGUAGUAUAGCCAUUGUUUAUGCCAGACAACUCUUCUUCCUGCUCGUCAGAUGCCAUGGAGAAAACUGUUCAAGGAGGAAAAUGGUGAGAAGAGGUCUGAUGCGGUCUUGCUCGACAUCUGACAUUGUUUAAACAGCGAGGGGACACGAGGAGCCAACCGGCGUUCUGUUUAAUGCCAGCCGGCUCGCGAACGGACAUGUGGCCGGAGUAAUUAUCCUGGCAUAAGCGCGGGUUUAAUGGUGGAAGGCGGGCAGUCUAUAGGAAUGAGGCGAGGAUGUGUGUUUAGCGGGCGUGCAGCGGGGCAGCACCCUUGGCUGGCGCGCCGCUUCCAUUGCGAAGGCAGUGAGAGGCCGCGUCCGCUCUGCAGUGGCAUGAAUACGGGCAGCUGGCGCGCCGCUUCCAUUGCGAAGGCAGUGAGAGGCCGCGUCCGCUCUGCAGCGGCAUGAAUGCGGGCAGCUGGCGCAGAGCGGGAACGCGUGCGGGCGAGGGAGGAGGGGGUUUGGGUGGGCACGGGUGGUCAGAAGCGGUUGUGGGUGUUGUCCGGACGCCUGCAAAGCCACCCUCCCCCAUGUUCGUCUCCGGUUUGCGGGAUAAAGUAUAUACGGAUCGCCCUGUGGACCGAUACAAGCCCGCAUUGGAUGGCACAACACGUCCAGACCAUGUGGUCCAGAUGGUUGUAGAUGGUUUAUUUGAGGGUCGGUGUUGGAUAUGCCUUAGAGUUUAUGAAUCCAUUGUGGUUUUCUAAUCAUAAAAAACACUUAUAAUAAGUUAUAAGGAAAGACACGUAUAUAUGUUAGGUUCACACUCCAGCUUUCCUCUUACAUAUGUUUUUUUCUGGUCCGACUGAUUCCAAUAGAGUGAGCCUAGCGUUGUUUUUCUAAAAACUCGAGGGAUAAGGAGACAUGCAUACACAUUGUUUCAAGCAAAUCACAUCCACUCUUUUUAACUCAUUUUUUCUUGUUUUAAUAAUAUAAUAAAUCAUUUUUAAUUUUUAUUUCAAAUAGUUGACGUGUAAUUUAUAUUGUAAUCUAAGGAAAAUGUUUGGAUUUUACUUUGAAAUAUAUUUCAAAUGGCCAUGAUGGAAUCACAUCCAUUUACUUUAUUAUUAUUUGGAUUUGAUUCAGAAGAUAAAUAAUGGGUAGAGGUCAUGUCUACUUUUCUGAGAAGUUUGCUAAUCAAAAUAUAAUUUUUAUCNNNNNNNNNNNNNNNNNNNNNNNNNNNNNNNNNNNNNNNNNNNNNNNNNNNNNNNNNNNNNNNNNNNNNNNNNNNNNNNNNNNNNNNNNNNNNNNNNNNNNNNNNNNNNNNNNNNNNNNNNNNNNNNNNNNNNNNNNNNNNNNNNNNNNNNNNNNNNNNNNNNNNNNNNNNNNNNNNNNNNNNNNNNNNNNNNNNNNNNNNNNNNNNNNNNNNNNNNNNNNNNNNNNNNNNNNNNNNNNNNNNNNNNNNNNNNNNNNNNNNNNNNNNNNNNNNNNNNNNNNNNNNNNNNNNNNNNNNNNNNNNNNNNNNNNNNNNNNNNNNNNNNNNNNNNNNNNNNNNNNNNNNNNNNNNNNNNNNNNNNNNNNNNNNNNNNNNNNNNNNNNNNNNNNNNNNNNNNNNNNNNNNNNNNNNNNNNNNNNNNNNNNNNNNNNNNNNNNNNNNNNNNNNNNNNNNNNNNNNNNNNNNNNNNNNNNNNNNNNNNNNNNNNNNNNNNNNNNNNNNNNNNNNNNNNNNNNNNNNNNNNNNNNNNNNNNNNNNNNNNNNNNNNNNNNNNNNNNNNNNNNNNNNNNNNNNNNNNNNNNNNNNNNNNNNNNNNNNNNNNNNUAAUACAAUCCAUUAUUUGACUACUCUAUUUAUUUGUAUUUAAAAACAUCUAUUUUUAGCACGCAUGAAAAACAUAACACAUAUCUUUCCACACAUAAUGAACGGUUGUCAUUAGAAUUCAUGCCAUGCCACAGCCUCCCUCUGACCCUGCCAAUAUUGUUGCAGCUGCGCUCGCAAGCCUUGGCGUAGAUGAUCAUUUAUAUGAUUUGUGUAAAACAAAAUAAGGUCUACAAACGAAUAGAAGCUAGAGUAUACCUUGGCGUGCACACACAUUGCAAGCCAUACUAACUUGAUAAGUGUUAAUGACUUGUACAACAUAUACAACACUUAAGACAAGUAAAAGCAAUUUGAUGAGUCAUGGUCUAUCAAAGCAAGCCACAUUACUAGUCUAAUCCAUCUUAACAGGUCACGCAUGAUUACAAUCUUGUUUAUGUGCAAGUCAAGCCUAUCUAGUUUACACGUAACAACUUGUAGAACAUUACAAAAUUGAUGUUUGCUAAUAACUUCUAGAACACUACAACACUUGACAUGUAAAAGGAAUUUGAUGAGUCAUGGCCUACUAAAGCAAGUUACAUUACUAGUCUUAUCUAUCUUAACAUGCCACACAAGAUUACAAACUAAGUUCUGUGCCAGCCAUGCUUAUCUAGUUUAUGUGUAAAAAUUUGCAAAACAUUACAAACUUAGUUUCAGAAAAGUAGGCAAUCUAGAUUAGUGUUUGAGUUGUAAAGUGAACAAGAUGAGUCAUGCAUGUUAUCACACCUUUUUGGUGGUGGAAUGAUAGUGCAACAACAAGGAACUUUAAUGACCAGUCCAAGAAUACACUUGUAAGUAGUGCCACCAAACACAACAUACCAAAUUAUGAUUUUGGGAAGCAUCCAAACACUUUACACACAAGCAAAUGCCAAUUGUGAAAGAGAUCAUGCCAUGACAGCUAUAAAUAGGCCCGUANNNNNNNNNNNNNNNNNNNNNNNNNNNNNNNNNNNNNNNNNNNNNNNNNNNNNNNNNNNNNNNNNNNNNNNNNNNNNNNNNNNNNNNNNNNNNNNNNNNNNNNNNNNNNNNNNNNNNNNNNNNNNNNNNNNNNNNNNNNNNNNNNNNNNNNNNNNNNNNNNNNNNNNNNNNNNNNNNNNNNNNNNNNNNNNNNNNNNNNNNNNNNNNNNNNNNNNNNNNNNNNNNNNNNNNNNNNNNNNNNNNNNNNNNNNNNNNNNNNNNNNNNNNNNNNNNNNNNNNNNNNNNNNNNNNNNNNNNNNNNNNNNNNNNNNNNNNNNNNNNNNNNNNNNNNNNNNNNNNNNNNNNNNNNNNNNNNNNNNNNNNNNNNNNNNNNNNNNNNNNNNNNNNNNNNNNNNNNNNNNNNNNNNNNNNNNNNNNNNNNNNNNNNNNNNNNNNNNNNNNNNNNNNNNNNNNNNNNNNNNNNNNNNNNNNNNNNNNNNNNNNNNNNNNNNNNNNNNNNNNNNNNNNNNNNNNNNNNNNNNNNNNNNNNNNNNNNNNNNNNNNNNNNNNNNNNNGUCCAACCUCAACAACUGCCCCAGUUCGCGGAAAUAAGGAACCUAGCGCUACAGACGCUACCUGCAAUGUGCAAUGUCUACAUCCCUCCACAUUGCUCGACCACCAUUGCGCCAUUUGGCAUCUUUGGUACCAACUGAGAAGAGAAGAACUCUAGUACUAGAUAUAUGAAACACCGUUUUCUUAGUCCAUGGUUUGGUCGUUGUAGCAGUGAAAAAAUAAAGUGACAUGCACUAUCAUGUAAGAACCCGAACUAUACUAGUUCAAACUUGGGAAUAAAAGACAAACACAUGUCUUGUCUACAUAUGAUUGUUUGUUUGAGUUCCAUUCAUGUGCCAUCACAAGUUCACCCCUAAUUAUAUAUAUUAUGCAUUAAGUAGAUAUUUAUGUUGCAUUAAUCUAAAGAUAAAAAAAUGAGUCUGAAACUUGAAUUAAAUUGAAGUAUUUUCUAGGACUUCCAAAUGGAGUAUUAUUAAAGUAGUAAGGACAAUCCACAUCCUUGGCUUGCCCUUUAUCAAUUAUUUCCAGAGAAGCAUUCAAUUCAUCAAUCAAUUACAUCGAUUUUUGUGGCUGGUACUUCUCCUCAACAUGAGUAUAUUCAUUGCGGCUACUCCAAAUCGGCAUGAAUGAGGUACUGGUGCUCUGGAGCAGUGCUAGCUGACUGCUUCUCAUGUGAAGGGACGCAGGUGCAGGAGAGGUGUUCCGGGUGGGCCAGGGGAGUAAGAAGUGGCCAUGGCAGUGGUUCGGACGCUUGCAAAGUCCCGUAGUUUGUAUAUGGUUUAUGGGAAAAUGCACAUUUGGACUGGCCCGCGGGCCGAUAUAGGACCGUAUUGGAUGGAGAAACAUGUCCUCAUCGUUGCGAGCGGUUUGAGGGUUAGGUUUGGAGAUAGCCCUUACUUGGCCCCUCAUUCUGAAAACAUGUUUGACGAUAGUUUUGUCUCGGUUCAAAUAUAUGUCAAGUUUAACAAAGUUCAUAGGAAUUUUUUUAUCAUAUCUACAGUACCAUACAAAUACACCGUAGACAAAAAACAUAUUUCACACUGCACCAUGAAUUGGUCAGGUAAAUGUUGGGUAUGGAGACUCUAUUCUCUUUUGGCAUGAGUUGCCUCGGUUCCAAAAGUUUCAUGAACUGUUCUCUUUUGCCACUAAGGAAAAGCUCUCUUUGCCUGAUUUUAUUCAUAGUGACCAUAUGGCUCUCUAUUUUCAUAGGCAUAUCACCCUGCAAGCUCUUGCUCAAUUCAUUGACAUCAUUGACUUAGUUCAUCGAAAAAAUUCAAUAAAGGGAAUAAAAUAAUAUCACGAAGAUACCAAUUACACCCGUCCUCUGUCACACCCUGCAUUUUGUAACAUUUCAUUUUCAAUAUUAAAGCAUGAAAAUUUGGACCAACAAAAACUUUUUGCAUUAUUUGGCUUUUAUUUGGAGUUGGUUUCCUCUCUGUGUUUCUUUCAAGUGCUUCUUGAAGUCAACUACUCUACCCUCUAAAUUCCAUCUCCUUACCCCAAGCUCCUGACCAAUGACCAUGCCAUGUGAAUAGUGCUAUAUAGAAUUUUCUUACAAAAAUAAUUUGGCCAGAAAGUAUUUUCUAAAAUUAGUUUUCCAAAAACCCCUGAAUUGAGGUUUGCACUGCAAGUACUUGAUUAAGGGCAGUAAAAAUCUUUCCAAAAAUACAUUUGACUCCUAUUAGAUAUAGGAUACCCAGAAACCACAAAAAUAUAAUUUUAAAAGUUACUGUUCUAUUUUAUUUAAAGGAUUUUUCUUAAGGCCAGAAAUGGUCUUUAAUAGGAAAAAAUUANNNNNNNNNNNNNNNNNNNNNNNNNNNNNNNNNNNNNNNNNNNNNNNNNNNNNNNNNNNNNNNNNNNNNNNNNNNNNNNNNNNNNNNNNNNNNNNNNNNNACUGGUCGGAGACCGGAGAAGGACUUGUCUUUGGGCCUGAUAUCCUUCGUGAAGCAGAAGAGCAAGUCCAGCUUGUCAGAGAGCGUCUGAAGUCUGCCAAGUCAAGGCAGAAGAGCUAUGCGGACUCACGUCGCAGAGACAUAAACUUCCGAGUUGGAGACCAUGUCUAUCUCCGGGUCACCCCUCUCAAAGGAGCCCAGCGCUUUCAUGUCAAGGGAAAGCUCGCUCCGAGAUACAUUGGGCCCUUCAAGAUCACUGAGCGACGAGGGGAGGUGGCUUACCAGUUGGAACUUCCACCUGAACUUUCUGAUGUGCACAACGUGUUCCACGUGUCACAACUCCGGAAGUGUCUCCAAGUUCCAGACAAGCCCGACCUCUACAAGGACGUCAAUCAUCAAGCCAUUGAUCUUCAACCUGAUUUGACUUAUCGUGAGCGGCCCAUCUGCAUUCUGGAUGAGGCUGAACGAUGCACUCGAAGCCGCACCAUCAAGUACUUCAAAGUCCAAUGGAGCAAUCACACCGAAGCAGAAGCAACUUGGGAGCGUGAAGACUACCUUAGAUCCGAAUUUCCGUAUCUCUUUUAAGCCUAGUUUACGAAUCUCGGGGACGAGAUUCUUGUAAGGGGGGUAGGUCUGUCACACCCUGCAUUUUGUAACAUUUCAUUUUCAAUAUUAAAGCAUGAAAAUUUGGACCAACAAAAACUUUUUGCACUAUUUGGCUUUUAUUUGGAGUUGGUUUCCUCUCUGUGUUUCUUUCAAGUGCUUCUUGAAGUCAACUACUCUACCCUCUAAAUUCCAUCUCCUUACCCCAAGCUCCUGACCAAUGACCAUGCCAUGUGAAUAGUGCUAUAUAGAAUUUUCUUACAAAAAUAAUUUGGCCAGAAAGUAUUUUCUAAAAUUAGUUUUCCAAAAACCCCUGAAUUGAGGUUUGCACUGCAAGUACUUGAUUAAGGGCAGUAAAAAUCUUUCCAAAAAUACAUUUGACUCCUAUUAGAUAUAGGAUACCCAGAAACCACAAAAAUAUAAUUUUAAAAGUUACUGUUCUAUUUUAUUUAAAGGAUUUUUCUUAAGGCCAGAAAUGGUCCUUAAUAGGAAAAAAUUACUUUACUGUUUCAAAAAUAUUUGACAAAAUUUAGGGAAACUCAUAGGACAUAUAUUGUCCAUAUAUAAGAGUUUCAACACCUGGUCAUGUUCAAAAUAUUGGUCAAAUCCCUCUAAAACCCUUUCUGGAUAUUUCAAGCUUUUGAAAUAUUUACAAAGGAAAUAUUCUCCAAAAAUUCCAGGAAAAUUUCAUCAUGUCACAUAUGACAUAUUAGAUGAUCUUGCCAAGUCUCAUGACUUGGAGAACAAGAUAACACCAUCAAAACCCCUCAAAACUAUCUCUGUCCAUUCUGAAGUUUGAUCAACUUUACAUUGCCAAGUAUGUCCAAAUGUGCUCAAACUUGGUGGACAUGCUUCAUUGGUCUAAUGAUGCAUCUGGACCAAAUGGCACAGGUUGGGGAAUAGUAAGUCUUGGUCAAAGUGCCUCAAAACCCUCUCUGACCAGAGUCAAGUUUGAACUACUUUGCACUACCAACUUUUUCUCCAGGACCCCAACUUUGGUGAGCCUGAUCAUGUGACCAAAUAAGGCUACCACACCAAGUGGCACAUCAAGGAGAAAUGAUUUACUCCACUGGAUCUACACAAAUCCAUUUCUGCCCAUUUCUAGGGUUUGCAAAAGUUGCAUUGGCAACUUUGUCCAAAUAAGCUCAAAAUGGGUGGAAGGCUCUAAAUAUAUGUGACAUUUCACCCCAUGGAGUAUCUUGGCCAGUGGAAGUCAUUAGCUUACCCAAAACUCCAUCAAACACCUUCUGGCAAAAUACUAAAAAGCCUCUUUUUGCCACUUUCACUAAUCUCCUUGAGUUCAUCUUUUUACCACAACCCCUCCUCACUCCCCUCAGUCACUUAGACACUUUUCUACCCGAGGAAGCAAUGUGGAGGAAGGAGGGAAUCACGUUUGUCCUCUCUGGACAACAGCUUCCCUUCUCUCUCCCAGCCUCUCUCUCUCCCCUCUGCACCCCAGAGCAUCCCAGGCUCUUUCCAGGUUUUGCCCCCUUCCACUGUAGCCUCCAGACAGAAAAGGACGCGCGCACGACGCGGAAAACCCGCGGAUGCCGGCCAAAGUCGCGCUCUGGAGCGCCUGCCAGAGCGCCGACCGUUGACACCGCGCCUCCCGACCGCCUCGUGCCUUCCCAUCGCGCCAGUUGAUGUGUCUCGACGUCUGCGACACGCCGCCGUGCCGUCCCCAUUGUCUCUCCCUCUCUCUCCCCUCCUGCAGCGCGUGCCCGACGCCGCCCGGCUCGGCCAAUGGCCGGCCUCACACGCGCGGGCGCCAGAACCCUCCCCCGCUCUCUCUCCUCCUCCCUGGCGCCCUACUCCAUCCCCACGAACACCGUGGACAGCUCCAACUCCUCUCCCACGACCUCCAGAGCCGAUCCCGCGGGCGCCCGUAGGCCACGCCUACGGUGAACCGCGGCCAGCCCAUAUAAGGCGCCCCCGAGCCUCUCUCUUCCUCCCUGUCGCCCCUCCACACACCCAAUCGGCCUCCCGCACCACUCCUCCCUCUCCAGUACCACCCGAGCUCGAGAUCGAGCUCGAGCUCCGCCGCCUCGGCUCGUCGGCGUCCGCACGGUACAGGCCUUCUCCGCACCAGCUCUCUCUCGAUCUGAAACCGCGAGGCGCCACUGAUUCUUUCCCCCCUAUUUUCCCCUUGUUUUGCAGCCGGAAUCGGCCGGAGCCACCGACGCCCGAAGCGCCUCCGCCGCGGGACCUCGUCGCCGGCGAAGCAGGCCACUCCGGCGACCAUCUCCACCACCACCAGAACCGCGACUUGCCCCUGAGUCCGACGGUAGUCUCCGCAUCCCUUCCCGUGCCCUGUACCGCCGCCGGCGAGCUCGCCGUCGCCUCUGGCCGGAGGUAGACGACGGCCGCCGUGGGGCCGGCCCGUCAGCCACACGCCCUGACGGGUGGGAUCCACCCGUCAGGUUUAAAACGUGCGCGCGCGCGCGCACCGAUCUGCCGUCGGCCGAAGGCGUAUUCAGCCUUUACGCCUUCGACGUGGCGGCCGCGUGGGCUGGUUCUUCCCUGGGCCUGCUGCUGCUGUGGCCUCUCUGGCCCAGUGGCACAGCGCCGUUUUUCUUUUUUCCUUUUCUGUCUUAUUUCCAAAAAUUCCACAGGACAGAAUAUUAAUCCAAAUGCAUUGAUUCCAAUUUCUAAAUUCCUAGAAUAUUGCCACCUAUUUAAUGGUGCAACUUUCAUUCAAAUCCAACCACCUUUUCUUCUCUGUAAAUAUUUAAAUGUGGUUGUUAGCAUUUAAAUAAGCCUUUGAAAAUCCAUAACUCCUAUUUUGCUGCUCCAGAACCAAAACCAAAAGUUGUCCCCUUCCUAGCCUUCCUCCUAGUAUUUUACAAAAAUAAGUUGACAUUUUUGUGAGCACUUUGACUUUUCUGUUUUUAUUAUUGUCUUAUUUUUCCCGUUGUUUUCUUGCGACGUUAGAUUCCGUGUUUGACGAGGUAGCUGAGGAAGAAGGAGGAGCAGAGCCUGAAGACUUUGAAGAUCAAGCCAACCAAGGCAAGCAGCCCUUUGACCAUGACUAUGAUACCCCUUUAUAUGCAUGUCAUUUUUAGCCCUUUAUUAUCGAUGCAUCGGAAUCAUGAUGAGAUGGUGAACCACGUGGGUUGGUUACCACGAUUACUUCCUCGUUGAUACUUGCAGUGCGCAUGGCCCUACCUUCUUAUGAGGGUUAUGCCGGUGGGAGUAGGUAGGAUGCAAAUGUAGAUGCUACGCAAAUGGGGUGGGUUUGUGCAUGGUGAAGGAGGCAAUGUGAUUUCAAAAGUCUUUUCGAAAACCCCGUCGGGUGCCACCUAUGCCCGAGGGAGAUGAUGAGAUGGGUGACCACUUGAUGACGAAGUGGUGUGCCAAGGAAGGUGUGUGUUGUUUUCAAAACGGAUUGGUCGGAGUUGCGACCGUUAUUCCAACCUUACAAGCGCGACCACUCUACCCUUAUAUGGGAAAGGGCAUUAUUGAGUACCUAGACCGAUACUAGCUUGGAGCCCGCAUUACUAGUGACGGGGGAGAGUUGGUGCUCUCUCUUGGGACGGGGUCGUGCCAGGUAGGGCGGCCAUGACUGUUUUCACAAGGCACCGGACACACCGUUGGUACCCCGUGCUUGUGGUAUGUGAUGAAAAUGGGAGCGAGGCUCCACAACUUUAUGAUGUGAAAUGUUCGGCACGGGGGUUACUACCAAUCGAGUGGACUCCAUGUUAGUGUCGUCUAGGGAAAGGUAGUGAUCGGGUGCUUACCCCGGGUACUUGAGGUACCGCGGGUCGUGGAUGACACGGAAGUUCCCCGGAUCUAGUGGGUAAAGUGUGCAACCUCUGCAGAGUGUAAAACUAUUCGAAUAGCCGUGUCCACGGUCAAGGACAGUUGGGUAACCGCUCUUGGGCUACGUCCACUUGUUUUCAAACCCGGUGUGUGUGAGAUGAUGGUGUUGUCUUGGAUCAAGUCAGAGGACUUGACACGAUUGAGAUGGGUUGGUGCCCUCUCUGUUUAUGAUAAAUGGGUUGGUGCCCCUUUAUAUUUAUGUUGAUAUCUGUGACCAGAUCUUAUGGUUACUUGAAUUCUCUUGAUGCAUGCUUUAUAGGAUGUUGAACAUGUCCUGCACUCAAAACUAGCUUUAUGCAAAACUUUACCUAUGUCAUGCAUUACUGUACCUUGAACCAAAUCAUGGGUUGCUUGCGAGUACAUUCAAAGUACUCAUUGGCUUGCCACUGGUUAUUUAAUUGACCAGGCAUGGGAGAACCGGAGUUCGAAGAAGAGUUCUUUGGAGACGAUCAUGCGAACUAGGACGUUCCCAGUCAGAAUGCCUGUAGGGUUAAGGCAGAUGGCAUGGGUUCUACUUAUCGACGACGAUUUCCGCUGCUAUGUUUCAUUUGAUGUUCAGCCCUUAAGGCUUUAUCGAUGUAAGACUUGACCAUGUUGGUCUCUAUUUGUGUAAGACGGUAUGAAUGGAUGUAAGACUCUUGUUAUUCAGCUUCUGUGUGUUCAGUGAGCAUUGAUCUCUGGGAUCACUGUACACGUGCAUUCGGUGAUCACGACUUGCGAGUCGGGGUCCCCACAUCCUCUCUAUCAACAAGAUAUCCAAAGACAUCAAGGAUACGCACAGCCAGAAAAAAUAUAGAUGAAAAAAGACUGCUCCAAGGUGAUAAAUCACUAGCAUCAGUAGCACUCUAAGCACACCGAAGACAACGUCCCAAUUACAAAAAAGGUUCUCCAAAAGCAACCCCCCAAGAAGGAAACAAUGCACAAGCGUUGUCAUUAUCCGAUUGGAGAUCGUGGGUUUUCACCCUAGAAAAAUUCGAAGCUCACCCAAAAACAUUGCCUUCAACUAGGCCAUUGCCAGGUACAACCAAUAAAGGCUAGACCUUAGAUUUUUACCCUAGGAAUUGAGACUUAGUACUCGAGGAGUACAACCAAAAAUGCAGUCCUCUAGUGAUGGCGCCCCCGCUUGCCGAGCUCGCUGUUUUGGGUCACCAAACACCUGGCGCACAUUCUUUCUGGCAUCAAUUACACCCUUCCACCAAAUCUUCAAGACCUCCAAUCGCAGCCGCCAUGACUUUAUCCACCUCUAUCAAUGCCUUGAGAAUCUUCACUUGGACAUGUCCCAUGACACCAAUAAGAAAACAAAGCUUCUUGCCGCGCCCUCUUGAGGUCGUGUUGGCUGAUAAUAUGAGCGUGCGCUACUGGAGCCUUUCCGAUCUAGAUAUCCAGGGUCGACAUACACCAAUCCAUAUAGAUCUCCGAUGGGAAAGACCGAAACUCGUCAACGACUAGAUCUAAGAUGUCGACAUCCAGCAGAAAGACGACUUGGCGGAAGAAUAGUACUAGGGCCAAUCCACCAUUAUUAGGCCAAACCUAACAUCCCCACAUGCCGCCCUCCUCUUGAUGUAGACCUACAGACAAAUAUCAGCGACGCCGCAUCGUGCCACCUGCAUCUAUUGAGGCCCAAACUUGGCAAGAUGCCAACCAUGGCAGGAGACUGGGACUAGCCACUCCUGGGCACUGAUCCGGCAAUUCCCUGGCCCACCCCUGCCACUACGGCGACACCGCAGGUAGCCUACAAGCCCAUCCACGACAAUGCCUGAUUAGAAGGAUACAUGGAUAUACAGAUGGAAAGACCCUUGUUAUCGCUCAAGCAAUAUAUAUAUAAAGCUUAAUGGGGCCUAAGAAAGCUCGCACAAUUUUACGGUGGCUAUGGAAAUGUAUUGCCAAACUGAGACAUAAGAUUUUCGUUUGGCAUCCAGACCGUUUGUGUCAUUCUUAAUUUAUGGUCACUCUAAUUUUUCCGGCUGGGCCUUCCCUGUGGUACCGCAGCAAGGCAUGCGUGUGUAUACGUUUCCUUUAAGUACCAUGUGCAGGAUGAUGAUUUACUGCACGCAUGUGCGGGGGCACUCAUGUCCUGGUGCCGGGUUUUUAUUUUGGCUUCCGAUUUUCAAACUUCUAUAUCUUCUAAGCCAAAAAUUCAAUUUAAGUUAUGUAUUCAUAUUCGUGUUUCUCGCGGCCAGCGCUUUCAAAUAAGAUCCAUUUUGAAUACAUUUUGGCGACUUUUUGAAACACUGUUAAGUUUCAUUGUUUGAAACUUAGUACGAGCGACCAAUAAAAUUCAAUUAUUUUGUGUCUACGACCAACGGAGAAAUUUUCUUAAAAUUACAUCUUUGAAACUUGUUGAAACCGGGCAUUUUUUGAUGCAAAAAGGUAAGUUUCAUCAUUGAAACUUUAAGGUUUUUGAGGGAUUUUUUUCCUUGUGGAGCUUUGGAAAUGAGAGAAUUUGAUAAAGUAAAUCUCGGAAACUCUUAUUGGACGAGAGAGAUUUAAUAUGAUAUUGGCAUGGAUUCUACCAACUAAACGAAGAAGUAUUUGAUUUGGUAAACAGACAAUUUCCUUUAAUCGAUGAACAUUUUAGGAAAAUUGGUGGAACAACUUUUGAAAUUCAAAAAAAAAUUCUUGAUUUAACGAACAUUUUUUAACUUAACGAACAUUUUUAAAAAAUACAUGAUCAUUUUUUUGAAUCUGUGAUCGUUUUAUGAAUGAAUAAACUAGUUUGUAAGUCAUGAACAGUUUUUAAAAUUUUAGGGUAUUUUUCCAUUCAUGAACAGUUUUUGAAUUGCUGAAAUUUUGUUCAAUUUCAUUAACAAUUUUUAGUACACAAACCUUUUUAAAAAAUCAUGGACAUUAACUAGUACGUGAAAUCCCUAAUUAUUUAAAGUAGAAAAAAUAGAAAAGAGAAAGUAAUGGAAAAUGAAGUUAAAAAAAUAGGCCGACCGAACAUGGGCCGGCCCAAACGGGCGCGUUGCGUCUUCUCCCAGCGUGUAGAGCGCAGUAUACGUGGUCCCUACUGCAUGGGUCGGCCCAAGCGGAAGAUUUGUCUGUGUGAAACUUUUUUUAUCACGUACUGGUGGCAUUGGUGCGUAAUGCAUGUGUGCAUCUUUAGGGGCACUUUUCCCGACGUACCGCUAGAAGCAAUAGCCAUUUUAUUAUUAGUUAGAGAUUAGGUAUAGAUAUGAACCACCGGUAAAUUAGGUAGACGAUAGAUGACGACUCUAAAGAAGAUCACAUGUGUCAAGCUUGGAAUAGGCUAACAGAUGUUAGGGCAUCUCAAAUGUAAACCCAUAAAACAGACAUCACAAAUGUCCUUGAACACAAACCGGGCAUGAUAGGGGAGGGAGCCAUCAAACCUUGAUGGCUGCUACCCAUAUUUCUCUCACAUUUCUCCAGCAUUUCAUCGAACAGUUGAUGUGCACUAGUAGGACACGUCUGGUUCACGCAGCUGGCGCGUCAUGGGAGUUCUGCCUCAUCGGGCAUGACUGAUGUGUCGCAGGACGACGGGUGUGGUCUCGGGCGCGUCAGUAGUGGCCACGACGACAAGAGGAGGCCGCGCCAUGGGCGGAGCUAGCCACGGGAGCCAGCAUUGGCGCGGCACUAGACACAGCCAGCCCACGACAUGCCGGGCACGGUGGCAAGAGAGCUUCAUGAGGCCAGAGCCGAGCUAGGCCUUGAGUUGCUCGCCGAGCAGCCAUGGAGGGCAUGGGGAGAUGAGAUGCACAGGGAGAGAGGAGUGGAGAGAUAGGAGGAGGCGGAGAUGAGGAUGGAGUGCUCGCUGGCAGCUGCCCUCAUGGUCGUCCGUAGCCGGCAUAAGUGCUCUCCGUUUAGUGUUAUUUGUACAGAGAGGGAGGGAGUGGAGAUGUGGUGUUUCUUUUGGUUAGCUGGAUGUUCAGACUCUCGCAUAGUCCCUCAAAUUUGUUCAUGUGAUAUCGAAAUUUGAACAUGUGGGCUGGUCCGCGGAUAUUUAGAGGUCCCCACUUGAAGAAUAAAAGUGGUCUAGACACUACUAUCUGACAUUUUGCCCUUAGUAGUUGGUGGAUAUCGAUGUGCUGUCCCUCCAACCUAUAUUAAAAGAUUCAUUCACCGUCCGAUCCCUUCUACAAAACACGUCAUUGCUUUCCAUGAUUCUCUUUUGUCAAUGUGUGAAAUAUUAGAAUUUGAGUUGUUUGGUGAAAUGUACGAGCUGACCGCCAAAAGGACAGAUUUUUACUUUUAUUUUCUACUAUUUUCUUUAUUUUAUAGUUUUUGGCAAGUGCAUUUUCAUAUGGUCAAUGUCUAGACCAUUUGAACAGUUUAUUUUGAAUUUGUUUCUUCCAUUCUAGCUAAAUAUAAGAAUUUACAAUGUUCGUUUUAAUUCUUUGGAAUAAACAUUUAUUACUAGUAUUAAAAAGACUAAAUUAGCUGCCGCAUUUUUAUUCCCUAAUCAUCUUGAAGGCUAUCUACACUUUGAUUAAAUUGUCAUAUUUUUUUUUGUGAUAUAUUGUUUCCAUUAUGUAUAUUAACUCCAAUAAAAAUGAUGAUAAUCUAUUCUCCUUAAGUUAUUAUGAAUGUACUAAAUAAUUAAAUAAUAAAAAAUUACUUACAAAAUAAUAACAUCUAAACAUGCCCUAUGAAUACCAGGUAGAUAUCUAACUCAGGCACUUGUCCGCAAAAUAAAUGUUCUUCAAAAAAAUAUUGAAAGUAGUUAAAUUAUUUAAAAUGAAUAAAAAGCACAUGCUCCAUUCUACUUUACCACUCUAGAUGCACUGAUUCGUUGUGGCAAUAGAAACACUAAAUUUCAGUCCCACUUAUAAAGUUUGCUAAGGGAUAUCUGACAAUAAAAAUUAAAAUAAAAUAUUUUUAUAUUAUUUUUUACUUAUUAAAUUAAUUAUUCUAUCUGUGUAAUUUUCUGUUACUUACAUAAAAUAGUUAACCAUAUAACAAUGUUGCUAAAUAAUAGUUAUAAUGUUUCUUUGUUAUAUAGUUGCAACAUAUAUCAGUAAAAUAGUUGAUUCAUAUUUAAAAGGUAUGAUAGAACAAAAGUUAUUUUUUCAAUCAAGUCUUGAAAUUGAAUAAAUUUAUAAUGUAUAUACAUAUAUUUCCAUACAUUUGUAUGUGUUUAUCGAGAUUUUAUUGUCAUUAAAUAUCAUGUUAGAGAUUUCAAAAGUGUGCUUUCUAACAUGUAUCUUAGUUGUAGUUUCUAGUGCAAUACUAUGUAAUCAUAUUUACAGAAAUUUCUAGAGCAUGAAAUCUAUGUCUUGCAAGUUGCAUUCCGUAAUAAGUUGGCAUCAUGACCAUGCUAUUGGUUACAAUUAUUUUUUAUUUUAGAUGAUAACAAAUAACAAAAAAAAUUAUAAAAUAUAAGGGUGAAUCAUGCAAGUGAGGAGAACACACCAAUGAAGAAAGACAUUGCAUUUCCACGUGGAAUUCAUAUUGACAAACCUUAAGAAUCACAUGCAUUUGUAUGUUUUUAUAAAUUAUGCCCCAUUUGCGGGACUCAAAUACAAGUCAGUUCAGGGUGUGGAGCUACGAGAAAACGUAGCAUUCAAGACUAGAUGAGCCACCGACUUAAAAAACAAAUAAGUAAAAAUGGAGCAAAUAGGAGUAGCUGGAAAAUUAUUUGAAAGAUUAAGAGUAGCUGGAAAAUUAUUUGAAGGAAAUGGAGCAAAUAGCUAUGCAAGAAGUGCUCUCGCUAGAAAAUAAAUGUUGCAUUAGAUGAUCGACUUGAAAACACACAUAUGAAGUGGUGGAGCCAGAAUUUUCACAAUGGGUAUGUGAUACAUCUCCAACAUAUCUAUAAUUUUUAAUUGUUUCAUGCUAUUAUAUUAUCCAUCUUGGAUGUUUUAUAUGCAUGUAUAUGCUAUUUUAUAUGAUUUUUGGGACUAACCUAUUAACCUAGAGCCCAGUGCCAGUUUUUGUUUUUUCCUUGUUUUUGAGUUUUACACAAAAGGAAUACCAAACGGAGUCCAAUUGACCUGAAAAUUGACGGAGAUUGUUUUUAGUGUUAUUGGCAUAAUGCAUCGUGUAUAUAUCAUUUUGCUUAUUGUACACAGAUCGUCCCAUGCAAUGUGAGGUCAGAAUUCAACAAUCUGACUGGAGACUCUGUGACAUUUGAGGCUCCUGGGGGCCCCUACACUAUGGAUAUCGAGAAAGGACGAAAGAUGACGUGGGUGGGAGGAGAUGGAUGGGCCCGUUUCAUCGACAACAUGCGUAUCACCGGUGGUGAGUUGAUCAAGCUGGCCGUGAUUUAUAUCAACAAAGCAUAAGAUUAUGAGGAUGAUGAGGAUGAUGAUGACCCACUCGGUGAUGCCAUCAUAGCUCAAAGAAUGAAGUUGAGCGAGGAGGAGGUGUGCAACCUAUGGGACAUCAUUCCGCCACGUGCUGACUUCGUCGGGGUGCCAUUCGUGACCCGUCUGACAAGUACCAUGGUUGAUCGGCAUAUGAUGGUAUGUUGCAUUUACUGUAGUUUUUACAGUAAUUUGAUGAUAUGCUUUAUUGUUAUACUUAGUGAAGAGUCCGAUGAUAUAUAUGCAUAGUGAAUCUUAUAUGCUUUAUUGUUAUACUUUAGUGUAGAGUCCGAUCAUAUAUAUGCUUACUGAAUCUUAUAUGCUUAGUGAAUCUUAUAUGCUUUAUUGUUAUACUUAGUGUAGAGUCCGAUGAUAUAUAUGCUUACUGAAUCUUAUAUGCUUAGUGCAUCUUAUAUGCUUAGUGCAUCUUAUAUGCUUUAUUGUUAUACUUAGUGUAGAGUCCGAUGAUAUAUAUACUUAGUGUAGAGUCCGAUGAUAUAUAUGCUUAGUGUAGAGUCCGGUGAUAUAUAUGCUUCGUGUAGAAUGUGUGAGGCUACUUAUUAGUUGAUACGUUUUUCUUAUUCAGAAAUUGCCAAAGAGCCUAUCUGAGAGUUGUGGUAUCAAGCCUGAUGAAGAAGGCUCUGCUGGAAUACGCCUUACCGCAAGGGGCUCCGUCGCCACUUGUGCAUACGGCGAGGACACGGACGGUCGCACACACUUCAACUCGGUUGGGUGGAAGAGCUUCCUCAUCGGCAAGAAUCUUCAUGUUGAACAGACAAUCCUAAUUACUAUCAGGAAUACCCACCGCCCAGGCUUGAGGAUGAUGGUCGUCAUCGACAUCAUCUAGAACUUCAUAUGCAUGCGUGUGGCUGUUGAACCAUAUAUAUUUGCUAGUAUGACUACCUAGUAGACUUAUCAACUAUGAUCUAUCCAUGCAUUGUUGACUACUAAAUGAGUUUGUGAGAUUGUGUGGUUAUAUUAAAUGUGGUACUGUCAUUAAUGUUUGUGAGAUGGUUCCGUGAACUUAGUUUAUUUGCACUGGACUUGUCUUGAUCUCCAUGAACAUUGCACCUGACUGCUUUUUUAUUUUUUAUUUCUGUUUGCCUAGUUGUAGCGUGGGGAGAAAAUAGGGCGCUACUACUACGUGAUGAUAGUAGUAGCGCUGGUGGAGGAAGCAUCGCUACUAAUAAGUAUUUUAGCUGUAGCGCUUGUUCAGAAAUGCGCUACUAUUGAAUAAUAGCUGUAGCGCACUAGCAGUAGCGCGGGUGCCCGCGCUACUAGUAUGUAAAUAACCAGCGCCGCUAGUAAGCUUUUCUCUAGUAGUAUAACCAUUGUUUAUGCCAGACAACUCUUCUUCCUGCUCGUCAGAUGCCAUGGAGAAAACUGUUCAAGGAGGAAAAUGGUGAGAAGAGGUGUGAUGCGGUCUUGCUCGACAUCUGACAUUGUUUAAACAGCGAGGGGACACAAGGAGCCAAACGGCGUUCUGUUUAAUGCCAGCCGGCUCGCGAACGGACAUGUGGCCGGAGUAAUUAUCCUGGCAUAAGCGCGGGUUUAAUGGUGGAAGGCGGGCAGUCUAUAGGAAUGAGGCGAGGAUGUGUGUUUAGCGGGCGUGCAGCGGGGCAGCACCCUUGGCUGGCGCGCCGCUUCCAUUGCGAAGGCAGUGAGAGGCCGCGUCCGCUCUGCAGUGGCAUGAAUACGGGCAGCUGGCGCGCUGCUUCCAUUGCGAAGGCAGUGAGAGGCCGCAUCCGCUCUGCAGCGGCAUGAAUGCGGGCAGCUGGCGCAGAGCGGGAACGCAUGCGAGCGAGGGAGGAGGGGGUUUGGGUGGGCACGGGUGGUCAGAAGCGGUUGUGGGUGUUGUCCGGAUGCCUGCAAAGCCACCCUCCCCAUGUUCGUCUUCGGUUUGUGGGAGAAAGUACGUAUGGAUCGCCCUGUGGACCGAUACAAGCCCGCAUUGGAUGGCACAACACGUCCAGACCAUGUGGUCCAGAUGGUUGUAGAUGGUUUAUUUGAGGGUCGGUGUUGGAUAUGCCUUAGAGUUUAUGAUACCAUUGUGUUUUUCUAAUCAUAAAAAAAUACUUAUAAUAAGUUAUAAGGAAAGACACGUAUAUAUGUUAGGUUCACACUCCAGCUUUCCUCUUACAUAUGUUUUUUCUGAUCCGACUGAUUCCAAUAGAGUGAGCCUAGCGUUGUUUUUCUAAAAACUCGAGGGAUAAGGAGACAUGCAUACACAUUGUUUCAAGCAAAUCACAUCCACUCUUUUUAACUCAUUUUUUCUUGUUUUAAUAAUAUAAUAAAUCAUUUUUAAUUUUUAUUUCAAAUAGUUGACGUGUAAUUUAUAUUGUAAUCUAAGGAAAAUGUUUGGAUUUUACUUUGAAAUAUAUUUCAAAUGGCCAUGAUGGAAUCACAUCCAUUUACUUUAUUUUUAUUUGGAUUUGCUUCAAAAGAUAAAUAAUGGGUAGAGGUCAUGUCAACUUUUCUGAGAAGUUUGCUAAUCAAAAUAUAAUUUUUAUCUUAAUACAAUCCAUUAUUUGACUACUCUAUUGAUUUGUAUUUAAAGACAUCUAUUUUUAGCACGCAUGAAAAACAUAACACAUAUCUUUCCACACAUAAUGAACGGUUGUCAUUAGAAUUCAUGCCAUGCCACAGCCUCCCUCUGACCCUGCCAAUAUUGUUGCAGCUGCGCUCGCAAGCCUUUGCGUAGAUGAUCAUUUAUAUGAUUUGUGUAAAACAAAAUAAGAUCUACAAACGAAUAGAAGCUAGAGCGUACCUUGGCGUGCACACACAUUGCAAGCCAUACUAACUUGAUAAGUGUUAAUGACUUGUACAACAUAUACAUCACUUAAGACAAGUAAAAGCGAUUUGAUGAGUCAUGGUCUAUCAAAGCAAGCCACAUUACUAGUCUAAUCCAUCUUAACAGGUCACGCAUGAUUACAAUCUUGUUUGUGUGCAAGUCAAGCCUAUCUAGUUUACACGUAACAACUUGUAGAACAUUACAAAAUUGAUGUUUGCUAAUAACUUCUAGAACACUACAACACUUGACAUGUAAAAGGAAUUUGAUGAGUCAUGGCCUACUAAAGCAAGUUACAUUACUAGUCUUAUGUAUCUUAACAUGCCACACAAGAUUACAAACUAAGUUCUGUGCCAGCCAUGCUUAUCUAGUUUAUGUGUAAAAAUUUGCAAAACAUUACAAACUUAGUUUCAGAAAAGUAGGCAAUCUAGAUUAGUGUUUGAGUUGUAAAGUGAACAAGAUGAGUCAUGCGUGUUAUCACACCUUUUUGGUGGUGGAAUGAUAGUGCAACAACAAGGAACUUUAAUGACUAGUCCAAGAAUACACUUGUAAGUAGUGCCACCAAACACAACAUACCAAAUUAUGAUUUUGGGAAGCAUCCAAACACUUUACACACAAGCAAAUGCCAAUUGUGAAAGAGAUCAUGCCAUGACAGCUAUAAAUAGGCCCGUAGCAUGAUGAUCAUCCUUCCUCAUCCAUCAUUCUCAUAAGUAGAGUGCAUCAUUAAAGGCAAGCAAGCAGUGGUCAAUACAAAUCCAUCAUGAAGACCUUUCUCAUCCUUGCCCUCGUGGCGACCACCGCCACAACUGCAGUUAGAGUUCCAGUGCCACAAUUGCAGCCAAAAAAUCCAUCUCAGCAACAGCCACAAGAGCAAGUUCCAUUGGUACAACAACAACAAUUUCCAGGGCAGCAACAACAAUUUCCACCACAACAGCCAUAUCCGCAGCCGCAACCAUUUCCAUCACAACAACCAUAUCUGCAGCUGCAACCAUUUCCGCAGCCGCAACCAUUUCUGCCACAACUACCAUAUCCGCAGCCGCAAUCAUUUCCACCACAACAACCAUAUCCACAACAGCGACCAAAGUAUCUACAACCACAACAACCAAUUUCGCAGCAACAAGCACAACAACAACAACAACAACAACAACAACAACAACAACAACAACAACAACAACAACAACAAAUCCUUCAACAAAUUUUGCAACAACAACUGAUUCCAUGCAGGGAUGUUGUCUUGCAACAACACAACAUAGCGCAUGCAAGCUCACAAGUUUUGCAACAAAGUACUUACCAGCUAUUGCAACAAUUGUGUUGUCAACAACUGUUGCAGAUCCCUGAGCAGUCGAGGUGCCAAGCCAUCCAUAAUGUUGUUCAUGCUAUUAUUAUGCAUCAACAAGAACAACAACAACAGUUGCAACAACAACAACAACAGCAACUGCAACAACAACAACAACAACAACAACAACAACAACAACCGUCAAGCCAGGUCUCCUUCCAACAGCCUCAGCAGCAAUAUCCAUCAAGCCAGGUCUCCUUCCAGCCAUCUCAGCUAAACCCACAAGCUCAGGGCUCCGUCCAACCUCAACAACUGCCCCAGUUCGCGGAAAUAAGGAACCUAGCGCUACAGACGCUACCUGCAAUGUGCAAUGUCUACAUCCCUCCACAUUGCUCGACCACCAUUGCGCCAUUUGGCAUCUUUGGUACCAACUGAGAAGAGAAGAACUCUAGUACUAGAUAUAUGAAACACCGUUUUCUUAGUCCAUGAUUUGGUCGUUGUAGCAGUGAAAAAAUAAAGUGACAUGCACUAUCAUGUAAGAACCCGAACUAUACUAGUUCAAACUUGGGAAUAAAAGACAAACACAUGUCUUGUCUACAUAUGAUUGUUUGUUUGAGUUCCAUUCAUGUGCCAUCACAAGUUCACCCCUAAUUAUAUAUAUUAUGCAUUAAGUAGAUAUUUAUGUUGCAUUAAUCUAAAGAUAAAAAAAUGAGUCUGAAACUUGAAUUAAAUUGAAGUAUUUUCUAGGACUUCCAAAUGGAGUAUUAUUAAAGUAGUAAGGACAAUCCACAUCCUUGGCUUGCCCUUUAUCAAUUAUUUCCAGAGAAGCAUUCAAUUCAUCAAUCAAUUACAUCGAUUUUUGUGGCUGGUACUUCUCCUCAACAUGAGUAUAUUCAUUGCGGCUACUCCAAAUCGGCAUGAAUGAGGUACUGGUGCUCUGGAGCAGUGCUAGCUGACUGCUUCUCAUGUGAAGGGACGCAGGCACAGGAGAGGUGUUCCGGGUGGGCCAGGGGAGUAAGAAGUGGCCAUGGCAGUGGUUCGGACGCUUGCAAAGUCCCGUAGUUUGUAUAUGGUUUACGGGAAAAUGCACAUUUGGACCGGCCUGCGGGCCGAUAUAGGACCGUAUUGGAUGGAGAAACAUGUCCUCAUCGUUGCGAGCGGUUUGAGGGUUAGGUUUGGAGAUAGCCCUUACUUGGCCCCUCGUUCUGAAAACACGUUUGACGAUAGUUUUGUCUCAGUUCAAAUAUAUGUCAAGUUUGACAAAGUUCAUAGGAAAUUUUUUAUCAUAUCUACAGUACCAUACAAAUACACCAUAGACAAAAAACAUAUUUCACACUGCACCAUGAAUUGGUCAGGUAAAUGUUGGGUAUGGAGACUCUAUUCUCUUUUGGCAUGAGUUGCCUCGGUCUCAAAAGUUUCAUGAACUGUUCUCUUUUGCCACUAAGAAAAAGCUCUCUUUGCCUGAUUUUAUUCAUAGUGACCAUAUGGCUCUCUAUUUUCAUAGGCAUAUCACCCUGCAAGCUCUUGCUCAAUUCAUUGACAUCAUUGACUUAGUUCAUCAAAAAAAUUCAAUAAAGGGAAUAAAAUAAUAUCACGAAGAUACCAAUUACACCCGUCCUCUCUAUCAACAAGAUAUGCAAAGACAUCAAGGAUACGCACAGCCAGAAAAAAUAUAGAAGAAAAAAGACUGCUCCAAGGUGAUAAAUCACUAGCAUCAGUAGCACUCUAAGCACACCGAAGACAACGUCCAGAUUACAAAAAAGGUUCUCCAAAAGCAACCCCCCAAGAAGGAAACAAUGCACAAGCGUUGUCAUUAUCCGAUUGGAGAUCGUGGGUUUUCACCCUAGAAAAAUUCGAAGCUCACCCAAAAACAUUGCCUUCAACUAGGCCAUUGCCAGGUACAACCAAUAAAGGCUAGACCCUAGAUUUUUACCCUAGGAAUUGAGACUUAGUACUCGAGGAGUACAACCAAAAAUGCAGUCCUCCAGUGAUGGCGCUCCCGCUUGCCGAGCUCGCUGUUUUGGGUCACCAAACACCUGGCGCACAUUCUUUCUGGCAUCAAUUACACCCUUCCACCAAAGCUUCAAGACCUCCAAUCGCAGCCGCCAUGACUUUAUCCACCUCUAUCAAUGCCUUGAGAAUCUUCACUUGGACAUGUCCCAUGACACCAAUAAGAAAUCAAAGCUUCUUGCCGCGCCCUCUUGAGGUCGUGUUGGCUGAUAAUAUGAGCGUGCGCUACUAGAGCCUUUUCGAUCUAGAUAUCCAGGGUCGACAUACACCAAUCCAUAUAGAUCUCCGAUGGGAAAGACCGAAACUCGUCAACGACUAGAUCUAAGAUGUCGACAUCCAGCAGAAAGACGACUUGGCGGAAGAAUAGUACUAGGGCCAAUCCACCAUUAUUAGGCCAAACCUAACAUCCCCACAUGCCGCCCUCCUCUUGAUGUAGACCUACAGACAAAUAUCAGCGACACCGCAUCGUGCCACCUGCAUCUAUUGAGGCCCGAACUUGGCAAGAUGCCAACCAUGGCAGGAGACUGGGACUAGCCACUCCUGGGCACUGAUCCGGCAAUUCCCUGGCCCACCCCUGCCACUACGGCGACACCGCGGGUAGCCUACAAGCCCAUCCACGACAAUGCCUGAUUAGAAGGAUACAUGGAUAUACAGAUGGAAAGACCCUUGUUAUUGCUCAAGCAAUAUAUAUAUAAAGCUUAAUGGGGCCUAAGAAAGCUCGCACAAUUUUACGGUGGCUAUGGAAAUGUAUUGCCAAACUGAGACAUAAGAUUUUCGUUUGGCAUCCAGACCGUUUGUGUCAUUCUUAAUUUAUGGUCACUCUAAUUUUUCCGGCUGGGCCUUCCCUGUGGUACCGCAGCAAGGCAUGCGUGUGUAUACGUUUCCUUUAAGUACCAUGUGCAGGAUGAUGAUUUACUGCACGCAUGUGCGGGGGCACUCAUGUCCUGGUGCCGGGUUUUUAUUUUGGCUUCCGAUUUUCAAACUUCUAUAUCUUCUAAGCCAAAAAUUCAAUUUAAGUUAUGUAUUCAUAUUCGUGUUUUUCGCGGCCAGCGCUUUCAAAUAAGAUCCAUUUUGAAUACAUUUUGGCGACUUUUUGAAACACUGUUAAGUUUCAUUGUUUGAAACUUAGUACGAGCGACCAAUAAAAUUCAAUUAUUUUGUGUCUACGACCAACAGAGAAAUUUUCUUAAAAUUACAUCUUUGAAACUUGUUGAAACCGGGCAUUUUUUGAUGCAAAAAGGUAAGUUUCAUCAUUGAAACUUUAAGGUUUUUGAGGGAUUUUUUUCCUUGUGGAGCUUUGGAAAUGAGAGAAUUUGAUAAAGUAAAUCUCGGAAACUCUUAUUGGACGAGAGAGAUUUAAUAUGAUAUUGGCAUGGAUUCUACCAACUAAACGAAGAAGUAUUUGAUUUGGUAAACAGACAAUUUCCUUUAAUCGAUGAACAUUUUAGGAAAAUUGGUGGAACAACUUUUGAAAUUCAAAAAAAAAUUUCUUGAUUUAACGAACAUUUUUUAACUUAACGAACAUUUUUAAAAAAUACAUGAUCAUUUUUUUGAAUCUGUGAUCGUUUUAUGAAUGAAUAAACUAGUUUGUAAGUCAUGAACAGUUUUUAAAAUUUUAGGGUAUUUUUCCAUUCAUGAACAGUUUUUGAAUUGCUGAAAUUUUGUUCAAUUUCAUUAACAAUUUUUAGUACACAAACCUUUUUAAAAAAUCAUGGACAUUAACUAGUACGUGAAAUCCCUAAUUAUUUAAAGUAGAAAAAAUAGAAAAGAGAAAGUAAUGGAAAAUGAAGUUAAAAAAAUAGGCCGACCGAACAUGGGCCGGCCCAAACGGGCGCGUUGCGUCUUCUCCCAGCGUGUAGAGCGCAGUAUACGUGGUCCCUACUGCAUGGGUCGGCCCAAGCGGAAGAUUUGUCUGUGUGAAACUUUUUUUAUCACGUACUGGUGGCAUUGGUGCGUAAUGCAUGUUUGCAUCUUUAGGGGCACUUUUCCUGACGUACCGCUAGAAGCAAUAGCCAUUUUAUUAUUAGUUAGAGAUUAGGUAUAGAUAUGAACCACCGGUAAAUUAGGUAGACGAUAGAUGACGACUCUAAAGAAGAUCACAUGUGUCAAGCUUGGAAUAGGCUAACAGAUGUUAGGGCAUCUCAAAUGUAAACCCAUAAAACAGACAUCACAAAUGUCCUUGAACACAAAACGGGCAUGAUAGGGGAGGGAGCCAUCAAACCUUGAUGGCUGCUACCCAUAUUUCUCUCACAUUUCUCCAGCAUUUCAUCGAACAGUUGAUGUGCAGUAGUAGGACACGUCUGGUUCACGCAGCUGGCGCGUCAUGGGAGUUCUGCCUCAUCGGGCAUGACUGAUGUGUCGCAGGACGACGGGUGUGGUCUCGGGCGCGUCAGUAGCGGCCACGACGACAAGAGGAGGUCGCGCCAUGGGCGGAGCUAGCCACGGGAGCCAGCAUUGGCGCGGCACUAGACACAGCCAGCCCACGACAUGCCGGGCACGGUGGCAAGAGAGCUUCAUGAGGCCAGAGCCGAGCUAGGCCUUGAGUUGCUCGCCGAGCAGCCAUGGAGGGCAUGGGGAGAUGAGAUGCACAGGGAGAGAGGAGUGGAGAGAUAGGAGGAGGCGGAGAUGAGGAUGGAGUGCUCGCUGGCAGCUGCCCUCAUGGUCGUCCGUAGCCGGCGUAAGUGCUCUCCGUUUAGUGUUAUUUGUACAGAGAGGGAGGGAGUGGAGAUGUGGUGUUUCUUUUGGUUAGCUGGAUGUUCAGACUCUCGCAUAGUCCCUCAAAUUUGUUCCUGUGAUAUCGAAAUUUGAACAUGUGGGCUGGUCCACGGAUAUUUAGAGGUCCCCACUUGAAGAAUAAAAGUGGUCUAGACACUACUAUCUGACAUUUUGCCCUUAGUAGUUGGUGGAUAUCGAUGUGCUGUCCCUCCAACCUAUAUUAAAAGAUUCAUUCACCAUCCGAUCCCUUCUACAAAACACGUCAUUGCUUUCCAUGAUUCUCUUUUGUCAAUGUGUGAAAUAUUAGAAUUUGAGUUGUUUGGUGAAAUGUACGAGCUGACCGCCAAAAGGACAGAUUUUUACUUUUAUUUUCUACUAUUUUCUUUAUUUUAUAGUUUUUGGCAAGUGCAUUUUCAUAUGGUCAAUGUCUAGACCAUUUGAACAGUUUAUUUUGAAUUUGUUUCUUCCAUUCUAGCUAAAUAUAAGAAUUUACAAUGUUCGUUUUAAUUCUUUGGAAUAAACAUUUAUUACUAGUAUUAAAAAGACUAAAUUAGCUGCCGCAUUUUUAUUCCCUAAUCAACUUGAAGGCUAUCUACACUUUGAUUAAAUUGUCAUAUAUUUUUUUGUGAUAUAUUGUUUCCAUUAUGUAUAUUAACUCCAAUAAAAAUGAUGAUAAUCUAUUCUCCUUAAGUUAUUAUGAAUGUACUGAAUAAUUAAAUAAUAAAAAAUUACUUACAAAAUAAUAACAUCUAAACAUGCCCUAUGAAUACCAGGUAGAUAUCUAACUCAGGCACUUGUCCGCAAAAUAAAUGUUCUUCAAAAAAAUAUUGAAAGUAGUCAAAUUAUUUAAAAUGAAUAAAAAGCACAUGCUCCAUUCUACUUUACCGCUCUAGAUGCACUGAUUCGUUGUGGCAAUAGAAACACUAAAUUUCAGUCCCACUUAUUAAAGUUUGCUAAGGGAUAUCUGACAAUAAAAAUUAAAAUAAAAUAUUUUUAUAUUAUUUUUUACUUAUUAAAUUAAUUAUUCUAUCUGUGUAAUUUUCUGUUACUUACAUAAAAUAGUUAACCAUAUAACAAUGUUGCUAAAUAAUAGUUAUAAUGUUUCUUUGUUAUAUAGUUGCAACAUAUAUCCGUAAAAUAGUUGAUUCAUAUUUAAAAGGUAUGAUAGAACAAAAGUUAUUUUUUCAAUCAAGUCUUGAAAUUGAAUAAAUUUAUAAUGUAUAUACAUAUAUUUCCAUACAUUUGUAUGUGUUUAUCGAGAUUUUAUUGUCAUUAAAUAUCAUGUUAGGGAUUUCAAAAGUGUGCUUUCUAACAUGUAUCUUAGUUGUAGUUUCUAGUGCAAUACUAUGUAGUCAUAUUUACAGAAAUUUCUAGAGCAUGAAAUAUAUGUCUUGCAAGUUGCAUUCCGUAAUAAGUUGGCAUCAUGACCAUGCUAUUGGUUACAAUUAUUUUUUAUUUUAGAUGAUAACAAAUAACAAAUUUUUUUAUAAAAUAUAAGGGUGAAUCAUGCAAGUGAGGAGAACACACCAAUGAUGAAAGACAUUGCAUUUCCACGUGGAAUUCAUAUUGACAAACCUUAAGAAUCACAUGCAUUUGUAUGUUUUUACAAAUUAUGCCUCAUUUGCGGGACUCAAAUACAAGUCAGUUCAGGGUGUGGAGCUACGAGAAAACGUAGCAUUCAAGACUAGAUGAGCCACCGACUUAAAAAACAAAUAAGUAAAAAUGGAGCAAAUAGGAGUAGCUGGAAAAUUAUUUGAAAGAUUAAGAGUAGCUGGAAAGUUAUUUGAAGGAAAUGGAGCAAAUAGCUAUGCAAGAAGUGCUCUCGCUAGAAAAUAAAUGUUGCAUUAGAUGAUCGACUUGAAAACACACAUAUGAAGUGGUGGAGCCAGAAUUUUCACAAUGGGUAUGUGAUACAUCUCCAACGUAUCUAUAAUUUUUAAUUGUUUCAUGCUAUUAUAUUAUCCAUCUUGGAUGUUUUAUAUGCAUGUAUAUGCUAUUUUAUAUGAUUUUUGGGACUAACCUAUUAACCUAGAGCCCAGUGCCAGUUUUUGUUUUUUCCUUGUUUUUGAGUUUUACACAAAAGGAAUACCAAACGGAGUCCAAUUGACUUGAAAAUUGACGGAGAUUGUUUUUAGUGUUAUUGGCAUAAUGCAUCGUGUAUAUAUCAUUUUGCUUUUUGUACACAGAUCGUCCCAUGCAAUGUGAGGUCAGAAUUCAACAAUCUGACUGGAGACUCUGUGACAUUUGAGGCUCCUGGGGGCCCCUACACUAUGGAUAUCGAGAAAGGACGAAAGAUGACGCGGGUGGGAGGAGAUGGAUGGGCCCGUUUCAUCGACAACAUGCGUAUCACCGGUGGUGAGUUGAUCAAGCUGGCCGUGAUUUAUAUCAACAAAGCAUAAGAUUAUGAGGAUGAUGAGGAUGAUGAUGACCCACUCGGUGAUGCCAUCAUAGCUCAAAGAAUGAAGUUGAGCGAGGAGGAGGUGUGCAACCUAUGGGACAUCAUUCCGCCACGUGCUGACUUCGUCGGGGUGCCAUUCGUGACCCGUCUGACAAGUACCAUGGUUGAUCGGCAUAUGAUGGUAUGUUGCAUUUACUGUAGUUUUUACAGUAAUUUGAUGAUAUGCUUUAUUGUUAUACUUAGUGAAGAGUCCGAUGAUAUAUAUGCAUAGUGAAUCUUAUAUGCUUUAUUGUUAUACUCUAGUGUAGAGUCCGAUCAUAUAUAUGCUUACUGAAUCUUAUAUGCUUAGUGAAUCUUAUAUGCUUUAUUGUUAUACUUAGUGUAGAGUCCGAUGAUAUAUAUGCUUACUGAAUCUUAUAUGCUUAGUGCAUCUUAUAUGCUUAGUGCAUCUUAUAUGCUUUAUUGUUAUACUUAGUGUAGAGUCCGAUGAUAUAUAUACUUAGUGUAGAGUCCGAUGAUAUAUAUGCUUAGUGUAGAGUCUGGUGAUAUAUAUGCUUCGUGUAGAAUGUGUGAGGCUACUUAUUAGUUGAUACGAUUUUCUUAUUCAGAAAUUGCCAAAGAGCCUAUCUGAGAGUUGUGGUAUCAAGCCUGAUGAAGAAGGCUCUGCUGGAAUACGCCUUACCGCAAGGGGCUCCGUCGCCACUUGUGCAUAUGGCGAGGACACGGACGGUCGCACACACUUCAACUCGGUUGGGUGGAAGAGCUUCCUCAUCGGCAAGAAUCUUCAUGUUGAACAGACAAUCCUAAUUACUAUCAGGAAUACCCACCGCCCAGGCUUGAGGAUGAUGGUCGUCAUCGACAUCAUCUAGAACUUCAUAUGCAUGCGUGUGGCUGUUGAACCAUAUAUAUUUGCUAGUAUGACUACCUAGUAGACUUAUCAACUAUGAUCUAUCCAUGCAUUGUUGACUACUAUAUGAGUUUGUGAGAUUGUGUGGUUAUAUUAAAUGUGGUACUGUCAUUAAUGUUUGUGAGAUGGUUCUGUGAACUUAGUUUAUUUGCACUGGACUUGUCUUGAUCUCCAUGAACAUUGCACCUGACUGCUUUUUUUUAUUUUUUAUUUCUGUUUGCCUAGUUAUAGCGUGGGGAGAAAAUAGGGUGCUACUACUACGUGAUGAUAGUAGUAGCGCUGGUGGAGGAAGCAUCACUACUAAUAAGUAUUUAAGCUGUAGCGCUUGUUCAGAAACGCGCUACUAUUGAAUAAUAGCUGUAGCGCCCUAGCAGUAGCGCGGGUGCCCGCGCUACUAGUAUGUAAAAAACCAGCACCACUAGUAAGCUUUUCUCUAGUAGUAUAGCCAUUGUUUAUGCCAGACAACUCUUCUUCCUGCUCGUCAGAUGCCAUGGAGAAAACUGUUCAAGGAGGAAAAUGGUGAGAAGAGGUCUGAUGCGGUCUUGCUCGACAUCUGACAUUGUUUAAACAGCGAGGGGACACGAGGAGCCAACCGGCGUUCUGUUUAAUGCCAGCCGGCUCGCGAACGGACAUGUGGCCGGAGUAAUUAUCCUGGCAUAAGCGCGGGUUUAAUGGUGGAAGGCGGGCAGUCUAUAGGAAUGAGGCGAGGAUGUGUGUUUAGCGGGCGUGCAGCGGGGCAGCACCCUUGGCUGGCGCGCCGCUUCCAUUGCGAAGGCAGUGAGAGGCCGCGUCCGCUCUGCAGUGGCAUGAAUACGGGCAGCUGGCGCGCCGCUUCCAUUGCGAAGGCAGUGAGAGGCCGCGUCCGCUCUGCAGCGGCAUGAAUGCGGGCAGCUGGCGCAGAGCGGGAACGCGUGCGGGCGAGGGAGGAGGGGGUUUGGGUGGGCACGGGUGGUCAGAAGCGGUUGUGGGUGUUGUCCGGACGCCUGCAAAGCCACCCUCCCCCAUGUUCGUCUCCGGUUUGCGGGAUAAAGUAUAUACGGAUCGCCCUGUGGACCGAUACAAGCCCGCAUUGGAUGGCACAACACGUCCAGACCAUGUGGUCCAGAUGGUUGUAGAUGGUUUAUUUGAGGGUCGGUGUUGGAUAUGCCUUAGAGUUUAUGAAUCCAUUGUGGUUUUCUAAUCAUAAAAAACACUUAUAAUAAGUUAUAAGGAAAGACACGUAUAUAUGUUAGGUUCACACUCCAGCUUUCCUCUUACAUAUGUUUUUUUCUGGUCCGACUGAUUCCAAUAGAGUGAGCCUAGCGUUGUUUUUCUAAAAACUCGAGGGAUAAGGAGACAUGCAUACACAUUGUUUCAAGCAAAUCACAUCCACUCUUUUUAACUCAUUUUUUCUUGUUUUAAUAAUAUAAUAAAUCAUUUUUAAUUUUUAUUUCAAAUAGUUGACGUGUAAUUUAUAUUGUAAUCUAAGGAAAAUGUUUGGAUUUUACUUUGAAAUAUAUUUCAAAUGGCCAUGAUGGAAUCACAUCCAUUUACUUUAUUAUUAUUUGGAUUUGAUUCAGAAGAUAAAUAAUGGGUAGAGGUCAUGUCUACUUUUCUGAGAAGUUUGCUAAUCAAAAUAUAAUUUUUAUCNNNNNNNNNNUAAUACAAUCCAUUAUUUGACUACUCUAUUUAUUUGUAUUUAAAAACAUCUAUUUUUAGCACGCAUGAAAAACAUAACACAUAUCUUUCCACACAUAAUGAACGGUUGUCAUUAGAAUUCAUGCCAUGCCACAGCCUCCCUCUGACCCUGCCAAUAUUGUUGCAGCUGCGCUCGCAAGCCUUGGCGUAGAUGAUCAUUUAUAUGAUUUGUGUAAAACAAAAUAAGGUCUACAAACGAAUAGAAGCUAGAGUAUACCUUGGCGUGCACACACAUUGCAAGCCAUACUAACUUGAUAAGUGUUAAUGACUUGUACAACAUAUACAACACUUAAGACAAGUAAAAGCAAUUUGAUGAGUCAUGGUCUAUCAAAGCAAGCCACAUUACUAGUCUAAUCCAUCUUAACAGGUCACGCAUGAUUACAAUCUUGUUUAUGUGCAAGUCAAGCCUAUCUAGUUUACACGUAACAACUUGUAGAACAUUACAAAAUUGAUGUUUGCUAAUAACUUCUAGAACACUACAACACUUGACAUGUAAAAGGAAUUUGAUGAGUCAUGGCCUACUAAAGCAAGUUACAUUACUAGUCUUAUCUAUCUUAACAUGCCACACAAGAUUACAAACUAAGUUCUGUGCCAGCCAUGCUUAUCUAGUUUAUGUGUAAAAAUUUGCAAAACAUUACAAACUUAGUUUCAGAAAAGUAGGCAAUCUAGAUUAGUGUUUGAGUUGUAAAGUGAACAAGAUGAGUCAUGCAUGUUAUCACACCUUUUUGGUGGUGGAAUGAUAGUGCAACAACAAGGAACUUUAAUGACCAGUCCAAGAAUACACUUGUAAGUAGUGCCACCAAACACAACAUACCAAAUUAUGAUUUUGGGAAGCAUCCAAACACUUUACACACAAGCAAAUGCCAAUUGUGAAAGAGAUCAUGCCAUGACAGCUAUAAAUAGGCCCGUAUCAUGAUGAUCAUCCUUCCUCAUCCAUCAUUCUUAUAAGUAGAGUGCAUCAUUAAAGCCAAGCAAGCAGUGGUCAAUACAAAUCCAUCAUGAAGACCUUUCUCAUCCUUGCCCUCCUUGCUAUCGUGGCGACCACCGCCACAACUGCAGUUAGAGUUCCAGUGCCACAAUUGCAGCCACAAAAUCCAUCUCAGCAACAGCCACAAGAGCAAGUUCCAUUGGUACAACAACAACAAUUUCCAGGGCAGCAACAACAAUUUCCACCACAACAGCCAUAUCCGCAGCCGCAACCAUUUCCAUCACAACAACCAUAUCUGCAACUGCAACCAUUUCCGCAGCCGCAACCAUUUCCGCCACAACUACCAUAUCCGCAGCCGCAAUCAUUUCCACCACAACAACCAUAUCCACAACAGCAACCACAGUAUCUACAACCACAACAACCAAUUUCGCAGCAACAAGCACAACAACAACAACAACAACAACAACAACAACAACAACAACAACAAAUCCUUCAACAAAUUUUGCAACAACAACUGAUUCCAUGCAGGGAUGUUGUCUUGCAACAACACAACAUAGCGCAUGCAAGCUCACAAGUUUUGCAACAAAGUACUUACCAGCUAUUGCAACAAUUGUGUUGUCAACAACUGUUGCAGAUCCCUGAGCAGUCGAGGUGCCAAGCCAUCCAUAAUGUUGCUCAUGCUAUUAUUAUGCAUCAACAACAACAACAACAACAAGAACAACAACAACAGUUGCAACAACAACAACAGCAGCAACUGCAUCAACAACGACAACAACCAUCGAGCCAGGUCUCCUUCCAACAGCCUCAGCAGCAAUAUCCAUCAAGCCAGGUCUCCUUCCAGCCAUCUCAGCUAAACCCACAGGCUCAGGGCUCUGUCCAACCUCAACAACUGCCCCAGUUCGCGGAAAUAAGGAACCUAGCGCUACAGACGCUACCUGCAAUGUGCAAUGUCUACAUCCCUCCACAUUGCUCGACCACCAUUGCGCCAUUUGGCAUCUUUGGUACCAACUGAGAAGAGAAGAACUCUAGUACUAGAUAUAUGAAACACCGUUUUCUUAGUCCAUGGUUUGGUCGUUGUAGCAGUGAAAAAAUAAAGUGACAUGCACUAUCAUGUAAGAACCCGAACUAUACUAGUUCAAACUUGGGAAUAAAAGACAAACACAUGUCUUGUCUACAUAUGAUUGUUUGUUUGAGUUCCAUUCAUGUGCCAUCACAAGUUCACCCCUAAUUAUAUAUAUUAUGCAUUAAGUAGAUAUUUAUGUUGCAUUAAUCUAAAGAUAAAAAAAUGAGUCUGAAACUUGAAUUAAAUUGAAGUAUUUUCUAGGACUUCCAAAUGGAGUAUUAUUAAAGUAGUAAGGACAAUCCACAUCCUUGGCUUGCCCUUUAUCAAUUAUUUCCAGAGAAGCAUUCAAUUCAUCAAUCAAUUACAUCGAUUUUUGUGGCUGGUACUUCUCCUCAACAUGAGUAUAUUCAUUGCGGCUACUCCAAAUCGUCAUGAAUGAGGUACUGGUGCUCUGGAGCAGUGCUAGCUGACUGCUUCUCAUGUGAAGGGACGCAGGUGCAGGAGAGGUGUUCCGGGUGGGCCAGGGGAGUAAGAAGUGGCCAUGGCAGUGGUUCGGACGCUUGCAAAGUCCCGUAGUUUGUAUAUGGUUUAUGGGAAAAUGCACAUUUGGACUGGCCCGCGGGCCGAUAUAGGACCGUAUUGGAUGGAGAAACAUGUCCUCAUCGUUGCGAGCGGUUUGAGGGUUAGGUUUGGAGAUAGCCCUUACUUGGCCCCUCAUUCUGAAAACAUGUUUGACGAUAGUUUUGUCUCGGUUCAAAUAUAUGUCAAGUUUAACAAAGUUCAUAGGAAUUUUUUUAUCAUAUCUACAGUACCAUACAAAUACACCAUAGACAAAAAACAUAUUUCACAUUGCACCAUGAAUUGGUCAGGUAAAUGUUGGGUAUGGAGACUCUAUUCUCUUUUGGCAUGAGUUGCCUCGGUCUCAAAAGUUUCAUGAACUGUUCUCUUUUGCCACUAAGAAAAAGCUCUCUUUGCCUGAUUUUAUUCAUAGUGACCAUAUGGCUCUCUAUUUUCAUAGGCAUAUCACCCUGCAAGCUCUUGCUCAAUUCAUUGACAUCAUUGACUUAGUUCAUCGAAAAAAUUCAAUAAAGGGAAUAAAAUAAUAUCACGAAGAUACCAAUUACACCCGUCCUCUCUAUCAACAAGAUAUCCAAAGACAUCAAGGAUACGCACAACCAGAAAAAAUAUAGAAGAAAAAAGACUGCUCCAAGGUGAUAAAUCACUAGCAUCAGUAGCACUCUAAGCACACCGAAGACAACGUCCCAAUUACAAAAAAGGUUCUCCAAAAGCAACCCCCCAAGAAGGAAACAAUGCACAAGCGUUGUCAUUAUCCGAUUGGAGAUCGUGGGUUUUCACCCUAGAAAAAUUCGAAGCUCACCCAAAAACAUUGCCUUCAACUAGGCCAUUGCCAGGUACAACCAAUAAAGGCUAGACCUUAGAUUUUUACCCUAGGAAUUGAGACUUAGUACUCGAGGAGUACAACCAAAAAUGCAGUCCUCUAGUGAUGGCGCCCCCGCUUGCCGAGCUCGCUGUUUUGGGUCACCAAACACCUGGCGCACAUUCUUUCUGGCAUCAAUUACACCCUUCCACCAAAUCUUCAAGACCUCCAAUCGCAGCCGCCAUGACUUUAUCCACCUCUAUCAAUGCCUUGAGAAUCUUCACUUGGACAUGUCCCAUGACACCAAUAAGAAAUCAAAGCUUCUUGCCGCGCCCUCUUGAGGUCGUGUUGGCUGAUAAUAUGAGCGUGCGCUACUGGAGCCUUUCCGAUCUAGAUAUCCAGGGUAGACAUACACCAAUCCAUAUAGAUCUCCGAUGGGAAAGACCGAAACUCGUCAACGACUAGAUCUAAGAUGUCGACAUCCAGCAGAAAGACGACUUGGCGGAAGAAUAGUACUAGGGCCAAUCCACCAUUAUUAGGCCAAACCUAACAUCCCCACAUGCCGCCCUCCUCUUGAUGUAGACCUACAGACAAAUAUCAGCGACGCCGCAUCGUGCCACCUGCAUCUAUUGAGGCCCAAACUUGGCAAGAUGCCAACCAUGGCAGGAGACUGGGACUAGCCACUCCUGGGCACUGAUCCGGCAAUUCCCUGGCCCACCCCUGCCACUACGGCGACACCGCGGGUAGCCUACAAGCCCAUCCACGACAAUGCCUGAUUAGAAGGAUACAUGGAUAUACAGAUGGAAAGACCCUUGUUAUCGCUCAAGCAAUAUAUAUAAAGCUUAAUGGGGCCUAAGAAAGCUCGCACAAUUUUACGGUGGCUAUGGAAAUGUAUUGCCAAACUGAGACAUAAGAUUUUCGUUUGGCAUCCAGACCGUUUGUGUCAUUCUUAAUUUAUGGUCACUCUAAUUUUUCCGGCUGGGCCUUCCCUGUGGUACCGCAGCAAGGCAUGCGUGUGUAUACGUUUCCUUUAAGUACCAUGUGCAGGAUGAUGAUUUACUGCACGCAUGUGCGGGGGCACUCAUGUCCUGGUGCCGGGUUUUUAUUUUGGCUUCCGAUUUUCAAACUUCUAUAUCUUCUAAGCCAAAAAUUCAAUUUAAGUUAUGUAUUCAUAUUCGUGUUUCUCGCGGCCAGCGCUUUCAAAUAAGAUCCAUUUUGAAUACAUUUUGGCGACUUUUUGAAACACUGUUAAGUUUCAUUGUUUGAAACUUAGUACGAGCGACCAAUAAAAUUCAAUUAUUUUGUGUCUACGACCAACGGAGAAAUUUUCUUAAAAUUACAUCUUUGAAACUUGUUGAAACCGGGCAUUUUUUGAUGCAAAAAGGUAAGUUUCAUCAUUGAAACUUUAAGGUUUUUGAGGGAUUUUUUUCCUUGUGGAGCUUUGGAAAUGAGAGAAUUUGAUAAAGUAAAUCUCGGAAACUCUUAUUGGACGAGAGAGAUUUAAUAUGAUAUUGGCAUGGAUUCUACCAACUAAACGAAGAAGUAUUUGAUUUGGUAAACAGACAAUUUCCUUUAAUCGAUGAACAUUUUAGGAAAAUUGGUGGAACAACUUUUGAAAUUCAAAAAAAAAUUCUUGAUUUAACGAACAUUUUUUAACUUAACGAACAUUUUUAAAAAAUACAUGAUCAUUUUUUUGAAUCUGUGAUCGUUUUAUGAAUGAAUAAACUAGUUUGUAAGUCAUGAACAGUUUUUAAAAUUUUAGGGUAUUUUUCCAUUCAUGAACAGUUUUUGAAUUGCUGAAAUUUUGUUCAAUUUCAUUAACAAUUUUUAGUACACAAACCUUUUUAAAAAAUCAUGGACAUUAACUAGUACGUGAAAUCCCUAAUUAUUUAAAGUAGAAAAAAUAGAAAAGAGAAAGUAAUGGAAAAUGAAGUUAAAAAAAUAGGCCGACCGAACAUGGGCCGGCCCAAACGGGCGCGUUGCGUCUUCUCCCAGCGUGUAGAGCGCAGUAUACGUGGUCCCUACUGCAUGGGUCGGCCCAAGCGGAAGAUUUGUCUGUGUGAAACUUUUUUUAUCACGUACUGGUGGCAUUGGUGCGUAAUGCAUGUUUGCAUCUUUAGGGGCACUUUUCCCGACGUACCGCUAGAAGCAAUAGCCAUUUUAUUAUUAGUUAGAGAUUAGGUAUAGAUAUGAACCACCGGUAAAUUAGGUAGACGAUAGAUGACGACUCUAAAGAAGAUCACAUGUGUCAAGCUUGGAAUAGGCUAACAGAUGUUAGGGCAUCUCAAAUGUAAACCCAUAAAACAGACAUCACAAAUGUCCUUGAACACAAACCGGGCAUGAUAGGGGAGGGAGACAUCAAACCUUGAUGGCUGCUACCCAUAUUUCUCUCACAUUUCUCCAGCAUUUCAUCGAACAGUUGAUGUGCAGUAGUAGGACACGUCUGGUUCACGCAGCUGGCGCGUCAUGGGAGUUCUGCCUCAUCGGGCAUGACUGAUGUGUCGCAGGACGACGGGUGUGGUCUCGGGCGCGUCAGUAGCGGCCACGACGACAAGAGGAGGCCGCGCCAUGGGCGGAGCUAGCCACGGGAGCCAGCAUUGGCGCGGCACUAGACACAGCCAGCCCACGACAUGCCGGGCACGGUGGCAAGAGAGCUUCAUGAGGCCAGAGCCGAGCUAGGCCUUGAGUUGCUCGCCGAGCAGCCAUGGAGGGCAUGGGGAGAUGAGAUGCACAGGGAGAGAGGAGUGGAGAGAUAGGAGGAGGCGGAGAUGAGGAUGGAGUGCUCGCUGGCAGCUGCCCUCAUGGUCGUCCGUAGCCGGCGUAAGUGCUCUCCGUUUAGUGUUAUUUGUACAGAGAGGGAGGGAGUGGAGAUGUGGUGUUUCUUUUGGUUAGCUGGAUGUUCAGACUCUCACAUAGUCCCUCAAAUUUGUUCAUGUGAUAUCGAAAUUUGAACAUGUGGGCUGGUCCGCGGAUAUUUAGAGGUCCCCACUUGAAGAAUAAAAGUGGUCUAGACACUACUAUCUGACAUUUUGCCCUUAGUAGUUGGUGGAUAUCGAUGUGCUGUCCCUCCAACCUAUAUUAAAAGAUUCAUUCACCGUCCGAUCCCUUCUACAAAACAUGUCAUUGCUUUCCAUGAUUCUCUUUUGUCAAUGUGUGAAAUAUUAGAAUUUGAGUUGUUUGGUGAAAUGUACGAGCUGACCGCCAAAAGGACAGAUUUUUACUUUUAUUUUCUACUAUUUUCUUUAUUUUAUAGUUUUUGGCAAGUGCAUUUUCAUAUGGUCAAUGUCUAGACCAUUUGAACAGUUUAUUUUGAAUUUGUUUCUUCCAUUCUAGCUAAAUAUAAGAAUUUACAAUGUUCGUUUUAAUUCUUUGGAAUAAACAUUUAUUACUAGUAUUAAAAAGACUAAAUUAGCUGCCGCAUUUUUAUUCCCUAAUCAUCUUGAAGGCUAUCUACACUUUGAUUAAAUUGUCAUAUUUUUUUUGUGAUAUAUUGUUUCCAUUAUGUAUAUUAACUCCAAUAAAAAUGAUGAUAAUCUAUUCUCCUUAAGUUAUUAUGAAUGUACUGAAUAAUUAAAUAAUAAAAAAUUACUUACAAAAUAAUAACAUCUAAACAUGCCCUAUGAAUACCAGGUAGAUAUCUAACUCAGGCACUUGUCCGCAAAAUAAAUGUUCUUCAAAAAAAUAUUGAAAGUAGUUAAAUUAUUUAAAAUGAAUAAAAAGCACAUGCUCCAUUCUACUUUACCGCUCUAGAUGCACUGAUUCGUUGUGGCAAUAGAAACACUAAAUUUCAGUCCCACUUAUAAAGUUUGCUAAGGGAUAUCUGACAAUAAAAAUUAAAAUAAAAUAUUUUUAUAUUAUUUUUUACUUAUUAAAUUAAUUAUUCUAUCUGUGUAAUUUUCUGUUACUUACAUAAAAUAGUUAACCAUAUAACAAUGUUGCUAAAUAAUAGUUAUAAUGUUUCUUUGUUAUAUAGUUGCAACAUAUAUCAGUAAAAUAGUUGAUUCAUAUUUAAAAGGUAUGAUAGAACAAAAGUUAUUUUUUCAAUCAAGUCUUGAAAUUGAAUAAAUUUAUAAUGUAUAUACAUAUAUUUCCAUACAUUUGUAUGUGUUUAUCGAGAUUUUAUUGUCAUUAAAUAUCAUGUUAGAGAUUUCAAAAGUGUGCUUUCUAACAUGUAUCUUAGUUGUAGUUUCUAGUGCAAUACUAUGUAAUCAUAUUUACAGAAAUUUCUAGAGCAUGAAAUAUAUGUCUUGCAAGUUGCAUUCCGUAAUAAGUUGGCAUCAUGACCAUGCUAUUGGUUACAAUUAUUUUUUAUUUUAGAUGAUAACAAAUAACAAAAAAAAUUAUAAAAUAUAAGGGUGAAUCAUGCAAGUGAGGAGAACACACCAAUGAAGAAAGACAUUGCAUUUCCACGUGGAAUUCAUAUUGACAAACCUUAAGAAUCACAUGCAUUUGUAUGUUUUUACAAAUUAUGCCCCAUUUGCGGGACUCAAAUACAAGUCAGUUCAGGGUGUGGAGCUACGAGAAAACGUAGCAUUCAAGACUAGAUGAGCCACCGACUUAAAAAACAAAUAAGUAAAAAUGGAGCAAAUAGGAGUAGCUGGAAAAUUAUUUGAAAGAUUAAGAGUAGCUGGAAAAUUAUUUGAAGGAAAUGGAGCAAAUAGCUAUGCAAGAAGUGCUCUCGCUAGAAAAUAAAUGUUGCAUUAGAUGAUCGACUUGAAAACACACAUAUGAAGUGGUGGAGCCAGAAUUUUCACAAUGGGUAUGUGAUACAUCUCCAACAUAUCUAUAAUUUUUAAUUGUUUCAUGCUAUUAUAUUAUCCAUCUUGGAUGUUUUAUAUGCAUGUAUAUGCUAUUUUAUAUGAUUUUUGGGACUAACCUAUUAACCUAGAGCCCAGUGCCAGUUUUUGUUUUUUCCUUGUUUUUGAGUUUUACACAAAAGGAAUACCAAACGGAGUCCAAUUGACCUGAAAAUUGACGGAGAUUGUUUUUAGUGUUAUUGGCAUAAUGCAUCGUGUAUAUAUCAUUUUGCUUAUUGUACACAGAUCGUCCCAUGCAAUGUGAGGUCAGAAUUCAACAAUCUGACUGGAGACUCUGUGACAUUUGAGGCUCCUGGGGGCCCCUACACUAUGGAUAUCGAGAAAGGACGAAAGAUGACGUGGGUGGGAGGAGAUGGAUGGGCCCGUUUCAUCGACAACAUGCGUAUCACCGGUGGUGAGUUGAUCAAGCUGGCCGUGAUUUAUAUCAACAAAGCAUAAGAUUAUGAGGAUGAUGAGGAUGAUGAUGACCCACUCGGUGAUGCCAUCAUAGCUCAAAGAAUGAAGUUGAGCGAGGAGGAGGUGUGCAACCUAUGGGACAUCAUUCCGCCACGUGCUGACUUCGUCGGGGUGCCAUUCGUGACCCGUCUGACAAGUACCAUGGUUGAUCGGCAUAUGAUGGUAUGUUGCAUUUACUGUAGUUUUUACAGUAAUUUGAUGAUAUGCUUUAUUGUUAUACUUAGUGAAGAGUCCGAUGAUAUAUAUGCAUAGUGAAUCUUAUAUGCUUUAUUGUUAUACUUUAGUGUAGAGUCCAAUCAUAUAUAUGCUUACUGAAUCUUAUAUGCUUAGUGAAUCUUAUAUGCUUUAUUGUUAUACUUAGUGUAGAGUCCGAUGAUAUAUAUGCUUAGUGCAUCUUAUAUGCUUAGUGCAUCUUAUAUGCUUAGUGCAUCUUAUAUGCUUUAUUGUUAUACUUAGUGUAGAGUCCGAUGAUAUAUAUACUUAGUGUAGAGUCCGAUGAUAUAUAUGCUUAGUGUAGAGUCCGGUGAUAUAUAUGCUUCGUGUAGAAUGUGUGAGGCUACUUAUUAGUUGAUACGUUUUUCUUAUUCAGAAAUUGCCAAAGAGCCUAUCUGAGAGUUGUGGUAUCAAGCCUGAUGAAGAAGGCUCUGCUGGAAUACGCCUUACCGCAAGGGGCUCCGUCGCCACUUGUGCAUACGGCGAGGACACGGACGGUCGCACACACUUCAACUCGGUUGGGUGGAAGAGCUUCCUCAUCGGCAAGAAUCUUCAUGUUGAACAGACAAUCCUAAUUACUAUCAGGAAUACCCACCGCCCAGGCUUGAGGAUGAUGGUCGUCAUCGACAUCAUCUAGAACUUCAUAUGCAUGCGUGUGGCUGUUGAACCAUAUAUAUUUUCUAGUAUGACUACCUAGUAGACUUAUCAACUAUGAUCUAUCCAUGCAUUGUUGACUACUAUAUGAGUUUGUGAGAUUGUGUGGUUAUAUUAAAUGUGGUACUGUCAUUAAUGUUUGUGAGAUGGUUCCGUGAACUUAGUUUAUUUGCACUGGACUUGUCUUGAUCUCCAUGAACAUUGCACCUGACUGCUUUUUUUUAUUUUUUAUUUCUGUUUGCCUAGUUGUAGCGUGGGGAGAGAAUAGGGCGCUACUACUACGUGAUGAUAGUAGUAGCGCUGGUGGAGGAAGCAUCGCUACUAAUAAGUAUUUUAGCUGUAGCGCUUGUUCAGAAACGCGCUACUAUUGAAUAAUAGCUGUAGCGCACUAGCAGUAGCGCGGGUGCCCGCGCUACUGGUAUGUAAAAAACCAGCACCACUAGUAAGCUUUUCUCUAGUAGUAUAGCCAUUGUUUAUGCCAGACAACUCUUCUUCCUGCUCGUCAGAUGCCAUGGAGAAAACUGUUCAAGGAGGAAAAUGGUGAGAAGAGGUGUGAUGCGGUCUUGCUCGACAUCUGACAUUGUUUAAACAGCGAGGGGACACAAGGAGCCAACCGGCGUUCUGUUUAAUGCCAGCCGGCUCGCGAACGGACAUGUGGCCGGAGUAAUUAUCCUGGCAUAAGCGCGGGUUUAAUGGUGGAAGGCGGGCAGUCUAUAGGAAUGAGGCGAGGAUGUGUGUUUAGCGGGCGUCCAGCGGGGCAGCACCCUUGGCUGGCGCGCCGCUUCCAUUGCGAAGGCAGUGAGAGGCCGCGUCCGCUCUGCAGUGGCAUGAAUACGGGCAGCUGGCGCGCUGCUUCCAUUGCGAAGGCAGUGAGAGGCCGCAUCCGCUCUGCAGCGGCAUGAAUGCGGGCAGCUGGCGCAGAGCGGGAACGCAUGUGGGCGAGGGAGGAGGGGGUUUGGGUGGGCACGGGUGGUCAGAAGCGGUUGUGGGUGUUGUCCGGACGCCUGCAAAGCCACCCUCCCCCAUGUUCGUCUCCGGUUUGCGGGAUAAAGUAUAUACGGAUCGCCCUGUGGACCGAUACAAGCCCGCAUUGGAUGGCACAACACGUCCAGACCAUGUGGUCCAGAUGGUUGUAGAUGGUUUAUUUGAGGGUCGGUGUUGGAUAUGCCUUAGAGUUUAUGAAUCCAUUGUGGUUUUCUAAUCAUAAAAAACACUUAUAAUAAGUUAUAAGGAAAGACACGUAUAUAUGUUAGGUUCACACUCCAGCUUUCCUCUUACAUAUGUUUUUUUUCUGGUCCGACUGAUUCCAAUAGAGUGAGCCUAGCGUUGUUUUUCUAAAAACUCGAGGGAUAAGGAGACAUGCAUACACAUUGUUUCAAGCAAAUCACAUCCACUCUUUUUAACUCAUUUUUUCUUGUUUUAAUAAUAUAAUAAAUCAUUUUUAAUUUUUAUUUCAAAUAGUUGACGUGUAAUUUAUAUUGUAAUCUAAGGAAAAUGUUUGGAUUUUACUUUGAAAUAUAUUUCAAAUGGCCAUGAUGGAAUCACAUCCAUUUACUUUAUUAUUAUUUGGAUUUGAUUCAAAAGAUAAAUAAUGGGUAGAGGUCAUGUCAACUUUUCUGAGAAGUUUGCUAAUCAAAAUAUAAUUUUUAUCUUAAUACAAUCCAUUAUUUGACUACUCUAUUUAUUUGUAUUUAAAAACAUCUAUUUUUAGCACGCAUGAAAAACAUAACACAUAUCUUUCCACACAUAAUGAACGGUUGUCAUUAGAAUUCAUGCCAUGCCACAGCCUCCCUCUGACCCUGCCAAUAUUGUUGCAGCUGCGCUCGCAAGCCUUUGCGUAGAUGAUCAUUUAUAUGAUUUGUGUAAAACAAAAUAAGGUCUACAAACGAAUAGAAGCUAGAGUAUACCUUGGCGUGCACACACAUUGCAAGCCAUACUAACUUGAUAAGUGUUAAUGACUUGUACAACAUAUACAGCACUUAAGACAAGUAAAAGCAAUUUGAUGAGUCAUGGUCUAUCAAAGCAAGCCACAUUACUAGUCUAAUCCAUCUUAACAGGUCACGCAUGAUUACAAUCUUGUUUAUGUGCAAGUCAAGCCUAUCUAGUUUACACGUAACAACUUGUAGAACAUUACAAAAUUGAUGUUUGCUAAUAACUUCUAGAACACUACAACACUUGACAUGUAAAAGGAAUUUGAUGAGUCAUGGCCUACUAAAGCAAGUUACAUUACUAGUCUUAUCUAUCUUAACAUGCCACACAAGAUUACAAACUAAGUUCUGUGCCAGCCAUGCUUAUCUAGUUUAUGUGUAAAAAUUUGCAAAACAUUACAAACUUAGUUUCAGAAAAGUAGGCAAUCUAGAUUAGUGUUUGAGUUGUAAAGUGAACAAGAUGAGUCAUGCAUGUUAUCACACCUUUUUGGUGGUGGAAUGAUAGUGCAACAACAAGGAACUUUAAUGACCAGUCCAAGAAUACACUUGUAAGUAGUGCCACCAAACACAACAUACCAAAUUAUGAUUUUGGGAAGCAUCCAAACACUUUACACACAAGCAAAUGCCAAUUGUGAAAGAGAUCAUGCCAUGACAGCUAUAAAUAGGCCCGUAGCAUGAUGAUCAUCCUUCCUCAUCCAUCAUUCUUAUAAGUAGAGUGCAUCAUUAAAGCCAAGCAAGCAGUGGUCAAUACAAAUCCAUCAUGAAGACCUUUCUCAUCCUUGCCCUCCUUGCUAUCGUGGCGACCACCGCCACAACUGCAGUUAGAGUUCCAGUGCCACAAUUGCAGCCACAAAAUCCAUCUCAGCAACAGCCACAAGAGCAAGUUCCAUUGGUACAACAACAACAAUUUCCAGGGCAGCAACAACAAUUUCCACCACAACAGCCAUAUCCGCAGCCGCAACCAUUUCCAUCACAACAACCAUAUCUGCAACUGCAACCAUUUCCGCAGCCGCAACCAUUUCCGCCACAACUACCAUAUCCGCAGCCGCAAUCAUUUCCACCACAACAACCAUAUCCACAACAGCAACCACAGUAUCUACAACCACAACAACCAAUUUCGCAGCAACAAGCACAACAACAACAACAACAACAACAACAAUAACAACAACAACAACAAAUCCUUCAACAAAUUUUGCAACAACAACUGAUUCCAUGCAGGGAUGUUGUCUUGCAACAACACAACAUAGCGCAUGCAAGCUCACAAGUUUUGCAACAAAGUACUUACCAGCUAUUGCAACAAUUGUGUUGUCAACAACUGUUGCAGAUCCCUGAGCAGUCGAGGUGCCAAGCCAUCCAUAAUGUUGCUCAUGCUAUUAUUAUGCAUCAACAACAACAACAACAACAAGAACAACAACAACAGUUGCAACAACAACAGCAGCAGCAACUGCAACAACAAUGACAACAACCGUCGAGCCAGGUCUCCUUCCAACAGCCUCAGCAGCAAUAUCCAUCAAGCCAGGUCUUCUUCCAGCCAUCUCAGCUAAACCCACAGGCUCAGGGCUCCGUCCAACCUCAACAACUGCCCCAGUUCGCGGAAAUAAGGAACCUAGCGCUACAGACGCUACCUGCAAUGUGCAAUGUCUACAUCCCUCCACAUUGCUCGACCACCAUUGCGCCAUUUGGCAUCUUUGGUACCAACUGAGAAGAGAAGAACUCUAGUACUAGAUAUAUGAAACACCGUUUUCUUAGUCCAUGGUUUGGUCGUUGUAGCAGUGAAAAAAUAAAGUGACAUGCACUAUCAUGUAAGAACCCGAACUAUACUAGUUCAAACUUGGGAAUAAAAGACAAACACAUGUCUUGUCUACAUAUGAUUGUUUGUUUGAGUUCCAUUCAUGUGCCAUCACAAGUUCACCCCUAAUUAUAUAUAUUAUGCAUUAAGUAGAUAUUUAUGUUGCAUUAAUCUAAAGAUAAAAAAAUGAGUCUGAAACUUGAAUUAAAUUGAAGUAUUUUCUAGGACUUCCAAAUGGAGUAUUAUUAAAGUAGUAAGGACAAUCCACAUCCUUGGCUUGCCCUUUAUCAAUUAUAUCCAGAGAAGCAUUCAAUUCAUCAAUCAAUUACAUCGAUUUUUGUGGCUGGUACUUCUCCUCAACAUGAGUAUAUUCAUUGCGGCUACUCCAAAUCGGCAUGAAUGAGGUACUGGUGCUCUGGAGCAGUGCUAGCUGACUGCUUCUCAUGUGAAGGGACGCAGGCGUAGGAGAGGUGUUCCGGGUGGACCUGGGGAGUAAGAAGUGGCCAUGGCAGUGGUUCGGACGCUUGCAAAGUCCCGUAGUUUGUAUAUGGUUUACGGGAAAAUGCACAUUUGGACCGGCCUGCGGGCCGAUAUAGGACCGUAUUGGAUGGAGAAACAUGUCCUCAUCGUUGCGAGCGGUUUGAGGGUUAGGUUUGGAGAUAGCCCUUACUUGGCCCCUCGUUAUGAAAACACGUUUGACGAUAGUUUUGUCUCGGUUCAAAUAUGUGUCAAGUUUAACAAAGUUCAUAGGAAUUUUUUUAUCAUAUCUACAGUACCAUACAAAUACACCGUAGACAAAAAACAUAUUUCACACUGCACCAUGAAUUGGUCAGGUAAAUGUUGGGUAUGGAGACUCUAUUCUCUUUUGGCAUGAGUUGCCUCGGUCUCAAAAGUUUCAUGAACUGUUCUCUUUUGCCACUAAGAAAAAGCUCUCUUUGGCUGAUUUUAUUCAUAGUGACCAUCUCGCUCUCCAUUUUCAUAGGCAUAUCACCCUGCAAGCUCUUGCUCAAUUCAUUGACAUCAUUGACUUAGUUCAUCAAAAAAAAUUCAAUAAAAGGAAUAAAAUAAUAUCACGAAGAUACCAAUUACAACCGUCCUCUCUAUCAACAAGAUAUCCAAAGACAUCAAGGAUACGCACAGCCAGAAAAAAAAUAGAAGAAAAAAGACCGCUCCAAGGUGAUAAAUCACUAGCAUCAGUAGCACUCUAAGCACACCGAAGACAACAUUCGGAUUACAAAAAAGGUUCUCCAAAAGCAACCCCCCAAGAAGGAAACAAUGCACAAGCGUUGUCAUUGUCCGAUUGGAGAUCGUGGGUUUUCACCCUAGAAAAAUUCGAAGCUCACCCAAAAACAUUGCCUUCAACUAGGCUAUUGCCAGGUACAACCAAUAAAGGCUAGACCUUAGAUUUUCACCCUCGGAAUUGAGACUUAGUACUCGAGGAGUACAACCAAAAAUGCAGUCCUCCAGUGAUGGCGCCCCUGCUUGCCGAGCUCGCUGUUUUGGGUCACCAAACACCUGGCGCACAUUCUUUAUGGCAUCAAUUACACCCUUCCACCAAAUCUUCAAGACCUCCAAUCGCAGCCGCCAUGACUUUAUCCACCUCUAUCAAUGCCUUGAGAAUCUUCACUUGGACAUGUCCCAUGACACCAAUAAGAAAUCAAAGCUUCUUGCCGCACCCUCUUGAGGUCGUGUUGGCUGAUAAUAUGAGCGUGCGCUACUGGAGCCUUUACGAUCUAGAUAUCCAGUGUCGACAUACACCAAUCCAUAUAGAUCUCCGAUGGGAAAGACCGAAACUCGUCAACGGCUAGAUCUAAGAGGUGGACAUCCAGCAGAAAGACGACUUGGCGGAAGAAUAGUACUAGGGCCAAACCACCAUUAUUAGGCCGAACCUAACAUUCCCACACGCCGCCCUCCUCUUGAUGUAGACCUACAGACAAAUAUCAGCGACGCCGCAUCAUGCCACCUGCAUCUGUUGAGUCCCGAACUUGGCAAGAUGCCAACCAUGGCAGGAGACUGGGACUAGCCACUCCUGGGCACUGAUCCGGCGACUCCCUGGCCCACCCCUGCCACUAUGGCGACACCCCUGCCUACAAGCCCAUCCACGACAAUGCCUGAUUAGAAGGAUACAUGGAUAUACAGAUGGAAAGACCCUUGUUAUCGCUCAAGCAAUAUAUAUAAAGCUUAAUGGGGCCUAAGAAAGCUCGCACAAUUUUACGGUGGCUAUGGAAAUGUGUUGCCAAACUGAGACAUAAGAUUUUCGUUUGGCAUCCAGACCGUUUGUGUCAUUCUUAAUCUAUGGUCACUCUAAUUUUUCCGGCUGGGCCUUCCCUGUGGUACCGCAGCAAGGCAUGCAUGUGUAUACGUUUCCUUUAAGUACCAUGUGCAGGAUGAUGAUUUACUGCACGCAUGUGCGAGGGCACUCAUGUCCUGGUGCCGGGUUUUUAUUUUGGCUUCCGAUUUUCAAACUUCUAUAUCUUCUAAACCAAAAAUUCAAUUUAUGUUAUGUAUUCAUAUUCGUGUUUCUCGCGGCCAGUGCUUUCAAAUAAGAUCCAUUUUGAAUACAUUUUGGUGACUUUUUGAAACACUGUUAAGUUUCAUUGUUUGAAACUUAGUACGAUCGACCACUAAAAUUCAAUUAUUUUGUGUCUACGACCAACGGAGAAAAUUUCUUAAAAAUACAUCUUUGAAAUUUGUUGAAACCGGGCAUUUUUUGAUGCAAAAAGGUAAGUUUCAUCAUUGAAACUUUAAGGUUUUUGAGGGAUUUUUUUCCUUGUGGAGCUUUGGAAAUGAGAGAAUUUGAUAAAGUAAAUCUCGGAAACUCUUAUUGGAUGAGAGAGAUUUAAUAUGAUAUUGGCGUGGGUUCUACCAACUAAAUGAAGAAGUAUUUGAUUUGGUAAACAGACAAUUUCCUUUAAUUGACGAACAUUUUAGGAAAAUUGGUGGAACAACUUUUGAAAUUCCAAAAAAAAAUCUUGAUUUAACGAACAUUAUUUUAACUUAACGAACAUUUUUUUAAAAUACAUGAACAUUUUUUUGAAUCUGUGAUCGUUUUAUGAAUGAAUAAACUAGUUUGUAAGUCAUGAACAGUUUUUAAAUUUGUAGGGUAUUUUUCCAUUCAUGAACAGUUUUUGAAUUGCUGAAAUUUUGUUCAAUUUCAUUAACAAUUUUUAGUACACAAACCUUUUUAAAAAAUCGUGAACAUUAACUAGUUCGUGAAAUCCCUAAUUAUUUAAAGUAGAAAAAAAUAGAAAAGAGAAAGGAAUGGAAAAUGAAGUUAAAAAAAUAGGCCGACCGAACAUGGGCCGGCCCAAACGGGCGCGUUGCGUCUUCUCCCAGCGUGUAGAGCACAGUAUACGUGGUCCCUACUGCAUGGGCCGGCCCAAGCGGAAGAUUUGUCUGUGUGAAACUUUUUUUAUCACGUACUGGUGGCAUUGGUGCGUAAUGCAUGUUUUGCAUCUUUAGGGGGCACUUUUCCUGACGUACCGCCAGAAGCAAUAGCCAUUUUAUUAUUAGUUAGAGAUUAGGUAUAGAUAUGAACCACCAGUAAAUUAGGUAGACGAUAGAUGACGACUCUAAAGAAGAUCACAUGUGUCAAGCUUGGAAUAGGCUAACAGAUGUUAGGGCAUCUCAAAUGUAAACCCAUAAGCAGACAUCACAAAUGUCCGCGAACACAAACCGGACUGGUUCGCGGGCAUGAUAGGGGAGGGAGCCAUCAAACCUUGAUGGCUGCUACCCAUAUUUCUCUCACAUUUCUCUAGCAUUUCAUCGAACAGUUGAUGUGCAGCAGUAGGACACAUCUGGUUCACGCAGCUGGCGCGUCAUGGGAGUUCUGCCUCAUCGGGCAUGACUGAUGUGUCGCAGGACGACGGGCGUGGUCUCGGGCGCAUCAGUAGCGGCCACGACGACAAGACGAGGCCGCGCCAUGGGUGGAGCUAGCCACGGGAGCCAGCAUUGGCGCGACACUAGACGCAGCCAGCCCACGACACGCCGGGCAUGGUGGCAAGAGAGCUUCAUGAGGCCAGAGCCGAGCUAGGCCUUGAGUUGCUCGCCGAGCAGCCAUGGAGGGCAUGGGUAGAUGAGAUGCACAGGGAGAGAGGAGUGGAGAGAUAGGAGGAGGCGGAGAUGAGGAUGGAGUGCUCGCCGGCAGCUGCCCUCAUGGUCGUCCGUAGCCGGCGUCAGUGCUCUCCGUUUAGUGUUAUUUGUACAGAGAGGGAGGGAGUAGAGAUGUGGUGUUUCUUUUGGUUAGCUGGAUGUUCAGACUCUCGCAUAGUCCCUCAAAUUUGUUCCUGUGAUAUCGAAAUUUGAACAUGUGGGCUGGUCCGCGGAUAUUUAGAGGUCCCCACUUGAAGAAUAAAAAUGGUCUAGACACUACUAUCUGACAUUUUGCCCUUAGUAGUUGGUGGAUGUCGAUGUGCUGUCCCUCCAACCUAUAUUAAAAGAUUCAUUCACCGUCCGAUCCCUUCUACAAAACACGUCAUUGCUUUCCAUGAUUCUCUUUUGUCAAUGUGUGAAAUAUUAGAAUUUGAGUUGUUUGGUGAAAUGUACGAGCCGGCCGCCAAAAGGACAGAUUUCUACUUUUAUUUUCUACUAUUUUCUUUAUUUUAUAGUUUUUGGCAAGUGCAUUUUCAUAUGGUAUAUGUCUAGACCAUUUGAACAGUUUAUUUUGAAUUUGUUUCUUCCAUUCUAGCUAAAUAUAAGAAUUUACAAUGUUCGUUUUAAUUCUUUGGAAUAAACAUUUAUUACUAGUAUUAAAAAGACUAAAUUAGCUGCCGCAUUUUCAUUCCCUAAUCAACUUGAAGGCUAGCUAAACUUUGAUUAAAUUGUCAUAUAUUUUUUUAUGAUAUAUUGUUUCCAUUAUGUAUAUCAACUCCAAUAAAAAUGAUGAUAAUCAAUUCUCCUUAAGUAAUUAUGAAUGUACUGAAUAAUUAAAUAAUCAAAAAUUACUUACAAAAUAAUAACAUCUCAAUGCCCUAUGAAUACCAGGUAGAUAUCUAACUCAGGCACUUGUCCGCAAAAUAAAUGUUCUUCAAAAAAAUAUUGAAAGUAGUUAAAUUAUUUAAAAUGAAUAAAAAGCGCAUGCUCCAUUCUACUUUACCGCUCUAGAUGCACUGAUUCGUUGUGGCAAUAGAAACACUAAAUUUCAGUCCCACUUAUUAAUGUUUGCUAAGUGAUAUUUGACAACAAAAAAUUAAAAUAAAAUAAUUUUAUAUUAUUUUUUACUUAUUAAAUUAAUUAUUCUGUCUGUGUAAUUUUCUGUUACUUACAUAAAAUAGUUAACCAUAAUACAAUUGUUGCUAAAUAAUAGUUAUGAUGUUUCUUUGUUAUAUAGUUGCAACAUAUAUCAGUAAAAUAGUUGAUUCAUAUUUAAAAGGUAUGAUAGAACAAAAGUUAUUUUUUCAAUCAAGUCUUGAAAUUGAAUAAAUUUAUAAUGUAUAUACAUAUAUUUCCAUACAUUUGUAUGUGUUUAUCGAGAUUUUAAUGUCAUUAAAUAUCAUAUUAGAGAUUUCAAAAGUGUGCUUUCUAACAUGUAUCUUAGUUGUAGUUUCUAGUGCAAUACUAUGUAAUCAUAUAUACAGAAAUUUCUAGAGCAUGAAAUAUAUGUCUUGCAAGUUGCAUUCCGUAAUAAGUUGGCAUCAUGACCAUGCUAUUGGUUACAAUUAUUUUUUAUUUUAGAUGAUAACAAAUAACAAAAAAAUUAUAAAAUAUAAGGAUGAAUCAUGCAAGUGAGGAGAACACACCAAUGAUGAAAGACAUUGCAUUUCCACGUGGAAUUCAUAUUGACAAACCUUAAGAAUCACAUGCAUUUGUAUGUUUUUACAAAUUAUGCCCUAUUUGCGGGACUCAAAUACAAGUCAGUUCAAGGUGUGGAGCUACGAGAAAACGUAGCAUUCAAGACUAGAUGAGCCACCGACUUCAAAAACAAAUAAGUAAAAAUGGAGCAAAUAGGAGUAGCUGGAAAAUUAUUUGAAAGAUUAGGAGUAGCUGGAAAAUUAUUUGAAAGAAAUGGAGCAAAUAGCUAUGCAAGAAGUGCUCUCGCUAGAAAAUAAAUGUUGCAUUAGAUGAUCGACUUGAAAACACACAUAUGAAGUGGUUGAGCCAGAAUUUUCACAAUGGGUAUGUGAUACGUCUCCAACGUAUCUAUAAUUUUUAAUUGUUUCAUGCUAUUAUAAUCCAUCUUGGAUGUUUUAUAUGCAUGUAUAUGCUAUUUUAUAUGAUUUUUGGGACUAACCUAUUAACCUAGAGCCAAGUGCCAGUUUUUGUUUUCUUGCUUGUUUUUGAGUUUUACACAAAAGGAAUACCAAACGGAGUCCAAUUGACCUGAAAAUUCACGGAGAUUGUUUUUGGACCAGAAGAAGCCCACGAAGCAUCAAAGAUGGACCAGAAGAGUCCCGAGGCCACUACGAGGGUGGAGGGCGCGCCCUACCCCCUGGGCGCGCCUCCCCUCCCUCGUGGCUUCCUCAUGGACCCCCCUGACUUGUUCCUGACGCCAACACCUCUUAUAUAUCCCCAAACUUCCAAAACAGAACCAAGAUCGGGAGUUCCGACACCGUAAGCCUCUAUAGCCACCAAAAACCAAUCGGGACCCUGUUCUGGCACCCUACCGGAGGGGGGGUAUCCAUCACCGGUGGCCAUCUUCGUCAGCCUGGCGCUCUCCAUGACGAGGAGGGAGUAGUUCACCCACGUGGCUGAGGGUAUGUACCAGUAGCUAUGUGAUCUCUCUCUCUCUCUCUCUCUCUCUCUUGUGUUCUUGAUAUGGCACGAUCUUGAUGUACCGCGAGCUUUGCUAUUAUAGUUGGAUCUUAUAAUGUUUCUCCCCCUCUACCUUCUUGUAAUGGAUUGAGUUUUUCCUUUGAAGUUAUCUUAUCGGAUUGAGUCUUUAAGGAUUUGAGAACACUUGAUGUAUGUCUUGCAUGUGCUUAUCUGUGGUGACAAUGGGAUAUUCAUGUGAUUCACUUGAUGUAUGUUUUGGUGAUCAACUUGCGGGUUCAGUGACCUUAUGAACUUAUGCAUAGGGGUUGGCACAUGUUUCCGUCUUGACUCUCCGGUAGAAACUUUGGGGCACUCUAUGAAGUCUUUGUGUUGGUUUGAGUAGAUGAAUCUAAGAUUGUGUGAUGCAUAUCGUAUAAUCAUACCCGCGGAUACUUGAGGUGACAUUGGAGUAUCUAGGUGACAUUAGGAUUUUGGUUGAUGUGUGUCUUAAGGAGUUAUUUUGCUAAGAAAUCUAGGGCUGUUUGUGACACUUAUAGGAAUAGCCCAAUGGAUUGAUCGGCAAGAAUAACUUUGAGGUGGUUUCGUACCCUACAAUAAUCUCUUCGUUUGUUCUCCGCUAUUAGUGACUUUGGAGUGACUCUUUGUUGCACGUUGAGGGAUAGUUAUAUGAUCUAAUUAUGUUAUAAUUGUUGAGAGAACUUGCACUAGUGAAAGUAUGAACCCUAGGCCUUGUUUCGAAGCAUUGCAAUACCGUUUUCGCUCACUUUUGUUACUUGCUACCUUGCUGUUUUUAUAUUUUCAGAUUACAAAAACCGAUAUCUACCAUCCAUAUUGCACUUGUAACACCAUCUCUUCGCCGAACUAGUGCACCUAUACAAUUUACCAUUGUAUCGGGUGUGUUGGGGACACAAGAGACUCUUUGUUAUUUGGCUGCAGGGUUGUUUGAGAGAGACCAUCUUCAUGCUACGCCUCCCACGGAUUGAUAAACCUUAGGUCAUCCACUUGAGGGAAAUUUGCUACUGUCCUACAAACCUCUGCACUUGGAGGCCCAACAACGUCUACAAAAAAAGGUUACGUAGUAGACAUCAAGCUCUUUUCUGGCGCCGUUGCCAGGGAGGUGAGUGCUUGAAGGUAUAUCUUCAGAUCUUGCAACUGAAUCGUUUAGUUUCUUGUUUUAUCACUAGUUUAGUCUACAAAAGAAAAAUACAAAAAAUGGAAUUGAGGUUGCCACAUAUGCUUCAUCUUUUUAGCAUCUUUCAUGAAAAUAAGGAUUCCGAUAAUUGUGCCAAAGUGUUAGAAGAAGAAUGCAAUACAACGUUUGGCACUAGAUCUUUGAAUGAUGAGAAUGAUUGCAAUGUUGUUAGUAUGAACUCUUUAAAUAUCCAUAGUACUAAUGAUGAUUGCACUAGUCAUGAUAAAAAUGUCUCUUAUAAGCAUGUCAACUUUUGUGGAGUGCAUAGAGUUUGCAAGUACACACCAAAUAGGGAAGAUAGAUUUUGCAAGAGGGAUCACUACUAGGGAAAAGCCUAUACACAUGAUCUUACCAGCAACGAGUUUUAAAAUAUGGCGCUGCCGCAAUUUAUCAGUAGCGUGCUCCACCAGAACUCGCUGCUGAAAGAAAAGUAGUAGUAGCGUGCCACCUCUAAGACACGCUACUGCUAUAAUUCCCACGACCCCGCUGCGGAGCUAGUUAUAGCAGCAACGCGUUAACUAGAAGGGCGCUACUGCUAGGUAGUUUAGCAGUAGAGCCUUUACGUACACCGUGCUACUGCUAAAACUACCUAUCUCCCCACCCACACGCUCUCCUCUAUCCGAUCCACACUCACACUCACACACACUCGAUCUCCCCCUCAACUCCCCCGCGCCGGUCCUCCCCCAACGGCCACCGUCGCCUACCCCUCCUCCCUCUGCGCCACCGUCACCUCCUCCUCCUCGCUGGACUCGGUACCGCCCUCCUCCUCCGUCCCACCUCAACUCGGCGCCAGCCGGCCCCUCCUCGCUCCUCCCUUCCUCCUCCGUCCUACUCUCUCCUCCCUCCUCCAGUCGCCCCUCCUUCUCCCUCCUCCCUCCUCCAUCCACAACCCCUCCUACCUACUACAUUUUGAUUUAGUAGGCUAGUUCAUAUGCAACAUUUUGAUUUAGUUCAUAUGAUUUAGUUGAUUUAGUAGGCUAGUUGAUUUAGAACAUUUUGAUUUUGUUGAUUUAGUAGGCAAGUUGAUCUAGUAGGCUAGUUGAUUUAUAGAACAUUUUGAUUUAGUUGAUUUAGUAGGCAAGUUGAUUUAAUAGGCUAGUUGAUUUAGUUGAUUUAUAGAACAUUUUGAUUUAGUUGAUUUAGUAUGCUAGUUUAUAGCUCUGAAGAUUUGGCACCACUUAGCUAGAUCUUAGGAUUAUAAUUGUCCAUCAAAUUUCUUCUCGUGGAAGAAGAAUCAAAUUGCUUCUCGUGGAAGAUUUGGCAUUUGGCUAUUGGUUCUAUUCUAGAAGGUGUUAGUAAGCUAUGAAAAUAUAAGUGAAGAAGAACCAAAAAAAUCACAUGCUACUAUUUUUCUUUCGUGUGAAGUGGAUCGUUAAUCCUUUGCUCAUAUUGCUUUAGGAAAAUGGCGCGACCACCACCACCACCACCAUGUCGAUUGUGCAAGUCAAGGUGCGCCAGCAGCCUUGCAACUGGCAAGCUGUUCGGCAUCUACUUCUAGCCGAGUUUUCGUCAUUCGGCGGUAAGAAAUAAUAUGAAAUGUAACAACUAUUUUAUUUUUAGUGAUGGCAUUACUGCAUUGUGUCAUUUUGGUUUUUUUUACAUAGAUCGUCCCAUGCAAUGUAAGGUUGAAAUUCAACAAGCUAACAGGAGACACUAUGACAUUUGAGGCUCCUGGGGGGCCGUACACUAUGGAGGUCGAGAAUGGACACACUAUUUCGCAGAUUGGAGGAGAUGGAUGGGCCCGUUUCCUCACCCGCAUGCGUCUUACUGGUGGUGAGUUGAUCAGCUUCUCCUUCAGAGCAGAAAGACCCAAGCUGGCUAUCAUUUAUAUCAACCGGGUGGAAGAUGAUGAAGAUGACGAAGAUGAUGAAGAUGAUGAAGAUGAUGAACAUAAUGAGGACCCACUCGAUGAAGAUGAUGAGGACCCACUUCAUGAAGCCAUCGUAUCUCAAAGAAUGAGGCUCAGCGAGGAGGAGGUGUGCAACCUAUGGGACAUAAUUCCGCCACGUGCUGACUUUGUCGGGGUGCCAUUCAUGACCCGCCUGAAAAGUACCAUGGUCCAUCGACAUGAUAUGGUAUGUUAUACUUACAAAUGCAAAUUAUGUGAUGAUAUGCUUAGUGUAGAGUCCAAUGAUAUGUUGUCUGGAAUCUGGUCAAUGAUAUGCUUUAGUGUAGAGUUCGAUCACAUGCUUAUUAGUGUAGAAUCAAAGGAACUAUUAAUAGUGUAGAUAAUCCUAUAUACUUAUUUGCAAGAGUAUGUGCGAGGCUAUUUAUUAAUUGAUAUGUUUUUUCUUUUUCAGAAAUUGGCAAAGAGCCUAUCUGUGAGUUAUGGUAUCGAGCCUGAUGAAGAAGGCUCAGCUGGACUACGCCUUACCGCAAGGGGCUCCGUCACAAUAUGUAAUUACCGCGUGGACACAUAUGGUCGCACAUACUUAAACUCAGUUGGGUGGAAGAGAUUCCUCGAUGGCAGAAUCUUCAUGUUGGACAUGCCAUCCUAAUUACUAUCAGGAACACCAACCGCCCAGGCUUGAGGAUGAUGAUCGUCUUUGAUAUCAUCUAGAACUACAUAUGUGUUUGUGGCUAUAUCAUCUAGAACUACAUAUGAUGAUCGUCAUUGAUAUCAUCUAGAACUACAUAUGAUGAUCAUCGUCGAUAUCAUCUAGAACUACAUAUGAUGAUCAUGGUCGAAAUCACCAAGUACUGCUUGAGGAUGCACUAUAUAUGAAAUUGUUAUCUAGUACUCCCUUCAUUCCAAAUUACUCAUCGUGGUUUGAACCACGAUGAGUAAUUUGGAACGGAGGGAGUACUACCUAGUACCUAUAAUGCUUUAUGAAAUUGAUAUCUAGUAGUACCUAGUAUCUGGACCAAAACCGAAACGGGGUAGGAAGCUGGGGAAAAUGAUGAAAGAUAUAGCACUAGCGAGGGGCUAGGAAACCGCUACAAUUAACUAAUAGUAGUGCGUUCCUGAAAAGCGCUGCUGAUAUAGUCAAUAGUAGUAGCACGGGUACCGACCGCGCUACUACUAAGAGUUAGCUGUAGCGCCUUACUAGUAGCGCCGCUUCCCGCACUGCUGCUAGCCUCAAAACCUGCGCUACUACUAGCGUUUUCCCUAGUAGUGCAUAAGUAUUUAAAAACUAAAUGGUUGCAAGAGAGGCUAGAUGUUUAUUAUGAAAAUAUAAAUUUUCGUACUUGUGAACUUUGCAAUGAACGUGGUCAUUUAACUCUCCAAUGCAAAUUGUUUCAUGAUCGAAUCAUGUCCAAAAAUUGUAAUGACUUGAUUUCCCUUGCACAUCAUAAUGAACUUAGUUUGCUUUUGGGUUAUGAAGAAAUGAAACAUAUAACUAAGGAUAUUCCAGAAUUUUUCCUUGAGAAAGUUCUUGAUUUUGAUCUAGAGGAAAUUUAUAUGUAUUGUGUGGUGAAUUGCAUUGAAAAUCCUUAUAUUGCAAAUUACAUAAGGACAAGAAAACAAAUAGAAUAUGAAGAGAAUACUAAUUAAAGGGAAGAGGUUUCCCAAUAUCCUCCUAUUCUUUCUUAUGAUGAAUCAGGUAACGAGGAGGAGCUUUCUAUUCAACCGAUCUCAUUAAUAAGGAGCUCCAAAAGGAGGAUUAAACCAACACAUAAUGUGGAGAAGAAAAAGAAAAGACUGAGAAGCAAAGGUAAAAAGGUAUCUCUCUCAAAUUAUGUUGCUCCUAUUAUUGUUAUGCCUAUUACUCAUUGUGAUGAUAAUAAUUGCUAUACUAUUGGUGCUAUCCAUACUAUUAAUGAUGUGAUUGAUUAUGCUUAUGAUAUGCAAAGGCCCAAGCUUGGGGAUGCUAUGUUUGAUGAGAAUGACAUGUUCGAGAAUUUAUUUGCUGCAAUUAAUGUUUGUCCCAAGCUUGGGUAUGCUAUGCUUAAUGAAGAUGAUAUUUUUAGUCUCCCAAGUUUUGAUAUGCACAUUUAUUAUGAUGAUAUCAUGCCUCCUAUUUAAGAUGAUUAUAUUGAUGGAAGUGGGUUUGGAAGAUUGUCAACUUUAGGAAGUAAUGAUCCCACUAUUUUGGAGGGUGUUGAAUCUUAUUGUGAUAAUGAUAAAAGUGGAUUUUGAGAGGUCAUGACUUUAUUUAGUAAUGAUUUCACUAUCUUCGAAGAGGUUUCAAUCGAUUAUGAUGAGAACAAGGUUGCUACUUGUGAUGAUUAUUGUGAUGACACUUAUGUUAUAAAAAGUAGUGAUGAUUAUAUUUCUAAACUUGUCAUGAUUAUGAAUACCCUUUUUCUAAACAUUUCUUUCAAUGUGGAAACAAUUUAUAGUAUUCAAGUUUCUUAUGAUACUCCCACUAUUCCGAAUGAGAAGAAUUUUACUUAUGUGGAGAGUAGUAAAUUUUAUAUGCUUAUGAAUCAUGAAAAGAAUGCUUUAUGUGAUGGUUAUAUUGUUGAAUUCAUUCAUGAUGCUACUGAAAAUUAUUAUGAGGGAGGAAUAUAUGCUUGUAGGAAUUGCAAUAAUAUCAAGUUUUCUCUCUAUGUGUUGAAAAUCUUGAAGUUAUGCUUGUUUUGCUUUCCUAUGCUAGUUGGUUCUUGUUCCCAUAAGUUGUUUGCUCACAAAAUCCCUAUGCAUAGGAAGUGGGUUAGACUUAAAUGUGUUAGUCAUAUGCUUCAUGAUGCUCUCUUUGUAGUUCAAUUCUUAUCUUCUAUGUGAGCAUCAUUGAAAUCAUCAUGCCUAGCUAAAAGGCAUUAAAGAAAAGCACUUGUUGGGAGACAACCCAAUAUUUACCCCUACUGUUUUUGUGUGUUCACAUGAUUAAGCUACUGUAUUAAUCAUGCUUUAUAGGUUUUGUUUCAAUAAAGUGCCAAGUAAGACCUUUGGGAUGGCUUACGGUAAUAGUUGAUUUGAUCUUGCUGAAAAUCAGAAACUUUUGCGCUCACGAUUUUUUUUCAUAAUUCACAGUAGCGUGCUUUUAAGUUGAUUCCUUUUGUAGAAUAUUAAUAAACAAUUUCUUAGGAUUUCGUAAUUUUUCAGGAUUUUUUGGAGUUACAAAAGUAUUCGGGAGUUACAGAUUACUACAGACUGUUCUGUUUUUGACAGAUUCUGUUUUUAUGUGUUGUUUGCUUAUCUUGAUGAAUCUAUGAGUAGUAUCGGAGGGUAUGAACAAUAGAGAAGUUGGAAUACAGUAGAUAUUACACCAAUAUAAAUAAAGAAUGAUCCAACAACAGUACCAAAAGUGGUGAUUUAUUUUCAUAUACUAACGGAGCUUACGAGUUUUCUGUUGAGUUUUGUGUUGUGAAGUUUUCAAGUUUUGGGUAAAGAUUGGAUGAACUAUGGAAUAAGCAGUGGCAAGAGCCUAAGCUUGGGGAUGCCCAAGGCAAGGUAAUAUUCAAGGACAACCAAGAGCGUAAGCUUGGGGAUGCCCCGGAAGGCAUCCCCUCUUUUGUGUUUGUCCAUCACUAACUUUACUUGGAGCUAUAUUUUUAUUCACUCAUGAUAUGUGUUUUGCUUGGAGCAUCAUUUUAUUUUAUUAGGUUUUGCUUGUUGUUUGAAUAAAAUAUUAAGAUCUUAAAUUUUUAAAUGUUAGAGAGUCUUCACAUAGUUACAUAAUUAUUCGACUACUCAUUGAUCUUCACUUAUAUCUUUCGGAGUAGUUUGUCAUUUGCUCUAGUGCUUCACUUAUAUCUUUUUAGAGCACGGCGGUGGUUUUAUUUUGAAUAAAUUGAUGAACUCUCAUGCUUCACUUAUAUUAUUUUGAGAAUCUUUUAGAACAGCAUGGUAAUUUUGUUUGGUUAUAAAUUUAGUCCUAAUACGAUAGGCAUCCAAGAGGGAUAUAAUAAAAACUUUCAUAAAAAGUGCAUUGGAUACUAUGAGAAGUUUGAUUCUUUAUGAUUGUUUUGAGAUAUGAAGAUGGUGAUAUUAGAGUCAUGCUAGUGGAGUAAUUGUGAAUUUGAGAUAUACUUGUGUUGAGGUUUGUGAGUCCCGUAGCAUGCACGUAUGGUGAACAGUUGUGUAAAAAAUUUGGAGCAUGAAGUAUCUCUGUGAUUGACAUCCUUUGUGUGGAGGUCGGGAUCGCACGAUGGUUAACUCCAACCAAGCCUUCCCCUAGGAGCAUGCGCGUAGUGCUUGGUUUUGAUGACUUAUAGAUUUUUUCAAUAAGUAUGUGAGUUCUUUUUGACUAAUGUUGAGUCCAUGGAUUAUAUGCACUCUUACCCUUCCAUCAUUGCUAGCCUCUCUUGUGCCGUGCAACUUUCACUGGUACCAUACACCCACCAUAUACCUUCCUCAAAACAGCCACCAUACCUACCUAUUAUGGCAUUUCCAUAGCCAUUCCGAGAUAUAUUGCCAUGCAACUUUCCACCAUUCCAUUUAUUAUGACAUGCUUCAUCAUUGUCAUAUUGCUUUGCAUGAUCAUAGUUGACAUCAUAUUUGUGGCAAAGAGACCUUUCAUAAUUCUUUCAUACAUGUCACUCUUGAUUCAUUGCACAUCCCGGUACACCACCGAAGGCAUUCACAUAGAGUCAUAUUUUGUUCUAAUCAUUGAGUUGUAAUUUUUCGAGUUGUAAGUAAAUAGAAGUGUGAUGAUCAUCAUUAUUAGAGCAUUGUCCCAUGUGUGGAAAAAAAGAGGCCAAAGAAGCCAAAAUAAAAAAGAGAGGCCAAAGAAGCCCAAACAAAAAAAUGAGAGAAAAAGAGAGAAGGGGCAAUGUUACUAUCCUUUUUUCCACACUUGUGCUUUAGAGUAGCACCAUGAUCUUCAUGAUAGAGAGUCUCUUAUUUUUUCACUUUCAUAUUCUAGUGGGAUUUUUUCAUUAUAGAACUUGGCUUGUAUAUUCCAACGAUGGGCUUCCUCAAAUCACCCUAGGUCUUCAUGAGCAAGCAAGUUGGAUGCACACCCACUUAGUUUCCUUUUGAGCUUUCAUACACUUAUAGCUCUAGUGCUUCCGUUGCAUAGCAAUCCCUACUCACUCGCAUUGAUAUCUAUUGAUGGGCAUCUCCAUAGCUGAUACGUCUCCAACGUAUCUAUAACUUUUGAUGUAUUCAUGCCAUGUUUAUAAUAUUUUUACAUGCUUUUGGUAUGAUUUGGUUAGAACUAACCCGGACUGACGCUGUUUUCAGCACAACUACCGUGGUGUUGUUUUUUGUGCAGAAAUAAAAGUUCUCGGAAUGCGCUGAAAAUUAACGGAGAUUUUUUGGAAAAUAUAAACAAUAUUGGAACAAAAAGUUAUCGGAGGGAGUCUCGUGGGCCCCACGAGAGUGGAGGGCGCACACACCCCCUGGGGCGCACCCCUGUGCCUCCUAGACUCCCCAUGGGUCCCCCAACUUGUUUUCGACGCCAACCUCUCCUAUAAAUACAAAUCCCCCCAGAAAAUAAUCUAGAUCGGGAGUUCCGCCACCGCAAGCCUCUGUAGCCACCAAAAACCAAUCGGCACCCUAUUCCGGCACCCUGCUGGAUGGGGGAUCCAUCACCGAUGGCCAUCUUCAUCAUCCCGGUGCUCUCCAUGAUGAGGAGGGAGUAGUUCACCCUCGGAGCUGAGGGUAUGUACCAGUAGCUAUGUGUUUGAUCUCUCUCUCUCUCUCUCUCUCUCUCUCUCUCUCUCUUGUUCUUGAUCUGGCACGAUCUUGAUGUACCGCGAGCUUUUCUAUUAUAGUUGGAUCUUAUGAUGUUUCUCCCCCUCUACUCUCUUGUAAUGGAUUGAGUUUUCCCUUUGAAGUUAUCUUAUCGGAUUGAGUCUUUAAGGAUUUGAGAACACUUCAUGUAUGUUUUGCAUGUGCUUAUCUGUGGUGACAAUGGGAUAUUCACGUGAUCUACUUGAUGUAUGUUUUAGUGAUCAAAUUGCGGAUUCAGUGACCUUGUGAACUUAUGCAUAGGGGCUGGCACACGUUUUCGUCUUGACUCUCCGGUAGAAACUUUGGGGCACUCUUUGAAGUACUCUAUGUUGGUUUGAUCGAUGAUGCCUCUGGAUGAACAGUGAUCCUUGUUUGGGGGUUUGGGUGCACAGUUACCGGUGGGAGGUUGGAUGAAUAGGACCCAGUGGUAGUAGAGGCCGUUGCCGCUGGAUGAACAGGACCCCGAUUGAUCGAGCCGGUUGGGGGGUGGAGGAAUGAUACGUCUCCGUCGUAUCUACUUUUCCAAACACUCUUGCCCUUGUUUUGGACUCUAACUUGUAUGAUUUGAAUGGAACUAACCCGGACUGACAUUGUUUUCAGCAGAAUUACCAUGGUGUUGUUUUAUGUGCAGAAAAUAAAAGUUCUCAGAAUGACCUGAAACUCCACGGAACACCUUAGAAAAAACAAUAAAAAAUCCUCGCCAAAGAUGAAGACCAGGGGGCCCACACCCGGUCCACGAGGGUGGGGGCGCCCCCCUGGGCGCGCCCUCUACCUCGUGGGCCCCCUGGUGGCCCUCCGACGCCAACUCCAACUCCAUAUAUUGGCUUUCGGGGAGAAAAAAAUCAGAGAGAAGAAAUCAUUGCGUUUUACGAUACGGAGCCGCCGCCAAGCCCUAAUAUCUCUCGGGAGGGCUGAUCUGGAGUCCGUUCGGGGCUCCGGAGAGGGGGAUUCGUCGCCGUCGUCAUCAUCAACCAUCCCCCAUCACCAAUUUCAUGAUGCUCACCGCCGUGCGUGAGUAAUUGCAUCGUAGGCUUGCUGGACGGUGAUGGGUUGGAUGAGAUUUAUCAUGUAAUCGAGUUAGUUUUGUUAGGGUUUGAUCCCUAGUAUCCAUUAUGUUCUGAGAUUGAUGUUGCUAUGAUUUUUUCUAUGCUUAAUGCUUGUCACUAGGGCCCGAGUGCCAUGAUUUCAGUUCUGAACCUAUUAUGUUUUCAUGAAUAUAUGUGUGUUCUUGAUCCUAUCUUGCAAGUCUAUAGUCACCUACUAUGUGUUAUGAUCCGGUAACCCCGACGUGACAAUAAUCGGGACCACUCCCGGUGAUGACCAUAGUUUGAGGAGUUCAUGUAUUCACUAUGUGCUAAUGCUUUGUUCCGGUUCUCUAUUAAAAGGAGGCCUUAAUAUUCCUUUGUUUCCAAUAGGACCCCGCUGCCACGGGAGGGUAGGACAAAAGAUGUCAUGCAAGUUCUUUUCCAUAAGCACGUAUGACUAUAUAUGGAAUACAUGCCUACAUUACAUUGAUGAACUGGAGCUAGUUCUGUGUCACCCUAUGUUACGACUGUUACAUGAUGAACCACAUCCGGCAUAAUUAUCCAUCGCUAAUCCGGUGCCUACAAGUUUUCCAUAUACUGGUUCUCACUUAUUUACUUUUCCGUUGCUACUGUUACAAUCACUACAAAAUACCAAAAACAUUACUUUUGCUGUCUUUACUUUUGUUACUGUUACCACUACUAUCAUAUUACUUUGCUACUAAACACUUUGCUGUAGAUACUAAGUUUCCAGGUGUGGUUGAAUUGACAACUCAGCGGCUAAUACUUGACAAUAUUCUUUGGCUCCCCUUGUGUCGAAUAAAUAAAUUUGGGUUGAGUACUCUACCCUCGAAAACUAUUGCGAUCCCCUAUACUUGUGGGUUAUCAAGACCUUUUUCUGGCGCCGUUGUCGGGGAGCAUAGCUCUAUUCUUUGAGUCACUUGGGAUUUAUAUCUGCUGGACACUAUGAAGAACUUGAAAGACGAUCGAACUACUAUUUUUCCCUCAACUACGAGGGGAGGUAAGGAACUGCCAUCUAGCCUUGCACUAGAUUCUCCUUCUGUUAUAAGUAAGCUUGCGACACCUAAACCUGUUACUACUAUGAAUUCUGAUAUGUCGCAUGUUAUUGAUGAUGCCACUUCUGCUAUGCAUGAUACUUAUGAUGAAACUACUUCUAUGCUUGAUACUACUGUGCCCCUUGGUGAAUUUCUUGAUGAGCAAAUUGCUAGGUCUAGAGAAAGAGAAAUUAUUGAACCCGGAUACGAUGAUGUUAGUGAUGAUGAAAAUAUGCCUGCUAUUCCCGAGGGUUAUCUUUUUGAUGCAGAAUCUGCAGCUAUUCUUGCUUGCCAGGAUAGAUAUGAACUUAAGAGGUUGCUAGUUAAAUGGAGUAAAGAAUCUUUUAGAGAUAGAAUGAGACCCGACCCUGCUUUUGCUACUUCACCUAUUUGUGUUCCCGAUAAGGAUUAUCAUGAUUUUUCUGUUGAUCCAGAUAUAAUUACUUUGGUUGAAUCUGAUCCUUUUUAUGGCUAUGAAUCUAAAACUGUUGUGGCACAUCUUACUAAGUUAAACGAUAUAGCUGCCUUGUUUACUAUUUAUGAGAGAUCGUGCUACCUUUAUUUACUCAAAAUAUUUCCGUUCUCAUUAAAGGGUGAUGCUAAGAUAUGGUUUAAUUCUCUUGAUCCUGGUUGUGUGCAAAGUCACCAGGAUAUGAUUUAUUACUUUUCUGCUAAAUAUUUCCCUGCUCAUAAGAAACAAGCUGCUUUGAGGGAAAUAUACAACUUUGUGCAAAUUGAAGAAGAGAGUCUCCCACAAGCUUGGGGGAGGCUUCUCAAGUUACUUAAUGCUUUGCCAGAUCAUCCUCUUAAGAAACCUGAAAUAUUUGAUAUCUUUUAUAAUGGACUAACUGAUGCUUCCAGAGAUUUCCUGGACAGUUGUGCUGGUUCUCUUUUCAGGGAAAGAACACUGGAUGAAGCUGAAAUUCUAUUGAAUAAUAUGUUGGCAAAUGAAAAUAAUUGGGCACCUCCUGAGCCAGCUCCAGAGCCAAUUACCGAGCCUAUUCCUAAACCAACUCCGAAGAAGAGAGGUGUUCUAUUUCUCCGUCCCAAAGAUAUGCAAGUGGCAAAGAAAUCUAUGAAAGAAAAAGGUAUUAAAGCUGAAGAUGUUAAGAGUUUACCUCCUAUUGAAGAAAUACAUGGUCUUAAUUUACCGCCUGUUGAAGAAGUAUAUGAUCUCAAUUACUUAUUUACUGAAGAACCUCCUGAUAUCCCAACACAGGUAGUAAAGGUAAAUUCUCUCUAUCGAUAUGAUAAAGAUGAAGUUCCCACUACUAAAAUAGCUAGUCAGUGCUUGGAUGAGUUUGGUGACUUUAUGUUUAAGCAAGAUGACUUUAAUGCUUAUUUUGGUAGACAAUUAUAACAGAAUACCUUUAUGAUUAAACGCUUGGGUGAUUAUAUGGCUAAUAUUAGAGGUGAACUUAAAAUUGUUAGCAAACAUGCUUCUAUGGUUACCACUCAAGUAGAACAAGUACUUAAAGCUCAGAAAGAAGUGCUUGAUGAAAUGAAUAGUAAGAAAAAUGAUUAUGCUGUUAGAGUGGCUACUAGAACUGGUAGAAUGACUCAGGAACCUUUGUAUCCUGAAGGCCACCCUAAGAGAAUCGAGCAAGAUUCUCAGUGAAAUAAUAUUGAUGUACCUAGUUCUUCUAAGAGGAAGAAAAAGAAAAAUAAUAGGACUUUGCAAACUUCUAGUGAACCUAUUGCUGAACCACCUGAGAAUCCGAAUGAUAUCUCUAUUUCUGAUGCUGAAACACAAUCAGGUGAUGAACAUGAACCUAGUGAUAAUGUUAAUGAUAAUGUUCAUGUUGAUGCUCAACCUAGUAAUGAUAAUGAUGUAGAAGUUGAACCUGCUGUUGAUCUUGAUAACCCACAAUCAAAGAAUCAACGUUAUGAUAAAAGAGACUUUGUUGCUAGGAAACAUGGUAAAGAAAGGGAACCAUGGGUUCAGAAACCCAUGCCUUUUCCUCAGAAACCAUCCAAGAAAAAGGAUGAUGAGGAUUUUGAGCGCUUUGCUGAAAUGAUUAGACCCAUCUUUUUGCGUAUGCGAUUAACUGAUGUACUCAAAACAAAUCCUUAUGCUAAGUAUAUGAAGGAUAUCAUUACUAAUAAAAGAAAGAUACCUGAAGCUGAAAUUUCCACCAUGCUUGCUAAUUAUACUUUUAAGGGUGGAAUACCCAAAGAAACUUGGAGAUCCAGGAGUACCUACUAUACCCUUCUCCAUUAAGAGAAAUUAUGUUAAAACUACUUUAUGUGAUCUUGGAGCCGGUGUCAGUGUUAUGCCUCUCUCUUUAUAUUGUAGACUUGACUUGAAUAAGUUGACACCUACUAAAAUAUCUUUGCAAAUGGCUGAUAAAUCAACUGCUAUACCUGUCGGUAUUUGUGAGGAUGUGCUUGUUGUAGUUGCAAACGUUACUAUUUUAACGGACUUUGUUAUUCUUGAUAUUCCCGAGGAUGAUAGUAUGUCUAUUAUUCUUGGAAGACCUUUCCUUAAUACUGCAGGGGCUGUGAUUGAUUGCACCAAAGGCAAUGUCACUUUUCAUGUUAAUGGCAAUGAGCACAUGGUACACUUUCCGAGAAAACAACCUCAAGUUUAUAGUAUCAACUCUAUUGGAAAAAUUCCAUCGAUUAUAUUUGGAGGUUUUGAAUUUCCCCUCCCCACUGUCAAGAAAAAGUAUGAUAUUCUUAUCGUUGGGGAUUUUCAUAUCCCCGUUGAGGUAACUUAGUGUCAUUCGAAAUUUCUCCGGUUCCGUGAUUAUUCCGAAUGAGUUCGUUAACAAGACUCGAUCAACCUUGUUAGUGGGUUCAUUUUGAUGAUCAUGAUAUGGAUGAAACUAGAAGCACAACCUUCUGUACCCUCUUUAUAUUUUCUGUUAUUUAGUAGAAAUAAAGUAAAAUAGUAUUUUUCUGUCUGUCUCCUGACUUAUCCGUGCAAUAUAAAAAUAUCCCAAAAAUAAAAGUCCUCAGAAUGCCAUGCCAAUUUAAUAUGGUUUUUUCGGGAAUAUUUGAGAAUUUACUGUGCAAAAAUUACCACGGGGGGAGCUGCCACCUGGUCACGAGGGUGGAGGGCGCACCCUACCCCCUGGGCGCGCCCCCUACCUCGUGGGCCCACGGUGGCCCUCCUCCACUUAUCUCUGCACCCAUCUUCUUCCUCUGCCUCACACAAACACGAAAAACCAACUCAAGCACAAGUUCCAGCCCCCGUUGUUGUGAUUUUCGAUCUCCUUGCUCAAAGCACCUCUUGCAAAACUGCUUGGGGAGAUUGUUCCUUGGUAUGUGACUCCUCCAUUGGUCCAAUUAGUUUUCGUUCUAGUGCUUUAUUCAUUGCAAAUUUGUGCUGCAUAGGUGACCAUGUUCUUGAGCUUGCAUGUCAAAUUUAUAUGGUUCCAAGUAGUCCCAAUGCUUUAUAUAGGCUCUAGGCACUUUUGGGAGUUGUUACUAUCAAUUUUAUUGAAGUUGGUUCACUUUUAUUUGAAGUUACUAAAAAUUCAAGAAAUUUUUCAGAGGAAACAAUAUGUUUAGGAGGAUGUUCCAAGGUGGUUCUUCAAGGAAGCAAGGUCCCAGACUUGCAAUACGUGAUGCUGACGAGGAACCACCAAGAGACGCUCCUGUGAGGCCCUGUGAAUGGCCUUCGGAAAAUUUUAUGAAUCAAGUGGGAAUCAAAGAAGAAUUUAGUGCAUAAUUGAGUAACGCCGGUCUUGAGGACUUUGAAGCUGACAAAUGCCCCCAGUAUUAUGAUCUCACAAGUUCAUUUGUGAGGAGGUUUGAGUUUUCAUCUUCGCGUAAUUCUCCUUCAGUCAUGUUUGACCUUUAUGACAAAUCUUAUACCAUGGACUUAGAGGAUUUCACUUCUGCUUGCAAACUUUCAUCUUGGGGUAAUGUCAGGGAUCCCCCUAAAUCUGAAUAUAGAGACUUUCUUGCUAGGAUAACUGUGGGGGAAUCUAGAGAUAUAACACAAGCCACUAUAGGGAGCGUUCACUUUCCUGCUAUACAUUAUUUUGCUCUCUUCAUAGGUAGAUGCAUAAAUGCUAAGGAUGAAGCAUGUGACAUGUGUGUCCCUGAUCUCAGCAUUCUAAGGAGUGCUGUGUUAGGAGACCAAUCUUAUCAUAUGGGAGCCAUUGUAGCUCGCAGGAUGCAUCAGAAUAGACAUAACGGAGAUUUCUUUUGAGGAAUUUAUGCAACCCGCUUAGCUAAUUUUCUUGAGAUAGACAUUUGUGAGGGUGAUAUGGAGUUACCCCCUUCUUAUUUAGAUUUUGAUUCUAUGGUUUCCCACCAGUUUGUUGAGAGGACUGAACCACCUCUCCAGUAUCGACUAAUCUUUAACAAACGUCAUGUAGUCCAUAUUGCUCUUCCUGUUCCUGCCUUCUUUGAUUUUCAGACAAAGGGAAGAUAUAUUAUUACCAGAGAGGAGGUAGAUGAGUACGAGAGGAGAGCGGAGGCUGCUCGACGCCACGCUACAGCUCAGGCGGCGAUAGCCGCUGCGUCACAGUACGACCCCAGCUACACCUACGGGUAUCCGCCAGACUGUCCCUAGCAAUAGACCAACUUAGGCCAAAAGCCUAAUCUUGUGGGAGUACGUAUUUCCCACCGACAUCACAUUUAUGUUCACACACACUCAUUGCUAGAUGUCGGUGCUCAUACUCUUUCACUGUAAUGUCCCUGCUAGUUUAUUUUCUUUUUCCUGCUUUCUUCUUGUGAGUUUGAUAAACCUUAAGAAAAAACCAAAAAAAAUUAGUAGUAGUUUAUUUCUUUGCUGUAGUAUUUAAGAAGAAAAACCAAAAAUAUUUCCCGUUCUUCUUUUGCUUGUUGGGAGCUUUCCCGUGUUAAUAGUUUUUAUUUCUUUUCCUUUCUUUGGGGGUCGAGAAGACUAUAUUGAAAAUGCUUAGUGGCUCUUAUAUGCAUGAUUGUUUAUUUAACUUAGAGCCUAUAUUACUUGUCUUCUCUCUUGAGUUGAAUGCUUGCAGAUUCCAGCUUAGUCCAAUGCACGUGCACUCUUAUUAUUAUACACAUCGUUCGGUCAUGCAAGUGAAAGGCAAUAAUGAUGAUAUAUGAUGGACUUAUUGGGAUGAGAAAAGCUGGUAUGAACUCGACCUCUCUUGUUUUUGUAAAUAUGAUGAUUCAUCGUUCCUGAGUCAGCUAUUAUGAAGUAAACAUAUUUGCAAUGACAUUUAGAGAUUAUAGUUGCUUGUGCCAUGCUUGAUUAGCUAUGAGUUAUAAUGGUUUGCCUUGCGUGCCAACAUGAUAUUAGAAUGAUUAUGAUGUGGUACGAUGGGAUGGUAUCCCCCUUUAAAUGAAUUGAGUGACUCGACUUGGCACAUGUUCACGCAUGUAGUUGAAUCAAAUCAACAUAGCCUUCAUGAUGUUCAUGGUGGAUUAUAUCCUACUCAUGUUUGUAUUCGGUGUAAAUUAAUUUUAAUGCAUGCUUACGACUGUUGUCACUCUCUCAGUUGGUCGCUUCCCAGUCUUUUGCUAGCCUUCACCUGUACUAAGCGAGAAUACUGCUUGUGCAUCCGAACUCCUUAAAACCCAAAGUUGUUCGAUAUGAGUCCACUAUACCUUCCUAUAUGCGGUAUUUACCUGCCGUUCCAAGUAAAUUUGUAUGUGCCAAACUCUAAACCUUCAAAUAAACAUUCUAUUUUGCAUGCUCGAUUAGCUCAUAUGUCAACUAGAGCUGCCCUUAUCUUCCGUGUUAGGCGGGUUAUUCUCAAGAGGAGUGGACUACGCUCCUCAUUCACGAGAAAAUGGCUGGUAGCCGGCAUGCCCACUCCCAUGCUUUAUGCAAACUAAAUCAAAAUUACUGCAAACAAAACUCCCCCUGGGACCCGUUGAAUGUUGGAGGCACUCGUUGUUUAGAGCAAGCCAUGGAUUGAUGCUUGUGGAGGAGGGGGAGUAUAAACUUUACCAUUCUGUUUGGGAACCGCCUAUAAUCUGUUUAGCAUGGAAGAUAUCGUCGUCUUUUAGUUGUUAUGUUGACAAAGAGAGUAUGACGCUCAAAAUAUAAUUUAUCUCUAUUUCAAAACCGAGCUCUGGCACCUCUACAAAUCCCUGCUUCCCUCUGCGAAGGGCCUAUCUAUUUACUUUUAUGUUGAGUCAUCACCGUACUUAUUAAAAAGCACCCGCUAGAGAACACACUGUCGUUUGCAUUCAUUAUAAUUGGUUUAUAUUGGAUAUGACCUGACUGGAUCUCUUUUACCAUGAAUUACAAUGUUUAGUCAGUCCUUGAUCUUUAAAGGUGCUCUGCAUUUAUGUUUUGCGGUCUCAGAAAGGGCUAGCGAGAUACCAUUUUGUUAUAUCAUGUAAUGAUUAUUUUAAGAAAGUGUUGUCAUCCGAGUUUUAUUAUUAUGGCUCGUUAGCUGAUUAUGCUAUUGAUAUGAGUAAUUGUGAGACCUAUGUGUUAUUGUGAGUAUGGUUAGUUCAUAAUAUUUGCUGAAACUUGAAUGCUGGCUUUCAUGUUUACAACAACAAGAGCAAACAGAGUUUGUAAAAGUUUUUCUUUUUCUCUUUCAGUUUGUCAACUGAAUUGCUUGAGGACAAGCAAGGGUUUAAGCUUGAGGGAGUUGAUACGUCUCCGUCGUAUCUACUUUUCCAAACACGUUUGCCCUUGUUUUGGACUCUAACUUGUAUGAUUUGAAUGGAAGUAACCUGGACUGACGCUGUUUUCAGCAGAAUUGCCAUGGUGUUGUUUUAUGUGCAGAAAAUAAAAGUUCUCGGAAUGACCUGAAACUCCACGGAACACCUUAGAAAAAACAAUAAAAAAUCCUCACCAAAGAUGAAGACCAGGGGGCCCACACCCUGUCCAUGAGGAGGGGGCGCCCCCUACCUCGUGGGCCCCCUGGUGGCCCUCCGACGCCAACUCCAACUCCAUAUAUUGGCUUUCGGGGAGAAAAAACCAGAGAGAAGAAAUCAUCGCGUUUUACAAUAUGGAACCGCCGCCAAACCCUAAUCUCUCUCGGGAGGGCUGAUCUGGAGUCCGUUCGGGGCUCCGGAGAGGGGGAUUCAUCACCGUCAUCAUCAUCAACCAUCCUCCAUCACCAAUUUCAUGAUGCUCACCGCCGUGCGCGAGUAAUUGCAUCGUAGGCUUGCUGGAUGGUGAUGGGUUGGAUGAGAUUUAUCAUGUAAUCGAGUUAGUUUUGUUAGGGUUUGAUCCCUAGUAUCCAUUAUGUUCUGAGAUUGAUGUUGCUAUGACUUUGCUAUGCUUAAUGCUUGUCACUAGGGCCCGAGUGCCAUGAUUUCAGAUCUAAACCUAUUAUGUUUUCAUGAAUAUAUGUGUGUUCUUGAUCCUAUCUUGCAAGUCUAUAGUCACCUACUAUGUGUUAUGAUCCGGCAACCCCGAAGUGACAAUAAUCGGGACCACUCCCGGUGAUGACCAUAGUUUGAGGAGUUCAUGUAUUCACUAUGUGCUAAUGCUUUGUUCCGGUUCUCUAUUAAAAGGAGGCCUUAAUAUCCCUUAGUUUCCAAUAGGACCCCGCUGCCACGGGAGGGUAGGACAAAAGAUGUCAUGCAAGUUCUUUUCCAAAAGCACGUAUGACUAUAUACGGAAUACAUGCCUACAUUACAUUGAUGAACUGGAGCUAGUUCUGUGUCACCCUAUGUUAUGACUGUUACAUGAUGAACCACAUCCGGCAUAAUUAUCCAUCGCUAAUCCGGUGCCUACGAGUUUUCCAUAUACUGGUUCUCGCUUAUUUACUUUUCCGUUGCUACUGUUACAAUCACUACAAAAUACCAAAAACAUUACUUUUGUUGUCUUUACUUUUGUUACUGUUACCACUACUAUCAUAUUACUUUGCUACUAAACACUUUGCUGCAGAUACUAAGUUUCCAGGUGUGGUUGAAUUGACAACUCAGCUGCUAAUACUUGAGAAUAUUCUUUGGCUCCCCUUGUGUCGAAUAAAUAAAUUUGGGUUGAAUACUCUGCCCUCAAAAACUGUUGCGAUCGGGUUAUCAAUGAACAGGACCCCGUGGAGAUCUGGAUGAAUAGGACCCCGUGGAGGGCUGGUUGAACAGUAGCUAGUGGAGGGCUGGAAGAAUAGUAGCCCGUGGAGGGGUGGUUGAACAGGACCCCGUGGAGAGGGCUGGUUGAACAGUAGCUUGUGGAGGAGCGCACGGUGGAGGCUGGAUGAACAAGAGCCCGUGGAUGAACAGUCGCAGGUGGAGGCUGGAGGAGGUCGAUGGUGGAUGAACAGUAGCCCGUGGAGGCUGGAGGAGGUCGACGGUGGAGAUGAACAAUAUCUUGUGGAGUCCCAUUUUGCGGUAUGCCACACCCCUCCCGAUGAACAGGACCCCGUUUCGACCGUAGCGCAUCAACACAAUUCCGUUUCCUCCAUUUUGCGGUACGUGAUAACCCACAAGUAUAGGGGAUCACAACAGUUUUCGAGGGUAGAGUAUUCAACCCAAACUUAUUGAUUCGGCACAAGGGGAGCCAAAGAAUAUUCUCAAGUAUUAGCAGUUGAGUUGUCAAUUCAACCACACCUAGAUAACUUAGUAUCUGCAGCAAAGUAUUUAGUAGCAAGUAGUAUGGAAGUAAUGGUAACAGUGGCAAAAGUAGCGGUAGCAGUUUUGUAGUAAUUGUAACAGUAGCAAUGGUAAAGUAAAUAAGCAAAGCACAAUAUGUGAAAAGAUCGUAGGCAUUGGAUCAGUGAUGGAUAAUUAUGUCGGAUGCGAUUCCUCAUUUAAUAGUUAUAACAUAGGGUGACAUAGAACUAGCUCCAGUUCAUCAAUGUAAUGUAGGCAUGUAUUCCGAAUAUAGUCAUACGUGCUUAUGGAAAAGAACUUGCAUGACAUCUUUUGUCCUACCCUCCCAUGGCAGCGGGGUCCUAAUGGAAACUAAGGGAUAUUAAGGCCUCCUUUUAAUAGAGAACCGGACCAAAGUAUUAGCACUUAGUGAAUACAUGAACUCCUCAAACUACGGUCAUCACCGAGAAGUAUCCCGAUUAUUGUCACUUCGGGGUUGUCGGAUCAUAAAACAUAAUAGGUGACUAUAGACUUGCAAGAUAGGAUCAAGAACUCAUAUAUAUUCAUGAAAACAUCAUAGGUUCAGAUCUGAAAUCAUGGCACUUGGGCCCUAGUGACAAUCAUUAAGCAUAGCAAAGUCAUAGCAACAUCAAUCUCGGAACAUAGUGGAUACUAGGGAUCAAACCCUAACAAAAUUAACUUGAUUACAUGGUAAAUCUCAUCCAACCCAUCACCGUCCAGCAAACCUACGAUGGAAUUACUCACGCACGGCGGUGAGCAUCAUGAAAUUGGUGAUGGAGGAUGGUUGAUGAUGACGAUGGUGACGAAUCCCCCUCUCCGGAGCCCCGAACGGACUCCAGAUCAACCCUCUGGAGAGAGAUUAGGGCUUGGCGGCGGCUCCGUAUCGUAAAACACGAUGAAACUUUCUCCCUGAUUUUUUUCUCCACGAAAGCAAAUAUAUGGAGUUGGAGUUGAGGUCAGUGGACGUCCAGGGGGCCCACAAGGUAGGGGGGCGCACCCAGGGGGAGGGGGCGCGCCCCGCCCUCAUGGACAAGGUUUCUUUCACCAGUAUUUUUUAUUAAUUCUGAAAAGUUGCUCCGUGGAUUUUCAGGUCAUUCCGAGAACUUAUAUUUCUGCAGAAAAUUAACACCAUGGCAGUUCUGCUGAAAACAGCGUCAGUCCAGGUUAGUUCCAUUCAAAUCAUGCAAGUUAGAGUCCAAAACAAGGGCAAAAGUGUUUGGAAAAGUAGAUACGAUGGAGACGUAUCAGUACGCCACACCCCUCCCGAUCAACAGGACCCCGUUUCGACUGUAGGAGGCCUAACAGAAGUCCGUUUCCUCCGUUUUGCGGUACGCCAGACCCCUUGUCGGUGUCAAAACCGGCGGAUCUCGGGUAGGGGGUCCCGAACUGUGCUUCUAGGCGGAUGGUAACAGGAGACGAGGGACACGAUGUUUUUACCCAAGUUCAGGCCCUCUCGAUGGAGGUAAAACCCUACGUCCUGCUUGAUUAAUAUUGAUGAUAUGGGUAGUACAAGAGUGGAUCUACCACGAGAUCAAGGAGGCUAAACCCUAGAAGCUAGCCUAUGGUAUGAUUGUUGUAAUGUAUGUUGUGUCCUAUGGACUAAAGCCCUCCGGUUUAUAUAGACACUGGAGGAGGCUAGGGUUACACAGAGUCGGUUACAAUGGUAGGAGAUCUACAUAUCCGUAUCGCCAAGCUUGCCUUCCACGCCAAGGAAAGUCCCAUCCGGACACGGGACGGAGUCUUCAAUCUUGUAUCUUCGUAGUCUUGGAGUCCGGCGGACGAUGAUAGUCCGGCUGUCCGGACACCCCCUAGUCCAGGACUCCCUCAGUAGCCCCUAAACCAGGCUUCAAUGACGAUAAGUCCAGCGCGUAUAUAGUCUUCGGCGUUGCAAGGCGGGUUCUCCCUUCAAGUUCCAUGUACCUGCCGAACAGUGUCCGGCUUCACCAUAAAUACUGUGUUUCUCAGCUUCUACGCCCAAUAAUGGUAUUCUUCCACGCGUCGCACAAAUGCGAAAAGCCAGGGUGUCUUAUACGUUUCACCCCCUAGUCGUGCGAGUCGUUCGCCUACAAAAGAGGCAAAAAUCCAGAUCCAAAUCACACCAUCUUCCUUCCGCGAAUAGUUCAUCGAAGCGCCCUUGACCUAAAAAUCCAUUCCAUCAUGGACCGUCGACGCGGCUCCUCUUCUCGCGCUCCCAGCACACCGCCAGGGGAUUGGAGAAGGUGCUUGGUUUCGCACAACGAGCUAGCGAAGCUCCAAGCGGGGGGACAUCUCCCUCCGGCCUUCAUGGUCCCAGUCCGGGCCGGACUGGUUACUUAUCAAGGUGGGAGGCAAGCGGGGGCUACCCCAAGCCCCAAUAAAGGGGAGCGAGUAUGCUUCGUCCCUUAUCUGAUAAGGGGACUCGGAUUCCCAACACAUCCGUUCCUCCGUGGGCUCCUGGAGUUCUACGGACUCUAGCUCCACCACCUCACGCCCGCCUCUGUCCUGCAUAUCGCGGGCUACGUAGCUCUUUGUGAGCUAUUCCUGGGCAUUGAGCCCCAUUUUGCAUUGUGGAAGAGGCUGUUCUGCCUCGUACCCCGUUCUCACGAGGGGUCCAUAUAUCAAGUGGGAGGCGCCGAAAUAUGGCGCAUUGCCGGGACCGGAUACCCAUCCGGUACUCCCAAGAAGGCGUCCGAAGACUGGCCUUCAGAAUGGUUUUAUAUAGGAGACGCUCCGCUACCGGACCCAGUCCGGAACGGCCUCCCGGAGUUUAGUGCUGCUCCUUUGAAGAAACGCCUCAGCUGGCGCCCACAGAGCCCCCGAUUGGAGGAAGACAAGAGCAUCCAUUACUUGAUGGGCCAAAUAAGAUUAAUGGCCCAUUCUGGCUUGACCAUGAUCGGAGUCAUGUCGACAUGCAUUAUGCGGGGGCACAGCCAUUGCAAUACAGAGGCCACCCCAUGUGGGAUUUCAACGGGGAACACGAUGCCACCCGUCAUGGCCGCAAAGGGCCAGAUUCGACCGAGGAUCUGGUGGAGAUCCUGUCCAGCCUAUACAAGGGGGAGAAGGAGGACUUCCUUCGAACGAACCCUUUGAAUGGGUUUUCCAUGAUCAACCCUAGAGGAUGGGUAAGUGAACACCUUUAAGGGCUUAACCCAUGCUUUCGAAGUUUAGGCUUCUUACAUUAUGUCUUCGGCGCAGGAUCUACGCCGGACUGUGGAGGACAUGGUAAGUCCUGCUCCGCAACCCGAGGAUCUGGAAAGAUCCCUAGAUCUGGCCUCCGAAGAGGAUCCGGACAUCGACCUAGAUCUGUGUCCGGCUUCCCAGAUGACCGCGACCGAAGUCCUGACACCAUUAUCUCUUCCUUUCCCCUUUCUAACCUUCGCGAACGAUGGUAUGUUACAGGAAGUGCCUUUACGGCAAGAAGCCGAGCCCGCGGCGGCUGACCAACAGAGGCCAGUCCGGACCAGCAAGCGGAAAAGGAGCAUGGUGCGGACGGAAACGUCGCCGCAAAGGUAUAACUCGUAUUUGAAUUUUCAGAGCAACGUUCCUAGGAAACGCCUGGGUGCUCAUGAUCUCUGUAGGAGCAAAAGCGCUCGCCGGACUGCGGGCGCAAAAGUUGUUAAUCCAACCUACAUUACUAGAAAACCCCCUACUAAUGGCGCACCUAAUAUGGCCAUUAAUGGCGCAUCUAUGGUGCGCCAUUAAUAGCACGCCAUUAGUAAUUUUUACUAAUAGCGCACCACCUGGUGCGCCAUUAGUAUUUGGUAUACUAAUGGCGCACCGCGGGUGCGCCAUUAGUAUAGGCCAGGGUGCGCCAUUAGUAUGCCUCCCAGGGGCCAUGUAUACCCAGGUGCUUUGGCAUACUAAUGGCGCACCACGACAUGAUGCGCCAUUAGUAACCGCGGCAUACUAAUGGCGCCUUGCCCAGUGAUGCGCCCUUAGUAUGCACUGUCAUACUAAUGGCGCACUGUCAUGUGAUGCGCCAUUAGUAUGAAUAUUAGGUUUUUUUUAUUUUUUAUUUUCUGUUUUUUGCACAAGUUACAAAAUGUAUAAUUUAACAAAAUAUAGACAGCACACAUUAACAACAGAUUCAUCGAAUACAAUAGAAGAUUAGUCUUUGAAUACAAUUCAUCAUAUUAGUCUCCGAAUACAAUUCAUCAUAUUAGUCUCCGAAUUGAAAAGACCGAACAAAGAUAGAACAUUAUAUUACAAGUCUCGAGACCGCGAGUAGCGAGUUUGUCUUCACAUUACAAGUCGAUAUCGAUCAUCUAAACUACCAUCACAUAGAAGAGAGCUGCGGUCAUCACGAUGAGCAUCAUCACGAUGAAACUCGUCUUCAUCCGGUUCCUCCAACGCUCCCUCCCCUCUCCCGGUAGAUAGCGGGCGUAUCUAGAUUCGGCCUCGGCCGUACUGGUGUACCCUUUGUAACUGUUACCGCUGAAUCGGUGAACCUGUCUCCGACACUCCUCCCAGUCGUCGUAGACUCCGGAAACCUUACCCUUGUACACGACAUACGUCGGCAUCGCUAUGCACUAGCCAAACGAAAUGUUAGUACCAAUUCACAGACAAUACAUAAGCAAUAUAUAAGUAUGCAACAGAACGAUCGGAAGAGAAAAGCAAGACAUUAAUAGCAUCGAUUACAUCUAAGUUGAACGACUCUCGAAACCAAAGAGACAUACUACAAGUUCAUUAAAGUUUAAUUACAACAUGAGCCAAUCGAUGUUUCAGAACUAGACACAGCAUCACUGCUUUCGACUCGACUCAAGGGACCGGAGCGUGGAUGAAGCCGCUGUCUAUCGUGGGAGUCAUCAAAUAACGGUCGUUGUCAGCCUGCAUUUGUAGCAUUGUGUCGAUGUCACUGUUGGACGGUUGAUUGUUGAGGUAGAACUGCCCCGAGGUACGAAGGACAUCUUGAUGGAUGAUUUCCACAAACUCCGACUGGAUGCGAAAGAAUUCUUGUCGGAGGUCCGCGUCGUGGAUUGCCGACACGCUCUUUGCCCAAUCUUUGAGUUUACUCGGUAGCAGAAGUUGAUGAUGGUCCCGUACGAUCGCCCGCAUGUGACCGCCAGGCGGCUGCUUGACGCAGCAGAACGUCGUAUUGUGGGAGAACACGUGCUUGCCGUACUUAUGAAUAGGCCUGGUGAAGGUGCCUCCAGAUUUGGCGUAGCCGGGGAGAACAUCAUCAAGAACCUUCUUGACAUUUGUGUAGUCUACGUUCGACUGAUGGUCCGGGUCGAAAUACGUGGCCAUGGAAUAUUUGGGGCUUAGGAGGAUGAGCGUGCAAUGUGUGUCACUGCAGAAAACACUGAAUGUUAAAAGAAAAACGAUCGAAAUGUAAGAAUUCAUAUGUUACGGGCCGGUUGAGGGGAGGACUUACUCGGGAAAGUAAGGCACGAGGAAGUUAUCCUUAUCUUGGUUUGCCAGAAUGACGCCUUCGAGGUAAGAACUCGCGACUUGCCGGUCCCCAGCGCUGCCCAAGAUCUUGGCACGCAUGUAGAAGGGGUCGACUAUCACGAUGUCCGGGGUCUUGUCGCGAAUGAUCCGCAUCUCCGUACUCAGCGAAAAUAGCCGAACAAAGGUGUAGUGCAGCGGAUGAAGGUUCAACAUAGCGUGGAUGUCAUCAAAACGCAGGACGAUCGUACGCCCGAUGGAGUUAUCCAUGAAGCCCUUGCCCUCUGGCACCUUGGCCGCGAAAACCGGGUAUGCCACAUCCUUCUCUCUGAGACGCCGCUUCUCCAAAGCAAGAACACUGUCAUGCAGACUCCGCAUAGCACCGGUUGCAGCAUUGAGCAUAUUUGUCGGUAGCAUCGCCCUACCCGCCAAAUGCACCCUCCUCGAGAUAUCCUGCGGUGAAGGUGGCCCGUCCUGAGCACGGAUCGUACUCGGUGCCGGCUGGUUCGCACCCUUCUUGGUCUUUCUUUUGUGUGCCUUCUUCUUCUCCUGUAAUGGGAUCGAGUUUUGCUCACAGACCGCCUUCUUGAGUGUGUUGGGGCUGAGGCUCGGUGAAGUCGGCAGCUGGAGGCGUCUCCUGAGAGCUGAACGCCAGACGGCGCCUGUUGCAACUUGGCUUCUCCGUGGUACCAGCUAGAUUGCACACGUCUUUUGUUGGGUUUGGUUCUUGAGAAGGAGGCCCCAUGAAGUCGCCAUCGUACCCAUGAUCGGCAAAGUACUGAUCGACGUUGCGAAAUGUAUCAUCGUCGUCGUCGUCGUCGUUCUGAUCCUGUGCCAUAUGCAUGUUUGGAUCCAGUGGCAUAGGGAUGUCCGGCACCAUUACGGCGGUCUUGCCAUGGGGCCGACUUGGCGUCGGCACGACUGGCGGUGUUGCCUUUGGGGUGGUGUCCCCCGCCCCCAAACGAAUCUGGCUCUUCGGCCAAAGCAGGGGCCAGCUCAAGCAGGCGCUGAGGGUCAUCACGUCUUCAUCGUCGGCCCCGACGGGUCGAAUCGGAGGUAACAAGUCAUCGCAGCCUGGCAGCACCUGAACCAGUUGAACCCUAAACAAGUUGGGUGGCAUCUGGGUACCGUGGAACAAGGGGUUGCCCGGUUGAACGAUUUUGCCCUUGGCGACAUCGACCAACUCGUUGUUCACGAAGUGGAGGAGAGUGCACAGAACGUCGGGGGCGCCCUGCGAAAACAUGUAGGGCGUCAGGGAUGCCCAGUCAAAGGCAAGGAGAUGAAGUCCUCGGCCGAGAGAGGCUUAAUUAGUUAUCGUGAUGAUGGCGUCGAGCUCGGCUAAUGUUGACGCACCGCCAACGGCGGGCGUGCAGUUGACGGAGGGGCCGCUUGCUGAAGAGGUGCCGCCCGGCGUACACCCGGGUGCAUUAAGCUCCCGUGCCGGCGUCGGAGACACCAAUGCCGCCUCCGCCGGAGGCACCAAUGGCCCCGCCAUCGCAUUAUGCGAGUUGCUGGCCGUGAAGCUAGGAAUCGGGGGCGGCCCCUGUUGGCCGCCCGCAAUCCACGCACUCAACCCCGAGAUCAAGGUAGGCACAAUGGCGGUGAUCGUCGCUCCGAGUCGUUGUUCCACUUGCUCUUGGACAAUCUCCGGAAUCCGCGCCACCUGUGCCUUGAGUUCUUGAACCUCUCGCGCCUAGCUUUCCGAGCUGGUCUUUCUCUCCUUCCGCACACCAGCGCUAUAGUAUGACCCCCAUUUUGUCGACAAGCCUUUGCCGGCCACACGACCAGCUGACGUCGGCUUACUGAGCUUAUCCUUGUUCUUCAUUACAUUCAACGCCCUAUUUAGAGUGGUGUCCCAAGGGUUGCUCUUAGUUGACCCCACGCUACUGCUUUCAGUCGCCUGCGGAAGGAAUGUGAACCAUUUAGAAAUUUGGCUUCAUUAAUUAGAAUGCAACCAUAUGGAGCUAAUUACGCGGGGGUGUAUUCCUUACCAGAACAAGCUCAAGCUGCCUGGUCUUCAGAUCCGUGGUAAGCUCCUUUGUUUUCGGGUCCUUCUUGUACCGGGCCCUGACAAAGUUCCUGGUCUGCUUGUUACCGCUGUAUUUCUUGAAGAGGGGCGGUAGGCCUUGCUUGGCACGGUCCGCCUCCUCCUUGUCCCAUAUAGGCUCCGCCACUUUGUAACCGCCGGGACCGAGUGUGUGUUCCCCUAUGUUCAGCUCCCGCAUUUGUUUCCCCCACUCACUUGAUUGGGAGCUUGCGGUGCUCGAGCAAUUGAUCUUGAAGUCGUUGUAGUCAUCUUCGGUGAUCGAAGGAUUUUUCUCCUUGAUCUUCUGAUAACUCUCACCUUUCUCGAUCAUUUUCUUCACAUUGCUUUUCCAAGUAGACAGGGCCUUGCUCAUCUUCGUGAGGGCAGCAUUGUUCACUUUAUUCCCUUUGAGGCUUGUGUUUGCAAAUUCAGCGGGGAACUUGUAUCGUUCGUGCAGCUUCGUGAAGAGGAGGUGGCGCAAAUUCCCUCGGUCAGGAUGCCUCAGGUUCUCGGUGUUGAUCGAGACGGUGCUCCGGACAAUGCACCCGAGCUGAAGCGAGUACCCCUUGACUAUUCGUUCGGGUGCCAUUGGAUUCCCGUUGGAGUCCACUUCAGUAACUUCCUCCUUGAGGGUGAGGAGCACGAUCGGGCGCCGGUCCUUCCGUUGCCUCUUCGGUUGGCUGCCAUAUGUGCGGGCGCCACCAUCAUCAGUGGUGGCAUCCUCGGCGGCACCAUCAGUGGUGGCAUCAGUGUGGUCAUCCUCGGCGACACCAUCAGUGGUCUCAGGAUCGGUGGGGAAGGCGGCGGCCUCAUACAAGUGAGGUUGUUCCUCCAUCUCCUGGGACAGCUCCCAGAAUGCCUUGCCGCCCGAACCCCCGGCCUCAUCAUUGUGGGCCAUGUUUCUCUCUAAAUAGAAACAAAGUUUGGUAAAAAAGUUGGUUAUUGUCAAGGAACAAGAUCUCUAAGUUGACCAAAUAACCUAAUUCUCGAGGAAUGUCACCAAAAAGUUGGUUAUUGUCAAGGAACAAUUGUGAGAUGUUUGUGAUAUUGCCUAGGUGUUUUGGGAUAGAACCUGUUAGUGUGUUGUUGCUAAGGUCCAAGUCCACGUUCUCAGGGUAACCUAGUUCUUGAGGGGUGUGUCUAGAAAGUUCACUCUUCUUUUUAGAAGACAAGCGUCUGAAAUUGUAUUGCCUUUCCUUAAUUUGUACUAUUUUUUCAUUGUGUUGAAUACUUAUGUGGGUGAGUGUAUCUGUAAUUACUUUUUACUACACCGCGGGGUGUUCAAACGCGCGGAGAGGAUAAACGCUAGCAGGCUGAUCAUUGCAUAUCAUUCAUAACCAUGAAUGAAGGCUCAAUGGACCAAGGAAAGAAAACCUACACAAACACAAGGAUGACUAUUGGAGACACUCAGACCUGCUGCUUUGUGUUGAUUGUUUAGAAGCUAGGGAAUGUCCAUUAUAUAUAGAUGCAGAGAAGCUUCGGCCGUGGUGAAGGUCAACCCCUAUAUUUUAAUUGGAGGGCCAAGAGAUAAGCUAAGCUGCAAAUUAUGAAUCUGCGUCAAAAAUUACACCACAUUCAGCAUAGGGCAGGAGACGCCUACCCUAAUGAAUAUGUUAUUCUCACAGCUCAUCACUUGCUGAACUUGUAAAUCAUUUCCGUGAAAACAAUCAAACGGUUUUCAGCGACAAGUGAUACAAGGAACUAAACUGGGUUUCAGCUCUACAUGGGCCAGAGUGGACUUGAGCAAAUGUGGACUUGAGCAAAUGUGUGUAUGUUUUUAUUUCGGUUGAGAAUCGGGCACCUUCUAGGUCAAGAAAAUUGGGCAUGACCUUUGCUAAUUUUCUUGACCUAGGAGUGCCCCAUUUCUCAACCGAAACGGAAAUUAAUCAACGUUUCACGAGAAAGGGGUUAUUUUAGAAGAUCACAAGUAGCAGCAGCAUCACUUGACAAAAUCACAACUAGCAGCAACAACUCGCAGAUAGCAGCAGCAGCAUCACUUGACAAGUAGUACAGCAGCAGCAGCAUGCAUGCACUGGUCCAUGGCACAAAGUCCAUGACCCAGAACAGAGCACUUUACUAAAAAUGAAGAAGAAAAAAGGCAUGCAUGCACUGGUUGUAGCAAAUCAUCACUUCUGAAUCAAAACAACAAUUAGGACAGGGAAAUUAUGACACACUUCUGAAGAAAAAAUGAUUUGUGUAAUCUGGUUGGUACUCUUACAGUUGCAUAAAUUGAAUUUUUUUUGAUCUGUGUGAUCUGGGUUACAGUAUCAGUAACCUUGCAUUUCAUUUUAUACAAAGGAGCUCACAAAGGCCAUGUCAUGCUUGGCAAUAUUGGUUUACUGAAACUAAAUGAACAUUUUACUGGUAGUGUACUGAUAGUGUAAUCUAGCUAUUGUACUGAUAUUUCUGUUUCUUUGAACAUUUUACUGUCAAUAAAAAUGAUGUACUGCUGCUUUCAGUUAAUUCAAAUUAGCUAAAACCUUUUACUGUCAAAUAGUGCUAAUGUUUACUCUAUGAAAUAAACUACUCCUCCUCUCUUCUCUUCUUUAGUUAAUUAGGAAUAGUUUUAGAGGUAACUAACAGAAACUAUUUAUCAUGUUGACAACAGUAGCAUGUGGACCUAUCAUGGUGAUUUCAUAUCAAAAUAGAGGAGUACUCCUGUUCAUUUGGAGAACUCAUACAACAAUUGUUAUGCAUCAAACUUGGGAUCAACAGUAGCAUGUGACAAACAAAUUAUACAUCAGGAAUAAAGCAUCAACUUUGUCAAGCGUAUGAAAUUGCUUAGGUUCAACAGAAAACAAAAAUGCCCUGUCAAUUUUCAAUGCCCUGUUUAAUUGACCGAACAAGUGUUUUUAUAGGCAUAAUACAGCAGCACAGCCCCAUAAUGAUACCACGGGCCACCUGUCUCAUUGUAAAUAGACAAGUAGUACUGUCCAUCAUGUAUUAUCUAAUACUGUAUAUUCUUGCUAGGAGGAAGACCAACUUUCUGGGUAACUAGUGUAUAAACUAAACAGUAUAGUCUGACAAAACAGAACUAAAAGCAUUCUGAGGUUGAACAGAAACCUAAUCAGGCAGUUUUACUAGACAAAGACGGCAACAAACAAAAUAACAGGCCAACCAAUGAAACCUAAAGAAGAAUGAUCCAAUUGACAUCAAAGUACGCAUUGACACCCACAUUCCACAAGAAAAUUGACAGCAUGACCAAUGAAACCUAAAGAAGCAUGAUCCAAUUGACACCAAGUAUACAUCAGCACACCUAGGAUCACCAUCUAGUCAUAAUUAGUCAUGCAUAGGUGUUUCACAUACAGAGGGGAGUUCUUGAUUAGUUAAGAAAAGCUCAAAUUUCAGGAAAGUUAAUCCAUAUUUCCAGUAAGUAAAUUCAGAUGCAAAAUGAGUACAUAGGUGCCGAGGGGAGGAGAGGAGGAGAAUUCAGAUGCAAAAUUCAGAUGCAAAAGCUCACCUUAGCAGCAGCUUGGAUUCAAUGGAGCUUGGAGGGGAGGAGACGGUGCCGAGGCCGUGCGGGAAAUGACGGUGCUGCGCGGGUUUCUCCUCUCCUCUCCUCCUCGAGAGGAGUGUGGCGGGCUGCUGCAAUGGAGAAGGGGCUAGGGUUAGGAUGGAUAGAAGCAAGCAGCCGAGGGGGGAGGGGGCAGCUCACCUGGCUUGGCGUCGAGGGAGAGGAGGAGCCGCUCUGCUUGCUUGGCGUCGAAGGAGAGGAGGAGCCGCUCUGCUUGCCUGGCGUUGAGGGGGUGGAGAAGCCUUUCUGCUUGCGUCGAGGCGGUGGUUGGAGACGUCGGGCGUCGAGGCGCAGGGGCGCAGGGGCAAGGGGCGGCGUCGAGGCGUCGGGGCAAGGGCGGCGUCGCGACAUGGAGGCGGCGUCGAGGCGGCGGGGCAGCGGCGUCGGGGCGGCGUCGAGGCGGCGGGGCAGCGGCGUCGGGAGAGGAGAGGGGAAGGGGAUCAAGGGAGAGAGAUGGGAUCGAUAGGUUUGGGCUGGGAGGAAGUAUGGAUGGGCGGGGGCGGCACAAUACUAAUGGCGCACCACCCCUCGGUGCGCCAUAAGUACAUCCAUGCUAAUGGCGCACCUCACCCUGGUGCGCCAUUAGUAUUUUGCUCGAGCCAACAGGUUAUCUACCACCUGAGCUGAUCCACAUCAAGUCCCGUCUACUAGCUCAACUGGUCAGCAGCCAGUUCCCACACUAGGAGGUCCUGGGUUCGAUUCCCAGGCUCCACAAAUUUUUUUUUAUGCAUUUAAAAUGUUGUUUGAUACUUAUUUGUGUUUAAAUAUGUUCAAACUUGUUUAAAUCAUAUCAGUAAUAUUUUUUUUAUAAGACAGUACUAAUUUUUUUAAAAAUAUCAUCAAACAGUAAUGCCGGUGGAGCGGGGGAGGGUGCAGGGGGUCGGCGGUGGCGGUUGAGUNNNNNNNNNNNNNNNNNNNNNNNNNNNNNNNNNNNNNNNNNNNNNNNNNNNNNNNNNNNNNNNNNNNNNNNNNNNNNNNNNNNNNNNNNNNNNNNNNNNNNNNNNNNNNNNNNNNNNNNNNNNNNNNNNNNNNNNNNNNNNNNNNNNNNNNNNNNNNNNNNNNNNNNNNNNNNNNNNNNNNNNNNNNNNNNNNNNNNNNNNNNNNNNNNNNNNNNNNNNNNNNNNNNNNNNNNNNNNNNNNNNNNNNNNNNNNNNNNNNNNNNNNNNNNNNNNNNNNNNNNNNNNNNNNNNNNNNNNNNNNNNNNNNNNNNNNNNNNNNNNNNNNNNNNNNNGGUUGAGUAGGGGAGGGGUGCGGGGGGUCGGCGGCGGCGGUUAAGUAGGGGAAUUGAGGGUGCGGGGGGUCGGCGGCGGCGGCCGGUGGACCGGGGGGUGCUCGGCGGCGAGGGGGACGGCCGGAUCUGGCGAGGUGGGAUAGCGAUCGAGAUGGAGGGGGAUCGAGAUCGAGUGUCCAUGAAAUUUAAAAAUAUUCAUGAUAGUUCAAAAACUGCCGAUGAAAUACAAUCGAGAAAUGAAGGUUACGAUUUAAAUACAAUCGCUCUUAGCUAGCUAUCUGUUCACAAUCUUCUUUCCCUUCUUUUUCGCAAAUGGAGUUCUUCUGUGGAACAGACGUCCUUUAGGUAGGGUGGUCCUACUUCUUCUUGUGGUGUAUGCUGCUACUUCAUCAUCGUCGUCAUGUUCGAUCCUCGGGUCGCCAUACUUGUCAAAGUCUUGCUCAUUGGCUACUCCAUCCAUUCCGAUGAUCUUCCUUUUGCCUCUCCUCACGACAACACGACUGGGCUUUGACGGGUCGGUAAUGAAGAAGCAUUGGUCCACUUGGGAAGCCAAUACCCAUGGCUCAUUUUUCGCGGUGACGUUUGCACCCGCAGUCUUGGAUUUGGCUUCGGGUAUAAUCAUGGUGGUGAAAUACCGGUCCUCUUUUAUGACGUUCUUGGCCCAUCUGACACGGAACAUCGGGACCUUCUCUCGAGCGUAGCUUAGCUCCAGAUCUCCUCGAUCCUUCCGUAGUAUCUGUCCUUGUCGUUACCGGUGUAGGAUUCCAUCGUUACCCCGGAGUUCUGAUAACCAUCGCUCUUCAUGUCCUUGGCCUCGGUGUAGAAUGUGUAGCCGUUGAUAUCGUACGCCUCAUAGGUCAUCAGGUUGUGCUCGGCGCCCUGUGACAAGGCGAAUAUGAGUUGUUCUUCCGCGGAAGAAUCCUCAUGUAAAGUGUACGACAGAAGCUUCUGCUUGAACCAACGCGUGAAACAUGAGUUGUGCUCUUUGAGUAUAUCUCCGUCCGUCCUCUGUUGGCCUCGGUCAUUGUACGUCUUCUUAAUAAAGGUUUUGUGCUCUACCACCCAAGGAUCGAGCACGUCUAUGUGUUGUAGGGCGACUAGGUUUGCUCUUUCAAAGUCGGCGAGUCGACCCUCGAAGUCGACAUGCAUUUCGCGGUGACCCUCAUGGUGACCCCAUCCAGCGAGCCUGCCGAGGUGCCUGUUGACGGGCAGACCAACGGGGUUCUCGAUGCCUAGAUAAUUCGUGCAGUAGGAGAUGCACUCUUCGGUCAGAAAGCCCCUGGCUAUGCUUCCUUCUGGACGUGACAUGUUGCAAACGUAUCCUUUGAUGACACCAUUCAUCCUUUCGAACGGCAUCAUGCUGUGCAGGAACGUCGGCCCGAGUUGGAUGAUAUCCUCCACUAUAUGGACCAGCAGAUGCACCAUAACGUCGAAGAAUGCGGGCGGGAAGUACAUCUCAAGCUCGCAUAGUAUCACCACGAUCUCUUCCUGUAGCCUUCUGAGUUGCCUCACGCCAAUCGACUUCCGAGAGAUGACGUCGAAGAAGUUGCAUAGGCCAAAUAGCGUUUCACGGACGUGCGCGUCCAUGAUCCCACGUAUUGCAACUGGAAGUAUCUGCGUCAUCAGCACGUGACAGUCGUGAGACUUCAUCCCGCUGAACUUCUGCUUCGCUGGGUCUAGGUAUCUGCUUAUCUUCCCCGCGUAACCGUAAGGAAGUUUUACUCCUAGGAGGCAGGUGAAAAACUGCUCAAUCUCCUCCUGACUUAGAGUGAAGCACGCGGGAGGGUAGUCAUUUCCGGUCUUCUUGGCCUUUUUGCCUUUGCGACGACUUUCUGUGUCCUGCUUCGCCUCAUCAUCAUCAUCAUCAUCAUCAUCAUCAUCAUAUAUAGCGUGAAGCUCCUGCCUAAUGCCCAUUGAUUUCAAGUCUGCCCUUGCUUUCGGCCCAUCUUUGGUCCUCUCUGGCAUGUUGAGCAGGGUACCAAGCAGACUCUCGCACACGUUCUUCGUGAUAUGCAUGACAUCAAGGCUGUGAGGCACACGGUGGAUCUUCCAGUACGGCAAGUCCCAGAAAACAGACCUCGUUUUCCAUACCUUCAGCAGCGGCUCUGGCGCCUUUCGCUUCUUUCCCGGCUCUGGCGCCUUUUGCUUCUUUCCCGGCAGUGGGCAGUCUUUCCAAUUUUUCAACAGCUUGUCUAUUUCCUCGCCGCUCCUCGUACACGGGCGUUUUCGGGGUUCGGUUUCACCAUCGAACAGAUCCUUGCGUUUCCUCCACGGGUCAUCGUCGCGAAGCCACCUUCGAUGUCCCAUGAACACGGUUUUCGAAGACCCGGGAUCUCUAUCUAGCUGGCGAUACGUUGUGUCAUCCAUGCACCUUACGCAUCCAGAAAAUCCGUGGACUACCUGCCCCGCAAGAUAUCCGUAACCGAGAUAGUCGUGCACCGUCGUGAGCAGUGCGGCUCUCAUAGGGAAAUAUUCUUUCUCUGCGGCGUGCCACGUAUUGGUUGGCGUUUUCCACAGCGUGUCAAGCUCCUCUUUCAGCAGCCCCAGAUACAGAUUGAUGUCGUUCCCUGGUUGUUUCGGCCCUUCAAUUAGCAUACUCAUGCGAAUGUACUUCCUCUUCAUGCACAACCAGGGGGGAAGGUUGUACAUCCACACAAACACAGGCCAGGUGCUAUGUGUGCUUCUCUAGCCGCCAAAUGGAUUGACUCCAUCGGUGCUCGCGCCCAGCACGAUGUUCCUUGGAUCGUUCCCAAAUUCUGGGUAUUCGAAGUUCAACGCUUGCCACUGGCUCGCAUCCUUAGGGUGACUCAGCAUCUUGUCUUUUAUAUCUAUCUCCGGAUCAUUUGCGUCAUCUUCUCGCUUCUUCUCAUCCCUAUCCGCGUGCCAACGCAGGAGCUUUGCUACCUUAGGGUCCGCGAAAUACCGCUGCAGACGAGGAGUGAUCGGAAAGUACCACACCACUUUUCGAGGAGCUUUCUUCCUCUUCUUGUAUCGAGUGACACCGCACACCGGACAUAUGGUAGACUCCGCGUGCUCGUCCCGAUAAAUGAUGCAAUUGUUCAUGCACACAUGGUAUUUCACGUGCGGUAAAUCCAGAGGACACACGAUUUUCUUCGCCUCCUCCAAACUGGUCGGGCACUUGUUCCCCUUGGGAAGACGUUCGUGCCAGAAUGACAUGUUCUCGUCGAAGCAUGCGUCGGUCAUUUUGUGUUUUACCUUCAUCUCAAGAGCCAUGAGCGUUACUUUCAGGCGGGUAUCCUCGGGCCUGCAUCCUUCAUACAAUGGAGUAACCGCGUCUAACUCAAGUUGAUCCAUCUUGGCUUUCUCUCGGGCGGCAGCUCUUGCGUUAUCCGUCUUCUUGAGAAGCAGCUCUUGAAUAUGAGGGUCCUGCACCCAGCCCAUCGAUGGUCCAGCGUCGUCUGCUCCGCCGGCAUCAUCAUCAUGUCCUGCAUCUUCUACAUGAUGACUGUGUACAGCAUCACCGUCGUGAUCAUCUCCUGGGGAUUCUUCGUCUUCUCGCCCCCCCGAGCCACGGUGGUUGUCUUGCUGCCCUUCCUCAUUUCUUGCCCGGCCCCCAUGGACGACUUUGUAGUCAUCUUCAUCACCUUGCCACCGAUAGCCAUCCAUGAAACCAUGCAAGAGCAGGUGGUCCCGCACCUGCCCGGAAUCCGGGUCCGCAAUAAGGCUAUUCAGCUUGCAUCUUCGACACGGACAUCUUAUCUCCGUCUCGUUCUUUUGAAGCAUCUCGGCCUUCGCGGACCUCAAAAACCUAUUCACGAUGCCUUCGGUCAUCGUGCGGACCAUGGUCGCCUGCGGGGUAGAGCAAAACGAUAUUUUAGAACCAAGAAGAAAUUUGGCAUGACUUUCCCUAAAAAUAGGACCAAAAAGAAUGCUUAAUGCCAAAAUUCUCGCCGAAACGGAAAUGAAUCAACAUUCCGGCAAAAUAUUGGCAACUAUCGCAUUUCAAAUACCGGUACACCUCCAAACACAAACACAUAUGCAACACCACAAACAUAUGCAACACCACGAACAUACAUAGAUCUAGCUAGGCCAUAAAAAGUGCAUGUGCACAUUGUUGUAGGGAGAACAACAUAAAUAUAGCUUCCCCCCUUACUUACCUAGCAAAACAAGGUAACUUAACCACUUAAUUUGAAUGAAUCUAUGGUGGAAAUGAGGUGAAAAAGAGGAGGCACCCGAGACAAGAAGGAGGCGGUGGAGAGAAUGAAGUGGGGAGAAAGUGAGUGCGGGAGGAUAGGCUGUCCAAAAUAUCUUAUUGCUGCCCACUUACUAAUGGCGCACCAGCAACAAAUGCGCCAGUAGUAAUCCAGGUUACUAAUGGCGCACCCCCUAGUGGUGCGCCAUUAGUAGUUUUGCAAAAAAAACAUACUAAUGGCGCACUCUGCCAUGGUGCGCCAUUACUAGUUUGAACUAGUAAUGGCGCACCGUGUGUGAGUGCGCUGAGGGAGUCCUGGACUAGGGGGUGUCCGGACAGCCGGACUAUCAAUAUCCGCCGGACUCCCAUACUACGAAGAUAGAAGAUUGAAGACUCCGGCUCGUGUCCGGAAGGUACUUUCCUUGGCGUGGAAGGCAAGCUUGGCAAUACGAAUAUGUAGAUCUCCUACCAUUGUAACCGACUCUGUGUAACCCUAGCCUCUCCGGUGUCUAUAUAAACCGGAGAGCUUUAGUCCGUAGGACACAACAUUACAUCUCAACAAUCAUACCAUAGGCUAGCUUCUAGGGUUUAGCCUCCUUGAUCUCGUGGUAGAUCUACUCUUGUACUACCCAUAUCAUCAAUAUUAAUCAAGCAGGACGUAGGGUUUUACCUCCAUCGAGAGGGCCCGAACCUGGGUAAAAACAUUGUGUCCCUCGUCUCUUGUUACCAUCCGCCUAGACACACAGUUCGGGACCCCCUACCCGAGAUCCGCCGGUUUUGACACCGACAUUGGUGCUUUCUUUGAGAGUUCCUCUGUGUCGUCACCGAUAGGCUUGAUGGCAUCUUCAACCAUCAACGCUGUCCAGGGUGAGACUUUUCUCCCCGGACAGAUCUUCGUAUUCAGCGGCUUUGCACUGCGGGCCAAUUCUCUUGGCCAUCUGGAGUAGAUCGAAAGCUACGCCCCUGGCCGUCAGGUCAGAUUCGAAAGCUUGAACUUCACGGCCGAUGACCGCGGAGACUUGAUCUUCGACGGACUCGAGCCACAGCCAAGCGCGCCGCACUGUGACGAUGGGCACGAUCUAGCUCUGCCGCUGGACAGUGCUUUGGAGGCCUUACUCGGAUCCGCUCCGGCCACUAGCCCGGAGCCGAUUGCCCAUGUCGAGGGUCGGUGGAUAGACGCCGCCCCGGGGGCUUCAACACCAACGGCGAUGGAGCCGAAUACCAAUCUUGUCCCCUAUGAAACUCGUGAUCCCGAGGCGCCGAACUCCUUGCCGGACUCCGAGCCUCCCGCGCCCCCGCCAAUUAAACCGGAUUGGGCGCUGGUUAUGGAAUUCACCGCCGCGGACAUCUUCCAGCACUCGCCUUUUGGCGAUAUCCUGAAUUCUCUCUCUCGCUAUUAGGAGAAUCCUGGCCGGACUAUGGCCAGGACGGUUGGAGUUCGGACGACGAAGAAAUUCAGAGCCCACCCACCACCCACUUUAUAGCCACUGUCGAGGAUCAAACCGACAUGCUAGAUUGCGACUCCGAAGACAUCGACGGAAUAGACGACGAAGCUGAAGACGAACAAAUAAUAGAGCUUAUACAGCACAAUACGACCACCCCGUCGCACGACAUAUAUAUGGUGGAUACCCCAAAGGGAAGCGAUAACGAGGACCAACGGGCCGCGGCAGUUCACACUGCCGACAAACGACCAAAGCAACGGCGCAAACGCCGCGCUAAGUCCCGCCUCGACGACAACAAUGCUCCCAAUGAGCCCGCUACACGGCAAGGCUCACAAUCGGACGAAGAACAUGCAAAUAAACAACUGUCCCAACACGACGAAUCAGACAGUCAAUCAAAGCCUGGAGAAGACAACAGUCCGGACGACCACAUGUCGGACACAUCGCCGGAGAAUAAGAACCUCCGGAAAAAACUUGGCAGCACUGCAAGAAGCCUGAAGAAGGAGAAACGGAAGCUCACAACAGCGGAAGAAACACUCAAAAUGAGAUGGGGCAAAGUGCUCAACACCGCAGAUAAGUACGGCAAUCGCCAUCAAUCAAAGAGCUACCCCAAGCGCAAGCUGUUACCGGAAUUUGACGAGGAGGCCAUAAAACCCCCACCGUCCAAAAAUAAAAAAGCUGCCUGGCCGGAUAGACGGCCAGACGACAGGCCAAAUUCUGAAAGCAACGCCACACACAACUCCACCAACGAACUCGGAAGGAUAGACGGCCCAGCCAGGUCCAUUUAUGGGCCAAAGGAGACGGCCCCAAGAAGCAAGACAACACGCCAAGUGUCCGAUGACAGCGGAGCACACAAAUACAGAGGCGCCGCACACCCACUAUGUUUCACCGAUGAGGUACUGGACUAUGAAUUUCCAACAGGGUUUAAACCCAUAAACAUAGAGGCCUACGAUGGAACAACAGACCCUGGAGUCUUGAUAGAAGAUUAUAUACUACAUAUACACAUGGCCAGAGGAGACGAUCUCCACGCCAUAAAGUAUUUACCCCUCAAGCUCAAAGGCCCAGCCCGUCAUUGGCUCAAAAGCCUCCCAGAAAACACUGUUGGAAGUUGGGAAGAGCUCGAGGAAGCAUUCAGAACAAAUUUUCAAGGGACUUAUGUCCGUCCUCCGGAUGCAGACGAUUUAAGUCAUAUAACACAACAACCCGGAGAGUCAGCGCGGAAAUUGUGGAACAGGUUUCUUACCAAAAAGAACCAAAUAGUCGACUGUCCGGACGCCGAAGCCUUAGCAGCUUUCAAGCACAAUAUCCGGGACGAAUGGCUCGCUAGGCACCUCGGCCAAGAGAAACCGAGGACAAUGUCCGCACUAACAAGCCUCAUGACCCGCUUUUGUGCGGGAGCGGAUAGCUGGCUGGCACGAAGUAGCACCAGCGACCCAAGUACAUCCGAGAUAAGAGAUGGAAACGGAAAAUCACGGCGCAGAAAAGAACAGCGCCGGAAUAAAGAAAAAAGCCAAAAGAGCACGGCAGUUAACGCCGGAUUCAAAAGCUCGCGGCCCAGUCAUAAAACUCAGCCGCUCAAGGAUGACAGUGACGAACUGUCUAACCUACAUAAAAUUCUGGGUCAGAUAUGCCAAAUCCACAGUACCCCCGGAAGGCCCGCAAAUCACACCCACAGGGAUUGUUGGGUUUUCAAACAGUCUGGCCGAUUAAACGCCGAACACAAGGGGCUCGACGCGUCCAGCAAAGAAGAUAAACCCCGCCAGCAGGGCACAAGAAAACAAAAGACUUUCCCACAAGGGGUCAAGGCAGUAAACUCACUUCGUGUGAGGAAAAGGAAAAAUAGUGCGGCACUUUCUAAAAAGAGCUUCGCACGGUCCAGCCCAGCAAACCAUAGAGAUUGGAUAUCAAAACCAAUCACUUUCGACCACCUGGAUUAUUCCAGAAGCGUUCGAAACGCGGGAAGGACUCCCCUGAUUUUGAAUCCGAUCAUAGACGGAUUGCAAUUCACAAACGUCCUAAUGGACGGAGGCAGCGACUUAAACCUGCUAUAUUCGAACACAGUCCGUCGGAUGGGGAUACACCCUACUAAAAUUCGACAUAGCCGCACUUCCUUCAAAGGAGUAACGCCUGGCCCUUACGCCAAGUGCACAGGCUCGAUAUUACUAGAGGUCAUGUUCGGGUCGCCGAGCAACCCUCGACGCGAGAAACUAAUUUUCCGUAUCGUCCCAUUUAAAAGUGAAUAUCAAGCACUGUUGGGACGUAAAGCUUUUAUCCGCUUCAAUGCCAUACCACAUUACGCGUCUCUUACACUCAAAAUGCCCGGCCCCCAUGGCACCAUUUCAGUGCGCGGGUCAUUUAAAGACCCCGGACUCGGAUAGACGAAUCCGGACUCAGCAGGCUAGGGGCUCCCUAGCCGCACACCCUUUCACAAGGGGCUGAGCGCACAACUAAACACGGUUUCAUAUAAACCUAGCUUUAAUUAUUUACACUUAUUCUUUUGCAUAUUUUUAGCACAAACUGUUUCUAAAACUAAAAUGUUCCUCUCUUUCUACAGAUGAACAACGUGCAUGCCCGUCCAGGAUAACGGCGCAACAGAGACACAGGCGCAUACGUGCAGUAGGGACCCGUCGCAAGGAUUCUCUUCAGAUUAAGACCCUACGUAGACCUUUUUUUUACUGUCUCUUGUUGUUAAUCUCCCUCGGCUUCUUCCUAUAGCCAAAGCGGAUCCUGACGCUUUGGCAUCGGCCGCGUCAGAAGACAAUGCCCGUACCUGGACACAAGGGGCUUAGGGCAUAAUUCUGCCCGUUAUCAUAAAGUCCGAACACCUUCGAGAGUGUUCGGCGUCUCAAGUUAGGCAUUAUAUGCAUCAGCUCCGAAUCAUGUCUUUGGUCAAAUGUUGGGUUUGCCCGGCUCCUGUGUUUUGCCGCCUUACGUUCCGUAUCACCCGGCUAACGCGACACCAGGAGAACUACUGCGAUUGUGCCCCAGUUCGGCUGGGCGAGCACCUCAGUAGAGAAAGCCGAAAACUGACUGUCAUGAUAUAGCGAGAGUCUGGUCAGCCACUUGAUCGACUAUCGGAAUGUUUAGAAUUCCCCGCUUUGAUGAAGGACCGCUUCCCGGUCAGGCACAUACGCACCCCGAAUCCGGAGAUGUGCGGUGUCAUUAGGGGUUAUAUCGUAGCCCCACCCUCGAGCUCCAUUGGCUAAGUGAAAGAGAUAAAGCAUUAUAGUCUGGAUUGCCUCGUUCGCUACGCUACCACCUCCUUAUAACAGGACCGAGACGUCGGAUUAAAGUGUGAAAACGCGCCAUUUUGCGAACACCCCAGCACCUUGUGCGAGGGGGCUGAAGCCGAAGACUGCAUCUUUCAGGUUAUACACAAGUAUACUUAAAACGGCCGCAAGGAGAAGUUUUACUACUUGGAAGCACAAGUAUAAAAAGCAUUCAUACUAUAAUCAUUGAUUUACAAGGUACUGCGUUCAUUUGAAUGUUACAUUCUUUGAGCACUGCGCCUCUACUUUACGAGCACCGCGCAUGACUUCUCCGAAGUAGUGCUCGGCAGGGAGCCGGCUUUCAUCCGGACCCUGGGCGGCAACGGCGGUGGCAUCCAUCUCCGGAUAAUGCACCUUCACACAAGCAAGGGCCAUCCGCGCGCCCUCGAUGCAGGCCGACCGCUUCAUCUCCCUUAUACGCGGCACCGCACCAAGGAAUUGCUGCAAUAAGCCAAAGUAGCUCGUCGCCUUGGACCUUUCUGGCCAGACAUGGGCCACGAUGUCAGUCAUGGCCAGUCCGGACAGUCUAUUCAGUUCGGCCCAUUCGGCCAACCUGUCCGUCAGAGGAAGAGCGCGAUCCGGGCUGUGGAAUUGAGACCAAUACAACUCUUCCGCCUCGUGAUCCCCUUGGCUCCGGAAGUGCUUAACGGCAUCAGCCGCACUCGCAACCAAGUCCAUGUACGGAUCCUACGAACUCCACAGCCGCUCAAAUUGAGCGUACUUGGCAUCCAUAAACCGGCGACGCAUAAGAAAAGGCUUGCCAGCCACGAUUUCUCCCGCUUGGCGCAGCUCCUCCUUCAUAGCCUGCAUUGCAGAGCGGGCAUCCUUGGCUUCGGCGGUGGCCUUCUUCAGGUCUUCCCGCUCCGAUAGGCGCUCCUUUUCAAGAGCCUCGCUACGGUCGGCAGCAUCCUUUAAUUUCUUGGCCAAUUCGGCCACCUCCGCCCUGCUUAGGCAGUGCGCAGCCUUUUCGGCCUUCAACUCUUCGGCCGCCCUCGCGGCAGCCGCAUCACUCCUUCGGGCUUGCUCCUUAGCUUGAGCAAGCUCGGCCCGAAGGCUCUCCACAGCAGCAGCACUGUCUGAAUAAACAGCAUAUAACUUAUCAGAAGAGGGCUUUGACCCACUCAAUAAAGCGGCUGCGGAGAAUUUAUUUACCUUGCGACUCGUCAAGUCGCUGAUUGACAAGUGCGAUGACAGCAUCUUCCAUGUCUAGUUGUCGACUCAAUUCGGCAAACUGAUUAGUCCGGCUGGCCCCCGGACUAUCCGCCACCUGUAUCAGAACGGCGGUAUUCAUUACCUGAAAUGUUUAAAUUUUCGAUCCUCGGCACGCUGUCGUCUUCGACAACCUACCGAGUCUCAGGGGCUACUAUCUAUACAGGGCGCAUUUUUUAUGCACAACUGUUAAAAAAAAGGAAACAAAGGGGUGCGCUAUUUUCGCAUACCUCAAAUCCCGCCAGCAAGCUCAUGGCAGCGUCACGCAAUCCGCUUUCAGCGGACGAAAUCCUUCCAAUCACCAUACGCAUUAACGUACGGUGAUCUUCUGAAAUGGACGCCCUCUCAAGCAGACUCUUCAGUUCUCCCGACCGGCUUCUGCUGGGUGCCGAACUCUCUGGCCCCUCCGGACUCGGGGACGCCCUCCGUGACGACACUUCGGGCUCGCCCGCUUCAUCUGGCGGCACCGCAGACGGAGGCGUAUCGCUCUCCAUCAUCUCCGGAAGAAGGUCCCCCGAGGAUGACCUCAGCUGAGACGGCUGCAGAUCCGAACUGCAAUAUAAAUAUUUCGGUUACCUACAGAAGCAUAAACGAAGGUAUUCCCUUAUUAAUUGAUUUCCUCUUUCAUACUCACGGCUCGUUGGAGGGCUGGCCCUUCGGCUAUGAUUGCGCGUCUGGAUUCUCUCCGGACACCGGACCCCCCGGUGAGGAUUUCUUCCCACGCUUAGGGGCUUUGACCUCCGGAUCUCCGGAGGCGGUCCUCUUCUCCCUCUGAAGGGAGGGAUCCUUGGUUCCCUCCUCUUCGGUCGCCCCUUCGGGCGAAGUAUUAGCUCCUUUAUCUCCCCCGUCGCCCCCCUCUAUGGGCGCAACCUCCAACAUUCUGACCAGCACGGGCUCCAGUGCGGUCUCUGGGAGGGGGGCCGGACACCUUAUCAGCCUUGAUUGCGCCACCCAUUCCUGUAAAGAAUAAAGGGUCAGGAGACGAUCUUUUGAAAGGCAUACAAAUAGAAUGUCCGGGCUUUGAGCUAUUUACCUGAGUAUCCGGGCGAUCGCGGCUUAGGCCAGCAUCCUUGGCCGAAUUCGGACACGCCACCUGCGGUCCGAAGAACAGCUCGUACAUCUCCGAGGUUGUCGCACCCAUGAAAUGCUGGAGAAUACGAGGUCCCUCCGGAUUGAACUCCCAUAAACGGAGAGGACGACGUUUGCAGGGUAGGAGGUGCCUGAUUAGCAUGACCUGCAUCACCUUGACCAGGUCGAUCUCCCUUGUUUGGAGGUCUCGAAUCCGGCCCUGUAGUGCGGGCACGUCCUGGGACGGCCCCCAGUUGAGCCCUUGGUUGACCCGCGACAUCAGCUGCCGUGGAGGUCCCGGGCGGAAAGAGGGCGGCGGCUUUUGCUUGCUGCCCCUGGGAACAGUGAUGUAAAAACCACUCCUGCUGCCACAAUCCCUGUUCCUCUUGGAAGGAACCUUCGAGCCACGGGGCAUCCACCUUCCUGCUUAUGGUCGCCCCGCCGCGCUCCGCUUGACGCCCCCCGAUCAUCUUCGGCUCCACCUUAAAUGUUUUCAGCCACAGGCCGUGGUGGGGAAUGACGCGGAGGAAGGCUUCACAGACAAUGAUAAAUGCGGAGAUAUGGAGGAUGGACUCCGGGGCCAAGUCGUGGAAGUCCAGCCCGUAGUAGAACAGGAGCCCCCUCACGAAAGGAUCCGUCGGGAAGCCUAAUCCCCAACGGAGGUGAGAUGCGAAAACGACAUAUUCGCCGGGCUCGGGGGCUGGCACGGCCUGCCCUGGGGCAGGCAACCUGUGCGAAACUUCGUAGGCCAGGUACUUGGCCUCAGGCAACUUCAAUAUGUCCUCCUCCGUGACGGAGGAGGGCAUCCACCGUCCCUGGAGGUCGGAGCCGGACAUUGUUGUGGAUCCGAGGCGCUCGAAUCUGAAGCUCUAGGUGUUGGAACUGGGAGCGGAGGAAAGAUUCGAUGCAAGGUUGAAAGACAAGGACAGGCCUUGGUCCUCUUAUAAAGGGGAAAUAAUACCAAGGGCCGUCUCCGUGACCGUUUGAGAUUCCCCUUCGAUAGAGGAGGUGUGGCGACGGGAACGGUUGGGUUACCCACACACGUAUUGAUGAGGAUCCCGGAAUAAAAGGGAACACGAUCUCUGCUUCGACAAGACGUGCCAAGGAAACCGCUUCGCUAAACGUGCUGAGGCGGAACAAUAAAAACGAUUCAAACAAGGGCUUGGCUGCAGUGUGAUGUCACGCUGCAUAAUACGUCAGCAGAUUGAGCUAAGUGUAUAUUUUAUUCUCUCUAUGUUGGAAUGUGGAAUUUAUUUUGCAGAGCCGGACACUAUCCUGGUGUUCAUUAUCUUCUCCGAAUUAUUCAAGGAGGGGAACCCGCCUUGCAAUGCCGAACAUUAUGCACGCCGGAAUUAUCGCCAUUGAAGACUGGUUCAGGGGCUACUGAGGGAGUCAUGGACUAGGGGGUGUCCGGACAGCCGGACUAUCAAUAUCCGCCGGACUCCCAUACUACGAAGAUAGAAGAUUGAAGACUCCGGCUCAUGUCCGGAAGGUACUUUCCUUGGCGUGGAAGGCAAGCUUGGCAAUACGGAUAUGUAGAUCUCCUACCAUUGUAACCGACUCUGUGUAACCCUAGCCUCUCCGGUGUCUAUAUAAACCGGAGAGCUUUAGUCCGUAGGACACUACAUUACAUCUCAACAAUCAUACCAUAGGCUAGCUUCUAGGGUUUAGCCUCCUUGAUCUCGUGGUAGAUCUACUCUUGUACUACCCAUAUCAUCAAUAUUAAUCAAGCAGGACGUAGGGUUUUACCUCCAUUGAGAGGGCCCGAACCUGGGUAAAAACAUUGUGUCCCUCGUCUCUUGUUACCAUCCGCCUAGACGCACAGUUCGAGACCCCCUACCCGAGAUCCGCCGGUUUUGACACCGACAUGCGCCAUUAGUACUUUUGCAAAAAAAGGAAUAAAAACAAUAAUAAAAAAAUAACUUUAGUGGCGCACCUUCUGGCUAGUGCGCCAUUACUAGUUACAACUAGUAAUGGCGCACCACCAGUGGAUCCUUCUCCAACGGAGGAGACCGACAGACUGUCCGCCACCAAGUCUGAGGUGGAGAGCGCCAUGAACCAUAGGCGCCGCCGGACAGUAUUUCGUGAAGCGUGCUUCUCCCCUGAGGCAUUGGAUGCCUUUAACGCAGGGGACGCGCAUCUCUGUGCCGCUCAAGAUGGUUUUACCAGAGCCACGGAGCAGUAUGUGAAAGACAUACAGGUAAAGGAAUUUUAAUGGUUAUAUAUACCAGUAGCCCCCGAGACUUAAAGUAGUUAUGUUAACUGAUUUAAGGAUCAUUUGAAAACGCAGGCUCUUACCGAGAAGAAUGCCCAGCUGUCUCGGGAGCUGCAAGAUUGCAAGGCCCAACUUGAGGCCGCACUUGCUGCCGCAGGAGGAGACGCAGAGACCCCUCCUGGUAACACAUUUUUAUUAAUAAAUAUAAGCGCUGUGCGGCGUGCGCGCGAGUCUAAUAAUGACAUUGCAGGUGCCGCCGGACAAGAUCCGGACAGGCAAGCAUUGCUGCGCCAGCUAAAGGCCGGCGAGAGUGUGCUGAAUAAGGUUCAGCAAGAAAGGAACAAGCUCCAGGAUGCCAACGCCAAGCUCGGAGAAGAGCUGAAAGGCGCUCGAGCCGAGCUGUCCGGCUCCGUUAAGGAGAAUCAGCGGCUUCGUCGCGGCAUUUAUAGUAAGUGCUUUAGCAGACUCCUUUGAAAAGAAGAGUUCGGCGAGGAAGUAUAUUGACAUGAUAUGUCUUGUAGGUAUACUCACAGGUCAUCCUGCAGAAGAGAUGCCCAUAUCAACGGGUGAUCAAUUUCCCGAACUGUUGCAACUGCUUGAACGAGUUCGGCAGGCAAUGAGCGGCGUCGUCUGGGCUUUAUGGCCAGCCCUCUCCCUACCCGAGGGCCUUGGGGAGCUUGCGGAGAAGCUUCAGGGAGUGCGGCAGCGGUUCCGUUUGUGGAAGAUUUCGGCUUGCCGUCAAGGUGCCAGGGAGGCUUGGGCCAUGGUGAAGACGCGGUAUAAGAAGGCGGAUCCCAACCAUAUGGCUGAAGUUGGACCGGUGGGGCCCGAUGGGAAGGAGAUCCCUGUGAGUUUAGUAUAUAGCCAAGUAGAGUUGGCUGCUAAGUUUUCCCAAUGGGACUGUAAGUUAGACAACCUGUUAGACGGGAUUGAGGAGGAAUACAAUCAAUAAAUUUGACAAUGUAUGUUUUCCUUUAAAGUGACAUGUGAAAUGCCUUCUAGCCGGAUUGUAGAUCGUUUGUCUUUGCCGACCUUUUCGCUUCAACCUCGGGACCCUAGAGUCCAGAGUGUGUCCGAAUACCUUUUUGGUUAAGAAACAACCGUGGUAUGCAUGGAGACCAGGCGUAGGGGUCAUUAGUGCUUUAUCAGACAAGUGCCCAACUAGUUAUGUUAUAUUACAUGGUUAGUAAGAAACAUCUUCCAGGGAGAAUAGUUCCGUUAAGGGUUCCUUUCGCUGGGAGGCAUGCCCUAAAGUGCAUGUCCGGACUGCAAAGAAAGCAGUAAAACAUCUGGGGGCAGAUAGAUAAAUAGGUAAAAAGUCAUCUUUUAAGUCACCGACCGAAUAUUCCCUUAAGAACGCUAGCUUUCGGCUUCACCCAGUCUGAGGUACACAUCCGGCUGACCCGGCAGUAACAAUCGCAGAGGUGCUCCCUUUACCUCCUAGCCGAACAAUCGGGAACGUAGAGGUAAGCACAGGAGCCAGGCAACCCAGCUUGGCCAAAACUUAAGUCAUAUCGAUGCAUAUAAUGGCGAGUAAAAGGUACAUGUGGAAGCUUGACACAUGUGCUGGGUAUGAAACCCAUAUAAUUGAGCUUCUGUAAAAGAAGCCCCCAGGAAUAAUGAGUGCGGAUGGCACAUCAUGCGUAUGCGAAAAAUGCAAAAAUAGGCCCGCAAGGGCUUUUGAAUAAAAAGGCAUGAAAAGAGAAACAAAAGACAGACGAAGUGUAAAAGUUUGGACGGGGGAUGAGGGAGUCCUGGACUAGGGGGUGUCCGGACAGCCGGACUAUCAUUAUCCGCCGGACUCCAAGACUACGAAGAUACAAGAUUGAAGACUCCGGCUCGUGUCCGGAUGGUACUUUCCUUGGCGUGGAAGGCAAGCUUGGCAAUACGGAUAUGUAGAUCUCCUACCAUUGUAACCGACUCUGUGUAACCCUAGCCCUCUCCGAUGUCUAUAUAAACCGGAGGGCUUUAGUCCAUAGGACAACAUACAUUACAACAAUCAUACCAUAGGCUAGCUUCUAGGGUUUAGCCUCCUUGAUCUCGUGGUAGAUCUACUCUUGUACUACCCAUAUCAUCAAUAUUAAUCAAGCAGGACGUAGGGUUUUACCUCCAUCGAGAGGGCCCGAACCUGGGUCAAAACAUCGUGUCCCUCGUCUCCUAUUACCAUCCGCCUAGACGCACAGUUCGGGACCCCCUACCCGAGAUCCGCCGGUUUUGACACCGACAUUGGUGCUUUCAUUGAGAGUUCAUCUGUGUCAUCACCGAUAGGCUUGAUGGCAUCUUCAACCAGCAACGCUAUCCAGGGUGAGACUUUUCUCCCCGGACAGAUCUUCGUAUUCGGCGGCUUCGCCCUGCGGGCCAAUUCACUUGGCCAUCUGGAGCAGAUCAAAAGCUACGCCCCUGGCCGUCAGGUCAGAUUUGGAAGCUUAAACUUCACGGCCGACGUUCGCGGAGACUUGAUCCUCGACGGACUCGAGCCACAGCCGAGCGCGCCGCACUGUGACGAUGGGCAUGAUCUAGCUCUGCCGCCGAACAGUGCCUUGGUGGCCGCACACGGAUCUGCUUCGGCCAUUAGCCCGGAGCCGAUCGCCCAGAUCGAGGGUCGGUGGAUAGGCGCCGCCCUGGGGGCUCCAACAUCCACGGCGAUGGAGCCGAACACUAAUCUUGUCCCCUGCGAAACUCGUGAUUCCGAGGCACCGGACUCCUCGUCGGACUCCGAACCUCCCGCGCCCCUACCAAUCGAUCCGGAUUGGGCGCCGGUUAUGGAAUUCACCGCCGCAGACAUCUUCCAAUGCUCGCCUUUUGGCGAUAUCUUGAAUUCACUAAAGCAUCUCUCAUUAUCAGGAGAGUCCUGGCCGGAUUAUGGCCAGGAUGGUUGGGAUAUGGACGACGAAGAAAUUCAGAGCCCACCCACCACCCACUUUGUAGCCACUGUCGACGAUCUAACCGACAUGCUAGACUACGACUCCGAAGACAUCGACGCUAUGGACGACGAUGCCGGAGACGAACAGGAACCAGCGCCCACAGGGCACUGGAAGGCCACCUCGUCAUAUGACGUAUACAUGGUGGAUACCCCAAAAGAUGGGGACGGCGAAGAAACAGCGGAGGCAGAUCCCUUAAAGAAACAGCCCAAGCGCCGGCGUCAGCAGCGCCGCUCUAAAUCUCGCCACAGCAAGAAUGGAGAUUCCGGCACAGGAGAUAAUAAUACUCCAGAGAGUGCCAAAGACAAUCCCCUCCAGCAAGACUUAGCGCAGGAGGAUGCAGAAGCAAGCCCUCAUGAGGGGGCGGCAGAUAAAGAGGUUGAGGAUCAUAAUUAUAUGCCUCCCUCCGAAGACGAAGCAAGCCUCAACGAUGACGAAUUCGUCGUACCCGAGGAUCCCGUCGAACAAGAGCGCUUCAAGCGCAGGCUUAUCGCCACAGCAAACAGCCUAAAGAAAAAGCAGCAGCAGCUUCAAGCUGAUCAGGACCUGUUGGCCGAUCGAUGGACCGAGGUCCUCGCGGCCGAAGAGUAUAAACUCGAACGUCCCUCCAAAAGUUACCCAAAACGCAAGUUGCUCCCCCGAUUAGAGGAGGAAGCAUACGUACCUCCAUCACCAGCGCAUGAUAUGGCUGACCGACCACCCCGUGGUCGUGACAGAGAGGCAUCCAGGCCCCCAGCCAAGACCAUACCCCGGCAGCGCUCCAAAUGUACGAAGCCAAGAGGGAACGCGCCGGACUUGCGAGACAUAUUGGAGGACAAAGCAAGGCAAUCCAGAUCCAUCUAUGGAUCACGUGGGCGCCCUACGACCCACGACGAAUACCGUCGUGCCAGAUACAAUAACCCCGGCCGGGCCGAACACAGCAGACAGCGCUCUCUCGAGCUGCGUCGCGAUAUCACUCAAUACAGGGGCGCCGCACACCCGUUAUGGUUCACUGACGAAGUAAUGGAUCAUCAGAUCCCCGAAGGGUUUAAACCCAUAAACAUCGAAUCUUACGAUGGCACAACAGACCCCGCGGUGUGGAUCGAAGACUAUCUACUCCACAUCCAUAUGGCCCGCGGCGACGAUCUCCACGCUAUAAAGUACCUCCUACUCAAGCUUAGAGGACCAACUCGGCAUUGGCUUAACAGCUUGCCCGCAGAGUCAAUUGGGUGUUGGGAGGACCUGGAGGCCACAUUCCUUGAUAACUUCCAAGGCACAUAUGUGCGACCACCAGACGCCGAUGACCUAAGACACAUCAUUCAGCAGCCAGACGAAUCGGCCAGACAAUUCUGGACACGGUUCUUGACGAAGAAAAAUCAAAUCGUCGAUUGUCCGGACGUAGAGGCCCUUGCAGCCUUCAAACAUAACAUCCGGGACGAAUGGCUAGCCCGGCACCUGGGGCAGGAAAAGCCGAAAUCCAUGGCAGCCCUCACAUCGUUAAUGACCCGCUUUUGUGUGGGAGAGGACAGCUAGCUAGCCCGCAGCAACAAUCUUCGUAAAAAUUCUGGCAGUCCGGAUACUAAGGACAACAACGGCAGGUCACGUCGAAACAAAAACAAGCGCCGAAUUAACGGUGACGAUAAGGAGGAUACGACAGUCAAUGCCGGAUUCCGAGGCCCUAAACCCGGUCAGCGGAAGAAGCCAUUUAAAAGAACCACUCCGGGUCCGUCCAAUCUGGACCGAAUACUCGACCGCUUAUGCCAGAUACAUGGCACCUCUGAAAAGCCAGCUAACCACACCAAUAGAGAUUGCUGGGUGUUCAAGCAGGCCGGCAAGUUAAUUGCCGAAAACAAUGACAAGGGGCUAAAUAGCGACGACGAGGAAGAGACCCGGCCGCCGAACAACAGAGGACAGAAGGGUUUUCCCCCACAAGUACGGAUGGUGAAUAUGAUAUACGCGACCCACAUACCCAAGAGGGAGAGGAAACGCGCACUAAGGGACGUCUAUGCGAUGGAGCCAGUCGCCCCAAAGUUCAACCCAUGGUCCUCUUGUCCGAUCACUUUCGAUCGAAGAGACCAUCCGACCAGCAUACGCCAUGGUGGAUUCGCCGCAUUGGUCUUAGACCCAAUCAUUGAUGGGUUCCACCUCACGAGAGUCCUGAUGGACGGCGGCAGUAGCCUGAACCUGCUUUAUCAGGAUACAGUGCGCAAAAUGGGCAUAGACCCAUCAAGGAUUAAACCUACAAAGAAAACCUUUAAAGGUGUCAUACCAGGAGUGGAAGCCAACUGCACAGGCUCAGUCACACUGGAAGUGGUCUUCGGAUCCCCGGAUAAUUUUUGGAGCGAAGAGUUAAUCUUCGACAUAGUCCCGUUUCGCAGCGGCUAUCACGCUCUGCUCGGGCGAACCACGUUUUCCAAAUUCAACGCGGUGCCGCACUAUGCAUACCUAAAGCUCAAGAUGCCAGGCCCUCGUGGAGUCAUCACGGUCAAUGGGAAUACGGAACGCUCCCUCCGAACGGAGGAACAUACAGCGGCUCUCGCGGCAGAAGUACAGAGCAGCCUUCUAAGGCAAUUCUCGAGUCCGGCCGUUAAACGGCCGGAUAAAGCAAAGCGCGCCCGGAGCAAUGCCAACCAAGACCACCUGGCGCGAUCAGAGCACGCGUAGCAAUGUGGCCCCAACCCUCGCCCGCGUAUGAUCGCAAGAAUAACACUCCGCGUACAUCAUUACGCUUUGGAGAUACCAUGGGCACAGGGGAGGGGGCACGAUCACAACGGACCCAGAGUGCGGUUCGACCACACCGGGGGAUCGCAAAUGUGCCCCUCUCUUUUUCUUUAUUAUUUUUCUUCUUUUUUGUACACAGGACUCUGUUAACCAGAAGCCCUGUCCGGUGGUGAACCUGCCGAACUCAUGAUGCAACAGUCAGGGACUAAAGAAGGCCGCGCCGAACACUCAGGUGGUCUCAAUUACGAGCAUUAAAUUCGAUUAUAUACACCAAAUCCGCAGCUCAUCCCUGGAGGGGGACAUGUUUAUUUAGUCCAAAUCCCUUUCUUACCGCACUAUGUGUAUUAGUCCACUCUACUAGCAGACUUUUUCUUUCAUUAAUAAUGCAGCACCUUUAUGAUCGCAAUUGCAUCACAUUAUAUAUAUAUAUAUGCUCAUUAUAUGACAUCUGGCACCCGUAUAUUUUGGUACGGCAUAAUACACCAGGGGCUUAUGUUCCACACUCUAUGGUGUGAUAAAGUCUGAACACUUUCACAAGUGCGGCACCCCGAACUUAUAGCAUUAUAUGAAUCGGCUCCGAAUCAUGUCUUGGGUCAAUAGUUGGGUUUGCCCGGCUCCCACGUUUUGGUGCCUUAUGUUCCGUUCUGUCGGCUAAGGUGGCACUGGGAGAACCACUGCGAUUGCGCCCCGGUUGAGCUGGGUUAACGCCUUAGUGGAGAAAGCUAAAACUGACUGGCAUGAUAAGGCGAGAGACUGGUCGCUGUUCAAGAGGUUUUUUCGGGUCCUUAAAGACUCAUGCCACUUCGAGCGAAGUUCUGGAUAAUGUCCGAUGAAGGCGUGGAUAGCGCCCUGGAUUCGGUCUUCCGAAUACCAGGGGCUUCGCCGAAAUUUAAAAUUAUAGAAUUCUAUGGCUAAAUGAGAGUGUUCAAGCAUUAUAAGUCCGGUUGCCUUGUUCGUCGUGUUGAGCGCCUCCCUAGAUGGACCCAAAAAUGGGAACAAGAGUGCUCAAGUUUAUCCCGAACACCCCAGCACUUGUGGCUUGGGGGCUGAAGCCAACGACUUGCCAUCUCUCAGAUUUCACAAACGGCCGCACAGAAGGUAAUAUUUUAAAUUAAACAAGCGUUGCUCAUGGCGCAUACGAAUGAAGUUUUCAGCGCACAGGAUAAAUAAACAGCGAGUUCACUCAAAGAUUACAUUUCGGGAGCACUCAUCUGCAAUAUCGCAGGCUCCCUUCAGGACAAUUUUAUAAUACUUCUCCGGCAUGCGAUACUCCUUGCCCGGCGGCGGUGGGUCCGUGAGAAGCUUCUCCGCAUCCAAUUUGCCCCAUUGCACCUUUAUGCGGGCAAGGGCCCGACGAGCGCCUUCGAUACAGGCGGAGCGCUUGACUACAUCCAGCCUGGGGCAUGCAUCCACCAGCCGCCGCACGAGGCCAAAGUAGCUACCAGGCAUGGCCUGUCCAGGCCACAGCCGGACUAUGAGGCCCUUCAUGGCCUCCUCAGCUACCUUGUGGAGUUCGACCAGCUGCUUCAGCUGGUCGCUUGGGGGCACCGGAUGGCCGGCCUCAGUAUACUGAGACCAGAAGACCUUCUCCGUCGAGCUCCCCUCCUCGCCACGAUAGAAUGCGGCGGCAUCAGACGCACUACGCGGCAGAUCUGCAAACGCCCCUGGAGAGCUCCGAAUGCGGGUAAGUGUCAGGUAGUUCACAUUAACAUGCCUGCUUUGCAUGAAACACGCCUUACCCGCCGCUAUCUUCUUUAUGUCCUCAACCUCCUGAAGGGCCUUACGGGCCUCGGCCUGGGCGGACUUGGCACUUUCGAGAGCCGAGGCAAGCUCGGACUCUCGAGUCUUGGAGUCACGCUCCAAACUCUCAUGUUUUUCCAUGAGAGCCUGGAGCUCUUGCCGAACUUCCGCCACACGUGCCUCUCGCUUUUCUCGCUCAGCCCGUUCCAUGGCCGCAUUGCGUUCGGCCGCGGACACAGCAUCCCGCAGGGCUGCCACCUCGUUAGUGGCCCCUGCAAUACACAUAUUAUCCUUGUUAAUUUUAUUUGCAACCAAAAUCCUUUUCUAUAAGGUACUUAUUCAAAGAGGUGUUACUCACCUUCUUUUUCCUCGAGUUGCUUCUUCGCAUGGCCGAGCUCUUGCUCAGAUCGCUCGAGUUCCUUCUACAGCACGUCAACCUCCGCCGUUAGUGCGACAGAGGUCAGCAGCGCAGCCUGCAAACCCAUAUUGACAUAUUUUAGGCAACCCUGCGUAUAUCUUGUUAAAGAUCCUUAGUUCGGCUUUUCUUUCUGAACACCGAACUAAGCAUCAGGGGCUACUGUCUAUGCGGUAUUACAUUACAUAAUUUUAACUUCUUACCUCAAAGCCUGUUAAAAGGCUGCUGUAGGCUUCGGUCAGCCUGCUCUUAGCGAGCUGAACCUUCUCAAUCACCGCACUCAUGAUAGUGCGGUGUUCUUCCUCGAUGGAAGCGCCUUUAAGAGCCUCCAACAGGUUAUCCGGCGCCUCCGGUUGGACGGAGGCCGCCGGCGUCACAGUCCUGCCCUUCUUUCGAAGGGGCCGCUUGCCGGACUCUGGAACCACUGCGGGUUCCGAUGUAGAGUCCGGCACGAAGUCCGGGAGGCUGCCUGACGGCGCCUCCGGAGCCUCCUCCUGAUGGGUCCCUCUCUGGGAUCCCACCUUGACAUCCUCGUCGGCGCGUGGGGUGGAGGCAGUCGGGAUGGAAUUCACAUCCGACGAGGCCAAUGACCCGCUCGAUGAGUCGGGCAGAUCAUCAUUGGCCGGACUACGGGCAGAAUGCGGCGUUAGAAGGAUGCUACGCGACAUAAAAGAAAUUACACAUCAAGGAUCCGGAUACUUACGAUCUUGCCGGACGCCUGGCCCUUGGAGGCCACUCAUCCUCACCAACGCUGAUGUUGGCGAAACUGUCCGGGGGGAUAGUUCUCCCCCUCUUGGACCCUUCGGCCUCCCCGAUGGGGGAAGCCUUCCUUUUCUUCUCUCCCUCCUCCCGGAGAGAGUACUCCUCCUCGUCUUCGGGGGAGGAGUCCUCGUCGUCAUCAGACGCCUGAUUGCGGGAACUCUUUCGAGUCCCCGCGGCCACCUUCUUGGCCUUCUUCUUCGGCACCACGUGCGGUGCCGGAACCAGCAGCCCUGUUAAGCGGGCGUCCACUGGGUCUUCUGGCAUGGGAGUCUGGCUGAUGAGCAGCUUGGCCUUCUCCAUCCAUUCCUGUCAAAGGAAGAGGCAGAAUGAAACCUCACUAGAGUCAAUCUAAUUAUCACAAGUGUCCCGUAAUGGGGUUGAAUCACUUACCUCGUCAGUUGGAUCCUGCGAGCUGAAUCCGCGGUCUUCGGUCGCGGACGCGGGGGCUUCGGCGCCCUUGAACAGCACCCUCCAGGCGCCUUCGUAUGUUGUAUCGAAGAGCCCGCUUAGCGCCUGGUGCUGUUCCGGAUUGAACUCCCACAAAUUAAAUGCCUGUUCUUCGCAUGGGAGGAUCCGCCGGAUGAGCAUGACUUGGACCAUGUCGACGAGCCUAAGCCUAUUGCUCACCAUCUUCUUGAUACAUGCUCGGAGUCCCGUCACCUCCACCGGAUUCCCCCACUGCAAGCCCUUCUCUUUCCAGGAGGUGAGCUGCAUGGGGAUGCCAGAUCUAAACUCGGGGGCCGCCGCCCAUGUGGAUUUGCGCGGCUCGGUGAUGUAAAACCACCCCGAUUGCCACCCCUUGACGGAGUCCACGAAGGUCCCUUCCAGCCAAGGGACGUUGGGCAAUUUGCCCAACAUGGCGCCUCCGCAUUCCGCUUGCGUACCCUUCACAACCUUCGGCUUGACGUUGAAGGUCUUGAGCCACAGGCCGAAGUGGGGCCGGAUGCAGAGGAAAGCCUCGCACACGAUGAUAAACGCCGAGAUGUUGAGGAUAAAGUUCGGCGCCAGAUCGUGGAAAUCCAGGACGUAGUAAAACAUGAGCCCCCGGACAAAUGGAUGGAGCGGAAAGCCUAGUCCGCAGAGGAAGUGGGGGAGGAAGACGACCCUCUCAUGAGGCUCAGGGGUAGGGAUGAGCUGUCCCUCGUCGCGCAGCCGAUGCGCGAUAUCGCCAGAAAGGUAUCCGGCGCUGCGCAGCUUGGUGAUGUCCUCCUCCUUGACGGUGGAGGCUAACCAUUUACCUCCCGCUCCGGACAUAUUCGGAGAAGGUCGAGGCGAGAUGCGCGAGCUCGGGCGUUGGAGCUUGAGUUCACGGGGAUGGAUAAGCAAAGGAGGAAGAGGCGUAGGUGAGAAGGUGAAUCCUUAUCCCUUAUAUAUAGGCGGACAAAACUAUACGUCCCCCACCAGCCUGGUAAAACUCGCUUGUCUCCCAAGCGCCACCAUCAAUGGCGCGGUUGGGUUACCCACGCACGUAUUGAUGAGAAUCCCGGAAUAAGGGGAACACGAUCUCUGCUUCGACAAGACGUGCCAAGGAAACCGCUUCGCUAAACAUGCUGAGGUGGUAUAGUAAUUCAAACAAAGGCCUCGUGGCGGUGUGAUGUCAUGCCGCAUAAUACGUCAGCAGAUUGAACUAAGUGUACAUUUUAUUCUCUCUACGGUGGAAUGUGGAAUUUAUUUUGCAGAGCCGGACACUAUCCUGGUGUUCAUGAUCUUCUCUGGAUUAUUCAAGAGAGGAACCCGCCUUGCAAUGCCGAACAUUAUGCACGCCGGACUUAUCGUCAUUGAAGACUGGUUCAGGGGCUACUGAGGGAGUCCUGGACUAGGGGGUGUCCGGACAGCCGGACUAUCAUUAUCCGCCGGACUCCAAGACUACGAAGAUACAAGAUUGAAGACUCCGGCUCGUGUCCGGAUGGUACUUUCCUUGGCGUGGAAGGCAAGCUUGGCAAUAUGGAUAUGUAGAUCUCCUACCAUUGUAACCGACUCUUUGUAACCCUAGCCCUCUCCGGUGUCUAUAUAAACCGGAGGGCUUUAGUCCACAGGACAACAUACAUUACAACAAUCAUACCAUAGGCUAGCUUCUAGGGUUUAGCCUCCUUGAUCUCGUGGUAGAUCUACUCUUGUACUACCCAUAUCAUCAAUAUUAAUCAAGCAGGACGUAGGGUUUUACCUCCAUCGAGAGGGCCCGAACCUGGGUAAAAACAUCGUGUCCCUCGUCUCCUGUUACCAUCCGCCUAGACGCACAGUUCGGGACCCCCUACCCGAGAUCCGCCGGUUUUGACACCGACAGGGGAAGGGGACGAACUCUUAGUCCGGCGCUAGGCAUAGAAUCGUCGGAGGUGGGAUGCGUUCCAUGGGUUCGGCUCGAGUCGGUUAUCCGACGCAUUUUGUAGACGGUAUGCUCCGCCGGUCAGGACUUGAUCGAUAAUGAAGGGGCCCUCCCAUUUGUGCUUGAGCUUGUCCUUUUUCUUGUCCGGCAGGCGUAGAACUAGUUCACCAACAUUGUAAGUCUUGGUCAGUACUUCUCUGCUUUGAUAUCUUCGGGCCUGCUGCUGAUAGAAUGCGCAAUGAGCCUUCGCGACGUCGCGUUCUUCCUCCAAUGUGUCCAAGCUGUCCUGCCGAUCAAGCUCGGCCUCUCUUUCUUCAUACAUGCGCACUCGAGGUGAGUCAUGGAUAAUGUCGCAUGGCAGGACUGCCUCUGCGCCGUAGACCAUAAAAAAUGGUGUGAAUCCGGUAGUAUGGUUAGGCGUUGUCCGCAGCCCCCAGAGUACGGAGUCGAGCUCCUCGAACCAUUGUGUGUCGGAUUUAGUAAGUGACCGCACUAGUCUGGGUUUAAUGCCGCUCAUUAUUAGACCAUUUGCUCGUUCCACUUGACCGUUGGUUUGAGGGUGAUAAACUGAAGCGUAGUCAAGCUUGAUGCCCAUAUUUUUGCACCAUGACUUAACCUCGUCGGCUGUGAAGUUCGUGCCGUUGUCGGUGAUGAUGCUGUGGGGGACUCUGUAAUGGUGUACUACCCCGGAUAUAAAGUCUAUCACUGGUCCGGACUCUACCGUUUUGACCGGCUUGGCCUCUAUCCAUUUGGUGAAUUUAUCCACCAUGACCAAUAGGUACCUUUGCUUGUGGGUUCCCCCUUUAAGGGGUCCAACCAUAUCAAGCCCCCAGACCGUGAACGGCCAGGUAAUGGGUAUGGUUUUGAGGGCGGUGGGCGGCAUAUGGCUCUGAUUAGCAAAGAGCUGAGAACUGACGCAUCGCUGGACUAAGUCCUGCGCGUCUGCCCGGGCCGUCGGCCAAUAAAAUCCUGUACGGAAUGCCUUUCCUACAAGGGCCCGGGCUGCUUCGUGGUGUCCGCCUAGUCCGGCAUGAAUUUCUGCCAGGAGGUUUUGCCCUUCCUCUUCGGAGAUACACCUUUGAAGGACUCCGGUUGUACUUUUCUUAUAAAGUUCUCCCUCAUGGACCUUGUAGGCUUUCGAUCGCCGGACUAUGCAGCGGGCCUCGUUUUGGUCUUCGGGAAGUUCCUGCCUAAGUAAGUAGGCUAGGAAAGGUUCUGUCCACGCGGCGAUUACUGCCAUUAUGAUGUGGGUUGAAGGUGUUAUGUCAUCUGCUGAAUCACCGAUUGGUGUGGUUUUUUCCGGUUUGUCACUACCGGGCUCGUCUUCCCAUAGUACGGAUGGCUUGAAGAGCCGUUCUAGGAAGAUAUUUGGAGGGACAGCGUCACGUUUUGCCCCAAUGCGUGCCAGUACAUCGGCCGCUUGGUUAUUAUCUCGGGCUAUGUGAUGGAAUUCGAGUCCUUCAAACCGAGCUGACAUUUUUAAGACAGCAUUGCGAUAUGCUGCCAUUUUCGGAUCCUUGGCGUCAAAGUCUCCAUUUAUUUGGGAUAUUGCAAGGUUUGAAUCCCCGCGCACCUCUAGGCGUUGAAUGCCCAUGGAAACUGCCAUCCGGAGACCAUGUAACAGGGCCUCGUAUUCGGCUGCGUUGUUGGAGUCAGUGUACAUUAUUUGAAGUACGUACUGGACUGUGUCCCUGGUUGGGGACGUCAAUACGACGCCAGCCCCCAGUCCGGCCAACAUUUUAGAGCCGUCGAAAUGCAUAACCCAAUUGGAGUAUGCGUCGUACUCUUUAGGGAGUUCGGCUUCGGUCCAUUCAGCGACGAAGUCAGCCAAAACUUGUGACUUCAUAGCUCACCGAGGUCUGUAAGUUAUAUCGAAUGGUAAGAGCUCAAUUGCCCAUUUUGCAAUCCUGCCCGUUGCGUCGCGGUUAUUUAUAAUGUCAUUGAGUGGUACUUCAGAGGCCACUAUUAUCGAACACUCUUGAAAGUAGUGUCGGAACUUCCGGGACGCCAUGAACACCGCAUAUGCUAUCUUCUGAUAGUGCGGGUAACAGGACUUGCAGGGGGUUAACACAGUGGAUACAUAAUACACUGGUUUUUGAAGAGGGAAUUUCUGCCCUUCUGUCGCUCGUUCGACGACGAGGACCGCGCUUACAACUUGAUGCGUUGCUGCGAUGUAUAACAACAUUGGUUCGCCCAGAGUGGGCGCAGCCAGGACCGGAUUUGUUGCCAAUAUGGCCUUUAUUUCUUCGAGUCCGGCAGUGGCAGCAUCCGUCCACUCAAAGUGUUCGGUGCGCCUGAGGAGGCGAUAGAGGGGCAACGCCUUUUCUCCUAGACGGGAGAUAAAGCGGCUUAAGGCUGCCACGCAUCCCAUUAAUUUUUGUAUUUGUUUGAGGUCUUUUGGAAUAUCCAACUGUGACAGAGCUCGGAUUUUAGCCGGGUUUGAUUCAAUUCCUCUACCGGAUACAAUGAAGCCCAGCAGCUUUCCGGCUGGUACACCGAAAACGCAUUUUUCCGGAUUCAUCUUGAUGUCGUAUGCUCUGAGGUUGUCGAAUGUGAGCCUCAAAUCGUCUACUAGAGUUUCGACGUGUUUUGUUUUGACGACUACGUCGUCUACGUAUGCCUCGACUGUUUUGUCGAUCUGGGUAGCCAGACAUGUUUGAAUCAUGCGCUGAUAUGUUGCGCCGGCAUUUUUAAGUCCGAAGGGCAUCGUGUUGAAGCAGAAUGGUCCGUAUGGAGUGAUGAAUGCCGUUGCGGCUUGGUCUGCUUCCGCCAUCUUGAUUUGAUGAUAGCCAGAGUAUGCGUCCAGGAAGCACAACGAAUCGUGCCCUGCGGUAGCAUCGAUAAUUUGGUCGAUGCGGGGGAGAGGGAAGGGAUCCUUUGGGCAAGCCUUAUUGAGGUCUUUAAAAUCGACACAGACGCGCCAGGAUUUAUCCUUCUUUGGUACCAAUUACCAGAUUUGCUAGCCAGUCCGGAUGUUUGAUAUCUCUAAUGAAUCCGGCUUCCAAUAGUUUGGCUAGCUCUUCUCCCAUUGCCUGUCUUUUGGGUUCAGAAAAUCGUCGAAGAGCCUGUUUGACUGGCUUAAAUCCUUUUAGGAUGUAUAGGCUGUGUUCUGCCAACCUGCGUGGGAUUCCGGGCAUAUCCGAAGGAUGCCAGGCGAAGAUGUCCCAAUUUUCCCAAAGGAAUUCACGCAGUGCGGCGUCUACUUCGGGGUUCAAUUAUGCCCCAAUGGAGGCCGUCUUUGUUGGGUCCGUUGGAUGGACCUGGAAUUUUAUUAUUUCAUCUGCUGGUUUGAAGGAGGUGGACUUGGAUCUUUUAUGGAGUAUCACAUCGUCCCUGUUCACCGUAGAGCGCAGCGCGGUGAGUUCUUCUGCUGCUAAAGCUUCGGAUAGUGCCUCCAGGGCUAGUGCAGCUGUCUUAUUUUCGUGACGGAGUGCUAUGUCCAGAUCACUAGCGAGGGUGAUUAUUCCGCCAGGCCCAGGCAUUUUGAGCUUCAUGUACCCGUAAUGAGGUACUGCUUGAAAAAUUGUGAAUGCCUCUCGUCCUAAUAUAGCGUGAUAUCCGCUGUUGAACGGGGCCACUUGGAACGUGACUUCUUCGGAUCUGUAAUUGUCCGGCGAGCCGAACACCACAUCGAGUGUGAUUUGUCCGGUGCAGCGUGCCUCCCGGCUAGGGAUUAUUCCUCUGAAGGUUGUGCUGCUUUGCUCAAUACGGCUCCAAUCGAUUUCCAUUUUCCGCAGAGUUUCCUUGUAGAUGAGGUUUAAUCCGCUGCCGCCAUCCAUGAGGACUUUUGUCAGUCGAAAGCCGUCCACUAUGGGACUAAGCACCAGUGCGGCUGGUGCUCUGGCUGUUCGGAAUUUAGGCUCGUCGCUGGCACCGAAGGUGAUAGCUGUGUCACUCCAUGGAUUUGUUGUUGCUGUUUGGUAGACUUCGGCGAGUCCGCGGAUUGUUCGCUUUCGCAUAUUGUUUGAUGCGAAGGUCUCGAAGACUGUUGAUACCGUACUGGUAUUGUUGGAGUGGUUUUCUGGGCUAGAAGCUCCUCGCCACUUUUGGCCACCUGCCGUAAUAUCCAACAUGCUCGAAGGCUAUGUGUUGGGACGGCUCCCUCUGUACUAUGAAGCUUACAGGGUCCAUUGAGCCAUCCCUCCAGUACGGUUGCGUGCCCCUUAAUGGGUUUUUGCUUUUUCUUUUUUGCGUAUGGGGCCUGAAUGUGAGGCGCCCUUUUGUUGUGGACUGGGGCUGGGGCCGGAUUAUCCCAAAAUUGAUUUUCGGUUUGCCGGACACUCUCCAUCGCACAGUACUUUCGUACUAUGGACGCCAGAUCGGCGAAAUGUGUAAUUUUGUGACGAUCGAUGGCGUUCAAUAUUCCCUUGUCCGUGCAAUUAUUGCAGAAGAUUGAGAUUGCAUUUUUCUCUCGGCAGUCCUUUAUCCUAUCCAUAACCAGGAGGAAUCUGGCCCAGUAGUGAUGUACUGUUUCAGCGGGCUCUUGCCGUAUUAGAGAUAGAUCGCAUAUGUCUGGGCGGGUGGGUGGACUAAAAUCCGGAUCCCUGCCCAUCUUGGGGCUUAAAGGCCGAAGAACUUCCGAAUUUGGAAGCUUGGUUUGCUGGACACAAUCCAGCGUGUCUGGAGCGACGCAUGAUUCUAAGUUCAAAGCUCGAUCGAAGUUCGUCCCUCCGCGGAAAUCCGGCGUGGAGGGUUCGGGAAUCUGGACAUGAAUAGUUUUCAAUACAGGCAAAGAUUUGCCGUAUUGCUCCUCUACCACUAUGACGUGGUGGGUGGCCUGGGGAGAGUUAGUCUCUCUCAGAUCGGUUUUAAGCCCAAUCUGGUUGUAGUCCGUAGCGACUCCCAGGGCGGCGAUGAGAUCCAAGAGCUCGUUAACAGACGAGAGCUCUAUUGGAUCCAACUAUUCGGCAGCUUUCGGGCUGACGCGAAGAUUGCUUUUGACGACUUGAGAAGUCAUUGUCGAAGCGGCGGCCGGACAGGCGGUCAUAAGAAAACCACCUAGUUGGAUAGUUUGGACGAUGGCCAAGGCCCCUUCGGCGAAAACACCAUCUUUGAAGACGGGUGGAGGCAUCCGCCCUAUCGGUGACGACACAGAGGAACUCUCAAUGAAAGCACCAAUGUCGGUGUCAAAACCGGCGGAUCUCGGGUAGGGGGUCCCGAAUUGUGCGUCUAGGCGGAUGGUAACAGGAGACGAGGGACACGAUAUUUUUACCCAGGUUCGGGCCCUCUCGAUGGAGGUAAAACCCUACGUCCUGCUUGAUUAAUAUUGAUGAUAUGGGUAGUACAAGAGUGGAUCUACCACGAGAUCAAGGAGGCUAAACCCUAGAAGCUAGCCUAUGGUAUGAUUGUUGUAAUGUAUGUUGUGUCCUACGGACUAAAGCCCUCCGGUUUAUAUAGACACGGGAGGAGGCUAGGGUUACACAGAGUCGGUUACAAUGGUAGGAGAUCUACAUAUCCGUAUCGCCAAGCUUGCCUUCCACGCCAAGGAAAGUCCCAUCCGGACACGGGACGGAGUCUUCAAUCUUGUAUCUUCGUAGUCUUGGAGUCCGGCGGACGAUGAUAGUCCGGUUGUCCGGACACCCCCUAGUCCAGGACUCCCACACCCCUCCCGAUGAAUAGGAUCCCAUUUCGACCGUGCCCGGUCGAACAAAAGGUCAUUUCCUCCGUUAUGCGGUAUGUCAGGCCUCAUUUCCAUUGGCUGUUCCAUCCAAGCCGGUUAGCUCCCGAUGAACAUGACAACACAUUCCAUUCCAACCCAGCCGGUCGACUCCCCGUGAACACAACGACGACGCAGUUUCUCCGUUCCGACCCAGCCAUGUACACGAGCCAUGGCCGUACGUAUGCACGAGUAGGCGUUCGAGACCCCGCCCGUAUGUACGUACAUGGCCGUAUUUACUUUCUUGCACCCUGGCUGCUGUAUGUAUGUGUACAUGCUACUUGCGCCUCUCUACUACCACACGUGCCCUUCCUUGCAUAGCCACGGUUCAUCGCUGCAGCCGGCAGACAGACCGAUCGGCUAGUAUGUACAUACACGUUCGUGACCAGAAUGACAACGCUACGUACACUUCGACCAGGUGGGUCCCGACUGUCAGACACUUCCUUGUGUGCGAAGAUGUAGCUAGUGGGUCCCAACAGUCAGGGGGCGAAUCAUUUUCUUGCCCAUAAUAUGGACGCACUUCCUUGCGUGCAAAGAUGUAGCUGGUAGGUCCCAGCAGUCAGGGGGGAAACGUUUUUUUUUUGCAAAAUACGAUGGCCCAUACGUUUUGUCCCUACUGUCAGGUGGAGGAAUGAUUAUUUUGCACGUAAUACGGAGGCACUUCAUUGCGGCUGCCGUGGACCCAGCAGUCAGCCUCUCCACGUACGGUACUCUUCUGAUGGAAGUCGUUCCUUGACCACGUUGACCACACCGCGCCAAGAGCACCAGGGCGGUGGAUGACGAGGAGGCCUAGGAAGGGGACGACGCGGAGCCGGGGAAGAGGCGGCAGUGGAAGCCCACGUAGAGAGGAGUACGAGGGUUCACUGGUUCGGCUGCGGUGUGAGGCUGCCAUCACCGCAGAAUAACAGGGGGUGUGCAUGAGUAGAGGGAUGGCCUGGCCAGCGGUGGGAGUAGUAGGGGGCGGUGAGGCCUCCGAGGCAUCACAACCGACCACAGAAGGCAGGAGCACGCAGCACGACCGGCGUUGGUUGGGCGGCUGGAGCAAGAGGACCAGAGGUUGAAGAAGCAUUACAACCGUUGGAUGGACAUCGUACGGUCACUGGAGCUAGAAUCGUUCAUAUUGACUAAGUCGACAAAGCCCUCCGUCCCCGUCAACUUAGUAGGCCCACAAGUCAGCCUCCCACUAUGCUGGGUCCCAGCUAGCAGGGGGAGUAUUCAUUUUUUUUGUGCGUAAUAAGGAGGCACUUCCUGGCGUGCGAAGAUAUAGCUGGUGGGUCUGACCUGUCCGCGCAGGGAAUAUUUUUUUCACGAAAUACAGAGGCCCUUCCGGUGGGUCCCACACGUUAGGUGGAGGAAUCAUUAUUUUGCGCGUAAUAAGAAGGCAUUUCCUUGUGUGCGGCCAUGGACCCAGCUAUCAGCCUCUCCACGUACAGUCCACGUCCAAUGGAUGUCGUUUGUUGACCAUGUUGAAUAGGCCGCGACGAGAGCACCAGGGCAGUGGACGUCGGCGAGGUGUAGGAAGGGAUCGACACGGAGCCAGGGAAGAUUCGACAGUGGUUGCCCACACGGUGGGGAGUACGAGGGUUUACUAGUCCGGCUGCCAUCACCGGAAAAUAACAGGAGGUGUGGGUGAGUAGAGGAAUGGCCUGGCCGGCAAUGGAGUAGGGUGGGGUGGUGCGGCCUGUGCGGCAGAACAGCCAACCACGGGAGGCGGGAGCAGGCAGUCCCACCGGCGCUAGUUUGAGUGGCUGGCGCAAGAAGAUCAGAUAUUGAAGAAGUAGCACGGCUGUUGGAUUAACAUCCAACGAUCACUGUUGCUAGAAUCAUUUGUGGACUAAGUUGACAAAGCCUUUCGUACACGUCAACCUAGUAGACCCACAAGUCAGCCUCCAAAUCUGUCCCAAACAGCAUAAAGCCCGAAAUUUCUAGCCAGAUUCAAAUUAAUUUUAAAACUAAACAUACCUUAAUUUAAAUCCAAUGAAAUUUUACCCACACAAAAACAAUGAAAUUUAAAAUAUCAAAAUCCAAAAGAAAAAAGUAUUUUGGAACUAAUUGCCUGUUUGCUGUAUUUUUUCAUUUUACAGCCCAUUUGUUAUUACUUAUAGCCCAUUUCUUAUCACUUAUAGCUCAUUUCCUGGGCAAAAUGGAUCCCUCCUCGUCUUGAAAGAUUUCUGGCCCAGCAGGGCAUAGAAAAGCAAGUAGGCCUACGUUGGUUAUUCUGCAAAAAACAAAAUAGCUGGCUAGCCAUUUUCAGAAAGAAAAAAAACAAACUGGGCUGGUCAUGUGCUAAGCAUAUGAAAUAAAAGCCUGGCCUAGACGGGCCACACCUCCCACACAACCCAGUUGAUACCCUUCUCCGUCCCAAAAAAACAAAAUUACUGCGCGCGCUGCUGGGUCCCUACUGUCAUCCUCACCAUGUACAUCCAUCUCCUUGUUCCUCUUUUGUUGACCAUGUUGACAACACCGGAGGGCGGCGCCGCGACGAGCGAACUAAGGCGGUGGACGAUGGUGAGGCCUCGGACGGGGACGAAUAGGAGCCGGGGAAGGUACGCAGAGUUUUAGGGUGCGAUGUGGCCAUGAUGCGUGCGCGGCAGCACAACCAGCCGUGGGAGGUGGGAGCAGGCGGUCCUGCCAGCGCUGGUUUGGCUUUGGCGGCGGGAGGAAGAAGAGACUGAAGAAAUACGACAGACGUUGAAUGUCAAUCCAACCGUCAAGGUUUGCAAAAUCGUUUUUUGACUAAGCCGACACCAAGUAGAAUACUUUAUUAUAUAUAGGAAGAAGAGAAAAACUGGGCUCAUUCGCUUGAUAACAUUCCCGAAACUGCGACCAUUCAAUCUUGCGUCGCAACUAAAACUGCGAGGAAAAUGCGUUUGUCUGUCGUCCUGCUCCCAGGGAACAUUCGCCACAUAAGUGACUAGCACCCUUGGUUUUCGACCGAGAGGUCUUGGGUUCGAGUCCAAGGAACUCUCAAUUUUGUCCUCCUUCCUUCCUCGCAAAAAAAGAAAGAAAAUCAAAGACUUGAGAAGGCAUACAGAACAAGCUGGUGUACUAGUAAAGAGACGUUGCUAAGUUUUAAAAAAAAGAGAGAUGUGCUCCUAUAGCUGGUUCGAAUACAAACCUAGACUAUGACUAUAUAUGGUGCUAUGCUACUUUGCAAGUAAUGAAACUAACAUAUCCAAAGUUCGCUUCUCCUCUUCUCUACUUACUCUGCCUAGUAUCAGAAGCUCUGGCCGCAGCAACCAUGUCCGCUGGUUGCUCGUCCACCUGCUCUUCAGCAGGCAACAACCAGAUAUGCGCCAAGUCACCACCCGUACCAUCGCCCGUGGGUCUCAUCACACCCCCGCCAGCACAUGCACCACAGCCGGUUGCUCAUCGCAACCUGUUGAUGUUGGUGUGGUGCCACUAUUGAAAAUCACGCAGAGUCAUUCGUCGCGUCUCAACCACAAUCCUCAACCCUGGUAGAGUCUUCUACAAAUGCCCAAAUCAUGGGGUAAUAAUUGUUUUAAGUGUUGUUCUGCUGCUUUCACUUGCUGAUUUUUUUAAUAGUUUGGUUGAUGAUCUUCCAAUUUGAUUCAUGCAGAAAAGGGAAGAUUCGUGUGAUUUGUAUUUGUGGGAAGUUGCUGAUGUGGGGGAAUGCAACUAUGCUGAUUAUUUGGUUAGCCGAGGAAUCCCAAUACCAGCAGGUUGGCGUGUUGGACAAGUAACUGAAAAAAUGGCAAGAGAGGAAGAUGCAGAGUAGAAGGUCAAAGAUGCAGUUACUCUGAUCAUGGCCAAGCAACAGCUGCUGAACGGCCUUGACAGCAAUGAGGAGAUGAAAGAGCUUGUUAAGAUAAUGGGCAAAAUCAUUGUGCUCUGUAGGAUGAUUGUCUUUUUAUUUGCAGUGUAUGUAGCACUCGUGAUGUAUUCAGUGGCUAUGACAUGAGCACUUUGCUGAAACUAGUAAUGAAUGAAACCUGUGUAGCAGGAUGGGCGUAGUGUUGUGAACAUCUAAUGAUUUCUAUUAACGGAAAUCGGGGGUAUCCCCUUUUGGUCAUAAAUAAAUCAAUAGCAGAGGCCCUUUUGGUAAUAAAAAAUAAAUUAGCAGAGGCCCUGUCGGGUCAGCUUUGUUCCCAUUCGAAGACGUCGAGCAAAUUGCAGUCCAACAACAAACUAUAUCAUCAAAUUCAAGUUUCACAACCAAAUUUGAGUACAACUAAACAACAAUGUCAUCAUGUUUUAGUCGUCAUACAAUCAUCAAACACAAAUCAGCAUACAUAACAAGUGAUGUUCUCACAGCAAAAUACUAAACAACACGUUCAUCAGAUUUUAGUUGUCAUAGCAAACACAAUUUCACAUAGUAGAUAAAAAACGUCUUCUGACAGGCAAAUACGACAAAAGCAAUCUAAUCAUCAUCCGCAGCAGUAGCAUCAACAUCUUCGCCAUGUGUAUCAGUCUGAAUCGUAAUUCCCGACAGUGUCAUCUUCUUCUUCAUCCUCAAUGUCCUCGAACAUUGGUUUCUUCCUGAUCAACUCUUGUAUGUCCACAACACGACAGUCAAUCUUUUCGCCAGCGUCAUUGACGUGAUGGUUCUCAAAUAUAUUAGGAACAUCUUUGGAAUCUUGUACAUCAGGAGCAAUGUAAGCAUCAUCUUGUUGUGCAACUUCAUUAAACGAAUUCCUCUGGUCUAACCUUUGCAAUAUUCUCCAGUCAUCGCUACAUGCAAAUGUGUCUUCCAAGAAAAAUAUAUGUGCCGCUUGAUUUGCCAAAAUAAAAGGCUCGUUGGUCUGGUACGCCACCUUGACAUUGAUGGAUUUGAAAUAAUCAUCGGCUCUGGGUUUUGCGAGCCUGGAAAACAGGUUAUAGCAACGACAGCACAAAAGAACCACACACCGAUGAUCCUCGAAACUAGAGAUAUACUGCAAUUGAACAAUGUCUAUUAUGUUAGCAUACAUUUCAGUUGUCUCUAUGUCGUAUGUAUCCGUGCUCAUGAUUACACUGUUUUGUGUCUUUCUGCCUUCAUCGCAUGCAAGGGUGUUGUAGCACACAUCUCCAACAACGCAAGAUUCAUAAUGCCUUACCCGAGUAUCAUGACCCAUUGCUAGUGCAUAAAGGGCAUCAUCAACUGCCUUCCCAUCCUCCCGCAUCUUCUUAACCUAUGGUUAGAAAAUAGAAGUUGGUCAUCUUAUGUACUCAAUAUAUUUAAAAAACUGACACUGCAAUUCAAAAGCUUACAUGGCUCUUGAACCAUUUCGCAAAUCCUGCCAUAACCAGUUUGUCAAUGUUUCUUGGAUUUUGCGGCAGUAACUCCUUUUUUUAGAUGCUGCACAACAUAGUGAUCGCGUCAAACAUCUAGAUAUAUAAGAAUGUGCUGCAAGUUUAGUAGAUCGGUUCACAUCAGACAAUGUAAAUAAUGCAACACAAAGGGAAAUGGUCAGAGAUGAAUCUUUACAGGCCUCUGAACUUUUGGGGCUAUAUCAGCAACAAAACCAGGAGGCCCUACGAAGUCAAGAAGGUAAACAUCUUCAAUUUCGUCAAACGAAAGACCAUCGCUCCUGCAAAAGGAAACCCAUAAGAUCAAGGUUAUAACAGGAGAAACACAAUAUCGUCAUUUUUCUUUUAAGGUACAAGAUCGUCGUUUUGGGUUUGCUCUGCCAAGGCUUGUAUAGCAUGACAACAAAAACACUAAUGAGUUCUAGGUGAUAUUUUUGACCAUUCCAAUCAACCAGGACUAAUGAUGUAUUGAAAUUUAAGGGAAGAUACUCCAACCAGUUUAGACCAUGCCCAAUUUGUCUCAAGAUAAUAUGACUCCAGAGCAUGGCUCCUUUUUAUGUGAAAUAUAAUUUAUAACUUGAGAUGAUUUUUUGUCUUGAUACAGACUGCACACAAAAUUGGCAUGCACCUAGCUUAAGCGAACUAAUGACGCCAGGAUUUGUCAAUGUGAAACUACACUUGAAAACUUCAAAGGUAACGCCCUGCAAAUCUUACAAGCCUGCAUGAAUGUAAAUCCAGAAAAGGUAUUAUAACAACUAUUUUGUUGCUACUAAUUCAACAUACAUAAGUAAAUCCAGAUAUAAGCAACAUCUUACAGGUAAAUGCUUGCAAAGAAACAUAAGGUUUAUGCCUUUCUUGUGUAUAAGAUUUGCAUAGACGGAUGGUAACUGAAUUUCAUGAGCAAAGAAAGUUCAUAACUGAAGAUAUAACUUCGCGAGUGCUACAAAUGGUGCUAAUUAAUCACACCUAACCACCUAGUAAGGCAAGUUUCGCUGUACGAGAAUCAACGAUCCGCAACAGGGGAAUUUUGACGUACUUGUAUCGUAUUCAGACCCCCCCCCAAAAAAAAAUGUGUAGCAGCUUCCUACCGAUCCACAAGGGAGCACACCAGAAUGAGAUGUUCGUCAAAGGUGAAAAGAAAGAACAGUUACUCACAGAGUCAUGAGAAAUGCUACUCAAAAAAUUCCCGAGAACAAGAAGAAGCCGAGCAGGUGCGUCCAGAUGUUGAUGGUCUCGUUGUGCCAGGAGAAGACGCUGAGGAAGCUGUGAAGUAGCAGUGCCCUUGGCGUUGAACUUGAACCCCGGCGUAGAGUAGGUGCAUCCAGAUCCUGCUCCCCAACCUGCACAGAAAUAAAAACCAUUCGUCAGAGCAGGGCAGCAUGCAACUUGCUCGACGAAUUGCACGAGUGGAAAGGAGGGCGAACCUCAGUAACAGGAAGGCAUGAAGGAGCGGCGGUCGGCGAUGGUGUAUCCCUCGACGGAUCUGCAUCCACAAGGCGAGGUGAGAGAGGGGGACCUGCAGAUCGAUUGGACCGGAGGGGAAAAACAAGCAUGGCCGAGGGGCACCUACCCAAACUGGUCUGCCGCAACGGGGCCGACGCAUGCCGCCAGGACGGCAGCGGCCUUGUCGGGGAGGAGGGAGAGUUGGGGAGGCGUCCGAGCAACUUGGAGGGGUAGAGUCCAGCAGCAACCAUCGAGGACGUGGCUGUCUCUAACAUGGACGAGAGGCCGUGACGACGGGGAAGUCGACGAGGUGCAGAGCCCGGAGGAGCGGCAGACAAUGAAGGAGCCGCGGCGGAUCGUGGAGUCAAGUGCUCGGAACAGCGCCGCCGUCGCACUCCGGGCGCGGUCGUCGGAGGCGCUGCGGAGCUCGUCACCGGCGGCCCUCGCGAGCCGCAGGGCGUGGCGGCCGCUGCUGAGGUGCUUGGGGAGGACGGGCUUGCUGGAGCUCGGGGUGAGGAGCUGGGGAUGCGGCGGCAGCAGCGUGAGCCGGAGGAGGGCUGUGGUCGCUAUGGACACGGUGGAGGUUGCUGGGUUCGAGGCUGGAGUUGUUGGGUUGGGGCUAGGGGAGGUGGCGGUGGCGGAAGGAAUAGGAGAGGAUGAGAGGGGAUAGGAGUUAGGGUUUGAACGAUGGGGAUCAGGGUUUCGUCUUAGGUGGGCUUGGGGUGAGGACUACUGUUGGAUCCGCGAGCAUCCGACGGUCUUCCACGCACGAUCCGCGUGAAGCGCCAACAGACCAAUCAAAAUGCACUACACGCGAACGAUGUUAUGACCUUUUAAAUAGGUCAUAGUUGACUAAAAAAAUGGUCGUGGUUGACUAAAAGUUCAUUUUUCAUUUUUCAAGUGAUCGAAAUGAGUUUUUUUGUGAAGGGUCUACCAUAUAUUUGUUGAAAAAUUGGACCAAAUCAAUUUUCUAAAAUAUUAGGCCAUGUUUAAUGCACAAUUGACCAAAUGGUCGGGUGUCAAACGUUUCGAUUCACCUCUCGUGAAAAAGACAAAUUUCCGCCGAUCCAGUUGGAAGCGGGUCAAGUUUGAACUACAGCUGCCUUAUAGUUUGCUCUUUAUUUUUUCCAAAAAUCAUUUCUAGAUACAUAAGUAUCUAUUUAAUUAGAGAAAAAUCAAAAGUUCUCCAAGAUUCAACCACUAGCUAGGAACGGUCAUGCCCGCCGUUUUGACCACAUUUCGAAACUGGGAUAAAAAAUUCAAAAAAAAUCAAAAAAUUGUAAAACCUUCACAUUGUGUCAUUAUAUAUGACCAAGUUACCAGAAAAAAUAAUAAACUUAUAAUAUGGCAAUUCUUUAAAAAAAAGUGUUCUAAAAAAUGAGCUAUCAUGUGUGAAUAUUCAUGGCUUUCAAACCAAAUGAUCAAUCUUAUGACCACAUUCAUGACAUAGUUUGUUCAUAUGAUCUCAUAUGGUGCAGAUGGGUGCAUCUUGGAAUGGCAAACAAUGUUGCCUAACCAAGUUUUCAUUUUCUUUGGACAAAAACUUUAGUUUCCAUUUUUUCGAGUGCCUAAAAUGAGUUUUUUCUGAAGGACCUACCAUAUAUUUGUUGCAAAAUUGGACCAAAUCAAUUUUAUAAAAUAAUAGGCCAUGUUUAAUGCACAAUUUACCAAAUGGUUGGGUGUCAAAAGUUUGGAUUGACCUCUGGUGAAAAAGACAAUUUUCCACUGACCCAGUUGGAAGCGGGUCAAGUUUGAACUGCAGCUGCCUUAUAGUUUGCUCUUUAUUUUUUUCCAAAAAUCAUUUCUAGGUACAUAAGUAUCUAUUUAAUUAGAGAAACACCAAAAGUUUUCCAAUUCAACCACUAGCUAGGAAUGGUUAUGCCCGCCGUUUUGACCGCAUUUUGAAACGGGCAUAAAAAAUUCAAAACAAAAUCAAAAAAUUGGAAAACCUUUGCAUUGUGUCAUUAUAUGUGACCAAGUUACAAGGAAAAAUAAUAAACUUGUAAUACGGAAAUUAUUUAAAAAAAGUGUUCUAAAAAUUAGCUAUCAUAUGUUAAGAUUCAUGGCUUUCAACCCAAAUGCUCAAUCUUAUGGCCACAUUCAUGGCACAGUUCGUUUAAGUGAUCUAAUAUUCUGCACAAGGGUGAAUCUUGGAAUGACAAACAAUCUUACAUAAGGAACUUUUCAUUUUAUUUGGACAAAAAAUUCAUUUUCCAUUUUUUGAGUGCCCAAAAUGAGUGUUUUUCGUGAAGGACCUACCAUAUAUUUGUUGCAAGAUUGGACCAUAUCAAUUUUCUAAAAUAUUAGGUCAUAUUUAAUGCACAAUCAAAAAAAUGGUUGGGUGUAAAAUUUUUUCAUCCACCUCUCAUGAAAAAGACAAAUUUUCGCCAAUUCAAUAGGAAAUGGGUCAAAUUUGAACUGCAGCUGCCUUAUAGUUUGCUCUUUAUUUUUUCCAAAAAUCUUUUAUAGUUACAUAAGUAUCUAUUUUAAUCAGAAACCAUGGUUUGGUGUCAAUAUGUCGAGGUUUGGACGGUGGCCGAGGGCCCCAACUCCAGAGCGCGUCAACUCGCAUGCCCGCCGCAUAGUCACCGCAUGACCAUGGCGUUGCCAAGCGUUUUGGGCAGCCUAGGCAUAUCAAGUAUGUUGGGCACUCCCCAUGUAAGUGCUAGGAAUAAAAUGACAACAGAAGUUUCUCACGAGGAGACCGAACUAUGCUCAAACAUGAAUUAGCAGCCAAGUGUUUGAUUAGCGGUACGGGAAAUGCACAAGGCUAAUGGGCGUGAGUUUUGGCUGAGGAUGAUCAGUUACUAAGAAGGUUGUCUUCAUAAAUUUCCAGCUCAAAAGGAGGAGCCUAGGUGGUACUUGCUUUGCUAAGUACCACACUGGGCGUAAAUAUGAAUGUUGAAGCUGGGCUGAAAAUAAUGAAUGGAUCGAGCUGAAAUUUGGUGGAGGAUGGUUAUUUCGGCAUAGGAAAGCACUGUAGAAAAUGGAUACCAUUUGGAAAUGCCAAAGUGGUACUUGCUUCACAAUGCUCUUCUCUGGACAGAAACUUUGGAAAAUUAGUGAGAGAAAUUGGCUAAAUGAAAUGAGCUCAAAUUUGGUGUAGGCAAGUUACAUAGGUAUACAGAAUAUGUGGCAAAAAUUCAACUCAUUAGGAUAUGCAUAGCUAGUACUUCUUUCACAAAGGUUCUAGGUGGACAAAAACUUUGGAAAUUUGCCGAGGAAGAUUUGCGGGGCAAAUGGAUCUGAAUUUUGUCAUGAGGCAAUGAUUUGGAUAGGAAAGAGUGCCCAAAAAUUUUGAGGGCAAUCAAGAAUAUAUAAAUAGCACUUCCUUCACAAUGCUCUUCUCUAGACAGAAACUUCAGAAAAUUAGUGAGAGAAAUUGGCUAAAUGAACUAAGCUCAAAUUUGGUGUAGGUAUGUUACAUAGGCAUAUAGAAGAUGUGCCAAAUAUUCAACUCAUUGGGAUAUGCAUAGCUAGUACUUCUUUCACAAAGGUUCUAGGUGGACAAAAACUUUGGAAAUUUGCCGAGGAAGAUUUACUGGGCAAAUGGAGCUGAAUUUUGUCAUGAGGCAAUCAUUUGGAUAGGAAAUAGUGCCCAAAAUUUUUGAGGGAAAUCAAGAAUAUAUAAAUAGCACUUCCUUCAUAAAGUGUUGUUCUAAAUAGAAUAGGGAAAUGAAUAUUGUUGAAUUGUUUUUGAACUAGGAAGGAAGUUUUUUUUACAUAUUUGACGAAGAUAUGACCCAAAGAAUUUAUGAGAUUUUUUUUUGGGAAUUUUGGGAAUGACAGAAAUAUAGGUUGCUUCACAACCUAGGGCAAAAACUGACACAUGGACAUGGCACAUAGGCAAAACUGAUGAGGUGGCACCUAGUCAUAGCAACCCACCACAAUUUACAAGGUUAUGACCAUCUAUAUUGGUUGUGAUUAGCUAUAAAAAGGCAGCGGAUUAGUGGUAUCUGCUUUAUGACCAUUUCGUGUACGGAAAUUACGAUCUUUCUGACCAAAAUGGUCGUUAUAGUUCAGGGUUUGGAGCCCCCCGAACAGCUUUUGACCAAUUGGUCUCAAAUGAUCCUAGAUUUAUGACCAAUUCUUCCAGGGUCACUGACAGAAGGUCGCAAAUUGACAUAUUUCUUGUAGUGGGCAUUUUAUUAUUUCUAAUUGCUCUCCAACCCUCUUCUCCAUCGAUCGUGCUACCCUCCCGUCGAGUCCAUCCUCCUGCAUGCCUCAUUUGAACAUUCUGCCGAGUAUCAUUCGCAUGUGGGCCUAGACCAUGCUUGUAUUUCCAAUGUUGUAAUUUGUCCGACAUGCAUACAAACAAACGGUUCGUUUAAAGUUUCACUUUGCCUCCACGACGUGUCGCUUCCCGUCUUAGUUUUGACAUCCCAUUCGGUUCAUGCCCUGGCACAUGUUGACGAGAUCGAUUGAUGUUGAGAGAUCAAUUGCAUGACAUGCAAGGAGAUAAAGGUUUGGUCUGUUUCUAUGAUAGAAAUGACCCGCGACGAGGGGGGGGUCUGUGGGGAUCAGAGGGAGUAUAUUGUACGUUCAUAAGCGAAAUGAACAUAUUGUACCCACCCAGUCCUCUUUCAAUCGAUCUCCAGACCCCGAGAUGAAAUCGAGAGAGAACGAGUGGGUGCAUGUGUGAUACCUAAGGCGGAUUCAAAAUUUUGAACCGGUGAUCAUAGCGUUCGCAAAUCAUAUAUAAAGGGUAUUCAAUGUUCGUUUCUCUUUUGAACGUACAAUAUACUCCCUCUGGUCCUUUAUAGUUUAUAUAAGUUUUAUGUGUAGUCAAAGUAUCUCUACUUUGAUCAAACUUACAGAAAAAAGUAUCAACAUUCAACAACGCCCAAUCAAUAUUGUUAGAUUCAUAUGUACUCCUAGAUUUGUAUUCAAACAGAGAUGGUUUCCAAUUUGUUUUCAACCACGUGAAUGUGCUUGUUCUCGCGCAUGCUCUUCCUACUAGGAUUUCGCCACGUAUAGCCACUCCAAUAGUAACUUUUUAAGCUCCCUGUCCAAUAGUACUAGUGGAGUACUGACAACAUCUGUAGUAGAGUAUGCAGUGCUCAUAGUGUUGACACCAGAUUUUGGCACGGUCAAGAACUUAUUUAAGAUGGACUCAAAUGGAGAAGUGAUCUUCAUGAAAGAGUUCCGCAUUUUUGAUAUGAACAUCUUUGAAGUUUGGGUCAUCGCCGUCCGAUUUCAUCUCGAAGGCCGAAACUAUGCUCAAAGUACUAAGAUCCUAUAUUCAGAGUACAUUUUGGCUGAUUGAGCCCCCAAGAGCACCUCAAAUGGAAAAAUUAUCUACAUGGAUUGUCUUCGUCUCGUCGAAACGAUCGAUUUUGAUAUAAAAAUCGUUUCAAUCGGAGUUCAUAUGCAAAAGUUAGAGCCAUCGGAAUACAGCCCUGUCAGAGGCAAAAACUGGCACGCCCCUCCAGACACCCUGUCUGAUGGGUAGCGCGAGGGAUAGCCUGUUUUGCGCGACCGAUUUGACCCUCAAUAUAACCUCUGAUCAAAAAAUGUUCGACAUAAAAGUUGUUCGUCUCGUCAAAACGGUCAAGAUUGCUUUUGGGCUCGUUUCUAUCCGAGAUUGUUUACCACCACAAAAAAGACCCGCAAGGUGCAGCCAGUUUAAACCGAACAGUUUUGGAAAGUUCGGACAAAACCAAUCCGAAUUUGACUAGGGUUUUGGACGUGAAUCCAAGCCUUUUCCUUGCAUGGAAAGUCCAGCCGCCUCCUAUAUACCUGAGGGGUGACGGCCGAUUGAACAACACACAAUCGAUCAAUCAAUCUACUAGUUUUCCGUGUUCAUCUACUUUUCUCUCUCCCCGUGUAUCUUUCUUCUCGUUCUUCAUCGUUCUUCAAGAUUGGAGGCUGCGAAGCCACGAGGCUCUAGGGGCGGUAAGACCGACCUCGAGCAGCCAACCGUCGCCGCGAGCCCUGACGGGGUCCCUCCCGGGCGAGCAGGGCGUCUGGUCCCAAAAGCGCCGGCUUGCUGUCUUGCGUAUCGCGCUAGAAGUCGGCCUCCCGCGGUGUGAGUUGCGGAGCAUAUCCCUCGGCGCCGCGGGUACACAUCGACGUGUUUGUGUGACGCGUUCCAGCGUCAACACACUUUUUGGCGACUCCACUGGGGACGAAGCUUUGAACGGUCUCCGGCCUAUUCUUACUAUGAAAGGAUCGUCAUCUAGGGUUUGCAAUCUACAAAGGUAAUAUGAAUACCCAAUUCCCUAUUGUAGAUGCAAAUAAUUCAUAUGGUGUUACUAGAUCGUUCAAUAAGUAUACUCUAUCGGCCAGCCCUAGUUUUUUCAAUAAUGCAUCUAAUUACGUGCAAGGGCCGAUUCAAAGUAAUUUGCAUGCUUUAAGUUCUGAUGAUACUAGUAACCUACACCAUAUGUAUCCCAACACUCAUGCAUCGGCAACCCCACAAAUUGUUAUGCCGAUGAACAACAUGGUGAGUUCAGUUAAUAAAUUUGAAACACCUCAUGUUAGAAUUUCCAAUGCCAUGCAAGAAAGUGUUUCACCCUUUUAUUCAUCGGCAAGUAAUGUGCAAUAUACUAAUCCAACCAUGCCGAUGAACGAGAGAAUUAGCCAUGUUACUACUAGUUAUUCGGCCAGUUACGCUCAACCGUCAUAUGCUACACCUCAUGUUAGUAAUUCUUCGGCACCAUACAUAACUGUAGAUGCUCAUAAUUCGGCUUCACACCUUCCUGGUUAUAGCCGAAUGAAUGUAAAUUUUACAGGAGCGGUUGUGCCCAAUAUUGUAGAAGAUGAGGUAGUGGUGGAUGCAUUGAAGAGUUUAGCCCAAAAUAAGAGAAUUAGUGCUCUUUGCCUUGAACAAAAUGAAAAGGGGCUAUUUCCUGAUUAUGCCGCAAUAAAAGCUAGAGUUUUGCAAGAAGAUGAAUCUUUGCCAAUUGAUAAAAUUGGCGAGCAAAAGUAUGGUCUUACAACACUGCACAUGCCUUCACCUAGUACUACAUCAUAUUAUACACCCCUUACACAAUUGCAAAAUUUCGGCAACACCGUGUGUCAUUGCCGAAAGAAUCUAAAAGCACUGGGGGGCAAUCAUAUCCGGAGUGGGCUGAAAUUGAGAAAAAACUUAAAGCUAAUUUUGCCGCUCGCCGUCAGAAACAAAUAGAAAAAGAAUUGGCUCAGAUAAAAGACGCAUUGCCAAUUGGUACUAUCAAUGAAAAGAAGGAUGAUUCGGAACAUGAAAGUGCUUCGGUUGAAAAAGCCGAAUCAAGUAGUAUAUAUUCCGAAUCCAUCAAAUCCAACGAGGCAAGGACUAUUGAGAAAGGGCAUGGCAAGCAUAGGAAAACAACAGUGCUUGAUUUUUCUGAAGUUAAUGGAACCUACUUCCUGCCCUAUGAGUUCCGUGCCGUAGAAAUUGACAAGCUUCAAGGACAAGAACAAGUAGCCGAACAAAGUUCGGCCGACAAAAAUCUUCAAAGCAAUGAUGCACGGAUUCAAGAAAAAGAUGAUGACAAGGUGUUGGGGAGCCAUCCAAAGACGGAGCAAGAUGUUCUUCAAAUGGCACCACUAUCAUGCUGUCCCAACAUAUUUGAAGAGGUAUGCAUAGCAAGUAAUUUACCUAUUUUCAGAUUUGGUCGCAACUUCAUUAUUGAUGCAUCUAUAAGAAAUAUUCUCAUAAGUAAUUUUGAAAGACCAAUGAGGAAGGGUAAUUUACUUGUUAGCAGUAAAAUUGUUAUGGAACAUAUUGGUCAACCCAUUGCACCAUUUAUAAAAACCGAUAAUGACUUAUUGUUACAGCCAAAGCUUUUCCCGUUGCUUUCUCUAAAGUUCAUAUCUAGUUGGGUAGCUUUGCUUAUUUCUUACUUGGCUUACACUUGGUCUCAACUGAGACAUGUAUGUUCUAAAUAUCUUUGUUUCAAAAAUUUAAAGCCAAGGUUAAAUUCUAUUGAGAAAACCGAUGCUAAUAUAAUACCAUAUCCAAAGACAUCGGAGAUAGAGUGGAAAACACAAUGCAUAGCCGAAUGGGGAGAUUCCAAUCUGAACCAUUCGUUUGCUUAUCUCCAAAGCUGUUCAAAUAGCAAAAUCGGCUAGGAAACAAGAAGUAUACUUUCAAUUCAAGCAUGUGUUAUAAAAUAUUUGAUUUGUUGCUGAAAAAUAAUUACAUUACAAUUCUUGAUCACCAUAUUAAGCCAUCAAUCCAAGGACGAAUGUAUUGUAAGUUGCAUGAUUCGUCCAAGCAUAAUUUUGAGGAUUGCAACAUGUUUCGGCAAAUAGUUAAAUCGGCCAUUGAAAAAGGACGACUGAAGUUUGUUGAAACACCAAGAGAUGACCAGUCUAUUUCGAUUGGUACCGACGGCAAAAGGUUUUUGCAUCGGCUGCUUCAAGUCGAUCCAUUUAAAGAGAAUGUAAAAACUGCAGGUGAUGGGAUCAAGGUUUCAAGUAAAGAAGUUGUUGAAGAGCAUAAUGAACAUAAUCUUGAGGGCGAAAAUUCCAUCGAAGCUACAAUGGAGAUGCCAAGUACUGGGGGGUAGCAAGCAAAUCCAAUGAUCGAUGAAAGCAAACCAAAAGAAAACAAAGGCCGAAAUAAGCACAAGUGUAAGAGAUCAAAAAUCACCUUUGCUGAACUAUUGGAUAAAUAUCAAAAGAUGAGUGAAGAGAAGAAUGCUUAUCAGCCAAAUCAUGCAAAGAAACCAAGAUCACCUCCAAGGCGCAAAUAAGAGGAUUGGUAUUGGCAAAGUGAUAAUUUUAAUGCAACAUAUUCGUAUCCUUAUUUUGGGCCGCCAAUGCCAAUGCCGUGGAUGCCUCCCGAUGCUCAUAUAGAUACAAAUUCAUCAUGGGAUAGGUAUGGUACAAGGGCACAUUCUCCAUCUUAUUCUAGACCAUCUCACCAAUACUAUGCAGCUCCAAGAAGAUCAACAUUUGAACAAUCACGUAUCAAAGACCGUUUCAAUCAUAAGGAAUCGGUCCAGAGCUCAAGGAAGAAUAAAGAGAUGGUAAAGCAAGUUUACCGCGUGAAAAGAGAUGGUCGUAAGUGUGCUACUUCAGAUUUGAUCUCAAAAAACAAAGAGCCAAUUAAAGUGUUGACAUUGGCUACAAAAGGCAAAGAAGUGAAGCAAUCAAUUGAUAAAAAUGAGAGUGCCAAAUCGGAAGAAAAUAAGUUGAGGGUGCACAAGGCCUAGAAAGAAUUGCCAUUGGUUGAAACAAAAUCACAAUCGAGGUGCUCACUCAGCUUAUCAUAUUGGCAAAAGAAGAAAUUACAAAAUCUUAGUGCACAAGAGCUUAGAAAGAGGAACAUGGCAUGGGUUCCCAAGAGGAUCAAUCAAAACAAAAACGAUGUGCAUGCUUCAAUUGCAACAAGUACAAUAAAAAUGAAGAAGGAGAAUGAUGGAAGCAACAAACAAUUAAGCCGAAGGUGUGCAUCACAACAUCAAAAUCUUCGGUUAGCACAUCAUCCAUUUUCUUCAACAAUGCCAUUGAUGCCUUUGCCAUGGAAUUCAUCCACAGGUAUGAUUAGUUACCCUCCAUGGACUUAUUUUGAUCCAUGGAUGCAACAUAAUUUUCUAUAUGAUGACAAAGUAUUACCAAAUCACUAUACAUUUCGUUAGUUACAUUUUUGUUGCUAAGACAAAGGAGCCAAAAUAUUUUAUUGCUAUUUUAUUUGUUUAUUUCGGCUAUACAUGUUUUAAUGGAUGAAUUCUACAUGAACCUCAUGGUAAUGGCCGAUACUUAACUAUCGUCCUAAGAAACUAUCUGGGCAUGGCCGUUGUGGAAUUCUAACACCGUCCUUAGUUCAAUUGGAACCGAGACAAGGUACAUGUUAAGUGAUAUUAGCUUUGUCUCUCUAGUACUAUGGAGAUUAUAUUUUGAUGGUUCAAUUUGUAGCAAUGGUCAAAGUGUUGGUGUUGUUUAUUUAUCUCCAUAUGGAGCUAGUUUGUGAAGUCUCAUGCCGCUUAAGAUAUUUUUGCACAAUGAUCAAACCGAAUAUGCAUUGUUAUUGGGAUUGGAGCUUUGCCUUGCUAUAGGUGCUAUACAUAUUGAGGCUUCCGGUGAUUCGUUAUUAGUAGUGUAACAAAUGUCCAAGGGUAUGUUUUGACGAAUCACUUAUAGUUUAUCUUUUGAUAUGACUAGAUGCAAGAUUUACCUUGGGUUGCUUUAAAAUUGUUUAUAUAUCUAGACAUGACAAUUUGAAAGAGUUGGCACAGCAAGCAUAUGGCUACUAUGUUAACUAUGGUGUAUUGUAUUUCUAUCAAUAGCUGAUGCUAGGUUUUGUCAACAUAGGUAAGGCCGAACCGAAGCCCACCGCUUCGGCCACUAAUGAAACUUUUAUGCAGGCGAAGUAAGGAUUGGAGGAAGUUCAUUAUUGAUUAUCUGCAAAGUCCUAGCAAAAGGGUGAACAAUAUGGUUCGGAGGAUGGUUUUGAUCUAUGGAACCUUAUCACUGGAUUGUUAUUGAAGUUGGGAAAGUUUCACCCAAACUUGCAUCGAAAUAUUCACGCAAGCAAUGGCUGAUAUAAACUUAUCAUCCUAAGCAUAUGCAAAAUGGCUGAUGAAGUGUUGGCAUCGUCCUUAGAGCAAGCUAUGUGCAAGUUAUUUUUCGGCACACAAGCUUUCCCGAAAGUAGGGGGGCAUGUGUUGACACCAGAUUUUGGCACGGUCAAGAACUUAUUUAAGAUGGACUCAAAUGGAGAAGUGAUCUUCAUGAAAGAGUUCCGCAUUUUUGAUAUGAACAUCUUUGAAGUUUGGGUCAUCGCCGUCCGAUUUCAUCUCGAAGGCCGAAACUAUGCUCAAAGUACUAAGAUCUUAUAUUCAGAGUACAUUUUGGCUGAUUGAGCACCCAAGAACACCUCAAAUGGAAACAUUAUCUACACGAAUUGUCUUUGUCUCGUCGAAACGAUCGAUUUUGAUAUAAAAAACGUUUCAAUCGGAGUUCGUAUGCAAAAGUUAGAGCCAUCGGAAUACAGCCCUGUCAGAGGUAAAAACUGGCGCGCCCCACCAGACACCCUGUCUGAUGGGUAGCGCGAGGGAUAGUCUGUUUUGUGCGACCUAUUUGACCCUCAAGAUAACCUCUGAUAAAAAAACGUUCAACAUAAAAGUUGUUAUUCUCGUCAAAACGGUCAAGAUUGCUUUUGGGCUUGUUUCUAUCCGCGAUCGUUUACCACCACAAAAAAGACCCGCAAGGUGCAGCCAGUUUAAACCGAACAGUUUUGGAAAGUUCGGACAAAACCAAUCCGAAUUUGACUAGGGUUUUGGACGUGAAUCCAAGCCUUUUCCUUGCACGGAAAGUCCAGCCGCCUCUUAUAUACCUGAGGGGUGACAGCCGAUUGAACAACACACAAUCGAUCAAUCAAUCUACUACUUUUCCGUGUUCAUCUACUUUUAUCAGUCCCCUUGUAUCUUUCUUCUCGUUCUUCGUUGUUCUUCAAGAUUGGAGGCUGCGAAUCCACGAGGCUCUAGGGGCGGUAAGACCGAUCUCGAGCAGCCAAUUGUCGCCGUGAGCCCUGAUGGGGUCCCUCCCGGGCGAGCGGGGCGUCUGGUCCCAAAAGCGCCGGCUUGCUGUCUUGCGUAUCGCGCUGGAAGUCGGUCUCCCGCGGUGUGAGUUGCGGAGCAUCUCCCUCGGCGCCACGAGUACACAUCGACGUGUUCGUGUGACGCGUUCCAGCGUCAACACAUAGUACUCCCUCGUACCAUUUAUAUAGGGCCUACGUGGAGGAGAGAGAUGUGAAAAAGUAAGGGGAGUGAGCUCUCAUGCAAGAGCCUAGCUAUAUACGCAUUCCUAGUUAAAUACAAUAAAUAUGAAGAAAGAGAUAGAGAGGAGAUGGAAAAAAUGUACUAAUACAAUAGCCAACCUUAUAUUUUUUUGUGGGAAAUAGCCAACCUUAUAGCCCACACUAGUGUAUGAGUGCAUAUGGAUGAUGGCUAUAGAUGACAUGGCAGUUCCUUAUAGCCAUCGGAUGGCUAUAUUAUUAACCAUGCUCUAAUGCGUUUUUGAAAACCGCCUUUGACUAUUGACAAGAUUAAUAGUACAUGAGAUGUAUAAUGUGAAAAUUAUAUCAUUGGAAGCUCCUUUCACAUACGAAUUUGACCGUAUGUUUUUUGCAAGUUGCAUGUCAUAUAUUAUUACUCUAACAUUUGGUCAAAGUUAGCCUCGAAAAACACAUUAGGCCCUGUAUAGUAGAUGGAAGGAGGGAUUAGUAGUGGAAGUGGAUCCUCUGACAUAGGUAUCCCUGCCUUACCCUCCCUUUAGGUCACUUACUAGCGGACCCUAUGCUUGCUUUGCCCUGCAUGCCAGUUAUUCAAUGGAUUCGACCACGUCAGGGGAUCCUCAUCCGUAGUAUACUCCCUCUUUUUUCAUUUACUCUGCAUAAAAUAGAGGGAGUGGUAGUAUAAAUGACGUGGGCGGGGAAGGGGGAGGGACGUCGGUUUGCUCUCAACUGCGGCCCCACAAGCGAGUGAAAAUGCAAUACAAAGCGUGUUCCAUUCAGUGAGCGAUGUGGAGGGUCCAGCAUGCUGGGGUGCAACGCGAACGCGACAAGAGCGAUGUACAGUCAAAACUGAUUUACCGGUCGUCACCAGAACCACUAUUCACACGAGAACCUUCGCUGCUCGGCCUAUACCAGCCACUUCCCCAAAACCACCUCUCCUCUCCAGCCCAUUCCCCCACCUUUUGACCCCCUAGCCUACAUCAAGCGUCCCCUAGUUCGUCGGAAAGCCAUGGUGCGCCGCAAGAUUACGUACUACAAGAUCCUGAUGCCGGAGCGCCGCGUAGAGAUCACGGCAGCGGUCGGCGCCACAGACCUCCAUUCCCAAGCUCGCUUUGUGGCGGGCCAAUCCCCGAGUUCCCUGGAGCCAAGUAACGAGGAGGAGGAAGCCGAUCCAAUGUUCAUGGGGGAGGUCAUCGCGUAGAAGGCCCCCGAUGAGUAUGAGACGAUGGGCGUCGACUUCGUGCCAGCGUCCGGGUCCCCCAUGGUGCAGACGGACCAGCGGUUCCACCUGGCGAUACUAAAGGAGGACCGGGAGGCAGAGGUUCAACUCGACGCGGAGCGGACGCAUGCCACUGCCAUCGAGGCUCUCCUGUAGGCGGAACCAGAUGUCGUGGAUGUGAACCGGGCGCCAGAGGCUCAACUUGAGGCGGAGCGCGCGGAUGCCGCUGCCGUCGAGGCCCUCCUGCAGGCGGAACCGGACAUCCUGGACUUGAACCGGGCGGCAGAGGUUCAACUCGACGCAGAGCACGCGGAUGCCGCUGCCAUCGAGGCCCUCCUGCAGGCGGAACCGGACGUGCUAGACUUGAACCGGGUGGCGGAGGCUCAACUCAAUGCAGAGCGCGUGGAUGCCGUUGCCAUCAAGGCCCUCCUGCAAGCGGAACCAGACGUCCUCGACUUGAACCAGGCGGUGCUCUCAUCCGUGCAGAGUGCCCGCACGCUCCGCGGGAAUGAGUAGCUGGAGGCCGAAGACAACCACGAUGCGGAGACACACGUCGGCAGCUACGGCUGGUUCGCGCCGGCAGCCAAAGACGACAAGGCCGUCUCGUUCCACGAGUAGUGACAGUUUUUCUUUAUGCUGUUGUUUUUAGGGAUCUUUUGCUGUGUAAAAACAUAUAUUGUUAUGCAAGUCGCCUAACUUUCAUCAUUUGGGCCAGUCUACCAUUUCAGGCGGUUGGAUGAAUAUCCUACGUCUCCUAACCCUUCUUCCUCACCUCUUCUUCUUCCCCAACAGACCAUCGCACGUGCCGUACGGAUCCUCCCCAAUAUGCGGUUGGAUAAACAUACUGUAUGAACGAAAAUUAUGUGUCAGCGGUAGGAUGGCUGAGUUUGGUUUGUUCACAUGUGGUAGCACGUGUCAGUGAGGGUGCGUUCCCUUGGUUGGUUUUGCGGCGUGCAGGAGCGACUGUGUGAGGGUGCGGUGCGACCGCGGCGUGCAGGAGCGACCGUGUGAGGGUGCGGUGCAACCGCGAUAGCCGUGCACAAGUGUACCUCCUUCUCAUUUUGAAAACUUUAGGCAAGCUUGGCAAAAAUGUGUGGCGAAGUAUGGUAAUGCAAGGCCUAUACCCAAACAUGGUAAGUACGUACGUACGUACUAGGAGUACUAGUGUUAAAGAAAAAGGCAGGGUUUUCUUUCGUGGGAUUAAUCGAUACAAAUCCUCGUUUGACGUGUCAAUUAAUGUGUAUUUUUUCUCCAAAGCCCAAAGAGCUAACCAUCUCACUCCUCAUCGCUUGAUUAAUGCAGCGCCAUGCAAACCAACCUUCUCACUUCUGCAUUCAUGUAAGGGUAUAUUAAUGUCCUUGGUUGCUAGUACGAGGCAAACCCCAUCAAUUUUGCCUCAAUUAGUGUUAGUGGCCUUUUGCAAAUUGUAAUUUUGAUAUACUGGCCUUGUGUACAAAAAAUGGAGGUAGUAACUAUUUGACUUCCUUCCCCAUUGCGGUGACGUCGACGAUAUCUCGAACGUUGUGGUUUGGCGAAGUGCGUUCGACGGAGAAGACCAUUGAGGGAGACCACGGUAAGUCAUUCGCAAGUGCAACCUGCAAGCUGAGACAACCGCCUUAUUUGCAUCUAGGAAGUCCGUUGAACCAAAGGACGCAUAAAUGUAGUAGUACUACUAGUACACAAUAGCGCCGUAGUGUGGUGAGGUGGUUUCUCAUAGAAGACAAUGGAGAAGCGGAGUCGCCGAAGAGUGAAAUGAUGGUUGCUUCGUCCGUACUUUGUGAUUUGACGCCUCACUGCUAUGUGAUUUGUGAUAGAAGGGUCAGGGGAGUAGACUUUGUGCUCUAUACUGUACAUGCGGCCAAGCACAGAGGAAAGAGGAGAGACGUUGCAUUUUUCUAUUCCUUUAAUCAAUCAAUCAGGGAGCUUCGGUUCCAUCUUUUUGGCUUUGGCAGCACCGUCCACAAUGGUUCCCAUCGAUGCCAAAAGCUAUUUUCACAUUUGGCUACACAUUGUGGAUGUCCUUAACCGUACCGCUUGGUUUUGCUCCUGUGUGCUAUCUAUACAAAUCUCAAUUAUAUUGAUGUAAAAAAUUAUAGAAUCAAGAUUAGUAAUAAGGAGGUGAGUUUGCCGCGCGGAUGGCGGAGGAGGUUUCUUAUUUUUAGAGGACGUUGGCCUGACGGUUUGCUAACAUGCGGUCCCACAUGUCAGUGCUUUACCAAGCCAAUCCGCGUCCCACAUGAGGCAGAACAACGGCAGAAGCAACACAUGGUCAACUUGAAGAAGAUGAGGGAGAAGCGGAUUCAACAACGAGUGAAAUGAUGGUUGCUUCGUCCCUCCAACUUCUUUUUUUAGCAUUAUUACUUCGUCCCUCCAACUUAACUGCGGGAAAGGUGCAGCUUUGUGAUUUGACCCCUCAUUGCUCAUUACUAUGCCGGCGCCAUGACCGGGGUGCUUCACCCCUGCUGCUUUGCACUGUGUUUCAGUAUGGCACAUGGACUCGGUAGCUUGAUGUCCCACAUUUCGGCGAAAGGGACUAGAACAUGUAUUAAAGCGAGCGCUCCACUCUUACGAUGGAGGACACGACACGGCGGCCCAGUGAACUGUCACUUGUACUAUAUAGUACUAUAGUUUUGUUGUUUCGCAUGAUUCAUCGAUACAAACCAGAUUAAAUGGGAAAGGGCGGGAUUUUUCCCGUGAGGUAGAUGAUACUGGCCAUACAUUUCAAAGGCAAUUUUAAUGUAUGCAAACUGAAUAAUUAAGUAACAAUAUGAUAUUUAGCAAUACUAAAAACACAUAUGAUUUAUUUUGUUAGAGUGUAGUAGUAGUGUUGUAUUGCAUAGUUGUUAGAUGUAACCUGCGAGAACAUGUACAGAUGUUGUUUUGGAGGGCCUAUAGAGAGAAAAGCCUAAUACGGUCACCGAACUUUAGAAUACACUGAUUACAGUCACUAUAUACGUUUUGCAGUGAUUAUACGGUCACUUGUCAGCAUCGAAUUGCACUCUGUUGACCGGCCAAAUAGUCUGCGUAGCACCAUAUUGACUAGUUAAAUUGACCACGUUCUUUAUGGGUCCCACCUGUCAGUUCACAUAGGAAAAAGGUCAGAUAAACACAAAUUUAUGAAGGCGCGACAAGACUCCAACCCGUGCACGGGAAUCAGCUGGUUGUGUAUGUGUCACUCAGGGCCUGAUGUGUGCACAUGCACGUGUAGGUUGAGCACUUGAGCGUGAGAGUGUGUGUUAGUCGUGUGGUGUGUGCAUGCAUGCGUGUGUGUGUCCUUGUGAGUGUUGCGUGUGUGCGUGGCUGCGUGUGUACAUUUGAGUGUUGCGUGCGUGCGUGGCUGCAUGUGUUCGUGUGAGUGUUGCAUGCAUAUAGUUCAUGUGCAUGCGUGCAUGUGUGUAUAAUCACCACACCAGCUCAUGUGUGUUAAAACAGACGGCUCGGCAUACCAAUACAAGGCCACCUUGUCCGUUGUGCCCGCGGUCAUGAAUUCGAACCACCGUCCAAUAUUGUUUUGUUGUUUGUUUUCAUUCUUACUGGCAAGAUGCCCGUGUGUUGCACGUAACAUCAAGAUGCAUUUGUAUGACUAGUUUAUCUUGUGAGAGAAAAGGAUGAACGAGGGAAGGCCUUAUUUGCAAAUGUGGAGAGGUGUGUGGGUACCAUUUUGCAAAAUUGCCAUAGUUUCCUUCCUAUCCGUCAGAUAUAAAUUGGAUGGCCUAUAUUGCAGGAUGGCAGGCACACUAUCAUCACCAACUCUGUUUUAUAUAGGAGUGUAGAGUAGAUACAAGCCGACAGGUGGGCCCAAUGGUAGUGAGAUAAUGUGAUGCAACACUAGAGGUGCCACGUGGAGCAUUUAACUUGUCAACUAUACAGAGCUAUACGGUGAGCCCGUGACUGUAUAAUAACCACAAAACGUAAAUGGUGACCGUAAUGAGUGGAUUCUGAAGUCCAAUGUACGUAUCGUGCUUUCGCUUCAAAUACAAUGAUCGUCACUGUAUAUAUCACGAGAGAAAGAUGAAACAUGCGUGAAUGUGCUUGGGGCUUACUUUUAGAGGACCUGGAGAUAGUUUGUGUGCGUACGUGAAAGGGGCAUUGUCGGUGUCAAAACUGGCGGAUCUCGGGUAGGGGGUCCCGGACUGUGCGUCUAGGCGGAUGGUAACAGGAGACAAGGGACACGAUGUUUUUACCCAGGUUCGGGCCCUCUCGAUGGAGGUAAAACCCUACUCCUGCUUGAUUGAUAUUAAUGUACAAGAGUGGAUCUACCACGAGAUCAAGGAGGCUAAACCCUAGAAGCUAGCCUAUGGUAUGAUUGUUGUAAUGGUUGUUCGUCCUAUGGACUAAAACCCUCCGGUUUAUAUAAACAUCGGAGAGGGUUAGGGUUACACAGAGUCGGUUACAAUGGUAGGAGAUCUACAUAUCCGUAUCGCCAAGCUUGCCUUCCACGCCAAGGAAAGUCCCAUCCGGACACGGGACGAAGUCUUCAAUCUUGUAUCUUCAUAGUCUUGGAGUCCGGCUGUCCGGACACCCCCUAGUCCAGGACUCCCUCAGUAGCCCCUGAACCGGGCUUCAAUGACGAUGAGUCCGGCGCGCAUAUUGUUCGGCAUUGCAAGGCGGGUUCCUCCUCCGAAUAAUUCAUAGAAGAUUGUGAACACCAGGAUAGUGUCUGGCUCUGCAAAAUAAUUUCCACAUUCCACCGUAGAGAGAAUAAUAUGUACACAAGAUCAAUCCGCUGACGUAUUUCGUGGCAUGAUGUCAUGCCACUACCAAGCCUUUACUUGAAUCAUUUUUUAUUAUACCACCUCAGCGUGUUUAGCGAAGCGGUUUCCUUGGCACGUCUUGUCGAAGCAGAGAUCGUGUUCCCCUUAUCCCGGGAUUCUCAUCAAUACGGACGUGGGUAACCCAACCGCGCCAUUGAUGGUGGCGCUUGGGAGAUAAGCGAGUUUUACCAGGCCGGUGGGGACGCAUAGUCUUCGUCCGCCUAUAUAUAAGGGGAUAAGGAUCCACCUUUUUACCUACGCCUUCUUCCUCCUUUGCUUAUCCAUCCCCGCGCACUCGAACUCUAGCGCCCAAGUUUGCACAUCUCGUCUCAACCUUCUCUAGUCAUGUCCGGAGCGGGAGGCAAGUGGUUGGCCUCCACCGUUAAGGAGGAGCACAUCGAAAAGCUGCGCGGCGCCGGAUACCUCUCCAGCGACAUCGCGCACCGGCUGCCCGACAAGGGGCAGCUCAUCCCCACCCCCAUGCCCCAUGAGAGGGUCGUAUUCCUUCCCCACUUCCUCCGCGGACUGGGCUUCCCGUUGCAUCCCUUUGUCCGAGGGCUCAUGUAUUAUUAUGGCCUGGAUUUCCACGAUCUGGCGCCAAACUUCAUCCUCAACAUCUCGGCGUUUAUCGUCGUGUGCGAGGCCUUCCUCUGCAUCCAGCCCCACUUCGGCUUAUGGCUCAAGACCUUCAAUGCCAAGCCGAAGGUAGUGAAGGGCACUCAAGCGGAGUGCGGAGGCGCCAUGUUGGGCAAGAUGCCCAACGUCCUCUGGUUCGAAGGGGCCUUUGUGGAGUCCGUCAAGGGGUGGCAAUCGGGGUGGUUCUACAUCACCGAGCCGCGCGACCCUACGUGGGCGGUGGCCCCCGAGUUCAGAUCUGGUAUCCCUACGCAGCUCACCUCCUGGAAAGAGAAGGGCUUGCUAUGAGGUAGUUCGGAGGAGCUGACAGGACUCCAAGCUUGUAUCCAAAAGCUGGUGAACAAGAAGCUCAGGCUUGUCAAUGUGGUCCAAGUCAUGCUCAUCCGCCGGAUUCUCCCCUGCCAACAACGGGCAUUUAAAUUGUGGGAGUUCAAUCCGGCACAUCACCAGGCAUUGAGCGGGCUCUUCGACACGACGUACGAAGGCGCCUGGAGGGUGCUGUUCAAGGGCGCCGAAGCUCCCGCAUCCGCUACUGAAGAUCGCGGAUUUCACUCGCAGCGACCAGCUGACGAGGUAAGUGAUUCUACCCCUUUACAGGACACUUGUUUUUAACAGUUUGACCGUAUGCGGGUUUCAAUCUUCCUUUUCCUUUGACAGGACUGGAUGAAGAAGGCCAAGCAGAUCAUCUGCCCGGCUCCCAUGCCAGAAAACCCAGUAGACGCCCGUCUAGCGGGGCCGCUGGUUCCGGCACCGCAUGUGGUGCCAGAGAAGAAGGCCAAGAAGGAGGCCACGGGUACUCGAAGAAGUUCCCGGCACCAAGUGAUAUCGGACUCAUCGUCCGAUGGCUCCGAGGCGGACUCCUCCCCUGAAGACGAGGAGGAGAAAGAGGACUCUCUCCUAGAGGAGGGAGAGAGGAAGAGGAAGGCCUCCCCAAUAGGGGAGGCCGAAGGGUCCAAGAGGGGAAGAACUAUUCCCCCAGACAGCUCCGCCAACGCCAACGUUGGUGAUGAUGAGUGGCCCUCAAAGGCCAGGCCUCCGGCAAGAUCGUAAGUAUCCGGAUUCCUGAAUGAUUUGUAAUUUCUCUUUUGUGUCACAUAGUGUCCUUCUAAUGCCGCACUCUGCUUGCAGUCCGGCCGAUGAUGAUCUCCCCGCUUCGUCGAGCGGGUCGUUGGCUCCGUCGGAUGUAGAUUCCAUCCCGACUGCCUCCACCCCUCGCGCCGCUGAGGACGCCGAGGUGGGAUCCCGGGAAGGGACCCAUCAGGAGGAGGCUCCAGAGGCGCCGCAAGGCAGCCUCCCGGACUUUGCGCCGGACUCCACGCCGGAACCCGCAGUGGUUCCCGAGUCCGGCAGGCGGCCCCUUCGCAAGAAGGGCAAGACCGUGACGCCGGCGGCCCCCGUCCAACCAGAGGCGAUGGACAACUUGUUGGAGGCGCUCAAAGGCGCUUCCAUCAAGGAAGAACACCGCACUAUCAUGAGUGCGGUGAUUCAGAAGGUUCAGCUCGCCAAGAGCGGGCUGACCGAAGCCUGCAGUAGCCUUCUAACAGGCUUUGAGGUAAGAAGUUAAACAUAUGUAAUGUAAUACCGCAUAGACAGUAGCCCCUGAUGCUCGGUUCAGUGUUCGGAAAGAAAAUCCAGACUGGGGAUCUAAAAAGAUAUACACAGGGUUGCUAAAAAUUAUGUCAAUAUGGGUUUGCAGGCUGCGCUGCUGACCUCUACCACACUAACUGCGGAGGUUGGUGCUUUGAAGCAGGACCUCGAGCGGUCCGAGCAAGAGCUCGGCCGUGCCAAGAAGCAGCUCGAGGACAAAGAAGGUGAAUAACACCAUUUUGAAUAGUUACCUUACAGAAAAGGAUUUUGGUUGCAAUAAAAAUAACAAGGAUAACGUUGAUACUGCAGGGGCCACGAACGAGGUGGCAGCCUUGAAGGAGGCCGUAUCCGCGGCCGAACGCAAUGCGGCCGUGGAACGGACGGAGCGAGAGAAACAGGAGGCGCGGGUGGCGUAAGUGCGGCAAGAGCUCCAUGCUCUCAUGGAAAAGCAUGAGAGUUUGGAGCGCGACUCAAAGACUCGAGAGUCCGAGCUUGCCUCGGCUCUCGAAAGUGCCAAAGCCGCCAAGGCCGAGGCCCAUAAGGCCCUUCAGGAGGUUGAGGAUGUAAAGAAAAUAGCGACGGGUAAGGCAUUUCUCAUGCAAAGCAAGCAUGUUAAUGUAAAUUACCUAUUACUUACCCGAAUUCGGAGCUCUCCAGGGGUGUUUGCAGAUCUGCCUCGCAGUGUAUCCGAUGUCGCCGCAUUCUACCGAGGCGAGGAGGGGAGCUCAACGGAAAAGGUUUUCUGGUCUCAGUACGCUGAGUCUGGACAUCCGGUGCCCCCUAGCGACCAGCUGAAGCAGCUGGUCGAACUCCACAAGGUAGUCGAGCAGGCCAUGAAGGGCCUCAUAGUCCGGCUGUGGCCUGGAGAGGCCAUGCCUGGGAGCUACUUCGGCCUUGUGUGGCGGCUGGUGGAUGCGUGCCCCUGGGUGGAGGUCAACAAGCGCUCCGCCUGUAUUGAAGGUGCUCGUCGGGCCCUUAUCCGCGCAAAGGUGCACUGGGGCACGAUGGAUGCGGAGAGGCUUAUUACUGACGCGCCGCCAGCGGGCAAGGAGUAUCGUAUGCCCAAGAUGUACUAUAAGACUGUCCUGAAGGGUGCCCGCAAGAUUGCGGAUGAGUGCCCUAGAGAUGUAAUUUUUGAGUAAACUCGCUAUGUGUUAUCCUGUGCGCUGAAAACUUUGUUCAUAUGCGCUAAGCAAUGCUUGUUUGAUUUAAAAUAUUACCUUCUGUGCGCCCGUUUAUAAAAUCUGAGAGAUGGCAAGUCGUCGGCUUCAGCCCCCAUGCCGCUAGUGCUGGGGUGUUCGGGAUAAACUUGAGCACUCUUGUUCCCAUUUUUGGGUCCAUCUAGGGAGGCGCUCAACACAACGAACAAGGCAACCAGACUUAUAAUGCUUGAACACUCUCACUUAGCCAUAGAAUUCUAUAAUUUUAAAUUUCGGCGAAGCCCCUAGUAUUUGGAAGACCGAGUUCAGGGUGCUAUCCACGCCUUGGCCGGACAUUAUCCGGUUCUUCGUUCGAAGCGGCAUAAGUCUUUAGGGACUCGAAAAGACCUCUCGAACAGCGACCAGUCUCUCGCCUUAUCAUGACAGUCAGUUUUAGCUUUCUCCACUGAGGCGCUCGCCCAGCUCAACCGGGGCGCAAUCGCAGUGGUUCUCCCAGUGCCACCUUAGCCAACAGAACGGAACGUAAGGUACCAAAAUGUGGGAGCCGGGCAAACCCAACUAUUGACCCAAGACAUGAUUCGGAGCCGAUUCAUAUAAUUCUAUAAGUUCGGGGUGCCGCACUUGUGAAAGUGUUCGGACUUGUCACACCAUAAUGCGGGGAACAUAAGCCCCUGGUGUAUUCGGCCGUACCAAAUUGUACGGGUGCAAGAUGUCAUUAAUGAACAUAUAUGUAAAGUAAUGCAAUUAUAGGCAAAAAGUGCUGCAUUAUUUAUUUAAGGAAUUCUGCUAUGAGUGCGGAAUGAUACAAAUAGUGCGGUAAGCAAGGGAUUGGACUAAUUAAACAUGUCCCCCUCCAGGGGUGGGCUGCGGACUAGUGUGUAUAAUCAAAUUUAAUGCUCGUAAUGGAGACCACCUGAGUGUUCGUCGCAGCCUUUUUCCCUCCCUGGCUGUUGCAUCGUGAGUUCGGCGGGUUCGCCGCCGGACAGGGCCUCUGGUAAACGGAGUCCUGUGUAUAAAAAGAUGGAAAAUAAAAAUAAAAAGAGCGACACACUUUGGAGCCCCUGGUACGGUCGAGCCGCACUCUAGGUCAGUUGUGGUCGUGCCCCUCCCCCUAUGCCCAUGGUAUCUCUAGAGCGUAAUGAUGUACGCGGAGAGCUGGUCUUGCAAUCAUGCGAGGGCUGGGGUUGGGGCCGCAUUGCUACGCGUGCUCGGAACGUGCCAGGUGGUCUUGAUUGAUGUUGCUCCGGGCGCGUUUGGCCGUGUCCGGUCGUUUAACGGCCGGACUCGAAAAUUGCCUUAGAAGGCUGAUCUGUACUUCUGCCGCGAGAGCCACUGUAUGUUCCUCCGUUCGGAGGGAGCGUUCCGUAUUUCCGUUGACCGUGAUGACUCCACGAGGGCCUGGCAUCUUGAGCUUGAGGUAUGCAUAAUGCGGCACCGCGUUGAACUUUACCAACGCGGUUCGUCCGAGUAGAACGGAACUAUGUCGAAGAUUAACUCCUCGCUUCGGAAAUUAUCCGGGGAUCCGAAGACCACUUCCAGUGUUACUGAGCCUGUACAAUUGGUCUCAACACCUGGUAUGACGCCUUUGAAGGUCGUCUUUGUAGGUUUAAUCCUUGAGGGGCCUAUGCCCAUCUUGCGCACUGUAUCCUGGUAAAGCAGGUUCAGGCUACUGCCGCCGUCCAUCAGGACUCUCAUGAGGUGAAAUCCAUCGACGAUUGGGUCUCAGACCAAUGCGGCGAAUCUGCCAUGGCGGAUACUGGUCGGAUGGUCUCUUCGAUCGAAAGUGAUCGGGCAAGAGGACCAUGGGUUGAACUUCGGGGCGACUGGCUCGAUCGCAUAUACGUCCCUUAGUGCACGCUUCCGCUCCCUCUUGGGUAUAUGGGUUGCGUAUAUCAUGUUUACUGUCCGCACUUGUGGGGGGAAACCCUUCUGUCCUCUACUGUUCGGCGGCCGGGUCUCUUCCUCGUCGUCGCUGUGCAGCCCCUUGUCGUUGUUUUCGGCAAUUAACUUGCCUGCCUGCUUAAAUACCCAACAAUCUUUGUUGGUGUGGUUAGCUGGCUUUUCGGGGGUGCCAUGUAUCUGGCAUGAGCGGUCGAGUAUUCGGUCCAAAUUGGACGGACCCGGGGUGGUUCUUUUGAAUGGCUUCUUCUGCUGACCGGGUUUAGAGCCUCGGAAUCCGGCGUUGACCGCCGUAUCCUCGUUGUUGUCGCCGUUAACGCGGAGUUUGUUUUUGCUUCGGCGCGACCUGCCGUUAUGGUCCUUAGUAUCCGGACUGCCAGCAUUUUUGCUGAGGUUGUUGCUGCGAGCUAGCCAGCUAUCCUCUCCCGCACAGAAGCGGGUCAUUAAUGAUGUGAGGGCUGCCAUGGAUUUCGGCUUUUCCUGUCCUAGGUGCCGGGCUAGCCACUCGUCGCGGAUGUUAUGUUUGAAGGCUGCAAGGGUCUCUGCAUCCGGACAGUCGAUGAUUUGAUUUUUCUUUGUUAAGAACCGUGUCCAGAAUUGCCUAGCCGAUUCGUCUGGCUGCUGGAUUAUGUGGCUUAGGUCAUCGGCGUCUGGUGGUCGCACAUAUGUGCCCUGGAAGUUGUCGAGGAAUGCGGCUUCCAGGUCCUCCCAACACCCAAUUGACUCUGCGGGCAGGCUGUUAAGCCAAUGCCGAGCUGGUCCUUUAAGCUUGAGCGGGAGAUAUUUGAUAGCAUGAAGAUCGUCGCCGCGGGCCAUAUGGAUAUGAAGGAGGUAAUCCUCGAUCCAAACCGCGGGGUCUGUUGUGCCAUCGUAGGAUUUGAUGUUAACGGGUUUAAAACCUUCAGGGAUUUGAUGAUCCAUUACAUUGUCUGUGAAGCAUAGUGGGUGUGCGGCGCCUCUGUAUUGAGCAAUAUCACGACGUAGCUCAAGGGAGCAUUCUCUGCUGUGUUCGGCCCGGCCGGAGUAUUUGUAUCCGGUGCGACGAUAUUCGUCGUGGGUUGUGGGGCGCCCAUGUGAUCCAUAGAUAGAUUUGGAUUGUCUUGCCUUGUCCUCCAAUAUAUCCCGCAAGUCCGGCGCGUUCCCCCGUGGCUUCGUACUUUUCAAGCGAUGCCGGGGUACAGUCUUGAUGGAGGGCCUGGAUGCCUCUCUGUCGCGACCACGGGGUGGUCGGUCAGCCGUAUUGUGCGCUGGUGAUGAAGGUAUGUAUGUUUCCUCCUCUAAUCGGGGGAGCAACUUGCGUUUUGGGUAGCUCUUGGAGGGGCAUUCGAGUUCGUACUCUUCAGCCGCGUGGACCUCGGUCCAUCUGUCGGCCAGCAGGUCUUGAUCAGCUUGAAGCUGCUGCUGCUUUUUCUUUAGGCUAUUUGCCGUGGCCAUUAGCCUGCGUUUGAAACGCUCUUGUUCAACGGGAUCCUCAGGCAUGACAAAUUCGUCAUCGUCGAGGCUUGCCUCGUCUCCGGAGGGAGGUAUGUAAUUAUCAUCCUCGACCUCUUCGUCUGCCGCUCUCUCGUGAGGGCUUGCUUCUGCGUCCUCCUGCGCUGAAUCUUGCAGGAGGGGAUUGUCUUCGGCACUCUCUGGGGUGUUAUUAUCUCCUGUGCCGGAAUCUCCAUUCUUGCUGUGGCGGGAUUUUGAGCGGCGCCGCUGACGUCGGCGCUUGGGCUGUUUCUUUAAGGAAUCUGCCUCCGCUACUUCUUUGCCGUCCCCAUCUUUUGGGGUAUCCACCAUGUAUAUGUCGUAUGACGAGGUGGUAUUCCAGUGCCCUGUAGGCGCUGGUUCUUGAUCGUCUCCGGCAUCGUCGUCCAUACCAUCGAUGUCUUCGGAGUCAUAGUCUAGCAUGUCGGUUAGAUCGUCGACAGUGGCUACAAAGUGGGUGGUGGGUGGGGUUUGAAUUUCUUCGUCGUCCGCAUCCCAACCAUCCUGGCCAUAGUCCGGCCAGGGCUCUCCAGAUAGCGAGAGAUGCUUUAGCGAAUUUAGGAUGUCGCCAAAGGGUGAGUGCUGAAAGAUGUCCGCAGCGGUGAACUCCAUGAUCGGCGCCCAAUCGGAUUCGAUUGGCAGGGGCGCAGGAGGUUCGGAGUCCGGCAGGGAGUCCGGCACCUCAGAGUCGCGAGCUUUAUAAGGGACGAGGUCAGUGUUCGGCUCCAUCACCGUGGAAGUUGCAGCUCCCGAGGCGGUGUCCAGCCACCCGUCCUCGAUCUGCGCGAUCGGCUCCGAAUUAUGGGUCGGUGCGGAUUUGUGUGCGGCCUCCAAAGUACUGUCCGGCGGCAGAGCUAGAUCAUACCCAUCGUGACAGUGCGGCACGCUCGGCUGCGGCUUGGAUCCGUCGAAGAUCAAGUCUCCGCGGAUAUCCGCCGUGAAGUUCAGGCUUCCAAAUCUGACCUGACGGUCAGGGGCAUAGCUUUCGAUCUGCUCCAGAUGGACAAGUGAAUUGGCCCGCAGUGCAAAGCCGCCGAAUACGAAGAUCUGUCCGGGGAGAAAAGUCUCACCCUGGACGGCGUUGUCGUUGAUUGAAGAAGCCAUCAAGCCUAUCGGUGACGACACAGAGGAACUCUCAAUGAAAGCACCAAUGUCGGUGUCAAAACCGGCGGAUCUCGGGUAGGGGGUCCCGGAUUGUGCGUCUAGGCGGAUGGUAACAGGAGACAAGGGACACGAUGUUUUAACCCAGGUUCGGGCCCUCUCGAUGGAGGUAAAACCCUACUCCUUCUUGAUUGAUAUUGAUGAUAUGGGUAGUACAAGAGUAGAUCUACCACGAGAUCAAGGAGGCUAAACCCUAGAAGCUAGCCUAUGGUAUGAUUGUUGUAAUGGUUGUUCGUCCUACGGAAUAAAACCCUCCGGUUUAUAUAAACAUCGGAGAGGGUUAGGGUUACAUAGAGUCGGUUACAAUGGUAGGAGAUCUACAUAUCCGUAUCGCCAAGUUUGCCUUCCACGCCAAGGAAAGUCCCAUCCGGACACGGGACGAAGUCUUCAAUCUUGUAUCUUCAUAGUCUUGGAGUCCGGCUGACGAUGAUAGUCCGGCUGUCCGGACACCCCCUAGUCCAGGACUCCCUCAGGCAUAGAGGGGGUGUAUGCGAUGGAGAGAGAGAUGCUCUUCAUUUCUCUUUAUUAUGACUAACUUUAUAUAUAGUAUAAAAAUAUACAAAUUCACAAUGUGGAAUAAUUAUCAUUGUGGGCACCAUGCAAUGCAAAUUAACAUUCAUACUCCUCCAUAUAACUUUGUAAUGUUGUAUAUAUGUAGAAAUUCUAAAAUAAUUUUUUGGCCACACUUUAUUCAAAAGGAAUGUUGUAUGCGAAAUAAACGUGAAGAGAGGGCUUUUUAGAUCAACUAGCAAAGUGGCCCGCUCGUUGCGCGGACUAGAACUUUAAUUUUUUUAAUAAUGAGAACAUACUAUUUGGUUUGUUGAAAGUAAAAAUGGGUACCAAAUACGAGGUCAUUUAAAAAUGUAAGACCUUUGAGAACAUUGGUUUAGCUUUGGUAUGUUUGGUUUCUGAUUGACAUGCACAUACAUAUGUUAACUAUUUAUUUUUUAACCUGCUUAUUAUGCAUGGCAUACUAAAUGUAUUUUAUAUAAUGAAUCUGUUCGGCAAUUUGAAUUUUCCAUUGCUUUUCUGGCACAAAUUCUAUGUUUGUGUGAAACUAAAAUAAAAAAUUAGUAUCAGAUGAGAAUGUCUAUUGUUUCGCUUUUUUAUACAUAAGAAACCAAAUUGGUAGGUUUAUGACCGGUAAUUUUGGAUGGUCGGGGUAGCAUUAGAUAUUACUCUACUUUGCAAGAUAAAUUGAAAUGACAAUAAUUAUGCUAUUAAACAUCCAACUUUGACUAUCAAUAUGCUCAUGUCGCGUGGUCAAUUGUGGAACUGGCAUUAAUUUGCUCAGGGUUGACUAAUGAGUUAAGUAAACCAAAUCAAUCAUAUUAAAUUUUUUAUUUACAGCUUGGUAUAUCACAAAAGCACGAAAUUUUGUGGACUUUAAAUAUGUCAUCACUUAUUUGGUAUAGUAGACCUAUGUUUGAAAAAGCACUCAACAAUUCACAAAUAUUUUUUGAAUUCAUUGUCUUUUCACCACUAUCAGAAAUAACUAAUGGAACUAUGCCGCCCAAAUAUUACUCGCUCAUGGAAAAAACAAAGGAUGAUACCAAACAUAAGGUCAGCAAGUAGAAUAGCACAAAAAAGGGCUCGAGGUUGAAGCCUUAGUAUUGUAGCCAUCUCGAGAAGUCUAGAGAUCGAGUAAGUUGCCAUAAGGCACAAUUGUACGGAACAUAUUUUGUAUAUACCAUUCCUGGAUUGAAGUUAAAGUUAUGUCAAAGAGUAAAAUAGAUAAUUAAUCUUCACUGACGUCUAUAUCCACUCCACACAUAGCAGAAUGACUUCAUUUAUAUCAAGUGAAUAUGCAGUAUAUUAAGAUAACAUCAACAUAAUAAUGCCACACAAUAUGGCUACAAAGCUUCAAAUGUGUCAAUCGAGUACUAACUUGAAGCCAUGCACCAAAAAACUAUUGUAAUCAGGAUAACACUGUAAUAGUUUGGUAGGCAAAUACCUUUUAGUUCUUCCCGAGGUGAAACUCAAUGGAUUUUAGUUUCAAAAUAAUCCCAAAUGGCAUGAUCCACAUCCCUUAUAACCUCCAUAGACUCUAUCCAAAGAUGAUUAAACCUCGAUUCAAGUGUUUGAAGAACCUCCCACCAACGAUUUAUGAAGUUUUUCAUAAGUUUUGCAACACGUGGCUAACUAUCUCCCACCUUUGCAAAUACUGUGACAUAAUGCAAAAUGUAGUACCACCAAUCUUUGCCACCGAGCACCUCCUCUCUAAACAUGUAAUCUACAUAUGAGUUUCUUGAUCAUCAAAUAAGAAAUGCAGCCACCCAGCAAAAAAUGUACACUCGAAUUGAUGCACGAAAUCUGUUCGCUAACAUGAUUCACCUGAACCGUAUAUGCUCAACCCAUCCCGGCCAACAUGUUUGUCUCACACAAUAAGUGUACGAAUCUACAAAUUCUUUAUGCGGACAAUAAUUGGACUCAAGAUAGCAUGCAUUAAAAUGUGAUCAUGCAUUGGAUUUUCAACACGACAUAAAUCCAUUAUAUAUCCAGCAACUUUUUUUUUGACAAAAGCACGGUCUAUGUGGUAGAUAUACAUUAUCCAUGAUCCGAAAGAUUAAAAUCAAGGAUGUUUACAUAUAAGAAUAAUAUGGCUUUCUCUACAUCAACGGGAGUGCAAAGUUCAUCUUAUUGAAGAAAACCAAGAACUGAAUCAUGUGAAUGCGUUAGUAUACGUGUGUAUAUUAGGCUCACCUCCGACAAUACAGUUAGCUACAAAUUCUCUAAUUUGCUGUACUAUUGUCUAUCUCUGAACCUACCUAUAUAUUUAUAGUUCUAGAUGAACAGUCAGAUUGUUAUGUAGGAACAUAUAUAAAGCUUCCAAGGUGAUCAAUAAAACAAAAUGAUGUUAGUCAUCUAUAGUGGAAACAAAAUCAAGUUUUUUAUUCUGCAAAUACCAUUAUAUGUCUAUCCCAACCGAGUGUUCAUACUUAGUGCCAUCAGGAAGGUUGCAAAGCUGACUUCCAGUCCUGGAUUACUUUAGCCAACGCUUGUAGGGCAGCAACACACAUUUACGCAACAACUCUUGAUUAAUCCUUGCAUAGAGCUAGGUCCCUUGACUUGAACAUGCACGUACGUGUACAAUAGGCUUGGCUGAUCGGUUCUGCCGGCCGGCAGAAUAAAUAAUCAAUCUGCUUUGGUGUUCUCACUAUGUGCGUACACCUGCCAGCAGCUAGAUUGACCUGGAGACGAAUCAAAUCAGCUUUGCAUCGUUCAGAGUACUCGACCGUGUGGUAUUGUGCAACAUCAUUGACAGCCCUGACGUAUGGAUUUGCUGCACCGCUAUGGAACUCAGCGGGCUACAUCCCUAAGAAACUGGUAGAGCCGCACAUACCAUCCACUUGUGUCAUAGGAUUUGCAGUAGUUCCAUACCCUAUUAAUCUCCACAGGAAGAAUGCUGGUGGAGCUCGUAUAGGAUAUCUUGAGGAUAGUGCUCGAGGUCGAAGACGAUAUCCGGACAGCUGUCUUGUAGACCCCCGGCUCUUCGUCCCUCUUUGUGUACCUUGAACUGCUGCACUCUCGUGCUCCCCAAAUCAAGAGCGAUGGCAACCCGAGUUAGUUGUCAGGAUGUUGAGGACGGCAGCGGCGAGGGCAAAGGAUGGAGAUAGCGAUCGCAGCUGUUCUAUCUUGGGUCAGCAGGAAGAGAUGGGGAAAAUAAAUUUAGGGUUAGUUUUUUUUCUUACGUGAGAUUACUAACGCUUGUGACUCUUUUUCUUAGGGAUUAGGAAAGCUCUCAUGAACAAAUAACAACUAACGUGGUGACUAAUUGACGUGGGGAGUAAUUUUUUUUUUGAGAGAAGCUCGUAGCAUUUCUUUUUUUGUCUUUCUAUCUUUAUGUUGAAAAGGUAUUUUUAUGUAAUGGCAAUGGUGGGUAAUUUUUCAUUGAUGGGUGUUAGAAAAAAAUUGCCUCCAUACAACGGUUAUGUUUCUUUUUCGAGGGAUUUAGCGGCCAGAUCUUUCUAAUUAUUGUGGGAUUUUCUAGGAUAUUUCUAUUUUUCUAGUGAACCCAUGAAGUACUUUUUUAUAUAUAAUAGAUAGAUGGGGUACGUGAUGUAACAUGUGUGAAUGUGUAGUUGAUGUAUUUGGCAGGGCCUAGAUAGGUAUGUGUGUGUAUUACGUAUUCGACAGAGGCAUAGAUAGAGGGGCCGGCAAGGGGAGGGGACGUGGGAGAGAUAGCACGAGAAAUGAGAGUGGUCUAGAGAGAGAGAGACGAAUAUGAUGUCACGGCGAGAGAUUCCCUUGAGUGUGUAUAUGCAAGGGGGGAGGGGAUAGAGGCACCAGGAGAAUUUUUUUGUGUGGUGUCUGUGUUGGUAUGUGUGGAUGUGAGAAGAUAACGAGACCCGGGGGCAGAGGGUGUGUCACCGCGUGAGGUCCAGUGGGUCGAGGUGAGGCCCUUGGUUCGGUUCCAUCCUGCGCCACAUUGGUCGGCCCGUGACGCAUUAAGGGAGACCCAUAGAUGACUAGUCGUACAAGACAAAGAUAGCAGAAAUGUGAAGGAGUCUGUGUCCACUGACAAAGCCGGCUAGGAUUUGUAACCUUAGGUUCUCGGACUAAGGUAACCCCUUAUCUCUGAUAUUACUAUUCAUCCAAUCUAACUUUAAGGGGCAUCCUACAGAACGCUCUGCUAGAAUCAUACUCGUCGAUUAGGAAGAGAGGUGUGAGACAAUGCGUGAGAGACAUGCCUAAAGAUAAUGUGCGUACAGGAGACACGUAGGCAGAUCUAUGUAUAUAGAAAGGGUCGAUGGGGACUGUGUGUGUAUGCUUGUGAGAGUAAGAGUAUUUGUGAUAAAGGUUAGUGAAAACAGUCGUAAAUGGUUACGAUAGGGAGGGAGGGUUAUAUCAAGAGCAUGUUUGCGAGAAAGACACCCCGGGAGAGAGGGUGUGAGCAUAUGUGAGAGACCAUCGAUGGAGAGUGAAACUACAUGUAAAAGACUGAUGUAUACAUUGAUUAAAGAUAUAAAUUGUAUCCAAAUAUUAGGAUGGGAUCAUGAUAUUUGCAAUUCACAUAAGGAACGGUCAUUGAUCCAUCAGACAUCUAGAUUCUAUCGAAUUUGAGCAUGUCUAUGUUAUUAUUCGACAUAAUUGAUACACAUAGUUAGUAUUUUGAACUCCAGACAAUGCAUCGCUUUAGCAAUCGAAUAUAAACGUGAGUAUAGUUCAUGUUGUGUGUGUAAAGCAUAUUAUACAUACGAAAGUUACACAAUGAACAUUAUAAAUAGCUACCUAUGAACUAGCAUACAUUUGAAUUACACUUAAUGUGGUUUAAAAAAAUCGAAUUCAACAUGAAGUCUAUUCAAUUAUUUGAAUUUGAUAUCAUGGCAUUUGUAAAUCAUACCUAAAUUAUGGGUGCACCAAUCUUUGCUCUGAUUUUGUACAUAAUAGCAUAUAUAGUCGUGUACAAAAUAGAUUCCAAUUUAGCUGCUACAUUCCAAAAUAAUCGUAGUUAUAGGAUUUUCAAGUGUCAAAAUUUCAAAAAGAAGUGGAUAAUUUAAUGAAGUUUUCAAAUAUACAAGGUCAAAUUUAACAUUGUCUAUUUAGGUCAAUCCUCAAAGUUCAAGAGUACUCUAAAUGUGAAUACUUUUGUUUCAAAAUUUCGAACGAAGCGCCAAAAGAGCUUCUACUCGCCCGAAACCACGUGAGACCAAUGUUUGGUAGUAUAAGGAAAUUACUUUUCUAACUCCGACCCGUGAAACCUACCGUCCCGACGUCCAAACACUACUAGGGACAACCUUAUACACAGAGUGUUACCAGUAGCGCUUGUUUAAAUGAGGCGCUACUGCUACUUAGCAGUAGCGCGUCUGCUAGAACGGUGCUACUGUUACCCGCUUAGCAGUAGCGCGGCAGGAACAGAACGCGCUACUACUGUAAUUGCCACACAGUUCCCGACGUGCUAGGUAUAGUAGUAGCACCCUUCUAUGAACAGCGCUACUACUACGGAUUUUAGCAGCAGCGCGUUUUGCCUCCCCAUAAUACUGUUAAAGCUAUUUUCAACUAACCCCCCGCGCGGCCUGAUUCCCUCUCCUCUGCUUCCUCCCCCAAUUCUCCUCUACUAUUCCUCGUCGCCUCCGCCUCGCCGCCGUCUCCCCUGACCCCGCUUCGCCGCCCUCUCCCCCGACCCCGCCUCGCCGCCGUCUUCCUCGACCCCGCCUCACCGCGCCUCGGUGCCGCUGUCUCCCCCGACCCCAUCUCUCUCCCCGCCCUCUGUAAGCACUCUCCUCUUCCGAUCACCCUUCUCUGCUUAGUAUGAACCCUAGCUAUUUAGUGCUAGUUAGUAUGAACCCUAUGCUAUUUUUAGUGCUAGUCAGUUAAUUACUUAUAUGGUAAUUAGGGCAGUAGUUCCUAGGUACUAAUUAGUUAGUAAGAACUAGGUACUAAUUAGGUAUUAGUUUAUUUUUAUUUAUAGUAAGUUUAUUUUUACUAAGAACUAAUUGAAUUAAUAGAACUCGUUAGUAAGAACUUGUUGCUAUUUUUUUAGUUAAAGAAAUUUUUCCCGCAUCGACAUCGACGAUGCCUAUCACGCACCCUCGUCGUCGAGUCGGCGGAGGACGACACCUGCUUGACCAGACGGGCCAUGUCCGGGACUGGGCUCCGCCGGGGUGGUACUGGGAGGCGCUACCUAUCGGGAGGCACAGGUUGGUGAGGAGCCAGCCUGUCGUUGACCUGAACCUUCUUUGGUGGCGGUCGCAUGGGCCAGUGACGGUCCAGAGGCUCGAGGACCCCGCGGAGGUGGUGCGUCACCGUGUCAGUGAGGAGGACGCACACGUCCAUCGCUACUUGUUUGCGUUGGAGCACAGGUUCUCCAAUACCUGGCAGGUUCUCUAGGGAUCUCACUGGAUCUAUGAUCCCGUGAUGGUUCCUUCUCUAUGGGUGUCCACCGCCCGCGCCGAUACGCGUCGUGUGCUAGGGUUUUAGUUGUAUUAGUGAUGUUAUAUGUAUGACACUAUUCGGGAUGUAUUAGUGAUAAUAUUCGACGAUGUACGGACUCAUGAGAUGAUUUACUUUUGCUUAUUGAAUGCAUGCUAAUUUGAGUCCUAUAAGAUAUUUUGAAAUGUAUAUCUUGUGUUGCUCAAAUAGGAUAUGUGCUUACCCAAGUGGCAGGUCAUGUUUGCAGGUUACACCUCCGAGUGGCCUAUGUUUUUCCGGAGUGUUGAUUCAUUUUCGUUCCGGCAAAUUUCAGGCGCUCGAUAUGUCCUAUUUUAGCAAAGGUCAUGCCGGAUUUUUCCGUGAAUUUUGGCAUGACUUGUGCCAGAAUAUGUAGGAAAUAUCGAGUGCCCCGGAUUUGUGUGUUGAGUAUCGUGAUAGUUGUCUUCAAUCGAUUUUGAAUUAAUGUUUUAACUAUGAACAUAGGAAAUGUUUGACGACGAAAAGAAUUUCGGUAUUUGCAAAUACUGCGAAGACGAGCGCGGCCUAUGCGACGGAAUCUUCCUAGAUGAUGAUAGGCGCUUCAGCAUCAAGUUGGACGAGAACUUCGAAGUGGAUACAGUAACUCAGAACGACAAGUCUGUUUUCGUAAUUAAGCAUGACAUUUGCUUCAUUUGCUUCAACUUAUAAUUUAAGCAUGAUAUUAAGCAUGACAAGUCUUUUGUUUUACUAUUCUACUAGCGUAUCCCCUGCCAUGCAAGAGUUCUUGUAUUGGAUAAGAUAGGUUUCAGUCGUACUAUGGAGGAAAAGAAAUUUUACUUGAAGACCGAGCAUGGUUAUAUUUUCAACAUAAAAUUAUACAAUUCAGACGACUACACCUAUUUUGGAUGCAAAACAUGGCGAGCACUAUGCAAGACUUAUGCAUUUGAGCCUGAUAUGGUUAUCACCUUUGAUAUUCGUCCGAAAGAUCAUAUUGAAGGUAAUACCGACAUCUGGGUCGAUGUGCAGACGCCUCCAGUUAUACCAUUAUGUAAGUUUCUCAACCAUAUUUAUGUCUUUGAUAUUGUUUAUUUAAAAAUAGUUGAUAACUAAUUUGUAUUGUCAGCUUAUUUUGGUGCAAGCAAACAUGUCCAGCGCUUGGUAGAUAGGACUGUAUACUGUGCCGGGGCUGAACUCAACUGCGAGGAGCUCAGUCAUUAUGUUUCAUGGCUUGCGGAUCUUGAUACUGUCAAGAAAAAUUUUCUUCCUGCAUUUAGAAAUGUUAGUAUUGAAAACUGCGACCAAUAGUGUUCGUAAUGAACUAUGGUCACAUCUAUUUAGGAUGGAUGGUAAGAUUUUUACUAUUUGUCUUCAGUGCAUCUUUUCCAUACAUUAUUUUUGAAGCUAAACUUCAUUGCUAAGUAUGUUACCAUACGAUGUUCUACAACAGGGACUCCCGAUGAAUGUUGUGCCUUAUGGGAUCGAGACUAAAGGUAUCAUUAGUAUUAUUAGCUUAUGGCCAAUAUAUCCUACAGAUUACUUUAGUGCAUUCAAGAUUAGCGACGGAUGCUUAAUAGUGCAAGACUGGACCAAAUAUGUGGUGGGGGAGCGCAGAGAAGUACUAGGGGGCAGCAAACAGAUGCGCUACCCACGAUUAGGAGACAGGUUCAUCUGCAUGCUCCAACUUGAUCAAGGAGGAGAGCUAUACAUGUUUUAUGUUAUUUUACCUAAGAGAGAGCAGUAGGAGUGACACUAGUGCAGAACUGGGCAAUAGCACCGGUUCGUAAGGCCCUUUAGUGCCGGUUACAUAACCGGCACUAAAUUAUGGUCACUAAAGGCCCCCCCUUUAGUACCAGUUCAGCACGAACCGGUGCUAAAGGGCAACCACGUGGCACGAGCCAGCUCCGGGGGCCUGGAGCCCUUUAGUACCGGUUGGUAAGACCAACCGGUACUAUAAGGUUUGGGGGGUUUUUAGUUUUAUGAUUUCUUUUUCAUUUAAUUUUGUGUUUCCAUUUUAAUUCUUUUUCGUUUGCUGGUNNNNNNNNNNNNNNNNNNNNNNNNNNNNNNNNNNNNNNNNNNNNNNNNNNNNNNNNNNNNNNNNNNNNNNNNNNNNNNNNNNNNNNNNNNNNNNNNNNNNNNNNNNNNNNNNNNNNNNNNNNNNNNNNNNNNNNNNNNNNNNNNNNNNNNNNNNNNNNNNNNNNNNNNNNNNNNNNNNNNNNNNNNNNNNNNNNNNNNNNNNNNNNNNNNNNNNNNNNNNNNNNNNNNNNNNNNNNNNNNNNNNNNNNNNNNNNNNNNNNNNNNNNNNNNNNNNNNNNNNNNNNNNNNNNNNNNNNNNNNNNNNNNNNNNNNNNNNNNNNNNNNNNNNNNNNNNNNNNNNNNNNNNNNNNNNNNNNNNNNNNNNNNNNNNNNNNNNNNNNNNNNNNNNNNNNNNNNNNNNNNNNNNNNNNNNNNNNNNNNNNNNNNNNNNNNNNNNNNNNNNNNNNNNNNNNNNNNNNNNNNNNNNNNNNNNNNNNNNNNNNNNNNNNNNNNNNNNNNNNNNNNNNNNNNNNNNNNNNNNNNNNNNNNNNNNNNNNNNNUCACAAACCACCAUAUUAAUUAAUUCACACAUACACACAUGUAUAGCUAUAUACAAUUUCUCCUACAUAUGAAUGUUGCCUUCGGAGCCAGUGGCAUUAGCCUAAUUGGUGCCUUCGGAGCACGAUUACAAUUGGAAGUGGUUUUCAUGGGGGCGGUAGCGGGUAAUAGAAUUCUCCAUUCGGAUUUAUGACCUGGUCGAGCAAAAAUCCCGCUAUUUCCUCUUCAAGUGCUUCUACGCGCUCCCUUUCUAUGAGCUUCUCCCGCACCUCUUUGAACUGUUAAGAAGGAGAUCAAUAUGCAUGUGUAUUAGUUGUGUGACUAGAUAUCGAUAAUGGUGUAAAAAUUGUGAAUAGUGUUCUAACAAGCGUACCCAUUGCUGUCUUUGAGAUCUGCUCCUUUCGGACGCCAUCAUGCGAAUGUUCUCGCAAACGAAGAAUACACACAGAUCAGUCCCCUGCGCCUGCUUCAGGGCCUUUACGAGAAUGGAAUUUGAUCAGAUAAUAAUUAAUCAAGCAUGAUAAUUAAAGAGAUGGCAGCUAGCUAGCUAGCUAGCUAGUACUAAUUAAUUACUUACCUUGGGUCGAAUCCAUUUAAGCUUUUGUUUCCAUUCACCUUCCGUGACGCUGAUGAAUCUUUCCCAAGCCCUGCCCCCGCCGACAAAGAAAAUGAAUAAAGGGGUUAUUAAAUAGUUCAUAUCAUGAAAUGACGAACUAAAUAGGCCGAGAUAUAUAGUUAAUAAUGAUUGAAAUUACCUGUUGACUAUUCCAUACAAGAUGUUAUAGUCAGUUUUUUCUGAGAUUAGUGAGUCCAGUACUUCAACUGUUCCGGCGUCAACUUUUAUGAUACACAAGACCCAGUGAAAUCUGCAUGCAUACACGUUUACAUGUCUUAAUUAAGCGGGCAUAUGUAAGCAAAAACAUGUAGCUAGCUAGUAGGCAAAAACAGAGAAUUUGUAGUACAAGACAGUGUGACUCACUGGAAGUUGUAAGGAAGUAGUAUAUCUUCAUUAUAUUUGAGGCGCUUCAAGAACUCUAGCAUGCUGUCCUCUACUUCCUUUGCACAACGUUUAUUUAUCUUCCAUGUGUAUUCAUUAACGGUGUUUGGGUCAAUGAACCCAAUGCCAAAGCGUCCACCUUUUCUCAUUUCAUAUAUCUUCAUCCUGCAUAUAUAAUACCACAGAAAAUAAUAUAGUGAGGAUAAUUACAGGUAAUGAUUGAUCAAAAGGAUCACUACAGCUAGCUUGAGACUUAAAUUAUAGAAAGAAAUCACUUACAGACAAUAGCAACUGAUGAUAGAUUUGUUGAGUGCGUCUUGAUUGUAUAACUGAAACAGUUCUAAAUACUCAACGGACACAGCUUUCUCAUGGUAGUAAUGGUCCUGCUUGACAUUCACCAUGAGGGACAAUCGCUCUGAAAUCUUGGUAAUGUUCAUGUACCAUUGAUGCAAUUCAUACAUUCUCGUUGGGAGGUUCUUGACCUUGUCUGGCGCGACCAAAGGUUGGCCCCGGACAUAUUUCCGUUUUACUUCAUCCUCUCUAAGCAAAGGCAUGGGCUCGAUCUCGAGGAGUUGUCCAACAGUGAUGUUGAGAACUUCAGCCUGCAUUAUAUGCUCCUUCGUUAUUACCACAUUGCCCACCUCGGGAACAUGCACUGUUUGCCCACAAUAAUAUUGGGCGCGCGUACUGUCACCUGUUAUUGGCACAACAAGCGAGGGGAUCGAUUGCGCCGCCUGUUCUCCCAGCUGGGGAAUGGUUUUCCCGCAUUUUUUGGCAGCUGCUUCUUGUUUGCUCGAUCCCGAUGUAGAGGUGCUCGCCUUCCUUUGUAGACGUGCUCGAUUUAACUUCCUGAUGUGGCGCUCAUAGUCUGUGUCAACAGGCUUGGAAGCUGGUGGUUGAGCCAUACGAAUGAAGUGGUCAAUCGUUUACUCAGGCACUUUCUCCCAUGGCGGCGGUGGCGGUUUCGGUGCAAAAUGGGCUUCCACCUCGGCCUUCGAUAUGGCUGUGAUUUCCUCCUCGGACCUGUCAUAAGACCUCUGCGGAAGAGGCUUGAGGCUUGGACCAUAUUUAUAUCGCUUGCCUCCGCAUGUACUUCCUGUACUACCUCGACUCGUACCGCUACGCACCAUAGCUGCGGGGUGUCUCUUCUGCGAUUGCUGAGGCGGCGGAGACGGCUGACGGGACUGAAUUGGACGAGGAGGAGUGGCCUGAGGUUGUGCCGGACUUGGAGGAGGAGUGGACGUCUGACGCUGUGGCGGACUUGGAGGAGGAGGAUUGUCCUGACACUUUGCCAUACUUGGAGGAGGAGGAGUGGCCUGACACUUUGCCGGACUUGGUGGACUUGCAGGAGCGGGAGUCUGCUGACUCGGUGGCGGACUUCAACAAGGACUUGGCUGACGCGGUGUCGGUGGCCUUGGAAAGAUGAUGCAAUCCUUUUUCCAUAGGAUGGUACGAUGUUUGGUCUCUCCGAGAAAGCGCUCGCCGUCACCUCCAACAAUGUCAAGCUGUAGCCUCGAAUAUGGUGGGUCCACCACCUCAUCAACCAAGACACGAGCAUAGCCCGCUGGAAUCGGGUUGCAACGGAAGGUUGCCUCGGGGGGAUUUGUGAAAGCACAGACGUCCGCCACCUCCAUGGAUAUGUUCUUCAUUUUGACGUGUAGCUCGCAGUUAGUGUUCUUCGUGAUGUCAUCCACGGGGUAUCUACCCAGCAUUGCAUCGUCCGGGACGGAACCCACGCUGCUUCUCGGCAUGGAUGGGCCGGUGCUAUCCAAUGUUGGAUCAUACGCUAGCUGCUGCAGCUGCUGAGACCCCCUUUGAUGGGUAAGUGAGUCGAUCUGCUCCUGCUGCCGCUGGAAUUUGACUGCCAAUUCCACUUGACUUGCUUCUAGGCCUUGAAGGCGUUCAUAGUCCCGCUUCCUCUGCUCCUCCUCCAUCUUCCUCUUCUUCUCCUCCGCAAUCUUCUUUCUCGCACGGGUUCUGUAGUCGUUGUUCCAGUCUGAAAACCCCUCAUACCACAGCAAAGCGCCCUUGCCUCGUGUUCUUCCCGGGUGUUCAGGAUUUCCCAGGGCACGCGUAAGCUCGUCGUUCUCUCUGUUGGGCUGGAACACCCUCGUUCGUGCCUCUUCUAUUUCAACAAGUAUCGCAUCGUCGGCUCCCUUCAGACUUGCCCUCGUCGAAACAUUGCCUGUCUCCCGGUCCAACUCCCCCCCAUGCGCAUAGAACCAAGUCCUGACCCUGGGGGGCCAGCUCUUAGUAGCCGGAGUGACACCUGCAUCCUCCAUCUCUUUCUCAGACUUAUCCCACUUAGGCAUUGCCACCGCAUAGCCACCUGGCCCCAGCUUAUGGAACUUAUCCUUUUUUCGGCAUUCUUCUUGUUUAUUCUCGACCGUUCCUUAGCUAAUUCCGAAUCCUUGAAUUUCACGAAAUCGUCCCAAUGAUCACGUUGGUUCUCCAGUGUUCCCUUGAAUACUGGAGUCUUCCUUCCUACCUUGACGUACUUGUUCCAUUCACGAUUCUUGUAAUUCUUGAAUGCAGUCGCCAUCAUCCUAAGAGCAGCCUCUUUGACUUUCUGCACAUCUGCUUCUGUGAAAUGAUCUGGUAGGGUGAAAUGUUCCAUGAGAGUAUCCCAAAGCAGAUCUUUUUGAUUCUUGUCGACAAAAGUAACAUCUGGACGUGGCUUUGCUGGUGCUCUCCAUUCUUGAAGUUUGAUCGGGAGUUGGUCCUUCACAGGAACUCCGCACUGACGAACGAACUUGUCCGCGAUCUUCUUAGGCGCUAAUGGUUUGCCAGUAGGGCCGCAUGCCUCGAUAUUGUACUUUACGCCCGGCUUCAACUUUUUGUUCGGGCCUCGUUUCGUCAUUUUGCCUGAAGAUUUGCUCGAUCCGGAUGGCUGAAAGAACAAAGAUUGAUUCGUUAAUAUAUCUUCAAGUCAUUUAAAACAUGUGAUGAUCACCAGAUGCCUGCUUAUAUAAAUAUAUAUAACUCGCCGGUGUUUGUUGUUUCAGGAUCAACAUGUUCUUCGUCAUCGUCAUAAUCAUAGUUCAUGACUUCAUCAAUUUCGUCGUCGCGAUCGAAUAUCAUAUCACCCUCUCCGGUGUUGUUUAGAAAUUCGGAGCCGUCAUAAUCUUCUUCAUUCUGAUUAUCAUCUGCCCCGCGUAUCAUAUCGAACAUGGUCUGUUCUUCCUCUCUGUCGGUAUUGUCUGCCAUAGUUUUUGUUUAACUAAUCCAAAAGAAAUAUAAAACAAUUUAGUAUUCAAAUCUCGAAUAAUAGAUAUAAUCUCGAAUACGUCGUCCAGAAUAAUAGAUAUAAUCUCGAAUACAUCGUCUCGAAUAAUAUAUAAUAUUGAAUAGUACAUCACUGGCUAUUAGCUAAUAAAGAUCGAAUAAUACAGAAGAAUCUAGGACACUCGCGGUUCCUCCGGCGCGGGCGGUGGACACCCAAAGAGAAGGAACCCUCACAGGAUCAUAGCUGAAGUGAGAUCCCCGAAGAUACUGCCACGUAUUGGAGAACCUGCCGCCCUAUAACGCAACCAUGUAGCGAUGGACGUGCUCGUCCUCCUCCCUGACAUGGCGACGUACCACCUCCGGCGGGGCCGGGUCCCUCCGCACCGAAACUGGCCCACACGAACGCCACCAAACGAGAUCAGGGUCGACGACGGGACCCGCGGCCGAGUUCCUCAUCAAGCGGCGCGUCCCUCCAAGCAGCACCUCCUAGUGCCAGCCCGGCGGAGCCCAGUCCCGGACAUGGGUCGGCUGGACGUCGUCGCGGACGGGUCGACGGCGAGGAUGCGGGCCGGGCAUCGUCGAGAACAAAUACUAGCUAUAUGCCCGCAAAAAGUAACAUUUUUUUAAUGAUUGGACUUUGAUAACUAAAAUUUCUAACAUUUCUAUAUAACACUAAUUAUGCUAAUCUAAAUAAUCAAAAUAACACUAAAAUUUCUAACAUUUCUAACAUUCCUAUAUAACACUAAUUUCUAACAUUUCUAUAUAACACUAAUUUCUAACUGAUUAAGCACUAAUUAUAUCCAUCUAACAUGCAUUUAUACAUAUAUAAUAGUGAAAAAAUAAUAAUCUAAAUAAUCUAAACUAAUUAAACACUAAUUAUCUAAACUAAUUAAACAUACAAAAUAAUAAUCUAAAUAAUCUAAACUAAUUAAAGACUAAUUCUCUAAACUAAUUAAAGACUAAUUAUCUAAUGCUUGUGUGUGUGUACGGGCUCGGGGCUGGAGACUCACAGCGGGCGACGGCGACGGCGAGGCGAUGGCGAGGCGACGACGAGGAGAGGCGACGGCGAGGCGACAGCCGGGGCGGCGACGGCGGGGACGGCGCGACGGGGACAGGGGCGGCGACGGGGACGGGGGCGGCGACGGGGACGGGGGCGGCGACGACGGAGACGAGCGGCGACGUCGGAGACGAUCGAGGGCGGCGGCGACGGCGACGAAGACGACGGAACAGAGGCGAAAACAGAGGGAAACUGAAAUUUUCGUAGCAGUUGUAUAUAUAGAAGGCACCUUUAGUACCGGUUGGAGCCACCAACCGGUACUAAAGGUCUGUUUUGGCCAGGCCAAGCGGCGGGAAGCGACCCCCUUUAGUACCGGGUGGUGGCACAAACAGGUACUAAAGGCCCCCCCUUUAGUACCGGUUUGUGCCACGACUAGGUACUAAAGGGUGUGCGCUGGCGCAGGUGCGGUGCGGAAGUUUAGUCCCACCUCGCUAGUCGAGGGGCUACCGCACUGGUUUAUAAGCCCCAGUGCGGUAGUUCUCUCGAGCUCCUCUCCUAAUUAGGCCUACUGGGCCUACCUGUCCUCCUCGCCUAGUGGGCCUACUGGGCCUUCGCGGGCCUACAUCCUGGCCCAACGAAAGGUUGUGUCGUUAGUCGUAUGCAGGCCGCUUUGGCCCAGUAGGCGGGCUUUUUUUUUCUUAAUUUUUUUUUAUUUUUUUGUUUUAUUUAUUUUUGAGUUGUUUUUUGCUGUAUUUAGAGUUUCUUUGUGAAUAUUUUUUCUUUAGGUACAAAAAAUUACAAACUUUCUGUUAGUGCCGGUAGGUUUCAAAUUUGAAAAGUUUAAAUUUUGAAUUAUUUGAAAUUUGUGUGAAUCACUAGUUUGUGAAUAACUUAACUUUGAAAAAAGUUUUUCAGUGAUUCUUUUUUUUUAUGUUUAAUAUUAGUGUGUUUUAUCAUUAUAUUCAAUUUAGUAAUGCUUAGGUUAUUUAAAAAAUGAAAUGCCUUUGUAACAGUUCAGUUUUCGUCGGAAACCCUGAUACUUCGAAAGAGAUUGUCCAUUUUGUACACGAAGUGCAUCCAGUUUUUGCCGUAACCCUCUCUACUUUCUUGCACAUGCUAUUUGUAUGAAAUUAUGAUACCAUGCCAACUUUCAACCUUUUCUGAGUUCAUUUGAAUUGCUUUUCAAUUUCAGGGUCAUUUAGCUGGAAAAAAAUCAGUAAAUGCAUGAAAAGAAUUUGUUUGCACAUAAAAUUUCUUCGCGUUUCAAAUGCCAAAACACAUAACUACCCUAACUAUUACAGACAUUCCCUCCUGGGUGUGAAACACAGAAGAAAGUGAUGAUAGUGAAGCCGAUCACAUCCCAGAUCUUUGGGUGUGAAACUUUUUUUUCGUGUGUGUCCCUUUGCGCCGUAACCAUGGAAAAUCUUCAUCAUUUAACGGGAUGCUCGGGUCAAUAUUCACUGUGAAUGGAGCAAUUUCAUCAAACUUUUCAUAAUCUUCUAACUUGUCUAUCUUGUCAUCCACUCCCACGAUGUUUCUCUUCACAGAAAGAACUAUGUGCCGCUUUGGCUCAUCGUACGAUGCAUUCGCUUCCUUAUCUUUUCUUUUUCUUGGCUUGGUAGACAUGUCCUUCACAUAGAAAACCUGUGCCACAUCAUUGGCUAGGACGAAUGGUUCGUCUGCAUACGCAAGAUUGUUGAGAUCCACUGUUGUCAUUCCGUACUGCGGGUCUUCCGUUACCCCGCCUCGUGUCAUAUUGACCCAUUUGCACCGAAACAAAGGGACCUUUAAACCACGUCGAUAGUCAAGUUCCCAUAUGUCCUGUAUAUAACCAUAAUAUGUUUCCUUUCCCGUCUUGGUUUCUGCAUCAAAGCGGACACCACUGUUUUGGUUGGUGCUCUUCUUAUCUUGGGCGAUUGUGUAAAAUGUAUUACUAUUUAUCUCGUACCCUUUGAAAGUCAUUAUAUUCGAAGAUGGUAACUGGGACAGCAAGUAUAGGUCAUCUUCAAUAGAGGUGUCAUGCAUGGUACGUGUCUGCAACCAGUUGGCGAAACUCCUGGUUUGUUCACGUGUAAUCCAGUCAUCAGACCGCUCCAGGUGUUUGGAGCGUAGCAAAUUCUUGUGUUCAUCCAUAUACGGAGCCACCAAGGUGGAAUUCUGUAGAACUGUGUAGUGUGCUUCAGUGAGAGAAUGUCCGUCCAUACAUAUUAUUUGUUCCCCUCCUAGCGUGCCUUUUCCAUCCAGUCUGCCCUUAUGCCGCGAUUCAGGAACACCAAUCGGCUUAAGGUCAGGAAUAAAGUCAAUACAAAACUCAAUGACCUCCUCAUUUUGAUGGCCCUUGGAGAUGCUUAUGAACAUAUUUCUUUAAGACUCCCAUGAACCUCUCAAAGGGGAACAUAUUGUGUAGAAAUACAAGACCCAAAACGUUAAUCUCUUCGCAUAGGUGAACUAGCACGUGCGUCAUGAUGUUGAAGAAGGAUGGUGGGAACACCAACUCGAAACUGACAAGACAUUGCACCAAAUCAUUCUGUAACCUUGGUAUGAUCUCUGGAUCGAUUACCUUCUGAGAGAUUGCACUGAGAAAUGCACAUAGCUUCACAAUGGCUAAUCAAACGUUUUUCGGUAGAAGCCCCCUCAAUGCAACCGGAAGCAGUUGCGUCAUAAUCACGUGGCAGUCAUGAGACUUUAGGUUCUGGAACUUUUUCUCUGCCAUGUUUAUUAUUCCCUUUAUAUUCGACGAGAAGCCAGACGGUACCUUAAUACUGAGCAGGCAUUCAAAGAAGAUUUCCUUCUCUUCUUUGGUAAGAGCGUAGCUUGCAUGACCCUGAUGUAUGCCGUCUUCUCCGUGCAUACGUUGCUGGUCCUCCCGUGCCUCAGGUGUAUCUUUUGUCUUCCCAUACACGCCCAAGAAGCCAAGCAGGGUCACGCAAAGAUUCUUCGUCACGUGCAUCACGUCGAUUGCGGAGCGGACCUCUAGUUCUUUCCAAUAUGGCAGGUCCCAAAAUAUAGAUUUCUUCUUCCACAUGGGUGCACGUCCGUCCGCGUCCUUCGGAACAGGUUGUCCGCCAGGACCCUUUCCAAAUAUCACCUUCAAAUCCUUGACCAUAUCAUGUACAUCAGCACCAGUACGGUGGCGAGGCUUCGUCCGGUGAUCCGCCUCACCUUUGAAAUGCUUGCCUUUCUUUCUUACGGGAUGCCUGCUCGGAAGAAAUCAACGAUGUCCCAGGUACACAUUCUUCUUACAACUAUUCAAAUAUAUACUGUCGGUAUCAUCCAAACAGUGCGUGCAUCCGCGGUAUCCCUUGUUUGUCUGUCCUGAAAGGUUACUGAGAGCAGGCCAAUCAUUUAUGGUCACGAACAGCAACGCCUUUAGGUCAAAUUCUUUCCCCAUGUGCUCAUCCCACGCACGUACACCUGUUCCAUUCCACAGUUGUAAGAGUUCUUCAACUAAUGGCCUUAGGUACACAUCAAUGUCGUUGCCGGGUUGCUUAGGGCCUUGGAUGAGCACUGGCAUCAUAAUGAACUUCCGCUUCAUGCACAACCAAGGAGGAAGGUUAUACAAACAUAGAGUCACAGGCCAGGUGCUAUGGUUGCUGCUCUGCUCCCCAAAAGGAUUAAUGCCAUCUGCGCUUAGACCAAACCAUACGCUCCUUGCGCCAUCUGCAAACUCCUUCCCGUACUUUCUUUCGAUUUUUCUCCACUGCGACCCGUCAGCGGGUACUCUCAACUUUCCGUCUUUUUUACGGUCUUCUCUGUGCCAUCGCAUCGCCUUGGCAUGCUCUUUGUUUUGGAACAAACGUUUCAACCAUGGUAUUAUAGGAGAAUACCACAUCACCUUGGCAGGAAUCUUCUUCCUGGGGCGCUCGCCCUCGACAUCACCAGGCUCAUCGCGGCUGAUCUUAUAGCGCAAUGCACCACAUACCGGGCAACCGUUCAAAUCCUCAUACUCACCGCGGUAGAGGAUGCAAUCAUUAGGGCAUGCAUCUAUCUUCUGCACCUCUAACCCUAGAGGGCAGACAGCCUUCUUUGCUUCGUACGUACUCUCGGGCAAUUCGUUGUCCUUUGGAAGCAUUUCCUUUAUCAUUACCAGCAACUUUCCAAAUCCCUUGUCAGAUACACCAUUCUCUGCCUUCCAUUGCAGCAAUUCCAGUGUGGUGCCCAGCUUUUUCUUGUCACCUACGCAAUUCGGGUACAACAAUUUUUUGUGAUCCUCUAACAUGCGCUGCAACUUCUUCUUCUCCAAAUCACUUGCGCAGUUUCUCUUUGCAUCGGCAAUGGCCCGACCUAGAUCAUCAACGGGCUCAUCUGAUGCCUCUUCUUCAGCUUCUUCCCGCAUUGCCGGCUCAGCUUCUUCCCGCAUUACCGACUCAGCUUCUUCCCCCAUUGUUGUAUCAUCGUAUUCAGGGAACCCAUGGCCAGGAUAGCUGUCGUCGUCCUCUUCUUCUUCAUUGUCUUCCAUCAUAACCCCUCUUUCUCCGUGCUUGGUCCAAACAUUAUAGUGGGGCAUGAAACCGGACUCAAACAGGUGGACGUGAAUGGUUCUUGACGUAGAGUAAUUGUGACCAUUCUUACAGCCAGCACAUGGACAAGGCAUAAAACCAUCCGCCCGCUUGUUUGCCUCAGCCGCAAGCAGAAAAGUAUGCACGCCCUCAACGAACUGGGGAGAGCAUCCGUCAUCGUACAUCUAUUGCCGGCUCAUCUUCAUUACACAACACCGAAUAGACCAAAUUAAUACAAGUUCAUACAUAAAGUUGAUACAACACUUAAAUGUAACAAACAAAUAACUCUCUAGCUAAAGCAUUUAAAUGCAACAACAAAUGCGAUCAAGAUCGCAACUAAGGUUACAAUUGAUCCAACAGCAUAAUGAUACCAAGCCUCACUACCGAUGGCAUAUUUUCUAAUCUUUCUAUUCUUCAAGCGCAUUUUCUCCAUCUUGAUCUUGUGAUCAUCGACGACAUCGGCAACAUGCAACUCCAAUUCCAUCUUCUCCCCCUCAAUUCUUUUCAAUUUUUCUUUCAAGUACUCGUUUUCUCUUUCAACUAAAUUUAACCUCUCGACAAUAGGGUCGGUUGGAAUUUCCGGUUCACAUACCUCCUAGAUAAAAAUAUCUAUGUCAACUUGAUGGGCAUAAUUUGUCAUAAACACGAAAUGCAACAAAUAGUUUUAAAAGAGAAUAUACCACAUCCGAAUCAUAACAAGGACGAGGGCCGACGGGGACGGAUAUCAAAACCAUGGCACUAUGUAUAACAAACAACGUACGGGUAAGAUAAUUAUUACAUGAUUAACUAUAUAUCCAAAUCACACAAACAUCAAUUUUUUAUAUAAAAUUUCAUGAACAAGAGGCUCACCACAAGGUGGUGCCGGUGACGGGACAGUGCGGGCGUUCGACGGUGGUUACGACGGAGAUUUAGAAGGCACUAAGUAAACCACACCUACAUAUGCAAACUAAGUGUUAUUUUUGACCUCAAAUUGCAUAUAAAUCAAAUACUAGCACAUAUAUAUAUUUCCUCCCAAAUUACUAAACUCACAAAUUAGUAACUAUACAAAGCAUGGGAAGAGCUAAUCUAGCAAUGAGAGAUGAAAGGACAAAGUUGCUAACCUUUGUGAUCACUUGAAUGGAUGGGGGCCUUCAAAUCUUGACAAAUUUUGGGCAAAAUGUGUGAUGAGCUCGAGGGGAGAAGAGGAAGAACAGAGAGGAGAGGAGAGGGGAAAGGGGGGAGAACAGAGCGAGCUUGACGAAGGGUUUAUAUGUAGGACGACCUAUAGUACCAGUUCGUGGCACGAACCGGUACUAAAGGUGCUGGAGGGGGCCCAGACUGACAACAUCCUGCCACCACCCUCAUUAGUACCGGUUCGUGGCACGAACCGGUGCUAAAGGUUAGCCACGAACCGGUACUAAUGAGAGCGGCCCGGCUAGCCGUUGGAACCGGCACUAAUGUAUACAUUAGUGCCGGCUCUAAUACAAACCGGCACUAAUGUGCUGCACGUUUGACCCUUUUUCUACUAGUGUGAUUAGCUAGCUAGAAAUGAGUUUGAGGAUGAUGAUGUGCUAUACUAUUACUAUGAUGAUAAAAUAGCUAGUGUUGGUGGUAAUGACUAUGAUGAUUAUUAUUAGCUAGUGUUAGUGGUGAUUAAAUAAAUACUGUUGGUGGUAAUGACUAUGAGGAUGAUUAAAUAGCUUGUGUUGGCGGAUUAGAUUCAAGUGGAGGCAACAUGUGGUGCACAUCGAAAGUACUACUAGUCCAAACUAGAUCAAGUUUGGAUUAGUAGUAUACUUUUGACAUGCACCACAUAUUGCCUCCACUUGAACCUAAUCCACCUUCAUUUGAUACACUGUUAUGGACAUAAUGAUGUAAAACUCAUAACUGGUAUUGUACCAAUAUUUGUACGAUGGCGCAUAAAUACACUAAAAAAAUAAAAAAAUAAUACUAGUAGUGAUGGAGAGAAAACACGCUGCCAGUAGUUACAUUAGCAGUAGCGUGGGAAUGAACAAACGUUGCAGCUAUUUGUCCUAGCAGUAGCGCGUGCGGGCACGCGUUACUGCUAAGCAAUAGCUGUAGCGCCUUAUUAGUAGCGCGCCUGCCCGCGCUACUAGUGAGCACAAAACCAGCGCUACUGCUAGGGUUUUCCCUAGUAUUGAAAGGUCUAAACCGGGGUAGGUUUGUAGCUUCAUCUAGACGCCACGCAACCGCGUCCGAAAAAUAUUCAUACACAAUGGCUGCCUAAGCACACAUGCAAGCGGCCGAAAUCGCUCCCGUCCACUAUUUGGGACACCUGGGAUUACCAUCCUACCCAUGACCCAUAGUAGGUCCAAAUUUUAGAGGGGGGCAAAGUUUGUACUUUCCCCAAAUUUCAAACAAGCGCGUCCCAUCUGUUCAAAAAAGCCAAAAACAAGCGCGUCUCAGACCGAAACAUGGUUCUCCCUUAGCUCCCCCGCCCACCCGUCCGAUUCCCCAUUCGUACUCUGUGGGCACCAAAACUACCUCUCCACCAGCCGCGAAACCCUGGCGUCCUCCGUCCCCCACCCCAUCCCACCCAUCAACCGCCGCCCUCCUCCAUCACGUCGGAGCCAAUACCUCGACGUCGUCGUCCACCGCAACCUCAACCGCAACGCCCUCCACGUCUAGUAGUUGAAGCCGAGGCCGAGCCGUCCGUACCUGAGCCAGUUCAACCAUGUCGUCCUACGCCUCACCGCUGCCGCUCCAACUUCGCCACCGUCCACCGCACAGGAGUUGUUCCUGCUACGCCGUCCUUCGCCGCCUCGGAUCUGCUUCUCCUCCACCGACAGACGGCCACGGCAACACAGUCAACAAUUUGGCCAUGGGUUCGUCCAAGGCUCCACCAUCCUCCAAAACAUCGGUUCCCCUGGCAAAAAGAAGAAGAUCGCCACGACAUAUGGAGGAGACCACACUAGCAACCAGAAAUGGUACUCCUCUUCCCUUAGUCGUGCAAAUCUUACGUGUCUGCUUAUAUAGUAUUCAUCCCACAGAAGGCACUAGUUGACCGCUUCUUGUUGAUACUAGAUGUUCCUAGUAACUCGCGAUGCACAAGGUUUCUCCUGAUAUACUAUUUCACCUUAGCUAGACGUCCGUCGUCCCCUGGAUUUCAAUUCCUGCUCAGUUGAUUCACAAAUGGAAGCAUUCCCCAACGUAAUAGGCGCUAGUCCGCCUAUUACGCCGGGGAAGCAGUGCCUCGGUGUUUAUCUUAGGGGCGUGUGGGGCCUAGAGCUGCUGGCGCCCGAUCUGGAGGUUGGCCGGUAUUAAAGGGAUGGCCUGGGGGCGCUGCCAAGCACGGCGGUGGUGUGAGGUCGAGGAGAGGGCGGGGCGGCGGAGGCAGGGGUCUGGGCCGGUGAUCGCUAGCGGUUCGAGCAAGAUUGUCAAUAGUGACUGGCGGGAGGUAGACGAAGGCCAUGUGCCCGUUCCUUAUAGAUCAGACGGUUCAUAAAAAAAUCGACUGGCCUAUUUAUUUUCAGUCGACUGUUAUCUUUAUAUGACCACAUGUGGUGGUGUGCUAGAGGAGUACCUGCAUUUCCUGUGUUCAUAUAUUACAAAAUCAUACGAAGUAGAAUCUAAUUUUGUUUGCCAUGCAAUGUUGUAGAGUUAUCACAUGUCUCCUGUCAUUUAUUUUUCAGCCACCUGCCAUCUGCUACUUUUACAGUGCACUAGUUCUACACACACUUCACCCUUACUCCCACUAUUGUAUUUUUAUGCAAGGGUAUUUCAGAAUCUGCUGCCAUGAGAGAAGCAAAAAAGAAAAGAGAGAAGUCGCUCCAGCGUCGUACGCGGAUCGGCCAGACACGUUUCACCCUUAUAAAGGGUGUAGUGUCAGAAGUUGGAGACGGUAAACGUAGCUUUGGAGUUGAUGACCUCACUCGCAAUGAACCACCAUCCCAGGUGCUUGCUUUAACUUUGCGGUGUCAUAUGUGGUUGCAUGUUCCAUAUGGUGUCUAUCUUGUAUUCGAAAGGCCGAAGUCGGUCUUUAUUAAGAUAAGGAAAUAUAUUUCUUACAUGAACCACCAUCCCAUGAGCACAAGAAGACAAAUAGCUAGUCACGGCACUAGCCGAGCUAGUGACAAGCCCAGCACAGACAGGCAUCACCUGGAAGCCAACUAAAAAGCCACGAUGGUGGCGAAGUAGCCCGCCUCCCACCAGGCUCUCAGGUCCUAGAUGAUCGCGCUCACCACUCCAACCGGAUAUCUAGCUUUUAUUACUUCCAAUUUGGUUAAAUUGCAUCUGCUUAGCUUACAUAUUAUAUCUUUGAAUAUGACAUGCCUUCCUGUUUUUGGUACAUACUAGUACUUCUCUCUAUUAACCAUGUUCUUACCCCAAACUAAUGUUCUUGUGUAUCCCUCAUCGAUCACUUAUGAUGAGGCAGUCAGGCCAGUGGACUACUGUGAGUAAAGAUCCUCAUUUAAAGAAUGCAUCGUCAGCCUCCCGACAUGAUUCUCAAGAAACAGUAAGGCUAGAUGAAGAUAGUGAAGGUAGCUCUGUAGUUGAUUAACACAUUUCUCCUACACUAUCAUCGCAGGUGCUUGCUCUAAUUUGGCAGCGUGAUAUGUGGUUGCAUGUUGCAUAUGGUGUCUAGAAUGUAAUUCUUCCAAUCUGGUUAAAUUGCAUGCGCUAUUCUGCUUAGUUUUUACAUUAUACCUGUUAAUGUGACAUUCCUUCCUAUUUUUAGUACAUAGUACAUCUGUCUAUUAAGCAUGUCCUUACAUAAAACUAUAGUUUUUUUGUAUCCCGCAUCAAUCAAUAUGACGAGACACCUUUAGUAUAUGCAGUGCGAUAUUAGUUGCAUCUUUCAUAUGAUUUAUAGCAUGCGCUGCUUCUAAUUUGUUGAAAUGCCAUUUAUGAUGGGACGCUUUUAACUUGGCAGAGUCAUAUUGGUUGCAUCUUUUAUGUGGUGUCUAGCUUGCAUUGCUUCGUAUUUGUUGGAAUGAUUUCUGCUUAGUUUACACAAACAGUUGUGAAUAUGCCAUGCCGUCCUAUUUUUCGUACAUAUUCUAUCCUGGUAUCAUGUGUUUGCCUUACUUCAAAGUAGUGAUUGUCAGUAUCAAAGAGAGAAUUUUAUUGCUUUUUCUUGUCGGUUUUACUUGACAAUUCAAAAUCAAUAAAGCGGAAGGAAGUUAGCAAGGUAGAGGAUAAAGGUGCUCCUUCCAAACGGAGGGCCUCUACAGAUUCUACUCCUCCAUCCCCCCAAGAUGAUUUGCGAGACAACACAUGCAUAGACACUCAACGUAGAUGUGUUGAUGAUGUCUCCCCUAGUGCACCAUCACAGGUGCUCUCUCUAACUUGGCACUGUUAUAUGUGGUUGCAUGUUAUGUAUGAUGUCUAGCUUGUAUUGCUUCUAAUUUUGUUGAAUUCCAUCUACUUACUUUACACAUUAUACUUGUGAAUAAGACACGUGUUCCUGUUUCUAGAACAUACAAUAUCUGUCUAUCACACCAUGUUCUUACAUCAAAGUACUACUGUUGUGUAACCUGCAACAAUCACUUAUCAUAAGACAGGUUUGAAUUGGGAGUGUGAUAUAGGUUACAUCUCGCAUUCUUUUCUAACUUGUACUACUUCUAAUUUGUUGAAAUGGCACUUAUGAUGAGACAAUUUAAACUUGAUAGAGUGAUAUUUGUUGCAUCUUUCAUAUGGCGUCUACCUUUCAUUGCUUCUAAUUUGUUGAAAUGCCUUCUUCUUAGUUUACACAUCAUAAGUUGUGAAUAUGCAAUGCUGUGAAUAUGCAAUGGCACUAACGAUGAGAAACCUUUAACUUGGUAGUGUGAUGUUGUUUGCAUCUUGCAUAUGAUUUAUUUCUUGUACUGCUUCACAUUUGUUUAAUCGCCAUUUAUGAUGAGACACUGUGAACUUGGCAGAGCGAUAUUUCUACCAUCUUUCAUAUGGUGUCUACCUUCCAUUGCAUUGCUUCUAAUUUAGUGAAAUGUCUUCUGCUUAGUUUACACAUCAUAGUUCUGGUUAUCUCAUGCCGUCCUGUUUUUCGUACAUAUUACAUCCUCCUAUCAUGUGGUUGUCUAACCUCAAAGUUCAGUUCGUGUGUAUCAUGCAUCAAUUUGUUCUGAAGAACUAAAUUGUUAUUCGUUUUUCUUGUCGGCUUGACUUAACAUGGCACGGAGAAAGAGGAAGCAACACAGAAUGACAGGGAAUGGGAAGCAGAAGAAUCCUGCAGAUUUUGCUGGUACUGAUUACUACUAGGAAAAGGCUAUAGGUAAUAUGGACAUUAAUGGCGCACCACACAUGUGGUGCGCCACUACUAUAUAGCAGUGGCGCACCAUGUGUUGGUGCGCCAUUAGUGUGAUGGACACUAAUGGCGCACCACACCCAUGGUGCGCCACUACUAACAAACUUUUUUAUUAUUUUUCCAAAACUACUAAUGGCGCAUCAAGGCACAGUGCGCCAUUACAAGUUUUAACUAGUAAUGGCGCACCACUCAACCCGUGCGCCACUACUAACAAAAAAAAAUUCACUUUUUUUUCAUAACUAGUAAUGGCGCACCAGUGCAUAGUGCGCCAUUACUAGUUCAAACUAGUAAUGGCGCACCACACACACGGUGGGCCACUACUAACAUUUUUUUUGCAAAACUAGUAAUAGCGUACCACCUAAUUGGUGCGCCAUUAGUAACCAGGGUUACUAAUGGCGCAUUUGUAGGUGGUGCGCCAUUAGUAACCUGGGACCAGCUAGAUAUUUUGGACAGCCACCUACCACACUCACUUUCCCCACUUCAUUCUCUCCACCUUCUCCUCCAAGCUUGUCUUGGCUGCCUCCUCCUCCUCACCUCAUUUGCACCAUAGAUUCAUCCAAAUUAAGUGGUUAAAUUACCUUUUUUGAUAGGUAAGCAAGGGGAAAGCUUUCUUUAUGUUAUAGAUCUACUUUUUUCUCCCUCCAACAACGUGCACAUGCACUUUUUAUGGCCUAGCUAGAUCUAUAUAUGUUUGUGGUGUUGCAUAUGUUUGUGUUGUUGCAUAUAUGUUUGUGUUUGCAGGUACCGGUAUUUGAAAUGCGAUAGUUGCCAAUAUUUUGCCGGAAUGUUGAUUCAUUUCCAUUUCGGCGAGAAUUUGGCACUAUGCAUUCUUUUUGGUCCUAUUUUUAGGCAAAGUCACGCCAAAUUUUUUCUUGGUUCUAAAAUAUCGUUUUGCUCUACCUCGCAGGCGACCAUGGUCCGCACGAUGACCGAAGGCAUCGUGAAUAGGUUUUUGAGCUCCACGAAGGCCGAGAUGCUUCAAAAGAACGAGACGGAGAUAAGAUGUCCGUGUCGAAGAUGCAAGCUAAAGAGCCUUAUUGUGGACCCAGAUUUCGGGCAGGUGCGGGACCACCUGCUCUUGCGUGGUUUCAUGGAUGGCUAUCGGUGGCAAGGUGAUGAAGAUUACUAUGAAGUCAUCCAUGGGGGGCAGGCAAGAAAUGAGGAAGGGCAGACAACCACCGCGGCGAGGGCGGGCGAGAAGACGAAGAAUCUCCAGGACAUGAUCACGACGGUGAUGCUAUACACAGUCAUCAUGUAGAAGAUGCCGGACAUGAUGAUGAGGAAGAUCAAAAACGAAGGGCAUGAUCAUGAAGAUGAAGAUGCCGGAGCAGAAGACGAUGGACCAUCGAUGGGCUGGGUGCAGGACCCUCAUAUUCAAGAGCUGCUUCUCAAGCAGACGGAUAACGCAAGUGCUGCCGCCCGAGAGAAAGCCAAGCUGGAUCAACUGGAGAUAGACACGGUUACUCCAUUGUAUAAAGGAUGCAGGCCCGAGGAUACCCGCCUGAAAGUAAUGCUCAUGGAUCUGGAGAUGAAGGUAAAACACAAAAUGACCGACGCAUGCUUCGACGAGAACAUGUCAUUCUGGCACGAACGUAUUCCCAAGGGGAACAAGUGCCCGACCAGUUUCGAGGAGGCGAAGAAAAUCGUGUGUCCUCUGGAUUUACCGCACGUGAAAUACCAUGUGUGCAUGAACAAUUGCAUCAUUUAUCGGGAUGAGCACGCGGAGUCUACCAUAUGUCCGGUGCGGCGUCACUCGAUACAAGAAGAGGAAGAAAGCUCCUCGAAAAGUGGUGUGGUACUUUCUGAUCACUCCUCGUCUGCAGCGGUAUUUUGCGGAGCCUAAGGUAGCAAAGCUCCUGCAUUGGCACGUGGAUAGGGAGGAGAAGAAGCGAGAAGAUAACGCAAAUGAUCUGGAGAUAAAAAAGACAAGAUGCUGAGUCACCCUAAGGAUGCGAGCCAGUGGCAAGCGUUGAACUUUGAACACCCAGAAAUUGGGGACGAUCCAAGGAACAUCUUGCUGGGCGCGAGCACCGAUGGAGUCAAUCCGUUUGGAAGCCAGAGAAACACACACAUUGCACCUGGCCUAUGUUUGUGUGGAUGUACAACCUUCCCCCCUGGUUGUGCAUGAAGAGGAAGUACAUUCACAUGAGUAUGCUAAUUGAAGGGCCGAAACAACCAGGGAACGACAUCAAUCUGUAUCUGGGGCUGCUGAAAGAGGAGCUAGACACGCUUUGGAAAAUGCCAGCCAAUACGUGGGACGCCGCAGAGAAAGGAUAUUUCCCUAUGAGAGCCGCACUGCUCACGACGGUGCACGACUAUCUCGGUUACGGAUAUCUCGCGGGGCAGGUGAUCCACGGAUUUUCUGGAUGCGUCAGGUGCAUGGAUGACACAACGUAUGCCAGCUAGAUAGAGAUCCCAGCUCUUCGAAAACCCUGUUCAUGGGACAUCGAAGGUGGCUUCGUGACGAUGACCCAUGGAGAAAACGCAAGGAUCUGUUCGAUGGUGAAACCGAAUCCCGAAGACGCCCGCGUACGAGGACCGGUGAGGAAAUAGACGAGCUGUUGAAAAAUUGGAAAGAUUGCCCCUGCCGGGAAAGAAGCAAAAGGCGCCAGAGCCGGGAAAGAAGCGAAAUGCACUAGAGCCGCUACUGAAGGUAUGGAAAACGAGGUCUGUUUUCUGGGACUUGCCGUACUGGAAGAUCCACCGUGUACCUCACAGCCUUGAUGUCAUGCAUAUCACGAAGAACGUGUGCAAGAAUCUGCUUGGUACCCUGCUCAACAUGCCAGAGAGGACCAAAGAUGGGCUGAAAGCAAGGGCAGACUUGAAAUCAAUGGGCAUUAGGGAGGAGCUUCACGCUAAUGAUGAUGAUGAUGAGGCGAAGCAGGACACGGAAAGUCGUCGCAAAGGCAAAAAGGCCAAGAAGACCGGAAAUGACUACCCUCCUGCGUGCUUCACUCUAAGUCAGGAGGAGAUCGAGUAGUUUUUCACCUGCCUCGUAGGAGUAGAACUUCCUUACGGUUAUGCGGUGAAGAUAAGCAGAUACCUAGACUCAGCGAAGCAGAAGUUCAGCGGGAUGAAGUCUCACCACUGUCACGUGCUGAUGACGCAGAUACUUCCAGUUGCAAUCCGUGGGAUCAUGGACGCACACAUCCGUGAAACGCUAUUUGGCCUAUGUAACUUUUCAACAUCAUCUCUCGGAAGUCGGUUGGCGUGAGGCAACUCAGAAGGCUACAGGAAGAGAUCGUGGUGAUACUAUGCAAGCUUGAGAUGUACUUCCCGCCCGCAUUCUUCGAUGUUAUGGUCCAUCUGCUGGUCCAUAUCAUGGAGGCUAUCAUCCAACUCGGGCCGACAUUCCUGCACAGCAUGAUGUCGUUCGAAAGGAUGAAUGGUGUCAUCAAAGGAUACAUUCGCAACAUGUCAUGUCCAGAGGGAAGCAUAGCCAGGGGCUUUCUGACCGAAGAGUGCAUCUCCUACUGCAUGAAUUAUCUAGGCAUCAAGAACCCCGUCGGUCUGCCCGUCAAUAGGCACCUCGGCAGGCUCGCUGGAUGGGGUCACCGCGAUGGUCGCCGCGAAAUGCAUGUCGACUUCGAGGGUCGACUCACCGACUUUGAAAGAGCAAACCUAGUCACGCUAGAAAACAUAGACGUGGUCGAUCCUUGGGUGGUAGAGCACAAAACCUUUAUUGAGAAGACGUACAAUGACCGAGGCCAACAGAGGACGGACGGAUAUAUAAUCAAAGAACACAACUCAUGUUUCACGCGUUGGUUCAAGGAGAAGCUUCUGUCGUACCCUUUACAUGAGGAUUCUUCCGCGGAAGAACAAGUCAUAUUAUCCUUGUCACAGGGCGCCGAGCACAACCUGAUGACGUAUCAGGCGUACGAUAUCAACGGCUACACAUUCUACACCUAGGGAAAGGACAUGAAGAGUGAUGGUUAUUAGAACUCCGGGGUAAUGAUGGAAUCCUACACCGGUAGCGACAAGGACAGAUACUAUGGAAGGAUCGAGGAGAUCUGGGAGCUGAGCUACACUGGAGAGUAGGUACCGAUGUUCCAUGUCAGAUGCCAAGGUGCCAGAGGGCAAGGGCUUUGUGCCAUCGGGGGUACGAUCGUCCUGCGGUUUGAUGCAGUCUUCACUAUGUUUAACCUUCAUCCGCUGCACUACACCUACGUUCGGCUAUUUUCAUUGAGUAUGGAGAUGCGGAUCAUUAGAGACAAGACCCCGGACAUCGUCAUAUUCGACCCCUUCUACAUGCGUGCCAAGAUCUUGGGCAGCACUGGGGACCGGCAAGUCGUGAGUUCACACCUCGAAGGCGUCAUUCUGGCAAACCCAGAUAAGGAUAACUUCCUCGUGCCUUACUUUCCCGAGUAAGUCAUCCCCUCACCACCCCGUAACAUAUGAUUUCUUAGAUUUUGAUCGUUCUUUUUUUUCUAACAUUCUGUGUUUUGUGCAGUGACACACAUUGCACACUCAUCCUAUUAAGCCCGAAAUAUUCCAUGGCCACGUAUUUCGACUCGGACCGUCAGUCGAAGAAAGACUACACAAAUAUCAAGAAAGUUCUUGAUGAUGUUCUCCCCGGCUACGCCAGAUCUGGAGGCACCUUCAGCAAGACAAUUCGUAGGUAUGGCAAGCACGUGUUCACCCACAAUACGACGUUCCCCUGCGUCAAGCAGACGCUUGGCAGUCAGAAGGAUGCCUACUACGCCCUCCAUCACAUGCGGACGAUCGUACGGGACCAUAAUCACCUUCUGCUACCAAAUAAUCUCAAAGAUUGGGCCACACACUUGUCGCAAUCCAGGACGCGGACAUCAGACAAGAAUUCUAUCGCAUCCAGUCGGAGUUUGCGGAAAUCAUCCAUCAAGAUGUCCUUUGUACCUCGGGGCAGUUCUACCUCAGAUAUCAACCGUCCAACAGUGAGAGAGAAACAACGCUACAAAUGCAGGCUGACAACGCCCGCGAUUUCCUGACCAUCACGAAAGACGGCGGCUUCAUCCACGCUCCGGUCCCUGAGUCGAGUCAAAAGUAGUGAUGCUAUGUAGUUCUGAAAUGUUGAUUGGCUCAUGUUGUAAUAUUAAACUUUAAUGAACUUGUAUGUCUCUUUGGUUUGGACAGUCGUUCAACUUAUAUGUAAUCGAUGCUAUUUAUUAGUAGGACCAUGAAUCGUGCUAUUAAUGUGUUGCUUUUCUCUUUCGAUCCUUUUGUUGCAUACUUAUAUAUUGCUUAUGUAUUGUCUGUGAAUUGCUAUUAACAUUUUGUUUGGCUAGUGCAUAGAGAUGCCGUCGUAUGUUGUGUACAAGGGUAAGGUUCUCGGAGUCUACGACGACUGGGAGGAGUGUCAAAGACAGGUUCACCGUUUCAGCGGUAACAGUUACAAAGGGUACACCACUAGGGCGGAGGCGGAAGUUAGAUACGCGCGCUAUCUAGCGGGAGAGAGGAGGGAGCGUUGGAGGAACCUGAUGAAGACUAGUUUCAUCGCGAUGAUGCUCAUCGUGAUGACCGCAACUUUCUUCUAUGUGAUGGUAGUUUAGAUGAUCGAUAUCGACUUGUAAUGUGAAGACAAACUCGCUACUCGCGGUCUCGAGACUUGUAAUGUUCUAACUUUUUUUGGUAUUUUAAAUUCGGAGACUAAUAUGAUGAAUUGUAUUCGGAGACUAAUCUUCUAUUGUAUUCGAUAAAUCUGCUGUUUAUAUGUUGUGAUGUCUAUAUUCUGUGCAGUAAUAUACUUUGUAACAUGUGCAAAUAUCAGAAAAGAAAAAAAUCCCUAAUAUUCAUACUAGUGGCGCACCACUCUGCACUUUAGUGGCGCACUGCAAUAAGCAUACUAGUGGCACAUCAUCUACAAGUGCGCCAUUAGUAAGCCAGAGCACAUGGGUAAAUAUGCCCCCCUGGGAGGCAUACUAAUGGUGCACCGUGUGAUAUACUAAUGGCGCACUCCCUGGUGCGCCAUUAGUAUCUGGUAUACUAAUGGCGCACCAGGGGUGUGCCAUUAGUAUUAAUUACUAGUGGCGUGAUGCUAGUGGCGCACCUGUAGUGCGCCAUUAGUGGCCAAUACAGGUGCGCCACUAGCAGGCCUUCUCCUAGUAGUGGAUGGUGCAAUAGAAUGUCAAAGUCUAGUGGAAAAUUCUACAAACAGGGUAUCCCGUGCUACACGAGCUGCAGAACAAGCCAAACAGAAACAAAUAGCUACCACCAAACAAGUAGAGACAACCCUAGUUGUUGCAACACCUUCCACAGUACCACCAGCUACACGAGUUACUCAUUGGUCAACUCAGCUAGCAGCACAUUCCCAAGCUCCCUUGCCACCUGACACUACUUCCGAAGCACUCUUGACUCAAGAUGAGUUGGCAAUAUCAGAUGAACUUUGUGAGCUUCAACAACAAGAAGGUAGUUGCUGGAGUCAAGUUACAGUUGCAUGCUUCUUUAUAUGUAGUCUCGCAAUUUGAUGUACACUAACAGUUCCUAUGUUCGUUGUUGGACUAGCACCUAGGCGCAAGAGGAAACAAACAUAAGGGACAAUGCUCGAUAGGUUAACUAAAUCUAGAGGAGGAAGAAUGGAGUUCCGUUUUGAGGCAGGUUUAACAAGGCCACGUGAUGCUACAGAGUCAGCCAAGUUAGUAUUAGAGGCAGCGGUUAUCGUUAGGUAUCAUGUAUGUAUACUCCCAACAUGGAUUCAGUACAGGAAUGACAAAGACGAAACCCAGUUCAACCCCUUCCUCGACAAUUUAUCUAUAAGUAUGGUUAUGUAUGGAAACUAGUAAUCUUGUCUUCCUCUGUUCCAUACUUUCUAGGUUGAUGAUAAUGAGACUCCCAUAAUUUUCAACAGAUGAGGUUCAAGUUGGAUAGCCAAUAUGAUGCAACCAGACAAGCUUGCACCCAUGUUUUCAAGUCUGCUCUGCGACAGUAUCGCUAUAACUUGAGGAAAACUCACUUUGAAGGCAAGGCUAACAGUGAACUUGCCCAAACAUCUCAAGUGGAAAAUAUAUCGGAUGAAGACUGGAGAGGCCUCGUUAAACAUUGGUCUGAUCUGAAGUAUCAGGUACAUUAUAUACAUGAUCAGAUCACAUGUUGAAGUCCUAUUUCCGCAUGUGCCACACAAAUCUAUCUUCUUGUAGGUAAACUGUUCCAAGAACAAGGCCAACUGUAUGAAAGUGAAAUUCCAACAGACGACAGGAUCUCGUAGCUAUAUUGCACACUGCGAGACUCUUGUAAUUAGCUGUUGUUUCACUCUUUUCGUUGUACCAUAUUAUCAGAUCUAUAUUGACUUGUUCCAAAUGCAGAGGAAAGCCCGCAAGGACCAAAAAGUACCUGAACCAAAUGCUGUGGAAAUCUUCAAGGACUGUCACACCAGCAAGAAGAAGGGCAUGACUACACCAGUCAAAGCCACUGUUGAAGUCCUUAAUCCACAUGCCUUUUAACUACUACUUACUCUAACUUGUGCCUUGAACUACAUGGUUUCCAGCCAAUGUCUAUUACUCUUUUCAAUUUUAUACACAGUUGUCUUAGCGUAUCAUUGCACCUUACAAGGUUUAAAAGAGAGGAGUGAUGUUCCUUUGCUCUUGACCUGUAAUCUAGUGCUGUGCUGGACUUGCCCACACAAUGUUAUAAUUGCCUGUUUGUCUGUUCUCAGUUGUUUUGUGAUAUGAAUGAUCUCAUACUAUGCUUACCGUAUUAUAAACUUUGUCUCUUUAUCCUUAGCUGUCAAUACAAUGUGAAGAAAUAGACAAUACAUUAGCGAUGGUACAUGGUCAUAUGUUUGGAACCUAGUUUUAUUAUGUACUUUGCAGUAAAAUACAACUAAUAUUUUACAUGGGUUCACCAGAAUAAGUUCUGUAUAUAGACCAAAGCUAUUUUGUUUGGUUUUGCUGCCUCUUUAAUAUCUUCUGUUCUAGUACUACUAAUGUAAAAACUCAACUUUUCAGGAAGCUAUGGAAAAAAUGGUGGAACCGCCACCUUCUGAAGGUGGCAAGGUAACUAUAACCGCAAUGUCAGCUCUUGCUACAGUGGGUAAGUACCUGUCCACUAACAGUGCCAAAAGCACGUUCCUACAUAAUACUGGGUUGGUUGUUAAGGCAAUCUCGUCCAAACUGCCUCAUGAUCAAGAUAUGCAAGCUCAAAACAAUGUGAUAUAUGCGCUCCAGACACAUGUUCAUUCCCUAACAGAGACCCUUUGUGAAACAAGGACAUACAUUGUUCGAUGUUGUCAAGAUAUGCAUGGUUUUGAAACCAGACUAUCAGACAUUUGCUAUGUUGGUUAGGAGCCUAGGAGAAAUGAAGGCGAAGGUUAUGGUGCUCCGUCAGACAAUAUACAACAUGAAAAUGUAACAGUCAGGUCAAAUGAUCUGAGCUUCUAAACUUCUGGUGGUGCAUUUAUUUGCCAGACUGUUAACUUUUAUGCCAACCUUCCUUUUGUUUUAUAGUUGUAAUUUGUUUUGUUGCGAUAAAAAAUUUGUUCUUAACAUGCAGCCACCGGCUGAAGAAAACAACAAGCCAUUCUUGUAUAGUGUAGGGUGUUCCCUAUAUUUGCACUAGCGGCGAUCUUUGAUGCCGAGUGGAUGUAAUCUGUGCAAUCGCGUUAAUAGCCAAGCGUUAGUUUCGGGCUUAUUUAUUUCCUAGUCUUCUUUUUCCCUAGUUUGCUAGUGGUCGCAACAACCAUGGGCCAUAUACGGACUGUGGUAACCUUGACCCUGCUACGCGCCGUAGGAUCCAUCUCCUACGGGCCGUCGAUAAAUGGGCCUCCCACAGGUCCGUAGAAUCGGUGCACCUUGGGUCGUCAGAUAAAUGGGUCUACAUGGGCCGUAAACAGGCGUAAUUGGUAUCGGCCCAGCAUGGUAACAGGUUGUUAACAGGCCAGAGGACAACAAAGGCUUAAUUCUGUCACAGGCAUAACGGGUCGUUAAUGGGCCAGAAUAUAGGACGGGCUGGAACCAGCGCAACGUGUUAACAGGCCAGAAAUGGGCCAACUCUUGCCACAGGCUGAAUUUGGCCCAUUAGGGGAACAGGCCAGUAACGAGCCGGAAGUAAUCGAGGGCCGGAAAGGAGCCCAAGAACGUAUGGGCCGUCAGUAGGCCGAAAGCUAACACGGGCUGGAAACGGCCCAUGUGAAUCAUGGGCGUUAACGGGUACAAAGAAACUUACUGUUCAUUAUAGGCUAGAGCCAUCGUGGGCCUCUAAAGGGCCUAAAGAUACGAAGGCCUCAUAUGGGCCGAAAGAUGUCGUGGGCCAUACAUGGGCCGAAAGUGAAACUGGCUGGUGUUAUAUUCGACGGCCCACAUGACGUUGUUGGACCGAUUUCGGUUAGGCCCUAACGGGCCGUGAGUUACUGGGCUAUAAAAUGGGCUAUUUGUGAAGAGACCGUUAACAGGCUUUUCAUGGGCCAGCCCCCUAACUUUUGACCAAGUCAAACGGGCUGGCCUUUGUAAGGUAAAUGGGCCAGUGGUGGGCUGUCGCAUGUGUUGAGAUAUCAUAGGCGCCUAUCUGACCCAGUGACGAGCUAACACAUGUUUCCUCCGACCAAUCAAAAUUUUACACGUGAAAAUUUCCCAUUGGUCCGGGGUGUUAACGGGUUAUCGGAUCCAAACCGGACCCGAUAGCUUAACGGCUCCCCGUUACGGUGGAUGCCACAUGUCGGUCACCCUUGACGAAAGCACUUCUGUGCGUGCAAUUUAUCGUCAUGGAAGUGGACACUUCUGAUGAUAAUUUUGGUAAUGUCAUGGAACAUUUCUACGACAGCACAAGUAUGACUAUUUUGAUUCUGUCCUGAAAUCAUCAUGGAUGUACAUGCAUGACAAAAAACGCGACCUACUGUGACAAACACGUAUCAUCAUGGAAGUGUAUUUUUUUGUAGUGGAAGCACUCAUCUUUGGGCUCCGACAGGCCAAGGAAAUCGGUAUCCGCCGCAUCCUCUGCUACGGCGACUUGGACUUGGUGGUCCAGUAGUCGACAGGCGACUGGGACGCCAAGGACGCCAACAUGGCAAGCUACCGCUUCCUCGUCUAGCAGAUGAGCGGACACUUCGACGGAUGCGAGUUCAUCCACAUGCUACGGGCCGACAACGACGCAGCAGACGCUCUCGCCCAUAUUGGCUCCACCCGGCAAGCCAUACCAGCCAGCGUCUACCUCAAACGCCUCCAUAAGCCGUCUAUCAAGCCCUCGCCAGAGUCCGACUCCAUCUUCGUGUAGGCCGCCCCAGGAGCAGUCGGAUCCGGCUCGGGGACUUCACAGUCGGCAUGGGGACUUCGGCAGUCAGCACGGGGACUUAAGAAGUCGGCACCGGGACUUCAGCGGACGGCUCGGGGAAUUCACCAAGCGGCCCGGGGGCUGCAGUACCAGCACCGAGCCAACGCUCCCAACAGGCAGCCCGGGGGCUGCUACAGUUGGCCAUGGGACUUCAUCAGCAUCACCAGGAGUGGCGGGCCCCAGCAUGCCACCUCCUAACCCGGCCCCUCUCAUACUAGUCGCCGUGUUCACAAUGGUGGCGGCCCCAUCUUGGGCACAGCCCAUCCGCGACUAUUGGGUCAAUCGCAUGCUACCAACCAACCAGGUGCAAGCCAGACAGAUCCAGCGCAGAGCAGGCACCUACUCCAUUGUCAAUCAAGAGCUCGCAAGCUGGAGUGUGACCGGCUUCUAUCAGCGCUGCAUGGAACCAGAGAAGGGCAUGGAGAUUCUCAGAGAUAAUCAUCAAGGCGAAUGUGUCCACCAUGCCGCCUCCAGGUCCCUCGUGGCCAAAGCUUUCCGCCAUGGCUUCUUCUGGCCAACUGCUUUGGACAAUGCUGAAGAGUUGGUCAAGAAGUGCAAAGGGUGCCAGAAGUUCAUCACCAAGCAACACCUGCCGACCUCCGCCCUCAAGACCAUCCCCAUCACCUAGCCUUUCACUGUGUGGGGUUUGAAUAUGGUAGGCCCGUUCAAGACAGCGCGAGGCGGCCUGACCAAUCUGUUGGUCGUCAUAGACAAGUUCACCAGGUGGAUAGAAGCGAAGCCAAUCAAGAAGCUGAAUAGUUUGACUGCUGUCACAUUCAUCGCUGACAUCACUAUCUGAUAUAGCGUUCCCCACAGCAUCAUCACCAACAAUGGCACCAAGUUCGUCAAAGGUGCCUUGGCCCGUUUCUGCGUGAAUCAGGGCAUCUGACUGGACUUGGCGUCCGCUGCCCACCCGCAGUCAAACGGUCAAGUGGAGCGAGGAAACGGCCUCAUCUUGUCCGGCAUCAUGCCUUUCUUCCUCGUGUAUGGUACCGAGGCUAUCAUCCCUACGGAUAUUGAGUUCGACUCGCCUCAGGUAACCAUGUACAUGGAAGCGGAGGCCAAAGAGGCACGAGAAGACGGCGUCGAUCUGCUGGAAGAGGCCCGACUGCUAGCAUGCAUACGGUCCGCCAUCUACGAGCAGAGCCUGCGCCGCUAGCACAAUAAGAAGGUCAGGUCGCGUUCUUUCCGCGAGGGCGACCUUGUGCUCCGCCUGAUCCAGCAAUCAGCUAGAUAGCACAAGCUCACGGCACCUUGGGAAGACCCCUUCAUCAUCAGCAUGGCCCUGGGGAACGACUCAUACUACCUCAUCGACGCUCAGAAGCCUAAGGCGCGCGAACGUUGCACAACCGGCGAAGAGACGGAGUGGCCAUGGAAUGCAAAUCUGCUCCCCCCGUUUUACAGUUGAUUUGAGCAUAUGUACCAUACCAACUUUUGUAUUAAGUAAGAGACCUCAGGUCCCCAGAGGUGCACAUGGGGCUACCUUUUCAUCUAUCUAUGAUCAAGCUUAUGCCAUGACUUGAGUUUUUUCUAUUCCUGCCCCGUCCGGGUUCCGGUCAGCCGGCCCAGGGGCUCGCCGCCUUGGCCUAAGUUUGCACCAGCCGGAGCCGACUAGUACUGUGCCGAUGCCGAAAGCCCUCUCUUUGCUCUAAGUCAUAGCUCGUAGUGCAACUAUCCGACUGGCGAAGAGCUAAAGGCCGGAACCGUCAUCCACACAAAAUUCGACCAUGGAAAAAUGCUAACUUAGGCCCAGCCGGCUCUUCGCCUCCCUCAUCCGGCUGCUCGGUGGAGGCAGCAGUGCCGGAUGGUGGAGCCGCCGACUGGUUGGACUCGGCCUGGUCAGCAUCCACGGCAGUCGGCGCAGCCACCCGCGGCUCGCUGGUUGAAGCCUGACCCGGCUGAGGCUGGCCGUCCGCUCCAACUUCCGGCACGUUGUCUUCGUCAUCCUCGUACUCAUCAUCAUCAUCGUCGCCCUCAUCGCUAGAGGCGAUUUACUCUGCCGAGUCCUCCUCGCACGCCGGGUUCAGCCCAAACCAGCUGGGCGGCACCUCUUUGCCAUCACCGUCCAGGUCGGGGAUGAAGACGGUGGUGUCGGUGUAGUCGGCGAUCGCGGCCGCACGCUAGGUGAGCUCAGGGCCCACCGCCGCCAGCUCCGGACCGUCCUCCUGCCGGAAGGUGGCCAACUGGGUCAGAUCCAGUUUGGGGUACCACGCCUUGGCAAACUCCAGGGCCGUCCGAGCACCAGCCCGAGCCGCGGCGCCCUUCCAGGCCUCGAAGCGGCCGACUGCAACCUCUAGCUAAUCGACGGUCUGGCCGGGGGUGCGCGGAAUUCGAGCUCUUGGCUAGAGGGCGGCCAACACUUGAGACCCUGCCCGUUGUCGAGGCUCCGGGGCGUGUUGGGCGCAAUGUCCACGCCUGCCGCCCUUCGCACCAUGCGUCGCGCCUCGAUGGCCUGGCUGACGGUGACGGAGUAACCCGGGAAGUACUCUGCGCAGGAACAAGCUCAAGAAGAACUAGAAGACAGAAGCCAACUCCCGCAGCAGUCGGCGGCCGCUCAAGAAGAAUAAAUAAGUUACCGUCGAUCAUGUCCUCGAUCUCCUUGUAGCCGUCAGUCAAGAACUUCUCCUUCUCGGCCCAGUUCGAGCGUUGAGUCUCGAACUCGGCAUUGAGAAGGUCCUCGUGGUCCUUCAGCUUCUAGAGCUCCACCUUGUGCCGCUCCGCCUGGGCCGCCAGCUCCUUGGUCAGGCGCUCGCACUCCUGAGCCGCCUGGCUGCGCUCCAGCUCCUUGGCACGAAGCUCGGUUUUGGCCUCGCCCAAGCGUUGCUGCAGUGCCGCGGCCGCUUCUACAAAGAUAAGAAAAAGAAGACAUCAACAUCAACAAGAAAGUAGUUGCUGGAAGAUCCAGCCCGACUGCUCAGAAGUCAGCCCGAAUCUCGGGGGCUACACCCAGCGGGUGCGCUGGCGCUCCCCCGUGAGAAGAAAGAAAGAUUGCUCAAUUAGCUCUCGUUCAAGUCGCUGGUCCGCUUGGCCAGCUCCUGGACAUGGGAGUUGUAGGCGGCCGCGCGGAGGUUGUGGUAGUCCUGCAUGAAGGACAAUGGAAGAAAGGAAAACAAGUUAGCACUCGGAACUUACCUUAAAAGUUCCGAGCUGCAUGCUCAGCAACCGGCCUAGAACUCGAGGGAUACACCCAGUGGGUGCGCUGGCGCAUCCCCAUAGAAGAUUGCAAGAAUUCAAAAGACGAAAAUCAAGUGCGUACCUGGACGACCGAUCGCGUUGUCAGGAACUCCUGCACGCAUCGCUGGAGGGCAGCACCUUGUACACAAAGCUGGGCCUGGACGUCCUGCACAGCCAUGUUCAGGACGCCGCCGCCACCCCCAGACGCACAGUCCGCUGAGAUAGCGCUGGUGCCCUCGGCGUCGGGCACCACCGAGCUGGUGGCCCCGGCCUCCAUCAGCCUUGGCACCGAGCUCGCCUUCGCCGGGCGCUUGCGUGCGGGAACGCGGACCAUGGGAAUAGGACCGAGCGCCAACCCGCCGUCAGAUGGCGCCACCUGCAGCCCCUCAGGCUGGCUGCCCUGCGCGUCGGUAGUCGGCACGGACAGAACCACCUACUCCCCUCUCCAAGGCCGGCUGGUUGAUGCCGGCCCCGCCAGUCGACUCCUGGACCUCCGGCGCAGGCGGCUCCGGGUUCUGUGAGUCAGGGGGCACAAAGGAUUGACCACGGGACGCCUCCGCCUCCUGCGCCUUGGUGGCCGCGUCCGCUGGCUUCUUGCUCACCGCUUCGGCCUGCGCCUUGGCCGCAGCGUCGACCUCCGCCUACGUCGGCUUGGCCGCCUCCUCCCGGGCCGCGGUGUUCCGCUCCUCGCACAUCUCCCGCGCGUUCCUCUCCAUGGCCUCUUGGAGGGCGGCGAGCAGGUCCACGUGGCGGGGGCCUGUAGAGCUGUCGGCCGUCCCCACCACCGAAACGGUCGGGGCCCGCGAGAGGGAAAUCCGAGACCUGCUCAAGGGAGCAAGAAAGACCAUUGAAGAAAUAGCAAGAAAAAGCAAACAAGAAGCAACGAUAGGAAAAUCAAAAACACUUACCCAGACACCACCGGGCAUGGCUUCAAGGUCCUCUGGAACUGGGCCACCCUCGCGGCGGCCUCAUGCUGCUUGGUCAUGGCGGUCGAGGUCUUCGGCUUCUUGGGCCGGCUACCGUACAGCCCGACCUCAGCCCGGCGUUUCGGCACGCCGGCUGCUGCAGUCGGCGCGGCCGAAGAGCUGGCGCCCGCCUUGUCGGUGCGGUGGUUGCGGCACAGCUCGUCGCCCUCCUCCUCGUCGUUCGGCCACUACCCAAGGCCGCCUCCAGAGAAGCCGCCUACUCCUCAUUCGCCACCUCUUGUGCCGUCGUCCUCCUCCAGGGCGGCCGCCCCCAAGUCGGGGUCGUCCUUGUCACUUUCCGACCGGUCCACAGGAACUGUUUGCCUGGGGCCGGUGCGCUGGUGGCCGUCUGGCCCGGGAGGGACUGCACCAUGCCCGACUGUUCAGGCGGCCAGAAGAACCCGGAAUAACAAAGAAACAGGGAAUUGAAAGACUUACCGAAGGCGGCGGGUGAGCCCGGCUAUACGGUGGCUUGCCGAACUGCCACUCCGACCCCGAGAGCUUGCAGUCGGAGAUGUGGUUCACCAGCCGGACUAUCUCCUCGACCAACAUCUCCUUGGUGGACAUCUGGGAUGGAUCCCGAUGCCCACUCAUGUUGGAAAUAUGCCCUAGAGGCAAUAAUAAAAUGGUUAUUAUUAUAUUUCCUUGUUCAUGAUAAUUAUCUAUUGUUCAUGCUAUAAUUGUGUUAUCCGGAAAUCGUAAUACAUGUGUGAAUACAUAGACCACAACAUGUCCCUAGUGAGCAUCUAGUUGACUAGCUCGUUUAUCAAUGGAUGGUUACGAUUUCCUGACCAUGGACAUUGGAUGUCAUCGAUAACGGGAUCUCAUCAUUGGGAGAAUGAUGUGAUGGACAAGACCCAAUCCUAAGCAUAGCACAAGAUUGUGUAGUUCAUUUGCUAGAGCUUUUCUAAUGUCAAGUAUCAUUUCCUUAGACCAUGAGAUCGUGUAACUUCUGGAUACCGUAAGAGUGCUUUGGGUGUACCAAACGUCAUAGCGUAACUGGGUGGCUAUAAAGGUAUACUACAGGUAUCUCUGAAAGUGUCUGUUGGGUUGACUCGAAUCGAGACUGGGAUUUGUCACUCCGUAUGACGGAGAGGUUUCUCUGGGCCCACUCGGCAAUGCAUCAUCAUAAUGAGCUCAAUGUGACCAAGUGGUUGGUCACGGGAUCAUGCAUUAUGGUACGAGUAAAGUGACUUGCCGGUAACGAGAUUGAACGAGGUAUUGGGAUACCGACGAUCGAAUCUCGGACAAGUAACGUACCGAUUGACAAAGGGAAUUGUAUACGAGAUUAAUUGAAUCCUCGACAUCGUGGUUCAUUCGAUGAGAUCAUCGUGGAACAUGUGGGAACCAACAUGGGUAUCUAGAUUCCGUUGUUGGUUAUUGGCCGGAGAGCUGUCUCGGUCAUGUCUGCGUGAUUCCCGAACUCGUAGGGUCUACACACUUAAGGUUCGGUGACGCUAGGGUUGUAGAGAUGUUAGUAUGCGGUAACCCGAAAGUAGUUCGGAGUCCCGGAUGAGAUCCCAGACGUCACGAGGAGUUCCGGAAUGGUUCGGAGGUGAAUAUUUGUAUAUAGGAAGUCCAGUUUCGGCCACCGGGAAAGUUUCGGGGGUCACCAGUAUUGUACCGGGACCACCGGAAGGGUCCCAGGGAUCCACUGGGCGGGGCCACCUAUCCCGGAGGGCCCCAUGGGCUGGAGUGGGAAGGGAACCAGCCCCUGGUGGGCUGGUGUGCCCCCCUUGGGCCUCCCCCUGCGCCUAGGGUUGGAAACCCUGGGAGUGGGGGGGCGUCCCACCUGACUUNNNNNNNNNNNNNNNNNNNNNNNNNNNNNNNNNNNNNNNNNNNNNNNNNNNNNNNNNNNNNNNNNNNNNNNNNNNNNNNNNNNNNNNNNNNNNNNNNNNNNNNNNNNNNNNNNNNNNNNNNNNNNNNNNNNNNNNNNNNNNNNNNNNNNNNNNNNNNNNNNNNNNNNNNNNNNNNNNNNNNNNNNNNNNNNNNNNNNNNNNNNNNNNNNNNNNNNNNNNNNNNNNNNNNNNNNNNNNNNNNNNNNNNNNNNNNNNNNNNNNNNNNNNNNNNNNNNNNNNNNNNNNNNNNNNNNNNNNNNNNNNNNNNNNNNNNNNNNNNNNNNNNNNNNNNNNNNNNNNNNNNNNNNNNNNNNNNNNNNNNNNNNNNNNNNNNNNNNNNNNNNNNNNNNNNNNNNNNNNUCCCUCUCCCCUCGUAACACCUCUCCCUCUCGCUGAGGUUGGCGAAGCCCUGCCGAGAUCACCGUUGCUUCCACCACCACGCCGUCGUGCUGCUGGAUCUCCAUCAACCUCUCCUUCCCCUUGCUGGAUCAAGAAGGAGGAGACGUCUUCCACAACCGUAUGUGUGUUGAACGCGGAGGUGCCGUCCGUUCGGCGCUAGGAUCAUCGGUGAUUUGGAUCACGACGAGUACGACUCCAUCAACCCCGUUCUCUUGAACGCUUCCGCUCGCGAUCUACAAGGGUAUGUAGAUGCACUCCUCUCUCUCGUUGCUAGAUGACUCCAUAGAUUGAUCUUGGUGAUGCGUAGAAAAUUUUUAUUUUCUGCUACGUUCCCCAACAGUGGCAUCAUGAGCUAGGUCUAUGCGUAGUUUCUAUGCACGAGUAGAACACAAGAUUGUUGUGGGCGUUGGUUUUGUCAAUUUUCCUGCCACUACUAGUCUUAUCUUGUUUCGGCGGCAUCAUGGGAUGAAGCGGCCCGGACCGACCUUACACGUACGCUUACAUGAGACAGGUUCCACCGACUGACAUGCACUAGUUGCAUAAGGUGGCUAGCGGGUGUCUGUCUCUCCCACUUUAGUCGGAUCGGAUUCGAUGAAAAGGGUCCUUAUGAAGGGUAAAUAGAAAUUGGCAUAUCACGUUGUGGUUUUGGCGUAGGUAAGAAACAUUCUUGCUAGAAACCUAUAGCAGCCACGUAAAAACAUGCAACAACAAUUAGAGGACGUCUAACUUGUUUUUGCAGCAUAUGCCUUGUGAUGUGAUAUGGCCAAAAGGAUGUGAUGAAUGAAAUAUAUGUGAUGUAUGAGAUUGAUCAUGUUCUUGUAAUAGGAAUCACGACUUGCAUGUCGAUGAGAAUGACAACCGGUAGGAGCCAUAGGAGUUGUAUUUAUUUUAUGUAUGACCUGCGUGUCAUUGAAUAACGCCAUGUAAUUACUUUACUUUAUUGCUAAACACGUUAGCCAUAGAAGUAGAAGUAAUCGUUGGCGUGACAACUUCAUGAAGACACGAUGAUGGAGAUCAUGAUGAUGGAGCUCAUGGUGUCAUGCUGGUGAUGAUGAUGAUCAUGGCGCCACGAAGAUGGAGAUCAAAAGGAGCAAAAUGAUAUUGGCCAUAUCAUGUCACUAUUUGAUUGCAUGUGAUGUUUAUCAUGUUUUGCUUCUUAUUUGCUUAGUACGACGGUAGUAAAUAAGAUGAUCCCUCAUAAUAAUUUCAAGAAAGUGUUCCCCCUAACUGUGCGCUGUUGCGAAAGUUCGUUGUCUCGAAGCACCACGUGAUGAUCGGGUGUGAUAGAUUCUAACGUUCACAUACAACGGGUGUAAGCCAGAUUUACACAUGCAAAACACUUAGGUUGGCUUGACGAGCCUAGCAUGUACAGACAUGGCCUCGGAACACAAGAGACCAAAAGGUCGAACAUGAGUCAUAUAGAAGAUACGAUCAACAUGAAGAUGUUCACCGAUGAUGACUAGUCUGUCUCACGUGAUGAUCGGACACGGCCUAGUUGACUCGGAUCAUGGAUCACUUAGAUGACUAGAGGGAUGUCUAUCUGAGUGGGAGUUCAUUAUAUAAUUUGAUUGGAUGAACUUAAUUAUCAUGAACUUAGUCUAAAAUCUUUGCAAUAUGUCUUGUAGAUCAAAUGGCCCAUGCUAAUGUUGCCCUCAACUUCAAUGCGUUCCUAGAGAAAACCAAGCUGAAAGACGAUGGUAGCAACUAUAUGGACUGGGUCCGGAACUUGAGGAUCAUCCUCAUAGCUGCCAAGAAAGCAUAUGUCCUAGAUGCACCGCUAGGUGAAGCACCCGUUUUCCCAGCAACUCAAGACGUUAUGAACGCCUGGCAGUCGCGUAGUGAUGAUUACUCCCUGGUUCAGUGCGGCAUGCUUUACAGCUUAGAACCGGGGCUCCAAAAGCAUUUUGAGCAGAACAGAGCAUAUGAGAUGUUCCAAGAGCUGAAAAUGGUUUUCCAAGCGCACGCCCGGGUCGAGAGGUAUGAAGUCUCUGACAAGUUCUACAGUUGUAAGAUGGAGGAGAAUGGUUCUGUCAGCGAGCACAUACUCAAAAUAUCUGGGUUGCACAACCGCUUAUCUCAACUGGGAGUUAAUCUCCCGGAUGAUGCGGUGGUCGACAGAAUCCUCCAGUCGCUCCCACCUAGCUACAAGAGCUUUGUGAUGAACUUCAAUAUGGAGGGGAUGGUGAAAACCAUUCCUGAGGUAUAUUCAAUGCUGAAAUCAGCGGAGGUGGAGAUGAAAAAGGAACAUCAAGUGUUGAUGGUCAAUAAAACCACUAGUUUCAAGAAAGGCAAGGGUAAGAAGAACUUCAAGACGGACGGCAAGGGAGUUGCCGCGCCCGGUAAGCUAGUUGCCGGGAAGAAUCCAAAGCAUGGACCCAAACAUGAGACUGAGUGCUUUUAUUGCAAGGGAAGCGGACACUGGAAGCAGAACUGCCCCAAGUACUUAGUGGACAAGAAGGCCGGCAACACCAAAGGUAUAUGUGAUAUACAUGUAAUUGAUGUGUACCUUACCAGUACUCGUAGUAGCUCCUGGGUAUUUGAUACCGGUGCGGUUGCUCAUAUUUGUAACUCAAAACAGGAGCUGAGGAAUAAGCGGAGACUGGCGAAGGAUGAGGUGACAAUGCGCAUCGGGAAUGGUUCCAAGGUCGAUGUGAUCACCGUCGGCACGCUACCUCUACAUUUACCUACGGGAUUAGUUUUAAACCUCAAUAAUUGUUAUUUAGUGCCAGCUUUGAGCAUGAACAUUGUAUCUGGAUCUCAUUUAAUACGAGAUGGCUACUCAUUUAAAUCCGAGAAUAAUGGUUGUUCUAUUUAUAUGAGAGAUAUGUUUUAUGGUCAUGCCCCGCUGGUCAAUGGUUUAUUCUUAAUGAAUCUCGAACGUGAUGUUACACAUAUUCAUAGUGUGAAUACCAAAAGAUAUAAGGUUGAUAACGAUAGUCCCACAUGCUUGUGGCACUGCCGCCUUGGUCACAUUGGUGUCAAACGCAUGAAGAAGCACCAUGCUGAUGGACUUUUGGAGUCUCUUGAUUAUGAAUCAUUUGACACAUGCGAACCAUGCCUCAUGGUCAAAAUGACCAAGACUCCGUUCUCCGGAAGAAUGGAGCGGACAACCAACUUAUUGGAAAUCAUACAUACUGAUGUGUGCGGUCCAAUGAGCGUUGAGGCUCGCGGAGGCUAUCGUUAUGUUCUCACUCUCACUGACGACUUGAGUAGAUAUGGGUAUGGCUACUUGAUGAAACACAAGUCUGAGACCUUUGAAAAGUUCAAGGAAUUUCAGAGUGAGGUAGAGAAUCAACGUGACCGAAAGAUAAAGUUCUUACGAUCAGAUCGUAGGGGAGAAUAUUUAAGUCACGAAUUUGGUACGCACUUAAGGAAACGUGGAAUAGUUUCACAACUCACGCCGCCUGGAACACCUCAACGUAACGGUGUGUCCAAAUGUCGUAAUCGCACUCUAUUGGAUAUGGUGCGAUCUAUGAUGUCACUCACCGAUUUACAGCUAUCAUUUUGGGGAUACGCUCUAGAGACAGCUACAUUCACUUUAAAUAGGCACCAUCUAAAUCCAUUGAGACGACACCGUAUGAAUUAUGGUUUGGGAAGAAACCUAAGUUGUCGUUUCUAAAAGUUUGGGGAUGCGAUGCUUAUGUCAAGAAACUUCAACCUGAAAAGCUCGAACCCAAGUCGGAAAAAUGCGUCUUCAUAGGAUACCCUAAGGAAACCAUUGGGUGUACCUUCUACCUCAGAUCCGAAGGCAAGAUCUUUGUUGCCAAGAAAGGGUCCUUUCUGGAGAAAGAGUUUCUCUCGAGAGAAGUAAGUGGGAGGAAAGUAGAACUCGAUGAAGUACUACCUCUUGAACCGGAAAGUAGCGCAGCUCGGGAAGAUGUUCCUGUGGUGCCUGCACCGACUAGAGAGGAAGUUAAUGAUGAUGAUCAAGGUACUUUGGAUCAAGUUUCUACUGAACUUUGAAGGUCCACAAGGACACGUUCCACACCAGAAUGGUAUGGCAACCCUAUCCUGGAAAUCAUGUUGUUAGACAACGGUGAACCUUCGAACCAUGAAGAAGCGAUGGCGGGCCCAGAUUCCAACAAAUGGCUUGAAGCCAUGCAAUCCGAGAUAGGAUCCAUGUAUGAAAACAAAGUAUGGACUUUGACAGACUUGCCCGAUGAUCGGCGAGCGAUAGAAAAUAAAUGGAUCUUUAAGAAGAAGACGGACGUGGAUGGUAAUGUUACCAUCUAUAAGGCUCGACUUGUCUCUAAUGGAUAUCGACAAGUUCAAGGGGUUGACUACGAUGAGACCUUCUCACCCGUAGUGAAGCUGAAGUCCGUUCAAAUCAUGUUAGCAAUUGUCGCAUACUAUGAUUAUGAGAUAUGGCAAAUGGACGUCAAAACGGCAUUCCUUAACGGCUUUCUUAAGGAAGAAUUGUAUAUGACGCAGCCAAAAGGUUUUGUCGAUCCUAAGAAUGCUAACAAGGUAUGCAAGCUCCAGCGCUCCAUCUAUGGGUUGGUGCAAGCAUCUCGGAGUUGGAACAUUCGCCUUAAUGAACUGAUCAAAGCGUUUGGGUUUAUGCAAACUUAUGGAGAAGCCUGCGUUUACAAGAAAGUGAGUGGGAGCUCUGUAACAUUUCUCAUACUAUAUGUAGAGGAGAUACUUUUGAUGGGAAAUGAUAUAGAACUUUUGGACAGCAUUAAGGCCUACUUGAAUAAGUGUUUUUCAAUGAAGGACCUUGGAGAAGCUGCUUACAUAUUAGGCAUCAAGAUCUAUAGAGAUAGAUCGAGACGCCUCAUAGGUCUUUCACAAAACACAUACCUUGAUAAUAUAUUGAAGAAGUUCAAUAUGGAUCAGUCCAAGAAGGGAUUCUUGCCUGUGUUGCAAGGUGUGAAAUUGAGCUCGGCUCAAUGUCCGACCACGGCAGAAGAUAGAGAAAAGAUGAGUGUCGUCCCCUAUGCCUCGGCCAUAGGGUCUAUCAUGUAUGCCAUGCUGUGUACUAGACCUGAUGUAAACCUUGCCGUAAGUUUGGUAGGAAGGUACCAAAGUAAUCCCGGCAUGGAACACUGGACAGCGGUCAAGAAUAUCCUGAAGUACCUGAAAAGGACUAAGGAUAUGUUUCUCGUAUAUGGAGGUGACGAAGAGCUCGUCGUAAAGGGUUAUGUCGACGCUAGCUUCGACACAGAUCUGGAUGACUCUAAGUCACAAACCGGAUACGUGCAUAUUUUGAAUUGUGGGGCAGUAAGCUGGUGCAGUUGCAAGCAAAGCAUCAUGGCGGGAUCUAAAUGUGAAGAGGAGUACAUGGCAGCCUCGGAGGCAGCACAUGAAGCAAUCUGGAUGAAGGAGUUCAUCACCGACCUAGGAGUUAUUCCCAAUGCGUCGGGGCUGAUGACUCUCUUCUAUGACAACACUGGAGCCAUUGCCCUUGCCAAGGAGCCCAGGUUUCACAAGAAGACCAGACACAUCAAGCGUCGCUUCAACUCCAUUCGUGAAAAUGUUCAAGAUGGAGACAUAGAUAUUUGUAAAGUGCACACAGAUCUGAAUGUCGCAGAUCCGUUGACUAAACCUCUUCCGCGAGCAAAACAUGAUCAACACCAGAACUCUAUGGGUGUUCGAUUCAUCACAAUGUAAUUAGAUUAUUGACUCUAGUGCAAGUGGGAGACUGUUGGAAAUAUGCCCUAGAGGCAAUAAUAAAAUGGUUAUUAUUAUAUUUCCUUGUUCAUGAUAAUUGUCUAUUGUUCAUGCUAUAAUUGUGUUAUCUGGAAAUCAUAAUACAUGUGUGAAUACAUAGACCACAACAUGUCCCUAGUGAGCCUCUAGUUGACUAGCUCAUUUAUCAAUGGAUGGUUAUGGUUUCCUGACCAUGGACAUUGGAUGCCAUUGAUAACGGGAUCUCAUCAUUGGGAGAAUGUUGUGAUGGACAAGACCCAAUCCUAAGCAUAGCACAAGAUCGUGUAGUUCGUUUGCUAGAUCUUUUCUAAUGUCAAGUAUCAUUUCCUUAGACCAUGAGAUCAUGUAACUCCCGGAUACCGUAAGAGUGCUUUGGGUGUACCAAACGUCACAAUGUAACUGGGUGGCUAUAAAGGUAUACUACAGGUAUCUCCAAAAGUGUCUGUUGGGUUGACUCGAAUCGAGACUGGGAUUUGUCACUCCAUACGACGGAGAGGUAUCUCUGGGCCCACUCAGUAAUGCAUCAUCAUAAUGAGCUCAAUGUGACCAAGUGGUUGGUCACAGGAUCAUGCAUUACGGUACGAGUAAAGUGACUUGCCGGUAACGAGAUUGAACGAGGUAUUGGGAUACCGACGAUCGAAUCUUGGGCAAGUAACGUACCGAUUGACAAAGGGAAUUGUAUACAGGAUUACUUGAAUCCUCGACAUCGUGGUUCAUUCGAUGAGAUCAUCAUCGAACAUGUGGGAACCAACAUGGGUAUCCAGAUUCCGCUAUUGGUUAUUGGCCGGAGAGCUGUCUCGGUCAUGUCUGCGUGAUUCCCGAACCCGUAGGGUCUACACACUUAAGGUUCGGUGAUGCUAGGGUUGUAGAGAUGUUAGUAUGCGGUAACCCGAAAGUUAUUCUGAGUCUCGGAUGAGAUCCUAGACAUCACGAGGAGUUCCGGAAUGGUCCGGAGGUGAAGAUUUGUAUAUAGGAAGUCCAGUUUUGGCCACCGGGAAAGUUUUGGGGGUCACCGGUAUUGUACCGGGACCACCGGAAGGGUCCUGGGGGUCCACCGGGUGGGGCCACCUAUCCCGGAGGGCCCCAUGGGCUGAAGUGGGAAGGGAACCAGCCCCUGGUGGGCUGGUGCGCCCCCCUUGGGACUCCCCUUGCGGCUAGGGUUGAAAACCCUGGGGGUGGGGGGCGCCCCANNNNNNNNNNNNNNNNNNNNNNNNNNNNNNNNNNNNNNNNNNNNNNNNNNNNNNNNNNNNNNNNNNNNNNNNNNNNNNNNNNNNNNNNNNNNNNNNNNNNNNNNNNNNNNNNNNNNNNNNNNNNNNNNNNNNNNNNNNNNNNNNNNNNNNNNNNNNNNNNNNNNNNNNNNNNNNNNNNNNNNNNNNNNNNNNNNNNNNNNNNNNNNNNNNNNNNNNNNNNNNNNNNNNNNNNNNNNNNNNNNNNNNNNNNNNNNNNNNNNNNNNNNNNNNNNNNNNNNNNNNNNNNNNNNNNNNNNNNNNNNNNNNNNUAAAGAGGGCGGAGGGAGGGUUGCGCACCCUAGCCCCUGGCGCCUCCCUCUCCCCUCGUAACACCUCUCCCUCUCGCUGAGCUUGGCGAAGCCCUGCCGAGAUCAUCGCUGCUUCCACCACCACGCCGUCGUGCUGGUGGAUCUCCAUCAACCUCUCCUUCCCCUUGCUGGAUCAAUAAGUAGGAGACGUCUUCCCCAACCGUACGUGUGUUGAACGCGGAGGUGCCGUCCGUUCGGCGCUAGUAUCAUCGGUGAUUUGGAUCACGAUGAGUACGACUCCAUCAACCCCGUUCUCUUGAACGCUUCCGCUCGCGAUCUACAAGGGUAUGUAGAUGCACUCCUCUCUCUCGUUGCUAGAUGACUCCAUAGAUUGAUCUUCGUGAUGCGUAGAAAAAAUUUAUUUUCUUCUACGUUCCCCAACAACUCAUACUGCUGAUGAUGUGGGGUCGGGCUUGAAGAGGCAGCACCCGGCGCUCCACAAAGGUGGCCAGCAAGUCGGAGGCCUUGAGGCCCUCCGAGUCCAGCAUCACCUGGAGCCUGGUGAGGGCGGUGGCGGAGGCGGCCGACAGGGUCUUCGCCCAGAAGCUCCAGUUGGUGCGGAGUAGGGCAGGCGUGCUGGCUACGUAAGUCGGCAGGUUGACGUAGUUCCGCGUCGAGUGGAUGUUCUCGACGCAGAAGUAGGACCUUUGCCAUAGUUUGGCCAACUGUAGUAGGGUGAGGGCCGAGAAGUGGGUCCCAGCACCAGAGCGCCGAAUCGCGCCGCAGGCUCCGCACUGCGCCGCCUGGUUCUUGACGGUGAUGCCGAUCUUGAGUUAGAAGAGCAAACCCCACCGCUCGAGUGCGGGGAGAGUGCCGAGGUAACCCUCGCAGAGGGUGACGAAGGCGUAGAGCAGCACCACCGUAUUCGGCAUGAGGUGGUGGGGCUGCACUCCGUAGAAGUCCAGAAACGAGCGGAGGAACCCGCUCGCCGGAAAGCCAAAACCACGGAGGAAAUGCGACCGAAAGACGACGCGCUCGUUGCCCUCCGGCGCCGGCGUGAUUUCCCUCGCGGGGGUGAUGCGCACCUUGACGUUGGAAGGAUGGGGGAGCCGUCGCGUCUAGCGAAGGAACUGGAGGUGGUAUUCAUGGACAAUGGAACCAUCCCAGUCGCCUGCGUGGCCACUGUGCGCCAUGGGCUCUGAGCUCAGCAGAGGAGUGGAGCGGCUGUGACGUGGAGAAGCUCGGUGACCGCGAGCCACGGCGGCACUCCGGCGAAGAGGAGGAGAUGUAGCGAUAGCAAGAGGGAGAGAGGCGAGGUGAAGGGAGAGGAGGGCACGUGUGCGUUCUGCCGCCCCCUCCUCCCCCUACUUAUAGCCCCCAGCGGCGAAGUCGAGGGGGCGGGACAUGGGGGAGCGCGGGAUUAACUGCGCCCACUCCCCCCACGACCCCGCAUCUUCCGCGCCUUUAAGGCGUGUAUUAACCCCGCCUGGGAAGCGUAACCGUCUGCCUCGGCCGCAGCGGAUCCGCGCGCGUGCUGAGGCCCUGUAGUGGCGGGACCGGGCCUGCGGCGACGUCCCGUUGCACGCGUGGGCUGGCAGACCGACCUGGCCGGCUGGCACCGCGUGGUGGGCAGGCAGUGGGCGGCGAGCCUGUCGCCCGCCUGGCACGCCACCUGGCCCCCACCACGACUGUUCAAAUUCCGCCAGGCGGCCACGGCUAUGUUCGGCUCCUAGCAUCUGACUCCUCCCAGUUGGAAGGAGCAAAAGGCGGAAGGCCACUUAAGAGGGAAACUGCUGAGGCUCUCCGGCUGCCCAAAGCCGUAGAACUUCACCAACUUUGGGGACUACUAACGGGGGGAUAAACCCUGGGUAGCCUCAUCCACACCCCAGCAGAUUUCAAGACAACGAGGCUAGCCUAGCCCCUCGGUCCGACUGGUCGCAAGGCCGGCCCACGCGGCCGGCUGGUGCUAACGGGCUGCCUCCUAGAAGGUGGCUCACCCCAGAAGGCGGCAAGGGCAUGGGCCGACUCCUGCCAGGUGGCCCAUCGCCUCCUCGACAAGACAUGUCAUGGCAAUAAUAUCACCUGCCACCCCUGAAUCCCGGAUGAAACGUGGCCACAGUGCGGACGUACCAGGCGGACACACCUCGCCUGGCACAACAUUGUAGCCAUGUGGCCCAUGACGAUGCCUACGUCGGGCAGGGCCAUGCCCCCACGAUGGACGGUCGGUAUGGCCCGUAGGCGGCAGGCCCCACCUCCCCGCGUAUCCCCAGAAGGCGGCAAGGCCUGAGCAGGCGGCCUCAAGGGGAGGCCGAUUCCUAGCAAGUGGCCGCCCCUCCCCUUGGAGUCUGUGCACCAUUAACCAGAAGUGACGUGGUGUGGCUACAGUGAUCGCCCGCCAGGCUGCGGCACUGUAGCCGUGCGCCCCCCGACCAAGCUACCGUCAUCAGAGGCCAGGCUACAGUGCGGCCUGGUCCACCUGGCCCACAGGCGGUGGGCCCUACCUGUCAGCUGAAUCCAUGGUAGUCGGCAGGGCCCACCAGGCGGUAGGCCCAGGCUGUCGGCACAGAAGUCGGAGCAUAGAGACACUGAUGGCCGGGUCCUAUGACCAGCCAGAUUACCAUUGUACCCCUGGAGGGUAGGCCUAUAUAAACCCCCCAGGGUCACCCAUGCAAAGGGUUCAGCCCUUAGAUCAUCUUACACCCACAUAGCUAGGGAGAAGUAGAUCUAGUUUGUCUUCUUCUUCCUCUAGCCCGAACAGCUCAGGGAGCAACCUUGUAGCCCACUGUUGAUCAUAGUGAUGCGGAGACCCCGCAGAGCAGGAUUAGGGGUGUUAUCUCCACGGAGAGCCCCGAACCUAGGUAAGAUUGGGCGUCGUUUUUGCCUACUCCCGCUUCUAGAUCCCGGCAACGUUUUAUUGACCCCCUAUAUGAUUAGCCACCCGUUGGCAUAUGUCGAGGAAAUACCACGACACAUACGUCAGGGAAGAUUUAGACUAAGUUAACUUUCACACACUUUUGUUUAAUGAAAUAUAUUAAAAAUAUAAUAAAUGUGUUCUGGUUUAAAAGAAAAGUAAUCCAAUUGGCAUUAAAAUCAUCCUUGAUUCAAUUCAUGUUUAAAAUGUAUUUUAACAUGGGAGACAUACAAUUGGAUGACCGGCUUCUAAUUACUACUAGUAUGGGAUUCUAAAAGAAUUAUUACUAAUAUGUGCGGUCUUGAUGGAUAACGUGUCUGUUUUAGAGCAUCUACAACCGUAUAUGACAAAUAUGACCCUCAGGCGUCUGCGGACGCACGUCCGCGGGCACUGACCGGUCAGUCAUCAAAUUUGCUAGACUGCAUCCAGACACCUUAUACAAAAAUUCUUAAAUCCAUACAAAAGCAUGCAAAGAAAAAACAUAUGUAUUACAUAGAUCAACUAGCCUAGUCCUCGUCGAAAAUGUUGACUAUCUCCGUGCCCGGCUCCUGGUACAUGGACGGCAGCUCUCACUCCGGCUUCUCCGGCUACUCCGCUUCGGCCUCCUCCUCUAUCUCUGCAUCGAGUUUGGUGAAGAGUGCGUCGGUCACCGUCCGCUCUUGCCAGAGAAACUGUUGGUUGGCCUAGACACAGGCCUCAUCCUGGAUGGACUCCAGGAUGGCCUACUGCUCCGCCAUCUCCGCGGCUUGGGUGACGGUGAACCCCGCCUCCGCAUCCUCUAUGUUGAAGCCCGGAGCAGGUUGCUCCGCCUCGUUCUCCUCCGAAUCUGCCACCGGCUCCGGCGAGUCCGGAGGCAGCCCGGCAGCGAUGCGGGCGGCGCGCCUCGCUCGGAUCUUCUCCAUGAUCCGAUACUGGCGCUCUGGCAUGAGCAUAGCUUAGGUGGUGAUUUUCUGCCGGACCAUGGCGAUGCCAGAGAGCGUUGGGAGAGCAGGACAGAGGAGGUGGAUGGGCUCGGGUUGCGGCGCAAAGAGGAAGGAGGUGGAUGGGCUAGGGUUGGUGGACGCCGCCGGCUUAAAUAGCCGGAUUUGGCCUCGGGCGGCGAGCCGGAGUGGCGCCACGUGAUGUUCACAUCGGACUGCCGAGUUUUCGCGAAUUCCGCGUGGGACCCCAACGUCACUUGUACGUGACAGACGCGCUUGGGUGGCAUCAUAUUCGCCCCAUAUUUAAGCUAAAUAUUAAGUGUGCCGGUCAGCCCGGAUAUUUAAGCCCCGUUUUAGAUGUCCGGCUGGAUCAUAUUUUUAUGACCGGUGAGUGAUCGGAUAGGUCAUGUGAACGUUUGAGACCGGUUUGGGACAUCGAAGUGUAGAUGCUCUUAUUGGUCCGUGGAGAUGCCCUCGUCCCGGGUGUGAAUGUGGGCUGCAAACCACGGCGCCGGUGCGGCAGAGUGGGAAAAGGUGGGGAAAUGAGCGUGGAGGGCCCUCCAACUUGUGAAACGCGGUCAAGACGGUCGGGACUCGCCUACUUUUCUCUGUACGGCCAUGACGGGUAAGCCAUGGGCUUAGCCUGUAGCCACAGAUCGGCACUGUUUCCGCAAUAGAUGAAAGCACUGUUCACCAAGUCAGUGUCAACCUGUGGCUGUUCAGCAGUCACUGUCAGUCUGUUGACGAGCAGCAACCUGUCUCUACGCUACGCUAUUAAACCGCGGUCCGCUCGGUCGCUCUCUAUCCUAUCUCCCGCACCAUCUUCCUCCUCCGAUUCAGAAGCAAAUCUAUGCGGGUCUGGAUGACGCCCGAACGUGAAGAGCUAGCUAGCUAGCGACGAAGGGCACGCACGCAUGCACGACCGGCGCAGCUUGGCACCUAAGUUGCGCGGCGCGCGAGCCCGACGAGCAAGAAAAAGGCAACGGCCGGCGUGUUUCAGGCUUCCGGCGUAUUUUAGCUUUUCAUUUCGUUCUGCUGGAAGAUAUCUGUUGGACGAUGCAGAUUGGAAUUCGCUCUCCUUACUUUUCUUGUUCUUGUCAGUGACGGACCAGGGACCGAGGUUUGCCGGGAUAACCGGCGACGAGAAAGCACGGUUGCGCUGCUUCCACUGGCCACUACGCAGGAGAGGUAGCCUGCAUCCUCUCGCCGGAGACCCGGGCCUGCCGCUCAUGCUUACCGGCCCAGUGGUGGAUCCAUCACUGGUUCUUGUUUGUACGUAUUUUGUACUGAAUCAGUAUCGAUGGGAAUACCAUUAUUCCAGCUGCAUAUACUGCAUGUUGAACUGGUUCUCCUAUUUGCCAUGUAUACCAGAUGCCAGGCUUGAGCCAUGCAAGAUCCAGCAAGCGCUACUCAGAUGUUCACCCGAAGCUAGCUAGCCCCCUUGAUGUUGAGGUAACGUCGUCAGUAAGUUAUUACUAGCUAAUACAGACUAUAUAGCUGUACAUCAUCAUGUCAAGUGGGAGCAUGUUAAAAUUUACCUUAGAUCUUUUAUAAGUCAGGCCUACGGAUAGUCAGGUCUUGGGUUUUUUUUAGGAAAAAUACAAACGCAGACGCUCAUACAUACGUACAUAUACCCACCCUAAUGAACGUAUACAUGCUUUGUACUUCCGAUGAACUUUGAUAAUAGAUUUGUAUCUUUUUCGCAAAAAAAAUGAACGUACAUACGCACACCCUAUCACUGUGAGCAUCUUCGAGAGACUGAGUCGUCACAGACGCUUUCAUAGUCAACGGAAACGUCUCCUCCCACUGAACGCACCCCCCGGAAGGCUUAAAAUAAAUCAGAAAAAUGCGAGCAUCAGUGUCAAGUCUAGGACGUGAACAUUGAUGAGCUGAGUAUAUCACUGCCCUCCGAACCAUCCAACCCCAAGUUGGUUCGCAGUCAGGUCUUUGGUUAAAAGACAUAUCUCUUGGUGAAACGAUGUCUAGGUUCACCCUUAGUGAAAUGAUGUUUUUUCGUAAAAGCACAUGUUAGAAAAGAAAAUGAAAAGAAGCACAAGAAUUGUUAGACUAACAGGUUACACAUUUUACUUUUUAACUUCCAAUAAGCGUCACCGUCGAAAUUGCCUUAAGUAAUCAAGAAAACUAAUGUAUCAAAAUUUAUAUCAAUCUAUAGAGAUACAAAAAUAAACUCAUUUAAAAAUUAAUUUAGUGAGUGAAAUUAAAAAUAAUACCUGCAACAAAGCUUUCAUUAGCCCUCAUAUUUCGGCACCCACUGCUACAUCACCAAUGCAACAUUCCUAUUAUUGGGUAUUGUAGUGCAAAGUUUUGGCUAGUGGGCUGCUGGUAAUUUGGAUAAGUCAAAAAUGCUAUAAGUUAAAAAAUCAGUUUUACAUGCAUGAUUAUAGAUAAUUUUUACAUAUCUAAAAAAUCAUUAAAUAAUAUGAUGGUUUGUUGACUAAGAAGACAAAACAAAACAAAAUAAUGGCCAAACUAACAAGGGAGGCCCAUUUUUAUAAAUUAUAUUCAUCGUAUAUUAAUAAUAUGUAUUACCGAAACUCGUAUGCACAUACUACAGACUUAUACGUAUAAAUACACAUUGUUUCAGAAUUCUUGGAGGUGCCAAAAUAAAGCACAAAAUAAUGACAUCAUCUAUUAUUCUGCUAAAGUUUCUGGUGCGGCAUAGAGACAUUUUUAUAUUGUCUUCAUCCAAACAAAAUGUAUUUCACGUUUAAGAUCUUAUGUAAUUUGCUCUCUUUAUUACUAGAGAUCCAGCCUGGCAUGAUGGCCUCGAUCCUUACAUAUAAAGUACAAGUACAAUAAUAGUAGUAAGGGGGUGUUUGGUUCAGGGACUUUUUAGUCCCAGAGACUAGAAAAAGUCCCUAAAAAGUCCCUAGGAACCAAACGGGAGGGACUUUUUCUACAUGGACUAAAAAAAGGCUCUACUAGAGAGUCUUUUUUGAUUAGUCCCUGGGACUACAAAAAGUCCUAGGACUUCUGAACCAAACACCCCCUAAAUUCGUUAAAUCACAUACUUUCAAUUGACAAACUACCAAGUAAAAACAUAUUUAUAAAUCUUUAUAAAAAAUAUCUUUUUUUGAUAAAAGAUUGACACCUUCCAUAUUAUUGGGUUAAUGCGGGGUAUCAGAGGACAAAAAUUAAUGGAGUUGAGCUGCUGCUGGGGUAGCAGCUUAGAGCAUCUACAACCGGGCCCUCAAACAUAACAAACAGUCCGAUCGCUGUCCAGACAGGAGAGAGAGAAAAAAAGGCACUCAACUGGACCCCCCACUUUGUCCUCAUAUAACCGGGCAAUCCAAAAAUCCCCAUAUCCACAUCAAAUAUAGAGAGGAUAGGGAUGUCCGGGCAGUCCUCAAUGUAGGAUGCGACCCACCCCGGAUCAUCUUUUCUCUUUCUCUCUUCAUCCUCAUCAAUCACAUUUUUUUUGACCGGACAAUAUGAUGAGGAUGUAGGCGACAUGGUUGCAUGCGUGCAUAAAAGGAGGAUAAAAACGGACAUGUCCGCAGACGUUGGGGAUCGAUAUUAGUCAAUCAUGGUUGUAGAUGCUCUUAACAGAAGCCCAAAAAGAUAGCAACAAGGUGAGGGCAUGUACAAUGGUGCUAUCUUAGGAGUGCCACGUAGGAUAGAUGGUGAGGUGGAGGAGAGAGAACUCAUAAGAAAAGGUUUGUCUUCUCUUAUUUAAGAGAAGACAAGAGGUGACCUCUUAGCACAAUAUGUCUCACCAUAUUUUUAGGAAUUGCUAGUUAUUUAAGAUAAGGCUAAGAGAUGAUCCAUUGUAGACAAAUUUUUAUGUCAUCUCUAAAUCACAUGCAAAACUUAAGAUAAGACUAUCUUAUCAACCAUUGUUCAUGCCCUGAUGCCUGUCGAAUUAGGUCCACCACUCGCAUUAUUAUGCCAACGUAGACACCAACACCUCGUUCCUCUCUUUGCUCAGCGGAAGUCGCUGUUCUAAAAGAAAAACAUUUUGUAAGGAGCACAGUAGUUAACUAAAUUUGGAAGUACGUACAUAGUUAUAGUUACCAGGUUUGUUUCUAAAGGUACGAAAGUCCAAGACUAUGGCGUGACUAAUCACAAAAUACGGUGGUUCCCGUUAGACUGCGGCUAAAACAACUUUGUGAAUUAAGCUCGUCUGACGUCCAAUCACAACCAUGAUUUCCCUAAGAUAAAUCCAAAUAUGAAACGCAGUAACACAAGUGAAUAUAAUGUGGCCAGCGUCCUUAACCGCCACGCUAUAGACAAAGCCUUUUCCCAAACCAUUUUCUGUUUUGAAGCCGCCACCUAACGAGGUACCAAAGAAAUUAAUCUUUAUUAUUUAUAGAAAAGGGGCUAAAUUCUGACUUUAGCGAAGGAAGCCCUUAGGUUUACAACAGAGGUUCAAAACAGAAACAAUACAUGUCUAGCACAAAGGCCGCGAAAACACAUAUGAUGCGAUACAAACCCUCAAAAGGGCCCUUGGCUCAACAGCCGCAACACAUACACACACCCAAACACCAAAGGAGCCGCGACGGUGAUGACCAUCAUUGUUCGGGGCGCUACUUCUUGAGUGCUGAAACGUGUAUGGUAAGUUGUCGAGAAAGAGCAUCAAGGGUCGACGGGUCCUUGGUCUUGCUGAGGUGCCUCCAGAACUGUAGAAAACAGUCAUUUUUAUACCAGUCAGCUGGAUGUUUAAUAAAAAUACCUUCAUUUGGGGCUUUAUUAGGAUCUGCCACAAUGCGCACGCAAGGGCAGUGAACCUAACCCAAUUGACUCGCCAGGUAUUGAGGGAUGUGAAAGUCAAUAGUCGUAGCAACCUUGUCCAUACUUAGCAAACUACAUGUUUUUUUUUUUGCGGGGGUAGCAAAGUGCAUUCUUGUUCAUACCUAGAGUGUAUUCUACCCUUAUUAUUGGCGUACUCCCUCCCUCCAAAUAUAUAGGGCAUAAUACCGUUUUUUAUGUUGCCUUUGACCACUUAUUAGAGCAAUAAUAUAUGAAGUGUAUGUCACAAAAAGUAUACCGUCAAAUUUGUACGUGAAAGAAGUUUAUAAUGAUACAAUUUUUAUAUCAUACAUCUCAUAUAUUAUAAUCUUAUCAAUGGUCAAAUGCAACAUCAGAAAACAUAUUAGACCCUAUAUAUUUGGUUGGAGGAACUAUCAUGAUUUAAAUUUUUCUAGGAUUCUCUUGGACUAAAAGUCAGUUGACUCAGUAUCUUUUCAUAUUUUUUGGAGAAUGGAACAAAUGUGUUCGAGGAAAUUUACUAACCAUGUUCGAUUAGCCUUGGGUGAAUGCAAAGCCACUUAUGCCGAUGAUGGCAACUAAUGGCCCGAUGGAGGAGCAUAGAACGACCCUUCCAAACGAGAAACGGCGCCUGUUGCCGUUUGAGGAGCGGGAUAGCCAGACGGCGGUGGAGACCUCUAUGGCCCCUGCAACGAAGAUGGCAGCAAGGGUGAGGUAGUAGGCGUUCUUGUUGCGGCCGAAGACCACUCCGCUAGCCGGCUUGUAGAGCACUGUUGUUGUGACCAAGCUCAGAGUAAGCAAGCCCACUACCCACAGUGCUAGGGCCAGGUUAUUUGCUGGAGGCACUCUAGUCGGCACGUUGGCAGGGUCAUCAACAAGCACUCCUCCAAAUUCUAGGUCUAGGUUGUUGUCGUCACGGGCCUGCACAAUGGAAUUAAGCAGUGUCACAUCGUAAGCACAGCAUAUGCGGAUGAAGAAAAUGACAACAUUGGUAAAAACAUGAAGCAGUGUUUCACGUUAUACUUUUCUUUUUCUUUUCCAUGAGAACACGGCCAGAUUUCGAUUCAACGGUACAAGCUAGUUAUGUUAUACACAUCAUCAAGCAUGUUUCAAGAAAAUGUACGUGACAGCAUUCAUGUAGAACAAUCAUCAAGCAUGUUUCUAAAAGAUGGUACGAAGAGAUAAACAUUUAUCUUGAAUGUUAUACUUGCACCAGUGUUGCCUACAGACAUGGAAAGACAUGUGCUGGAGAGGGUACUGUACUCCUGCAGCUGAUCUGAUCGCCGUCAAGAUCUUGAAGCUCAACGAGGAGACAAGACAAUUUGGAAAAUCUAUCAGGAAUCUGGCGUGAUUCGAGCAUCCACAUGUGUGCGGUAUUUUUGGGUAGAAACUGAGCAAAUUUAUUUUGUGCAAUAUGAUGUCCACCAGCUGACUCCAUCCCAUACCCGCACAUGUCCCACCACCUUUCUCUCUAGUCACGUUUUUUUUUUUUGGCGCAUCUUCUGUCUAGUCACGUUACUAUAUAUGCACGCAUACUCCCACACCUCUCUCCCAUAUAUAAGCUAGUAUUUUAUUUCCUAGUGAUAUUUUAAUUGAUUGAUAUAUUUUUAACAAAAAAACCAUUUUUGAAACUUCUUGUAUAUUUGAAUUCCUACCAACAAGAUUUUUAGAACAAAACCGAUCUUAAAUACUUUAUAAACAAUUUUAAUUUCAUUAUUUAUAUCUGAUUCAAAUUAAAUGAAAUACUUUACAUUUUGAAAAUGGUUCAUAUACAUUUCACACAAUUCAAUUACUUCACACAGUUCAAGAAAAUAUUCACGUAUUUCCGUUAUUUCACAUAUUACAAAAAGUAUUGCACAAACAUAUUUUUAUUUAUUUCACCCAAUUUCAGUCACACAUUUUAGAAAUAUCUCAAUUACUUCAAUAAAUUUUUAACACGUAUUUAAAUUAUUUCAAGCACAUUUCAGAAAAUUGUUCACUUACAUUUCAGGCACUUUUUAUUAUUUCAUAUACAUUUCACACACAUUUCAAUUAUUCUAGAGAGCACUUAACACAUAUUUCAGUCAUUCAACCAGUUUCAGAUAAUAUUUACAACAUAUAGUUGACCGAAUUAUGGUUAAAACAUUGGAAUUGACAGAUGAUUAUUUUAGAAAUACUCCAAUCUAUUACAUUAUUAAAACAAGAGACAAAUAGACUACCACAUUCGUUCAGAUGUGCUAAUAUUAUUUGCAAUGUCUGAUUAGAAAAACAGUGGCUAAGAUUUAAAGUUUUUAUGUAAGAUGCUAACAUGUAUGUAACAACAUAUUGGACCAUCAUAUUGUCACAUGUAUGCAUAUGUAUUAAGUACAUGCACGGAAAGAUGCACAUAGGUCUAGAUAUAAUUGACAAGGCUAGGCUAGCGACUAGUCAUGACUACGUACGGGAUUCAAACUUUAAUGGCUGAGAUUUAAAACGUAAAGUUACAUGUAACAUUUUCUCUGAAGCAAGUUACAUGUAACUUGAGAUGCCACGUACAUAUAACUUGAUAAGGCAUGUAUACAAAUAGUGCGAAAAUAUACCAAACACGCUGCACACGCAAGUACAUAUAUAAUCAGUCCAACUCCAAAUCCUAUACCAGCCAGCCAUUCCAUUUCAUCUACUAAACGGGAGAUAAAAAGGAAAUUAUAAAUCAGGCACUUAAUCGAAUGUGCUCGGCAAUUGCAUCCAGCCCAAACCAGUCGAUUAACCUAGGAAAAUGGAACUGGCUAAAUGCAUGCGAUGAUAUCAUCUCUGAUGUCAUUGGUUAAUUUUUUUGCGGGUAAAUCAGCUAACUAUUAUAAAAAUGUGGUUAAAUCAGUUAAUUAUUAUUGCUAUUUUUGUUUAUUUUUCAUCUACUUUGCAAAUAAUAUAAUCAUAUAUCGAUGCCUCCCAUCAGAUAUAUGGUUUAUACGUAGUAAACAAAUUAUUUUGUGGGUAGAUAAAACAAAUAACUCUAUUUCAUAUAUUUUUACACAAAGGAAUUUGAUUAAAAUAUGUGAAGUCAUGAAUAAUAUUCUUAUGCAGAGGAAAUUCAACCUUAAAGUAGAAUGCAGAAUUAGAAUUAAAUGAGCAACCUAAUAAGGACCAUUUGAUAUCGCAAAGCAUAUACUGGCAUAGAUCUAAUAUUAACGCAUCACUCCGUAUGUAAACAUCGCCAUGAAUGUUUUAAUUUAUUUAGGAAAAGGCAUCCAUGUGAGUAGAAAACAGUCGAUCAUACACAUGGUUUAUGAUGUCCAUAAAUAAUGAAAUGAUAUAUUAUGUACAGUCGAAUAGGUCACACAUCUAAUAAGACCAUUUCAUAGUCGGAUCGGAUAGGAUAUGGACAUGUAGUACAACUGAUAAUAUACUGUGUAUUAUAAUUUUUCAGAAUAUCAAUAACACAUACAAUUACAUUACAUAUAUGAAAUUUGAAGCAAGAAAUUAAUGAUAGCAGCAAACUAACUUGUGUAAUAAAUGAUGAUCAUAUUUGGUUCGUUUGAAAACACAAUGUAAACGACAAUCAAGAGGGAUCUGUAUAUGCAAUUUACACGACAAAUGAUACAUGGAAUAAAAAAAAUGCCGUACGUAUCAACGCAACAUUCCUAAGAUGUAUUGAAAUCGUGUGUUGAUUGCAACCAUGACAUCAGUAAUAAAUGUGUAUUAGAGCAUCUGCAUAAAUGCUUUGGGAAAUAUAAGAAAAAAGUUCAAUUGAAGUAGAAUGCAGAUGAGUGGAAACAUUCAUUUAUUUUUUUAUUACUGGUAGAUCAGGUUCAUGGUCACUAAAUGUGAUUGGCAUGUGGAUUAGGAAUGACCUACCAGUAUAUGUGCCCAUUCAUAUAGUAUAGAGGUCAUGCAUGAUACUUAUCCAAUAGGAAGAAUUACUGAAACAGUGCCAAUAUGCAUGCAAUGCCUGCCAGCUAGCAUGGCAUGCAAGCGAAGGAAUGGGGUGUUGUGGAAACAACAAUAAAGUUUUUGAAUUCAGCCAAAAAAAAAGAUUGGAGCACAUAUCGUGUAGAAUAUGUUAAUUUAGUUGUUAUAAAGAAUACAAAGUGAGCAAACCACGCGGGGAAAAUUAGAAACAACAAAAUGUAAGCCUAGAUUGUUAGGUGACUUAGCAAAAUUAGGUGACAAUAUCACAAAUUAUGAGGCGGACAAUAAAUGUUUAUAUCUUAUACAUGACUACGCAUUCUCUCUCGCAGAUAUUUAAAAGACAUUGUAAUGAGAAGUUAUAUCCUUAGCUUCUCACCCACUAUUCAGAUAAGUUACAAAAAUGUAACUCAAGAAAACCUUGCGCCUUCAAAGUUUUUAAACAUUACCUCUCAAUAUAUUACAAACUAAUAUCACUAUUGUUUUAUUCAGCAUGGAUGAUUUUCUGUAGUCUCAUCAUUCAUAGUUCUAUAAAAAAGUCAAAUAUACCAUAUAAUAUAUCAAAUAAAGCAAUAUUGUUGAUGAUGUAGAUUUUUUUUUUGAUGAUAUAGAAAACUAGCCACGCAAAUGCGUGGGUAACUCCGCUAUUUCAAUCAAAUUUCACAAAAAGUUCACCAACUUCAACUAUUGAAGUAAUUACAUGUUUUUAAAAUGUACGGAAAUGUUAUUAUGAUUUUUGAAAUGAAAAUAUUUGAAAAUUUAGUUUAAUUAAAUAAUUCAAUUCCAAAUAUUUUUUGCAUGAAUUUCAGCUGGUUGAAAAAUGAAAUUUAAACUAGUUUGAAAUAUCUCAAAGAUUGAUCUUGUUAUAAAGGUCUUAUCGGAAGAAAUUUAAGUAUAUAAAAAUCAUUAAAUACAAUUUUAUUUAAAAAUAUGAAGCGUCUAAAAUUUUAAAGAAGGCCAUGCAUGCACUUGUUCAUAGUAGAAGGUUAGUGAGUGGUGAGGGAAAGAGCAUCUCGCGUGAGUUGGGUCCACAUUCGAAGUUCAAAUACUGCACUAUUAAAAUUGCCAAAUUAUACACCCCCUCAUUUNNNNNNNNNNNNNNNNNNNNNNNNNNNNNNNNNNNNNNNNNNNNNNNNNNNNNNNNNNNNNNNNNNNNNNNNNNNNNNNNNNNNNNNNNNNNNNNNNNNNNNNNNNNNNNNNNNNNNNNNNNNNNNNNNNNNNNNNNNNNNNNNNNNNNNNNNNNNNNNNNNNNNNNNNNNNNNNNNNNNNNNNNNNNNNNNNNNNNNNNNNNNNNNNNNNNNNNNNNNNNNNNNNNNNNNNNNNNNNNNNNNNNNNNNNNNNNNNNNNNNNNNNNNNNNNNNNNNNNNNNNNNNNNNNNNNNNNNNNUGUGUGUGUGUGUGUGUGUGUGACAAAGUUUAUUGAGUAAGCUAUAUAGACUUCUCAAAUACUAAAUGCAUGUAAUAUAAAAAACAUUUCAUGAGGAAUUUAAUGAUACUGCUUUCAUACUGCGGAUGUUGAUUUUUUUUUAAACUUGAUCAAACAUACACAUCUUUGACUUUUAGAAAACAAAAUAUGCAGUACAUUACGGAAUGGAGGGACUAUAGAAGCAUGUGUAUUGUGUUUGUUGAGAGCUGGCCGGAAUGUAUUGGUUGGAGAGGGAGUCUGUGCCAUAUGGCGACUCGCUAGGAAUAUGGUUGUUAAGACACGAGAUAACUCAUUAAUUGGCUUUUUUUAAUGUGCUUCUCUAUUGAUUCUAAAAAUAUUUCUUUCAUAUUUGACACUAGGUAAAAAAAAUCGUAAUUUGACACUUCCUUCAAUUUUCCCAUACAACGGUGUUAAGUGGGACGAGACAAGAUGGUUUUAUCCUUUGGUUCAGUAUGUAAUUAAAAUUACUUGACAAAUUCUCUAUUUGAUUAAAAUGUACUUACUUCGUUCUGAAAUGUAGUGCAUGUUUUGCUUUCUAAAAGUCAAGCAUAGAUAUGCUUGAAUUUUUUUGAAUAAGCUACAUAGACAUCUAAAUUACUAAAUAAAUAUAAUAUAAAAAUACAAUUCAUGAUGAAUCUAAUGAUACUAAUUUCAUAUUGUGUUGAUACUCCAUCAGGUUGGGUUUAUAAGUCAAAGGUCGAUUUUUAGGUCUUCAAUUUAAUAAGAAAACAUGUAUUAUAUACUAUAAAAAAUAUCUUUAGGUGAGUUGUCGGAUGUAAUUUAAACCGUAUAAUUUUUGUGUCAUGUUAUACAUUUUUAUUAGUCAAAUUCAAGACCUAGAAACCCGCGCCCGGCUUAUAAACCUAACUAUAGGGAGUAUUUUUUGUUCUUUAAACUUGAUCAAACAUACACGUCUUUGACUAUUAGAAAACAAGAUAUGCACUACAUUUCGGAUCAAAGGGAGUAUAGAAGCAUGUGUAUUGUGUAUGUUGAGAGCUGGCCAGAAUGUAUUGGUUAGAGAGGGAGCCCGCGCCAUAUGGCGUCUCCGCUAGGAAUAAGCUCGUUGAGAUACGAGAGAGCUUAUUGGUUGGCCCUUUUUAAAAUGUGUUUCUCUGUUUGACCGACCGUAAAAACAUUUCUUUCCUAUUUGACACUAGGUAAAAAAAUGUGUUCCUAAUUCGACACUUCCGUGAAUUUUUCCAUACAACGUUCUUAAGUGGGACGAGGAAACACGGUAUCCAUGGUGCAGUAUGUAAUCAAAAUUACUUUGAGAAAUUCUCUAUUUGAGACUAGAUUAAAAUGUUCCAAAUAUUCAGGCAUAUGAAUUAAAUUUAGUGAGCAAAGACCAAUCAGAAGCGUACGUGCAUAGCUAGCACACCGUGUCGUAUAUCUGUUGAGAACGUUUACUGGUCGCUGAUGGCCAAAGCUAGCUAGCAAAACGAUCAAGCCGAUCUAUCGAGCUACCCGCUGCCGGAAACACACAAAACGCGCGGAUGCUAGCUUAACUGAGACAGACACGUCUCGUCUGCAGUGGACGCUUUCUUCGUUCCUUCUCCUCGCCGGCCGUCGCGUACGAGGAAUUUUUUGGAACACUUAAAUUUGAUAUUUUCUGUUUUUCAAAGUGGGACUAUAGGAGCAUGUUAGUGUUGGUAUCAACUGACACUUCCCCGAACGGUGACCUCAUGCUCCCCGCAACGUCCCGUGGGACUAAGUAAACUGUACUGAUACAUAUGCUCCAUACCACUAGUAGAAAACAGGGCUUUGGUCACAACUCAAUGUACACAUUAGUCCCGGUUGCAUCACGAACCGGGACUAAUGUGAGCAUUAGUCCCGGUUCGAGCGGCUAAGCCGUCGGGAAGGCAUUAGUCCCGGUUCAAAUGAGACCUUUAGUCCCGGUUUGAGACACAAACCGGGACUAAAGGGUGCGAUGCCCAUUAGUUCCGGUUCGCUCUCAAACCGACUAAAGGGUGUGAUGCCCUUUAGUCUCGGUUUGUGUCUCAAACCGGAACUAAAGGUUCAAACUGUANNNNNNNNNNNNNNNNNNNNNNNNNNNNNNNNNNNNNNNNNNNNNNNNNNNNNNNNNNNNNNNNNNNNNNNNNNNNNNNNNNNNNNNNNNNNNNNNNNNNNNNNNNNNNNNNNNNNNNNNNNNNNNNNNNNNNNNNNNNNNNNNNNNNNNNNNNNNNNNNNNNNNNNNNNNNNNNNNNNNNNNNGAUAAAAACUUCAAAAAUUAAAAUCCUCGAGAUGUAGUUAUGUUACUACAUCUACUAGUUAGGAAAAUUAAAAAACUUAAAUUUGGACAUGUUGUGCAAAAAAAUGUUAUGAAAAAGUCAAACGGCCAUAUUUUUUGCAUACAAUGUCGGAAAAAAACGCAUAAUAUAUAAAAAAACAGCACGAAAAUCCACAUCCGAUUUUGACAGCCAUAGGCUUGUUUGCAAAUUUUUAGAAUCCUCAAAUUCUAAAAGGAAAAAAAUAUAUGCUCAAAUUUCAGCUUUUUUGACUUUUCAUUAAAUCUGGUUAAACUAUGGUCAAACUACUUAUUCAAGAAAUAUUAGUGUUAAUAAAUAAUUAUUUUUAGUUUUUUGGACUUUUGGUCCAACUAUGAUCAAAUCUGGUCAAACUACUUAUUCAAGAAAUAUUAGUGUUACUAAAUAAUUAUUGUUUUUUAGAAUAAUAGUUUCAAACUCAAACGGUGUAACAUGUGACUUCAUGCUCAACUCCAACUCCUAAGGGUUAAUAGGAUUGAUAGCUUAAUAUUGUCAGGAAAAUAACAAGUGGAGACUUGGAAAUAAGGUGGAAUAGAACUCGAAAGUUAAGCGUGCUCAGGCUGCUGUAGUGAGAGGAUGGGUGACCGACCGGAAAGUUAGACGAUUUGGAAUGAAGAGGGAUGAUUAGAGAUUAGAGAUUAAAUUGAGCAGUGAUGAGGGGUGAUUAGAGAUUAAAUACAAAUAAUUUAGAAAUUUGAAAAUCGAGAAAAAAAUCUAUUUUUUUAUAAUUUUUAUUUUCAAAAAAGUUUCUUUAGUCCCGGUUGGUGACUAAAGGUCGAGCUCCAGACAGCGACCACGUGGAGGGCAUUUAGUCCCAGUUCAUAACACAACCGGGACUAAAGGUGGGGGCCUUUAGUACCGACGCUUUAGUCCCGGUUUCGGAACCGGAACAAAUGGGCCUUAUGAACCGGGACAAAUGAGCCUUUUUCUACUGGUAGUACACACGUACUACACGUAUGCGCAUUGAUCACGUCGACCUCUCUGCGCACUCGGUGCGGCAGCUCUAUGUUGUCGGCUGUGUAGUUGCCAGUCCAUGCAUGCAUAAUUACUUUGUGUUAGCUGGGCUCAAACAAAAAAAUAUUAUUGUUUACUACUCCCUCCAUUUUAAAAUAUAGUGUGCUCGCGUUUUCGGAGGUCCAAUUUUGACCAUAAAUUUAACUAACGAGACCGACUGUGGCGGGAGAAAAAAUUAUAUAAUUGAAAACUUUUUUUGAAUAUAAAUUCACUGGUAUAACUUUUGCUGCCGCGGUCGGUCUGGUUGGUUAAAUUUAUGGUCAAAAUUGAAGCACAAAAAUAAAGGAAGCACUAUAUUUUGGAACGGAGGGAGUAUAUGUUGGAGCUGGCAGAUUCUCUUAUGUACCUCACCUACUUUUGGCUUGCUGACAUGUCGGCUGACUCUUUUUUUUUGCGGGUGACAUGUCGGCUGACUUGUCAGACCGGGUGGCAUAUAUUAUAUACAGUUACUAAGCUCCCUGGAAAUAAGCUCUGCUAGUGAAUCUAGGGGGUGUGAAAAAGUGCAUGGGUCCUUGGUGACAGUGGGUGAGACGUGUUGGUGGGCAGCUCGGUCCUUGCGUUUCCAGUUUACUCGUGAACAUAAGCAGUUGACCAGCUGGUCCCUUGCACGUCGGUUUGUCUAGUGAAGAAAGAAAAAGACCGUUACCACACCCAGCCAAUAAAAGACUCUCGACGGGCAAACCUGAUUGAACAGAGAAAAUGUGAGGAAUAAAUUAGGAUGUGUCUAUUAUUAACUAAAAUGUUAGGAAUAAAUUAGGAUAUUUUUAUAUUAUGAGACGGAGGGGGUAUUAAUUAAUGAAUCAUCAUUCAUGUGUCCAAUCCUAAGUAGCGAUGUUCCUUUUUCUUUUAACAUGUAACUGCCAUCGCUUGGAGGCAGCUGCCCCUAUGUAUAUAUACCUUUUCUAUCAAUGGAAUUAGAGAGGUUAGUCCCCCCCCCCCACCACCACUUCUCUCACUCUUACUUGCAUAUUUCAGAUAUAUGUUCUUUUACUUUUGUUUAAAUUUUCAGUUUUAUUUUUGUUUUUUGUUGCUAUUCACAAAUAUUUCUUUUCAAAACAAGUGUGAUCUUUUUUUAAACAUCUCACUAACUACUUUUAAAUCUCAUGAAAAUUUCUCCAAAAUGUGAACAUUUAUUAGUAGAUAAAUCAAUACGUUUUAGAUUGUAUGAAUUUUGAAAUGUGUGCACAAAUUUUAAGUAAUACAUGAACACGGUUUGUAACUUUUUAUUGACAUGAACAUGGUUUGUAACUAUAUGAUCAGGUUUCCAAUGGACGGAUAUUUUUAAAGCAUGGGCACUUUCCAAAAAUAAACAACUAUUUAAAUUUAUGACCAUUUUUAAAAAUGUACGAACAUAUCAUGUGACACUUUAUAAAAUAUCAUGAACCUAUUUCAAAAUAUACAAUCAUAUUUUUAAAAAGUAGAUGAACAUUUUUUAAAGUUCCUGGACAUUUUCUAAAACACCUUUUGAAAUUACUUGCACAUUUUCUUAGAACUUCAAUAAGAAAACACACGUAAAAAUAAUAAAAGAAAUGAAAUCUAGCCAACCUAUACUAAUGGAUCAGCCCAAUAUAUAAAGUAGCGGGCGGAGCCUUGCCAUUGGACUCCAUAAGAGUCCUAUAUAUGCUAGGUGCUGGUGUGCUAUGUGCCUCGGGGGGAGGGUGUAUGGGAUGACAUGAUCAGUUAUCAUAGUGGUUAGGGCUUGAGUGAAUUUCAUCGAAAAUACGUGAUGUAUGUAACUAUCGUUAUCUUUCCCCUUAAGUUUAAACCAUGCCUCCAGUAAAGUCAAGGAUGGCCCCAUCGCAAGGAAAAACACCAAGCCUAGCAUAAUUAAUGCCUGAAACCCAGCGCCAUAUCAUGGUACAUCCACGAAAAAAAUAGAACCCAUAAAAGAAGAACGUGCAGCAAAGCGCGCGACAACUUCUAGUACAUCAGAAAAUCCACAACAUUUUUUGCCCGACGAGAUGGUGGAAGCUUCCUUUCUACCGAUAGAGACAUUAUAAAGGAAAAGCAAAGCAACCCAAACAACACAUACGAAUCGGGAUGCAACAAGGUCAGGUAGUUAGCUAAGUCAAAUAAGUAUAUAGGAGUAUAAUGAAGCUAGCAGAAUACUUCGUCUCUUUUUAGAACGCGUAUAAAAUUUGUCUAAAGUCACAUUUUAUGAAGUUUGAUCAAUUUUAUUGGAAUAUGAACACUCAGUAUACAAAACAUAUUAGAUGCAUCAUUAAAUUAAUUUUCAUAUUGUAUGACUUUAGUAUUGCAGAUGUUGAUAUUAUUUAAUAUAAAUUUGAUCAAUCUUGACGUAGUUUGGCUUCAAACUAAAUCUUACAUGCAGAGUAAAUAGAAAUGGAGGAAGUAUCUUUAUUUAUCUAUCUCGGCAAAACUCCCCACAAAAUAAAAAUAUGAAAAAAAAUCUCGGCGGAACAAGUCUCGUGAGAGAUUCGAGGAAUGCAUGUAAAUUCAACUUUGUUCAUUUCAUAAGAUGUGGCCGACCGACGAUUGCAACCAUAUAUUAAUGGCAGAGCCCAACCAAACUAAAGACGUGAUCUCCCUUUUUUUAUCCAAACAUUGAAUUGAAAAUACAACUAAACCUUAAACCUUUGGACAUCUUUGAUUCGCAGGAAUUUUAAAACGCGUGAACAAGAAAAGUAUAGGAUUGAAGUGGCAUGUCCAAUUGAAUCUUAGAGGGUAGCAGAAUGUGUUUGAUGCGACAUGAAAGACAAAGAAAUUGUAAACAGUUGUUGGAGUGUUAGGUUUCAUAAGAAAUGUAGUACAAAUGAUUCCUUAGGGAAAAGAAUCUUAUAAGAUCCAAUCCUAUGAAUAAAACAAUCAAUAUAGAAAAAAAUCAUCAAAAGUCCUAUGAAAUUGCUUUAAAUCAAAGGUACCCUUAAUUGAGCUCUAACAAGGACACCCGUUACAUGAAAUUGUGUGACCUGAAACCAAAUAUCAGAUGAAAAGAAAUCCAUGGUUCGAUUCAUGUAGGAACCCCCUCCCCCCUCCCCCCAAAAAAAACAAAAAUUCAUGCAUCAUUCAUGCCAGUCCCAAAAUAAACAGACCAACUUUACACGAAAAUUAAAUAUAAUAAUUAUAUUUCACAAAAGUACCCUAGAAAGUUAGGAGAAAAACCAAAUUAAGGGAAAACAAACGAAGAGAACCAUGUACAGAAGAAAAGAAAAGGCAGAAACGGUGUCGCGGGACCAAACACAUAACACAUCGAGAAAAAAAAGAAACUUGAACAACGCAGGACGCUCACAAAACGCACAAACGCUCAUCCCACUAACAAACACAUGCACCCUACCCUAUUAUCGCCUCACAACAUUUUUUGCCAUCUGAGAUGGUGGAAGCUUCCUUUCCGCCGAUAGAGACCAGAUUAAGGAAAAGCGAAGCAACCCAAACAACACACAUACGAAUACGUAUGCAACAAGGUCGGGUAGUUAGCUAAGUCAAAUAAGUAUAUAGGAGUACUUCGUCUCUUUUUACACCACGUAUAAAAUUUGUCUGAAGUCAAACUUUAUAAAGUUUGAUCAAUUUUAUUGGAAUAUGAACAUUCACAAUACAAAACCUAUUAGAUGCAUCAUUAUAUUAAUUUUCAUAUUAUAUGACUUUAGUAUUGUAGGUGUUGAUAUUACUUAAUAUAAAUUUGGUCAAUCUUAACGUAGUUUGGCUUCAAACAAAACCUUAUUUGUGGAGUAAAUAGAAACGGAGGAAGUAUCUUUCUUUAUCUAUCUCGGCAAAACUCCCCACAAAAUAAAAAUAUGAAAAAAAAUCUCGGUGGAACCAAUCUCGAGAGAGAUUCAAGGAAUGCAUACAAUUUCGUCUUUGUUCAUUUCAUAAUAUGUGUCCGACCGACGAUUGCAACCAUAUAUUAAUGACAGAGCCCAACCAAACUCAAGAUCCGAUCUCCCCUUUUUUUUAUCUAAACAUGGAAUAGAAAAGACAACUAAACCUUAAACCUUUCGACCUCUUUGAUUCGCAGGAAUAUCAAAAUGCAUGAACAAGAAAAAUAUAGGAUUGAAGUGGCAUGUCCAAUUGAAUCCUAGAGGAUAGCAGAAUGUGUCUGAUGCCACAUGAAAAGCAAAGAAGUUGUAAACAGUUGUUGGAGUGUUAGGUUUCGUAAGAAAUGUAGUACAAAUGAUUCCUUAGGAAAAAAUUCUUAAAUGAUCCAAUUCUACGAAUCAAACAAUCAAUACAGAAAAAAUUCAUCCAAAAUCCUAUGGAAUUGCAUUAAAUCAAAGGUACCCUUAGUGCGCGCUCUAACAAGGACAUCGGUUACAUGAAAUUGUGUGACCUGAAACCAAAUAUCAAACUAAAAGAAAUACAUGGUUGGAUUCAUGUAGAGAGACCGGGGCGAUAGAUCUUGAGUGAAGAAAUCAUUACAGACACCUCGUAGUUGACCGAUACACCAUACCACAGAAAUAUUAGUGUUGGAAACACUGAAAUGAAUCUAGAAAAUAUGUGAGCACCCAUGCAACUCUAGAACUUAAACCCGGUGUAUCAGUUCCAUCACAAGAAAUAUAACUAUCUAAACUAUACUUAGGGCCUCUUUGAUUCAUAGGAUUUUGAAAAUAUAGGAAUAGGAAAAGUAUAGGGUUGGAGUGGCAUGCCCACUUGAAUCCUAUAAGAUUAACAAUGAGUGUUUGAUGCCACAGGAAAAACAAAGGAAUUGUAAAAAGUGAUUGGAGUGGAUGUUAGAUAUCCUAUGAAAUGUAGUACAAAAGAUUCCAUAUGAAAAAUUCCAAAGGAUCCAAUCCUAUGAAUCAAAGGACAAACAUAGAAAAAAUACUAAGAGUUUCAAUCCUCCAGAAAUCCUAUAAAAAUUCCUUCGAAUCAAAGGAGCCCUUAGUUUGCAAUUUUAAUUUGAACUUUAACCGAAGCAGCACAUGCGACACAUUGAAAAUAAUAACAUGUGAACCAAAUAUCAAAUCAGUACAAACAGAAAUACUCAAUUGUGGGAAUCACCAAAAGUAAAACACAAACAUCAUAGGGACCGAUGCGAAAUAGCAAAGGUAAACUUAUGCCAACUUUCCCUGAAAAGUUAUAAAGCGUCCAACUAUAACUAGAAUGAAUAUCAAUCUCGAUCGAUCCAUUUCACCUGCGCCUCAGAGCUGUGACUGAUGUCGUCCCUGUUGUCAUGGACCCGGAAGCCGGUCAUUAUCAGAUAGGCCAACUGCAUGCCACACCACAACAUAUAUAAAUAAAGAGAUUCAAUCAUCCAUCGAAUAGAGUGUACUAUGUGUUUGCUUUGGCGUCUGAUCCGGCCAUACAUAGCAGAUGCCGCAGUCGGCGACGGGGAUGGAGACGUGGUUGUCACUGCUCGGCCGGGCCAACGUGUUGUUGUCGAGGUUGGCUACCACGGCGCGUACCGCCCGCUCCAAGAGGUUCUCGGCUGUGGUCACGGGCUCCGGCGAGGGCAGGCGCCUUCUGCAGAAAAGAAAAAAACACGCGUACGGGAGGGACUCAGAUCUGCUGUAUACAUGCUCGAGAAAUUAAGCUAAGCUUUAGUGUCAGUGCGGUGUGUGCUUACCCGGUGGACAUGAGGUCGAGGCUGCCGUACUCCAUCUCGACCUCGCCCGCCGUCGGGAGUUGGUGCUGCUCAGUGGCCAUGGGAUGAUGGAUCGAAGUGAAGAGCAGUCCUGUCUUGUGCCCGGGGGUAGGAGGAGGGAGGGGGAAGAGUGUUGUGCCGAUCGGCUGGAGGGAAGGGUGGAUGGAGCUUUUAUAGGCGGGCUGGGGGCUAGCUAGCACCCCCACUGCACCGUGAACAGUGCACCGACAGUGCACUGUACACGAUGAACGUGGUCUGGACGCACAGGCAAUAGCUCACCCGUCCAUCGUGGCUCACACGUCUGUUGGAUGGAUGGAUGCGAUAAUGUGGCUGGGCCACUCGUGGGUGGCUAAUGUGUGUACUAUAGAGACAGGAAGCGCGUGGUGGGUAGCGGGCCACUCGUGGGUGGCUAAUGUGUACUACUCUCUCUGACUGGGUAUGUGCACCGCUCAGGUAUGUGCACCGCUCGAGGGGAAUGUCCCUCCGCAUGAGGCAGAUGCAUUACAACAAAUGUAAUUUCCGCCUAGCCUCCAUAGACCUAUAGUGCACAACAGCGGGGGCAGUGUAUAAAUACCUUUCAUCUUGAUGAUUCGACGUAAGUCUCCAAAGAAGUAUAAAUACAACAGCGGGAAUAUACAAUUUUGCUGUAUUUCUCUACUGUUUCCCCUCUCUUACAAAUGCAUUCAGACUUCGUGGUAUCAAAGCUUACAUUCAUGAUAAUCCUGAUGUGGAUGCUGCAAGUGGGGUGCCUAGGAAAGAAAGUGAGAAAUAUUGCAAAUCUCUGCCAAGCUUGAUUGGAGACUUUUUCCUGGAUGCUUUAAGCCCACACUCGACGUCUGGUCUAGGACAACUAGGAUACAUCCCAUCACCAUGUGACUCUAAUAUACUUGAUGUAUUAAAUCUAUCAUCAUCCUUGCCAUCACUUUCCACACUAGUAGAAAAAGGCUCAUUUGUCCCGGUUCAUGAGGCCCAUUUGUCCCAGUUGUCGAACCGGGACUAAAGGGUCGGUACUAGAAGCCAACACGUUUAGUCCCGGUUCGCCAAGGAACCGGGACAGAUGGGGCUCCACGUGGCCGCUGCGGCUUGCCCAGGCAGGAGGCCCUUUUGUCCCGGUUGCUGCCAUCAACCGGGACCAAAAGGCUUCCANNNNNNNNNNNNNNNNNNNNNNNNNNNNNNNNNNNNNNNNNNNNNNNNNNNNNNNNNNNNNNNNNNNNNNNNNNNNNNNNNNNNNNNNNNNNNNNNNNNNNNNNNNNNNNNNNNNNNNNNNNNNNNNNNNNNNNNNNNNNNNNNNNNNNNNNNNNNNNNNNNNNNNNNNNNNNNNNNNNNNNNNNNNNNNNNNNNNNNNNNNNNNNNNNNNNNNNNNNNNNNNNNNNNNNNNNNNNNNNNNNNNNNNNNNNNNNNNNNNNNNNNNNNNNNNNNNNNNNNNNNNNNNNNNNNNNNNNNNNNNNNNNNNNNNNNNNNNNNNNNNNNNNNNNNNNNNNNNNNNNNNNNNNNNNNNNNNNNNNNNNNNNNNNNNNNNNNNNNNNNNNNNNNNNNNNNNNNNNNNNNNNNNNNNNNNNNNNNNNNNNNNNNNNNNNNNNNNNNNNNNNNNNNNNNNNNNNNNNNNNNNNNNNNNNNNNNNNNNNNNNNNNNNNNNNNNNNNNNNNNNNNNNNNNNNNNNNNNNNUGGGGGUUUUGUAUGGUUAAUUUAGGGGUUUCAUAUAUUGUGUUAGCUAGUUAAUAGAGAGAAGUGUCAUCUCUUAUCUUCGUGAUUGGUCGAGGCUAUGUACUAUAUGUAUAGAGAGGACUCGACACGCUAGCUAGCUAGUAAGCAAACGAAGGAAACCAAGUACGGAAGAUCGUCAUGAACAUAUACAGAGAGAAGUGAUCGACCUCUCCUUCUCCGAGAGAUUGGUCGAACAACAAGUUUUCGUAUAUCUAUCUGACGCUACUAGCUACACAUAUACAAUAUAAUAUCUAUUACAAUCCUUAAAAAUCUGAAGUCAAGUGCCACAUGGUAUUCUCCGGCUUUGUUGAUGACGUGGUCAAGAAAGAAUCCCGCCAAUUCCUCCUGAAUUGCAUUUAUGCGAUCAUGUGGUAGGAGCUCAUCCCGCAACUGCCAGAUCUAAAUCGAAGAAGAGGGUCAAUACAUGUGUAUGAAUGAAACUCAACACAAAUGAUGGUAAUAAAAUACAAUUGCGAAUAUUUUUGCUUACGCACUUGAUAUUGUUUUUCAGUGUAGCCCCGCUGAUUCUUGGGCGUCUCGUUGUAGAUGAACUCGCAAACGUAGUAUCCACAGAAAUUAUUUCCUUAUUCCUGCCACAAGCACUUUACAAGAAAUAGAGGUCAAUCAAAUUGAUAAGCAAGCAUGCUAAAUGCUAUUGAUGAAACUAGCUACAAUCAAUGGGAGAUGCACAGAACUAGGUAGUAGUACUUACUUUCAGUUGUUUAAAUGUCAGCUUGGUCAGCAGUCCCGGAGAAAUUGCGGUGAACUUUUUCCAAACUCUGCCAGACAAAGAAAAUAAUUACUUGAUAUCAGGAAAUGAACAAAGUUGCCGAUAUGGUGCGAUAAUGAUUGAUUGAACUUACUUCUGGAGCAUUCCAGUCAUGUCCGCAUACUCCUUGGGGUCUUUUCGUCUCGAGUCUAAGACGGUUACUUCUCCCUUCUCAAGCUUAAUCACUAGGAGAAUAAAGUGGAAGCUGCGCACGCAUGCACAACUCAUCAGUUACAUGACUAUAACCUCGAGUAAUAAGGGAAACCGAUCGAAUAUGCACAAGACAGUAACACUCACUUGAAGUUGUAAGGAAAGAGUAUUUUAUCUUUGGUUUGAUUUUUGAGCAACGAUCUGAGCAAGUUGUCCUCGGUCUCUUCGGCCUUUUUUUGACCGUGUAUUCAUGUACGAUAUUUGGGUUAAUGAACCCAAUGUCAUAGAUUUGUGCUUUUCUGCAUCCAACGAUCUUCAAUCUGCAUAAUAUAGUGAGGAUAAUUAUAUAUACAUGCAAAGAAAGAGCUGAGCUAUAUAUAGAGAGACUUAAUUAGAGAAAGUAGUACUUACAAACAGUAGCAAGACACAAGUGAUUUGUGGAGGGCCUUUUCAUUGUAGAACUAGAAAAACUCGUCAAAAUCAACAGUUAACAGUUCUUGGCCAAUGAAGUCGUGGUCCUCUUUGAUCAGCAUCGACAAAGCAUCCUUCCCAGACUCUCUGCAGGUUUUCAUGUACCAGUCAUGGAAUCUUCGCAUCAUCGUUGUUAGAGUAAGAGUAUCUUUGACGAGAGGCUUCCAUAAUGGUAUUUGAAUUCGUCCACCUCCAUUGUUUCAAAUUCUACAUCGUCGGGCAGGUAAUCACCAAUAGUGAAAUCGUGCAGCAGCGGCUGAUUUGCGAUNNNNNNNNNNNNNNNNNNNNNNNNNNNNNNNNNNNNNNNNNNNNNNNNNNNNNNNNNNNNNNNNNNNNNNNNNNNNNNNNNNNNNNNNNNNNNNNNNNNNNNNNNNNNNNNNNNNNNNNNNNNNNNNNNNNNNNNNNNNNNNNNNNNNNNNNNNNNNNNNNNNNNNNNNNNNNNNNNNNNNNNNNNNNNNNNNNNNNNNNNNNNNNNNNNNNNNNNNNGUUGGGGAAUUUUCUUCCCACUUCUUCGUUCUUUUAACCUUUUGUCAGUUGAAGUACUUCCCGACUGGCGCGCUUCUUGCACUAUCUUUUUAAGAUAGCGGAGAAGGCUGUUAUCCGGCGAACGCAGUGGUGCUCGCUGCAGGGCAUCCAAAGUGCGCUUCGCUUUCACCAGAUCUAUCUUCUCCUCCGGAGGUGGAUGUUUGUUAGCUCUUACCGCUUGAAAGAAGUCGUUCACUUGGCCUUGAACGACCUGCUCGUUUUCCUCCACGGUCAUCUCGUAUGGUAACUUCUCUAGAGGCUUGAGAGACGAUGGACCGAAUCUGAUUGCCUCCCUCCUCUAGCUGUACUGCUAGAUGCCGGAGCAGCCGGAGCGGCUGCGUAUGUCUUCUUUCGUUGCCUAAGAGGCGGAGCAGCUGGAGGCGGACUGCUACGACGCGCCGGAGCAGCCGGAGCGGCGGCGUCUGUGUUCCGCCGUCGCUUAUGAGGCGACGAAGGAGGAGGCGGGCUUCUCGGACGCGCCGGAGCAGGCGGAGAAGGAGGCGGAGUACUGCCGCCCUCACGCGCCAAAGCAGGAGGCGGAAUGCCCUGAUCACUCGCCGGAGGAGGAGGAGGUGGAGGAGGCGGAGUGUGCAGCUGACUCGCAGGAGGCGUGAAGUUCAGAAGCUUGAUGUGCUCCUUUCGCCAUAGACACGGAAUCUUCAUAGCAAGACCCAGCUGAGUCUCCCCAUCACCUGUAGGGUGCUCAAGCUGCAGCACCUCAAAUCCCUCCGUUAUUUCGUCCACCAUCACAACAGCAUAGCCUUAUGGAAUCGGACGACAGUGAAAAGUUGCUCUGGGUGAAGGAGGGAACACAGAGCCGACAGUCGCCUUGACUUUGAGCUGAAGCCAUUGCGUCAUAAGGUGGCACUGGUGUGAAUCCGUGAUAAAAUCCACGGGGUAGCUAGGACCCGUCAAGUCAGGCUGCUGAACAAGCUCGGUGGAAGCCACGCUGCUUCUCCGUUGAGAUGGCAGGGUAGCUUCUGUGGUAGCUUCUUGGGCAGGAUCUUGCAGCUGGUUCUCAACAUCUCGUCGUUCCUCUAGCUUUCAUAUCCUUGCCUUAAGCUACUGCAGUACGCUCUGCUCCACUUUCCACCUCAUCUCUUGGGUUUUGUAACCGCCUGCGUCGGGAAACCCAACCUUCCACGCAACGGAGCCUGGCAUGCCUCGUGUUCGUCUAGGGUGCUCAGGAUUCCCGAGGGCCUUGUGAGCUCGUCGUUCGCUCUGUCGGGAACGAACGUCCCUUCCUGCGCUUCCUUGAUUGCUUUUUGAAGCUUCGUGAUGGGUGUUGCAAGUUUCUCGUCCAUCCAACAACACUUCCCUGUUUCAGGGUCCAAAGUUCCCCCAACCUUGAAGAACCAAGUCCUUGAACUAUCUGGCCAGUGUAAUGUCUCUGGUUCGACCCCUUUAGCAAUCAGGUCCUGCUCAGCCUUGUCUCACAACGGCUUGGCUUUGAGGUAGCCACCUGACCCCGUGCAAUGGUGAUGCUCCUUCUUAUCAAAAUUUAUCUUGUUAAUCGCUCACAUCUUCUUACUCCUCUCCGAUGUCUUGUGGGCCACAAAUGCGGGCCAUUGAUCUCUUAUCUUCUCAAAUCGGCCAAUGAAUUCUGGAGUCUAGUUUGUGUCGACAUACAUUGAUUUCAACUCAUUCGUCCACCUCCUGAAUAGACCUGCCAUCUUCUUGAGAGCAUGAGACUUGAUCAAGGCUCUAUAACUGGCUUCUCUGGAUCCUCAUCUUUCGGUAGGGUGAAAUUUACCUUCAGCGCGGUCCAAAGAUCAGCUUUCUGUCUAUCUUCGACAAAAGAUACUUGAAGCUCUUCCUGCUUAGGCUGAUUCCAUUGCUCGAUGCUGGUCGAGAUCAUGUCCCUAAAAAGAACCCCGCACUGAGCAGAAAAUGCUUCCUUGGUCCGGAGGGGUUUAAUCGGUUGGCCAUUACGCGCGAUUUCUGUGAUCGUGAACCUUUCAUCCGGGCGCAACUUUUUCUUCGGGCCUCGUCUUGUUACCGAAGUUUUGCUCGAUCCGGAGGGCUAUAAAAGAAGAAAGAAGUGUUAAUAUAUGUACAUACCAAAAAAAUUAAUGCAUCAAUUAUCUAGUCAGCACAGGCUUACAUACAUAUAUAUAUAUAUAUAUGUAUGUAUACCUCGCCGGACUUUGCAACAGCUGAUCCCGACUCUGCUCGGUCAUCGGAGCCGUCAUCACGAUCGUUUGAGCCACCUUCAUGAUCAUGACUUUUCUCCUCCAUUGUUUGAUCACCGUAGCCUGCUUCCUCUCCUUUCUCUCCUGCUUCCUCUCCUUCCAGACCUUCUUCGAUGUCAUUGAGAAACGACAUGACAUCACAUUCGUCGCGGAUUAUGUCCCCCAAUAUCUCUUCUUGUUCGAAGUCUCUUUGUUGAUCCAUAGUUUCUGCAAAUAUGACAACAUGAUAAUUAAUAUGAAAACAUGAGAGAUGGAUAUAUUAAUAGUGGCAAACAUAGACCCCUCGGCGAUCCUCGACCCUCGACCCCUCGACGACCCNNNNNNNNNNNNNNNNNNNNNNNNNNNNNNNNNNNNNNNNNNNNNNNNNNNNNNNNNNNNNNNNNNNNNNNNNNNNNNNNNNNNNNNNNNNNNNNNNNNNNNNNNNNNNNNNNNNNNNNNNNNNNNNNNNNNNNNNNNNNNNNNNNNNNNNNNNNNNNNNNNNNNNNNNNNNNNNNNNNNNNNNNNNNNNNNNNNNNNNNNNNNNNNNNNNNNNNNNNNNNNNNNNNNNNNNNNNNNNNNNNNNNNNNNNNNNNNNNNNNNNNNNNNNNNNNNNNNNNNNNNNNNNNNNNNNNNNNNNNNNNNNNNNNNNNNNNNNNNNNNNNNNNNNNNNNNNNNNNNNNNNNNNNNNNNNNNNNNNNNNNNNNNNNNNNNNNNNNNNNNNNNNNNNNNNNNNNNNNNNNNNNNNNNNNNNNNNNNNNNNNNNNNNNNNNNNNNNNNNNNNNNNNNNNNNNNNNNNNNNNNNNNNNNNNNNNNNNNNNNNNNNNNNNNNNNNNNNNNNNNNNNNNNNNNNNNNNNNNNNNNNNNNNNNNNNNNNNNNNNNNNNNNNNNNNNNNNNNNNNNNNNNNNNNNNNNNNNNNNNNNNNNNNNNNNNNNNNNNNNNNNNNNNNNNNNNNNNNNNNNNNNNNNNNNNNNNNNNNNNNNNNNNNNNNNNNNNNNNNNNNNNNNNNNNNNNNNNNNNNNNNNNNNNNNNNNNNNNNNNNNNNNNNNNNNNNNNNNNNNNNNNNNNNNNNNNNNNNNNNNNNNNNNNNNNNNNNNNNNNNNNNNNNNNNNNNNNNNNNNNNNNNNNNNNNNNNNNNNNNNNNNNNNNNNNNNNNNNNNNNNNNNNNNNNNNNNNNNNNNNNNNNNNNNNNNNNNNNNNNNNNNNNNNNNNNNNNNNNNNNNNNNNNNNNNNNNNNNNNNNNNNNNNNNNNNNNNNNNNNNNNNNNNNNNNNNNNNNNNNNNNNNNNNNNNNNNNNNNNNNNNNNNNNNNNNNNNNNNNGACAAAAUUACAUCAUCAUAUAUCAUCAAACAAAAUUACGUCAUCAUCAUCAUAUAUACAUCUAAAAAAGUUUUCAUAUAUCAUCAUCAUCAUCAUCUAGUACAAAAAAUUGACCAAGCUAGUUUUCAUAUAUCAUCAUAUAUAUCAUCAUCAUCUACUACAAAAACAUCUAACAACAUCUAUAUAUAAAAACAUCUAAACAACAUCUAUAUACAAAGACAUCUAACAACAUCUAUACAUGUAUAUAUACUACAGAAAAUUGACCAAAUACAUCUAAAAAACAUGUAAAAAGAUCUAAAAAUAGCAUCUAAAAACAUCUAAAAGCCAUGGCAGAGGGGCACGGCGGCGGCGCUGGCGCCGGCGCCGGCGGGGUAGGGUAAGGGCGCAGAGGUGCGGGACAGGGCAGGGGCGCGGGAGCAGGCUGGUGCUCACAGGGGGCGGCGAGGCACAAUGGGCGGCGUGUUGGGGCGGGCAGGGGCGCGGUGAUCGGCGAGGUCGUCGGGGCAGAGGGUGUCAAUGGCAGCGGCGGCGAUGUUGAGCAGCCCAACGACGUCGGUGGCGGCGGCGACAUCGACAUUGAGCAGCCUGAUGGCGUCGGUGGCGGCGGCAACAGCAAGGUGGAGCAGGUGCGUCGGGCUACGACGACGACAAGGAGGAGCAGGGGCGUUGGGGAGAAGAAGUGAUGGAUUUCGUCGAAACUGCUAAGUGCUUUCUUAUAUACCCGAGGCAUUGGUACCGGUUCGUGGCACCAACCGGUACCAAUGCCCCCCUUUGGUACCGAUUGGUGCCACCAACCGGGACCAAAGGUCUCUUUUCAGCAGCUCAAAGGGCGGGAAACCGAGGCCCUUGGUCCCGGUUGGUGGCGCCAACUGGUACCAAAGGGUAGCAUUGGUACGUGUUGGUACCACGAACCUGUACCAAUGCCCCCCUUUGGUACCGGUUGGUGCCACCAACCAGGACCAAAGGCCUCGUGCUGCCCGUGGCCAAAACAUUUAAUCCCACCUCGCUAGUUGAGAUGGGUGCGUAGUGGUUUAUAAGCACCACUGCCGCACCCCUCUCGAGCUCCUCUCCAUUGCAGGCUUUGGGCCUAAUCUGACAAUGCUAUGGCUGAUGGGCCUACUGGGCCUUCUGCGGGCCUGAAUCCUGACCCAUGGUUUGGUUUCUAGUCGUAUUCAGGCCAUGGUGGCCGAGUAGGUAGCAUUUUUUUCCAGUUUUUUUUUGGUUUUUUGCAUUAUUUAUUUUCUUUUUUUGCUUUAUCUUUACUUCUUUUUUAUUUUAGGUAAUAAAAAUUAUAAACUUUCUGUUAGUGCCAUUUGUUUUCCAAUUUGAAUAGUUUAAAUUUCAAUUUUUUAAAAUUUGUGUGAAUUACUAGUUUUUAAAUAACUUUACUAUAAAAAUAGAUUUUUGAGUGAUUCUUUUUCCUGCUAUUUAAUAUUACUGUGUUCUAUCAUUAUAUUCAAAAACAGAUUUUGUUAUUUUAGUUUCUAACACAAAAAUUCUUUAUGAUAAUUCUUUUUGCUAUUAAAGUUUCUAACAAAAAAAUUUCUUUAUGAAAAUUCUUUUUGUUUUUAAUGUUUUGAACAGAAAAUACUUUGAUAGUUUUGGUUGCAUAAAUUUUAUAUAAUUUUAGUUUCAAUAAUACUAGAGAUUUAUAAAAGUUUUUUGAGUUGAUUCCUUUUGUUAUUGGAGUUUUAUAAAAUCUUUUUAGUUGAUUCUUUUUACUGUUGAAGGAUAUUAUAGUUUUGUUUUAGUUGAUCAUAACAUAAUAUUUUAAUUUAUUAUUUUUAGUUCAUUAUUUUUGCUAUUAGUUCAUUCUUUUUGCUAUUAGUUCAUUAUUUGGGCUAAAUGACCCUGAAAUUGAAAAGCACUACAAAUGAACUCUGAAAAGGUUGAAAGUUGACAUGGUAUCAUCAUUUCACCCACAUAGCAUGUCUAAAAAGUUGAGAGGGUUACGGCAAAACCUGGAUGCACUUUGUGUGCAAAAUGGACAAUCUCUCUCGAAGUAUCUGGGUUUCGGACGGAAAUUCAUGUGUUACAAAGGGAUUCCAUUUUUUUGAACUUAUUUGAAUUCCAGACUUUUUGUGUGUUCAAAAUGCACCAUUCAAAGCCACAUCAUCAUUUUUUCAACCCUCUCUCACUUCAUUUGGUAUUUUUCAUGCUUGUAUUGAUUUUUUUACCUAAAUGACCCUUAAAUUGAAAAGCACUACAAAUGAACUCUGGAAAGGUUGAAAGAUGGCACGAUAUCAUAAUUUCACCCACAUAGCAUGUGCUAAAAAUUUGUGAGGGUUACGACAAAAACUGGAUGCACUUUGUGUACAAAACAGACAAUCUCUUUGGAAGUAUCAGGGUUUCGGACGAAAACUCAUCUGUUACAAAGGGAUUUCGUUUGUUCACAUGUAACUGCAGUGAUAUUCUAGAUCAAAGGCAUCAUCAUAAUAGUUGUUGAUAGAAAGUCUUCACUUUGUCUUCGCUUGUGUCCUUUGCUUAUUGCACCGUAACCAUGGAUAAUCUUCAUCGUUUAACAGGGUGCUUGGGUCAGCCUUGACUUUGAAGGGAGGAAUUUCAUGAAACUUUUCACAAUCUUCAGACAUGUCUGUCUUGCCCUCCAAUCCCACGAUUUCUCUUGUUCCUGAAAGAACUAUGUGGCGCUUUGCCGCAUUGUAUGAUGUAUCCGCUUCCUUAUCUUUUCUUUUGCUCGGUUUGGUAGACAUGUCCUUCAUAUAGAAAACCCGCGCCACAUCAUUGGCUAGGACGAAUGGUUCGUCUGUGUACCCCAGAUUGUUCAGAUCCACUGUCGUCAUUCCAUACCGUGGGUCUACCUGUACCCCGCCUCCUGACAGAUUGACCCAUUUGCACUUAAACAAAGGGACCUUAAUAUCAUAUCCAUAGUCAAGUUCCCAUAUGUCCACUAUGUAACCAUAUAUAAUAUGUGUCCUUUCCCCUCUUGGUUGCUGCAUCAAAGCAGACACCACUGUUUUGGUUGGUGCUCUUUUGAUCUUGGGUGAUCGUGUAAAAUGUAUUCCCAUUCAUCUCGUACCCCUUGUAAGUCAUUACGAUCGAAGAUGGUUCCCUCGCCAACGAGUACAGGUCAUCAAAAACGGUGUUGUCACCCCUGAGACGUGUUUGGAACCAACUGCCAAAACUCCUGAUGUGUUCACAUGUAAUCUAGCAGUCACACUGGUCCAGAUGUUUCAAGUGCAGAAUGUUCUUGUGUUCAUCGACAUACGGGGUCACCAAGGUAGAAUUCUGUAGAACUGUGUAGUGUGCUUGAGACCAAGAAUGCCCAUCCCUACAUACUAUUGAGUCCCCUCCUAGCGUGCCUUUUCCACCUAGUAUCCCUCAUACCGCAAUUGAGGGAGACCUAUCUUCUUAAGGUUAGGAAUGAAGUCAACACAAAACCCAAUGACAUCCUCUAUUUGAUGGCCCAUGGAGAUGCUUCCUUCUGGCCUAGCGCGGUUACGGGCAUAUUUCUUUAGAACUCGCAUGAACCUCUCAAAGGGGAACAUAUUGUGUAGAAAUACAGGGCCAGAACGACAAUCUCGUCGACUAGAUGAACUAGGACAUGCAUCAUGAUAUUGAAGAAGGAUGGUGGGAACACCAGCUCGAAACUGACAAGACAUUGCGCCACAUCACUCCUUAACCUUGGUAGGAUUUCUGGAUCGAUCACCUUCUGAGAGAUUGCAUUGAGGAAUGAACAUAGCUUCACAAUGACUAAUCGAACGUUCUCCGGUAGAAGCCCCCUCAAUGCAACCGGAAGUAGUUGCGUCAUAAUCACGGGGCACUCAUGGAGACUUUAGGUUCCAGAACUUUUUCUCUGCCAUAUUUAUUAUUCCCUUUAUAUUUGACAAGUAGCCAGACGGGACCUUCAUACUGAGUAGGCAUUCAAAGAAGAUUUCCUUCUCUUCUUUGGUAAAAGCGUAGCUGGCAGGACCUUCAUACUGCUUUGGAGGCAUGCCAUCUUUUUUGUGCAAACAUUGCAGGUCCUCCCACGCCUCCGCUGUAUCUUUUGUCUUCCCAUACACGCCCAAGAAGCCUAGUAGGUUCAUGCAAAGGUUCUUCAUGACGUGCAUCACGUCGACUGAAGAGCGGACCUCUAGGUAUUUCCAGUAGGGUAGGUCCAAAAAUAUAGAUUUCUUCUUCCACAUGGGUGCAUGUCCCUCAGCGUCAUUCAGAACAGAUAGUCCGCCGGGACCCUUUCCGAAGAUUAUUUUUAAAUCAUUGACCAUAGCAAGUACGUGAUCACUGGUACGCAUGGCGGGCUUCUUCCGAUGAUCUGCCUCGCCUUUGAAAUGCUUGCCUUUCUUUCGACAUUGAUGGUUGGUCGGAAGGAAUCGACGAUGCCCCAGGUACACAUUCUUCCUGCAUUUGUCCAGGUAUCUACUUUCGGUGUCAUCUAAACAGUGCGUGCAUGCGUGGUAUCCAUUGUUUGUCUGUCCUGAAAGGUUACUAAGAGCAGGCCAAUCAUUGAUGGUGAAAAACAACAAUGCAUGCAUGUCAAAUUCCUCCUAUUUGUGCUCAUCCCACACACAUACACCGUUUCCAAUCCAUAGCUAUAGAAGUUCUUAAACUAAUGGCCUUAGGUACACAUCAAUGUCGUUGUUGGGUUGCUUAGGGCCUUGGAUGAGAACUGGCAUCAUAAUGAACUUCCGCUUCAUGCACAGCCAAGGAGGAAGGUUAUAGAUACAUAGAGUCACGGGCCAGGUGUUGUGAUUGCUGCUCUGCUCCCCAAAAGGAUUAAUGCCAUCCGCUCUUAAACCAAACCAUAUGUUCCUUGCGUCACCUGCAAACUCCACCCAGUACUUUCUCUCGAUUUUUCUCCACUGUGACCCAUCAGCGGGUGCUCUCAACUUCUCGUCUUUCUUACGGUCCUCUCUGUGCGAUCGCAUCAACUUGGCAUGCUCUUUGUUUCUAAACAAGCGUUUCAACCGUGGUAUUAUAGGAGCAUACCACAUCACCUUGGCAGGAACCCUCUUCCUGGGGCACUCACCGUCAACAUCACCAGGGUCAUCUUGUCUGAUCUUAUAUCGCAAUGCACCGUAUACCGGGCAUGCGUUCAAAUCCUCAUAUGCACCGCGGUACAGGAUGCAGUCAUUAGGGCAUGCAUGUAUCUUCUGCACCUCCAAUCCUAGAGGGCAUACAACCUUCUUUGUUGCAUACGUAUUGUCGGGCAAUUUGUUAUCCUUUGGAAGCUUCUUCUUCAAUAUUUUCAGUAGCUUCUCAAAUCCUUUGUCAGGCACACCAUCCUCUGCCUUCCGCUGCAGCAAUUCCACUACGGUACCGACCUUUGUGUUGCCAUCUUCGCAAUUGGGGUACAAACCUUUUUUGUGAUCCUCUAGCAUGCGAUCAAACUUCAGCUUCUCCUUUUCACUUCCGCAUUGUCUCCUUGCAUCAACAAUGACCCGACGGAGAUCAUCAUCGGGCACAUCGUCUGGUUCCUCUUGAUCUUCAACAGCUUCCCCCGUUGCAGCAUCACCGUAUCCAGGGGGCACAUAGUUGUCAUCGUCCUCUUCUUCUUCGUUGUCUUCCAUCAUAACCCCUAUUUCUUCGUGCUUGGUCCAAACACUAUAGUGUGGCAUGAAACCCUUAUACAGAAGGUGGGUGUGAAUGGUUUUUGAGUCAGAGUAAGACUUUGUAUUCCCACAUAUAGGGCAUGGACAACACAUAAAACCAUUCUUCUAGUUUGCCUCAGCCACUUUGAGAAAAUUAGGCACGCCCUUAAUGUACUCGGAGGUGUGUCUGUCACCGUACAUCGAUUGCCGGUUCAUCUGCGUGCAUUAUAUAUAAUUAAGUGUGUCAAAAACCAUUACAGAACAUCACGAAUAGAUAAUUAAGUGACAAAAUUGAUAGAAGUUCAUCAUCACAUUAAAACCAAAGUACAUACAUAGUUCUGAUUGAACAACAUAUAGCUCUCCAGAGCAUCUAAUUAAUUAGACUAUACAUUGAAACUAUGUAAACCAUUUCAAUGCAAUAACAAAUGUGAUCAUAAUCGCAAACAAGGUAACAAUUGAUCUAACAGCAUAAUGAUACCAAGCCUUGGUAUGAAUGGCAUAUUUUCUCAUAUUUCUAAUCUUCAAGCGCAUUGCAUCCAUCUUGAUCUUGUGAUCAUCGACGACAUCCGCAACAUGCAACUCCAAUAUCAUCUUCUCCUCAAUUUUUUAUUGUUUCCUUCAAGAAAUUGUUUUCUUCUUCAACAAAAUUUAACCUCUCUACAAUAGGGUCGGUUAGAAUUUCCGGUUCACAUACCUCCUACAUAAAUAAAAUCUAUGUCACGUUGGUCGGUAUAAUUGUCAUAAACAAUAAAUGAACCAGAUAGUUAUAAAAGAUAAUAUAUACCACAUCUGAAUCAUAGACAGGACGAGGGCCGAUGGGGGCGGAUACCAAAACCAUCGCACUACAUAAUAAGAAGCAAUACUAAGAAAAAGAAAAUUAUACAAGUAUCUAUCUAAACAUACAACUAAGAAUAUUUUUCCUUUCAGAAAUAAGAUAAGAACAAGAGGCUCACCACGGUGGUGCCGGCGACGAGAUCGGCACGGGCGAUCGACGGCGGUGAAGACGGGGACGGGACAUGACAUACCGCUCAACCUAGAAAAAUAUUGAGGAAAAUGGAGCUUGGAGGUCGAGCUUGGGGAGGAGAAAGCUUAAGUAGUGUGGCUCGGGCAUUCCAUCAAACACCUCAUGUGCAUAGGAGGUGAGCUAGAGCACCACAAAACCCUCACCUCGCCGGCCAGAAAAAACAGAGCAGUGUGGAGUGCUCUACUCGCCGGCGAGGGGGUAUAUAUAGGCACAUCAUUGGUCCCUGUUCGUGGCUUGAACCGGGACUAAACGACACCCUAUGGUACCGGUUCAAGCCACCAACCGGGACCAAUGUUGGUGGGCCAGGAGCGAGGCCCAUUGGUCCCGGUUCAUCCCACCAACCGGGACCAAAGGGGCCAGACGAACCGGGACCAAUGCCCCCACGAGGCCCGGCAGGCGCCCUGGCCUCACGAACCGGGACCAAUUCCCCCAUGGGUCCCGGUUCGUAACUGAACCGGGACUAAUGGGCUUAUCUGGCCUGAACGAAAGCCAUGUUUUCUACUAGUGUCAUACAGUACGUACAUUAUAACCAGGCUCAUAUUUAUGAAUUGACAUAUCUGUAUUUAAACCUACAAUGUAAUUAUUAAUUAACACAAUCCCUUAUAUGCGCAAAUACAAAGUUAUUAGUAGAAAUAAGACUUUUACCGUUUCUCUUUGUCCACUUUCUUUCCCCUUGAAUGCUACUUCCAACAUUUGAUUCAACUAUUUCAAUACGAUGUCUCUUCCAAGAACUUGUAUUGUUACAUAUUGAAGCUUUAUCUCUAAUACCAAGAAUAUAUCAUAAACAUUGAGAGUAAAAGACACAACAAAAAGCUGCCUACAACAAAUAUUACCUUUUGAAGCUACAUGAACACUACUCGCCACAGAAACUUCUGUCAAAAUACUCUUGGGAACUUGCUAAACUGAAAAUGAAACAAAAAAAGAAUUGAAAUAUGAAAGAUUAUAUAAUAUCAAUAAUUUAAACUAAAAUAUAAUACAUAAUACCAUGUUUCCUGUGAUACAUGUUGGCUUAUUUGCCCAUUCAUGCAGACAUUCAGAUGACCUUGUUUCAGUACAAUACAUGCAAAAAAAAUCUAACGGCGAGAACACUUUAUCUAUAAAUCAAAUAUCUUGUAUCAUUAUAUGAUUCUUAUUGAUAUUCACUCAUGGAUUCUUUUAGCGUGCCUCAGCUUGACUUCUUGAGUUACAGAAUGUUUCACCUUCAAACAUGGUAUAGACUGUAAAAUAAAUAAACUAUAACUAUAAGACCGAACAUUUUGGAUAAGUAUCAUUUAUGUGAUCAUUGGACUUUCCAUUCAAAAUACGCUGUGAAAUUGUAGCAUCUAAGCACUACUCUAUAUUCUCCGAAACAACUUCAACACUUUUCAUAUUUACAUUUGUAUUGAAUGAAUUCUUUGGAAAAUAGUGCUUUCAGUGCAAAGACUGUCGUUUUGAAUUUCAGUUUCAAUCACUGAAUAUUAGUCUUUACAACAACAAAAUUGGAAUUGUGAUAAUAAUUUAGAGCUUCAAUUAGUAUAAUUUCACAUUAGGUUUGCUGUAAUAUUAGUACUUAUGAAUAUUUAAUCUACAAAAAAUCAAAUCAACACAAAUAGUUAAGUUUCUUUAACAUAUUAUUGGCAAUUCAAUUCUAUAGCACUAAAUUUCAGACCAAAGUAACCUAAAUCACUCUUUGUACAUAAGUAACAUGUUGUCACUGUUUUUGUUCAAACUGUAAUAUUUUGGAAUAUAAUAUUUCAGUAUGUAGAACGUCAAUAACUCCAACAAUGCCACAACCGCAAGAUUCAAGCAAUAUUAGUAUCGACAACAAAAGAUGAGUACAACAACACAAAGUCAAAAACAUAAACAUGAUGAAUAAAAUUCAAGUACUAAUAUGGUUAUUGUUCUAACGGUUCCAAACACUAGCACAUCACAAUGCUUUCAAUAUGACAAAUUAAGUUAAACUAAUAAAGAAACACACACAUGUCCUACUUUAAGUUUAAGUUUCAUUAAAAGUAACUUAACUUUAAACCUUCAAAAAUCAAGUUUUAGGUGAUGUUACUUAUUUGAACACAUUUUAAAAACAUAUAUCUAGUGCCGUUAUUUUCACCUACAUUGUAAUAUUCCAACUCAUACUAUUUCACAUUAGACAGACUCAAUAUGUCUGUCUAAUAUGUCAUACAGAUUCUGUAUUGUAAGAUCCCGUAUUCAUAUACAAGUUUUGCACAAAUUCAUAUUUAAAUGGUCAAACAUUACAAUUUUGCAUCAAAUAUGCCCACCAAUUGUAAUAUAAAACAAAUUGAGCGUGCAUACCAACUGUGACAGCUAUGCACGCAGUCACCAGCAUAUGGUCCCACAUAUAAGAAGCCACGUCACCCACAUAUGGACCUGCUUGCCAGCAUCCAUGUCAACACUAAAUUUGGCCCACAUGUUAGAAUGAUUAACUGAUCAAACGACACAUCAUCACAGAAAAAAUGUUGGCCGGUCGCACAUGUAUGUAGCCACAUCAGCAUCUUCUGGGUUCAUUUGUCCGCAGUGUUGUGAUGUCUACUAUGCAACUUAUUCUUGUAGACUCGUGUUGGGCCUCCAAGCAUAGAGUUUUGUAGGACGGUAGAAAUUUUCCUCAAGUGGAUGACUAAGGUUUAUCAAUCCGUGGGAGGCGUAGGAUGAAGAUGGUCUCUCUCAAACAACCAUGCACGCAAAUAACAAAGAGUCUCUCGUGUUCCCAACACACCCAAUACAAUGGUAAAUUCUAUAGGUGCACUAGUUCGGUGAAGAGAUGGUUAUACAAGUGUAAUAUGGAUUGUAGAUAUAGGUUUUUGUAAUCUAAAAAUAUAAAAACAGUAAGGUAGCAAGUAGUAAAAGUGAGCAAAAACGGUGUUGCAAUACUUGAAAAUAAGGCCUAGGGUUCAUACUUUCACUAGUGCAAAACCUCUCAACAAUGAUAAAAUAAUUGGAUCAUAUAACGAUCGCUCAACGUGCAACAAAGAAUCACUCCAAAGUUUCUAUCGCGGAGAAGAUAAGAUGAAAUUGUUUGUAGGGUAUGAAACCACCUCAAAGUUAUUCUUUCCAAUCAAUCUUUUGAGCUAUUCCUAUAAGUGUCACAAACAACCCUAGAGUUCAUACUAAAAUAACACCAUAUGACACGCAUCAAUCAAUCCUAAUGUCACCUAGAUACUCCAAUGUCAUCACAAGUAUCCGUGGGUUGAUUAUAUGAUGUGCAUCACACAAUUUCAGAUUCAUAAUACUCAAUCCAACACACAGAACUUCAAAGAGUACCCCAAGAUUUCUAUCGGGGAAAGGAAUAUGAAAACGCGCAUCAACCCCUAUGCAUAGAUUACCCCAAUGUCACCACGGGAAUCCGCAAGUUGAUAACUGAAACAUACAUCAAGUGUAUCAAUAGAACAUUCCAUUUUCACCAUGGAUAUCCCAUCGCAAUACAUACAUCAAGUGCUCUCACAUCCAAAAGAUUCAAUCCGACAUAACAAAACCUCAAAGGAAAAUAUUCAAUUCAUUACAAGAAGGUAGAGAAGGAAGAACACCAUAAGAUCCAAAUCUAUUAACAAAGCUCACGGUACAUCAAGAUCGUGCCAAAUCAAGAACAUGAGAGAGAGAGGGGGGAGGGAGAGAGAGAGAGAGAUCAAACAAAUAGCUACUGGCACAUACCCUCAGCCCCGAGGGUGAACUACUCCCUCCUCAUCAUGGUGGCCACCAGGAUGAUGAAGAUGGCCUCUGGUGAUGAUAUCCCCCUCCGGUAGGGUGCCGCAAUGGGGUCGCGAUUGGUUUUUCGUGGCUAUAGAGGCUUGCGGCGGCGAAACUUUUCAUCUCGGGUUCUUUUCGAGGUUUUUGGUAUUUAUAGGAAUUUUUUGUGUCGUUCUGAUGUCAAGAGAGUGCCCGAGGGGCCCACAAGCUCGAGGGCACUCCUUAGGGGAGUUGGCAUUGUUGGGGAACGUAGUAAUUUCAAAAAAUUUCCUACGCACACGCAAGAUCAUGGUGAUGGUAUAGCAACGAGAGGGGAGAGUGAUGUCCACGUACCCUCGUAGACCGCAAACGGAAGCGUUAACACAACGCGGUUGAUGUAGUCGUACGUCUUCAUGAUCCGACCGAUCCAAGCACCGAACGUAUGGCACCUCCGAGUUCAGCACACGUUCAGCUCGAUGACGAUCCCCGGGCUCCGAUCCAGCAAAGCUUCGGCGAUGAGUUCCGUCAGCACGACGGCGUGAUGACGAUGAUGAUGUUCUACCGGCGCAGGGCUUCGCCUAAACUCCGCGACGAUAUGACCGAGGUGGAAUAUGGUGGAGGGAGGCACCGCACACGGCUAAGAAACGAUCCGUAGAUCAACUUGUGUGUCUGUGGGGUGCCCCCCCCCCCCCGCCCCCGUAUAUAAAGGAGCAAGGCGGGAGGGGGCGGCCGGCCUAGAAGGGGCGCGCCAAGGGGAGUCCUACUCCCACCGGGAGUAGGACUCCCUCCUUCCUUGUUGGAGUAGGAGAAGGGGGGAAAGAGGGGGAGAGGAGGAAGGAAAGAGGGACUGCACCCCUUGUCCAAUUCGGACCAGAGGGGGGCUGCGCGCCUCCUUCCCUUCGGCCUCUCUCCUCAAUUCCCGUAUGGCCCAAUAAGGCCCAUAUACUCCCCGGCGAAUUCCCGUAACUCUCCGGUACUCCGAAAAAUACCCGAAUCACUCGGAACCUUUCCGAAGUCCGAAUAUAGUCGUCCAAUAUAUCGAUCUUUACGUCUCGACCAUUUCGAGACUCCUCGUCAUGUCCCCGAUCUCAUCCGGGACUCCGAACUCCUUCGGUACAUCAAAACUCAUAAACUCAUAAUAUAACUGUCAUCGAAACCUUAAGCGUGCGGACCCUACGGGUUCGAGAACUAUGUAGACAUGAGCUAGAACUAUUCUCGGUCAAUAACGCAAUAGCGGAACCUGGAUGUCCAUAUUGGUUCCUACAUAUUCUACGAAGAUCUUUAUCGGUCAAACCGCAUAACAACAUAUGUUGUUCCCUUUGUCAUCGGUAUGUUACUUGCCCGAGAUUCGAUCGUCAGUAUCCAAUACCUAGUUCAAUCUCGUUACCGGCAAGUCUCUUUACUCGUUACGUAAUGCAUCGUUCCGUAACUAACUCAUUAGCUACAUUGCUUGUAAGGCUUAUAGUGAUGUGCAUUACCGAGAGGGCCUAGAGAUACCUCUCCGACAAUCGAAGUGACAAAACCUAAUCUCGAAAUACGCUAACCCAACAUGUACCUUUGGAGACACCUGUAGUACUCCUUUAUAAUCACCCAGUUACGUUGUGACGUUUGGUAGCACCCAAAGUGUUCCUCUGGCAAACGGGAGUUGCAUAAUCUCAUAGUUAUAGGAACAUGUAUAAGUCAUGAAGAAAGCUAUAGCAACAUACUAAACGAUCAAGUGCUAGGCUAAUGGAAUGGGUCAUGUCAAUCACAUCAUUCUCCUAAUGAUGUGAUCCUGUUAAUCAAAUGACAACUCUUUUGUCCAUGGCUAGGAAACUUAACCAUCUUUGAUUCACGAGCUAGUCAAGUAGAGGCAUACUAGUGACACUAUGUUUGUCUAUGUAUUCACACAUGUAUUAUGUUUCCGGUUAAUACAAUGCUAGCAUGAAUAAUAAACAUUUAUCAUGAAAUAAGGAAAUAAAUAAUAACUUUAUUAUUGCCUCUAGGGCAUAUUUCCUUCAGUCUCCCACUUGCACUAGAGUGAAUAAUCUAGUUCACAUCAUCAUGUGAUUUAACACCAAUAUUCAUAUCUGUAUAUGAUUAACAUCCAUAGUUCACAUCCUUAUGUGAUCAACACCCAAAGGGUUUACUAGAGUUAAUAAUCUAGUUCACAUCGCUAUGUGAUUAACACCCAAAGAGUAUUAAGGUGUGAUCAUGUUUUGCUUGUGAGAGAAGCUUAGUCAACGGGUCUGUCACAUUCAGAGCCGUAUGUAUUUUGCAAAUAUUCUAUGUCUACAAUGCUCUGCACGGAGCUACUCUAGCUAAUUGCUCCCACUUUCAAUGUGUAUCCAGAUUGAGACUUAGAGUCACCUGGAUCGGUGUAAAAGCUUGCACCGAUGUAACUCUUUACGAUGGGCUCUUUUAUCACCUCCAUAAUCAAGAAAUACUUCCUUAGUCCUCACUAAGGAUAUUCUUGACCGAUGUCCAGUGAUCUACUCUUAGAUCACUAUUGUACUCCCUUGUCAAAUACAGAGCAAGGUAUACAAUAGGUCUGGUACAUAGCAUAGCAUACUUUAUAGAACCUAUGACUGAGGCAUAGGGAAUGACUUUUCAUUCUCUUUCUACUUUCUGCCAUGGUCUGGUUUUUGAGUCUUGCUCAACAUCAUACCUUUGUAUCAUAGGCAAGAACUCUUUCUUUGACUGUUCCAUUUUGAACUACUUCAAAAUCUUGUCAAGGUAUGUACUCAUUGAAAAAACUUAUCAAGUGUUUUGAUCUAUCUCUAUAGAUCUUGAUGCUCAAUAUGUAAAUAGCUUUACUGAGGUCUUUCUUUUAAAGAACUCCUUUCAAGCACUCCUUUAUGCUUUGCAGAAUAAUUCUACAUUAUUUCCGAUCAACAAUAUGUCAUUCACAUAUACUUAUCAGAAAUGUUGUAGUGCUCCCACUCACUUUCUUGUAAAUACAGGCUUCACUGUAAGUCUGUACAAAACUAUAUGCUUUGAUCAACUUAUCAAAACAUAUAUUCCAACUCUGAGAUGCUUGCACCAGUCCAUAGAUGGAUUGCUGGAGCUUGCACAUUUUGUUAGCACCGUUAGGAUUGCCAAAACCUUCUGGUUGUAUCAUAUACAACACUUCUUUAAUAAAUCCAUUAAGGAAUGUAGUUUUGACAUCCAUUUGCCAAAUUUCAUAAAAUGUGGCAAUUGCUAACAUGAUUCGGACAGACUUUUAAGCAUCGAUACGAGUGAGAAAAUCUCAUUGUAUUCAACACCUUGAACUUUGUCAAAAACCUUUUUUCGACAAGUCUAGCUUUGUAGAUAGUAACACUACUAUCUGUGUCCGUCUUCCUCUUGAAGAUCCAUUUAUUUAACAUGGCUUGCUGAUCAUCGAGCAAGUCAAUCAAAGUCCAUACUUUGUUCUCAUACAUGGAUCCCAUCUCAGAUUUCAUGGCCUCAAGCCAUUUCGUGGAAUCUGGGCUCAUCAUCGCUUCCUCAUAGUUCGUAGGUUCAUCAUGGUCUAGUAACAUGACUUCCAGAACAGGAUUACCGUACCACUCUGGUGCGGACCAUACUCUGGAAGACCUACGAGGUUUUGUAGUAACUUGAUCUGAAGUUUCAUGAUUAUCAUCAUUAGCUUCCUCACUAAUUGGUGUAGGAAUCACUGGAACUGAUUUCUGUGAUGAACUACUUUCCAAUAAGGGAGAAGGUACAAUUACCUCAUCAAGUUCUACUUUCCUCCCACUCACUUCUUUCAAGAGAAACUCCUUCUCUAGAAAGGAUCCAUAUUAAGCAACAAAGAUCUUGCCUUCGGAUCUGUGAUAGAAGGUGUACCCAACAAUUUCCUUUGGGUAUUCUAUGAAGACGCACUUCUCCGAUUUGGGUUUGAGCUUAUCAGGAUGAAACUUUUUCACAUAAGCAUCGCAGCCCCAAACUUUAAGAAACGACAACUUGGGUUUCUUACUAAACCACAGUUCAUAUGGUGUCGUAUCAAUGGAUUUAGAUGGUGCCCUUUUAACUUGAAUGCAGCUGUCUCGAAUGCAUAACCCCAAAACAAUAUUGGUAAAUUAGUAAGAGACAUCAUAGAUCGCACCAUAUCCAAUAAAGUACGGUUACGAUGUUCGGACACACCAUAACGUUGUGGUGUUCCAGGUGGCGUGAGCUGUGAAACUAUUCCACAUUGUUUUAAUUGAAGACCAAACUCAUAACUCGAAUAUUCGUCUCCGCGACCAGAUCGCAGAAACUUUAUUUUCUUGUUACGAUGAUUCUCCACUUCACUCUGAAAUUCUUUGAACUUUUCAAAUGUUUUAGACUUGUGUUUCAUUAAGUAGAUAUACUCAUAUCUGCUCAAAUCAUCUUGUGAAGGUCAGAAAAUAACGAUACUCGCCACGAGCAUCAAUACUCAUUGGAUUGCAUACAUCGAUAUGUAUUAUUUCCAAUAAAUCAGUAGCUCGUUCCAUUGUUCCGAAGAACGGAGUUUUAGUCAUCUUGCCCAUAAGGCACGGUUCGCAAGCAUCAAAUGAUUCAUAAUCAAGUGAUUCCAGAAACCCAUCAGUAUGGAGUUUCUUCAUGCGCUUUACACCGAUAUGACCCAAACGGCAGUCCCACAAAUAAGUUGCACUAUCUUUAUUAACUCUGCAUCUUUUGGCAUCAAUAUUAUGAAAAAUAUGUGUAUCACUACGAUCGAGAUCCAACAAACUAUUUUCAUUGGGUGUAUGACCAUCAAAGGUUUUAUUCAUUUAAACAGAACAACAAUUAUUCUCUGAUUUUAAAUGAAUAACUGUAUUACAAUAAAUAUGAUCAAAUCAUAUUCAUGCUCAACGCAAACGACAAAUAACAUUUAUUUAGGUUCAACACUAAUCCCGAAAGUAUAGGGAGUGUGCGAUGAUGAUCAUAUCAAUCUUGGAACUACUUCCAACACUCAUCGUCACUUCCCCUUCAACUAGUCUCUGUUUAUUCUGUAUCUCCUGUUUCGAGUUACUAAUCUUAGCAACCGAACAAGUAUCAAAUACUCAGGGGUUACUAUAAACACUAGUAAGGUACACAUCAAUAACCUGUAUAUCAAAUAUAACCUUGUUCAGUUUGCCAUCCUUCUUAUCCACCAAAUAUUCAGGGUAUUUUCAUUUCCAGUGAUCAUUUCCUUUCCAGUGUAAGCACAUAGUUUCAGGCUUUGGUUCAGCUUUGGGUUUCUUCGUGGGAGUGACAACUUGCUUGUCAUUCUAGUUGAAGUUCCCCUUUUUUUUCCUUUGCCCUUUUCUUGAAACUAGUGAUCUUGUCAACCAUCAACACUUGAUGCUCUUUCUUGAUUUCUACCUUCGUCAAUUUCAACAUCACGAAGAGCUUGGGAAUUGUUUUCGCCAUCCCUUGCAUUAUAGUUCAUCAUGAAGUUCUACUAACUUGGUGGUGGUGACUAGAGAAUUCUGUCAAUCACUAUCUUAUCUGGAAGAUUAACUCCCACUUGAUUCAAGCGAUUGUAGUACCCAGACAAUCUGAGCACAUGCUCACUAGUUGAGCGAUUCUCCUCCAUCUUUUAGCUAUAGAACUUGUUGGAGACUUCAUAUCUCUCAACUCGGGUAUUUGCUUGAAAUAUUAACUUCAACUCCUGGAACAUCUCAUAUGGUCCAUGACAUUCAAAACGUUUUUGAAGUCCCGAUUCUAAGCCGUUAAGCAUGGUGCACUAAACUAUCAAGUAGUCAUCAUAUUGAGCUAGCAAAACGUUCAUAACGUCUGCACCUGCUCAUGGAAUAGGUCUGUCACCUAGUGGUGCAUCAGGGACAUAAUUCUUCUAUGCAGCAAUGAGGAUAAACCUCAGAUCACGGACCAAGUCCGCAUCAUUGCUACUAACAUCUUUUCAACUUAGUUUUUCUCUAGGAACACAUAUAAAAACAUAGGGAAGCAAAAACAUAGGGAAGCAACAACGCGAGCUAUUGAUCUACAACAUAAUUUGCAAAAUACUACCAGGACUAAGUUCAUGAUAAAUUUAAGUUCAGUUAAUCAUAUUACUUAAGAACUCCCACUUAGAUAGACAUCCCUCUAAUCCUCUAAGUGAUUACGUGAUCCAUAUCAAGUACACCAUGUCCGAUCAUCACGUGAGAUGGAGUAGUUUCAACGGUGAACAUCAAUAUGUUGAUCAUAUCUACUAUAUGAUUCACACUCGACCUUUUGGUCUCCGUGUUCCGAGGCCAUAUCUGUAUAUGCUAGGCUCGUCAAGUUUAACCCGAGUAUUCCGCGUGUGCAACUGUUUUGCACCCGUUGUAUUUGAACAUAGAGCCUAUCACACCCGAUCAUCACGUGGUGUCUCAGCACGAAGAACUUUCGCAACGGUGCAUACUCAGGGAGAACACUUCUUGAUAAUUAGUGAGAGAUCAUCUUAAAAUGCUACCGUCAAUCAAAGCAAGAUAAGAUGCAUAAAGGAUAAACAUCACAUGCAAUCAAUAUAAGUGAUAUGAUAUGGCCAUCAUCAUCUUGUGCUUGUGAUCUCCAUCUUCGAAGCACCGUCGUGAUCACCAUUGUCACCGGCGCGACACCUUGAUCUCCAUCGUAGCAUCGUUGUCGUUACGCAAUCUAUUGCUUCUACGACUAUCGCUACUGCUUAGUGAUAAAGUAAAGCAAUUACAGGGCGUUUGCAUUUCAUACAAUAAAGCGACAACCAUAUGGCUCCUGCCAGUUGCCGAUAACUUCGGUUACAAAACAUGAUCAUCUCAUACAAUAAAAUAUAGCAUCACGUCUUGACCAUAUCACAUCACAACAUGCCCUGCAAAAAAAAGUUAGACGUCCUCUACUUUGUUGUUGCAAAUUUUACGUGGCUGCUAGGGACUUUAGCAAGAACCAUUCUUACCUACGCAUCAAAACCACAAUGAUAGUUCGUCAAGUUAGUGCUGUUUUAACCUUCGCAAGGACCGGGCGUAGCCACACUCGAUUCAGCUAAAGUGAGAGAGACAGACACCCGCCAGCCACCUUUAAGCACAAGUGCUCGUAAUGGUGAAACCAGUCUCGCGUAAGCGUACGCGUAAUGUCGGUCCGGGCCGCUUCAUCUCACAAUACCGCCGAACCAAAGUAUGACAUGCUGGUAAGCAGUAUGACUUGUAUCGCCCACAACUCACUUGUGUUCUACUCGUGCAUAUAACAUCAACGCAUAAAACCUAGGCUCAGAUGCCACUGUUGGGGAACGUAGUAAUUUCAAAAAAAUUCCUACGCACACGCAAGAUCAUGGUGAUGGUAUAGCAACGAGAGGGGAGAGUGAUGUCCACGUACCCUCGUAGACCGCAAACAAAAGCGUUAACACAACGCGGUUGAUGUAGUCGUACGUCUUCACGAUCCAACCGAUCCAAGCACCGAACGUACGGCACCUCCGAGUUCAGCACACGUUCAGCUCGAUGACGAUCCCCGGGCUCCGAUCCAGCAAAGCUUCGGGGAUGAGUUCCGUCAGCACGACGGCGUGAUGACGAUGAUGAUGUUCUACCGGCGCAGGGCUUCGCCUAAACUCCGCGAUGAUAUGACCGAGCUGGAAUAUGGUGGAGGGGCGCACCGCACACGGCUAAGGAACGAUCCGUAGAUCAACUUGUGUGUCUAUGGGGUGCCCCCCGCCCCCGUAUAUAAAGGAGCAAGGCGGGAGGGGCGGCCGGCCUAGAAGGGGCGCACCAAGGGGAGUCCUACUCCCACCGGGAGUAGGACUCCCUCCUUCCUUGUUGGAGUAGGAGAAGGGGGGAAAGAGGGGGAGAGGAGGAAGGAGAGAGGGACUGCACCCCUUGUCCAAUUCGGACCAGAGGGGGGCUGCGCGCCUCCUUCCCUUCAGCCUCUCUCCUCAAUUCCCGUAUGGCCCAAUAAGGCCCAUAUACUCCCCGGCGAAUUCCCGUAACUCUCCGGUACUCCGAAAAAUACCCGAAUCACUCGGAACCUUUCCGAAGUCCGAAUAUAGUCGUCCAAUAUAUCGAUCUUUACGUCUCAACCAUUUCGAGACUCCUCGUCAUGUCCCCGAUCUCAUCUAGGACUCCGAACUCCUUCGGUACAUCAAAACUCAUAAACUCAUAAUAUAACUGUCAUCGAAACCUUAAGCGUGCGGACCCUACGGGUUCGAGAACUAUGUAGACAUGACCUAGAACUAUUCUCGGUCAAUAACCAAUAGCGGAACCUGGAUGUCCAUAUUGGUUCCUACAUAUUCUACGAAGAUCUUUAUCGGUCAAACCGCAUAACAACAUAUGUUGUUCCCUUUGUCAUCGGUAUGUUACUUGCCCGAGAUUCGAUCGUCAGUAUCCAAUACCUAGUUCAAUCUCGUUACCGGCAAGUCUCUUUACUCGUUACGUAAUGCAUCAUUCCGUAACUAACUCAUUAGCUACAUUGCUUGCAAGGCUUAUAGUGAUGUGCAUUACCGAGAGGGCCCAGAGAUACCUCUCCGACAAUCGGAGUGACAAAACCUAAUCUCGAAAUACGCCAACCCAACAUGUACCUUGGAGACACCUGUAGUACUCCUUUAUAAUCACCCAGUUACGUUGUGAUGUUUGGUAGCAUCCAAAGUGUUCCUCCGGCAAACGGGAGUUGCAUAAUCUCAUAGUUACAGGAACAUGUAUAAGUCAUGAAGAAAGCAAUAGCAACAUAAUAAACGAUCAAGUGCUAGGCUAACGGAAUGGGUCAUGUCAAUCACAUCAUUCUCCUAAUGAUGUGAUCCCGUUAAUCAAAUGACAACUCUUUUGUCCAUGGCUAGGAAACUUAACCAUCUUUGAUUCACGAGCUAGUCAAGUAGAGGCAUACUAGUGACACUAUGUUUGUCUAUGUAUUCACACAUGUAUUAUGUUUCCGGUUAAUACAAUUCUAGCAUGAAUAAUAAACAUUUAUCAUGAAAUAAGGAAAUAAAUAAUAACUUUAUUAUUGCCUCUAGGGCAUAUUUCCUUCAGGCAUGCCCCCAGGGCUUGUGGCCUUCUUGUCCACUUCCUGGUCCAACUCCGAUGCUUCGGAGGUCUCUUUUAGUCCAUAAAAAAUCGCCAUAAAUUUUUAGCCCAUUUCGAAAACUUCUAUUUCUGCACAAAAAACGACAUCAUGGUAGUUGUGCUGAAAACAGCGUUAGUCUGGGCUAGUUCUAAUCAAAUCAUAGCAAAAUCAUAUAAAAUUGUUGUAAACAUGACAUGAAUACUUCAUAGAUUAUAGAUACAUUGGAGACGUAUCACGUUGAAUUGUCAAAAAUGACGCCCGACUUAUUACUAACGGGGCCGUCAGUGAUAAAACCAACGGCAAACCCACAUGGAAGCUGCCACAUCAGCUACUGCAAGCCCUAGUUAUCAGAAUCUUUGACCAGUCAAACCCACGGAUCUAUUACUGCUAACGGAUUAUCUUCAGCUAAAAACGAUCUUAGGUAAUAGAUUAGCCUAUUAUAGGUGACAGUCUAGGCCGUCACUGAUACGUCUUCAUCAUAUCUACUUUUCCGAACACUUUUGCUCUUGCUUUGGACUCUAAUUUGCAUGAUUUGAACGAGACUAACCCGGACUGCCGCUUUUUUCACCAGAACUACCAUGGUGUUGUUUUUUUGCAGAAAUAAAAGUUCUCAGAAUUGGAGGAAACUUCUUGGAGCUUUUUUAUGGAAUAUAUAAAAAAUACAGGAGCCAAGACUUAGAGGAGGGGAACCACUAGUGACCCACGAGCCACCACGGCACGCCCUGGUGCCUCGCGGGGCCUACGUGGCUUGAUACAUCUCCAUAGUAUCUAUUUUUCCAAAAACUUUUGCUCUUAUUUUGGACUCUAAUUUGCAUAAUUCGAAUGAAACUAACCCGGAUUUACGCUGUUUUCAGCAGAAUUGCCAUGGUGUUGUUUUUGUGCAGAAAUGAAAGUUCUCGGAUUGACCUGAAAAUUUAUGGAGAAUAUUUAUGGAAUAUAUAAAAAAAUACUGGCGGAAUAAAAUACUAGAGGUGGGCCACCCAGGAGCCACAAGCUCAGGGGGAGCGCCCACCCCCCGAGGGCGUCCUAUGAGCUUGUGGGCCCCCUGAACCUCUGACAACCCUAACUCCAACUCCAUAUAUACCUAUUCACCAAGAAAAAAAAUCAGAGAGAAGGAUUCAUCGCAUUUUAUGAUGCGGAGUCGCCGCCACCUCCUGUGUUCACUAGUGCAGAAUCGGGCUAUUGUCCCGGUUUGUAAGGGCCUUUAGUGCCGGUUUUGCAACCGACAGUAAAGGGUGGGAACUAAAGCCCCCCCCCCUUUAGUCCCAGUUCAUCACGACCUGGUACUAAAGGCCCACCACAUGGCACUAGCCCACGCCGGGGGCUAGGGGCCGGUUAGUAACACCAACCAGGACUAAAGGAAAAUUUUUAAUUUUUUUUUAUUUUUUUGAUUUUUUUUCUGAUUUUCAAAUUUCUAAAUUAUUUUACAAUUUAAUCUCUAAUCACCCCUCAUACUGCUCAAGUGUGGAGCACUCAUUCCAAAUCAUCUAACUUCCUGGCCGGUCACCCGUCCUCUCACUACUCCAGCCUACGCACGCUUAACUUCCGAGUUCUAUUUCCCAUAGUUUCUAAGUCUGCACUUGUUGUUUUCCUGACAAUAGUAAGAUUUCAAUCCUAUGAACCCUCAGGAGUUUAGCUUGAGCAUUAAGUCACAUGUUUCACUGUUUGAGUUUGAAACUAUUAUUGCAAAAAACAAUAAUUAUUUAGUAACAGUAAUAUUUCUUGAAUAAGUAGUUUCACCAUAGUAUGACCAGAUUUGACCAUAAUUCAAGAAAACUAAAAUAAUUAUUUAGUAACACUAAUAUUUCUUGAAUAAUUAUUUAGUAACAAUAAUAUUUCUUGAAUAAGUAGUUUGACCAGAUUUAACCAAAACUGAAAAAAAACUUAAAUUUGAGGAUAACUUUUUUCCUUUCAGAAUUUGAGGAUUCUAAAAAUUUGCAAAAUGGCCUACGGCGGUCGAAAUUGAAACUGGCUUUUCGUGCUGAACAUUUUGAUAUAUAUACAUUUUUUCGACAUCGUAUGCAAAAGUUAUAGUCGUUUUACAUUUUCAUAACACUUUUUUGCAAAACAUGUCGAAAUUUAUGUUUUUAAAUUUCCCUAACUAGUAGAUGUAGUAACAUAACUACAUCUCGAAGGAUUUUAGUUUUUGAAGUUUUUAUCAUUUUCUUUUUUUUAACUGAAAUGGCGAUACCCGGGGGGUAGAGUUUGAAAAUUGCCCUUUAGUCCUGGUUUGUGUAUUCAACCGGGACUAAAGGUUAGACCCCUUUAGUCCCGGUUUGUGACACAAAUCGGGACUAAAGGAAUAACCUAUAGUCACAAACCGGGACUAAAGGGGCUCGUGGGGCCCUGCCCUGACGCUAGCCUGCCACCACCCCUUUAGUCCCGGUUUGUGACACAAACCGGGACUAUAGGUACACCACGAACCGGGACUAAUGAUGCCAUAAUCAAACAGGGAUUAAUGGGCACAUUAGUAUCAGGUCGUAAUCAAACCGGGACUAAUGAGGUGAACGUAAGGUCGUUUUUCUACUAGUGGUUCUUCAUCGGGAGGGCUGAUCUGGAGUCUGUUCGGGGUUUUGGAGAGGGGAAUUCAUCGCCGCUAUCAUCAUCAACCUUCAUUCACAUCCAAUUUCAUGAUGCUCACUAUCGGGAGUGAGUAACUCCUUCCUAGGCUUGCUGGACGGUGAUGGGUUGGAUGAGAUUUAUCAUGUAAUCGAGUUAUUUUUGUUAGGGCUGAUACGUCUCCAAUGUAUCUAUAAUUUUUUGUUGUUCCAUGCUAUUAUAUUAUGAUUCUUGGAUAUUUUCAAUCAUUUUAUAGUCAUUUUAUAUCAUUUUUUGGUACUAACCUACUGACAUAGUGCCGAGUGACACUUGUUGUUUUCUGCAUGUUUUUUACAUUGGAGGAAAUCAAUACCAAACGGAGUCCAAAUGCAGCGAAACUUAUUGUGGAUAUUUUUGGGCCAGAAGACAUCCAAUGGGCCAGGAACGCACCUAAGGGGAGCUCCGAGGGGAGCACAACCCACCAGGGCACGCCUGGGGGCCCAGGCAUGCCCCGGUGGGUUGUGCCCUCCUCGUUGGCCUCCCGCACCGCCUAUUUGCUCUAUAAAUACCCCAAUAUUCCAGAAACCCUAGGGGAGUCGACGGAAAUCAAUUCCAGCUGCCGCAGAGUCCAAAAACACUAGAUCCAAUCUAGACACCAUCUCGAAGGGGUUCAUCAUGUCCAUUGGUGCCUCUCCGAUGAUGCGUGAGUAAUUCUUUGUAGACCUACGGGUCCGUAGUUAGUAGCUAGAUGGCUUCCUCUCUCUCUCUUUUGAUUAUCAAUACAAUGGUAUCUUGGAGAUCCAUAUGAUGUAAGUCUUUUUGCAGUGUGUUUGUUGGGAUCCGAUGAACUUUGAGUUUAUGAUCUGAUCUAUGUUUUUAUCCAUGAAAGUUAUUUGAGUCUUCUUUGAUCUCUUAUAUGCAUGAUUGAUUAUAGCCUCAUAUUUCUUCUCCGAUAUUUGGGUUUUUUUGGCCAACUUUAUCUAUUUAUCUUGCAAUGGGAAGAGCUGCUUUUUGAUGGGUUCGAUCUUACGGUGCUUGAUCCCAGUGACAGAAAGGGAAAUGACACGUAUGUAUCAUUGCUAAUAAGGAUAACAAGAUGGGGUCUAUUUCUACAUAAAUAGAUCUUGUCUACAUCAUGUCAUCGUUCUUAUUGCAUUACUCUGUUUUUCCAUGAGCUUAAUACACUAGAUGCAUGAUGGAUAGCGGUCGAUGUGUGCAGUAAUAGUAGUAGAUGCAGGCAGGAGUCGGUCUACUAAUCUUGGAUGUGAUGCCUAUAUAAUGAUCAUUGCCUGGAUAUCGUCAUGAUUAUUUGAAGGUCUAUCAAUUGCCCAACAGUAAUUAUUUUCCCACCGUUUGCUAUUUUUCUUGAGAGAAGCCACUAGUGAAACUUAUGGCCCCCGGGUCUCUUUUCAUUAUAUUUUCCUUUGAUUUUAUUUUCAAAUCUAUUAAACCAAAAAUACAAAAAUAUCUUGCUGCAAUUUAUUUAUUUUGCGAUCUAUUUAUCCUAUGUACCACAAUUGUCUCACGUUAUCUUGCCUACUUGAGGCGCCGUACCCGAAAGGGAUUGACAACCCCUUUAACACAUUGGGUUGGGAGUAUUUGUUAUUUGUGUGCAGGUGCUGUUUACGUGGUGUUAGGAGGUUCUCCUACUGGUUUGAUAACCUUGGUCUCAUCACUGAGGGAAAUACCUACCGUCGCUAUACGGCAUCAUCCCUUCCUCUUUUGGGAAAUACCGACGUAGUUCUACCAGACAUCAAGGGCUUGAUCCCUAGUAUCCACUAUGUUCUGAUAUUGAUGUUGUUAUGACUUUGCUAUGCUUAAUGCUUGUCACUAGGGCCUGAGUGUCAUGAUUUCAAACCUGAACCUAUUAUGUUUUCAUAAAUAUAUGUGUGUUCUUCAUCCUGUCUUGCAAGUUAUAUGCACCUAUUACGUGUUAUGAUCCGCAUACUGCAAAGUGACAAUAGUUGGGAUUCUUUCUAGUGAUUACCGUAGUUUGAGGAGUCCACAUAUUUACUAAGUGCUAAUGCUUUGUUCUGGUUCCCUAUUAAAAGGCGGCCUUAAUAUCCCUUAAUUGCCUUAUGGACCCCGCUGCCACGGGAGGGUAGGACAAAAUAUGUCAUGCAAGUUCUUUUCCACAAGCACACAUGACCAUGUAUGGAAUACAUGCCUACUUUACAUUAAUGAAUUGAAGCUAGUUCUGUGUCGCUCUAGGUUAUAACUACUACAUGAUGAAUACCAUCCAACCAAUUAUCCAUUGUUGAUCCAAUGCAUAUGCUUUUAAUAUAUAGAUCUUUGCUAAGUUACUUUCGUUGUUUCUACUGUUAUGAUCACUACAAAAUUGCUACGGUUUCUGCUACUAUCAUUACCAAUACUAUCAAAUUGCCAUACUAGUUUUCUACUGAUCACCUUCCUGUAGAUAUUAAGUCUUUCAGGUGUGGUUGAAUUGACAACUCAACUGCUAAUACUUGUGAAUAUUCUUUAGCUCCCCUUGUGUCGAAUCAAUAAACUUGGGUUGAACACUCUACCAUCGAAAACUGUUGCGAUCCUCUAUACUUGUGGGUUAUCAACACCUUUUUCUGGCGCCAUUGCCGGGGAGCAUAGAUCUAUUUGCUGAGUCACUUGAGAUUUAUAUCUAUUGAUCAGUAUGAAGAAUCUUAAAGAUACCAGAACCAAGAUCGUUCCCUCUAAGAUGAGAGGAAGUAAGGAAUUAUCAUCUAGCUCUGCACUUGAUCCACCUUCUGUUUUGAGUAAGGUUGCGGCACCACCACCUGCUAUUAAUCCCUGACUUGGCGCAAGUAAUUGAUGGUACUACUUCUACUAUUAAUGAUACUUAUGAUGAUGCUAGUACUUUGCUUGAUAAGACUAUGCCACUUGGUGAAUUUCGUGAUGACCUACUUGCUAGAGCUAAAGAAAUUGAGAAUGCUAAAAUUGAUGAAAUUAUUGAAACUGAAAUGUUUGAAACACCUAUUAGACCUAGCUCUCCUAGAUAUGAAUUGUCUGAUAUACCUAAGGGUUAUGUUAUGGAUGGAGAGGCAGCUAGGGGUUUUCUUGUUUGCAAGGAUAGAGAUGACCUUAAGAAAUUACUAGUCAAAUUGAAAUAAAAAUCUUUGAAUGCUAGAAUGAAAUAUGAUCAUAAGUUUGCUACUUCACCUAUAUUUGUUACUAAUAAGGAUUAUGAAUUCUCUGUCUAUUUUGAGUUAAUUACUUUGGUUGAAUCCCAUCCUUUCCAUGGUUAUAGAUCUGAAACUGCUGUGGCACAUCUUACUAAACUGAAUGAUAUAGCCAUACUAUUUGCUCAUUAGUAAAAAAAUCGCUACUACUAUAUUCUUAAGUUAUUUCCUUUAUCAUUAAAGGGUGAUGCUAAGAUAUGGUUUAAUUCUCUUGCUCCUGGUUGUGUGUGUAGUCCCCAGAUAUGAUAUAUUACCUCUCUGAAAAAUAUUUUCUUGCUCAUAAGUAACAAGCUGCUUUACUGGAAAUGUUGAACUUUGUGCAAAUUAAAGAAGAGAAUCUCCCUCAAGCUUGGGGGAGGCUUCUCCAAUUACUUAAUGAUUUUCCUGAUCAUCCUCUCAGAAAAAAUGAAAUACUUGAUAUCUUUUAUAAUGGACUAACCGAUACUUCUAGGGACCACGUAGAUAGUUGUGAUGGUUGUGUUUUUAGGGAACAAACUGUUGAACAAGCUGAAGAAUUAUUGUCUUGCUCCUCCUGCUCGUGGCGCCAUGCAAUUAGCCUCUCGUGGAGCUCACGGUUGGCGGCCGACGCCUGCUCGAAGAGGAGGUUGCUGAGCUCGUCGUCCCGCCGGUGACGCGUGUCCCUCUCCUGCUGCUCGCGCGCAGUGCACUUGUUGAGCGCCACCUCGAAGGCAUCCGCGUCCGGGCCAACGAGGUAGUCCCACAGCCCGAUGAUGCCCUGUCCGCGCGGGCGCUCCUCCCCCGGCUCGAUCUUGACGGCGGGGAGGUCACCGGACUCCCUCUCCCUCUUCACCGGCAUUAGCCCCGCUCAUGAAGAGCUCCCCCUGCCAGAGUGCCUCACACGGCAAAGGUCGUACUCCUCUGUCUCGCGGCAGAGGAGGGAAUCCGCCACCGACAGCCCAUACUUGGUGUAACGCUUGGCCGAGCGCUCACUAGUAGAAAACAGGUCUUUGGUUCGGGCCUGGCCAGCCCAUUAGUCCCGGUUCAGGAACGAACCGGGACCCAUGGGGAAAUUCGUCCCGGUUCGUGAGCCCAGGGGGCCUCCGGGGACUCGUGGGCAUUGGUCCCGAUUUGUGUGGACCCAUUUGUCCUGAUUCCAGGCACGAACCGGGACUAAUGGUCCUCGCUCCUGGCCCACAGCCAUUGGUCUCGGUUCAUGGCUUGAACCGGGACAGAAUGCUGGGAUUUAGUCCUGGUUUCUACCACGAACCGGGACAAAUGAGUUGCCUAUAUAUACCCCCAUCGCCACAACAGAGCACUCCACAGUGCUCUAUUUUUUCUGGCUGGCGAGGGGAGGGCAUUCGGCUGCUCUAGCUCACCUCCUAUGCACAUGAGGUGUUCGAUGAAAUGUCCGAGCCACACUAGUUAAUCUUUGUCCUCUCGAAACUCGACCUCCAAGCUCCAUUUUCCCAGAGAUUUGUCUAGGUUUAGCGGUCCAUCAUGUCCCGUCCCCGUCUUCACCGGCUUCGAUCGCCCGCGCCGAUCUCGUAGUCGGCACCACCGUGGUGAGCCUCUUGUUCUUAUCUUCUUUCUAAAAGAAAAAAAAUCUUAGUUCAGAUAGAUACUUGUCUAAUUUUCUUACUUUUAUUAUUCCUUGUUAUUAUAUAGUGCGUUGGUUUUGGUAUCCGCCCCCGUCGGCCCUCGUCAUGUCUAUGAUUCGGAUGUGGUAUAUAUUAUCUUUUGAUAACUAUUUGGUUCAUUUAUUGUUUAUGACAAUUAUGCCGACCAACGUGACAUAGAUUUUAUUUAUCUACGAGGUGGUUGAACCGGAAAUUCCAACCGACCCUAUUGUCGAGAGGUUAAAUUUAGUUGAAGAAGAAAACAAUUACUUGAAGGAAAAGAUAAAUAAAAUUGAGGAGGAGAAGAUGAUAUUGCAGUUGCAUGUUGCGGAUGUCGUCGAUGAUCACAAGAUAAAGAUGGAUGCAAUGCGAUUGAAGAUUAGAAAGAUUAGAAAAUAUGCCAUUCAUACCGAGGCUUGGUAUCAUUAUGCAGUUGGAUCAGUUGUUACCUUGGUUGAGAUUAUGAUCGCAUUUGUUGUUGCAUUGAAAUAUUUUUCAUAAUUUCAAUGUAUGGUUUAAUUAGAUGCUAUGGAGAGCUAUAUGUUGUUCAAUGAGAACUAUGUAUGUACUUUGGUUUUAAUGUGUUGAUGAACUUCUAUUAAUUUGAUCACUUGUCUAUUCAUGAAAAGGUUGAAAAUUGAUGAUCUGGCUUUGAACUUCAAAAGAGAUUGUCUGUUUUGUACACGAAGUGCAUCCAGUUUUUGCCGUAACCCUCUCUACUUUCUUGCACAUGCUAUGUGGGGAACUUAUGAUACCAUGCCAACUUUCAACCUUUUCAGAGCUCAUUUCAAAUGCUUUUCAAUUUCAUGGUCUCAUAACUCAAAGUAAUCGGUAAAUGCAUGAAAAAUAACAAAUGAAGUCAGAAAGGGUUGAAAAUUGAUGAUGUGGCUUGUGCAUUUUGAACACAGAAAAAAUAUGGAGUUCAAAUAAGUUCAAAAAAAUAAAUCCCUUUGUAACAGACGAGUUUCCGUAUGAAACCCUGAUACUUCGAAAGAGAUUGUCCGUUUUGUACACGAAGUGCAUCCAGUUUUUGCCGUAACCCUCUCUACUUUCUUGCACAUGCUAUGUGGGUGAAAUGAUGAUACCAUGCCAACUUUCAACCUUUCCAGAGUUCAUUUCAAAUGCUUUUCAAUUUCAUGGUCUUAUAGCUCAAAAUAAUCAGUAAAUGCAUGAAAAAUAACAAAUGAAGUCAGAAAGGGUUGAAAAUUGAUGAUGUGGCUUUGAAUGGUGCAUUUUGAACACAGAAAAACUAUGGAGUUCAAAUAAGUUCAAAAAAAUGAAAUCCCUUUGUCACAGACGAGUUUCCGUAUGAAACCCUGAUACUUCGAAAGAGAUUAUCCAUUUUUGUACACGAAGUGCAUCUAGUUUUUGACGUAACCCUCUCUACUUUCUUGCACAUGCCAACUUUCAACCUUUUCAGAGUUCAUUUAAAUGCAUUCCAAUUUCAUGGUCUUAUAGCUCAAAAUAAUCAGUAAAUGCAUGAAAUAUAACAAAUGAAGUCAGAAAGGGUUAACAAUUGAUUAUGUUGAAUGGUGCAUUUUGAACACAGAAAAACUAUGGAGUUCAAAUAAGUUCAAAAUAAUGAGAUCCCUUUGUAACAGACGAGUUUCCGUAUGAAACCCUCAUACUUCGAAAGAGAUUGUCCGUUUUGUACAUGAAGUGCAUCCAGUUUUUGUCAUAACCCUAUCUACUUUCUUGCACAUGCUAUGUGGGUGAAAUGAUGAUACCAUGCCAACUUUCAACCUUUUCAGAGUUCAUUUCAAAUGCUUUUCAAUUUCAUGGUCUUAUAGCUCAAAAUAAUCAGUAAAUGCAUGAAAAAUAACAAAUGAAGUUAGAAAGGGUUAAAAAUUGAUGAUGUGGCUUUGAAUGGUGCAUUUUAAACAAAGAAAAACUAUGGAGUUCAAAUAAGUUCAAAACAAAUGAAAUCCCUUUGUAAUAGACGAGUUUUCGUAUGAAACCCUGAUACUUUAAAAGAGAUUGUCCAUUUUGUACACGAAGUGCAUCUAGUUUUUGCCGUAACCCUCUCUACUUUCUUGCACAUGCCAACUUUUAACCUUUUCAGAAUUCAUUUCAAAUGCUUUUCAAUUUCAUGGUCUUAUAGCUCAAACUAAUCAGUAAAUGCAUGAAAAAUAACANNNNNNNNNNNNNNNNNNNNNNNNNNNNNNNNNNNNNNNNNNNNNNNNNNNNNNNNNNAUGAUGUGGCUUUGAAUGGUGCAUUUUGAACACAGAAAAACUAUGGAGUUCAAAUAAGUUCAAAAAACUGAAAUCCCUUUGUAACAGAUGAGUUUCCGUAUGAAACCCUGAUACUUCAAAAGAGAUUGUCCGUUUUGUACACGAAGUGCAUCCAGUUUUUGCCGUAACCCUCUCUACUCUCUUGCACAUGCCAACUUUCAACCUUUUCAGAGUUCAUUUCAAAUGCUUUUCAAUUUCAUGGUCUUAUAGCUCAAAAUAAUCAGUAAAUGCAUGAAAAAUAACAAAUGAAGUCGGAAAGGGUUGAAAAUUGAUGAUGUGGCUUUGAAUGGUGCAUUUUGAACACAGAAAAACUAUGGAGUUCAAAUAAGUUUAAAAAAAUGAAAUCCCUUUGUAACAGAUGAGUUUCGGUAUGAAACCCUGAUAACAAAUAUGAAAUCCCUUUGUAACAGACGAGUUUCCGUAUGAAAUCCCUUUGUUUUAGAGUUCAUAAAUAACUUUUUUUACAAACUUUAAUAGCAAAAAGAAUUAUCAUAAAAUAAAAUAAAUAAGUAAUUUGAAACAAAAUAAUAUAAACUUUGAUAAAAUAUAUAAGUAGAAACAAAAUAAUAUAAACUUUGAUAAAAUAUAUAAAAAUUAUGAAACUAAAAUUGUCAAAGUAUUUUUUGUUCAAAACAUUAUAAGCAACCUCUAGUAUUAUUGAAACUAAAAUUAUAUAAAAUUGACGCAACUAAAAUUAUCAAAGUAUUUUCUCUUCAAAAUCAUUAAAAGCAAAAAAGAAUUUUCAUAAAGAACUUUUUUUGUUAGAAACUUUAAUAGCAAAAAGAAUUAUCAUAAAAUAAAAUAAAUAAGUAAUUACAAACAAAAUAAAAUAAAAUAAAUAAGUAUUUUGUUGUAUGUGGAAACAAAAAAAUAAAGCAAAAAAGAAAACAAAAAAGCUGGGGAAAAAUAAAAAAAUGUCACCUACUAGGCCACCACGGCCUGAAUACGACUAGAAACCAAACCAUGGGUCAGGAUUCAGGCCCGUAGAAGGUCCAGUAGGCCCAUCAGCCAUAGUAGUGUCAGAUUAGGCCUAAAGCCUGCAAUGGAGAGGAGCUCGAGAGGGGUGUGGCAGUGGGGCUUAUAAACCACUGCGCGCCCCUCUCAACUAGUGAGGUGUGACUANNNNNNNNNNNNNNNNNNNNNNNNNNNNNNNNNNNNNNNNNNNNNNNNNNNNNNNNNNNNNNNNNNNNNNNNNNNNNNNNNNNNNNNNNNNNNNNNNNNNNNNNNNNNNNNNNNNNNNNNNNNNNNNNNNNNNNNNNNNNNNNNNNNNNNNNNNNNNNNNNNNNNNNNNNNNNNNNNNNNNNNNNNNNNNNNNNNNNNNNNNNNNNNNNNNNNNNNNNNNNNNNNNNNNNNNNNNNNNNNNNNNNNNNNNNNNNNNNNNNNNNNNNNNNNNNNNNNNNNNNNNNNNNNNNNNNNNNNNNNNNNNNNNNNNNNNNNNNNNNNNNNNNNNNNNNNNNNNNNNNNNNNNNNNNNGUGGCACCAACUGGGACUAAAGGGUGCAUUGGUCCCGGUUGUGCCACGAACCGGUACCAAUGCCAUUGGUAUAUAAGAUAACACUUUCCAGUUUCGACCAAAUCCCCCACUUCUUCUCCCCCGACGCCCCCUGCUCCUCCUCGUUGUUGUCGCGGCCCGACGCCCCUGCUACACCUUGCUGUCACCGCUGCCAUCGACGCCAUCAGGCUGCUCACCAUCGCCGUCACUGACGCCCCUGCCCCUGCUCCUCCUCGUCGUCGUCGCCGCCCGACGCCCCUGCUCCACCUUGUCGUCGCCGCCGCCACCGAUACCGUCGCCAUCGCUGCCGCCACCGACGCCCCUGCCGGCCAUGACACGCCGCCCACCGUGCCCUGCCGCCCCCUGUGAGCACCAGCCUGCUCCCGCGCCCCUCCCCUGUCCCACGCCCCCGCGCUGCCCCGCCGGCGCCAGUGCCGGCCCCUCCGCCGUGCCCCUUCACCCCUGUGCCAUGCUACUAUUAGAUUUUUAGAUGUUUUUUAGAUGUUUUUAGAUGCUAUUUUUAGAUGUUUUUGCAUGUUUUUUAGAUUAUUUUAGUUUAUGUUUAGUUUAGUUUUAAGAUUAGGAAAAUUUUCAGAUGUGUAGUUAUAUUUAUUUAUAUGUGUAGUUAAUUUAGAUGUUGUAAUUUGUUCAUAAAAAUUGUGCACUUUUGUAUAAAAACUUUAUUUUUUCAUAUGUACGAAAGUGUAGAGUGAAAACGAAAACAAACAUAUAAGAAAAAACAAAGGAAAAAAUGAAGAAGGAAAAGAAAACCGCCUGGCUCGGCCACCACUGCAUUUUCAUAAAGUGUUUCCACCGCAUUUACAUGAGGGGGACGUCGGAAAAAAUAAGAAGAGGAAGAAGAAAAAAAGAGGAGAAGAGGAAGGAAUAGAGGAGUGGAAGACUUUUUUCUUCUACUCCUCUAUUCCUUCUUCUUCUCCUCUUUUUUUUCUUCUUCUUUUUUAUCGCGAACUAGGGCAGAGGGUCGAGGGUCGGGAACUAGGGCAGAGGGUCGAGGGUCACCCUCUCGACCAUGAUAACUUAUACCACGGGAGCACCCCCCGGCCCUCUCGCGUGACCAAAACUCUCGAGGACACCCAAACCCUAAAAAAAUGAUGUCGGUCUCCUACCCCCUCCCGCCGCACCCCUACCCGACAAACUCUCUCGAGGCCACCCAAAUUUACCAAUUUAAAAGAGCAUUGUCGUCAAGGCCACCUGAAACCCUUGAAGCGUUGUCGAGGCCACCCCAAACCCUUGAAGCGUUGCCGAGGCCACCCCAAACCCUAGAGAAGUAGCGUCGAGGCCACUAAUAUGAUUCCUUAUUGUGAUUAGCUAGCUAGUUCUAUGUUUGCCACUAAUAUAUCCAUCUGCCUUGUUUGAAUAAUAAUUGCCAUGUUGUAAAUGUUGGGGAACGUAGCAGAAAUUCAAAAUUUUCCUACGUGUCACCAAGAUCUAUCUAUGGAGAAACCAGCAACGAGGGGAAGGAGAGUGCAUCUACAUACCCUUGUAGAUUGCUAAGCGGAAGCGUUCAAGUGAACGGGGUUGAUGGAGUCGUACUCGUCGUGAUCCAAAUCACCGAUGACCAAGUGCCGAACGGACGGCACCUCCGCGUUCAACACACGUACAGCCCAGUGACGUCUCCCAUGCCUUGAUCCAGCAAGGAGAGAGGGAGAGGUUGAGGAAGACUCCAUCCAGCAGCAGCACAACGGCGUGGUGGUGGUGGAGGAGCGUGGCUAGAAGAGGAGGAAGAAGAGACGCAGGGCUGCACCAACGAGAGAUCGAAUCACGUGUUAUGGGCAGCCCUAUGCCUCACUAUUUAUAGGGGAGAGGGAGGAGGGUGCGCCCCCCUCUAGGGUUCCCACCCCUAGGGGGGGCGGCAGCCCUAGAUGGCAAAGGGGUUGGUGGCCAAGAGGGCAGAGGAGAGGGAGGCGCACCAAUAUGGGCCCUAAGGCCCAUAUCCCCUUAGGGUUUGCCCCCUUUCCACCUCUUAGGCGCCAUGUGCCCUUGUGGGAGGCGCACCAGCCCACUAAGGGGCUGGUCCCUCACCACUCUUGGCCCAUGCAAGCCUCCGGGGUUGGUGGCCCCACUUGGUGGACCCCCGGGACCCUCCCGGUGGUCCCGGUACGUUACCGAUAAACCCCGAAACUCUUCCGGUGACCAAAACAGGACUUCCCAUAUAUAAAUCUUUACCUCCGGACCAUUCCGGAACUCCUCGUGACGUCCGGGAUCUCAUCUGGGACUCCGAACAACAUUCGGUAACCACAUACAAACUUCCUUUAUAACCCUAGCGUCAUCGAACCUUAAGUGUGUAGACCCUACGGGUUCGGGAGACAUGCAGACAUGACCGAGACGUUCUCCGGUCAAUAACCAACAGCGGGAUCUGGAUACCCAUGUUGGCUCCCACAUGUUCCACGAUGAUCUCAUCGGAUGAACCACGAUGUCAAGGACUUGAUCAAUCCCGUAUGCAAUUCCCUUUGUCUAGCGGUAUUGUACUUGCCCGAGAUUCGAUCGUCGGUAUACCGAUACCUUGUUCAAUCUCGUUACCGGCAAGUCUCUUUACUCGUUCCGUAACACAUCAUCCCGUGAUCAACCCCUUGGUCACAUUGUGCACAUUAUGAUGAUGUCCUACCGAGUGGGCCCAGAGAUACCUCUCCGUUUACACGGAGUGACAAAUCCCAGUCUCGAUUUGUGCCAACCCAACAGAUACUUUUGGAGAUACCUGUAAUGCACCUUUAUAGCCACCCAGUUACGUUGUGACGUUUGGUACACCCAAAGCAUUCCUACGGUAUCCGGGAGUUGCACAAUCUCAUGGUCUAAGGAAAAGAUACUUGACAUUAGAAAAGCUUUAGCAUACGAACUACACGAUCUUUGUGCUAGGCUUAGGAUUGGGUCUUGUCCAUCACAUCAUUCUCCUAAUGAUGUGAUCCCGUUAUCAACGACAUCCAAUGUCCAUAGCCAGGAAAUCAUGACUAUCUGUUGAUCACAACGAGCUAGUCAACUAGAGGCUCACUAGGGACAUAUUGUGGUCUAUGUAUUCACACGUGUAUUACGAUUUCCAGAUAAUACAGUUAUAGCAUGAAUAAAAGACAAUUAUCAUGAACAAGGAAAUAUAAUAAUACUUUUAUUAUUGCCUCUAGGGCAUAUUUCCAACAGUAAAUAUUUGCAGAAACUAUGGAGCACCCCCGAGACGAAGCAACAAAAGCGAUGUUGGGGGACAUAAUCGCAAAUGGAAGUGAUGUCGUCUUGUCGUUUCUCAACGACAGCGAUGGUCUGGAAGGACAGGGUGAAGAAGAAGGCUAUGAUUAUGAUGGCUCCGAUGUCCCAAUGCCGGUACAAGAAGGAGACCGUGAUGACGGCUUCGGUGAACCAAUGCCGGUACAAGAAGGAGACCGUGAUGAUGGCUCCGGUGACCCAAUGUCGGUACAAGAAGGAGACUGUGAUGAUGGCUCCGGUGACCGAACCGAGUCCGGCCAGGUAUAUAUAUUAGUUAAGCAUGUGUUGACUAGCUAAUUGAUGCAUACAUUGUUUUCGUAUGUACACAUAUUAAUUAACUCUCGUCUUUCUUCUUUUUUCUAGCCCUCCGGAUCGAGCACAACUUCGGUAAAGAGAUGAGGCCCAAAGAAAAAGUUGUGCUCGGAUGAAAGGUUUGAGAUCACAGCAAUCGCACACGAUGGCAAGCCGAUUGAACCCAUCUGGAAAAAGGAAGCAUUUGCUUAUCAGUGCAGGGUUCUUGUUAGGGACAAGAUCCCAAUCAGUAUCCACCAACGGUUAAAGCCUAAUAAUGAAGACCCUGAGGUGUCUUAUGUCUCCGAUAUGCAGAAAGAUGAUCUUUGGACAACGCUUAAGGAAAAAUUCACCCUACCGCUAGAGGAGGAUCCGGAGAAGCCAGUUAAAGAGCAAUUGAUCAAGUCUCAUGCUCUUAAGAAGAUGGCAGAACUAUUCAGGAGGUGGAAGAAUGAGCUGAAAACAACGUUUGUUGACGAAGAUCUGACACCAGAAUUCACCGGCCGGUUUGAGAAGAUCAGACAUCACUGUCCCGCAUUUGUGGCCCACAAGACAUCGGACAAGAGUAAGAAGAUGUCAACAACAAACAAGAAAAAUGCUGCGAAGAAGAAGCAUCACCAUCGCACGGGGUCAGGUGGCUACCUCAAAGCCCGACUGUUGUGGGCCAAGGCUGAGAAUGGCCUGAUUGAUAAAGGGGUCGAACCAAAGACAUUGAACUGGCCAGACCGUUGCCGGACUUGGUUGUUCGGGGUUGGCGGAACCUUGGACCCUGUAUCAGGGAAGUGUGUUUGGACGGACGAGCAACUGCGAAUACCCAUCACGAGGCUUCUAGAGUAUAUCGAGGCAGCGCAGCAAGGGAAGUUCGUUCCAGACAAAGAGAAGUACGAGCUCACAAUGGCCCUCGGGAAUCCUGAGCACCCAAGACGGACACGAGGCAUGCCAGACUCCGUUCCGUGGAAGGCUGGGUUUCCGGACGCGGGGGGUUACAAAUGCCAGGAGAGGAGGAAGAAAGUGGAGCAUAGCCAACUGCAGGCGAUGCACGCAAGGGUACAAGCGAUAGAGGAAUGAGAAGCAAAUCGCAGCAAACGACCUGCCGAAGGUUCCCCUGAAGCUACCCCGCCAUCUCAGUGGAGAAGCAGCGUGGCUUCCACCGAGCAGCUUCAGCUGGAUCCUGUCUUCACGGCUCCUGCUAGCUACCCCGUGGAUGCUAUCACGGAGUCUCGACAUUGCCACCUUAUGACGCAAUGGAUGAAAUUGAAAGUCAAGGCGGUUGUUGGCUCUGUUUUACCUACUGAACCUGGCGCAACCUACCACUGCCGGUCAAUUCCAGAAGGAUAUCCUAGGGUGAUGGUGGAUGAAAUAACAGACGGAUUUGAGGACCUCGAGCUUGACCACCAUACAGGUGAAGGGGAGAUUUGGCUAGGUUCUUCUCUGAAGACUCCAUGCCUAUGGCGGAAGGAGCUCAUCAACCUUCUGAACUAGACGCCUCCGCCUCCUCCUCCUCCUCCGGCGAGUUAGGUCACUCCGCCUCCUCCUCUGCCUCCUCCUCCGGCAAGUGAUCAGGGCACUCAGCCUCCUUCUCCGGUGCGUGGCUGCACUCCGCCUCCUUCUCUGCUUGCGCUAGCGCGCCGAGCAACCAGCCUCCUCCUUCUCCGCCUGUGCCAGCGCGCCCGAGCAGCCAGCCUCCUCCUUCUCUGCAUUGUCAACAAGGGGGGGAGAGACCCGCCGCCGCUCCAGAUGCUCCGGCGCGUCGUAGUCCUUCUCCUGCGCCUCGUAAGAAAGGAAAGACAGUCGCAGCCGCUCCAUCUGCUCCGUCGUCUAGCAGUACAGCCAGAGGUGGGAGGCAAUACAGAUUCGGUCCUUCUCUGAAGACUCCAGAGAAGUUACCAUACGAGAGGAGCCUGGAGGAAAACUCGAAGAUUGUGCGAGCCCAAGUGAAGAACUUCUUUGAAGGGGUGAAAGCAAAGAAACAUCCACCUCCGGAGGAGAAGAUAGCUCCGGUGAAAGCGAAGCGUACUCUGGCUGCCCUGAAGAAACCACCAAAGUCUCCGCCGAAAGGCAACUAUGCGCACAUUAUUGAAAAGUCAUUUAUCGAAGUGGGGCGGUCGGGAAGUACUGUCAGUGAUCAAAGGUAGCAGAACGACGAGCUGGGAAAAGAAUUGCCCAGCUCGGCGAACAAGAGAACCAAUCGUUCCCCCCGCUCCAGGUGUCUAGCGUCGUCGCUAAUGAUCCGGGAAUGGUGCCCGGUUAUAACGAUCUUGGAGAUUACCUGCCCGACGAUGUACAUUAUGAUUUCUUGGAGGUGGACGAACACAAAUACGAGUACAGGAAGCCUCUCGUCAAACAUGAAAGAUCUCUAACAACGAUGAUGCGAAAAUUCCAUGAUUGGUACAUGAAAAACUACAAAGAGUCUGAGGGGAGGAAUAUUUUGACGCUGGGAGUUAAAGUGGAGAAUUACCUCAUUGGAAUUGAGCUGUUGAAUGUUCCAUUUGAGGAGUUCUUCCAAUUUUUCAAUCAAAAGGCCCUUGAUAAAUUAACGGUCACUUGCUACUGUCUGUAAGUAGUACUACUUCUGUCAUUAAGUCUUUAUAUGUAGGUCAGCUCUUUCAUUGCAUGUAUUUUUAAUUAUCCUCACUAUAUUAUGCAGAUUGAAGAUUGCCGAAUUGAAGAAAAGACAAAUCGGUGAUAUUGGGUUCAUUAACACAAAUCUCAUAGAUGCAUAUAUGGUUGAAUUUCAGGCCAGAGAUACCGAGGCCAAGCUGCUACAAUCGUUUGUAUUAAAUCAAAACAAAGCUAUAAUACUCUUUCCUUACAAUUUCAAGUGAGUGUUACUGUCUUGUGCAUAUUCGGUUUCCCUUAUUAGUCAAGGUUAUAGUAAUGUAAUUGAUGAGUUAUGCAUGCGGGCGCAGGUUCAACUAUAUUCUCCUAGAGAUUAAGCUUGAGCAGGGACUAGUAACCGUCUUAGACUCGAAACGAAAAUAUCCCAAGGAGUAUGCGGACAUGACUGAAAUUCUAGAGAAGUAAGUUAAAUCAAUCAUUAUGGCACCAUAUCGGCAACUUUGUUCAUUUCCUAAUAUCAAGUAAUUGUUUUCUUUGUCUGGCAGGGUUUGGAAAAAAUUCACCUCAAAAACUCCGGGAUUGCCGAAGAAGUUGCAAUUUAAACACCCGAAAGUAGGUACUAUAGUAGCAUGUUCCACGCAUCUCCUAGUGAUUCAAGGGCUAGCUUCAUCAAUACCAUUUAGCAUGCUUGCUUAUGAGUGUGAUUGACCUCUAUUUCUUGUAAAGUAGUUGUGGCAGGAACAAGGGAAUGAUUACUGUGGAUACUACAUUUGCGAGUCCACCCGCCACACGACCUGUGAGCGGGGCUACUCGGACAAACAAUAUGAAGUGCGUAAAUAAUAAUAUUCACAAUUUUAUUUUAUUAUCAUCAUUUGUUGAGUUUCAUUUAUUCAUAUAUAUGUAUUGACCCCCUUUUUCAAAUUAGAUAUUUCGGAUGCGGGAUGAAUUCCUACCACCAGAUCGAUUGCGAGCAAUUCAAGAGGAAUUGGCGGCAUUCUUUCUUGACCACGUGAUCGAUAAAGACAGAGAAUACCAUGUGGACCCUGAGUUCACAUAUAAUUAUGAGAUUAUAUUGUAAGAGAUAAUUAUAUUGUAUAUAUGUCGAACUUGUUGUUCGACCAAUCUCUCAGAGAAGGAGAGGUGGUCAAUAUCACUUCUCUCUGUAUGCAUAUGUUCAUGACGAUCUUCUGUUUCCUUCAUUUGCUUACUAGCUAGCGUGUCUAGUCCUCUCUAUACGUAUAGUACGUAAUGUCGACCAAGCACGGAGAUAAGAGGACACUUCUCUCUAUUAAUUAGCUAGCUAACACAAUAUAUGAAACACCUAAAUUAACCCCCCAACCCCCCCCCCUUUAAAAAAACAAAAACCCCAGCCCGAAAUGCUGACGCGAGGAUGCCUAUUGGUCCCGGUUGGUGUCACCAACCGGGACCAAAGGCCCCACAGCCUGGGCUGGCCGCAUCGGCCACGUGGAGGCCCAUCUGUCCCGGUUCAUGUAAGAACCGGGACUAAAGGCCAAGGGCAUUAGCAACGACCUUUUAGUCCCGGUUCCCAAACCGAGACAGAAGGCUCUUACGAACCGGGACAAAUGGCCCUUUUUCUACUAGUGGCUUGCACGCCGCGUCGGAGGUGACGCAGCGUUUGCGCUCCGGGUCUUGGCCGCCACCACUUCGGCCAGAGCUCCAGAUCCUCGCGGAUUGGGGCAGGGCGCGGAGUGACUUCUCACGGGUGACAAAAAAUGGAGAGGGCGAUGAGUGAGACGCGGCGAUGGGGGAUAGGGUUUCGGCCCAUAUCCGGACGGCAAGCCCGUAGAUAUAUUGCGUUGGGGGGCGAUUUGCGGGCCACCGUAAAUAUUUUAUGGGCCGAACUAUACGGGCUCUGUUCUGGCUCAAAAAUCGGGCCAAACCCAUAUAGUCGCCGGGUUUUUACCAUUUGCGCGAGUAUACGGAUCUGCUAGAGUUGCUCUUACCAUACUAGAACCGUACGAGAGCCUUGCAUAACUAUUGUUUUCCCUAAUUCUACUAUUAUUAUCCAUUGUGAGUGAAAUUGAGGAGAUGUUAAAAGUUGAUAGGGAGAUCUUAGUUACUCUUAUUAGCCGUACUAAAAAUAAAGUUAAUCAUAGCCUAGCUGCCUACGGGCGUUGUACUCCGCGGACUGCGGUGUGAUUACGAGGAGGUACAGAUGAAAUUGUGAACCUGUGCAAGGAUGAUGCACCACCUUAAGUAAUGAGAUUUUCCUUUCCACCCGCAAAAGAAAAACUGCGCCAAAAAAUAUCUGCAAGAGAUUCGGUCUCAGCAAAACCGCGUUCCUACAACCGGCUGAUCGAACUCUGCCGUGCAGAGAGCGAAACCACUUUGAGAAUUAAACUAUAUUUUCAACAUACCAAAUCCAAAUGGUAGGACCCCGGCAGUGGCGGAGCUAUGUGUGCUCCUGGGGUGGCUUGGCCCCCCAGCCUUGGCAAAAAGUGUGAAGAAAAUUUUUUAAAGGGCGUAGAUGAGUAUAAAUUUAGUAUUUGGCCCCCUCAUGUCUGGAUGAUUUUUCAUUUGCCCCCCUGAACUUCCUCCCUAGCUCCGCCAGUGGACCCCGGUUCACUGCAUCUCCCUCAUUACAACCUUUGCACAUGCCUAGGUUGUACGUUUGGAUGCGAGGCAAGGGGCAGCUCUAGCCUAAGCGCCAUUUGGUCAGCAUUGUGGAAGCACUCUAUCCCUCGGCUACCAGAAAACCUUAGCCAGUAUCCGAAUAACUAGCCUUGCUUCUAGCUGCUCUUGCCGGAGCGGGCAAGAUAAUUCCGGUCGGUGAGCUAGCUAUCCAAACGCGUACGUACUUGCUUGCCUAAUGCCUAAUGUCGACCGGAGGCGUUUAUGAUCCAUUUGGCUGGAGGCCAAGGAUUGAGAGUUAGUUUGGCAACAACAACAAAAAAUUUGUGGAUCGACGGCGGUUUCGUCUGAAUGAAAUCGGAGGGACGGGCCCCUAGUUUGUUUUUCUGUUAUAUAUAUAAAAAAUACACUAUGACGGUCGGCUCAAGCGAGUUCACUUUAGUUUUGCUCCCAUUGCUCCAUCAGUCCAAUAAUCAAUCAAUCAGUAAGUGCUUCUUCACGUGCGUGCAUAUCUGCGUAGAGCGUACUUGAUGCAUCAUCACGGUCAUCCUACUUAUGCCCUAAAUCCACUUUGGCCGUGUUGUCUCUGUCGCCUUUUCCUUGAUCGAUCAUCACGGCCUUUUGCGCUGUCACUGUCGUGUUAGUGAUUUUCACGAUCCUUGUACAGCUUCCCUAGUUACGUUCGACGUGCCCCAGCCGCAUGCCUUGCAAGCGGUCUUUCCUAGCAAGUUCCUUCUCACUUGACUUGACUCCAGGCUCCAGGUCUCGUCUUCCAGUCGGUUGACGGUUCGGUCCCACUCUUUUGAAGCCUUGUACCUGCGCGAGGAAGAGGAAGAGAGAGGGGUUCACGGGCGGCGGAGGAGAUCUUCACCGGCGGCGGCGGGACGUGGACGCGCGGCUCGGCAGCGCUGCGCGUGCGGCGUGGGUGACGGAGCGAGGUGAGGGGAUCAGGAGGAGGCAGCAGCAUGGUGGCCGGGUACCUCCUAUUUGAACAGAGAAGAUUCGGGUGCACGGGUCGACCUUAAUUACCUUCGGUAGUACCUUUGCACUUGACCUGUUGCGCGCUUUUGCUCAUAGUGCGCUGCGGAUCCGUGUCGCAUCUAGUCAGCUAUCAAAUCGUCUCCAGCUGCUAGCUGGCUAUAUAUAUGGAACAGUGAGACAGCACUGUAUACCAUGGAGACACAGCGAGAGGCGGGCACCUAACGUACCAUCCGAUUGGCGCAGCGAGAUGCGGCAGGGAACCGGCGCGGUGCUGCUGUAGCGAGCAAGGAGGAAUUGGCAACUUGGCAUCACGUCGCAUCGGUCGAUCGCGCGCGUAGAUGUUCAGAUGCAAAUUGCGUUCCUUUGGCCCCGUCACAUCUUGCUGCGGGUCAAUCAAUCUAGCCUGUCCAGUCGCUCGCGUCGCACGAUCUCGUCAUGCGUGAAACCGUCUAGCCGGCCAGCUAGCUCAUCAACAUUUUUUUUCAGAAACUUUCAAUUUCAAUCAUGAAACUACAACGCCGACCCUCAAACAUUCGACGACCGUCCGAAUCGCACUGUCCGGACUAUGGAAGCCAUCCAACGCGAUUCUGUAUCAGUCUGUGACGUGAUCUGGACGUGUUUUCUUUCACAAACUGGAGACAAAAAGGAGAGAUUUGUAGAAGUUCGGACCGUUCCAAAGGCCACUUCUAACCGCUCUGGCCCACCAAGACCAUUCCCGUCCCGUGCACGCUUCCCUCACAAUGCUAGCUGCCCAAAUUCAUGCAUACCUCUGUAGAACAUAUCGCUCCACAUUGAAGGCGGCUUAGAAGAACGGACGUGACCUCUCACUGGCUCCUUCAUUGAAGCGGCGCGCCGGCCAUGGGCGCCUCCCGCUACACGCCCGGCUAAACACGCCUCCCAGCCCGCAUUCAAACAUCUCCAUUAAAUCCACAUGAAAGUCGAGAAACCUACUCCGGCCACACGUCCGUUCAGGAGCAGGCCGGCAUUAAAUUCAACGUCGGCCGAGCUCCUCCCACCCACCUUCUAUUUAAAUGAGGCCAGAUGCCGGACAAAAAUCGCACCACUCUGCCGCUCUCUAUCUCCUUUUUCACCAUUUUUCUCCACUCUUCCGAUGGCAUACGACGUGUCGGAAGAGCUGCUCUCCAGCAUAAAAGCCGGUUGGGUCACCCGCUGAGCAAGGCAGCUCGCUGCUCCACCUCCCUCACUUAGCCCGACGGAGCUAGUUGCCGCCCCAAGCCGGUGCAUGGUUCAACAGCUCACCGCUCAAAACCAACUGACAGAGGAGUGGCGAAUUGCUCCAUCCCACGACGAGGAGCACGACAGCACGGGCAUCGUCGCUGCUGUCGACGACACCGCGUCGUCCCGCGCCUCCCAUGUCUGUGGCCGCGCCAACCGUUCCUGCGCCCACGCCUACCGUGCAUGCGCCCGCGCCUCCCGUGUUUGCGGUCGCGCCAUGCAGGCAAAGACAGAAGUCGGGUGCACGGAGAUCGACUAGUCGAUGGCCAGCGCGUCCGUGUUCACCGGCAUCAUCGAGGAGAAGUAGAACACGGGAGACCGCCGCCACUUGGGUUCCAUGAAGGCCACCGCCGAGGCGACGCCGGCGUAAAAUAGCAGGUAUCUUUCCCGGUUCUUCUUCCCCGCAGACCAUUGUCAACCUCGCAUGGGCUCCCCGCAUGGGCUCUACUAAAGCUGAGUCGUCCCCUUUCCCUCCCGCUGGAGCAUCAACCAAGGGUUUACUCCAAUGAGCGGAAAGCGAGCCGUCCUUUGCAUUGAAGUAUAUAUCUCCGAGGCUCCCGGCAGUCCGGUGAUUAGGUUGUCGAACAUGAGGAAGGCAAAGGGAUAUAUGAACGACCAUUUAGAUUAGGUAUUAAUUGUCGGAAAAACUAUUUUCCAGUCGACCCGAAACUAACAAUAGAUCCGCACUGAUCGAACUGUCAUCCCGUAAUCCACGCGCUGGGGCAAGAAAAAUAAAUGCUUGGAAAUGAGGAUCGAAGCCACGACCGCUUGAAAUAUGUUGCAUCAAGCUACCCAGCUCAUUCGACAUUAGUUGUUGUUAACACGGUCCAGAUCUUUCCUUUACCACAGUUAGGUAGUUUUUUUACCACAUUGAGUGUGACGUGAGAAAAAUGUUUUUAUUUUGCUUUUUUUAUGUGAGAAAGCUUCCCACCACGAGAGUGGCGUUUGGGCACAUGGGAGCAUAUGCUCUUGGAUUUUAAAAUGGGUUUUAAACAUAUUUUAAAAUGUCACAAAAUUCUAACAAAAUGAUUCUCGCAUACAUCUUGACAUUCUAUGUGCAUACAAACCCGUUUCGUGAAAAACCGACAACUUUUGUGUCAUGUGCAAAAAAAGACAAAAAAUAGUGUUAAAAUAGGAUUUUCAUUGGACAUUUUUUGUCCUUUCUACACAAGGCAUAUAAGAUGGCGUUUUUUCACAAAACUCGGCAUGCAUACACAUAAUGUUGAGAUGUGCGCGUUAAAUUUGUGUCGGAUUCUUUUGACAUUUUGAAAUAUAUUUUCCGAUGGCAGGAGCAUAUGCUAACAUGUGCCAAAGUGAAUUUCCGUCCCACCACGCCAUUCUUCAUGUUAGACAUAGGAAGGUUACCUUUUUGACCCACUUUGACUAUUGCAUUAGUACAUACUUUUUUCAGUUUUUUGGGCUCGUUUUUUGCGCAACUUUAGUCCUAUACCUCACGUUUAUAUGCAUGUUCAUCAAUUUUGCUCCCGCGUGCAAAUUCUCACUAACUUUUUUCCAUCGACUUUUGUGUCAACAACUUUUUUCACCAAUUAUAAAUUACCCCCGUAUUGCUUCUGGCCAUCCGUCAUUUAAAUUACCCCGGAAGUUGUCAUAAAUUGCCCAUUAUGCCACCCGUAAGUAAAACGAUUAGGUUUUAUUUUAAAAUCACUGCUGGACUCAGUUCUUAUAGCAUGAACACUGAUGUAACACAAGCACAUGGACAGCCCAUGGUUAAGGCGCUCUGUGGUAAGCGCGCCUCCUAUGUUGAGCCCCAAAAAAAAUUGACAUAACUUCCUAUAGGUUAGUUUUUGUAAGCUAUACAAAAAUGAUAAAUGCCUAUUUUGCUUUCAUACACAACUAUGUUUAUUCUUUGUACCACGGUACUGGUUAUGAUAAACACCGGUACGCUAGGUCAAGACGAGACACAUCAUUCAUCAGUCUAGCUCUGCCAGGGUCCAUCAAUGCAGUUUGCUCAACCAAUUCUUUUUUUCGUUGUGGCGUAUUAGGAAAUCAAAUCGUGAUCCGACCAUCACAUUUUUAGUUUUUGAAAUGACUUUUUAGAAGUCCCUUAUUUCAUCAUGACAUCCCUUAGACAUAGUUUGUGAAAUGAUAUUUCAAAAGUCCUUAUCUUAUCCUGGCAUUUGAUUUAGACUUUUUUAUAUCUACCACACCUGCAUAAUCUCUCGUUGCAACGCACGGGCAUAUUUGCUAGUAGAACUAAUAAAGGAAGUAUGUUACAAUUUUCAUUAUUCUUUUUGUCUGGAAAAAACUAUCGAUCUAUUCAUCAUCGAGUUGUACAAAUAACACUAAAAAUAAAAAUUACAUCCAUGCCCGUAGAUCACCUAGCGACUGUUGGAGUUGUGUCGAAUAUUUUGUAUAAUGUAGAUUGCAAUUGAAGUUGGAGUCGCAUGGUGUGUAGACAGGGUAUGUUGUAGUGUCCUAGUAGGACUCUUAUAUCCUAGACCUCCUAUGUAAUGUGAGAUAGACACAUGAUGUAAUCUAUGCCAACGUAAUAGAACAGGCACACAUCGGGAGCCAGCAGUUGAAGUGCUGUAUUGUGACGGUGUCACAGGGAGUGCACCCAUUAUCAUAUGCCUCGGGGAUGUAGUAAUAUAGAUGAACCUCUCGUUAGCAAAUACCUAUGGUGUGCCUCGUGUGAUUGCUUGGUCUUUGACAGAUCAACUACGUGCCUCGGUUUAUUCUAACCAGUGAUAUUAUGAGGUAGGUUCUUCGGAUGUGGAGGUUUAGCAGAAUUCGAUGAGAUGGAUGGUUGGUCCUGGACAUCAGUCGAUGCUUGGCGAGGAAAUUCUACACUGGAUUAGAAGCAAUUGGAAAUAGGUGGCUACCGGUGAGGUACAUUUUGCAGCCGGCAGCGUGUUCUGUGCGAGGGCUUGUGGCGAGAUCGGUUCAAUACGAUGGGACGCAUGCAAGCAUCGUAGUGCGAGGCAGAGAGCAACAAGUUAAGAGCGCUCCUUCGGAAGUCUCACAAUUAUGAACGUCAUUUGGCGUGCUCUCAGCCGCCGCCACGUGUUGCACUUUGGACGCUCCCUUUGGACUUUGUUUUCUUAUUUUUCCGCAUGUGUUUUCAGAUUUUUAAACUUUUUUUACUUUGUGGUUUUUCACCGGUCUUCAGGCUUUUGGACCAAAUUCUUUUUACAAAAAGAAAUUUACUUUCUGCGCGAAAAAUGCUUUUUUUCUUUCGUGAGAGGCACAACCAUGCCUCUUUAUUUCUUCCGCGUGAGGCACAAUUUUAUUUCCACGAGAGGCACGGUUUUUGCUUUUGCGAGAGGCACGGCCGUGCCUCUUGGAAACGAAAAAAAAUGUGUUUUCAGUUUUUUUCCUUUCGCGAGAGGCACGGUUUUGCUUCCGCAAGAGGCACAGCCGUGCCUCUCGUAAAUAAAAAAACAUGUUUACUAUUUUUUUCCUCCAUGAAAUGCAUAGUUGUGCUUUCGUGAGAGGCACUGGUGUGUCUCUCAAAAACGAAAAAAAACGUGUUUUCUGUUUUUUUUCGUCCGCAAGAGGCACGGUUGUGAUUUCUCAAGAGGCACGACCGUGCCUCUUUCGAAAAGAAGAAAAACGUGCUUCCAGUUUGAUUUUUUUCGUCAACAUGCGAUCUAGUUUUGAAAAUCUUGACGCGAGGAAUCAAAAUAUCGAAUAAUGAAAACAGUUCGAGAUUUGGACGCACGGUUUAAAAGAUAAGACGUUUUAAUAAACGUAUCUAAAAAAAGAGAAAACUCUCAGGUUACGACAAGUGACACACACAAUGUGUCAUUUAUCACAACGUGAGAACAUGGGAGUCAUCAUCGCAAGGAGUACUACUCAGGGCGAGAAAGCUAGUCGGAUCGAACGAGAUGGCUGAAGCGGAUCGAUCCAGUAGAUCGCAUGCACAUGGCGGCCAUGAAAAAGAUGCAAAAUAAAGAGGAGCCGAAGCGAUUUACGCUAGUACCGCUGUCUGCGACGUGGCCAACUUAAUGUACAUAGUGAGCGUAGUGAACGUAUAUGUGCAUUUUUUUUAAAGUGUAUAUUUAGAAAAAGUGCGAACAUUUUUCAAAUGACUGAACAAAUUUUUGUAGAGUUCCAAAAAAAUAGAAAAUAUGAACAUAUUUCAAAAUCCGUGAAUAUUUUUUUAAUACACGACCAUCUUUUGAUCUAUGAACAAUUUCUGAAAAAUGAAAAUUUUUGUUUACUAAAAACACUAGCAAUCUUUGAAAAAUUAGAACACAUCUUGAAAUUCUAAUAAAAUUAUAAAAUGAGAUCAAAAAUAAAUAUUCCGAACAAUUUUUCAAAACACCAACAAUUUUUAAAACUCUGAAAAUUUUGAAAAGUGAACAAAUUUUGUAAUUACGGACAUUUAUUGAAAUUGGAACAAUUUUUAGAAUUCUGAAUAUGUUUUGAAAAUCUGAAGAAAAUAUGAUUCUUUUUUUUGAAAUGCAACAAACAUUUUGUUAAUACAGUAACAAUUUAAGGGCUGGCAGGCUGGCCCAGGCAGGGCGGCCGAGGCGCGGACGUGUGGGCGCUGGGCUACACAGCGAUUUGCGGGCGCACCUUAUAUCUCGCCUUCAGCGAGUCUGGCUUUGGACUCAAUAAAGGAGCGACUGAGCUGGGCCGGCCCACUAGUGCGGGGUGCCACAGCCUCUUUUUUUCUGAAAUGUUAUAUUUUACUUUUUUUCUAGUUUUUUUAAAACAUUCGAAAUAUGUAUAUGAAAAAACUUUUCAAAAAACAUUUUAAAAAUAAUUACAAAGUAUUUGAAAAAUAUUGAACUAUUACUUAAAAAAUGUUGGAACAAGUAUGUAAAAAAAUAUUGAUCAUGUAUAAAAAAAAAAUGAUCAAGUAUUUGAAAAAAUGGUGAACAAGUAUUUGAAAACAUGUUGAUCAUGUAUAUGAAAAAAUAUUGAUCAAGUAUUUAAAUAAUUAUUUAAAAAAUAUUUAAAAUAUAUUGACCACGUAUUUGUAAACAUAUUCAUCAUGUAUAUUAGAAUAUAGAAUGAAAAAAAAGGAACAAAGAAAAAAGAAAAAGAUGAAAACCCGAAAUAAACAAAAUAGAUCAAAAGAAAAGGAAAAUGAAAAUAAUGAAGAAACAAAUGAAAAAACCCAGAGUAGAAAAAAAACAAAAUAAUAACAAAAAAUCAGAGAAAAAAAAAGAAAGGGACAUUUACAUUUGUGCCCUUAAAUCGAACCCACUACUCAAAUUUACAGCUAAUUUUGAAGUGUGUUAAAAUUUGUUCUUCUAGCAUUUGUUCUUCUUAUAGAAAUGUCCUUCCGUACCAUUGCCUGGCUAGCUGGCUUUGACCGUUUAUUAGACAUUUUCUGGACGUUGUUGCCCAUACCGAAUUAACUCACUGACAUGCGGGGCCACUUUAAAAAAAUAUAAAGAAAAUACUCUUUCUCUCACCCCCCCUCUCUCUCACUCACUUACAUGUGGGGCCCAACCAGAAUAAUAAAGAUAAAAAACUUUCUCUCACAACUUCUCUCUCCCUGACAUGUGGGCCAUGGGACCCAAUGCCAGAGUGAACAAUGGUCCACACAUGCCCGGUCGUGAGCGGCUGUUCACCGGCGGCUGCGUUCGCCGGCGGCUCGCCAUAGGCAGCCGAAAUACCGCGAGAGGAGGGGCGAGGCAUGCGGUGUAGCUGCGCGAGGCACGCCAGAUACGUUGGGCACGACAAGGGUAGGCGGGCGAGCGCACGGCUAUCCAGCCGAGGUCGAUCAUGGCGGCCGGCUUCGGCCAGGGGGCAUCGGGCAUGGAAUCGGACGGGGGAAGAUUCGGGUGGAGCUACGCGCGCGUGGGGAAGGAUAUGACGGUCGCGACCAUGUCGGCGUGGACACCAGCAAGUUGCAGGCUCGAGAAGAACCACUAGGUCGUCAACGGCGGGCGACGGGGGAACUGGUCGAGGUGGCACAUGCUGGAGAUUGCUUGGAACGAGGGAGAGAACGGCAGAAGCUUUGAGAUUACUCCAUCUCCACGGAUAUGAAGAAACAGACUAUGGAGUCCUGUGCUCGCAAGGGGAGGAGAUCGGGGUGCGGUGGUGCAGUGCCGGAGGCGAGGAAGACGAGAAGGGCGCGGCUAAUUUGGGAAGUUUGCCGACAAUUAAUUCUACAGGAACACUAUAGAGGAGAAGCAAAGCUAAUGAGCAAGACUUUGAGGCGCAGGGUGGCCGUUGUCCGUGAAAACGAUGGAGGUGGCGGUCAUCGGAGUACUGUGUCGUGACAAGGCAGUGUUGGAAUUUGCUAGUAGGCCUUUGGCUUAAAGGCCAACUAAAAGUCUGAAAUUCUCUUGACCCAUUCAUGCAUAGCUAGUGAGUGGUGUGAGUGGGACUAAAGCUUAGUUCCACCCCGGAAGUUGAGUGAGACUUGCACCUUCUUAUAAGGUGGGCUCUUCUACCAGUUGUAUGAGCAUGAGAAGAGGAAACCAACACGCGCGCUCCUCCUUCUCGCUCGCCUUGCCACGCCCCGGGUUGCAGGAAUGAGCCCAAGACGGAGCUAUGCACGUCAUCUAUAUUUUUGCUGCUCGGGAAAUAUUAAUAAGUCAUUAAUUAAUAAUUAAUGGAUGCGUUAAUUACUCGGCCGUUUCCGAUUCUUUUGGAUCGUAGGGCUGUUACUUGGACGUAGAGUUUUCUCCAUGACCUAACCGGCUCACAUUAUAUAGUCAGGCAGACGUCUACCCUAGCCGCCGCCACAUCAUAUGGUUUCGCACCCCCAUUCCAUAUCAUUGCGCCGCCACGCAAGUCUUCUCCAUCUCUUCUUUCGGCGUGCACCGCGAGAAGGGACAGCAGGCCUCCGGAACCCCGCCUCUUAUGAUCCUGCACAGGAGAGGGGCGAUCAGGUUUUUGGGGAGCGCACUCGCGCGACUGCUGGCAGCGACGAUUGCACCAAUGGCUUCUUCCCUGACCUCGGCAACCUCUUCUCAACAACAUGGGCGAUAACAUCAACGGUGCCGCCCCGUUUCACCGUAUGUGAUUUUGUCCUUCUUAUUUGAGAUCGUGCUAGAAUUCAUGUUUCUAGUUUGCGUCGUAGAUUCGAUCUGUUCAUCUACUAUGCUAAUCCGCAUGAUUAAUUUAGUCUAUGUUAUUACUGUCAUGAUUUAUUUAGUGCUCAUUCGGAUUAAAUCCGGUAAUAAUUUGCUCAUAUAGUCAACAGGCAGAAGGAGGAAAAGGAAUUGUCGUGGUAUUGUUGGGAGGCUUCAUGAGGUUUUCUCGGAGCUGAGGGAGCGGAAGGGUCACCGGAGCUCGUCAGCACGGCCGGUUGAGGAUGAAACGGUCUGAACUUAGGCGAGGAGCCUCGCCGGAUGAUGGCGGAGCUCGGGCACGUGUGCUCAAGGUCAAUGGAGGUGUGUGGCCGCGUGCACAGCUCACGGCGGCCAGCAGACGCUGCGAGCUACUUCGUGCACGACCUGAUGGCAAGGUACAGGGAGCAAGGGUGGUGCACGUGCUCUGUUUUUUUCCUUGAAGUGGGUCCUACAUGUAAGUGACAAAUAGAGAGGUGAUAGAUAGUUCUUUUCUUUUUUAGACGAGGGGGCCCACGUGUAAGUGACAUACGCAGCGAGGGGCAAAAAUGUCAAAAAAAGGUGAGACACCGGUCAAAGCCUUUUGACUUGAGGAAAACGGCACGGAAAGGCAUUUUUAUAAAAUGCACUUAACGGCAGAGGUGAUAAAUUGGAACAUGCUUCGAAAUUAAAGGCAAAUGUGAACAGUGGGUUUGAGUUAGGGUCACAAGUGUAAAUGUCCCAAUAAGAAAAGCUAACAAAAAAGAAAAGAAAAGGGUAAAAGCCUAGAGAAAACAUAAUGAAAAUGAAGAAAACGAAACGAAAAGAAAAACCCAGUAAAAAUAGGAAAAGUAAUGAACUUGUGUGAAAACCGGCUCGCUUUCUUUCUAGUAGGUCAUGUCCUACCUAAUACCUAAUGUACACUAAGCCGAAGCUGGUGCAGUGGCUAGCGUGUGAUUGAUCCUCCUGGGCACAACAUUUUUUACACUUUUUUUAUGGAAAAACUGCACUAACAGGCCGGGCCGAUACUAUAGCCCCUCGCUGCGAGAGAUCCGUUCGUCUCCCUUACUACUCUAUAUUUCUGAAAAAAAUGCAUUGACAGUCCGACCUGAUACUGUAGCCCCUCACUACGAGAGAUCCGUCCAUCUUGUUUAAAGAGAGAAAUAGCGCGCGGGGCGAUUUUCUGUGUUCAGGCAAGCAAGGCCUAGGUGCCGGAGGCGGGCCUGGUGCUUGGGGCACGGAGGCUGCCUGCAAGAGCUGCUGAAUGACGUGUUGUGCAUAGCCGAAAAGAAAGAAAAGAAAAAGACAAGAUUUUGUUUGAAAAAUAGGGGUUGGCACAGGGACCGAACAAGAGAGAUAAGUUAGAACCGUCCUUAAAGCCGCACAAAAACUGUGCUAGUUUCUUUUUUGCUCACGUACUCUGUUUUGUCUCAGUUUUAGUCCAGGGCAACUUUGAAGCUUAUCUUAGGGUGGUAGCCAGAAAAAUGUGUUAAAGACCUUAUUAAGAAGUGAAGAAGAAUAGACGUCUCCCGUUUUUGUUUCUUCAACUCUAUGCCUACACUGUUACGUUAUUGAUGGAUUAGCUUCAAUUGAUGUAACUGUACACUUUCUGGUAGGUCUGAGAUGCGACUGAGCCAGAUCGAUCCUGAGCUAGCUACUUGUCUCCCUUAAGUCUUACAGCUAGACAAAUGCACUGGACUACAAAGAGGAAAUUCCUGUAGGUUCGUAAUGCAUCUGUUUUUGUUCUGGCAUUCACACCAAUCAUAAAACAGUGUUUGUUAGUAGCGAACGUAUAUCAAACCAUCAUUUUUCUUCUAAUUACACUUGUAAAAGCAUUGAUGCAUCUACGUCGCUUAAUUUUAUUUCCAAAUAAUAACGCCUACACGUGUGGCAUAUUUGCACAUCGUCUACACGUCUUGAUCCACGUUGAUUAUGUUUUAUACGAAUCCUAAAGAAAUUUGAGUGCCACAUAGGCAUAGCGUGUUGUGUGGGCGUUAGAGCGCUCGCCCACACGACCCACAGCGCGCGGUUGCCAGCUGCGCCUUGUGGGCGAACCAGUUCCCGCCCACACAGUCACCAAUCAGUCCACGCGCGUGUUGAUGAACUGCUCUUCGCCCACACGACGCUCAUACGGUGAUAGAUGGCAACUGCAGUUGCGCGUAUGACAACUAUUUGUUUGACCACAUGUGGCAAGUAGUUAAUCAUACACGGCAACUAUGGUUUAACUGCACGCGGCAACUAACAUAAAAUGAACAUGGCAACUAUAGUUAACCAAAACAGAGAGAGUUGCCAUGCUUUUACAACUAAAUUUGCCUCGGAUAGCAACUAAAGCAUCAUCCCGUGGGUAACCAACGUAGUUGUGCCAGAAUGUGUGUGCAUUAUUGUUUCAUCCCACACGCGCGGAAUAGGGUUCCGAUUGCGGGCAUACUCAUCGCGCUUGCGUUUUGACGCGUCGCGGGGAACCAAGAGCCAUUCAACGUACGGCACGUUUCUGGGAUACGCCACCGGUCUGACAGUAAAAGGUAGCGUUGAUGAACUGGUUUCAAGCUGUGCUGAUCAGUUCUGCUGUUACUAAUAUAACAUGGCAUCUUGCUGCUCUCGGUCGAUGUUCUGUCAUCUCUGAAAAAUAUCAUUAUCACCUGUUUUAUUUCCCCGUCUUUUCUGCGCUUUGAUGCGCAGCCUGCUCUGUUGCACAUCGAUCCUGGCGUGUGACUGGUUUCGUCGCCGUUCACUCUCCGUGGAAUGGAGAAGUGAAAGCGGGCAAGUAAGCCUGUCUACUUCGUCCCUUUUGUCUAGUCCUGGGAUCAGAGAAAAUAACUGGCAAUCUGCAUCAGCCUGGUUUUGAGACGCGACUUGUUUGCCACGACUGUUUUGCGUUGGCAGCUACUGCAGUUGGUUGUACUUCUUCUGAUUUCUUCUGAUUAUAUUUAUGCAAGACACAUUACGAGUGCCAGCUGUGCUGUAACUUUAUUUGCGAGGCACAGCAACUGGAUUGUUGUCGAUACAAGGGAAAACAGAAACUAGUAUCAGUGCUUUUGUAUUUCGAAACCUGUUACUGAUAUAUCGUGGCAUCUUUUUGCCCUCGAUCGAUGUCCUGGCAUGACAGGCUUUGUCGCUGUUCACUCUCCAUAGAGUGGGGAUGUGAAAUCGGUAAGUAAGCCUAUUUACCUAGUCGCCGUUCAUUUGUUCACCAAGUCGCGAGACAGCGGGAGGAAGGAGACGAAGGUCCCAAACGUCAGACCAAAAAGGUGGACUAGGGCUCGCCCUAGUUGUGCUCUCGGGUAUUUUCAGUUACUAGUAGGAGUAAGAGCAUCUCGAGCCGUUGGCCUCUCAGGGCGCGUAAAAUCGUCGUUUGGGGGCGAGCCGACGCAAAAAACGGCCUGUGGCCGAGUUGGUUCCCAGUCGCCGCCCCACGGCUGCCCCCGGACAGCGUCUAGUUUUUUUUUAAAACUUAUUUGGAGAAGUUCGCAUAAACUUGGCUAAAAUUCGGCAAACUUGGCAUAUAUUAGACAUGUUCGCGGUCUUACAUAGCAAAUUUAUAUUAAAAAAUGCUAACUAAGGGGCGAAGAAGUCGGUGAACACGGAGUAGUCGCCAUCGUCGCUGCCAUCCUCGCCGCCGUCGGCGGCGGCCUUCUCCUCCUUGACGCGGCCGCCCCUGCUGGACCCCUGGCCAGCGUCGCCAAGGUGGACCGGUGGCGGUGGUGGUGCGUCGUUGUCGUCGCUGUCCUCCAGGACGACGACGCCUCCUUCGUCGCGGCCCCAGCGGCGCUGCUCGAAGCGCUGCAGGGCGGCGCGCUGGCGCUCCAUCCACAUUUUGAGGUAGUCCUGGCGUGCCCACUUCAGGGCCGCCUCGUCGUCGAGCUCCACGCAGUGCUCCGUCUUCACGGCGGGAAGCCCCGGCUCCGUCUUCACGGCGGCGAGCCCUGGCUCCGUCUUUGGCUUGACGAAGCGUGGAGGAGCCAACGAGGAGGCGCGCCUGCCGCCCUUGUUUAUGACGAUGACGGCACUGCGAGUGCGCCGCCCGAGCGGCGUCUCCGCUGCGGGCUCGGCCUUAACACCGAGCAAUGCCGGAGAGCCGGAGGAGUGGGAAAAAGAGCGCGAGGAGGAGUGCGAGGAGGAAGACGAGGAGGAGCCAAACUCCUGGGCAUCCAUUGCCCGGUGCGCCGGCGGGGGGCGGCCGCCGUGGGAGGGUAGGUCAGCGGCGGUUCGUUGCCGCCCUCGAGGUACGCCAACACACCGUCGAGCGUGCGGCCGGGGGUGCCCCACCACACGCGGCGGCCCUCGCUGUUCUUCACGCCGCCCACCACCGGUGCCCCGUUGGUGGACGCCAUCCUUAGCUCCUGUCAGCGCUUGAAGUACGCCGCCCACGGCUCGUGGUUGUCGGCGGCGUAUUGGGGGAGGGCGAGCUGCUCGUCGGUGAGGGAGGCGCGCACGCGAUCGAUCUCGGCGGCGAAGUAGGCGGAGCGCNNNNNNNNNNNNNNNNNNNNNNNNNNNNNNNNNNNNNNNNNNNNNNNNNNNNNNNNNNNNNNNNNNNNNNNNNNNNNNNNNNNNNNNNNNNNNNNNNNNNNNNNNNNNNNNNNNNNNNNNNNNNNNNNNNNNNNNNNNNNNNNNNNNNNNNNNNNNNNNNNNNNNNNNNNNNNNNNNNNNNNNNNNNNNNNNNNNNNNNNNNNNNNNNNNNNNNNNNNNNNNNNNNNNNNNNNNNNNNNNNNNNNNNNNNNNNNNNNNNNNNNNNNNNNNNNNNNNNNNNNNNNNNNNNNNNNNNNNNNNNNNNNNNNNNNNNNNNNNNNNNNNNNNNNNNNNNNNNNNNNNNNNNNNNNNNNNNNNNNNNNNNNNNNNNNNNCGGCCCGGCACGCAUGUCCGGCAGCGCCGGGAUGUUGGCCUCGAAGAGGAGCCACAACUCCCACUCGUGGAGCGAGCGGCGGCCGAAGCCAUUGGCCCCCGCCGCGUCGCCGGGGAAACGCUCGGCCAUUGGGUGCCGGAGUGAGGGAGAGGGCAGGAAGAAGUGUCGGCGGCGGCGCAAGGGAGAGGGAGAGCUCGGCGGCUAGGGCUGGUCUGGCCAGAGGCGAGGGAGGCUAUCAGCUUAUAUAGCCGCGCCGCGCCGCCCGUGUGUACGCGUGGCGGGACGAGAGGCGUCGACGCGCCGCCCCGUGACGCGCCGCCCGUGAGGAAUCAAUGGCAAGGCUGACCGGCGGCUGCAGCGCGGCAGCCCUGGCAUUGACUCCCGCGGGAACCGAGGCGAUGUGGACGACGAAGCGUCCAUCUCGCUGACUCGGCGAGCCCGCGCCUUUUUCGUGCCAAAACACUCGCCCCGGCGCCCCCAGCGCAUCGGGUUCGGCCUGGGUCCGCCGGCGCUGAUUUCGGCCCACGCCGGCGAAAAAUAAGCUUCUGGGAAUGCGACUGGGCCGUUUUUUCGGUACCGGCGUAAAAAAAUCGCCUGGGAAGGUCGUUGUGGAGGCGCGGCUGGAGAUGCUCUAAGAAGCAUUGCAAAUUGCUCCCUUUGUUCAAUCUGUAUAUAUGUAGUCCAUAUUAAUAUAUCCAAAACAUUUUAUAUUUGUGAAAGAAGGGAGUAACUAAUAGUAAUGCAACAAUUUCAGGGGAGCCCAGUCAGCAGCUAACUAAAUGUGCUGGAUGAGACUGGAGAAAUGCAUAAACGAUUUACACAUGAUAGAACUACUCUUUUCUUGUUAAGGAAUGAAAGAAUGGAUGAUUUUGUCUGUUCGGAACAAAACCCAAUAUUCAUCCAGUUAGACGUUGUUCUGAAUUCUGACGCUUUUGAAAGUUUUCUCGCAGAAAUAUGUGUGUUUAUUCCAGUUGUAUCAUUAGCAAACCAAGGUUGUAUAUAUUGUAGCACGAAGAAUGUUUGGUUGAUUCGUUCAGGCGAAUCAGGUUCGUGGCUAACUGCCAAAGUCACGGCUGUUUCUGCCUUUGAUGCAGACAAGUGAUUCUACACGGUAAGUCCUCGUUUGACAUGGAGGGAUUCAGGAGGAUUUGAGGUGUGGGGAUUGGAGGGGAUUUGGUGAAUCCCUCUCCCUCCACCCAAUCUCCUCAAUUCCCCUUGCAUCCAAUCCCCUUCCUGAAAAAACUCGUUUAGUAGGUGGAGAGUGGAGGAGGCGUGCGCUGCCGCUACCCUCGAGGUUCUGCUUUCUCAAGGCCCUUGACUAGAGUUCUGAACCGCGCGGGUACGAGGGGAUUGGAAGGGAUCGGAGGGGGUUGGGCUGUGCAAACCCCAUCUAUCAAAUGGGCCGACGAGGUUUCGUGGGGCUUCUGGCCCUCCCAGGGUUCAUCCUAUCCAAACCUCCUGAAUCCUCCUGCGUCAAUCGAGGCCGAAAGGAAAAGCUGAAAGCUCUCUUGUCUCGUGUGUUUCUCUUCUUUUGCACCUUGUCGAAAAACAGCGUGCACCAGGGACGCUCGAUUCCAUUGUAGGCAUCAGUUCACUCUAUCAUGCUAUAGGGAACCAGCACUAUCUUCUCCUUUUUCUUUUAGGUCGUAAACGCAAGUCAUUUGAUACAUUCACAUAGGACUUACAUAAUCGGUAUGUUGCGACGGAACUGGGCGCACACGAUGAAAUAUAUAGAUAUUCCUAUGGUAGAUUUAUCAGUAUCAGUGUGGAGCUAAAGUGUUUGAUGUUCUGUAUGAAUGGUUUGGUCUGAACAAUAAAGCCGACCACCUAGGAUCUACUUUUGGGCUUUUUUGUAUAUAUACUAGCAAAAGGGCCCGUGCGCGGGAGAUUUUCUUUUUAAUCUUGAAUGGCCAUGAUCACAUUUUUUUGCAUAACCAAGAUACACUAUCACUAUCAAUUUCGGGAAAUCAUGUACAUCUUUUAAACUUGUGAACAUCUUUCCAAUUCAUGAACAAUUUUACAAAUUUUCAAAUAUAUUCUAAAAUCAAGAACAAAUUUUGAAAUUCACGAACAUGUUUUUCAUUUACCGAACACUUUUUGAAAUGCAUGAUCAUUUUUUGAAUCAACGAACAUUUUAUGAAUGAAUAAACUAUUUUAUAAGUCGCGAACAGUUUUUCAAAUAUUUGGAUAUUUCCCCAUUCAUGAACAUUUUAUGAAUUGGUGAAAUUCAAUUUUAUUAACAUAUUUUUAUACACGAAUUUUUAAAAAGUCUUCAAUGUUUUUUUAUUUCAUGAACAUUUGUUUUCAAAAUUUCGAAUAUUUUUUGUGUCAGAUUAUUUUAAUAAAAUUGCAACCUUUUUUGAAUACACAAACAUUUUAUGAUUUAUUAAAACUUCAUUUCAAAAUUAUUAUUUUUAACUUUAAAAUAUUUUUUGUAUUCCGAAAUUAGUUAAAGUAGAAAAAAAGGAAAAGAAAGAUAAAAAGGGAAAUAUUAAAAACAGGCAGCCGGGACAUGGGCCGGCCCAUUUGGCGGGCCGUGCCUUCUCCGAAUGCGCAGAGCCCAGUCUAGGAGGUGCCUACUACAUGGGCCAGUCCAGACGGGGAAACACCAAAAUAAAAGUCCAGACGAUUUCUCAAAAACAAAAAAAGUCCAGACGGGGAUUCCCCUGUGGAGCUCCUAAUCGGCGCGUUCGGCGCCGUGGUAGCAAACCGGCGCCUACUGGCAACCCAAGUAGGCCGGCCCGCGGACGAAAGCAAGCAGUUAACGUCUCGCGAGAAAAACCGUAAAAAUACGCCGGAACGAGGACUCGAACUCGCGCGGGUAAACUGUAGGUCUUUUCAGCUAGCCAACACAUCACCAUAACUCUGGUGACUUGCAGCAAACGUGAAUCAUUAAGAACCAUAACAGCCGCACUAUUUAUUACGCAUUUUUGAAAUAUUCCUUUUUUUAACAGUCGUUUUUUUAAUGAAAAAAUUUCAUCAAAUUUGAAAGAAGUUCAUUGAUUCCGAAAAAAAGUUCAUCAAAUUUGGAAAAAGAGUUCAUCGAAUUUGAAAAAAGUUCAUCGAUUUUUAAAAUUGUUCAUUGAUUUCGAAGAAAGUUUAUUCAAUUCGAAAAAAGUUCAUCGAUUUUGAAAAAAAAGUCCAUCAAUUUUGAAAAAUGUUCAUCAAAAUUGAAAAAAGUUCAUCAUAUUUGGAAAAAAAUCAUCAAAUUUGUAAAAAAAGUUCAUCAACUUUUUAAAAAUAUAUUCUAAUUUGAGAAGUUCAUCCAUUUAGGAAAAAAAGUUCACGAAAGUUGACAAAAAUUCACGCAUUAAAGAAAACAAAAAAGAAUGAACAGAAAAAGAUAAAAGAACAAAACGAACUUAAGAACUAAAUAAAUGAAGAAACGGAAAUUUACAUGCAGAAGCUGAACCUUGGCGUGAUGGUUAGUGUAUAAUCCUCUCAGUGAAUGGGUCGCCCGUUCGAUACCAUCUGCCCGCGUAUUUUUUACGUCUCUGGAAACAGAGAAACAAUUACAAAGUGGACCUAGCCCAGUGAACGUGGCAGCAGGCGCCCGUUAGCGGAAUACACACUAACGGGCGCCUUCAGCGCCAAAUAGGAAAUGCCCUCCCCUGUGUGAAACAUUUGUAUCACCUAUACGUGACGUUUGCGGGUAAUUUCUAUGACGUACCAUAAGAAGAAAUAGCCCCUUUAUACUAGCAAACGGGUCCGUGCGUUGUAAUGGGAGAAAAAAAAGAAUCUCCAAUGGCCAUGACCAUAUUUUGCUGCAUCACCGAGAUACCCUAUCACUCUCAAUUUUGUGAAAUCAUGAACAAUUUUUGCAAUCACGAACAUAUUUUUAAACUCUUACACAUAUUUGAAAUCAUAAACAUUUUUCAGAUUCAUGAACACUUAUACAAAUUUUAGAACAUUUCUGAAAUCAAGAACAUUUUCGGAAUUGAUGAACAUUUUAUAGUAUUUGCAAACAUUUUUUAAAAAACUUGAACAUCUUUAUAAACAAUUUUUUUAAUCAACAAACAUUUUUAUGGAAAUUGGUGGAACAAUUUUAGAAAUUCACGAACAUUUUUUGAUUUAACGAACAUUUUUUGAAAUACAUGAUCAGUUUUUGAAUUAGUGAACAUUUUCUGAAUGACUAAACUAUUUUGUAAGGCACCAAUAGUUUUUGAAUUUUAGGAUAUUUUCCCAUUCAUGAACAUUUUUCUGAACUGGUGAUUUGUUUUUCAAUUUCAUUAAUAAUUUUUGAUACACGAAANNNNNNNNNNNNNNNNNNNNNNNNNNNNNNNNNNNNNNNNNNNNNNNNNNNNNNNNNNNNNNNNNNNNNNNNNNNNNNNNNNNNNNNNNNNNNNNNNNNNNNNNNNNNNNNNNNNNNNNNNNNNNNNNNNNNNNNNNNNNNNNNNNNNNNNNNNNNNNNNNNNNNNNNNNNNNNNNNNNNNNNNNNNNNNNNNNNNNNNNNNNNNNNNNNNNNNNNNNNNNNNNNNNNNNNNNNNNNNNNNNNNNNNNNNNNNNNNNNNNNNNNNNNNNNNNNNNNNNNNNNNNNNNNNNNNNNNNNNNNNNNNNNNNNNNNNNNNNNNNNNNNNNNNNNNNNNNNNNNNNNNNNNNNNNNNNNNNNNNNNNNNNNNNNNNNNNNNNNNNNNNNNNNNNNNNNNNNNNNNNNNNNNNNNNNNNNNNNNNNNNNNNNNNNNNNNNNNNNNNNNNNNNNNNNNNNNNNNNNNNNNNNNNNNNNNNNNNNNNNNNNNNNNNNNNNNNNNNNNNNNNNNNNNNNNNNNNNNNNNNNNNNNNNNNNNNNNNNNNNNNNNNNNNNNNNNNNNNNNNNNNNNNNNNNNNNNNNNNNNNNNNNNNNNNNNNNNNNNNNNNNNNNNNNNNNNNNNNNNNNNNNNNNNNNNNNNNNNNNNNNNNNNNNNNNNNNNNNNNNNNNNNNNNNNNNNNNNNNNNNNNNNNNNNNNNNNNNNNNNNNNNNNNNNNNNNNNNNNNNNNNNNNNNNNNNNNNNNNNNNNNNNNNNNNNNNNNNNNNNNNNNNNNNNNNNNNNNNNNNNNNNNNNNNNNNNNNNNNNNNNNNNNNNNNNNNNNNNNNNNNNNNNNNNNNNNNNNNNNNNNNNNNNNNNNNNNNNNNNNNNNNNNNNNNNNNNNNNNNNNNNNNNNNNNNNNNNNNNNNNNNNNNNNNNNNNNNNNNNNNNNNNNNNNNNNNNNNNNNNNNNNNNNNNNNNNNNNNNNNNNNNNNNNNNNNNNNNNNNNNNNNNNNNNNNNNNNNNNNNNNNNNNNNNNNNNNNNNNNNNNNNNNNNNNNNNNNNNNNNNNNNNNNNNNNNNNNNNNNNNNNNNNNNNNNNNNNNNNNNNNNNNNNNNNNNNNNNNNNNNNNNNNNNNNNNNNNNNNNNNNNNNNNNNNNNNNNNNNNNNNNNNNNNNNNNNNNNNNNNNNNNNNNNNNNNNNNNNNNNNNNNNNNNNNNNNNNNNNNNNNNNNNNNNNNNNNNNNNNNNNNNNNNNNNNNNNNNNNNNNNNNNNNNNNNNNNNNNNNNNNNNNNNNNNNNNNNNNNNNNNNNNNNNNNNNNNNNNNNNNNNNNNNNNNNNNNNNNNNNNNNNNNNNNNNNNNNNNNNNNNNNNNNNNNNNNNNNNNNNNNNNNNNNNNNNNNNNNNNNNNNNNNNNNNNNNNNNNNNNNNNNNNNNNNNNNNNNNNNNNNNNNNNNNNNNNNNNNNNNNNNNNNNNNNNNNNNNNNNNNNNNNNNNNNNNNNNNNNNNNNNNNNNNNNNNNNNNNNNNNNNNNNNNNNNNNNNNNNNNNNNNNNNNNNNNNNNNNNNNNNNNNNNNNNNNNNNNNNNNNNNNNNNNNNNNNNNNNNNNNNNNNNNNNNNNNNNNNNNNNNNNNNNNNNNNNNNNNNNNNNNNNNNNNNNNNNNNNNNNNNNNNNNNNNNNNNNNNNNNNNNNNNNNNNNNNNNNNNNNNNNNNNNNNNNNNNNNNNNNNNNNNNNNNNNNNNNNNNNNNNNNNNNNNNNNNNNNNNNNNNNNNNNNNNNNNNNNNNNNNNNNNNNNNNNNNNNNNNNNNNNNNNNNNNNNNNNNNNNNNNNNNNNNNNNNNNNNNNNNNNNNNNNNNNNNNNNNNNNNNNNNNNNNNNNNNNNNNNNNNNNNNNNNNNNNNNNNNNNNNNNNNNNNNNNNNNNNNNNNNNNNNNNNNNNNNNNNNNNNNNNNNNNNNNNNNNNNNNNNNNNNNNNNNNNNNNNNNNNNNNNNNNNNNNNNNNNNNNNNNNNNNNNNNNNNNNNNNNNNNNNNNNNNNNNNNNNNNNNNNNNNNNNNNNNNNNNNNNNNNNNNNNNNNNNNNNNNNNNNNNNNNNNNNNNNNNNNNNNNNNNNNNNNNNNNNNNNNNNNNNNNNNNNNNNNNNNNNNNNNNNNNNNNNNNNNNNNNNNNNNNNNNNNNNNNNNNNNNNNNNNNNNNNNNNNNNNNNNNNNNNNNNNNNNNNNNNNNNNNNNNNNNNNNNNNNNNNNNNNNNNNNNNNNNNNNNNNNNNNNNNNNNNNNNNNNNNNNNNNNNNNNNNNNNNNNNNNNNNNNNNNNNNNNNNNNNNNNNNNNNNNNNNNNNNNNNNNNNNNNNNNNNNNNNNNNNNNNNNNNNNNNNNNNNNNNNNNNNNNNNNNNNNNNNNNNNNNNNNNNNNNNNNNNNNNNNNNNNNNNNNNNNNNNNNNNNNNNNNNNNNNAGAAUUCAUUUCGACAUGUCCACUUGGUUUUGUUGUGAUGAAUUUACUAACAUCCACACACCGUUGCAGAGAUUAAUCGAUCAAAUUAUUUCCGAGGCAUGGCAGAGGGCUGUCGCAAUUUCAGGGCGUUUGUUCUUCCUGUAGUUUUGCUUUAGUUGAUGUUUAGGUCGUGUUCAGGGCGUUGGCUUUUCUUCCUGUAGCUUUGAUGUUUCAGGUCGUAUUCAUGGUCUGUUUCUUUUUCCUCUCAAUCUGUUGUGUUCUUGUAGGCUUAUUUGGACUGAACUGCUUCAGGUCAUGUAAACGGUAAACCUUCUCUAUUCUAUUUGUAUUUUUUGGUUUGUGAAGCAAGUACCACAACAUGCCAUGAUGGACCAGUCAGCCAAAUUUAACCCCCCUAUACUUCACAUUAGUUGAUGUUCUUUUUAUCUAUGUGGAGAAGGAACUUGAUCAAAAUCGAGGCCAGUUGCAGAUCUGUUUUCUAUGCAGAAAAUAUUUUAUCUAUGGUUGACAGGAUGUUUAUCUUCAUCAUUGACCAUCUCCUUUACCACUUUUACAGACCGUACAUGUCACUAUUUAUCCUAGCAAAUGAUUCAUGGAAUGCAUCAUAAACUCAUAGCAAGAUAUCUUUUGGCGCUGAUAGUAACAUCCGGACAGGAAAAAAAUUGAGUAUGGUGAAAGAUAUGGUAAUCUAUUGUCUAAGAAUGUAGUCUCUUAUGANNNNNNNNNNNNNNNNNNNNNNNNNNNNNNNNNNNNNNNNNNNNNNNNNNNNNNNNNNNNNNNNNNNNNNNNNNNNNNNNNNNNNNNNNNNNNNNNNNNNNNNNNNNNNNNNNNNNNNNNNNNNNNNNNNNNNNNNNNNNNNNNNNNNNNNNNNNNNNNNNNNNNNNNNNNNNNNNNNNNNNNNNNNNNNNNNNNNNNNNNNNNNNNNNNNNNNNNNNNNNNNNNNNNNNNNNNNNNNNNNNNNNNNNNNNNNNNNNNNNNNNNNNNNNNNNNNNNNNNNNNNNNNNNNNNNNNNNNNNNNNNNNNNNNNNNNNNNNNNNNNNNNNNNNNNNNNNNNNNNNNNNNNNNNNNNNNNNNNNNNNNNNNNNNNNNNNNNNNNNNNNNNNNNNNNNNNNNNNNNNNNNNNNNNNNNNNNNNNNNNNNNNNNNNNNNNNNNNNNNNNNNNNNNNNNNNNNNNNNNNNNNNNNNNNNNNNNNNNNNNNNNNNNNNNNNNNNNNNNNNNNNNNNNNNNNNNNNNNNNNNNNNNNNNNNNNNNNNNNNNNNNNNNNNNNNNNNNNNNNNNNNNNNNNNNNNNNNNNNNNNNNNNNNNNNNNNNNNNNNNNNNNNNNNNNNNNNNNNNNNNNNNNNNNNNNNNNNNNNNNNNNNNNNNNNNNNNNNNNNNNNNNNNNNNNNNNNNNNNNNNNNNNNNNNNNNNNNNNNNNNNNNNNNNNNNNNNNNNNNNNNNNNNNNNNNNNNNNNNNNNNNNNNNNNNNNNNNNNNNNNNNNNNNNNNNNNNNNNNNNNNNNNNNNNNNNNNNNNNNNNNNNNNNNNNNNNNNNNNNNNNNNNNNNNNNNNNNNNNNNNNNNNNNNNNNNNNNNNNNNNNNNNNNNNNNNNNNNNNNNNNNNNNNNNNNNNNNNNNNNNNNNNNNNNNNNNNNNNNNNNNNNNNNNNNNNNNNNNNNNNNNNNNNNNNNNNNNNNNNNNNNNNNNNNNNNNNNNNNNNNNNNNNNNNNNNNNNNNNNNNNNNNNNNNNNNNNNNNNNNNNNNNNNNNNNNNNNNNNNNNNNNNNNNNNNNNNNNNNNNNNNNNNNNNNNNNNNNNNNNNNNNNNNNNNNNNNNNNNNNNNNNNNNNNNNNNNNNNNNNNNNNNNNNNNNNNNNNNNNNNNNNNNNNNNNNNNNNNNNNNNNNNNNNNNNNNNNNNNNNNNNNNNNNNNNNNNNNNNNNNNNNNNNNNNNNNNNNNNNNNNNNNNNNNNNNNNNNNNNNNNNNNNNNNNNNNNNNNNNNNNNNNNNNNNNNNNNNNNNNNNNNNNNNNNNNNNNNNNNNNNNNNNNNNNNNNNNNNNNNNNNNNNNNNNNNNNNNNNNNNNNNNNNNNNNNNNNNNNNNNNNNNNNNNNNNNNNNNNNNNNNNNNNNNNNNNNNNNNNNNNNNNNNNNNNNNNNNNNNNNNNNNNNNNNNNNNNNNNNNNNNNNNNNNNNNNNNNNNNNNNNNNNNNNNNNNNNNNNNNNNNNNNNNNNNNNNNNNNNNNNNNNNNNNNNNNNNNNNNNNNNNNNNNNNNNNNNNNNNNNNNNNNNNNNNNNNNNNNNNNNNNNNNNNNNNNNNNNNNNNNNNNNNNNNNNNNNNNNNNNNNNNNNNNNNNNNNNNNNNNNNNNNNNNNNNNNNNNNNNNNNNNNNNNNNNNNNNNNNNNNNNNNNNNNNNNNNNNNNNNNNNNNNNNNNNNNNNNNNNNNNNNNNNNNNNNNNNNNNNNNNNNNNNNNNNNNNNNNNNNNNNNNNNNNNNNNNNNNNNNNNNNNNNNNNNNNNNNNNNNNNNNNNNNNNNNNNNNNNNNNNNNNNNNNNNNNNNNNNNNNNNNNNNNNNNNNNNNNNNNNNNNNNNNNNNNNNNNNNNNNNNNNNNNNNNNNNNNNNNNNNNNNNNNNNNNNNNNNNNNNNNNNNNNNNNNNNNNNNNNNNNNNNNNNNNNNNNNNNNNNNNNNNNNNNNNNNNNNNNNNNNNNNNNNNNNNNNNNNNNNNNNNNNNNNNNNNNNNNNNNNNNNNNNNNNUCUGCAGCUCUGCCACCGCCCCGCACGCCACCGCCGCCCCGCAGCUCCGCCACCGCCCUGCACGCCACCGCCGCCCCGCAGCACCGCCCGGCUCCGUCCGCCACCGCCCCGGCCGCACGCCGCUCCACCGCUCUCUGACGGCGCCGAAGAGGACGCCGAAGGGCAAGUCGGGCUUCUUCGGCAUGAGGCAUAAGCCCUCGGUAACUGGGGUGUGGAGUUCACCGACGCCAGAAGGCGUUGGUGGAUCGGCACGUACCCUCUGCCAACGAGGCCGCGCGUGCCUACGGCGUGGCGGUGUGGCGUGCCGAGAGGCCUCGGUCGCACCUCAACUUUCCAGAGAUCGAGAGUCAGGCGGUAGCGGAGAUGCUUGUGCCAGAGGGCAUCAACAUGAAGGAGAUCACGAAGAAGAAGAAGAAGAAGACGAAGAAGCCGUCGGUUGUUGUCAGUGCUGGCGAGACCGAUGAGGAGGCGAUGGCGAGGUUUGCUCGGGAGCAUCUGGAGUACGUCCAGGCCGAGCUGGAGCACUACUGAAAGCGUGAGGUGGAGCAGAAGAAGAAGGGGCCGAAGAAGGAGGACGAGGCUGGUCCCUCGACGGUGAUCCCCAUCGAGUCGUCUUCCGAGGAGGACUGGGCAGACUACGAGGAGGAGGAGGAGGAGGAGGAGGAGGAGGAGGAGGGGUGCGACGACCCGACGAAGGAGGAGUUCUGGGAGCAGUUCCGUAGCUCAGAUUAGGAGUAGUUUUUUAUGUAGUAGUUUGAAUAAGUAGUAGUGUUGAAGUUGAUGUAUGAAACUAUGUUGAAUUUGAUGUUUGAACUAUGUUGAAUGGACUAGUAGUAUGUCGUUUUACAUCUUCAUUUUGGACCAUCUAUUGGAGUUGCUCUUUUGGACCAUCAAUUUGGACCAUCUGUUGGAGUUGAAUUUUUUUCGGAGCUCCAAAACGCACUUUUUGACGGUCCAAAUUUUACAUCUCCGGUUUUGGACCGCCAAAUUUUGGACCAUCUAUUGGAGAUGCUCUAAGAAAGCUCGCACAAUCGCUUGUGUCAUCCUUAAUCUAUGGCCACUCUAAUUUUUCCGGCCAGGCCUUCCCUGUGGUACCGAGCAAGGCAUAUUUGCUAGUACGCCUGGAGGAAAUGCCUUUGAUUAGGGCAUCUCCAACGGCGACCAGUAAUCCACGGACAGGGGAUCAGUCAGUGGAUACGGAUAUAGGAAUCGGCCAUCCAACUCUGUCCGCAUAUAUUUCGAACACUUUAAAAAAAACCCGGAGGAAAUUCAUGCAAACACAGUGGAUUCCAUACAAACCGGACAAAAACGUUUACAUUUUGGACAUAUUUUUUAACUAAAAACUCUACAGCCGGCGCCGGCGACGAUGAAUAUCCACUCCGGCGACAUGGAUACCCUUGACUAGUCUACUGCCGGCCGCAGCGGAUCUCCAAUGUCGUCCCCAUGUCCGGCAGCUGUGAGCCCUACAGGUAUAUGCUUCAACGCAAAGAGCAGCUCGCCUCCCUACCACUCAUCGGAGUGGAACAACCAACUGAUGCUUCUGCCAGUGGGGACGUGUUCCUACGCUACACAGGUCAGAGUUGGUUUUGGGUUGGGAACGACGGUGGCCUGCUAGAGGGCAAGACACCGGCUGUGUACGCUGGUGUCACCUCGGUAUGGCAUUCAUGAGACCCAAGCGACAGCUUCUCCUCGACGAUGGUGGUGAGCGCAGACGUGUUGGACACCACCUCAUCGAUGUCCAUGUAGCCCGCUUCUUUCUCUAUAGGAAGGACGCGGUGACGCGCGUUUUGACAUCGGAUGACGCGCUCACAUGCACGGGAGGGGCGGUACGACAUGGCACCAUCAAUGGCAGCCAUGAUGCCCGUGCCACCGUGCUCCCUCUCAGUGCUGACCUGGAGUAACUCGCCACUCCUCAGCUCAUGACCUGCGGGCUUGACGGGCCACCUAGCCAUUGUUUAUGUCAGACAACUCUUUUUCCUGCUCAUUAGAUGCCAUGGAGAAAACGGUUCAAGGAGAAAAAUGGUGAGUGGAGGUGUGAUGCGGUUCUUGCUCGACAUCUGACAUUGUUUAAAUAGCGAGGGGACACGAGGAGUCAACCGGCGUUCUGUUUAAUGCCAGCCGGCUCACGAACGGACAUGUGGCUGGAGUAAUUAUCCUGGCACACGCGCGGGUUUAAUGGUGGAAGGCGGGCAGUCUGGAGGAAUGAGGCAGGAUGUGUGUUUAGCCGGCGUGCAGCGGAGCGGUACCCUUGGCGUGCGUGGGGCAGUACCCAGAGGCAUGAAUGCGGGCAGCUGGCGCAGAGCGGGAACACAUGCGUGCGAGAGAGGAGGGGGUUUGGUGGGCACGGGUGGUCAGAAGUGCGCGGUCGUGGGUGUUGUCCGGACGCGUGCAAAGCCCCCCUCCUCCAUGUGUUGUCUCCUUGCGGGAGAAAGUACGUCCGGACUGCCCCGUGGACCGAUACAAGCCCGCAUUAUUUGGCACAACACGUCCGGACCAUGUGGUCCGGAUGGUUGUGGACGGUUUAAUUGAGGGUCGGUGUUGGAGAUGAUUUAGAGUUUAUGAAUCCAUUGUGUUUUUCUAAUCAUAAAAGAGCACUUAUAAUAAGUUAUAAGGAAAGACACGUAUAUAUGUUAGGUUCAGACUCCAGCUUUCCUCUUAUAUAUGUUUUUUUUUCUGAUCCGACUGAUUCCAAUAGAGAGCCUAGCGUUGUUUUUCUAGAAACUCGAGGGAUAAGGAGACAUGCAUACACGUUCUUCCAAGCAAAUCACAUCCAUUCUUUUUAACUCAUUUUUUCUUGUUUUAAUAAUAUAAUAAAUCAUUUGUAUUUUUUAUCUCGAACAGUUGAAGUGUAAUUCCUAUUGUAAUCUAAGGAUAAUGUUUGGAUUUUACUUUCAAAUAUUUGAAAUGGCCAUGAUGGAAUCACAUCCAUUUAUUUUAUUAUUAUUUGAAUUUGAUCCAAAAGAUAAAUAAUGAGUAGACGUCCUGAAAACUUUUCUGAGAACUUUGCUAAUCAAAAGACAAAAAAGGUUUUAAGAACUGAAGCAAACCACGAAUUUUACUCUCUAUUUUACUAAAGCAAGUGGCUGCUAUUUAGGUCUAGUAAGUACCAAAUUGACCAACAACCUUUUUUCCAAAUUGGAAGGAAUGCAGUUCUCAGCUCUCACCAUGGUGAUUAUAUAAUCUGGAUUUUCGAGCUGUAGCUAGUCAACUUAUGUUAGUGGCAUAUGUACCCUAGUGUUGGUCACUGGGAAUGGACGAAGCCAUGAGUGAAGGAACAGGAAAUGACAGAAGUACGAUUUGUAGAAUUUCAAAACUCAAACUAUCUAGUUUUAUGGAGUGAUAUGAAAUAAGCAAAACCAACUGCUAAUAAAAAUGUAAAAUUAAACGAUAUAUUUAGAAAUGUGAUUGUGAAGUCAUUGUCACAAAAUAUGACCUCACUAAAAAUGAACAUUCAACCUUAUUUUCAGAAGUUUGCAUACAAAUUCCAUGUAAAUUAUGGUAGUGCCCAUAAACAAAUAAACCAUAAUCGUGCUUGAUCUACCAUGAAACUUACUACCUUGUCUAUACUCUUGAAAGGACAAAAAAUGCUGAUGCAAUGCCACCUCGCUAGAUAUAUACUUUUGUCAUGUCCAGAGAUUUCCUGCACCAUGAACAAAAAUGCCACCGCAAUAAUAGUCGUUCUUUUGCGACAAAAAAAUACUGAAUUUGGACAGCAAUGCCUGCACAACUACUAUCUGUACACCAUGCAUGCACCCAUGUAUAUCAGUAAUACAUAUUAUAAGCUUGUGAACAUUGGUUUCAAAGUAGUGAUACCAAUAGUACGUCAUCCAGUGAUGGCCAGUCGCAGUACCUAGAUGCCACUUCGGUGCCUGGUUUCAAAGUCGCAAGUUCAUGGCAGGGAAAGCAAUCAUGUGUCUAGAGUAGAGACUUAAAAAAAGACCCAUGCCAUGUAGAUGGAUCAGAUAAUUAUGCCAAUCCUGAUUUUUCAGUGCAAAUCCAGUUCUGAAACUUCCACCUGAUCAGUUGCUCCCAAAAUGGGCUAUACAGUUAACCAAAAUGAAUUUUGCUCCUAACACCAUAGUUUGUUUCCAACGAUCACUAGAGCGAGCUUCACCAGAGUGAUGUGGGUUUGAUUAAGUACCUGAGCUGGUGUUGUACAUGCAUAUAUGUUAUGUUCACCGCUCCUACCGGAUGCCCGCCGCCGAACUCACCAUCCGUUCUACACAAGCAACAAAACCGAUUGGAUUAGCUAUUUCGGUUGUUACUUGUAUAGUCUGGUGGAAUGAUCAGUUCCAGUAUUACGCCAUGGCGGCAUCUUUUAUAUGCAAUAUACUGUGAACUGAAUUUUCUGUUAGUGAAGUUGACAGAACAGAGUACUACAGGGUAGAGGGGUAGAGCAUGCAAGUGGUGAUUGUUGUGUGGUUUGUGCGUUAGUUAUGUGUGAACCGGGCGUCGAGGUAGCGUUGGCUGGUCAUCUGCAGCUCAUAGGCGCACGAGCACAGCGGUGGCACGCCCACCACCGCCUCCAUUGCCCGCAAGGACGCCACCUAGCCGCCGCCGUAUUUGGAGAAGAAGCAACAAGCAGUGUGGCCGCUGCCAUGGCCGACGCCAGACCUGGUCGAUCUCCCACUUCUGUAUUCGAGAAAAAAAGAUCUCCCUCUUCUCUUGUGAUGAGAUGGGGAAGAGAUGGUGAGAUAUGAGGUCGAUGGCUUUGGGGAGAGGAUACGGGUGGACGCCGGCAGUGAGGCGGCGUGAGGAAGACGAGGUGGUUGGCGGUGGCGACGCGUGAGGGGAGGGGAAGGGAGGGGUAGCGGUGCAUGGAGGGGAGUGGGUGUGCGGCGUGCCUAGUUCACGAGAGAGGAGAGAGGUCGUCAAGGGAGCGAUCCAUGGGAGUUUUUUUUCCUUCUGAGCGAGCCUAGUUAGGCUCUCUGCAGCGUCUAGGCCCAAUGCACCACAUGUCUUCAAAUUGGCCACCAGUAGCAGCCCAUAGAACAGACAGGGCCAGUUUGCAAAUUUUAAAACAUAAGUUUUUUAGCGCCCAAGAAAAACAGAACACAUAUCUUUCCAAACAUAAUGAACUAUAGGUACCACAAAAAAAAACCAUAAUGAAUUAUAGGUUGUUACAAGAACUCAUGCCAUCCAGCUGCCUCCCGCCGACCCUGCCAACAUUGUUGUAGCUGCACUCGCAAGCGUUACCAUAGGUGAUCAUUUGCAUGAUUUCGCGUAAAACAAAAUAAGAUCUACAAACGGAUAGAAGCUACACAUACCUUGGCAUGCACACACAUUGCAAGCCAUACUAAGGUGAUAAGUGUUAAUAACUUGUACAACAUAUACAACAGUUAAGAUAAGUAAAAGCAAUUUGAUGAGUCAUGGUCUAUCAAAGCAAGCUUUAUUACUACUCUAAUCUAUCUUAACAGGUCACACAUGAUUACAAUCCUUUUUGUGUGCAAGUCAAGCUUAUCUAGUUUACACGUAACAACUUGUAGAACAUUACACAAUUGAUGUUUGCUAAUAACUUCUAGAAAGCUAAAACACUUGACAUGUAAAAAGAAUUUGAUGAGUCAUGACCUACUAAAUCAAGUUACAUUACUAGUCUCAUCUAUCUUAACAGGUCACACAAGAUUACAAACUAAGUUCUGUGCAAGCAAUGCUUAUCUAGUUUACACAUAACAACUUGCAAAACAUUACAAACUUAGUUUCAAAAAAAAUUAGGCAAUCUAGAUUAGUGUUUGAGUUGUAAAGUGAAUAAGAUGAGUCAUGUGUGUUAUCACAACUUUUUGGUGGUGGAAUGAUAGUGCCACCAAGCACAACAUACCAAAUUAUGAUUUUAGGAAGCAUCCAAGCACUUUCCAGACAAGCAAAUGCCAAUUGUGAAGGAGAUGAUGCCAUGACAGCUAUAAAUAGGCAUGUAGCAUGAUGAUCAUCCUUCCUCAUCCAUCAUUCUCAUAAGUAGAGUGCAUCAUUCAAGCCAAGCAAGCAGUGGUCAAUACAAAUCCACCAUGAAGACCUUUCUCAUCCUUGCCCUCCUUGCUAUCGUGGAGACCACCACCACAACUGCAGUUAGAGUUCCAGUGCCACAAUUGCAGCCACAAAAUCCAUCUCAGCAACAACCACAAGAGCAAGUUCCAUUGGUGCAACAACAACAAUUUCUAGGGCAGUAACAACAACAAUUUCCAGGGCAACAACAACCAUUUCCACCAUAACAGCCAUAUCCGCAGCCGCAACCAUUUCUGCCACAACUACCAUAUCCGCAGCCGCAACCAUUUCCACCACAACAAUCAUAUCCACAACCACAACCACAAUAUCCGCAACCACAACAACCAAUUUCGCAGCAACAAGCACAACAACAACAACAACAACAACAACAACAACAAAUCCUUCAACAAAUUCUGCAACAACAACUGAUUCCAUGCAGGGAUGUCGUCUUGCAACAACCCAACAUAGCACAUGCAAGCUCACAAGUAUUGCAACAAAGUUACCAACUGUUGCAACAAUUAUGUUGUCAGCAACUGUGGCAGACCCCCGAGCAGUCACGGUGCCAAGCCAUCCACAAUGUCAUUCAUGCUAUUAUUUUGCAUCANNNNNNNNNNNNNNNNNNNNNNNNNNNNNNNNNNNNNNNNNNNNNNNNNNNNNNNNNNNNNNNNNNNNNNNNNNNNNNNNNNNNNNNNNNNNNNNNNNNNNNNNNNNNNNNNNNNNNNNNNNNNNNNNNNNNNNNNNNNNNNNNNNNNNNNNNNNNNNNNNNNNNNNNNNNNNNNNNNNNNNNNNNNNNNNNNNNNNNNNNNNNNNNNNNNNNNNNNNNNNNNNNNNNNNNNNNNNNNNNNNNNNNNNNNNNNNNNNNNNNNNNNNNNNNNNNNNNNNNNNNNNNNNNNNNNNNNNNNNNNNNNNNNNNNNNNNNNNNNNNNNNNNNNNNNNNNNNNNNNNNNNNNNNNNNNNNNNNNNNNNNNNNNNNNNNNNNNNNNNNNNNNNNNNNNNNNNNNNNNNNNNNNNNNNNNNNNNNNNNNNNNNNNNNNNNNNNNNNNNNNNNNNNNNNNNNNNNNNNNNNNNNNNNNNNNNNNNNNNNNNNNNNNNNNNNNNNNNNNNNNNNNNNNNNNNNNNNNNNNNNNNNNNNNNNNNNNNNNNNNNNNNNNNNNNNNNNNNNNNNNNNNNNNNNNNNNNNNNNNNNNNNNNNNNNNNNNNNNNNNNNNNNNNNNNNNNNNNNNNNNNNNNNNNNNNNNNNNNNNNNNNNNNNNNNNNNNNNNNNNNNNNNNNNNNNNNNNNNNNNNNNNNNNNNNNNNNNNNNNNNNNNNNNNNNNNNNNNNNNNNNNNNNNNNNNNNNNNNNNNNNNNNNNNNNNNNNNNNNNNNNNNNNNNNNNNNNNNNNNNNNNNNNNNNNNNNNNNNNNNNNNNNNNNNNNNNNNNNNNNNNNNNNNNNNNNNNNNNNNNNNNNNNNNNNNNNNNNNNNNNNNNNNNNNNNNNNNNNNNNNNNNNNNNNNNNNNNNNNNNNNNNNNNNNNNNNNNNNNNNNNNNNNNNNNNNNNNNNNNNNNNNNNNNNNNNNNNNNNNNNNNNNNNNNNNNNNNNNNNNNNNNNNNNNNNNNNNNNNNNNNNNNNNNNNGUUCACAAGUUCACCCCUAAUUAUAUAUAUUAAGCAUUAGUUAGAUGUUUAUGUGCAUUAAUCUAAGGAUAACAAAAUGAAUCUGAAACUUGAAUUUAAUUAAAGUAUUUUCUUGGACUUUCAAAUUGAGCAUUGAUAGUGAGGACUAUCCACAUCCUUGGCUUGCCCUUGAUCAAUUAUUUCCAAAGAAGCAUUCAAUUCAUCAGUCACUUACAUUGAUUUUUGUGGCUUGUACUUCUCCUCAACAUGAGUAUCUUCAUUGCAGCUACUCCAAAUCUGCCACAUAACUGAAGCAUUAAUAGUGCUCUUCCUUGCAUCAAGGAAAUAUGGAUCGAAGAUAUCUCUUGACCAUGUUUUCGGGUGCAACCUUGGGAGUUUUAUGUCAAAAUAUUCUCAAGAAGAAUCCAAGAAUAAACUUGCAUGCUCACGUGUGAAAAGGGCAUAUGAAGUAACAUUUCCUCACCAAGGCCACACAUAGGGCACACACAUAACCCCAUCACAUGCCUUUUUAGUUAUGCAUAUGAAGGUAGGAUAUUUUUCAUUACUCUGCACCAAAAUACUCUUAACUUGGAUUGUACCCUAAGCUUUCGUUGCCUUUUACAUUUUUCUUCCCCAUUAGAUGAACUAGAUAGUCCAGCUACCACACGAUACCUUGUGUUCAUCUCGGCUCUGUACAACAAUUGAACAGAAGAAAUGUCAUUUCUUUACCAUACCCAUGACCAAAUGUUCUCUGCUACUCCCUCCGUCCCAAAAUACUGCCAUCCAUGUCGACAACAAUGAGUCAUAUAGGACCGCUAUGCCUCUGUUGAAGGAGGUGGUGGAGCGAUCCGGAGAUUAUUCUGCCAUCCAUGUUGAGUAAAACCUCACUGGCCACUUGCUGCAACCGCAUACACACCGCCAUAAACAACGGUUGGUACUCAGUUCGGUGUAGCAUACACCAUGUAGGAAGCGAGUGCUUACUCCUAGUUACUGAAUUAUUGUUAGACUAUGUAUAGCUUCUGUACCUAUGUACGUAUAUGGUACAUAUUGUAACACAACCAUUAUAUAUAAUGAGAUAAGCCACCCCUAGAGGGUUGUGCUGGUUCCCCAAAACUUAUUGUCUUACAUGGUAUCACGCUAGGUUACGAUCGCUUCCGCUUCUAAACCCUAAUACCCGCACCGCCGCCGCAGCCGCCGCCGCCUUCACCGCCGCCGCCGCGCCACCGAUCGCGCCGCCGCCAUCUCGGGCGCCGCCAUCACCGGUUCCACUGCUGCGGGCUUCCUCCCGGCCUCUCUUGCGGCUCUGCUCAACCUCCCGCUCGAUGCCGUCUCUGUUCCGGCUCCGAUCGGGACAAGGAGCAUCGGCUCCGUCUUCUCCACGCCGCCGGCGCCCUCGCUUGGGCGUGACCUCGUGGUCCACACCGCGGCGCCGCCGUCCGCUGCGGACUCCGCAGGCGUCGUCCCGCCGCUCCUGCCGCAAGCGGAUCACACUGCCCCACUGGCGGGGUUGGCGGCGUCCGCCCCGGCCGCGGGCCUUGCGGCGUCCGCACCGGCCGCGAGCUUUGCGGCGCCCGUCCUGGCUGCGGUCCCGCCUUCUCCCGCAUCGGCUUCGGUGCCUCCGGCUGCCUCCAUGGUGUUUGCACCCCAGGCAGCCUCCUCGAUGGGAUUGUCUUCGCCGCCGCCGUUUCACUUCGGUCAUCUCAUCACCAUCAAGCUCUCCGCCGACAACUACAUCUUCUGGCGUGCGCAGGUUCUCCCGCUCUUGGGGAGUCACUACCUGCUAGGCUACGUCGACGGAUCGCUUCCCUGCCCACCCGCGCUGGUAGACAGCGUGCACGGUCCGGUCUACAAUCCGGCCCAUCGCGUCUGGACGGGGCAGGACCAGGCGAACCUCUCCUCCAUCCAGGGGUCGCUCUCGCCGGCAGUUGCCGGCCUUGUUGUCUUCGCGAAGACGUCUCAUGAGGCAUGGACCAUCCUUGAGCGCACCUUUGCAGCGCAGUCCCAGGCUCGUGUCUCUGCACUCCGUCGUCAGCUUGGAGAGUGUCAGAAGCUUGACUCCACUGCCACUGAGUUCUACAACAAGGUCAAGGGCCUCGCCGACACAUUGGCCUCCAUUGGACAGCCCCUCACCGACUCCGAGUUCAACUCGUUUAUUGUCAAUGGUCUUGAUGAGGAGUAUGAUGCCUUAGUCGAGAUCAUCAACGAGCGGGGCAACUCGACACCCAUGCUGGCACACGAGGUUUUCUCUCGGCUCCUUCUCACUGAGCAACGGGUCGAGACUCGCCGCACCAGGGGCACUGGCUCCCUCUCGGCCAACGCCGCCACCAAGGGUGGCCGCUCUUCUUCAUCACCCCGGUCUCCCUUGGGGCUGCCACCGUCGCCCGCCUCGGCCCCCCCACCUACUGCGACCUUACCGGGGGCUGGCGGUCCAUGUGUGUGUCAGCUUUGUGGCCGCGAUGGGCACUGGGCCUCCAAGUGUCAUAAGCGCUUCCAGCGAAGCUUCCUUGGUCUUGGCAAUGACGGCAAAGAUACACGCAACAAUGCCCGUCAGGUCGCCAUGGCUGAUCGUCCCGCGCCGCAGAAGCAACAGGGACACACUCAGUCCUACUCCAUUGAUCCACACUGGUACAUGGACUCUGGGGCGACAGAGCAUCUAACCAGCGAGAUGGGGAAGCUUCACACUCGUGAACCCUAUCAUGGCUCCGACAAGAUCCACACCGCCAAUGGAGCAGGUAUGCACAUCUCUCAUAUUGGUCAAGCAUCUCUUCUCACUAGACAUGCCAAUAGGAGUCUUCAGCUUCGCAAUGUUCUUCGAGUUCCAUCUGUGAUCCGUAAUCUUCUUUCAGUUCCUAAACUCACACGUGAUAAUAAUGUGCUUUGUGAAUUUCACCCUUUUGAUCUUUUUAUUAAGGAUCGGGGCACGAGGGACAUUCUUCUUAGUGGGCGGUUGUGCCAGGGCCUCUACCGUCUGGAGCAUCCUGGUGUCGCUCGUGUUUUCAGUGGAGUUCGGGUCUCUCCGUCACAGUGGCAUGCUCGUCUUGGUCACCCGGCCACACCUAUUGUCCGUCAUAUUUUGCGUCAUCAUGAGCUUCCUAGUUUGUCUAGUCAUAAAGAUGUAGCAGUGUGUGAUGCUUGUCAGCAGGGGAAGAGUCAUCAACUUCCUUUUUUGGAGUCCAGUCGUGAGGUGAAACAUCCUUUAGAACUUGUGUUUUCAGAUGUAUGGGGUCCUGCUCAGACUUCUGUCAGUGGUCAUAAUUACUAUAUCAGUUUCGUUGAUGCUUAUAGUCGCUUUACCUGGCUUUACCUUAUUAAACGCAAAUCUGAUGUGUUUGAUAUUUUUGUUCAGUUUCAAAAACAUGUUGAACGUCUUCUCAAGCACAAAAUUGUUCAUGUACAGUCAGACUGGGGGGGCGAGUAUCGCAACCUCAACUCUUUCUUUCAGUCGCUUGGGAUAGCUCAUCGUUUAGCAUGUCCACAUACACAUCAGUAGAAUGGUUCAGUCGAACGUAAGCAUCGUCAUAUUGUUGAAGCUGGUCUUACUCUUUUGGCCCAUGCAUCUGUUCCGUUUCGGUUUUGGAGUGAUGCUUUCACCACUGCAUGCUUUCUCAUCAACCGUACUUCUACUCGUGUUUUAAACAUGAAGACUCCCAUUGAGGUUCUCCUUAAUGAACAACCUGAUUAUACCUUUCUCAAGGUAUUUGGGUGUGCUUGCUGGCCGCAUCUUCGUCCAUAUAACAAGCGCAAGCUUGAGUUUCGUUCUAAGAAGUGUGUUUUUCUUGGCUAUAUCUCUCUUCAUAAAGGUUACAAAUGUCUUCAUGUUCCCACUAAUCGUGUCUAUAUAUCUCGGGACGUCGUGUUUGAUGAGCAUGUUUUUCCCUUUGCCAACCUUCCUGUGUCCACUGUCGAACCACCAUCCCUGCAUUCAUCCUCUGUUGCUUCUGACCAAUUUGAUGAUGUUGCAUACUCUCCUUUGCUGUUACCUAACCAUGGUGCAGGAACCGGACGUGGAGCUCGUUUGGAGCUGUUGGAGGAUUCACCAUCAUCAUCGUCGUCUUCUGGUGGGCACGUCGAUCGCCCUAUGUUGCAUGGCAUCGAUUCGCGUGCCCAUGCAUGGUCACCCGACGAGCCCGUCGCGCCGAGCAUCUCCACUGCUCGGUCCGUUUCGCCAGCGGCCGCCGAGUCGCCCGCGGCUCGGCCCGUCACGCCGUCUUCGCCUGCGGCUCGGCCCGUCACGCCGUAUUCGCCCGCGGCUCGGGUCCUCACGUCGCCUUCAUCAGCGGAUCGGCCCGCGACACCGGCCGCGCCACGGCCCACUAUGCCGAGCUCGCCAUCGGCCCGGUCUGUGAUGCCGGAGUCGCCAGCUGCUUCGUCUGCUCUGCCGGUUUCGCCGGUGGGUCGGCCUUCUUCGCCAACCGAGUCCGAGGCUACCGUGACUGGCUCCUCGUCACCGGCUGACUCGUCAACAUCGCCGUCCUCCAGCCCGUUGCAGGCUGCUCCGUCGACCUCGGUGGUUCCUGUGUCCCGACCACAUACACGCAGUCGCAGUGGCAUUUUCAAACCUAAGGAACGUAAGGAUGGUACGGUUGUUUGGUUGGCUGCUUGUUUGGCUGCUGCUGUUGCGGAUCCAUCUUCUGAGCCUCGCUCAUAUCAGGCUGCCCUGCGCAUUCCACAUUGGCGAGAGGCUAUGGAGCAGGAGUUUCAUGCUCUUCUUCGUAACAAGACAUGGACUCUCGUUCCUCCACCACCACGGGUAAAUGUUAUUGACUCAAAAUGGGUAUUCAAAGUGAAGAAGCAUUCGGAUGGAUCUAUUGAGCGUUACAAAGCGCGACUUGUUGCUCGCGGUUUUCGGCAGUGUCAUGGUCUUGACUAUGAGGACACCUUCAGUCCUGUCGUCAAGCCUACCACUAUUCGGCUUCUUCUCUCCAUUGCUGUUUCUCGUGGUUGGUCACUUCGUCAACUUGAUGUGCAGAAUGCUUUUCUAUAUGGAUUUUUGGAGGAAGAGGUUUAUAUGAAACAGCCGCCUGGUUUCUCUGAUCCUGAUCGUCAUGACUAUAUCUGUCGUCUUUCCAAAGCACUAUAUGGUUUGAAGCAAGCUCCUCGUGCCUGGCAUGCCCGCCUUGCCUCUGCCCUUCGUGCUCAUGGGUUUGUGCCGUCUACUGCUGACACUUCGUUAUUUCUUCUACAGAAGUCAGAAGUCACUAUGUAUCUUUUGGUAUAUGUCGAUGAUAUUAUCCUUGUCAGCUCUUCUCAGUAUGCUGCUGAUGCUCUUGUCUGCUCUCUUGGUGCUGAUUUUGCGGUCAAAGAUCUUGGGAAGCUUCACUACUUUCUUGGAGUUGAGGUCACUUCUCGUGCUACUGGUCUUGUCCUUACGCAGAAGAAGUACUCCUUGGAGUUGUUACAGAGAGCUGGCAUGCUGAAGUGCAAACCGACCACCACACCCAUGUCGUCUACCGACAAGAUAACAACUGUUGAUGGUGAGCUUUUGUCUCCUGCGGAUGCCACAGAGUACAUGAGCAUUGUUGGUGGACUUCAGUACUUGACGAUCACGAGACCAGAUAUCUCUUAUGCUGUUAACAGGGUUUGUCAGUAUCUUCAGGCUCCCAGAGAUACUCAUUGGGCUGCUGUUAAACGCAUUCUUCGUUAUGUUCAGUUCACCCUGACAUUUGGUAUGCAUAUUCGGCCGACUUCCUCUCGGGUCCUUUCGGCCUUCUCUGAUGCAGAUUGGGCUGGUAGCCCAGAUGACAGGCGAUCCACGAGGGGUUAUGCAGUAUUCUUUGGCUCUAAUUUGAUCGCCUGGAGUGCUCGGAAACAGGCUACUGUGUCACGUAGCAGUACUGAAGCUGAGUACAAGGCUGUGGCUAAUGCUACUGCAGAGAUUAUUUGGGUGCAGUCUUUGCUUCAGGAGUUGGGUUUGUCUCAACCACAACCUCCUAUUCUUUGGUGUGAUAACAUCGGUGCUACAUACCUUUCUGCAAAUCCAGUAUUUCAUGCCCGAAUGAAACACAUUGAAGUUGACUAUCACUUUGUACGGGAACGUGUAUCACAGAAGCAACUCCAGAUCAAGUUUAUCUCAUCUAAGGAUCAACUUGCAGACAUCUUCACUAAGCCUUUACCGCUGCCACAGUUUGAGGCUUGUAGGCGCAAUCUUACCCUUCUCAGUUCUUUAGAAAGUGGCUAAGAUUGAGGGAGGGUGUUAGACUAUGUAUAGCUUCCGUACCUAUGUACGUAUAUGGUACAUAUUGUAACACAACCAUUAUAUAUAAUGAGAUAAGCCACCCCUAGAGGGUUGUGCUGGUUCCCCAAAACUUAUUGUCUUACAAUUAUGUACACCAAAUAAACCCAGUUACACGUAGUUAAUGACAAAGUUGAUGCUUGCUACGCAGAUGUGUAGUACAAAUCAAGAAGUGCAAGAUAAAAAGAUGCUGGUCCUUGAUUCGUUGUUGAUCCUCAGCAUGCCAUCAUCAACUUGUAGUUAAUUAUCAUACAAAUUGGCUCUUUCAUAGAGUUGGAGGCUAGCUCCUUGGAUCAGCACGCGCUUAAACACAAAGAAGACGUAUAUGUAUUCUCUCCGGAGUUCAACUCUUGAUUGGCCAGCAAAAAUGGUCCGACCGGGUAGAGGAAAGGCAUGUUUGCUAGUACGCCUGGAGGAAAUGCCUUUGAUUAGGGCAUCUCCAACGGCGACCAGUAAAUUUUCUCCCACAUUCGUCCACGGACAGGGGAUCAGUCCGUGGAUACGGAUAUAGGAAUCGACCAUCCAACGCUGUCCACAUAUAAUUCGAACACUUUUUUAAAAAAAUCGGAUGAAAUUCAUGCAAACGCAGUGGAUUCCAUACAAACCGGACAACAACGUUUACAUUUUGGACAUAUUUUUUAACUAAAAACUCUACAGCCGGCGCCGGCGACAACGAAUAUCCACUCCGGCGACAUGGAUACCCUUGACUAGUCUACUGCCGGCCGCAGCGGAUCUCCAAUGUCGUCCCCAUGUCCGGCAGCUGUGAGCCCUAGAGGUAUAUGCUUCAACGCAAAGAGCAGCUCGCCACCCUACCACUCAUCGGAGUGGAACAACCAAUUGAUGCUUCUGCCAGUGGGGAAGGGUUCCUACGCUACACAGGUCAAAGUUGGUUUUGGGUUGGGAACGGUGGUGGCCUGCCAGAGGGCAAGACACCGGUUGUGUACGCUGGUGUCACCUCAAUAUGGCAUUCAUGGGACCCAAGCGACAGCUUCUCCUCGACUAUUGUGGCGAGCGCAGACGUGUUGGACACCACCUCGUCGAUGUCCAUGCAGCCCGCUUCUUUCUCUGUAGUCAGGACGCGGUGACACGCGCUUUGACAUCGGAUGACGCGCUCACAGGCACGGGAGGGGCGGUACAACAUGGCACCAUCAAUGGCAGCAAUGAUGCCCGUGCCACUGUGGUCCCUAUCAGUGUCGACCUGGAGCAACUCGCCACUCCUCGGCUCGUGACCGGCGGGGUUGACGGGCUACCAAGCCAUUGUUUAUGCGAGACAACUCUUUUUCCUGCUCAUCAGAUGCCAUGGAGAAAACUGUUCAAGGAGAAAAAUGAUGAGUGGAGGUGUGAUGCAGUUCUUGCUCGACAUCAGACAUCUAUCUAUUAUAUAAUUAAAACGAUAGAAAACGAACGGUUAAGAUUAAUCGUUCUAAAGUUAAGAAAAAACAACGGUGGAGAUUUACAGCACAUAUGUUUUUUUUUUGAAAAUUAAAGCAUAGAUGUUUGAACCACGCGCAUUACACGUACAUGUACAAGACCAAAACAGACGUACAUGUACCAGACCAAAACAGACGACCCGUCAAACAUAGUACGAUUGACUGAUCUCCGUAAAGAAUACGUCCAAUAAGGAAGGAGGCCUGAUUGAUUUCUAACUGGAACACGCACAACUAACCUGAUGUAUUUCUUAUUAAAACACACAAACAACUUGAUUUCCAGCAAGAAUACAAACGUGUAAGCUGAGAACUGCACACCUCAGCCCGGCGAACACUCCAGGCCGCCGUGGCACGUCCCGGAGAAGAUUGAACGCAUAUAGCAACAACAUAUCUGUACACGGCAAUAUCGGAAGCACAUCGGCGAACACUUGAGGCCGCCGCCACACGUCGAUUGCAGGCAUAACAACAACAAAUCUAGACGCGGCAAUGUCGGAUGCACAUUGGCGAAAAGUCGAACACUCAACGCCACCAGCGCACAUCCCGGAGAUCAAAGGCGCAACAGCAACACAUCUAUACGCGGCAAUGUCAGAGGUACAUCAGUGAAUACUGCAUCGCCACACGUCCUCGAGAUCUUACGCAUGGCAACAACAAAUCUAUACGUGGCAACGUUGGAGGCACGUGGGCCGGUGAAUCGAAGGCGGGAUAGCAACACAUCCAAUGCAAAGCUCAAGAUGCCGGGACUCCCAACAGAUCAAAGUCAUGACAGCGUUAUCAUCAACUUUGUACAAUAUGUCUCCACGUACUACCUAUAUAUAUGUUAUGAAUAAAAAAAUAAUUUCAAAUUUCGUUUGAAGGUAACAACGAUACGAUGUACAGAGCCAAAAGGAGAGAGUAGAGCAAUACGUGCAUCUUUUUUUGUUGUUGAGAGAAGAAUAAACUCACGUGCAUCUAAGCUACCGAUGUCUCAACCCUAGCCUAAAAAAAGUUGCCGAGUGUCUGCAUCUACGGAUUGGACGCUAGACUUUGUAUUAUUCUUUUAUGUUAGCAUACGUUGAUAGAUUGGUGCAAAUAAGUUUGAUGUCAAAAAACUAUAGCAAGCACAUAGCUCAAAACUAAAUGAUUGACCCAACAAAACAAAAUAUUACAUAAAUGUUACUGUCGCUUUAAGCUAGAGAAUCUGCACAUUUGAUCAGGGGUCAAUCGAAGGACAAACGUUUGCGGGUAAUUUCUAUGACGUACCAUAAGAAGAAAUAGCCCCUUUAUACUAGCAAACGGGUCCGUGCGUUGUAAUGGGAGAAAAAAAGAAUCUCCAAUGGCCAUGACCAUAUUUUGCUGCAUCACCGAGAUACCCUAUCACUCUCAAUUUUGUGAAAUCAUGAACAAUUUUUGCAAUCACGAACAUAUUUUUAAACUCUUACACAUAUUUGAAAUCAUAAACAUUUUUCAGAUUCAUGAACACUUAUACAAAUUUUAGAACAUUUCUGAAAUCAAGAACAUUUUCGGAAUUGAUGAACAUUUUAUAGUAUUUGCAAACAUUUUUUAAAAAACUUGAACAUCUUUAUAAACAAUUUUUUUAAUCAACAAACAUUUUUAUGGAAAUUGGUGGAACAAUUUUAGAAAUUCACGAACAUUUUUUGAUUUAACGAACAUUUUUUGAAAUACAUGAUCAGUUUUUGAAUUAGUGAACAUUUUCUGAAUGACUAAACUAUUUUGUAAGGCACCAAUAGUUUUUGAAUUUUAGGAUAUUUUCCCAUUCAUGAACAUUUUUCUGAACUGGUGAUUUGUUUUUCAAUUUCAUUAAUAAUUUUUGAUACACGAAAUUUUUAAAACAUGAUGAACAAUUUUUUAUUUGCCAAAAAAAUGUUUUUAAAAUUUUGAACAUUUAUUUUGUAAAUAAUUGUUUUUUACAAAAUAUCGAAUGUAUUUUGAAUCCACAAACAUUUUAUGAUUUAUGAAAAUUUUAUUUCAAUAUUCUCAUUAUUUAAAUUUUCGAAACUUUCUUAAAUCCCAAAUUAUUUAUAGCAUAAAAAGACGAAAACGGAAAAGAAAAAUGAAAAUAGAAAACCAAAUUCAAAAAACAGGCCAGCCUGAAAAGUGGCCAGCCUAAACGGGCGUGCAGCGUCUUCUCCCAGCCUGCAGAGAGCAUUAUAGGAGGCCCCAACUGCAGGGCCGGCCCAGAUGAGGGAAUUCCCCUGUGUGAAACUUCUUUUUAUCACUUAUAUGUGGCAUUGAACUCGUGAAGCAUGCGCUAUCCCAUCCAGCUGGCCGUGAUGUCUGGCUCGGUCAACUAGACAGACUUUCUUUCGUCCCUGUAAACGUUUUGAUGAUAUAAAAAAUGCUUAGGAGUUUUUCUAAAAAAAAACUUAUAAGUGACAUUGGUGGGUAAUAUUUUGCAACUUUAGAGGUAAUUCCCAUGACAUACCACCAGAAGCGCAAUAGCCCAUUUACUAUUAUUAGGUACUCUUUUUUCCUUGUGGGGCUUUAGAAAUGAGAGAAUUUGAAUAUAGUAACUCUCGGAAACUCUUAUUGGAUGAGAGAGAUUUAAUAUGUUAUUGGCGUGGGUUCUACCAACUAAUAUAAGAAGUAUUUGAUUGGAUAAACAAACAAUUUCCUUUAAUCGACAAACAUUUUUAUGAAAAUUGGUGGAAUAACUUGUGAAAUUCAAAAAUAUUUUUUUUUCAUUUAACAAACAUUUUUAACUUAACGAACAUUUUUGAAAUACAUGAUCAUUUUUUGAAUCCGUGAACGUUUAUGAGUGAGAAAACUAGUUUGUAAGUCAUGAGCAGUUCUUGAAUUUUUAGUAUAUUUUUCCGUUCAUGAACAUUUUUCGAAUUGAUGAAAUUUUGUUCAAUUUCAUUAACAGAAUUUAGUACACAAACCUUUUUAAAAAAUCAUGAACAUUAUUUUUUCCAAAAAAGCAAAAUUUGUUUUUUACAAAAUUGUGAUUUUUUUUUUGAAUCCACAAACAUUUUAUAAUUUAUGAAAAAUUUAUUUCAAAAUACGCAUUUUUUUAAUUUUCGAAAUUUUGUGAAAUCCCAAAUUAUUUAAAGUAGAAAAAACAAAAAGAGAAAAGAGAAAGGAAUAAUAGAAAACAAAGUUAAAAAAAAUAGGCCGACCGAACAUGCGCCGGCCCGAACGGGCGCGCUACAUCUUCUCCCAGCGUGUAGAAACGGAGUAUAGGAGGUCCCUACUACAUGGGCCGGCCCAAGCGGAAGACUUCUCUGCGCGACGCCGCAUUGUGCCACCUGCAUCUGUGGAGGCCCGAACUUGGCAAGACGCCAACCAUGGCAGGAGACUGGGACCAGCCACUCCUGGGCUGAUCCGGCGACUCCCAGGCCCACCCCUGCCACUACGGCGGCACCGCGGGGUAGCCUACAAGCCCAUCCACGAUGAUGCCUGAUUAGAAGGAUACAUGGAUAUCCUCAAAAAAAAAAAAGAAGGAUACAUGGAUAUACAAAAGGAAAGGUCCAUGUUGUCCCUUAAGCAAUCUAUAAUACCUAAAUAGUUCAUCCCCACUAUGUUAUUUCUCUUGACAUGCAGCCUAUCCAACUCAUCACGCCUGCCACAUCAGCAUUCUAUUAGUGUCUUGCGUAGAAGAAACCACUACAACAACCGUGCCACAUAAGCUUUUAGUUACUGGCUAAGGGACCCACCACAACCUGGUCUUACAAGCGUGUGUUUUUGCUGUUACCACUGCAGGAGAGCUGGAACGCUCGCUACCUUCCCCGACUCGCUUUAUUGCCUCCCCUUCACUUUUUGCACUUGGGCUUCUUCCAUUGAUCCAGCCCAAAGAAAAGAAUAGAUAGCCCAUGCCGUUACUCGCUGCUGCGUGAGUCCUCCUCGUUGGCGCCUUAUGCGCUGCUUUUGCAUGCUGGCGCUCACGUCCCAGCUCACUUGGGCCGCCCCAUUUAGCUAGAUCGACUCCCUUCCUUCGAUCGUUUUUCGAUCGCUCGACAAACAGAAACCUCGCUGCUCGCUGGUUCGAUUCAACUGACAGGUUGAUCGUUCAAUUCAGUUGUCCGUUAAACAUUUGAUCAAUUCACAGUUGACCGUAUGGACUUUUCAAAAAGAAUAAAGAAACAUCAUUUUCAAAAAAUAAUUCCUCAAUUUGAAAAAGUUCAUCGAUUUUCAUAAAUAGUUUAUCAAAUUUUGGAAAAAGUUCACAAAAUUUGGAAAAGUUCAUCGAUUUUGAAUAAAAAGUUCAUCAUGUUUCAAAAAAGUUCACUGAUUUAAAAAAUANNNNNNNNNNNNNNNNNNNNNNNNNNNNNNNNNNNNNNNNNNNNNNNNNNNNNNNNNNNNNNNNNNNNNNNNNNNNNNNNNNNNNNNNNNNNNNNNNNNNNNNNNNNNNNNNNNNNNNNNNNNNNNNNNNNNNNNNNNNNNNNNNNNNNNNNNNNNNNNNNNNNNNNNNNNNNNNNNNNNNNNNNNNNNNNNNNNNNNNNNNNNNNNNNNNNNNNNNNNNNNNNNNNNNNNNNNNNNNNNNNNNNNNNNNNNNNNNNNNNNNNNNNNNNNNNNNNNNNNNNNNNNNNNNNNNNNNNNNNNNNNNNNNNNNNNNNNNNNNNNNNNNNNNNNNNNNNNNNNNNNNNNNNNNNNNNNNNNNNNNNNNNNNNNNNNNNNNNNNNNNNNNNNNNNNNNNNNNNNNNNNNNNNNNNNNNNNNNNNNNNNNNNNNNNNNNNNNNNNNNNNNNNNNNNNNNNNNNNNNNNNNNNNNNNNNNNNNNNNNNNNNNNNNNNNNNNNNNNNNNNNNNNNNNNNNNNNNNNNNNNNNNNNNNNNNNNNNNNNNNNNNNNNNNNNNNNNNNNNNNNNNNNNNNNNNNNNNNNNNNNNNNNNNNNNNNNNNNNNNNNNNNNNNNNNNNNNNNNNNNNNNNNNNNNNNNNNNNNNNNNNNNNNNNNNNNNNNNNNNNNNNNNNNNNNNNNNNNNNNNNNNNNNNNNNNNNNNNNNNNNNNNNNNNNNNNNNNNNNNNNNNAGAAUUCAUUUCGACAUGUCCACUUGGUUUUGUUGUGAUGAAUUUACUAACAUCCACACACCGUUGCAGAGAUUAAUCGAUCAAAUUAUUUCCGAGGCAUGGCAGAGGGCUGUCGCAAUUUCAGGGCGUUUGUUCUUCCUGUAGUUUUGCUUUAGUUGAUGUUUAGGUCGUGUUCAGGGCGUUGGCUUUUCUUCCUGUAGCUUUGAUGUUUCAGGUCGUAUUCAUGGUCUGUUUCUUUUUCCUCUCAAUCUGUUGUGUUCUUGUAGGCUUAUUUGGACUGAACUGCUUCAGGUCAUGUAAACGGUAAACCUUCUCUAUUCUAUUUGUAUUUUUUGGUUUGUGAAGCAAGUACCACAACAUGCCAUGAUGGACCAGUCAGCCAAAUUUAACCCCCCUAUACUUCACAUUAGUUGAUGUUCUUUUUAUCUAUGUGGAGAAGGAACUUGAUCAAAAUCGAGGCCAGUUGCAGAUCUGUUUUCUAUGCAGAAAAUAUUUUAUCUAUGGUUGACAGGAUGUUUAUCUUCAUCAUUGACCAUCUCCUUUACCACUUUUACAGACCGUACAUGUCACUAUUUAUCCUAGCAAAUGAUUCAUGGAAUGCAUCAUAAACUCAUAGCAAGAUAUCUUUUGGCGCUGAUAGUAACAUCCGGACAGGAAAAAAAUUGAGUAUGGUGAAAGAUAUGGUAAUCUAUUGUCUAAGAAUGUAGUCUCUUAUGANNNNNNNNNNNNNNNNNNNNNNNNNNNNNNNNNNNNNNNNNNNNNNNNNNNNNNNNNNNNNNNNNNNNNNNNNNNNNNNNNNNNNNNNNNNNNNNNNNNNNNNNNNNNNNNNNNNNNNNNNNNNNNNNNNNNNNNNNNNNNNNNNNNNNNNNNNNNNNNNNNNNNNNNNNNNNNNNNNNNNNNNNNNNNNNNNNNNNNNNNNNNNNNNNNNNNNNNNNNNNNNNNNNNNNNNNNNNNNNNNNNNNNNNNNNNNNNNNNNNNNNNNNNNNNNNNNNNNNNNNNNNNNNNNNNNNNNNNNNNNNNNNNNNNNNNNNNNNNNNNNNNNNNNNNNNNNNNNNNNNNNNNNNNNNNNNNNNNNNNNNNNNNNNNNNNNNNNNNNNNNNNNNNNNNNNNNNNNNNNNNNNNNNNNNNNNNNNNNNNNNNNNNNNNNNNNNNNNNNNNNNNNNNNNNNNNNNNNNNNNNNNNNNNNNNNNNNNNNNNNNNNNNNNNNNNNNNNNNNNNNNNNNNNNNNNNNNNNNNNNNNNNNNNNNNNNNNNNNNNNNNNNNNNNNNNNNNNNNNNNNNNNNNNNNNNNNNNNNNNNNNNNNNNNNNNNNNNNNNNNNNNNNNNNNNNNNNNNNNNNNNNNNNNNNNNNNNNNNNNNNNNNNNNNNNNNNNNNNNNNNNNNNNNNNNNNNNNNNNNNNNNNNNNNNNNNNNNNNNNNNNNNNNNNNNNNNNNNNNNNNNNNNNNNNNNNNNNNNNNNNNNNNNNNNNNNNNNNNNNNNNNNNNNNNNNNNNNNNNNNNNNNNNNNNNNNNNNNNNNNNNNNNNNNNNNNNNNNNNNNNNNNNNNNNNNNNNNNNNNNNNNNNNNNNNNNNNNNNNNNNNNNNNNNNNNNNNNNNNNNNNNNNNNNNNNNNNNNNNNNNNNNNNNNNNNNNNNNNNNNNNNNNNNNNNNNNNNNNNNNNNNNNNNNNNNNNNNNNNNNNNNNNNNNNNNNNNNNNNNNNNNNNNNNNNNNNNNNNNNNNNNNNNNNNNNNNNNNNNNNNNNNNNNNNNNNNNNNNNNNNNNNNNNNNNNNNNNNNNNNNNNNNNNNNNNNNNNNNNNNNNNNNNNNNNNNNNNNNNNNNNNNNNNNNNNNNNNNNNNNNNNNNNNNNNNNNNNNNNNNNNNNNNNNNNNNNNNNNNNNNNNNNNNNNNNNNNNNNNNNNNNNNNNNNNNNNNNNNNNNNNNNNNNNNNNNNNNNNNNNNNNNNNNNNNNNNNNNNNNNNNNNNNNNNNNNNNNNNNNNNNNNNNNNNNNNNNNNNNNNNNNNNNNNNNNNNNNNNNNNNNNNNNNNNNNNNNNNNNNNNNNNNNNNNNNNNNNNNNNNNNNNNNNNNNNNNNNNNNNNNNNNNNNNNNNNNNNNNNNNNNNNNNNNNNNNNNNNNNNNNNNNNNNNNNNNNNNNNNNNNNNNNNNNNNNNNNNNNNNNNNNNNNNNNNNNNNNNNNNNNNNNNNNNNNNNNNNNNNNNNNNNNNNNNNNNNNNNNNNNNNNNNNNNNNNNNNNNNNNNNNNNNNNNNNNNNNNNNNNNNNNNNNNUCUGCAGCUCUGCCACCGCCCCGCACGCCACCGCCGCCCCGCAGCUCCGCCACCGCCCUGCACGCCACCGCCGCCCCGCAGCACCGCCCGGCUCCGUCCGCCACCGCCCCGGCCGCACGCCGCUCCACCGCUCUCUGACGGCGCCGAAGAGGACGCCGAAGGGCAAGUCGGGCUUCUUCGGCAUGAGGCAUAAGCCCUCGGUAACUGGGGUGUGGAGUUCACCGACGCCAGAAGGCGUUGGUGGAUCGGCACGUACCCUCUGCCAACGAGGCCGCGCGUGCCUACGGCGUGGCGGUGUGGUGUGCCGAGAGGCCUCGGUCGCACCUCAACUUUCCAGAGAUCGAGAGUCAGGCGGUAGCGGAGAUGCUUGUGCCAGAGGGCAUCAACAUGAAGGAGAUCACGAAGAAGAAGAAGAAGAAGAAGACGAAGAAGCCGUCGGUUGUUGUCAGUGCUGGCGAGACCGAUGAGGAGGCGAUGGCGAGGUUUGCUCGGGAGCAUCUGGAGUACGUCCAGGCCGAGCUGGAGCACUACUGAAAGCGUGAGGUGGAGUAGAAGAAGAAGGGGCCGAAGAAGGAGGACGAGGCUGGUCCCUCGACGGUGAUCCCCAUCGAGUCGUCUUCCGAGGAGGACUGGGCAGACUACGAGGAGGAGGAGGAGGAGGAGGAGGAGGAGGAGGAGGAGGAGGAGGAGGGGUGCGACGACCCGACGAAGGAGGAGUUCUGGGAGCAGUUCCGUAGCUCAGAUUAGGAGUAGUUUUUUAUGUAGUAGUUUGAAUAAGUAGUAGUGUUGAAGUUGAUGUAUGAAACUAUGUUGAAUUUGUUGUUUGAACUAUGUUGAAUGGACUAGUAGUAUGUCGUUUUACAUCUUCAUUUUGGACCAUCUAUUGGAGUUGCUCUUUUGGACCAUCAAUUUGGACCAUCUGUUGGAGUUGAAUUUUUUUCGGAGCUCCAAAACGCACUUUUUGACGGUCCAAAUUUUACAUCUCCGGUUUUGGACCGCCAAAUUUUGGACCAUCUAUUGGAGAUGCUCUAAGAAAGCUCGCACAAUCGCUUGUGUCAUCCUUAAUCUAUGGCCACUCUAAUUUUUCCGGCCAGGCCUUCCCUAUGGUACCGAGCAAGGCAUGUUUGCUAGUACGCCUGGAGGAAAUGCCUUUGAUUAGGGCAUCUCCAACGGCGACCAGUAAUCCACGGACAGGGGAUCAGUCAGUGGAUACGGAUAUAGGAAUCGGCCAUCCAACGCUGUCCGCAUAUAUUUCGAACACUUUUUAAAAAAAACCGGAGGAAAUUCAUGCAAACACAGUGGAUUCCAUACAAACCGGACAAAAACGUUUACAUUUUGGACAUAUUUUUUAACUAAAAACUCUACAGCCGGCGCCGGCGACGAUGAAUAUCCACUCCGGCGACAUGGAUACCCUUGACUAGUCUACUGCCGGCCGCAGCGGAUCUCCAAUGUCGUCCCCAUGUCCGGCAGCUGUGAGCCCUACAGGUAUAUGCUUCAACGCAAAGAGCAGCUCGCCUCCCUACCACUCAUCGGAGUGGAACAACCAACUGAUGCUUCUGCCAGUGGGGACGUGUUCCUACGCUACACAGGUCAGAGUUGGUUUUGGGUUGGGAACGACGGUGGCCUGCUAGAGGGCAAGACACCGGCUGUGUACGCUGGUGUCACCUCGGUAUGGCAUUCAUGAGACCCAAGCGACAGCUUCUCCUCGACGAUGGUGGUGAGCGCAGACGUGUUGGACACCACCUCAUCGAUGUCCAUGUAGCCCGCUUCUUUCUCUAUAGGAAGGACGCGGUGACGCGCGUUUUGACAUCGGAUGACGCGCUCACAUGCACGGGAGGGGCGGUACGACAUGGCACCAUCAAUGGCAGCCAUGAUGCCCGUGCCACCGUGCUCCCUCUCAGUGCUGACCUGGAGUAACUCGCCACUCCUCAGCUCAUGACCCGCGGGCUUGACGGGCCACCUAGCCAUUGUUUAUGUCAGACAACUCUUUUUCCUGCUCAUUAGAUGCCAUGGAGAAAACGGUUCAAGGAGAAAAAUGGUGAGUGGAGGUGUGAUGCGGUUCUUGCUCGACAUCUGACAUUGUUUAAAUAGCGAGGGGACACGAGGAGUCAACCGGCGUUCUGUUUAAUGCCAGCCGGCUCACGAACGGACAUGUGGCUGGAGUAAUUAUCCUGGCACACGCGCGGGUUUAAUGGUGGAAGGCGGGCAGUCUGGAGGAAUGAGGCAGGAUGUGUGUUUAGCCGGCGUGCAGCGGAGCGGUACCCUUGGCGUGCGUGGGGCAGUACCCGGAGGCAUGAAUGCGGGCAGCUGGCGCAGAGCGGGAACACAUGCGUGCGAGAGAGGAGGGGGUUUGGGUGGGCACGGGUGGUCAGAAGUGCGCGGUCGUGGGUGUUGUCCGGACGCGUGCAAAGCCCCCCUCCUCCAUGUGUUGUCUCCUUGCGGGAGAAAGUACGUCCGGACUGCCCCGUGGACCGAUACAAGCCCGCAUUAUUUGGCACAACACGUCCGGACCAUGUGGUCCGGAUGGUUGUGGACGGUUUAAUUGAGGGUCGGUGUUGGAGAUGAUUUAGAGUUUAUGAAUCCAUUGUGUUUUUCUAAUCAUAAAAGAGCACUUAUAAUAAGUUAUAAGGAAAGACACGUAUAUAUGUUAGGUUCAGACUCCAGCUUUCCUCUUAUAUAUGUUUUUUUUCUGAUCCGACUGAUUCCAAUAGAGAGCCUAGCGUUGUUUUUCUAGAAACUCGAGGGAUAAGGAGACAUGCAUACACGUUCUUCCAAGCAAAUCACAUCCAUUCUUUUUAACUCAUUUUUUCUUGUUUUAAUAAUAUAAUAAAUCAUUUGUAUUUUUUAUCUCGAACAGUUGAAGUGUAAUUCCUAUUGUAAUCUAAGGAUAAUGUUUGGAUUUUACUUUCAAAUAUUUGAAAUGGCCAUGAUGGAAUCACAUCCAUUUAUUUUAUUAUUAUUUGAAUUUGAUCCAAAAGAUAAAUAAUGAGUAGACGUCCUGAAAACUUUUCUGAGAACUUUGCUAAUCAAAAGACAAAAAAGGUUUUAAGAACUGAAGCAAACCACGAAUUUUACUCUCUAUUUUACUAAAGCAAGUGGCUGCUAUUUAGGUCUAGUAAGUACCAAAUUGACCAACAACCUUUUUUCCAAAUUGGAAGGAAUGCAGUUCUCAGCUCUCACCAUGGUGAUUAUAUAAUCUGGAUUUUCGAGCUGUAGCUAGUCAACUUAUGUUAGUGGCAUAUGUACCCUAGUGUUGGUCACUGGGAAUGGACGAAGCCAUGAGUGAAGGAACAGGAAAUGACAGAAGUACGAUUUGUAGAAUUUCAAAACUCAAACUAUCUAGUUUUAUGGAGUGAUAUGAAAUAAGCAAAACCAACUGCUAAUAAAAAUGUAAAAUUAAACGAUAUAUUUAGAAAUGUGAUUGUGAAGUCAUUGUCACAAAAUAUGACCUCACUAAAAAUGAACAUUCAACCUUAUUUUCAGAAGUUUGCAUACAAAUUCCAUGUAAAUUAUGGUAGUGCCCAUAAACAAAUAAACCAUAAUCGUGCUUGAUCUACCAUGAAACUUACUACCUUGUCUAUACUCUUGAAAGGACAAAAAAUGCUGAUGCAAUGCCACCUCGCUAGAUAUAUACUUUUGUCAUGUCCAGAGAUUUCCUGCACCAUGAACAAAAAUGCCACCGCAAUAAUAGUCGUUCUUUUGCGACAAAAAAAUACUGAAUUUGGACAGCAAUGCCUGCACAACUACUAUCUGUACACCAUGCAUGCACCCAUGUAUAUCAGUAAUACAUAUUAUAAGCUUGUGAACAUUGGUUUCAAAGUAGUGAUACCAAUAGUACGUCAUCCAGUGAUGGCCAGUCGCAGUACCUAGAUGCCACUUCGGUGCCUGGUUUCAAAGUCGCAAGUUCAUGGCAGGGAAAGCAAUCAUGUGUCUAGAGUAGAGACUUAAAAAAAGACCCAUGCCAUGUAGAUGGAUCAGAUAAUUAUGCCAAUCUUGAUUUUUCAGUGCAAAUCCAGUUCUGAAACUUCCACCUGAUCAGUUGCUCCCAAAAUGGGCUAUACAGUUAACCAAAAUGAAUUUUGCUCCUAACACCAUAGUUUGUUUCCAACGAUCACUAGAGCGAGCUUCACCAGAGUGAUGUGGGUUUGAUUAAGUACCUGAGCUGGUGUUGUACAUGCAUAUAUGUUAUGUUCACCGCUCCUACCGGAUGCCCGCCGCCGAACUCACCAUCCGUUCUACACAAGCAACAAAACCGAUUGGAUUAGCUAUUUCGGUUGUUACUUGUAUAGUCUGGUGGAAUGAUCAGUUCCAGUAUUACGCCAUGGCGGCAUCUUUUAUAUGCAAUAUACUGUGAACUGAAUUUUCUGUUAGUGAAGUUGACAGAACAGAGUACUACAGGGUAGAGGGGUAGAGCAUGCAAGUGGUGAUUGUUGUGUGGUUUGUGCGUUAGUUAUGUGUGAACCGGGCGUCGAGGUAGCGUUGGCUGGUCAUCUGCAGCUCAUAGGCGCACGAGCACAGCGGUGGCACGCCCACCACCGCCUCCAUUGCCCGCAAGGACGCCACCUAGCCGCCGCCGUAUUUGGAGAAGAAGCAACAAGCAGUGUGGCCGCUGCCAUGGCCGACGCCAGACCUGGUCGAUCUCCCACUUCUGUAUUCGAGAAAAAAAGAUCUCCCUCUUCUCUUGUGAUGAGAUGGGGAAGAGAUGGUGAGAUAUGAGGUCGAUGGCUUUGGGGAGAGGAUACGGGUGGACGCCGGCAGUGAGGCAGCGUGAGGAAGACGAGGUGGUUGGCGGUGGCGACGCGUGAGGGGAGGGGAAGGGAGGGGUAGCGGUGCAUGGAGGGGAGUGGGUGUGCGGCGUGCCUAGUUCACGAGAGAGGAGAGAGGUCGUCAAGGGAGCGAUCCAUGGGAGUUUUUUUUCCUUCUGAGCGAGCCUAGUUAGGCUCUCUGCAGCGUCUAGGCCCAAUGCACCACAUGUCUUCAAAUUGGCCACCAGUAGCAGCCCAUAGAACAGACAGGGCCAGUUUGCAAAUUUUAAAACAUAAGUUUUUUAGCGCCCAAGAAAAACAGAACACAUAUCUUUCCAAACAUAAUGAACUAUAGGUACCACAAAAAAAACCAUAAUGAAUUAUAGGUUGUUACAAGAACUCAUGCCAUCCAGCUGCCUCCCGCCGACCCUGCCAACAUUGUUGUAGCUGCACUCGCAAGCGUUACCAUAGGUGAUCAUUUGCAUGAUUUCGNNNNNNNNNNNNNNNNNNNNNNNNNNNNNNNNNNNNNNNNNNNNNNNNNNNNNNNNNNNNNNNNNNNNNNNNNNNNNNNNNNNNNNNNNNNNNNNNNNNNNNNNNNNNNNNNNNNNNNNNNNNNNNNNNNNNNNNNNNNNNNNNNNNNNNNNNNNNNNNNNNNNNNNNNNNNNNNNNNNNNNNNNNNNNNNNNNNNNNNNNNNNNNNNNNNNNNNNNNNNNNNNNNNNNNNNNNNNNNNNNNNNNNNNNNNNNNNNNNNNNNNNNNNNNNNNNNNNNNNNNNNNNNNNNNNNNNNNNNNNNNNNNNNNNNNNNNNNNNNNNNNNNNNNNNNNNNNNNNNNNNNNNNNNNNNNNNNNNNNNNNNNNNNNNNNNNNNNNNNNNNNNNNNNNNNNNNNNNNNNNNNNNNNNNNNNNNNNNNNNNNNNNNNNNNNNNNNNNNNNNNNNNNNNNNNNNNNNNNNNNNNNNNNNNNNNNNNNNNNNNNNNNNNNNNNNNNNNNNNNNNNNNNNNNNNNNNNNNNNNNNNNNNNNNNNNNNNNNNNNNNNNNNNNNNNNNNNNNNNNNNNNNNNNNNNNNNNNNNNNNNNNNNNNNNNNNNNNNNNNNNNNNNNNNNNNNNNNNNNNNNNNNNNNNNNNNNNNNNNNNNNNNNNNNNNNNNNNNNNNNNNNNNNNNNNNNNNNNNNNNNNNNNNNNNNNNNNNNNNNNNNNNNNNNNNNNNNNNNNNNNNNNNNNNNNNNNNNNNNNNNNNNNNNNNNNNNNNNNNNNNNNNNNNNNNNNNNNNNNNNNNNNNNNNNNNNNNNNNNNNNNNNNNNNNNNNNNNNNNNNNNNNNNNNNNNNNNNNNNNNNNNNNNNNNNNNNNNNNNNNNNNNNNNNNNNNNNNNNNNNNNNNNNNNNNNNNNNNNNNNNNNNNNNNNNNNNNNNNNNNNNNNNNNNNNNNNNNNNNNNNNNNNNNNNNNNNNNNNNNNNNNNNNNNNNNNNNNNNNNNNNNNNNNNNNNNNNNNNNNNNNNNNNNNNNNNNNNNNNNNNNNNNNNNNNNNNNNNNNNNNNNNNNNNNNNNNNNNNNNNNNNNNNNNNNNNNNNNNNNNNNNNNNNNNNNNNNNNNNNNNNNNNNNNNNNNNNNNNNNNNNNNNNNNNNNNNNNNNNNNNNNNNNNNNNNNNNNNNNNNNNNNNNNNNNNNNNNNNNNNNNNNNNNNNNNNNNNNNNNNNNNNNNNNNNNNNNNNNNNNNNNNNNNNNNNNNNNNNNNNNNNNNNNNNNNNNNNNNNNNNNNNNNNNNNNNNNNNNNNNNNNNNNNNNNNNNNNNNNNNNNNNNNNNNNNNNNNNNNNNNNNNNNNNNNNNNNNNNNNNNNNNNNNNNNNNNNNNNNNNNNNNNNNNNNNNNNNNNNNNNNNNNNNNNNNNNNNNNNNNNNNNNNNNNNNNNNNNNNNNNNNNNNNNNNNNNNNNNNNNNNNNNNNNNNNNNNNNNNNNNNNNNNNNNNNNNNNNNNNNNNNNNCCAUGCAGGGAUGUCGUCUUGCAACAACCCAACAUAGCACAUGCAAGCUCACAAGUAUUGCAACAAAGUUACCAACUGUUGCAACAAUUAUGUUGUCAGCAACUGUGGCAGACCCCCGAGCAGUCACGGUGCCAAGCCAUCCACAAUGUCAUUCAUGCUAUUAUUUUGCAUCAACAACAACAACAACAACAACAACAACAACAACAACAACAACAACAACAACAACAACAACAACAACAACCGUCGAGCCAGGUCUCCUACCAGCAGCCUCAGCAACAAUAUCCAUCAGGCCAGGGCUCCUUCCAGCCAUCUCAGCAAAACCCACAGGCCCAGGGCUUUGUCCAACCUCAGCAACUGCCGCAGUUCGAGGAAAUAAGGAACCUAGCGCUACAGACGCUACCAGCAAUGUGCAAUGUCUACAUCCCUUCAUAUUGCUCGACCACCAUUGCGCCAUUUGGCAUCAUGAGUACUAACUGAGAAGAGAAGAACUCUAUUACUAGAUAUAUGAAACACCGUUUUCUUAAAACAUGGUUUGGUCGUUGUAGCGGUGAAAAAUAAAGUGACAUGCACUAUCAUGUAAGAACCCGAACUAGACUAUUUCAAACUUGGAAAUAAAAGACAAACACAGGUCUUGUCUACAUAUGAUUGUUUGUUUGAGUUCCAUUCAUGUACCCGUUCACAAGUUCACCCCUAAUUAUAUAUAUUAAGCAUUAGUUAGAUGUUUAUGUGCAUUAAUCUAAGGAUAACAAAAUGAAUCUGAAACUUGAAUUUAAUUAAAGUAUUUUCUUGGACUUUCAAAUUGAGCAUUGAUAGUGAGGACUAUCCACAUCCUUGGCUUGCCCUUGAUCAAUUAUUUCCAAAGAAGCAUUCAAUUCAUCAGUCACUUACAUUGAUUUUUGUGGCUUGUACUUCUCCUCAACAUGAGUAUCUUCAUUGCAGCUACUCCAAAUCUGCCACAUAACUGAAGCAUUAAUAGUGCUCUUCCUUGCAUCAAGGAAAUAUGGAUCGAAGAUAUCUCUUGACCAUGUUUUCGGGUGCAACCUUGGGAGUUUUAUGUCAAAAUAUUCUCAAGAAGAAUCCAAGAAUAAACUUGCAUGCUCACGUGUGAAAAGGGCAUAUGAAGUAACAUUUCCUCACCAAGGCCACACAUAGGGCACACACAUAACCCCAUCACAUGCCUUUUUAGUUAUGCAUAUGAAGGUAGGAUAUUUUUCAUUACUCUGCACCAAAAUACUCUUAACUUGGAUUGUACCCUAAGCUUUCGUUGCCUUUUACAUUUUUCUUCCCCAUUAGAUGAACUAGAUAGUCCAGCUACCACACGAUACCUUGUGUUCAUCUCGGCUCUGUACAACAAUUGAACAGAAGAAAUGUCAUUUCUUUACCAUACCCAUGACCAAAUGUUCUCUGCUACUCCCUCCGUCCCAAAAUACUGCCAUCCAUGUCGACAACAAUGAGUCAUAUAGGACCGCUAUGCCUCUGUUGAAGGAGGUGGUGGAGCGAUCCGGAGAUUAUUCUGCCAUCCAUGUUGAGUAAAACCUCACUGGCCACUUGCUCCAACCGCAUACACACCGCCAUAAACAACGGUUGGUACUCAGUUCGGUGUAGCAUACACCAUGUAGGAAGCGAGUGCUUACUCCUAGUUACUGAAUUAUUGUUAGACUAUGUAUAGCUUCUGUACCUAUGUACGUAUAUGGUACAUAUUGUAACACAACCAUUAUAUAUAAUGAGAUAAGCCACCCCUAGAGGGUUGUGCUGGUUCCCCAAAACUUAUUGUCUUACAUGGUAUCACGCUAGGUUACGAUCGCUUCCGCUUCUAAACCCUAAUACCCGCACCGCCGCCGCAGCCGCCGCCGCCUUCACCGCCGCCGCCGCGCCACCGAUCGCGCCGCCGCCAUGUCGAGCGCCGCCAUCACCGGUUCCACUGCUGCGGGCUUCCUCCCGGCCUCUCUUGCGGCUCUGCUCAACCUCCCGCUCGAUGCCGUCUCUGUUCCGGCUCCGAUCGGGACAAGGAGCAUCAGCUCCGUCUUCUCCACGCCGCCGGCGCCCUCGCUUGGGCAUGACCUCGUGGUCCACACCGCGGCGCCGCCGUCCGCUGCGGACUCCGCAGGCGUCGUCCCGCCGCUCCUGCCGCAAGCGGAUCACACUGCCCCACUGGCGGGGUUGGCGGCGUCCGCCCCGGCCGCGGGCCUUGCGGCGUCCGCACCGGCCGCGAGCUUUGCGGCGCCCGUCCUGGCUGCGGUCCCGCCUCCUCCCGCAUCGGCUUCGGUGCCUCCGGCUGCCUCCAUGGUGUUUGCACCCCAGGCAGCCUCCUCGAUGGGAUUGUCUUCGCCGCUGCCGUUUCACUUCGGUCAUCUCAUCACCAUCAAGCUCUCCGCCGACAACUACAUCUUCUGGCGUGCGCAGGUUCUCCCGCUCUUGGGGAGUCACUACCUGCUAGGCUACGUCGACGGAUCGCUUCCCUGCCCACCCGCGCUGGUAGACAGCGUGCACGGUCCGGUCUACAAUCCGGCCCAUCGCGUCUGGACGGGGCAGGACCAGGCGAACCUCUCCUCCAUCCAGGGGUCGCUCUCGCCGGCAGUUGCCGGCCUUGUUGUCUUCGCGAAGACGUCUCAUGAGGCCUGGACCAUCCUUGAGCGCACCUUUGCAGCGCAGUCCCAGGCUCGUGUCUCUGCACUCCGUCGUCAGCUUGGAGAGUGUCAGAAGCUUGACUCCACUGCCACUGAGUUCUACAACAAGGUCAAGGGCCUCGCCGACACAUUGGCCUCCAUUGGACAGCCCCUCACCGACUCCGAGUUCAACUCAUUUAUUGUCAAUGGUCUUGAUGAGGAGUAUGAUGCCUUAGUCGAGAUCAUCAACGAGCGGGGCAACUCGACACCCAUGCUGGCACACGAGGUUUUCUCUCGGCUCCUUCUCACUGAGCAACGGGUCGAGACUCGCCGCACCAGGGGCACUGGCUCCCUCUCGGCCAACGCCGCCACCAAGGGUGGCCGCUCUUCUUCAUCACCCCGGUCUCCCUUGGGGCUGCCACCGUCGCCCGCCUCGGCCCCCCCACCUACUGCGACCUUACCGGGGGCUGGCGGUCCACGUGUGUGUUAGCUUUGUGGCCGCGAUGGGCACUGGGCCUCCAAGUGUCAUAAGCGCUUCCAGCGAAGCUUCCUUGGUCUUGGCAAUGACGGCAAAGAUACACGCAACAAUGCCCGUCAGGUCGCCAUGGCUGAUCGUCCCGCGCCGCAGAAGCAACAGGGACACACUCAGUCCUACUCCAUCGAUCCACACUGGUACAUGGACUCUGGGGCGACAGAGCAUCUAACUAGCGAGAUGGGGAAGCUUCACACUCGUGAACCCUAUCAUGGCUCCGACAAGAUCCACACCGCCAAUGGAGCAGGUAUGCACAUCUCUCAUAUUGGUCAAGCAUCUCUUCUCACUAGACAUGCCAAUAGGAGUCUUCAGCUUCGCAAUGUUCUUCGAGUUCCAUCUGUGACCCGUAAUCUUCUUUCAGUUCCUAAACUCACACGUGAUAAUAAUGUGCUUUGUGAAUUUCACCCUUUUGAUCUUUUUAUUAAGGAUCGGGGCACGAGGGACAUUCUUCUUAGUGGGCGGUUGUGCCAGGGCCUCUACCGUCUGUAGCAUCCUGGUGUCGCUCGUGUUUUCAGUGGAGUUUGGGUCUCUCCGUCACAGUGGCAUGCUCGUCUUGGUCACCCGGCCACACCUAUUGUCCGUCAUAUUUUGCGUCAUCAUGAGCUUCCUAGUUUGUCUAGUCAUAAAGAUGUAGCAGUGUGUGAUGCUUGUCAGCAGGGGAAGAGUCAUCAACUUCCUUUUUUGGAGUCCAGUCGUGAGGUGAAACAUCCUUUAGAACUUGUGUUUUCAGAUGUAUGGGGUCCUGCUCAGACUUCUGUCAGUGGUCAUAAUUACUAUAUCAGUUUCGUUGAUGCUUAUAGUCGCUUUACCUGGCUUUACCUUAUUAAACGCAAAUCUGAUGUGUUUGAUAUUUUUGUUCAGUUUCAAAAACAUGUUGAACGUCUUCUCAAGCACAAAAUUGUUCAUGUCCAGUCAGACUGGGGGGGGCGAGUAUCGCAACCUCAACUCUUUCUUUCAGUCGCUUGGGAUAGCUCAUCGUUUAGCAUGUCCACAUACACAUCAGCAGAAUGGUUCAGUCGAACGUAAGCAUCGUCAUAUUGUUGAAGCUGGUCUUACUCUUUUGGCCCAUGCAUCUGUUCCGUUUCGGUUUUGGAGUGAUGCUUUCAUCACUGCAUGCUUUCUCAUCAACCGUACUCCUACUCGUGUUUUAAACAUGAAGACUCCCAUUGAGGUUCUCCUUAAUGAACAACCUGAUUAUACCUUUCUCAAGGUAUUUGGGUGUGCUUGCUGGCCGCAUCUUCGUCCAUAUAACAAGCGCAAGCUUGAGUUUCAUUCUAAGAAGUGUGUUUUUCUUGGCUAUAGCUCUCUUCAUAAAGGUUACAAAUGUCUUCAUGUUCCCACUAAUCGUGUCUAUAUAUCUCGGGACGUCGUGUUUGAUGAGCAUGUUUUUCCCUUUGCCAACCUUCCUGUGUCCACUGUCGAACCACCAUCCCUGCAUUCAUCCUCUGUUGCUUCUGACCAAUUUGAUGAUGUUGCAUACUCUCCUUUGCUGUUACCUAACCAUGGUGCAGGAACCGGACGUGGAGCUCGUUUGGAGCUGUUGGAGGAUUCACCAUCAUCAUCGUCGUCUUCUGGUGGGCACGUCGAUCGCCCUAUGUUGCAUGGCAUCGAUUCACGUGCCCAUGCAUGGUCACCCGACGAGCCCGUCGCGCCGAGCAUCUCCACUGCUCGGUCCGUUUCGCAAGCGGCCGCCGAGUCGCCCGCGGCUCGGCCCGUCACGCCGUCUUCGCCUGCGGCUCGGCCCGUCACGCCGUCUUCGCCCGCGGCUCGGGUCCUCACGUCGCCUUCAUCAGCGGAUCGGCCCGCGACACCGGCCGCGCCACGGCCCACUAUGCCGAGCUCGCCAUCGGCCCGGUCUGUGAUGCCGGAGUCGCCAGCUGCUUCGUCUGCUCUGCCGGUUUCGCCGGUGGGUCGGCCUUCUUCGCCAACCGAGUCCGAGGCUACCGUGACUGGCUCCUCGUCACCGGCUGACUCGUCAACGUCGCCGUCCUCCAGCCCGUUGCAGGCUGCUCCGUCGACCUCGGUGGUUCCUGUGUCCCGACCACAUACACGCAGUCGCAGUGGCAUUUUCAAACCUAAGGAACGUAAGGAUGGUACGGUUGUUUGGUUGGCUGCUUGUUUGGCUGCUGCUGUUGCGGAUCCAUCUUCUGAGCCUCGCUCAUAUCAGGCUGCCCUGCGCAUUCCACAUUGGCGAGAGGCUAUGGAGCAGGAGUUUCAUGCUCUUCUUCGUAACAAGACAUGGACUCUCGUUCCUCCACCACCACGGGUAAAUGUUAUUGACUCAAAAUGGGUAUUCAAAGUGAAGAAGCAUUCGGAUGGAUCUAUUGAGCGUUACAAAGCGCGACUUGUUGCUCGCGGUUUUCGGCAGCGUCAUGGUCUUGACUAUGAGGACACCUUCAGUCCUGUCGUCAAGCCUACCACUAUUCGGCUUCUUCUCUCCAUUGCUGUUUCUCGUGGUUGGUCACUUCGUCAACUUGACGUGCAGAAUGCUUUUCUACAUGGAUUUUUGGAGGAAGAGGUUUAUAUGAAACAGCCGCCUGGUUUCUCUGAUCCUGAUCGUCAUGACUAUAUCUGUCGUCUUUCCAAAGCACAACUAACCUGAUGUAUUUCUUAUUAAAACACACAAACAACUUGAUUUCCAGCAAGAAUACAAACGUGUAAGCUGAGAACUGCACACCUCAGCCCGGCGAACACUCCAGGCCGCCGUGGCACGUCCCGGAGAAGAUUGAACGCAUAUAGCAACAACAUAUCUGUACACGGCAAUAUCGGAAGCACAUCGGCGAACACUUGAGGCCGCCGCCACACGUCGAUUGCAGGCAUAACAACAACAAAUCUAGACGCGGCAAUGUCGGAUGCACAUUGGCGAAAAGUCGAACACUCAACGCCACCAGCGCACAUCCCGGAGAUCAAAGGCGCAACAGCAACACAUCUAUACGCGGCAAUGUCGGAGGUACAUCAGUGAAUACUGCAUCGCCACACGUCCUCGAGAUCUUACGCAUGGCAACAACAAAUCUAUACGUGGCAACGUUGGAGGCACGUGGGCCGGUGAAUCGAAGGCGGGAUAGCAACACAUCCAAUGCAAAGCUCAAGAUGCCGGGACUCCCAACAGAUCAAAGUCAUGACAGCGUUAUCAUCAACUUUGUACAAUAUGUCUCCACGUACUACCUACAUAUAUGUAAUGAAUAAAAAAUAAUUUCAAAUUUCGUUUGAGGGUAACAACAAUACGAUGUACAGAGCCAAAAGGAGAGAGUAGAGCAAUACGUGCAUCUUUUUUUUUUUGUUGAGAGAAGAAUAAACUCACGUGCAUCUAAGCUACCGAUGUCUCAACCCUAGCCUAAAAAAAUUGCCAAGUGUCUGCAUCUACGGAUUGGACGCUAGACUUUGUAUUAUUCUUUUAUGUUAGCAUACGUUGAUAGAUUGGUGCAAAUAAGUUUGAUGUCAAAAAACUAUAGCAAGCACAUAGCUCAAAACUAAAUGAUUGACCCAACAAAACAAAAUAUUACAUAAAUGUUACUGUCGCUUUAAGCUAGAGAAUCUGCACAUUUGAUCAGGGGUCAAUCGAAGGACAAACGUUUGCGGGUAAUUUCUAUGACGUACCAUAAGAAGAAAUAGCCCCUUUAUACUAGCAAACGGGUCCGUGCGUUGUAAUGGGAGAAAAAAAAGAAUCUCCAAUGGCCAUGACCAUAUUUUGCUGCAUCACCGAGAUACCCUAUCACUCUCAAUUUUGUGAAAUCAUGAACAAUUUUUGCAAUCACGAACAUAUUUUUAAACUCUUACACAUAUUUGAAAUCAUAAACAUUUUUCAGAUUCAUGAACACUUAUACAAAUUUUAGAACAUUUCUGAAAUCAAGAACAUUUUCGGAAUUGAUGAACAUUUUAUAGUAUUUGCAAACAUUUUUUAAAAAACUUGAACAUCUUUAUAAACAAUUUUUUUAAUCAACAAACAUUUUUAUGGAAAUUGGUGGAACAAUUUUAGAAAUUCACGAACAUUUUUUGAUUUAACGAACAUUUUUUGAAAUACAUGAUCAGUUUUUGAAUUAGUGAACAUUUUCUGAAUGACUAAACUAUUUUGUAAGGCACCAAUAGUUUUUGAAUUUUAGGAUAUUUUCCCAUUCAUGAACAUUUUUCUGAACUGGUGAUUUGUUUUUCAAUUUCAUUAAUAAUUUUUGAUACACGAAANNNNNNNNNNNNNNNNNNNNNNNNNNNNNNNNNNNNNNNNNNNNNNNNNNNNNNNNNNNNNNNNNNNNNNNNNNNNNNNNNNNNNNNNNNNNNNNNNNNNUGCAGCCCGCUUCUUUCUCUGUAGUCAGGACGCGGUGACACGCGCUUUGACAUCGGAUGACGCGCUCACAGGCACGGGAGGGGCGGUACAACAUGGCACCAUCAAUGGCAGCCAUGAUGCCCGUGCCACUGUGGUCCCUCUCAGUGUCGACCUGGAGCAACUCGCCACUCCUCGGCUCGUGACCGGCGGGGUUGACGGGCCACCUAGCUAUUGUUUAUGCGAGACAACUCUUUUUCCUGCUCAUCAGAUGCCAUGGAGAAAACUGUUCAAGGAGAAAAAUGGUGAGUGGAGGUGUGAUGCAGUUCUUGCUCGACAUCUGACAUCUAUCUAUUAUAUAAUUAAAACGAUAGAAAACGAACGGUUAAGAUUAAUUGUUCUAAAGUUAAGAAAAAACAACGGUGGAGAUUUACAGCAUAUAUGUUUUUUUUUUUUGAAAAUUACAGCAUAGAUGUUUGAACCACGUGCAUUACACGUACAUGUACAAGACCAAAACAGACGUACAUGUACCAGACCAAAACAGACGACCCGUCAAACAUAGUACGAUUGACUGAUCUCCGUAAAGAAUACGUCCAAUAAGGAAGGAGUCCUGAUUGAUUUCUAACUGGAACACGCACAACUAACCUGAUGUAUUUCUUAUUAAAACACACAAACAACUUGAUUUCCAGCAAGAAUACAAACGUGUAAGCUGAGAACUGCACACCUCAGCCCGGCGAACACUCCAGGCCGCCGUGGCACGUCCCGGAGAAGACUGAACGCAUAUAGCAACAACAUAUCUGUACACGGCAAUAUCGGAAGCACAUCGGCGAACACUUGAGGCCGCCGCCACACGUCGAUUGCAGGCAUAACAACAACAAAUCUAGACGCGGCAAUGUCGGAUGCACAUUGGCGAAAAGUCGAACACUCAACGCCACCAGCGCACAUCCCGGAGAUCAAAGGCGCAACAGCAACACAUCUAUACGCGGCAAUGUCGGAGGUACAUCAGUGAAUACUGCAUCGCCACACGUCCUCGAGAUCUUACGCAUGGCAACAACAAAUCUAUACGCGGCAACGUUGGAGGCACGUGGGCCGGUGAAUCGAAGGCGGGAUAGCAACACAUCCAAUGCAAAGCUCAAGAUGCCGGGACUCCCAACAGACCAAAGUCAUGACAGCGUUAUCAUCAACUUUGUACAAUAUGUCUCCAGGUACUACCUACAUAUAUGUUAUGAAUAAAAAAAUAAUUUCAAAUUUCGUUUGAAGGUAACAACGAUACGAUGUACAGAGCCAAAAGGAGAGAGUAGAGCAAUACGUGCAUCUUUUUUUUUUGUUGAGAGAAGAAUAAACUCACGUGCAUCUAAGCUACCGAUGUCUCAACCCUAGCCUAAAAAAAGUUGCCGAGUGUCUGCAUCUACGGAUUGGACGCUAGACUUUGUAUUAUUCUUUUAUGUUAGCAUACGUUGAUAGAUUGGUGCAAAUAAGUUUGAUGUCAAAAAACUAUAGCAAGCACAUAGCUCAAAACUAAAUGAUUGACCCAACAAAACAAAAUAUUACAUAAAUGUUACUGUCGCUUUAAGCUAGAGAAUCUGCACAUUUGAUCAGGGGUCAAUCGAAGGACAAACGUUAUUAGUCAGGUUGCUCACAAAAAUAAAAACAUAUUUUUCAUUAUGUGAAUAAAGAAUAAAACUAAAUUUAUAUCUGCAGUUCAAAAAUAUGAGUAAAAAUAAAUAGAAAAUUAUUUUUAUCAUAUUAGAUUCAGAAAUGGGAUUUACAUAUAAAUUAUACUGAACAUGAAAUACAAUAAUAAAAUUUAAAAAAUCAAAUUACCGUCAGAUUAAAAUGAAACUUGAUGCAAAUGAAUGGACAAAAAAAGUCACUCUUGGGUCAAUUUUCACAGCUAUUUUAUGAGUAUCUUUGCUUACAUGAAUCUCGAUGAGAGAAUCAGAUAGUUCUGAUCGAUCGUUGAAUGCUAAUUUCACAGUUGUCCGAGAAAUAGCAAUACCAAAAUGUUUAUUACUAACUAUAUAUAAAUAACAUUUUGUCAAAGACGAACGUACCAAUCAUAUUACCCACAUACGAGUAGGAAAUUCCCACCAAAGUUUGAUCAUGUUUCCUCGAGAUGCAUACGUUACCUAUAAUAUUUUUUGUAAAUUAAACUAUAUAUCAACGACAAUGUCAGAAAAAUAAACUAAGUAAUAUCUGUUUCCCUACAUUGGAAAAUAUUGGUAUAGAAUAUAAUAAUAUAUAUAAUUGAACAUGUGGGUGAAGGAAAGAAAAAAGGUUAAGCAAGAAGGUUAGGAGCAAAUUUAUUGCAAGUGCGCGAAUAACCAUUUUAGCUAUUCUAAAAAUCACAUUUCAAUUCAAAAGAACAUAUUCAUCAUCAGAAAAAAAGCUACUCUGUGCUCGAGUGAGAGAAAAUCUAGCAAUUUCCACACCAUUAAAAAAUAGGUUGUCUUAGACUGGACAGCAGCGAAAUAGUAAGGAACAUAGUUUCAUUUUGUUGGCAAUGACUUCUAGAGUAAUAUGAGUGGAAGGACAAAUGCAUAGGGAUGAGAUGGAAAGGGAUUGGGAAAGCUGGCAACCAACAGCUACAAAUCGUGAGACUCCUAGAAAAUUUCAAUGGGACACCAAGUUUAAUAAUUUUUUCUAAAUAUAACUUCUCUAUGUAAAUACUCAUGUAGCAGCUAACCAAAAUCAUCAUGAGAAAAAAACUACACUUUGCUCGAGGGAGAGAAAAUCUAGCAAUUUCCACGCCAUUAAAAAAUUAGGUUGUUUCAGACUGGACAGCAGCGAAAUAGUAAAUAACAUUGUUUCAUUUUCCUGGGAAUGACUUCUAAAGUAAUAUCACGGCAAGGAUGAAUGCAUAGGGAUGAGAAGGAAAGGAAUUGGGAAAAAGCUGGCAACCAACAACUACUAAUUGUGAGACUUUUAGAAAAUUUAAAUGGAACCCCAAGUUUAAUAAUGUUUUCUAAAUAUAACUUCUCUAUAUAAAUAAUCAUGUAGCAGCUAACCAAAAAAAGACAUUAAUUUUUUAGCAAGUCUAGCCGCGCAAAUGCGCGGGUUACAUUGCUAGUUGUUUAAAUAGCGAUGGGACACGAGGAGCCAACCGGCGUUCUGUUUAAUGCCAGCCGGCUGACGAACGAACAUGUGGCUGCAGUAAUUAUCCUGGCACACGCGCGGGUUUAAUGGUGGAAGGCGGGCAGUCUGGAGGAAUGAGGCAGGAUGUGUGUUUAGCCGGCGUGCAGCGGGGCGGUACCCUUGGCGUGCGUGGGGCGGUACUGGAGGCAUGAAUGUGGGCAGCCGGCGCAGAGCGGGAACACGUGUGUGCGAGAGAGGAGGGGGUUUGGGUGGGCACGAGUGGUCGGAAGCAGUCGUGGGUGUUGUCUGGACGCGUGCAAAGCCCCCCUCCCCCAUGUGUUGUCUCCGGUUUGCGGGAGAAAGUACGUCUGGACUGCCCUGUGGACCGAUACAAGCCCGCAUUAGAUGGCACAACACGUCCAGACCAUGUGGUCCGGAUGGUUGUGGACGGUUUAAUUGAGGGUCGGCGUUGGAGAUGCCUUAGAGUUUAUGAAUCCAUUGUGUUUUCCUAAUCAUAAAAAAUCACUUAUAAUAAGUUAUAUGGAAAGACACGUAUAUAAGUUAGGUUCAGACUCCAGCUUUCCUCUUAUAUAUGUUUUCUUUUCUGAUCCGACUGAUUCCAAUAGAGUGAGCCUAGCGUUGUUUUUCUGGAAACUCGAUACACGUUCUUUCAAGCAAAUCACAUCCAUUCUUUUUAACUAAUUUUUUUCUUGUUUUAAUAAUAUAAUAAAUCAUUUGUAUUUCUUAUCUCGAACAGUUGACCUGUAAUUCCUAUUGUAAUCUAAGGAUAAUGUUUGGAUUUUACUUUCAAAUAUUUGAAAUGGCCAUGAUGGAAUCACAUCCAUUUAUUUUAUUAUUAUUUGAAUUUGAUCCAAAAGAUAAAUAAUGAGUACACGUCCUGAAAACUUUUCUGAGAACUUUGGUAAUCAAAAGACAAAAAAGGUUUUAAGAACUGAAGCAAACCACGAAUUUUACUCUCUAUUUUACUAAAGCAAGUGGCUGCUAUUUAGCUCUAGUGAAUACCAAAUUGACCAACAACCUUUUUUCCAAAUUGGAAGGAAUGCAGUUCUCAGCUCUCACCGUGGUGAUUAUACAAUCUGGAUUUUCGAGCUGUAGGUAGUCAACUUAUGUUAGUGGCAUAUGUAACAUAGUGUUGGUCACUGGGAAUGGAUGAAGCCAUGAGUGAAGGAACAGGAAAUGACAGAAGUAUGAUUUGUAGAAUUUCAAAACUCAAAAUAUCUAGUUUUAUGGAGUGAUAUGAAAUAAGCAAACCAACUGCUUAUAAAAAUGUAAAAUUAAACGACAUAUUUAGAAAUGUGAUUGUGAAGUCAUUGUCACAAAAUAUGACCCCACUAAAAAUGAACAUUCAACCUUAUUUUCAGAAGUUUGCAUACAAAUCCCAUGUAAAUUAUGGUAGUGCUCACAAACAAAUAAACUAAAAUCGUGCUUGAUCCACCAUGAAACUUACUACCUUGUCUAUAUUCUUGAAGAGCUCAAAAAAUGCUGAAGCAAUGCCACCUAGCUAGAUAUAUACUUUUGUCAUGUCCAGAGAUUUCCUGCACCAUGAACAAGAAUGCCACCGCAAUAAUAGUCGCUCUUUUGCGACAAAAAAAAUACUGACUUUGGACAGCAAUGCCUGCACAACUACUAUCUGUACGCCAUGCAUGCACCCAUGUAUGUCAGUAAUACAUAUUAUAAGCUUGUGAACAUUGGUUUCAAAGUAGUGAUACCAACAAUACAUCAUCCAGUGAUGGCCAGUCGCAGUACCUAGAUGCCACUUCGGUGCCUGGUUUCAAAGUCGCAAGUUCAUGGCAGGGAAAGCAAUCAUGUGUCUAGAGUAGAGACUUAAAUAAAGACCCAUGCCAUGUAGAUGGAUCAGAUAAUUAUGCCAAUCCUGAUUUUUCAGUGCAAAUCCAGUUCUGAAAUUUCCACUUGUUUAGUUGCUCCCAAAAAGGGCUAUACAGUUAACCAAAAUGAAUUUUGCUCCUAACACCACAGUUUGUUUCCAACGAUCAAGAGAGCGAGCUUCACCAUAGUGAAGUGUGUUUGAUUAAGUACCUGAGCCGGUGUUGUACAUGCAUAUAUGAUAUGUUCACCGCUCCUACCGGAUGCCCGCCGCCGAACUCACCAUCCGUUCUACACAAGCAGCAAAACCGAUCAGAUAAGCUAUUUCGGUUGUUACUUGUAUAGUCUGAUGGAACGAUCAGUUCCAGAAUUACGCCAUGGCGCCAUCUUUUAUAUGCAAUAUACUGUGAACUGAAUUUUCUGUCAGUGAAAUUGACAGAACAGAGUACUACAGGGUAGAGGGGUAGAGCAUGCAAGUGGUGAUUGUUGUGUGGUUUUUGCGUUAGUUAUUUGUGCACCGGGCGUCUAGGUAGCGUUGGCUGGCCAUCUGCAGCUCAUAGGCGCACGAGCACAGCGGUGGCACGCCCAGCACCGCCUCCACUGCCCGCAAGGACGCCACCUAGCCGCCGCCGUAUCUGGAGAAGAAGCAGCAAGCAUGUAAGAGUUUGUCCGUGGACGCUCUAUGGAUCGACCUGAUCGAUCACUCGUUUUGUGCAUGCACCACCACACAUGGCUGAACCGAGCAUCCUCCUGGCGGCGCCCAGUGAGACCGUCCUCGCAGCGGCCACGGCUCGAUGGUUCGCCCCCGUGUGCACGGUACAUGCCGCAGCCUGCAGUCAAAACAGAGCGCGUAGAAGGUGAAGGCAAGGGGAGCUGGUGUGCUGGGAGGGAGACUCCUGGAGCUAGGGAGCACGCCGACGCCAUUGCUCAAGGUGCAAGUUUGUUUCAAUCUUCAAUCCUGCUCGCUGUUGAUUCUGGUUACAGUAAAUUUUAGCUAGAUAUGGUGUAACCUAAGUGUUAUGCCUAGUCUUAAUCUAUCUAUCUAUCCAAUCUUCUAUUCGGCGAGGUGGCUGCGCCUGUGGCAGAUGUGGCCGCUGCCAUGGCCGGCGCAAGACCUGGUCGAUCUCCCUCUUCUGUAUUUGAGAAAAAAAAAUCUCCCUCUUCUCUUCUGAUGAGAAGGGGAAGAGAUGGUGAGAGAUGAAGUCGACGGCUUUGGGGAGAGGAUACGGGAGGACGCCGGUAGUGAGGCGGCAUGAGGAAGACAAGGUGGUUGGCAGCGGCGACGCGUGAGGGGAGGGCAAGGGAGGUGUAGUGGUGCAUGUUGAGGAGUGGGUGUGCAGCGUGCCCAGUUCUCGAGGGAGGAAGGAGGUCGUCAAGGGAGUGAUCCAUGGGAGUUUUUUUUUCCUUCUGAGCGAGCCUAGUUGGGCUCUCUGCAGCGUCUAGGCCCAAUGCACCACAUGUCUUCAAAUUGGCCACCAGUAGCAGCCCAUAGGACAGACAGGGCCAGUUUGCAAAUUUUAAAACAUAAGUUUUUUAGCGCCCAUGAAAAACAGAACACAUAUCUUUCCAAACAUAAUGAACUGUAGGUACCACCAAAAAAACCAUAAUGAACUAUAGGUUGUUACAAGAACUCAUGCCAUCCCACAGCCGCCCUCCCACCCUGCCAACAUUGUUGCAACUGCACUCGCAAGCGUUACCAUAGAUGAUCAUUUGCAUGAUUUCGCGUAAAACAAAAUAAGAUCUACAAACGAAUAGAAGCUACACAUACCUUGGCAUGCACACACAUUGGAAGCCAUACCAAGGUGAUAAGUGUUAAUAACUUGUACAACAUAUACAACAGUUAAGAUAAGUAAAAGCAAUUUGAUGAGUCAUGGUCUAUCAAAGCAAGCUUUAUUACUACUCUAAUCUAUCUUAACAGGUCACACAUGAUUACAAUCCUUUUUGUGUGCAAGUCAAGCUUAUCUAGUUUACACGUAACAACUUGUAGAACAUUACACAAUUGAUGUUUGCUAAUAACUUCUAGAAAGCUAAAACACUUGACAUGUAAAAAGAAUUUGAUGAGUCAUGACCUAGUAAAUCAAGUUACAUUACUAGUCUCAUCUAUCUUAACAGGUCACACAAGAUUACAAACUAAGUUCUGCGCAAGCAAUGCUUAUCUAGUUUACACAUAACAACUUGCAAAACAUUACAAAUUUAGUUUCAAAAAAUUAGGCAAUCUAGAUUAGUGUUUGAGUUGUAAAGUGAAUAAGAUGAGUCAUGUGUGUUAUCACAACUUUUUGGUGGUGGAAUGAUAGUGCCACCAAACACAACAUACCAAAUUAUGAUUUUAGGAAGCAUCCAAGCACUUUCCAGACAAGCAAAUGCCAAUUGUGAAGGAGAUGAUGCCAUGGCAGCUAUAAAUAGGCCUGUAGCAUGAUGAUCAUCCUUCCUCAUCCAUCAUUCUCAUAAGUAGAGUGCAUCAUUCAAGCCAAGCAAGCAGUGGUCAAUACAAAUCCACCAUGAAGACCUUUCUCAUCCUUGCCCUCCUUGCUAUCGUGGCGACCACCACCACAACUGCAGUUAGAGUUCCAGUGCCACAAUUGCAGCCACAAAAUCCAUCUCAGCAACAACCACAAGAGCAAGUUCCAUUGGUGCAACAACAACAAUUUCUAGGGCAGCAACAACAACAAUUUCCAGGGCAACAACAACCAUUUCCACCACAAUAGCCAUAUCCGCAGCCGCAACCAUUUCUGCCACAACUACCAUAUCCGCAGCCGCAACCAUUUCCACCACAACAAUCAUAUCCACAACCACAACCACAAUAUCCGCAACCACAACAACCAAUUUCGCAGCAACAAGCACUACAACAACAACAACAACAACAACAACAACAACAAAAACAAAUCCUUCAACAAAUUCUGCAACAACAACUGAUUCCAUGCAGGGAUGUCGUCUUGCAACAACCCAAUAUAGCACAUGCAAGCUCACAAGUAUCGCAACAAAGUUACCAACUGUUGCAACAAUUAUGUUGUCAGCAACUGUGGCAGACCCCCGAGCAGUCACGGUGCCAAGCCAUCCACAAUGUCAUUCAUGCUAUUAUUUUGCAUCANNNNNNNNNNNNNNNNNNNNNNNNNNNNNNNNNNNNNNNNNNNNNNNNNNNNNNNNNNNNNNNNNNNNNNNNNNNNNNNNNNNNNNNNNNNNNNNNNNNNNNNNNNNNNNNNNNNNNNNNNNNNNNNNNNNNNNNNNNNNNNNNNNNNNNNNNNNNNNNNNNNNNNNNNNNNNNNNNNNNNNNNNNNNNNNNNNNNNNNNNNNNNNNNNNNNNNNNNNNNNNNNNNNNNNNNNNNNNNNNNNNNNNNNNNNNNNNNNNNNNNNNNNNNNNNNNNNNNNNNNNNNNNNNNNNNNNNNNNNNNNNNNNNNNNNNNNNNNNNNNNNNNNNNNNNNNNNNNNNNNNNNNNNNNNNNNNNNNNNNNNNNNNNNNNNNNNNNNNNNNNNNNNNNNNNNNNNNNNNNNNNNNNNNNNNNNNNNNNNNNNNNNNNNNNNNNNNNNNNNNNNNNNNNNNNNNNNNNNNNNNNNNNNNNNNNNNNNNNNNNNNNNNNNNNNNNNNNNNNNNNNNNNNNNNNNNNNNNNNNNNNNNNNNNNNNNNNNNNNNNNNNNNNNNNNNNNNNNNNNNNNNNNNNNNNNNNNNNNNNNNNNNNNNNNNNNNNNNNNNNNNNNNNNNNNNNNNNNNNNNNNNNNNNNNNNNNNNNNNNNNNNNNNNNNNNNNNNNNNNNNNNNNNNNNNNNNNNNNNNNNNNNNNNNNNNNNNNNNNNNNNNNNNNNNNNNNNNNNNNNNNNNNNNNNNNNNNNNNNNNNNNNNNNNNNNNNNNNNNNNNNNNNNNNNNNNNNNNNNNNNNNNNNNNNNNNNNNNNNNNNNNNNNNNNNNNNNNNNNNNNNNNNNNNNNNNNNNNNNNNNNNNNNNNNNNNNNNNNNNNNNNNNNNNNNNNNNCAUAUGAAGUAACAUUUCCUCACCAAGGCCACACAUAGGGCACACACAUAACCCCAUCACAUGCCUUUUUAGUUAUGCAUAUGAAGGUAGGAUGUUUUUAAUUACUCUGCACCAAAAUACUCUUAACUUGGAUUGUACCCUAAGCUUUCGUUGCCUUUUACAUUUUUCUUCCCCAUUAGAUGAACUAGAUAGUCCAGCUACCACACAAUACCUUGUGUUCAUCUCGGCUCUGUACAACAAUUGAACAGAAGAAAUGUCAUUUCUUUACCAUAUCCAUGACCAAAUGUUCUCUGCUACUCCCUCCGUCCCAAAAUACUGCCAUCCAUGUCGACAACAAUGAGUCAUAUAGGACCGCUAUGCCUCUGUUGAAGGAGGUGGUGGAGCGAUCCGGAGAUUAUUCUGCCAUCCAUGUUGAGUAAAACCUCACUGGCCACUUGCUCCAACCGCAUACACACCGCCAUAAACAACGGUUGGUACUCAGUUCGGUGUAGCAUACACCAUGUAGGAAGCGAGUGCUUACUCCUAGUUACUGAAUUAUGUACACCAAAUAAACCCAUUUACACGAAGUUAAUGACAAAAAAGUUGAUGCUUGCUACGCAGAUGUGUAGUACAAAUUAAGAAGUGCAAGAUAAAAAGAUGCUGGUCCUUGAUUCGUUGUUGAUCCUGAGCAUGCCAUCAUCAACUUGUAGUUAAUUAUCAUACAAAUUGGCUCUUUCAUAGAGUUGGAGGCUAGCUCCUUGGAUCAGCACGCGCUUAAACACAAAGAACACGUAUAUGUAUUCUCUCCGAAGUUCAACUCUUGAUUGGCCAGCAAAAAUGGUCCGACCGGGUAGAGGAAAGGCAUGUUUGCUAGUACGCCUGGAGGAAAUGCCUUUGAUUAGGGCAUCUCCAACGGCGACCAGUAAAUUUUCUCCCAUAUUCGUCCACGGACAAGGGAUCAGUCCGUGGAUAUGGAUAUAGGAAUCGGCCAUCCAACGUUGUCCGCAUAUAUUUCGAACACUUCUUUUAAAAAAUCGAAUGAAAUUCAUGCAAACACAGUGGAUUCCAUACAAACCGGACAAAAAUGUUUACAUUUUGGACAUAUUUUUAACUAAAAACUGUACAGCCGGCGCCGGCGACGACGAAUAUCCUCCGGCGACAUGGAUACCCUUGACUAGUCUACUGCCGGCUGCAGCGGAUCUCCAAUGUCAUCCCCAUGUCCGGCAGCUGUGAGCCCUAGGUAUAUGCUUCAACGCAAAGAGCAGCUCGCCUCCCUACCACUCAUCGGAGUGGAACAACCAACUGAUGCUUCUGCCAAUGGGAAAGGGUUCCUACGCUACAUAGGUCAGAGUUGGUUUUGGGUUGGGAACGGUGGUGGCCUGCCAGAGGGCAAGACACCGGCUGUGUAUGCUGGUGUCACCUCAAUAUGGCAUUCAUGGGACCCAAGCGACAGCUUCUCCUCGACUAUUGUGGCGAGCGCAGACGUGUUGGACACCACCUCGUCGAUGUCCAUGCAGCCCGCUUCUUUCUCUGUAGUCAGGACGCGGUGACACGCGCUUUGACAUCGGAUGACGCGCUCACAGGCACGGGAGGGGCGGUACAACAUGGCACCAUCAAUAGCAGCAAUGAUGCCCGUGCCACUGUGGUCCCUAUCAGUGUCGACCUGGAGCAACUCGCCACUCCUCGGCUCGUGACCGGCGGGGUUGACGGGCUACCAAGCCAUUGUUUAUGCGAGACAACUCUUUUUCCUGCUCAUCAGAUGCCAUGGAGAAAACUGAUCAAGGAGAAAAAUGGUGAGUGGAGGUGUGAUGCAGUUCUUGCUCGACAUCAGACAUCUAUCUAUUAUAUAAUUAAAACGAUAGAAAACGAACGGUUAAGAUUAAUCGUUCUAAAGUUAAGAAAAAACAACGGUGGAGAUUUACAGCAUAUAUGUUUUUUUUUGAAAAUUAAAGCAUAGAUGUUUGAACCACGCGCAUUACACGUACAUGUACAAGACCAAAACAGACGUACAUGUACCAGACCAAAACAGACGACCCGUCAAACAUAGUACGAUUGACUGAUCUCCGUAAAGAAUACGUCCAAUAAGGAAGGAGGCCUGAUUGAUUUCUAACUGGAACACGCACAACUAACCUGAUGUAUUUCUUAUUAAAACACACAAACAACUUGAUUUCCAGCAAGAAUACAAACGUGUAAGCUGAGAACUGCACACCUCAGCCCGGCGAACACUCCAGGCCGCCGUGGCACGUCCCGGAGAAGAUUGAACGCAUAUAACAACAACAUAUCUGUACACGGCAAUAUCGGAAGCACAUCGGCGAACACUUGAGGCCGCCGCCACACGUCGAUUGCAGGCAUAACAACAACAAAUCUAGACGCGGCAAUGUCGGAUGCACAUUGGCGAAAAGUCGAACACUCAACGCCACCAGCGCACAUCCCGGAGAUCAAAGGCGCAACAGCAACACAUCUAUACGCGGCAAUGUCGGAGGUACAUCAGUGAAUACUGCAUCGCCACACGUCCUCGAGAUCUUACGCAUGGCAACAACUAAUCUAUACGUGGCAACGUUGGAGGCACGUGGGCCGGUGAAUCGAAGGCGGGAUAGCAACACAUCCAAUGCAAAGCUCAAGAUGCCGGGACUCCCAACAGAUCAAAGUCAUGACAGCGUUAUCAUCAACUUUGUACAAUAUGUCUCCACGUACUACCUACAUAUAUGUUAUGAAUAAAAAAAUAAUUUCAAAUUUCGUUUGAAGGUAACAACGAUACGAUGUACAGAGCCAAAAGGAGAGAGUAGAGCAAUACGUGCAUCUUUUUUUUUUGUUGAGAGAAGAAUAAACUCACGUGCAUCUAAGCUACCGAUGUCUCAACCCUAGCCUAAAAAAAGUUGCCGAGUGUCUGCAUCUACGGAUUGGACGCUAGACUUUGUAUUAUUCUUUUAUGUUAGCAUACGUUGAUAGAUUGGUGCAAAUAAGUUUGAUGUCAAAAAACUAUAGCAAGCACAUAGCUCAAAACUAAAUGAUUGACCCAACAAAACAAAAUAUUACAUAAAUGUUACUGUCGCUUUAAGCUAGAGAAUCUGCACAUUUGAUCAGGGGUCAAUCGAAGGACAAACGUUAUUAGUCAGGUUGCUCACAAAAAUAAAAACAUAUUUUUCAUUAUGUGAAUAAAGAAUAAAACUAAAUUUAUAUCUGCAGUUCAAAAAUAUGAGUAAAAAUAAAUAGAAAAUUAUUUUUAUCAUAUUAGAUUCAGAAAUGGGAUUUACAUAUAAAUUAUACUGAACAUGAAAUACAAUAAAAAAAUUUAAAAAAUCAAAUUACCGUCAGAUUAAAAUGAAACUUGAUGCAAAUGAAUGGACAAAAAAAGUCACUCUUGGGUCAAUUUUCACAGCUAUUUUAUGAGUAUCUUUGCUUACAUGAAUCUCGAUGAGAGAAUCAGAUAGUUCUGAUCGGUCGUUGAAUGCUAAUUUCACAGUUGUCCGAGAAAUAGCAAUACCAAAAUGUUUAUUACUAACUAUAUAUAAAUAACAUUUUGUCAAAGACGAACGUACCAAUCAUAUUACCCACAUACGAGUAGGAAAUUCCCACCAAAGUUUGAUCAUGUUUCCUCGAGAUGCAUACGUUACCUAUAAUAUUUUUUGUAAAUUAAACUAUAUAUCAACGACAAUGUCAGAAAAAUAAACUAAGUAAUAUCUGUUUCCCUACAUUGGAAAAUAUUGGUAUAGAAUAUAAUAAUAUAUAUAAUUGAACAUGUGGGUGAAGGAAAGAAAAAAGGUUAAGCAAGAAGGUUAGGAGCAAAUUUAUUGCAAGUGCGCGAAUAACCAUUUUAGCUAUUCUAAAAAUCACAUUUCAAUUCAAAAGAACAUAUUCAUCAUCAGAAAAAAAGCUACUCUGUGCUCGAGUGAGAGAAAAUCUAGCAAUUUCCACACCAUUAAAAAAUAGGUUGUCUUAGACUGGACAGCAGCGAAAUAGUAAGGAACAUAGUUUCAUUUUGUUGGCAAUGACUUCUAGAGUAAUAUGAGUGGAAGGACAAAUGCAUAGGGAUGAGAUGGAAAGGGAUUGGGAAAGCUGGCAACCAACAGCUACAAAUCGUGAGACUCCUAGAAAAUUUCAAUGGGACACCAAGUUUAAUAAUUUUUUCUAAAUAUAACUUCUCUAUGUAAAUACUCAUGUAGCAGCUAACCAAAAUCAUCAUGAGAAAAAAACUACACUUUGCUCGAGGGAGAGAAAAUCUAGCAAUUUCCACGCCAUUAAAAAAUUAGGUUGUUUCAGACUGGACAGCAGCGAAAUAGUAAAUAACAUUGUUUCAUUUUCCUGGGAAUGACUUCUAAAGUAAUAUCACGGCAAGGAUGAAUGCAUAGGGAUGAGAAGGAAAGGAAUUGGGAAAAAGCUGGCAACCAACAACUACUAAUUGUGAGACUUUUAGAAAAUUUAAAUGGAACCCCAAGUUUAAUAAUGUUUUCUAAAUAUAACUUCUCUAUAUAAAUAAUCAUGUAGCAGCUAACCAAAAAAAGACAUUAAUUUUUUAGCAAGUCUAGCCGCGCAAAUGCGCGGGUUAUAUUGCUAGUUGUUUAAAUAGCGAUGGGACACGAGGAGCCAACCGGCGUUCUGUUUAAUGCCAGCCGGCUGACGAACGAACAUGUGGCUGCAGUAAUUAUCCUGGCACACGCGCGGGUUUAAUGGUGGAAGGCGGGCAGUCUGGAGGAAUGAGGCAGGAUGUGUGUUUAGCCGGCGUGCAGCGGGGCGGUACCCUUGGCGUGCGUGGGGCGGUACUGGAGGCAUGAAUGUGGGCAGCCGGCGCAGAGCGGGAACACGUGUGUGCGAGAGAGGAGGGGGUUUGGGUGGGCACGAGUGGUCGGAAGCAGUCGUGGGUGUUGUCCGGACGCGUGCAAAGCCCCCCUCCCCCAUGUGUUGUCUCCGGUUUGCGGGAGAAAGUACGUCUGGACUGCCCUGUGGACCGAUACAAGCCCGCAUUAGAUGGCACAACAUGUCCGGACCAUGUGGUCCGGAUGGUUGUGGACGGUUUAAUUGAGGGUCGGCGUUGGAGAUGCCUUAGAGUUUAUGAAUCCAUUGUGUUUUCCUAAUCAUAAAAAAUCACUUAUAAUAAGUUAUAUGGAAAGACACGUAUAUAAGUUAGGUUCAGACUCCAGCUUUCCUCUUAUAUAUGUUUUCUUUUCUGAUCCGACUGAUUCCAAUAGAGUGAGCCUAGCGUUGUUUUUCUGGAAACUCGAUACACGUUCUUUCAAGCAAAUCACAUCCAUUCUUUUUAACUAAUUUUUUUCUUGUUUUAAUAAUAUAAUAAAUCAUUUGUAUUUCUUAUCUCGAACAGUUGACCUGUAAUUCCUAUUGUAAUCUAAGGAUAAUGUUUGGAUUUUACUUUCAAAUAUUUGAAAUGGCCAUGAUGGAAUCACAUCCAUUUAUUUUAUUAUUAUUUGAAUUUGAUCCAAAAGAUAAAUAAUGAGUAGACGUCCUGAAAACUUUUCUGAGAACUUUGGUAAUCAAAAGACAAAAAAGGUUUUAAGAACUGAAGCAAACCACGAAUUUUACUCUCUAUUUUACUAAAGCAAGUGGCUGCUAUUUAGGUCUAGUGAAUACCAAAUUGACCAACAACCUUUUUUCCAAAUUGGAAGGAAUGCAGUUCUCAGCUCUCACCGUGGUGAUUAUACAAUCUGGAUUUUCGAGCUGUAGCUAGUCAACUUAUGUUAGUGGCAUAUGUAACAUAGUGUUGGUCACUGGGAAUGGAUGAAGCCAUGAGUGAAGGAACAGGAAAUGACAGAAGUAUGAUUUGUAGAAUUUCAAAACUCAAAAUAUCUAGUUUUAUGGAGUGAUAUGAAAUAAGCAAACCAACUGCUUAUAAAAAUGUAAAAUUAAACGACAUAUUUAGAAAUGUGAUUGUGAAGUCAUUGUCACAAAAUAUGACCCCACUAAAAAUGAACAUUCAACCUUAUUUUCAGAAGUUUGCAUACAAAUCCCAUGUAAAUUAUGGUAGUGCUCACAAACAAAUAAACUAAAAUCGUGCUUGAUCCACCAUGAAACUUACUACCUUGUCUAUAUUCUUGAAGAGCUCAAAAAAUGCUGAAGCAAUGCCACCUAGCUAGAUAUAUACUUUUGUCAUGUCCAGAGAUUUCCUGCACCAUGAACAAGAAUGCCACCGCAAUAAUAGUCGCUCUUUUGCGACAAAAAAAAUACUGACUUUGGACAGCAAUGCCUGCACAACUACUAUCUGUACGCCAUGCAUGCACCCAUGUAUGUCAGUAAUACAUAUUAUAAGCUUGUGAACAUUGGUUUCAAAGUAGUGAUACCAACAAUACAUCAUCCAGUGAUGGCCAGUCGCAGUACCUAGAUGCCACUUCGGUGCCUGGUUUCAAAGUCGCAAGUUCAUGGCAGGGAAAGCAAUCAUGUGUCUAGAGUAGAGACUUAAAUAAAGACCCAUGCCAUGUAGAUGGAUCAGAUAAUUAUGCCAAUCCUGAUUUUUCAGUGCAAAUCCAGUUCUAAAAUUUCCACUUGUUUAGUUGCUCCCAAAAAGGGCUAUACAGUUAACCAAAAUGAAUUUUGCUCCUAACACCACAGUUUGUUUCCAACGAUCAAGAGAGCGAGCUUCACCAUAGUGAAGUGUGUUUGAUUAAGUACCUGAGCCGGUGUUGUACAUGCAUAUAUGAUAUGUUCACCGCUCCUACCGGAUGCCCGCCGCCGAACUCACCAUCCGUUCUACACAAGCAGCAAAACCGAUCAGAUAAGCUAUUUCGGUUGUUACUUGUAUAGUCUGAUGGAACGAUCAGUUCCAGAAUUACGCCAUGGCGCCAUCUUUUAUAUGCAAUAUACUGUGAACUGAAUUUUCUGUCAGUGAAGUUGACAGAACAGAGUACUACAGGGUAGAGGGGUAGAGCAUGCAAGUGGUGAUUGUUGUGUGGUUUUUACGUUAGUUAUUUGUGCACCGGGCGUCUAGGUAGCGUUGGCUGGCCAUCUGCAGCUCAUAGGCGCACGAGCACAGCGGUGGCACGCCCAGCACCGCCUCCACUGCCCGCAAGGACGCCACCUAGCCGCCGCCGUAUCUGGAGAAGAAGCAACAAGCAUGUAAGAGUUUGUCCGUGGACGCUCUAUGGAUCGACCUGAUCGAUCACUCGUUUUGUGCAUGCACCACCACACAUGGCUGAACCGAGCAUCCUCCUGGCGGCGCCCAGUGAGACCGUCCUCGCAGCGGCCACGGCUCGAUGGUUCGCCCCCGUGUGCACGGUACGUGCCGCAGCCUGCAGUCAAAACAGAGCGCGUAGAAGGUGAAGGCAAGGGGAGCUGGUGUGCUGGGAGGGAGACUCCUGGAGCUAGGGAGCACGCCGACGCCAUUGCUCAAGGUGCAAGUUUGUUUCAAUCUUCAAUCCUGCUCGCUGUUGAUUCUGGUUACAGUAAAUUUUAGCUAGAUAUGGUGUAACCUAAGUGUUAUGCCUAGUCUUAAUCUAUCUAUCUAUCCAAUCUUCUAUUCGGCGAGGUGGCUGCGCCUGUGGCAGAUGUGGCCGCUGCCAUGGCCGGCGCCAGACCUGGUCGAUCUCCCUCUUCUGUAUUUGAGAAAAAAAAUCUCCCUCUUCUCUUCUGAUGAGAAGGGGAAGAGGUGGUGAGAGAUGAAGUCGACGGCUUUGGGGAGAGGAUACGGGAGGACGCCGGUAGUGAGGCGGCAUGAGGAAGACAAGGUGGUUGGCAGCGGCGACGCGUGAGGGGAGGGCAAGGGAGGUGUAGUGGUGCAUGUUGAGGAGUGGGUGUGCAGCGUGCCCAGUUCUCGAGGGAGGAAGGAGGUCGUCAAGGGAGUGAUCCAUGGGAGUUUCUUUUCCUUCUGAGCGAGCCUAGUUGGGCUCUCUGCAGCGUCUAGGCCCAAUGCACCACAUGUCUUCAAAUUGGCCACCAGUAGCAGCCCAUAGAACAGACAGGGCCAGUUUACAAAUUUUAAAACAUAAGUUUUUUAGCGCCCAUGAAAAACAGAACACAUAUCUUUCCAAACAUAAUGAACUGUAGGUACCACCAAAAAAACCAUAAUGAACUAUAGGUUGUUACAAGAACUCAUGCCAUCCCACAGCCGCCCUCCCACCCUGCCAACAUUGUUGCAACUGCACUCGCAAGCGUUACCAUAGAUGAUCAUUUGCAUGAUUUCGCGUAAAACAAAAUAAGAUCUACAAACGAAUAGAAGCUACACAUACCUUGGCAUGCACACACAUUGGAAGCCAUACCAAGGUGAUAAGUGUUAAUAACUUGUACGACAUAUACAACAGUUAAGAUAAGUGAAAGCAAUUUGAUGAGUCAUGGUCUAUCAAAGCAAGCUUUAUUACUACUCUAAUCUAUCUUAACAGGUCACACAUGAUUACAAUCCUUUUUGUGUGCAAGUCAAGCUUAUCUAGUUUACACGUAACAACUUGUAGAACAUUACACAAUUGAUGUUUGCUAAUAACUUCUAGAAAGCUAAAACACUUGACAUGUAAAAAGAAUUUGAUGAGUCAUGACCUAGUAAAUCAAGUUACAUUACUAGUCUCAUCUAUCUUAACAGGUCACACAAGAUUACAAACUAAGUUCUGCGCAAGCAAUGCUUAUCUAGUUUACACAUAACAACUUGCAAAACAUUACAAAUUUAGUUUCAAAAAAUUAGGCAAUCUAGAUUAGUGUUUGAGUUGUAAAUUGAAUAAGAUGAGUCAUGUGUGUUAUCACAACUUUUUGGUGGUGGAAUGAUAGUGCCACCAAACGCAACAUACCAAAUUAUGAUUUUAGGAAGCAUCCAAGCACUUUCCAGACAAGCAAAUGCCAAUUGUGAAGGAGAUGAUGCCAUGGCAGCUAUAAAUAGGCCUGUAGCAUGAUGAUCAUCCUUCCUCAUCCAUCAUUCUCAUAAGUAGAGUGCAUCAUUCAAGCCAAGCAAGGAGUGGUCAAUACAAAUCCACCAUGAAGACCUUUCUCAUCCUUGCCCUCCUUGCUAUCGUGGCGACCACCACCACAACUGCAGUUAGAGUUCCAGUGCCACAAUUGCAGCCACAAAAUCCAUCUCAGCAACAACCACAAGAGCAAGUUCCAUUGGUGCAACAACAACAAUUUCUAGGGCAGCAACAACAACAAUUUCCAGGGCAACAACAACCAUUUCCACCACAACAGCCAUAUCCGCAGCCGCAACCAUUUCUGCCACAACUACCAUAUCCGCAGCCGCAACCAUUUCCACCACAACAAUCAUAUCCACAACCACAACCACAAUAUCCGCAACCACAACAACCAAUUUCGCAGCAACAAGCACAACUACUACAACAACAACAACAACAACAACAACAACAACAACAACAACAACAAAUCCUUCAACAAAUUCUGCAACAACAACUGAUUCCAUGCAGGGAUGUCGUCUUGCAACAACCCAAUAUAGCACAUGCAAGCUCACAAGUAUCGCAACAAAGUUACCAACUGUUGCAACAAUUAUGUUGUCAGCAACUGUGGCAGACCCCCGAGCAGUCACGGUGCCAAGCCAUCCACAAUGUCAUUCAUGCUAUUAUUUUGCAUCAUCGUCAUCAACAACAACAACAACAACAACAACAACAACAACAACAACCGUCGAGCCAGGUCUCCUACCAGCAGCCUCAGCAACAAUAUCCAUCAGGCCAGGGCUUCUUCCAGCCAUCUCAGCAAAACCCACAGGCCCAGGGCUUUGUCCAACCUCAGCAACUGCCGCAGUUCGAGGAAAUAAGGAACCUAGCGCUGCAGACGCUACCAGCAAUGUGCAAUGUCUACAUCCCUCCAUAUUGCUCGACCACCAUUGCGCCAUUUGGCAUCAUGAGUACUAACUGAGAAGAGAAGAACUCUAUUACUAGAUAUAUGAAACACCGUUUUCUUAAAACAUGGUUUGGUCGUUGUAGCGGUGAAAAAUAAAGUGACAUGCACUAUCAUGUAAGAACCCGAACUAGACUAUUUCAAACUUGGAAAUAAAAGACAAACACAGGUCUUGUCUGCAUAUGAUUGUUUGUUUGAGUUCCAUUCAUGUGCCCGUUCACAAGUUCACCCCUAAUUAUAUAUAUUAAGCAUUAGUUAGAUGUUUAUGUGCAUUAAUCUAAAGAUAACAAAAUGAAUCUGAAACUUGAAUUUAAUUAAAGUAUUUUCUUGGACUUUCAAAUUGAGCAUUGAUAGUGAGGACUAUCCACAUCCUUGGCUUGCCCUUGAUCAAUUAUUUCCAAAGAAGCAUUCAAUUCAUCAGUCACUUACAUUGAUUUUUGUGGCUUGUACUUCUCCUCAACAUGAGUAUCUUCAUUGCAGCUACUCCAAAUCUGCCACAUAACUGAAGCAUUAAUAGUGCUCUUCCUUGCAUCAAGGAAAUAUGGAUCGAAGAUAUCUCUUGACCAUGUUUUCGGGUGCAACCUUGGGAGUUUUAUGUCAAAAUAUUCUCAAGAAGAAUCCAAGAAUAAACUUGCAUGCUCACGUGUGAAAAGGGCAUAUGAAGUAACAUUUCCUCACCAAGGCCACACAUAGGGCACACACAUAACCCCAUCACAUGCCUUUUUAGUUAUGCAUAUGAAGGUAGGAUGUUUUUAAUUACUCUGCACCAAAAUACUCUUAACUUGGAUUGUACCCUAAGCUUUCGUUGCCUUUUACAUUUUUCUUCCCCAUUAGAUGAACUAGAUAGUCCAGCUACCACACGAUACCUUGUGUUCAUCUCGGCUCUGUACAACAAUUGAACAGAAGAAAUGUCAUUUCUUUACCAUACCCAUGACCAAAUGUUCUCUGCUACUCCCUCCGUCCCAAAAUACUGCCAUCCAUGUCGACAACAAUGAGUCAUAUAGGACCGCUAUGCCUCUGUUGAAGGAGGUGGUGGAGCGAUCCGGAGAUUAUUCUGCCAUCCAUGUUGAGUAAAACCUCACUGGCCACUUGCUCCAACCGCAUACACACCGCCAUAAACAACGGUUGGUACUCAGUUCGGUGUAGCAUACACCAUGUAGGAAGCGAGUGCUUACUCCUAGCUACUGAAUUAUGUACACCAAAUAAACCCAUUUACACGAAGUUAAUGACAAAAAAGUUGAUGCUUGCUACGCAGAUGUGUAGUACAAAUUAAGAAGUGCAAGAUAAAAAGAUGCUGGUCCUUGAUUCGUUGUUGAUCCUGAGCAUGCCAUCAUCAACUUGUAGUUAAUUAUCAUACAAAUUGGCUCUUUCAUAGAGUUGGAGGCUAGCUCCUUGGAUCAGCACGCGCUUAAACACAAAGAACACGUAUAUGUAUUCUCUCCGAAGUUCAACUCUUGAUUGGCCAGCAAAAAUGGUCCGACCGGGUAGAGGAAAGGCAUGUUUGCUAGUACGCCUGGAGGAAAUGCCUUUGAUUAGGGCAUCUCCAACGGCGACCAGUAAAUUUUCUCCCAUAUUUGUCCACGGACAAGGGAUCAGUCCGUGGAUAUGGAUAUAGAAAUCGGCCAUCCAACGUUGUCCGCAUAUAUUUCGAACACUUCUUUUAAAAAAUCGAAUGAAAUUCAUGCAAACACAGUGGAUUCCAUACAAACCGGACAAAAACGUUUACAUUUUGGACAUAUUUUUAACUAAAAACUCUACAGCCGGCACCGGCGACGACGAAUAUCCUCCGGCGACAUGGAUACCCUUGACUAGUCUACUGCCGGCUGCAGCGGAUCUCCAAUGUCAUCCCCAUGUCCGGCAGCUGUGAGCCCUAGGUAUAUGCUUCAACGCAAAGAGCAGCUCGCCUCCCUACCACUCAUCGGAGUGGAACAACCAACUGAUGCUUCUGCCAAUGGGAAAGGGUUCCUACGCUACAUAGGUCAGAGUUGGUUUUGGGUUGGGAACGGUGGUGGCCUGCCAGAGGGCAAGACACCGGCUGUGUACGCUGGUGUCACCUCAAUAUGGCAUUCAUGGGACCCAAGCGACAGCUUCUCCUCGACUAUUGUGGCGAGCACAGACGUGUUGGACACCACCUCGUCGAUGUCCAUGCAGCCCGCUUCUUUCUCUGUAGUCAGGACGCGGUGACACGCGCUUUGACAUAGGAUGACGCGCUCACAGGCACGGGAGGGGCGGUACAACAUGGCACCAUCAAUGGCAGCCAUGAUGCCCGUGCCACUGUGGUCCCUCUCAGUGUCGACCUGGAGCAACUCGCCACUCCUCGGCUCGUGACCGGCGGGGUUGACGGGCCACCUAGCUAUUGUUUAUGCGAGACAACUCUUUUUCCUGCUCAUCAGAUGCCAAUAAGGAAGGAGGCCUGAUUGAUUUCUAACUGGAACACGCACAACUAACCUGAUGCCAACUAAUCAGAUGCCAAUAAGGAAGGAGGCCUCAACUUAGCUAUAGGAGGUGAAGGCAAGGGGAGCUGGUGUGCUGGGAGGGAGACUCCUGGAGCUAGGGAGCACGCCGACGCCAUUGCUCAAGGUGCAAGUUUGUUUCAAUCUUCAAUCCUGCUCGCUGUUGAUUCUGGUUACAGUAAAUUUUAGCUAGAUAUGGUGUAACCUAAGUGUUAUGCCUAGUCUUAAUCUAUCUAUCUAUCCAAUCUUCUAUUCGGCGAGGUGGCUGCGCCUGUGGCAGAUGUGGCCGCUGCCAUGGCCGGCGCUAGACCUAGUCGAUCUCCCUCUUCUGUAUUUGAGAAAAAAAAAUCUCCCUCUUCUCUUCUGAUGAGAAGGGGAAGAGAUGGUGAGAGAUGAAGUCGACGGCUUUGGGGAGAGGAUACGGGAGGACGCCGGUAGUGAGGCGGCAUGAGGAAGACAAGGUGGUUGGCAGCGGCAAUGCGUGAGGGGAGGGCAAGGGAGGUGUAGUGGUGCAUGUUGAGGAGUGGGUGUGCAGCGUGCCCAGUUCUCGAGGGAGUAAAGAGGUCGUCAAGGGAGUGAUCCAUGGGAGUUUUUUUUCCUUCUGAGCGAGCCUAGUUGGGCUCUCUGCGGCGUCUAGGCCCAAUGCACCACAUGUCUUCAAAUUGGCCACCAGUAGCAGCCCAUAGAACAGACAGGGCCAGUUUACAAAUUUUAAAACAUAAGUUUUUUAGCGCCCAUGAAAAACAGAACACAUAUCUUUCCAAACAUAAUGAACUAUAGGUACCACCAAAAAAACCAUAAUGAACUUUAGGUUGUUACAAGAACUCAUGCCUUCCAACAGCCUCCCUCCAACCCUGCCAACAUUGUAGCAGCUGCACUCGCAAGCGUUACCAUAGGUGAUCAUUUGCAUGAUUUCGCGUAAAACAAAAUAAGAUCUACAAACGAAUAGAAGCUACACAUACCUUGGCAUGCACACACAUUGCAAGCCAUACUAAGGUGAUAAGUGUUAAUAACUUGUACAACAUAUACAACACUUAAGAUAAGUAAAAGCAAUUUGAUGAGUCAUGGUCUAUCAAAGCAAGAUGCAUUACUACUCUAAUCUAUCUUAACAGGUCACACAUGAUUACAAUCCUUGUUGUGUGCAAGUCAAGCUUAUCUAGUUUACACGUAACAACUUGUAGAACAUUACACAAUUGAUGUUUGCUAAUAACUUCUAGAAAGCUACAACACUUGACAUGUAAAAAGAAUUUGAUGAGUCAUGACCUACUAAAGCAAGUUACAUUACUAGUCUCAUCUAUCUUAACAGGUCACACAAGAUUACAAACUAAGUUCUGCGCAAGCAAUGCUUAUCUAGUUUACACAUAACAACUUGCAAAACAUUACAAACUUAGUUUCAAAAAAUUAGGCAAUCUAGAUUAGUGUUUGAGUUGUAAAGUGAAUAAGAUGAGUCAUGUGUGUUAUCACAACUUUUUGGUAGUGGAAUGAUAGUGCCACCAAACACAACAUACCAAAUUAUGAUUUUAGGAAGCAUCCAAGCACUUUCCAGACAAGAAAAUGCUAAUUGUGAAGGAGAUGAUGCCAUGUCAGCUAUAAAUAGGCCUGUAGCAUGAUGAUCAUCCUUCCCCAUCCAUCAUUCCCAUAAGUAGAGUGCAUCGUUCAAGCCAAGCAAGCAGUGGUCAAUACAAAUCCACCAUGAAGACCUUUCUCAUCCUUGCCCUCCUUGCUAUCGUGGCGAUUGAGGGAGUCCUGGAUAAGGGGUAUCUGGACAGCCGGACUAUAUUCAUCGUCCGGACUAUAGAAGCGUCAAGACACAAGACUCAAGACUUCGGCUCGUGUCCGGAUGGGACUCUCCUUUGCGUGGAAAACAAGCUUGGCGACCCGGAUAUUAUGUUUCCUUCCUUGUAACCGAGUCCAUGUAAACCCUAGCUCUCCGGUGUCUAUAUAAACCGGAGAGCAUGGUCCUUACAAGGCCGACCACAAUUACAAUCAUACCAUCAUAGGCUAGCUCUUAGGGUUUAGCCUCUACAAUCUCGUGGUAGAUCUACUCUCGUAUUCCACAUAUCUUCAAUAUCAAUCAAGCAGGAAGUAAGGUUUUACCUCCAUCGAGAGGGCCCGAACCUGGGUAAACAUUGUGUCCCUUGCUUCCUGUUACCAUCAUCCUAAGACGCACAGAUUGGGACCCCCUACCCGAGAUCCGCCGGUUUUGACACCGACGUUGGUGCUUCCAUUGAGAGUUCCUCUGUGUCAUCGCUUCGAGGCUUGAUGGCGUCUUCAAUCGUCAACAACACGGUCCAGGGUGAGACUUUUCUCCCCGGACAGAUCUUUAUGUUCGGCGGCUUCGCACUGCGGGCCAAUUCAUUUGGCCAGUUGGAGCAGAUCGACAGCCUCGCCCCUGGCCACCAGAUCAGGUUUGGAAACUUGAACUACACGACAGAUAUCCGCGGAUACUUGAUCUUCGACGGAUUCGGGCCUGCGCCAGGAGUGCCGGAUAGCCACGACGAGCACGGCCUAGACCUGCUGUCGGAUAGUGCCCGGGACAUUAUCCCCGAAGCAGCCUUGGAUCUAAAUUCAGGACAGGUUGCGGCGCCUAUGGACGGAGGGCUGGACCCCGCUCCGCAGGCCGCACGCUUAUCGGCGGUGGAGCCGAACACUGGCCCCCCCUGUAACCCCGGACCCCCGGACUCAUAUCCGGAUGUUGGUCCUGGUCCGCUCACUCUCGAGCCAGCCGAGCCAGGUUGGGCUCCGGUAAUGGAGUUUACCGCUGCGGACAUCUUUCAGCACUCGCCCUUUGGCGACAUGCUGAGCUCAUUGAAGUCUCUCUCUUGGUCAGGAGACUCUGGGGCGAACUAUGUCCGACCCGAGUGGGAAGCAUGCGAUGAAGGAAUUCGGCGCCCACCCACCACCCACUUCAUUGCCACGAUCAAAGAAUUAGCCGACGUGCUCAACUCCGGAGACAUCGAUGGUAUGGACGACGAUGCAGGAGAGGCUCCAGAACACCUGGAGCGCGGGACUACUACCUUGUCACACGACAUAUACAUGGUAGAUACGCCCAAUAAGGACGGCAACCCGAACGAUAAAACACCCGGGCAAAAGCCAAAGAGGCGGUGCAGACGCCGCUCAAAGUCUAGCAAUGGCAAAAAUAGAGACAAGAGCGCAAGAAGGGUUGAUAUACCCGCAAACUCUGAAAGCAAUAAUGACCACAUGGACCCAACGAUGGAGCAGGACGAGCCAGGUCACACCAAAUAAAGUUCGGAGAAAAUACCCGAUCACAACGAUCCGGAGGGACGAGCUCAUGAUGCCACCCCAGAACAGGAAGACAAUCUGGACAACGAUGCAUUCAUCAUCCCGGACGAACAAGUGGAACGAGACAACCUCCACAGAAAGCUUAUGGCCACCGCAAGAAGUCUAGAAAAGCAGAAGCAACGGCUCAAGGCUGCACGGGAAAAGCUAAGUCGCAGAUGGAACAGGGUGCUAGACACCGAAGAAAGAUAUGGCGAUGACCGUCAUACGAAAAGCUAUCCGAAGCGCAAGCUGCUGCCAGAAUUCGACGAUGCGGCCGUUCCGCCAAAAGAAAAUUCGACCAAGAAACCAGACGUACCGCCUCACAACCAUAAUAGAGCGGCCGUGGACACUGCGCACGAUCCACGCGGGCAUCCGAAUAAAAAGACCGGUGCAGCCAGGUCCAUAUAUGGAUCUAGAAGACACACCCCAACGCAGAACUAUGGUCACCCAAACAUUCAUAAAAGCCAGAUACCAGUUCGGAAUCAACCCCGGACACAACAACAGCCAACUACAUGCCACAACGCGUCCAGAUACAGAGGGGCUGCUUACCACCUGUGCUUCACCGAAGAAGUACUGGACCAUGAAUUCCCACAAGGAUUUAAACCUGUGAACAUAGAAGCAUACGCCGGCACGACAUACCCAGGGGUCUGGAUCGAGGAUUUUAUCCUACAUAUUCACAUGUCUCAUGGGGAUGACCUCCACGCCAUCAAAUACCUUCCCCUCAACUUGAAGGGACCAGCUAGACACUGGUUGGAAAGCCUCCCCGAAAACUCAAUUGGGAGUUGGGAGGUGAAAGGAUCGAUAUAGUUGGGGGGGGGGGUGAAUAGGAAACUAACAAUUUUUAAGCUUUUCUUUACCAAUUUAAACUUUGCAUCAAAAUAGGCUGUCUAGAUAUGCAACUAUGUGAGCAACCUAUAUGAUGGAAUAACAACUAGCACAUAAGCAAGCAAUGGAUACAACACAAGUAAGCUUGCAAAAGUAAAGGCAUGAAAUAACCAAGAGUGGAGCCGGUGGAGACGAGGAUGUGUUACCGUAGUUCCUUCCUUUUAAGGGGAGGUACGUCUCCAUUAGAGCGGUGAGGAGGCACAAUGCUCCCCAAGAAGCCACUAGGGCCACCGUAAUCUCCUCAUGCCCUCACACAAUGCGAGAUGCCGUGAUUCCACUAUUGGUGCCCUUGAAGGCGGCGACCGAACCUUUACAAACAAGGUUGGGGCAAUCUCCACAACUUAAUUGGAGGCUCCCAACGACAGCAUGAAGCUUCACCACAAUGGACUAUGGCUCCGAGGUGACCUCAACCGUCUAGGGUGCUCCAACACCCAAGAGUAACAAGAUCCGCUAGGGAUUAGUGGGGGGAAUCGAAUAUCUCUUGGUGGAAGUGUAGAUCGGGGCCUUGUCACCCAAUCCCGAGCAAAUCAACAAGUUUGAUUGGCUAGGGAGAGAGAUCGGCCGAAAAUGGAGCUUGGAGCAACAAUGGAGCUUAGGGAUGGAAGAGGUGGUCAACUAGAGGUAGGAGACACACCUUUUAUAGUGGAGGACAACAUCCAACCGUUAUCCACUUAGACCAGCCUGCGACAUGUGGUACUACUGCUCCAGGAGCGCGGUAUUAUCGCAAGGCCAUGCGGUACUACCGUGGGAGACCACGGUACUACCGUGGCAGCUACAGAGAUUAUAAGACAAGCAGUACUACCGCGAGCGCGGUACUACCGCUCCCACCUGCGGUACUACCGCGAGGCAGGUAAGUCCUAGUCUGGAAACGGCACGGAUGAAUAAAAAUACAUCCGUGCCUACUUCCGUGGUCAAAGAGACGAUGCAAACAUCCGUCACGGUACUACCGUGCACAAGGCGCGGUACUACCGUGUGUGCGCAGAUGUAAAAAAUUACAUCCGCCCCUACUACCGUGAAGCAACGGCACUAGGCCAGGGAACCACGGUACUACAGCUCGGGGGGAGCGGUACUACCGUGGGCACCCACGGUACUACCGCCCUCAACGUGUGGUACUACCGUGUGGGCGCGGAUGUAAAAAUUUACAUCCGCGCCUACUACCGCGAGGCAGCGAUACUUGGCCAGGGAGCGACGGUACUACGACUCCGAAUGAGCGGUACUACCGUGGGCUCCCGUGAUACUACCGCACAUGGGCACGGUACUACCGCAAGUGCUUGCGGUACUACCGCUCCAGGGAGCAGUACUACCGCAAGCUCAGCAACAGUAGUCCAGACACUCACAUAGAGGAUAGAUGGGGAAUGCUCCAAAGUGCAAGGGAAAGGAGGAGACAAGGAAGGAAACGUGUACGUGAUGAUUCCACCCGAACCUUUCUGACGUGGACCCCCUCUUAAUAGUACGGCUCUCCAACGACUCAAAUCCACCAAAAAGAAACAUAGAAAUACGCCGUCUUCAAUAGUCUUCGAGGGGCACCGAACCGUCUUGUGCCUAGCGAUGAAGCAACUGAGAAACUCAAGGCACACGAUUAGUCCGCUAAAGCAUUGUCAUCAAUCACCAAAACACUUAGGGAUAAAAAUGCCCUUACAAUAUCCCCCUUUUUGGUGGAUGACAAUACGGGAUUUUCACAAGGGAAAAAAUAAUGAGCAUAGGCAAACCCCUCCUCUCUAAAAUGUAGACGGGCUCCCCCUAGAUGUGUGCAAUCUAGAUGGAUGCUUUGGACUGCACAACACACUAGCUAGGAUUAACACUCCCCCUAUAUUUUAGAGACAAGGCAUGUAAGACUAACAAUCUAAGUAAGUGCAUAAACAAAGGUAGCACAAUAUAACACUAGCUCACUAAGAUAGGUAGAGUGCAUAUGUCUUACACCAUAUGAGGGACAAACUAAACCAAAUCAACCGAAACAACCGAAACGAGGUUCAAAUGAGACACGCAAACACACGAAACACGACACACGACUCACAAAUCCCUACACUCUCUCCUCCUUUGGCAUCGAGACGCCAAAAAGGCAGAGAGGACACCUACACACAAGUGGUGGCUCAAGCAGAGAAAUCAUCCCAAUGAUCCUCUUCAGACCCGGCAGCAAGAAUGGUCUCCUCGACGUCCUCCUUAGAAUCAGUCCACUUGUAGCCUUGUUUCUCCAUCCACUCAACCUCUGGAGUAAUGUGAUCCUCAGACCCACCAGACACGUCCUCUCCAUACAGCUUCAGAAUCUUCUUGUCAUGGCGACGACUCUCCUUGGAUGCCACGUGAGUCCUGUACUGCCCCUUAGCUUGUAUGCAUAAAAGAGUCUUCAUCUUGUCCUUCAGCUUCUUGGCCCACAAGGGCAUAGAGGAACUAUGGGAAGACCCAGCAGCACGGUUAGCAGCAACAUCCUCUGCUUCAGCCUCAUCCUCAUCAACAACCCUCUUAGCAGUAGUCGCCUCAGCACGAGUAGUAGUGUUGGCCCAUUUGGACUUGACACGGAGACUGAUGGGAUCAUGCCGAAUCCAGUCAGGAGCAAGGAACUCAUCACCAGGGUACUGCUUCGCCCAAGUCUUGGAGAUCAACAGAAACAUGUAUGGUCCAUAGAUAGGCACCUUGCUGUUGAACACCGCAAACCGAAGCUCACACCACAUGAUGUGUGUGACAUCAAGUGGCUGAGUCUGAGAUACGCGAGCCUCCUCGCAGAGGAGCAUCAUAUCCACCAUAUAGGCAUGGACCUUGUCCUUGUCACCAAUGCGAGGGAACAGAGAGUUGCGGAAGAUGCGAUACAUGAUAUCCAGAAAAGAGUUGAGCAUCCACGUUGACUUGCUAUUGGCAAGCACCUUCUCAACAUAGAACGGCUGAAGCUUGUCCUUGUUCGCAGACUCAGAAUUGGCAUGGGGGCGAACACCCACUGGUGAGUUGAGCCCGUCAUCAGGAACCUGGAGCAGAUCCAUGAACUCCUUCCAGGUAGCAGUCAACUGACGACCAUUGGUCGUCCAGGUCAUCCUCCGCUCCUCCCCAGGGUGAAAGAACACUGAGGCAAAGAACUGACAAAUAAGCUCAGGGUCAUAGUCAAGAUGGAAAGAGAUCACAUGCUCAAUAUCAAACUGCUCCACCAAAUCCAGAGCUUCUCCAAAGUACUCACGAUACAUAUCCUUCCUCAGGUGAUGCAUGUCUAUCCACCUGACAUCCACAUAGGUAUUUUGCUUGUUCUUGAUGACAUCCAGAUAGGUGAGAGUCUGCUGCUUGUUCGAAAACAACUCACAGCCUCUAACGGUAGCACGAGGAAUCACAUACGGGUUGAGCUGCCUGAGACGGAUGUACUCAGAUUGGGGUAUCUCGUCCAUGCCCUUAGCGGGUUCCUUGUGCUUGCUAGCGGUGGCCUUGACAUGGCGCUUGGGGGCAGAGGAGGAGCCCUCUGGUGCAUCACUUGGAUUGCACAGACGCUUGGAGCCAGUGUCACGACUGGGAUUGGAACGACGAGAGCCACCACCUGAGACACAAAAUGCAAAACACCCACGACAGGCAAAAAGGAUCAAUGCAAAGACCACGGCAAAGCACAAGAACCACAUAGGAAGUAUACGUGAAAGUUUCCAUGAGAUAGAUGGGAUCCACGGUAGUACUGCCGGAUGCGGUGGUACUAAAAUUUUAGUACCGCUCCAAGUCGCAGUAGUACCGGGGUGGGAGCGGUAGUAAAAUUUUAGUGUCGUAGCGUGCACGGUAGUACCGCGCCUGACGGGCGGUAGUACCAGACAAGCGGUAGUACCGCAUAGGUGGCGCGGUAGUACUGCACCGCGUCAGAUCCAAACCAAAGUUUGAAUCUGAGAAGAACCGCGAAACCACGGCGGUACUACGGUUGAUCAAAUCUAGCACAGGACAAAAAGACAAGUAUAAUCCCUACACGAUACUACUCUCCUACAGCCUACUCUUGCAUAGAUUUAGCCUAAAAUCUCAAGAACACACAAGUCUUCCCCACAAACCUAGAGGCAAAGAAAACAACAAAAGCGAGAGGGAGUUGGGAAAAGACCCUUGCCCAUGGCAAGAGCACGUGGUGGGGAAUGAUCCCACCGAACGGAAUCGCAGGAGAGCAGCCGGAGGCGGAGAUCCGGCGAAGGACCCCGGCCCCGUUCUUGAGCGAGGGAGAGAGAGACGAAGUGGGAAACUGAUGAAUGGGUAUGGGGGAGUUGGAACUCCCCCUCCCCAUCCUUAUCCCCACGCGUCAAAGAUGUCGCGGUAGUACCGCACAUCAUCACGGUAGUACCGCUUGGGUGGAACUACCGCACCGAAGCAGUAGUACCGCUCUCCCAGGCGGUAGUAAAAAAUUACUGCCGCGUGGGGCGGUAGUACCGAGAUCUCCACACGCGUAGUACCGUAGCAUGCUGCGGUAGUACCGUGAGCUCAAGAAAAAGCAGGUUUCAACACAAAAGAGGUCUUUGCAAGGAAACUUUUAGCACAAGAGACACCACAAGAACACGCACAACCCAAAGGCAGAAAGACAACAAGAAGCAACCACGCAACACACCCUCUCAAAAAGCGAGGGCGGUGGCCGGAGCCACCUAUGUUUGAGUCAGUUUGUAUGGCACCGCAAAGAAUUAUCCUUGGGCCCAUGACCGAAACUCAUCUUUGAAGCACAAGUUCCAUAAAAAAUGGUUAAUGUGACAGAGUUGAUCGAUUUAUGCAUAAUGGGGGAGGGAGGGUUCAUUGAGAGAACGGUACUCCCCCUAUGUCCAUGCCCACACCUAAACUAGACAACAAGUUGAGUGAGGUGGGGUGUGCACAGGCUCAAGUCACAUUGCUCGAACCAAUGAUAUUUAGCUCAUGCCUUAACUCGCGAAAUCGUGCUUCAUCAAAGGGCUUCGUGAAAAUAUCUGCAAGGUUAUCAUGAGUGUUGACAUACUUGAGCUUGAUCUCCCCUCGCCUACUGUGAUCCCGGAUGAAGUGAUACCGAAUCUCAAUAUGCUUCGUCUUGAAAUGUUGCACCGGGUUGAGAGAAAUCUUGAUGGCACUUUCAUUGUCACACCAAAGAGGCACUUUGUCACAAAUGACACCAUAUUCCUUUAAAGUUUGCCUCAUCCAUAAGAGUUGUGCACAACAACUACCGGCCGCCACAUAUUCCGCUUCGGUGGACGAGAGAGACAAACAACUUUGCUUCUUGGAAGACCAACUCACCAAAGAGCAACCAAGAAAUUGGCACCCUCCAGAAGUGGACUUCCUAUCCACCUUGUCUCCCGCCCAAUCGGAAUCCGUAAAUCAUUCAAGCUUGAAGUUAGCUCCUCUUGGGUACCAUAGGCCAAAGUUUGGGGUAUGAGCCAAAUAUCGAAAGAUUCGCUUGACCGCCACAAAGUGGCUUUCCUUUGGUGCGGCUUGAAACGGUGCACACAUUCCCACACUCAACAUGAUAUCUGGUGAUGCACAAAGGUAAAGCAAGGAUCCAAUCAUAGAGUGAUAUACCUUUUGAUUCACCGCUUUACCAUUGGGAUCAAUGUCAAGUUGGCACUUGGUGAGCAUUGGAGUAGAGGCCGGAUUGACAUCACUUAGCUUGAAUCUCUUAAGCAUGUCUUGAGUGUAUUUGGCUUGGUUGAUGAAGGUACCUUCUCUUUUUUGUUUGAUAUCAAAACCAAGGAAGAACUUUAACUCUCCCAUCGAAGACAUCUUGAACUCAGAGGUCAUGAGAGCGGCAAAUUCUUCAUUGAAAGCAUUGUUAGGGGAACCAAAGAUAAUGUCAUCAACAUAUAGUUGGCACACAAACAACUCCCCUUUUACCUUCUUAGUAAAAAUAGUGGGACCGAUUUGCCCAACUUCAAAUCCACGAUCUUGUAACAACUCGGUAAGGUGGUCAUACCACGCACAUGGGGCUUGUUUAAGGCCAUAGAGUGCCUUAUCGAGUUGAUACACAUGAUCCGGGAAGUAAGGAUCCUCGAACCCGGGGGGUUGCUUGACAUAAACCAACUCAUUAAUAGGACCAUUAAGAAAAGCACUUUUCACAUCCAUUUGUUGUAACUUAAAGUUGUGAUGGGAAUCAUAAGCAAUCAACAAACAAAUGGAUUCAAGGCGAGCAACAGGAGCAAAGGUUUCACCGUAGUCGAUACCGUCGACUUGGGAGUAGCCUUGUGCUACCAAUCUUGCCUUGUUGCGAAUGAUGUUCCCAUGAGCGUCUUGCUUGUUCUUGAAAAUCCACUUGGUUCCAAUGACAUUAUGGUUCCCCGACGGCCGUGGCACCAAUCUCCACACCUUGUUGUACUCGAAGUUGUUAAGUUCUUCAUGCAUGGCAUUGAGCCAAUCUGAAUCUUCGAGCGUCUCAUAGACCUUUUGGGGUUCAACACAAGAGACAAACGCGUGAUGUUCACAAUAGUUUGCUAAUUGUCUACGAGUGCUUACCCCCUUUCUUAGGCUUCCAACCACAUUCUCCAUAAGAUGGCCUUUGGUGGUGAGCUUGGAAGCAAUCUUUGCGGCACAACGCUCUAGUUCCUCCUCGGAUGUGGAGGAAGGAGGAUCAACUUGAUUAUCUUGAGCGCCGUCUUGAGCUUGUUCGAGAUCUUGAUCUUGCUCUUGAUCUUGAACUUGCUCAAGGGGGAAAACUUGACCUUGGGCAUCAUUUGGUGGAUCACCACCAUCUUGAGUUUGAUCUUGCCCUUGGUCUUGUUUAUGAGGUUGCGAGCCUUCACUUUGUUGUUCGGAAGCAUGUGGGUCUUGGGGAGGUGAUGGCUCCACUUGAGUGGAGCAUUGUCCUUCUCCUUCGGCCACAAGGGGUUCCUCAAUGGGUAGAAUAUGACCAAUACCCAUUCUUCUUAUGGCUUGGGGAGGAAUUUCAUCACCUACAUCACAAGUACCACUUUGCUCCACUUGGGAGCCGUUAUUUUCGUCAAACUCCACGUUACACGUCGCCUCAAUGAGUCCGGUGGACUUGUUGAGAACACGGUAAGCAUGAGAGUUUGUAGCAUAACCAACAAAUAUGCCCUCAUAAGCUCUAGCCUCAAAUUUAUACAAACGGACACCCUUUUUGAGAAUGAAACACUUACACCCGAACACCCGGAAGUACUUGAGAUUGGGCUUGUUACCGGCGAGGAUUUCAUAAGGAGUCUUGUUCAAGCCUUUGCGGAGAUAGAGCCGAUUUGAUGCAUGACACGCGGUGUUGAUGGCUUCGGCCCAAAAGUUGUAUGGAGACUUGAACUCCGCCAUCAUGGUCCUUGCCGCAUCCAUCAACUUCCGGUUCUUCCUCUCCGCAACACCAUUUUGUUGAGGGGUGUAUGGAGCUGAAUAUUGAUGCUUGAUCCCCUCAUCACUAAGGAGCUCGUCCAAGGUGUAGUUCUUGAACUCGGUGCCGUUGUCACUUCUUAUUGUCAAGAUCUUUGCAUCAUGUUGUCAUUGAGCUUCAUUUGCAAAGUCGAUGACGGUUUGUUGGGUUUCACUCUUCCUCUUGAAGAAAUAUACCCAAGUAUAUCUUGAAUAAUCAUCCACAAUCACCAAGCAAUACUUUAUUCCCCCAAGACUAUCAAAGGAUGGAGGCACAAAGAGGUCCAUGUGAAGGAGCUCCAAGGGUCUCUUCGAGUAGAUGAUAGUCGUGGGAGGGUGAGCCGUCUCAUGAAGCUUUCCUUCGAUACAAGCACUGCAAGCAUGAUCUUUGGCAAAACUAACAUUUUUUAGUCCACGGACAUGGUCCCCCUUGAGAAGACUUUGCAAAGAUCUCAUAUUGACGUGGGCUAAACGGAAAUGCCAAAGCCAUCCCACAUCAACUUUAGCCAUUAGGCAUGUCGCGGUCUUAGUGGGUCGCUCCGAAAAGUUAAUCACAUAGAGACCGUUCUCGACAUGCCCAACAAAGGCUACUUUAAGAGUCUUGCUCCACAAUAGGGCCACGGUAUCAACAUCAAAGAAGGUGGCAAAGCCCAUGAGUGCGAGUUGACGAACGGAAAGUAAAUUGUAUGCAAGGGACUCAACAAGCAUGACUUUCUUGAUCGUUAGAUCAUGAGAAAUGACAACCUUGCCAAGACCCAAUACCUUAGAAUGUGAGGCAUCACCCCACUCGACAUUUUUGGGCAUAGAUGGGAUCUUUUGCACGUCCACCACCAAGUCCUUGCUCCUGGUCAUAUGAUUUGUUGCUCCACUAUCGAGCAACCAUGAUCCCCCACCAGAAGCAAACACCUACAAGAGAUCAAUGCUUGGUUUAAGGUACCCAUUGAGUAAUGGGUCCUUUGAUGUUAGUAACAAGGGUCUUAGGAACCCAAAUAUACCAUUCAAUGUACUCAUAAGAAGAACCAACAAAUUUAGCAUAAACAUGCCCAUCACUAGCACGGCACAACACAUAAGAAGGGUUAAAGUCGCCGACUUUGUUGGGAGAGGUGACUUUGCCCUUUUUGGCAUCACCACUCUUUGCAGUGUUCUUCUUCUCCUUAGGAGUACCCUCUCCCUCCUUCACAAAAGUUUUCUUAAGCGGGGGAGGUCGUUUGAUCUUGUCAUUCUUCUUCUGGUUCUUCUUCUUGUUCUUGGACUUGGGUGAGAACCCACCUCCCUCCUUUGCCACAACUUCAUUUUGAUUGCUCAAAAGGUCAUUUAGGUUCUUCUCACCUUGUAUGCAUGACACAAGGACUCUCUCGAGUUGUUCCUUCAACUUGGCAUUCUCCUCCACAAGAUGCACAUGCUCACAACACGGGUCAGUAGCAUUUGCGUUAUCAAUUAAGAUUAAGUGAGGAAAGGUGGCCUUCUCCUUGGUUAGCUUAACUUGGAGUUGAGCAUGAGACUUCUUGAGGUUAGUAUGAGCACCCUUCAAGACCUUGUGGGCCUUGUCAAGCACAUCAAACUCCUCCUUGACUCUAGCAUGAUCAACCCCAAGUUUAGCCUUCUUGGAAGUCAGCACACGAGACACAACAAGAGCAUGAUCGAGAUCUUCCUUUAACUUGGCAUGGUCAUCGUUUUGUGACUCCUCAAGAGCCAAACGAUGCCCACACUCUUCCUCAAGAGCAUUAGAGAGAUCCGAUAUCUCAUCGACAUAGUCAUGACUAUGACCUUCCAUCUUAGAGAUGGUUUCUUUGUGAGCCUCGAUCAUGUCAUUGGCUUCACCAAGUUGUUCCAAGAGAGCAACAAAGUGCUUCUUGGAUUUGCCCUUGAGCUUACUCAUAAAGGACUCAAAAUCAUUUACCUCCUCAUUAGACCCCUAACCAUCAUCAAUCCCAACCGUCAAACAAGGAUUAGGAAUAAUGGUGGUUUUGAUGUUGGGGGUUACCUUGUUGGUGGCUUUAGCCAUGAGGCACUUGGCGGUGAUGUUCUCGUUGGGUGAAUCGAAGAGAGACACCCGGGAGUUGUGGCAAUGGCAACGGAUGCCAUGGCCAUUGAUUCACUAUCUUCAUCAUCAUCGUCAUCCUCACGGUACUCCUCUUGAACCACCAACCCUUGAGUAGGAGUCUUCUUGGUGAAGUUGUUCUUGUUGGGGAAAGACUUGGCUUUGUCUCUCCGGAUGAGCUUGCCACCAUUGUCUUCCCGCUUCUCGUAAGGACAAUCCGCAACAAAAUGGCUCACAUUGCCACAGUUGAAACAAGUUCUAACUCGUUGCUUGCUCUUGAAGCCACUUGAGUUGUUCUUGUUGAAAUUGGGUCUUGAGUUCUUCUUGCUCCAAAAUUGCCUUGAAGCGAGAGCCAUGUGCUCGUGAUAAUCAUAUUUUGUAUCUUCGGUAUUGCUCUCCUCAUCUUCCUCUUCUUCCUCUUCUUCCACAAUAACCUUGGCCUUCAAGGCAAGGUUGGGCUUCUUUGCUCCUUGAGACCGGAGCACCGCAUUAUCGGCGGUCUUGUCCAAGAUGCUCAUUGCAACGAACUCAUCCAACACUUAACUUGAGGUCAUGGAGUGGAAGUCCGGCCUUUGACGAAUGACGGAGGACAUGGACUUGUUGUAGGGCAUCAUGGCCUUGAGAAACUUGCGUUUGAUCCAAUUGUCAUACGUGUCCUUGCUCCCAUGAUCUCGGAGCGAGACCGCAAGUUUGGUUACUCUCCGAAAGAGCUCACGAGGUUCUUCAUCUUCCUUCAUAGCAAACUCAUCGGCUUCAUCUUGCACUACUUCAUAGUUGGAGCAUUGAAUGCUCGCGCUUCCCCAAUAAAGAGACACAACGCACCGCCUCGCGUCUUUGGCCGUGGAGUAGGGUCGAAGAUGAGGGAGAUCUUUGGGGAGAAUUGCUUCUUGGUUGAUGAAGAGAGCAUUCUCAUUGAAUUGAUUAUCCACGGCUUCUUGAGGGGUGAAGUUGCUUGGGUCAUGUGGAUAGAAACCUUCUUCAAUGAUUCUCCAAAGAUUAGUAUUCACAUGCUUUAAAUGACGCUUGAAGCGAUACACCCAAGAAUCAAAAUCCUCAUUUUUCACAAUCUUAGGAGGAGGACCGACAUGAUUUAAAUGAGUAGACGGAAUCGGUCCACCAUAAGUUGGAGGUUCCACAUGGGCAAAGAUGCCGGAACCAUUUUUACCGCUUGUAGAAGGACCCUUUUCACUGUUAGCUUCCCCUUGUCGGAGGUAGCAUCCGUCACCUUGUUAGCGGGAUCACCCACUUUCAUCAGCGAGGUGGACAAUUUAAGUCCUUCUAAAAAUUUAGUAAACAUGCUUUCAACCUUGGUCCUCAUGGAGUCUUUCAAUGUGUCUAGAGCCACAUUGAAUUCCUCACGAGAGACCGAGGUUCCCCCAUCGGCCAUAGACGAGGUAGGAUUCACGCCGGAGUGCUCUUCCACAACGUCUAUGGCGUCAACCAUACUCUUCGGACGGCAAAGUCCUUAAUAAAGAGACGAAGCUCUGAUACCAAUUGAAAGGAUCAAUAUAGUUGACUAGAGGGAGGGGUGAAUAGGCAACUAACAAUUUUUAAGCUUUUCUUUACCAAUUUAAACUUUGCAUCAAAAUAGGUUGUCUAGAUAUGCAACUAUGUGAGCAACCUAUAUGAUGCAAUAACAACUAGCACAUAAGCAUGCAAUGGAUACAACACAAGUAAGCUUGCAAAAGUAAAGGCACGAAAUAACCAAGAGUGGAGCCAGUGGAGACGAGGAUGUGUUACCGAAGUUCUUUCCUUUUAAGGGGAAGUACGUCUCCGUUAGAGCGGUGUGGAGGCACAAUGCUCCCCAAGAAGCCACUAGGGCCACCGUAAUCUCCUCACGCCCUCACACAAUGCGAAAUGCCGUGAUUCCACUAUUGGUGCCCUUGAAGGCGGCGACCGAACCUUUAUAAACAAGGUUGGGGCAAUCUCCACAACUUAAUUGGAGGCUCCCAACGACAACACGAAGCUUCACCACAAUGGACUAUGGCUCCGAGGUGACCUCAACAGUCUAGGGUGCACAAACACCCAAGAGUAACAAGAUCCGUUAGGGAUUAGUGGGGGGAAUUGAAUAUCUCUUGGUGGAAGUGUAGAUCGGGGCCUUGUCACCCAAUCCCGAGCAAAUCAACAAGUUUGAUUGGCUAGGGAGAGAGAUCGGCCGAAAAUGGAGCUUGGAGCAACAAUGGAGCUUAGGGAUGGAAGAGGUGGUCAACUAGAGGUAGGAGACACACAUUUUAUAGUGGAGGACAACAUCCAACCGUUAUCCACUUAGACCAGCCUGCGACAUGCGGUACUACUGCUCCAGGAGCGCGGUACUACCGCAAGGCCACAUGGUACUACCGUGGGAGACCACGGUACUACCGCGGCAGCUGCAGAGACUAUAACACAAGCAGUAUUACCGCGAGCGUGAUACUACGCUCCCACCUGCGGUACUACCGCGAGGCAGGUAAGUCCUAGUCUGGAAAUGGCACGGAUGAAUAAAAAUACAUCCGUGCCUACUUCCGUGGUCAAAGAGACGAUGCAAACAUCCGUCACGGUACUACCGUGCACAAGGCACGGUACUACCGUGUGUGUGCGGAUGUAAAAAAUUACAUCCGCCCCUACUACCGUGAAGCAACGGCACUAGGCCACGGAACCACGGUACUACAGCUCGGGGGGAGCGAUACUACCGUGGGCACCCGCGGUACUACCGCCCUCAACGUGCGGUACUACCGUGUGGGCGCGGAUGUAAAAAAUUACAUCCGCGCCUACUACCGCGAGGCAGAGGUACUUGGCCAGGGAGCCACGGUACUACGACUCCGAAGGAGCGGUACUACCGUGGGCUCCCACGGUACUACCGCGCAUGGGCACGGUACUACAACAAGUGCCUGCGGUACUACCGCUCCAGGGAGCAGUACUACCGUAAGCUCAGCAACAGUAGUCCGGACACUCACAUAGAGGAUAUACGGGGAAUGCUCCAAAGUGCAAGGGAAAGGAGGAGACAAGGAAGGAAACGUGUACAUGAUGAUUCCACCCGAACCUUUCCGACGCGGACCCCCUCUUAAUAGUACGGCUCUCCUACGACUCAAAUCCACCAAAAAGAAACGUAGAAAAACACCAUCUUCAAUAGUCUUCGAGGGGCACCAAACUGUCUUGUGCCCAGCGAUGAAGCAACUGAGAAACUCAAGGCACACGAUUAGUCUGCUAAAGCAUUGUCAUCAAUCACCAAAACACUUAGGGAUAAAAAUGCCCUUAUAGGAGGAACUCGAAAACGCUUUCAGGGCCAAUUUUCAAGGGACUUAUGUCUGGCCUCCGGAUGCAGACGAUCUAAGUCACAUAAUCCAACAGCCCGGAGAGUCCGCCCGCAAGCUUUGGAACAGAUUCCUCACUAAGAAGAAUCAAAUUGUCGACUGUCCGGACGCUGAAGCCUUAGCGGCUUUCAAACACAGCAUCCGUGACGAAUGGCUCGCCGGCACCUCGUCCAAGAAAAGCCUGCCUUUACGGGCCAACCAGCUAUCCUCACCCGCGUAAAAGCGGGUUAUAAGGCUUGUUAAGGCUGCCAUUGUCCUGAUUCAGGGGCUCUCGACCUGGUCAGCAAAAGAAGCCAUUGAAAGGCAGUAAAGACGGAUCGUCCGGUCUGAACAGAGUCUUGGACAGACUAUGCCAAAUUCAUGGCACCCCGGAGAAACCUGCAAACCACACCCAUAGAGAGUGCUGGGUUUUCAAGCAGGCCGGCAAAUUAAAUGCCGAACACAAGAGGAGGGACACACCAAACGAAGAAGAGGAUGAACCCCACCAGCCGAACACCGGGGUACAGAAAAAAUUCCCGCUAGAGGUUAAAACAGUCAACAUGAUCCAUGCGACUCGCACAUCCACGAGAGGGCAUAAAACACUCGCCCAUAGAAGCACACGAUGUAGAGCCCGUCGUACCCACGUCUCACUACUGGAUGUCUCGUCCGAUCACAUUCGAUCACACGGAUGACCGAACUAGUAUUCGGCACGGAGGAUCACAGGCCUUGGUGCUUGACCCACUAAUCGAUGGAUACCGUCUCACCCGCGUCCUCAUGGACAGCGGCAGUGGUCCCAAUUGAAUAUACGAGGAUACUGUCCGCAGAAAGGGGAUAGACCCAUCCAGAAUUAAACAAAGCAACAUCACCUUUGAAGGGGUGAUACCAGGCGUUGCAGCCUGCGCCAGGGGCUCCGUCGUGCUAGAAGUAACAUUCGGCUCCCCAGGCAACUCCAGAAGCGAAGAGAUGCUCUUCAAUAUCGCACCCUUCCAAAGCAGCUAUCACGCAUUGCUAGGAAGAACGACCUUCGCCUGCUUCAACGCACUGCCACACUAUGGCCACCUUACACUCAAGAUGCCCGGUCCCCGUGGCGUCAUCACUGUUAGCAGAAUCAUAAAGCGCCAUUCAUGCGCAGAGGAAUAUGCGACGGCCCUGGCGGCCGGACUAUAAGCGGCCUCCAGUUUUUAGAAAACAUGAUUGGUCAUUAUGACCACAGACACGGUUAGACGAGUCCGUUAGCCCGGAUAAAUUCAAACAGGGCACUGUAUAUAUAAUCCCGUAAGGGAAACCAGGCGCUGUUUAUAUUUAAUACAGCCCCACGCUUGGCUCGACCUUAUUGGCAGGCCAAUAGUUUACACUCUUAUUAUUAAUCGCAUACUUACGAUGCAGCCUCCUGUGAGUUUUUCUUUUUUACAGACAACGUUCGCGCGAUACCCUUCCAGGAUACGGCACAAUAGAGACAAAGGCGCAGACGUGCAACAGGGCCUUGUGCAACAGGUUUCUUUUUAGAUUAAGCCCCUGUGUAAUCCUUUUCUACUGCCUCUUGUUGUUUAACCAUCCCAUGGGUUCUCUACCCACAGAGGAUACUGCCAUUUUUGGCAUUUGGCCACGGCAGACUAAAAUGCACGUACCUAGAAAUAAAGGGCUUAAAAUAGGCUCUUGUCAGCCUAUCUUCUUUUACAAAAUACCGAAUACCCUCGGGAGUGUUCAGCGUCACGAGUUUGACCAUAUAUGCAUCAGCUCCGAAUCAUGUCUUAGGUCAAAAUGUUGGGUUUGCCCGGCUCCUGGGUAGGCCGCCUUAUGUUUCGCUAUCAUCCGGCUAAGGCAGGCCAAAGGAGAACUACUGCGAUUGUGCCCUGGUUAUUCCGGAUGAGCGCCUCAGUAGAGAAAGCCGAAAACUGACCGUCAUGAUGCAGCGAGAGACUGUUCAACCACUCGAAGACUCACCGGAAUCCCUAAAGAUUCCUUCGCCUUAACGAAGGGCCGUUUUUCGGCCAUGUACACAUGCGCCCAUAUUUGGAUGCACGUAGAGGUACCAGGGGCUACAUAGUCCCCACCAUUAGACUCCCAUGGCUAAGCGAAAGUGUUACAGCUAUAUAGUCUGAUUGCCUAGUUCAGCGUGCGAUCACCUCCUUAACGGACCAAGACGUUGGAUCAAGUGUGCUUAUGCAUAUUUUUUCGCCAACACCCCCGCAUUAUCCGCGAGGGGGCUGAAGCCAACGACUGCUAUCUUUCAGACUACUUAUACAUAUAAGAAUAGCCGCAAAGGGAGGACAAUCAUACUUCCGGGCAAAAGUAUAAACAUAGCCUCAUAAUUAAACUAAACAUUGUUUUCUACAAUGAUUCGACUUAUCACUCGAAUAAAACACUCUUCGAGCACUGCGCCUCUAUCAGGCGGGCACCUUCUGUGACUUGCGCCAAGUAGUGCUCGGCCGGAUGUUGGCCUCCCGACGGAUCCUGGCUUGCUAUUACAGUGGCCUCCAUAUCCGUCCAGUAGGCUUUAACGCGGGCUAGAGCCAUCCGCGCACCUUCUAUGCACGCCGACCUUCUCAGGGCGUCAAUCCAGGACACCGCUCCAAGGAAUUGUUGCACUAAACCAAAGUAGCUGUCCGGCUUAGGCCCCUUCGGCCAAAGAUGGUCUAUUACAGACCGCAUUGCCAGUCCGGACAGCCUGUGGAUCUCCGCCAUAGCAGCCACCUUCUCAUUCAGUGGCAGCUGGCGAGUAGGAGCAUUAAACUGCGACCAGAAAAGCUUCUCCACUUCUUCAUCGCCUUGACCCUCGAAGAACUUGGCAGCGUCAGCUGUACUAUUCACCAAAUCCGCAUAUGCGUCCGCAGGACUCAUGCGACCCGCCAGGGGAGCAUACUUCGGAUCCAAGAACUUCGUCCGCAACAAGUACGAGCCCCCAGCCACGAUUUUGUCAGUUUGUUGGAGCUCCUCCCACAUACUCCGGAUCUCGGUCCGCAUCUCCUUGGCGGCAUUACUUGCCUUGUCCAGCUCGGCCGAACUAGCCUUAUUCUCCUUUUCAAGGAGUGCGUACCGGUCGGCGGCAUUUUUUAACUCUUCAGCCAUUUCGUCUAUCUUUUCCUCUCUUCGGCGAUGAGCAGCCUAUUCGGCUCUCAACUCUUCGACCGCCUUUAGGGCAGCCGCAUUGCUAGCCCGAGCUUGUUCCUUGGCUUGAGCAAGUUCCACCCUCAGGGCCUUCACGGCAGCAGCACCAUCUGCAGUGCACACGUAUUGCAUUAAUAUUAUGCCUUUUGGCAUCUUCGUAUACAUUAUAAUAAAAACCAAGCACAUACCCUGGGACUCCUCUAGCCGUUUAUUCACCAGCGUUAUAUCGGCAUCGAUUGAUCCGAUUUGCCUCCUUAGCUCGACAACUUCAACAGACUGGUCGGCUGCCGGAUCCUUGUAUACCUGCGCACAUGUACGACGCAACCAUUAGUAUAUGAUCCACCGUUUGCCGCUUAUGGCGGGCAACCAGAGUCUCAGGGGCUACUAUCUAUAGGGAGCACACCUAGCGCGUGCUUCAUAACCAAAAAGUUGUGCAUUUUUUCACUACAUACCUCAAAGCCUUUGAGUAGGCUUGUAAAUGCCUCAUUCAAGCCGCCGGUAGCGGAUGAAAUCUUCGUGAGCACCGUGCUCAUUAAAGAGUGGUGCUCCUCCGAGAGUGCGGCUCACUCUAGACGGCCCGUCAGUACGUCCGGCCGGACAUUAAAUUGCGCCGGACCCUUCUCCUCACCCCCCGUGGGAGCCAAACGCUCCGGGCUUAGGGCAGCUGACGUACUAGCCUCCGGCUUUGGCAGAUCCAGACUCCUCCGUGACGACACCUCCGUGUCGCCCGCUUCAUGAGGCGGAGAGCUGGGUGGAGUCUCGCUCUCCAUCAUCUCCGGACGAAGGUCCCCCGAAGACGAACUCUGUUGAGAAGAGCUACUCGCCGGACAACAAAAGGCGAAGUCCUGGUUAUGGAUCUCGGAGUAACGCUACACCUUCGAAUUGAUGAAUAACUUACGGCUCGGUCGAGGGCUGGCCCGUUGGUGGGCAUGACGUGGUGAGGGCGCCCGUCGCGGCAGAACCCCUUGGAGAUGUUUUCUUCCCUUGCUUGGGCGUCUCCGCCUCCAAAUCUUCGGAGGCGGCCCUUUUCCUCCCGCGUGGGGAGGAGGCUUUGACCUCCCCUUCCCGGCUAUCCUCCAUAGGAGGGGUAGCGACUUCCCCGGUCUGGAUGUGCAGCGCGUGAAGUUCAACUUCACUGCCCUUCCCUUCGCCUUUCCCUGUAGGAAUUUUGCUGAGCGCCCGAUCCAGCAUCUUUGCAAUGGUUGGACCAGGCGGGCCUUCAGGAAGUGGCGCCGGACACCUGAUUCUCUUCGCCUUGGCGAGCCAUUCCUGGCCGCGGAGGGAUUGUCAGAAUAACAGUUAUGAUAAAUAUAAAUGAAGUGUCCGGCUUUAAGGUUACUUACUUGGGCAUCUAGGCGAUUGCAGCUUAGGCCCGCAUCCUCGGUGGUGUCCGGACACUUUACUUGUGGUCCAAAGAAUAAUUUACAGAUCCCUUCGAGCUUCAGGCCGAAGAAGUGCUUAAUAGUCCACGGACCCUCCGGAUUAAACUCCCACAUCCGGAGAGGUCGACAUUUGCACGGCAACAUCCGCCGGACUAUCAUCACCUGCAUUAUGCUGACAACAUUUAUGUCCCUCUCAAUAAGCUCCCGGAUACGAUUCUGCAGUUCUGGCACAUCGCCAGCAGGCCCAUAAUUCCGUCCUUCGUCGGUCCAAGACGCUAACUGUGACGGAGGGCCCGAGCGGAACUCGGGGGCAGCUACCCACUUUGUGCCUCUGGGAGCAGUGACAUAGAACCAUCUCCGUUGCCAUACAUCAGACACUUCCGGAAAAGAACCCUCUGGCCAUGGGGCAUCGGCAUUCCUGCUUCUUAUGGCGCCUCCGCACUCCGCAUGUCACCCCUCGAUCAUCUUCGACUUCACAUUGAAGGUCUUUAGCCAUAAGCCGAAGUGUGGGUUGACGUGGAGAAAAGCUUCGCACACAAUAAUGAAAGACGAGAUAUGGAGGAUGGCGUCUGGAGCCAGAUCAUGGAAAUCCAAGCCAUAGUAGAACAUGAGCCCCCUCACAAAGGGGUCGACGGUGAGGCCUAUGCCUCGGAGGAAGUGAGGAGUAAACACGAUGCUCUCAUUGGGCUCCGGCAUGGGGAUGACUUGCCCCGGAGCAUGAAGCCUAUGCUGGAUAUCAGCAGUCAGGUAUCCGACCUCCCUAAGCUUCGCAAUAUCCUCCUCCUGAAUCGAGAAGGCCACCCACCGGCCAGCUGCGUCGGAUCCGGACAUACUGGAGGAUCUGGGGGGCUGGAGCUUAGGUUUUUUGGCGAUGGAGCUCGAGGUAUGAGAAGGAGCGGAGAGGUGGAGAUGAGGCAUAGGCCUCGACCCCUUUAUAAAAGGGAUGAAUACCAAGAGUCCUCAGCGUGGCCGCUUGAGACUUGUCUAAAACACGGAAUUAUACCAACCAUCGCCGUGGGGUCGCAUAUGCCCAUAUUGAUGAAGGAUCCCGUAUUAACAGGGACACGAUCUCUGCUUUGACAGGAUGUGCCGAUAAAACCGGCUCGCAACGCGAGUCGAGGUGGAGCAGGAAGCGCUGGUUCGUGUUGGACCAGGUCAUGAUGCAAGGGCACAAUGUACGAAGAUUGCCAGCAGAACGGAUUUAUGCUAAGGGUAUGUGAAGAUCAUCUUGUAGAUCCGGACACGACCUACGUGUUUGAUAAUCACCUUGGAGUAUUCGGAGGAGGAACCCGCCUUGCAAUGCCGAAGACAAGACUGCACGCCGGACUCAUCAUCAUUGAAGCCUGGUUCAGGGGCUACUGAGGGAGUCCUGGAUAAGGGGGUAUCCGGACAGCCGGACUAUAUUCAUCGUCCGGACUAUAGAAGCGUCAAGACACAAGACUCAAGACUUUGGCUCGUGUCCGGAUGGGGCUCUCCUUUGCGUGGAAGACAAGCUUCGCAAUCCGGAUAUUAUGUUUCCUUCCUUGUAACCAACUCCAUGUAAACCCUAGCUCUCCGGUGUCUAUAUAAACCGGAGAGCAUGGUCCUUAGAAGGCCGAUCACAAUUACAAUCAUACCAUCAUAGGCUAGCUCUUAGGGUUUAGCCUCUACGAUCUCGUGGUAGAUCUACUCUUGUAUUCCACAUAUCUUCAAUAUCAAUCAAGCAGGAAGUAGGGUUUUACCUCCAUCGAGAGCGCCCGAACCUCGGCAAACAUUGUGUCCCUUGCUUCCUGUUACCAUCAGCCUAAGACACACAGAUCGGGACCCCCUACCCGAGAUUCGCCGGUUUUGACACCGACAGCGACCACCGCCACAACUGCAGUUAGAGUUCCAGUGCCACAAUUGCAGCCACAAAAUCCAUCUCAGCAACAACCACAAGAGCAAGUUCCAUUGGUGCAACAACAACAAUUUCUAGGGCAGCAAUAACCAUUUCGACCACAACAACCAUAUCCACAGCCGCAACCAUUUCCUCCACAACUACCAUGUCCGCAGCCGCAACCAUUUCCACCACAACAAUCAUAUCCACAACCACAACCACAGUAUCCGCAACCACAACAAACAAUUUCGCAGCAACAAGCACAACAACAACAAUGACAACAACAACAACAAAUCCUUCAACAAAUUCUACAACAACAACUGAUUCCAUGCAGGGAUGUCGUGUUGCAACAACCCCGAGCUGUCACGGUGCCAAGUCAUCCACAAUGUCGUUCAUGCUAUUAUUCUCCAUCAACAACAACAACAAAAACAACAACAACAACAACAACCGUCGAGCCAGGUCUUCUACCAGCAGCCUCAGCAACAAUAUCCAUCAGGCCAGGGUUCCUUCCAGCCAUCUCAGCAAAACCCACAGGCCCAUGGCUUUGUCCAACCUCAGCAACUGCCACAGUUUGAGGAAAUAAGGAACCUAGCGCUACAGACACUACCAGCAAUGUGCAAUGUCUACAUCCCUCCAUAUUGCUCGACCACCAUUGCGCCAUUUGGCAUCGUGAGUACUAACUGAGAAGAGAAGAACUCUAGUACUAGAUAUAUGAAACACCGUUUUCUUAGACCAUGGUUUGGUCGUUGUAGCGGUGAAGAAUAAAGUGACAUGCACUAUCAUGUAAGAACCCAAACUAGACUAUUUCAAACUUGGAAAUAAAAGACAAACACAGGUCUUGUCUGCAUAUGAUUGUUUGUAUGAGUUCCAUUCAUGUGCCCGUCCACAAGUUCACCCCUAAUUAUAUAUAUUAAGCAUUAAGUAGAUGUUUAUGUGCAUUAAUCUAAAGAUAACAAAAUGAAUCUGAAACUUGAAUUAAAUUGAAGUAUUUUCUUGGACUUUCAAAUUGAGCAUCGAUAGUGAGGUCUAUCCACAUCCUUGGCUUGCCCUUGAUCAAUUUUUUCCAAAGAAGCAUUCAAUUCAUCAGUCAAUUACAUUGAUUUUUGUGGCUUGUACUUCUCCUCAACAUGAGUAUCUUCAUUACGGCUACUCCAAUUCUCCCACAUAACUGAAGCAUUAAUAGCGCUCUUCCUUGCAUCAAGGAAAUAUGGAUCGAAGAUAUAUCUUGACCAUGUUUUUGGGUGCAACCUUGGGAGUUUUAUGCCAAAAUAUUCUCAAGAAGAAUCCAAGAAUAAACUUGCAUGCUGACGUGUGAUAAGGGCAUUAGAAGUAACAUUUCCUCAGCAAGGACACACAUAGGGCACACACAUAACCCCAUCACAUGCCUUUUUAGUUAUGCAUAUGAAGGUAGGAUGUUUUUAAUUACUCUGCACCAAAGUACUCUUAACUUGGAUUGUACGUUAAGCUUUCAUUGCCUUUUCAAUUUUUCUUCCACAUUAGAUGAACUAGAUAGUCCAGCUACCACACGAUACCUUGUGUUCAUCACGGCUCUAUACAACAAUUGAACAGAAGAAAUGUCAUUUCUUUACCAUACCCAUGACCAAAUGUUCUCUGCUACUCUCUCCGUCCGAAAAUACUGCCAUCCAUGUCGACAACAAUGAGACAUAUAGGACCGCUAUGCCUCUGUCGAAGGAGGUGGUGGAGCGAUCCGGAGAUUAUGCUGCCAUCCAUGUUGAGUAAAAACCUCACUGGCCACUUGCUCCAAUCGCAUACACACCACCAUAAACAACGGUUGGUACUCAGUUCGGUGUAGCAUACACCAUGUAGGAAGCAAGUGCUUACUCCUAGUUACUGAAUUAUGUACACCAAAUAAACCCAUUUACACGUAGUUAAUGACCAAAAAAAGGUGAUGCUUGCUACGCAGAUGUGUAGUACAAAUUAAGAAGUGCAAGAUAAAAAGAUGCUGGUCCUUGAUUCGUUGUUGAUCCUCAGCAUGCCAUCAUCAACUUGUAGUUAAUUAUCAUACAAAUUGGCUCUUUCAUAGAGUUGGAGGCUAGCUCCUUUGAUCAGCACGCGCUUAAACACAAAGAACACGUAUAUGUAUUCUCUCCGGAGUUCAACUCUUGAUUGGCCAGCAAAAAUGGUCCGACCGGGUAGAGGAAAGGCAUGUUUGCUAGUACGCCUGGAGGAAAUGCCUUUGAUUAGGGCAUCUCCAACGGCGACCGGUAAAUUUUCUCCCACAUUCGUCCACGGACAGGGGAUCAGUCCGUGGAUACGGAUAUAGGAAUCGGCCAUCCAACGCUGUCCGCAUAUAUUUCGAACACUUCUUUAAAAAAAUCGGAUGAAAUUCAUGCAAACACAGUGGAUUCCAUACAAACCGGACAAAAACGUUUACAUUUUGGACAUAUUUUUAACUAAAAACUCUAUAGCCGGCGCUGGCGACGACGAAUAUCCUCCAGCGACAUGGAUACCCUUGAAUAGUCUACUGCCGGCUGCAGCGGAUCUCCAAUGUCGUCCCAUGUCCGGCAGCUGUGAGCCCUAGGUAUAUGCUUCAACGCAAAGAGCAGCUCGCCUCCCUACCACUCAUCGGAGUGGAACAACCAACUGUUGCUUCUGCCAGUGGGGAAGGGUUCCUACGUUACACAGGCCAGAGUUGGUUUUGGGUUGGGAACGGCGGUGGCCUGCCAGAGGGAAAGACACCGGUUGUGUACGCUGGUGUCACCUCGGUAUGGCAUUCAUGGGACCCAAGCGACAGCUUCUCCUCGACGAUGGUGGCGAGCGCAGACGUGUUGGACACCACCUCGUCGAUGUCCAUGCAGCCCACUUCUUUCUCUGUUGGCAGGACGCGGUGCCACACGUUUUGACAUCGAAUGACGCGCUCACAAUCACGGGAGGGGCGGUACGACAUGGCACCAUCAAUGGCAGCCAUGAUGCCCGUGCCACCGUGCUCCCUCUCAGUGCGACCUGGAGCAACUCGCCACUCCUUGGCUCGUGACCGGCGGGCUUGAUGGGCCCCCUAGCCAUUAUUUACGCCAGACAACUCUUUUUCCUUCUCAUCAGAUGCCAUGGAAAAAACUGUUCAAGGAGGAAAAUGAUGAGUGGAGAUGUGAUGCGGUUCUUGCUCGAAAUCUGACAUUGUUUAAAUAGCGAGGGGACACGAGGAGCCAACCGGCGUUCUGUUUAAUGUCAGCCGGCUCACGAACGGACAUGUGACUGGAGUAAUUAUCCUGGCACACGCGCGGGUUUAAUGGUGAAAGGCAGGCAGUCUGGAGGAAUGACGCAUGAUGUGUGUUUAGCCGGCGUGCAGCGGGGCGGUACCCUUGGCGUGCAUGGGGCGGUACUCGGAGGCAUGAAUGCGGGCAAAGGUGUUGUCAGAAGCGGUCGUAGGUGUUGUCUGGACGCGUGCAAAGCCCCCCUCCCCCAUGUGUUGUCUCCGGUUUGCGGGAGAAAGUACAUCCAGACUGCCCUGUGGACCGAUACAAGCCCGCAUUGGAUGGCACAACACGUCCGGACCAUGUGGUCCGGAUGGUUGUGGACGGUUUAAUUGAGAGUCUGCGUUGGAGAUGCCUUAGAGUUUAUGAAUCCAUUGAGUUUUUCUAAUCAUUAAAAAACACUUAUAAUAAGUUAUAAGAAAAGACACGUAUAUAUGUUAGUUUCAGACUCCAGCUUUGCUCUUACAUAUGCUUUUUUUCUGAUCCGACAGAUUCCAAUAGAGUGAGCCCAGCGUUGUUUUUCUGGAAACUCGAUACACGUUCUUUCAAGCAAAUCACAUCCAUUCUUUUUAACUCAUUUUUUCUCGUUUUAAUAAUAUAAUAAAUCAUUUGUAUUUUUUAUCUCGAACAGUUGACGUGUAAUUCCUAUUGUAAUCUAAGGAUAAUGUUUGGAUUUUACUUUCAAAUAUUUGAAAUGGCCAUGAUGGAAUCACAUCCAUUUAUUUUAUUACUAUUUGAAUUUGAUCCAAAAGAUAAAUAAUGAGUAGACGUCCUGAAAACUUUUCUGAGAACUUUGGUAAUCAAAAGACAAAAAAUGUUUUAAGAACUGAAGCAAACAACGAAUUUUACUCUCUAUUUUACUAAAGCAAGUGGCUGCUAUUUAGGUCUAGUAAAUAGCAAAUUGACCAACAACCUUUUUUCCAAAUUGGAAGGAAUGCAGUUCUCAGCUCUCACCAUGGUGAUUAUACAAUCUGGAUUUUUGAGCUGUAGCUAGUCAACUUAUGUUAGUGGCAUAUGUACCAUAGUGUUGGUCACUGGGAAUGGACGAAGCCAUGAGUGAAGGAACAGGAAAUGACAGAAGUACGAUUUGUAGAAUUUCAAAACUCAAACUAUCUAGUUUUAUGGAGUGAUAUGAAAUAAGCAAAACCAACUGCUAAUAAAAAUGUAAAAUUAAACGAUAUAUUUAGAAAUGUGAUUGUGAAGUCAUUGUCACAAAAUAUGACCUCACUAAAAAUGAACAUUCAACCUUAUUUUCAGAAGUUUGCAUACAAAUUCCAUGUAAAUUAUGGUAGUGCCCAUAAACAAAUAAACCAUAAUCGUGCUUGAUCUACCAUGAAACUUACUACCUUGUAUAUACUUUUGUCAUGUCCAGAGAUUUCCUGCACCAUGAACAAAAAUGCCACCGCAAUAAUAGUCGUUCUUUUGUGCACCGGGCGUCGAGGUAGCGUUGGCUGGCCAUCUGCAGCUCAUAGGCGCACGAGCACAGCGGUGGCAUGCCCACCACCGCCUCCAUUGCCCGCAAGGACGCCACCUAGCCACCGCCGUAUUUGGAGAAGAAGCAACAAGCAUGUAAGAGUUUGUCCUUGGACGCUCUAUGGAUCGACCUGAUCGAUCACUCGUUUUGUGCAUGCACCACCACACAUGGCUGAACCGAGCAUCCUCCUGGCGGCGCCCAGUGAGACCGUCCUCGCAGUGGCCACGGCUCGAUGGUUCGCCCCCGUGCGCACGGUACGUGCCGCAGCCUGUAGUCAAAUCAGAGCGCGUAGAGCACUAUCGGUGAGAUCGAAGGAGAGGAAUAUCAAAAUGGAAACUUAGCUAUAGGAGGUGAUGGCAAGGGGAGCUGGUGUGCCGGGAGGGAGACUCCAGGAGCUAGGGAGCACGCCGACGCCAUUGCUCAAGGUGCAAGUUUGUUUCAAUCUUCAAUCCUGCUCGCUGUUGAUUCUGGUUACAGUAAAUUUUAGCUAGAUAUGGUGUAACCUAAGUGUUAUGCCUAGUCUUAAUCUAUCUAUCUAUCCAAUCUUCUAUUCGGCGAGGUGGCUGCGCCUGUGGCAGAUGUGGCCGCUGCCAUGGCCGGCGCCAGACCUGGUCGAUCUCCCUCUUCUGUAUUUGAGAAAAAAAAAUCUGCCUCUUCUCUUCUGAUGAGAAGGGGAAGAGAUGGUGAGAGAUGAAGUCGACGGCUUUGGGGAAAGGAUACGGGAGGACGCCGGUAGUGAGGCGGCAUGAGGAAGACAAGGUGGUUGACAGCGGCGACGCGUGAGGGGAGGGCAAGGGAGGUGUAGUGGUGCAUGGAGAGGAGUGGGUGUGCAGCGUGCCCAGUUCACGAGGGAGGAAAGAGGUCGUCAAGGGAGUGAUCCAUGGGAGUUUUUUUCCUUCAGAGCGAGCCUAGUUGGGCUCUCUGCGGCGUCUAGGCCCAAUGCACCACAUGUCUUCAAAUUGGCCACCAGUAGCAGCCCAUAGAACAGACAGGGCCAGUUUGCAAAUUUUAAAAAAUAAGUUUUUUAGUGCCCAUGAAAAACAGAACACAUAUCUUUCCAAACAUAAUGAACUAUAGGUACCACCAAAAAAACCAUAAUGAACUUUAGGUUGUUACAAGAACUCAUGCCAUCCAACAGCCUCCCUCCAACCCUGCCAACAUUGUUGCAGCUGCACUCGCAAGCGUUACCAUAGGUGAUCAUUUGCAUGAUUUCGCGUAAAACAAAAUAAGAUCUACAAACGAAUAGAAGCUACACAUACCUUGGCAUGCACACACAUUGCAAGCCAUACUAAGGUGAUAAGUGUUAAUAACUUGUACAACAUAUACAACACUUAAGAUAAGUAAAAGCAAUUUGAUGAGUCAUGGUCUAUCAAAGCAAGAUGCAUUACUACUCUAAUCUAUCUUAACAGGUGACACAUGAUUACAAUCCUUGUUGUGUGCAAGUCAAGCUUAUCUAGUUUACACGUAACAACUUGUAGAACAUAACACAAUUGAUGUUUGCUAAUAACUUCUAGAAAGCUACAACACUUGACAUGUAAAAAGAAUUUGAUGAGUUAUGACCUACUAAAGCAAGUUACAUUACUAGUCUCAUCUAUCUUAACAGGUCACACAAGAUUAAAAACUAAGUUCUGCGCAAGCAAUGCUUAUCUAGUUUACACAUAACAACUUGCAAAACAUUACAAACUUAGUUUCAAAAAAUUAGGCAAUCUAGAUUAGUGUUUGAGUUGUAAAGUGAAUAAGAUGAGUCAUGUGUGUUAUCACAACUUUUUGGUAGUGGAAUGAUAGUGCCACAUAACACAACAUACCAAAUUAUGAUUUUAGGAAGCAUCCAAGCACUUUCCAGACAAAAAAAUGCCAAUUGUGAAGGAGAUGAUGCCAUGGCAGCUAUAAAUAGGCCUGUAGCAUGAUGAUCAUCCUUUCCCAUCCAUCAUUCUCAUAAGUAGAGUGCAUCGUUCAAGCCAAGCAAGCAGUGGUCAAUACAAAUCCACCAUGAAGACCUUUCUCAUCCUUGCCCUCCUUGCUAUCAUGGCAAUUGAGGGAGUCCUAGAUAAGGGGUAUCCGGACAGCCGGACUAUAUUCAUCGUCCGGACUAUAGAAGCGUCAAGACACAAGACUCAAGACUUCGGCUCUUGUCCGGAUGGGACUCUCAUUUGCGUGGAAGACAAGCUUGGAGAUCCGGAUAUUAUGUUUCCUUCCUUGUAACCGAGUCCAUGUAAACCCUAGCUCUCCGGUGUCUAUAUAAACCGGAGAGCAUGGUCCUUACAAGGCCGACCACAAUUACAAUCAUACCAUCAUAGGCUAGCUCUUAGGGUUUAGCCUCUACGAUCUCGUGGUAGAUCUACUCUUGUAUUCCACAUAUCUUCAAUAUCAAUCAAGCAGGAAGUAGGGUUUUACCUCCAUCGAGAGGGCCCAAACCUGGGUAAACAUUGUGUCCCCUGCUUCCUGUUACCAUCAGCCUAAGACGCACAGAUUGGGACCCCCUACCCGAGAUCCGCCGGUUUUGACACCGACAUUGGUGCUUCCAUUGAGAGUUCCUCUGUCUCGUCGCUUCGAGGCUUGAUGGCGUCUUCAAUCGUCAACAACACGGUCCAGGGUGAGACUUUUCUCCCCGGACAGAUCUUUGUGUUCGGCGGCUUCGCACUGCGGGCCAAUUCACUUGGCCAGUUGGAGCUGAUCGACAGCCUCGCCCCUGGCCACCAGAUCAGGUUUGGAAACUUGAACUACACGACAGAUAUCCGCGGAUACUUGAUCUUCGACGGAUUCGGGCCUGCGCCAGGAGUGCCGGGUAGCCACGACGAGCACGACCUAGACCUGCUGUCGGAUAGUGCCCGGGAUAUUAUCCCCGAAGCAGCCUUGGAUCUAAAUCCAGGACAGGUUGCGGUGCCUAUGGACGGAGGGCUGGACCCCGCUCCGCAGGCCGCACGCUUAUCGGCGGUGGAGCCGAACACUGGUCCCCCCUAUAACCCCGGACUCCCGGACUCAUAUCCAGCUGUUGGUCCUGGUCCGCUCACUCUCGAGCCAGCCGAGCCAGGUCAGGUUCCGGUAAUGGAGUUUACCGCUGCGGACAUCUUUCAGCACUCGCCCAUUGGCGACAUGCUAAGCUCAUUGAAGUCUCUCUCUUGGUCAGGAGACUCUGGGCCGAACUAUGUCCGAUGCGAGUGGGAAGCAGGCGAUGAAGGAAUUCGGCGCCCACCCACCACCCACUUCAUUGUCACAAUCAAAGAAUUAGGCGACGUGCUCGACUCCGGAGACAUCGAUGGUAUGGAUGACGAUGCAGGAGAGGCUCCAGAACCCCUGGAGCGCGGGACUACUACCUUGUCACACGACAUAUACAUGGUAGAUACGCCCAAUAAGGACGGCAACCCGGAUGAUAAAACACCCGGGCAAAAGCCAAAGAGGCGGCGCAGACGCCGCUCAAAGUCCAGCAAUGGCAAAAAUAGUGACAGGAGCGCAAGAAGGGUUGAUAUACCCGCAAACUCUGAAAGCAAUAAUGACCACAUGGACCCAACGAUGGAGCAGGACGAGCCAUGUCACGCCAAAUCAAGUUCGGAGAAAAUACCCGAUCACAACGAUCCGGAGGGACGAGCUCAUGAUGCCGCCCGAGAACAGGAAGACAAUCUGGACAACGAUGCAUUCAUCAUCCCGGACGAACAAGUGGAACGAGACAACCUCCACAGAAAGCUUAUGGUCACCACAAGAAGUCUAGAAAAGCAGAAGCAACGGCUCAAGGCUGCACAGGAAAAGCUAAGUCGCAGAUGGAACAGGGUGCUAGACACCGAAGAAAGAUAUGGCGAUGACCGCCAUACGAAAAGCUAUCCGAAGCGCAAGCUGCUGCCAGAAUUCGAUGACGCGGCCGUUCCGCCAAAAGAAAAUUCGACCAAGAAACCAGACGUACCGCCUCACAACCAUAACAGAGCGGCCGCAGACACUGCGCACGAUCCACGCGGGCAUCCGGAUAAAAAGACCGGUGCAGCCAGGUCCAUAUAUGGAUCUAGAAGACACACCCCAGCGCAGAACUAUGGUCACCCAAACGUUCAUAAAAGCUAGAUACCAGUUCGGAAUCAACCCCGGACACAACAACAGCUGACUACAUGCCACAAUGCGUCCAGAUACAGAGGGGCUGCUCACCACCUGUGCUUCACCGAAGAAGUACUGGACCAUGAAUUCCCACAAGGCUUUAAACCUGUGAACAUAGAAGCAUACGCCGGCACGACAGACCCAGGGGUCUGGAUCGAGGAUUUUAUCCUGCAUAUUCACAUGUCUCAAGGGGAUGACCUCCACGCCAUCAAAUACCAUCCCCUCAACUUGAAGGGACCAGCUAGACACUGGUUGAAAAGCCUCCCCGAAAACUCAAUUGGGAGUUGGGAGGUGAAAGGAUCGAUAUAGUUGACUAGAGGGGGGGGGGUGAAUAGGAAACUAACAAUUUUUAAGCUUUUCUUUACCAAUUUAAACUUUGCAUCAAAAUAGGCUGUCUAGAUAUGCAACUAUGUGAGCAACCUAUAUGAUGCAAUAACAACUAGCACAUAAGAAAGCAAUGGACACAACACAAUUAAGCUUGCAAAAGUAAAGGCACGAAAUAACCAAGAGUGGAGCCGGUGGAGACGAGGAUGUGUUACCGUAGUUCCUUCCUUUUAAGGGGAAGUACGUCUCCGUUAGAGCAGUGUGGAGGCACAAUGCUCCCCAAGAAGCCACUAGGGCCACCGUAAUCUCCUCACGCCCUCACACAAUGCGAGAUGCCGUGAUUCCACUAUUGGUGCCCUUGAAGGCGGCGACCGAACCUUUACAAACAAGGUUUGGGCAAUCUCCACAACUUAAUUGGAGGCUCCCAAUGACAGCACGAAGCUUCACCACAAUGGACUAUGGCUCCGAGGUGACCUCAACCGUCUAGGGUGCUGAAACACCCAAGGGUAACAAGAUCCGCUGGGGAUUAGUGGGGGGAAUCAAAUAUCUCUUGGUGGAAGUGUAGAUCGUGGCCUUGUCACCCAAUCCCAAGCAAAUCAACAAGUUUGAUUGGCUAGGGAGAGAGAUCGGCCGAAAAUGGAGCUUGCAGCAACAAUGGAGCUUAGGGAUGGAAGAGGUGGUCAACUAGAGGUAGGAGACACACCUUUUAUAGUGGAGGACAACAUCCAACCGUUAUCCACUUAGACCAGCCUGCGACAUGCGGUACUACUGCUCCAGGAGCGCGGUACUACCGCAAGGCCACACGGUACUACCGUGGGAGACCACGGUACUACCGCGACAGCUGCAGAGACUAUAACACAAGCAGUACUACCGCGAGCGCGGUACUACCGCUCCCACCUGCGGUACUACCGCGAGGCAGGUAAGUCCUAGUAUGGAAACGGCACGGAUGAAUAAAAAUAGACGAUGCAAACAUCCGUCACGGUACUACCGUGCACAAGGCGCAGUACUACCUUGUGUGUGCAGAUGUAAAAAAUUACAUCCGCCCCUACUACCAUGAAGCAACGACACUAGGCCAGGGAACCACGGUACUACAGUUCGAGGGGAACGGUACUACCGUGGGAACCCACGGUACUACCGCCCUCAACGUGUGGUACUACCGUGUGGGCGCGGAUGUAAAAAAUUACAUCCGCGCCUACUACCGCGAGGCAGUGAUAAUUGGCCAGGGAGCCACGGUACUAUGACUCCGAAGGAGCAGUACUACCGUGGGCUCCCGCGAUACUACCGCACAUGGGCACAGUACUACCGCAAGUGCUUGCGGUACUACCGCUCCAGGGAGCAGUACUACCGCAAACUCAGCAACAGUAGUCCAGACACUCACAUAGAGGAUAGAUGGGGAAUGCUCCAAAGUGCAAGGGAAAGGAGGAGACAAGGAAGGAAACGUGUACGUGAUGAUUCCACCCGAACCUUUUGGACGCGGACCCCCUCUUAAUAGUACGGCUCUCCUACGACUCAAAUCCACCAAAAAGAAAUGUAGAAAUACGCCGUCUUCAAUAGUCUUCGAGGGGCACCGAACCGUCUUAUGCCUAGCGAUGAAGCAACUGAGAAACUCAAGGCACACGAUUAGUCCGCUAAAGCAUUGUCAUCAAUCACCAAAACACUUAGGGAUAAAAAUGCCCUUACAAUAUCCCCCUUUUUGGUGGAUUGAUGACAAUACGGGAUUUUCACAAGGGAAAAAAUAAUGAGCAUAGGCAAAACCCUCCUCUCUAAAAUGUAGACGGGCUCCCCCUAGACGUGUGCAAUCUAGAUGGAUGCUUUGGACUACACAGCACACUAGCUAGGAUUAACACUCCCAUUAUAUUUUAGAGACAAAGCAUGUAAGACUAACAAUCUAAGUAAAUGCAUAAACAAAGGUAGCACAAUAUAACACUAGCUCACUAAGAUAGGUAGAGUGCAUAUGUCUUACACCAUAUGAGGGACACACUAAACCAAAUCAACCGAAAUAACCGAAACGAGGUUCAAAUGAGACACGCAAACACACGAAACACGACACACGACUCACAAAUCCCUACACUCUCUCCCCCUUUGGCAUCGAGACGCCAAAAAGGCAGAGAGGACACCUACACACAAGUGGUGGCUCAAGCAGAGAAAUCAUUCCAACGAUCCUCGUCAGACCCGGCAGCAGGAAUGGUCUCCUCGACGUCCUCCUUAGAAUCAGUCCACUUGUAGCCUUGUUUCUCCAUCCACUCAACCUGUGGAGUAAUGUGAUCCUCAGACCCACCAGACACGUCCUCUCCAUACAGCUUCAGAAUCUUCUUGUCGCGGCGAAGACUCUCCUUGGAUGCCACGUGAGUCCUGUACUACCCCUUAGCUUGUAUGCAGAAAAGAGUCUUCAUCUUGUCCUUCAGCUUCUUGGCCCACAAGGGCAUAGAGGAACUAUGGGAAGACCCAGCAGCACGGUCAGCAGCAACAUCCUCUCCUUCAGCCUCAUCCUCAUCAACAACCCUCUUAGCAGCAGUCGCCUCGGCACGAGUAGUAGUGUUGGCCCAUUUGGACUUGACACGGAGACUGAUGGGAUCAUGCCGAAUCCAGUCAGGAGCAAGGAACUCAUCACCAGGGUACUGCUUCGCCCAAGUCUUGGAGAUCAAUAGAAACAUGUAUGGUCCAUAGAUAGGCACCUUGCGGUUGAACACCGCAAACCGAAGCUCACACCACAUGAUGUGUGAGACAUCAAGUGGCUGAGUCUGAGAUACGCGAGCCUCCUCGCACAGGAGCAUCAUAUCCACCAUAUAGGCAUGAACCUUGUCCUUGUCACCAAUGCGAGGGAACAGAGAGUUGCGGAAGAUGCGAUACAUGAUAUCCAGAAAAGAGUUGAGCAUCCACGUCGACUUGCUAUUGGCAAGCACCUUCUCAACAUAGAACGGCUGAAGCUUGUCCUUGUUCGCAGACUCAGAAUUGGCAUGGGGGCGAACACCCACUGGUGAGUUGAGCCCGUCAUCAGGAACCUGGAGCAGAUCCAUGAACUCCUUCCAGGUAGCAGUCAACUAACGACCAUUGGUCAUCCAGGUCAUCCUCCGCUCCUCCCCAGGGUGAAAGAACACUGAGGCAAAGAACUGACAAAUAAGCUCAGGGUCAUAGUCAAGAUGGAAAUAGAUCACAUGCUCAAUAUCAAACUGCUCCACCAAAUCCAGAGCUUCUCCAAAGUACUCAUGAUACAUAUCCUUCCUCAGGUGAUGCAUGUCUAUCCACUUGACAUCCACAUAGGUAUUUUGCUUGUUCUUGAUGACAUCCAGAUAGGUGAGAGUCUUCUGCUUGUUCCAAAACAACUCACAGCCUCUAACGGUAGCACGAGGAAUCACAUACGGGUUGAGCUGCCUGAGACGGAUGUACUCAGAUUGGGGUAUCUCGUCCAUGCCCUUAGCGGGUUCCUUGUGCUUGCUAGCGGUGGCCUUGACAUGGCGCUUGGGGGCAGAGGAGGAGCCCUCUGGUGCAUCACUUGGAUUGCGCAGACGCUUGGAGCCAGUGUCACGACUGGGAUUGGAACGACGAGAGCCACCACCUGAGACACAAAAUGCAAAACACCCACGACAGGCAAAAAGGAUCAAUGCAAAGACCACGGCAAAGCACAAGAACCACAUAGGAAGUAUACGUGAAAGUUUCCAUGAGAUAGAUGGGAUCCACGGUAGUACUGCCGGAUGCGGUGGUACUAAAAUUUUAGUACCGCUCCAAGUCGCAGUAGUACCGGGGUGGGAGCGGUAGUAAAAUUUUAGUGUCGUAGCGUGCACGGUAGUACCGCGCCUGACGGGCGGUAGUACCAGACAAGCGGUAGUACCGCAUAGGUGGCGCGGUAGUACUGCACCGCGUCAGAUCCAAACCAAAGUUUGAAUCUGAGAAGAACCGCGAAACCACGGCGGUACUACGAUUGAUCAAAUCUAGCACAGGACAAAAAGACAAGUAUAAUCCCUACGCGAUACUACUCUCCUACAACCUACGCUUGCAUAGAUUUAGCCUAAAAUCUCAAGAACACACAAGUCUUCCCCACAAACCUAGAGGCAAAGAAAACAACAAAAGCGAGAGGGAGUUGGGAAAAGACCCUUUCCCAUGGCAAGAGCAUGUGGUGGGGAAUGAUCCCACCGGACGGAAUCGCAGGAGAGCAGCCGGAGGCGGAGAUCCGGCGAAGGACCCUGGCCCCGUUCUUGAGCGAGGGAGAGAGAGACGAAGUGGGAAACUGAUGAAUGGGUAUGGGGGAGUUGGAACUCCCCCUCCCCAUCCUUAUCCCCACGCGUCAAAGAUGUCGCGGUAGUACCGCACAUCAUCACGGUAGUACCGCUUGGGUGGAACUACCGCACCGAAGCGGUAGUACCGCUCUCCCAGGCGGUAGUAAAAAAUUACUGCCGCGUGGGGGCGGUAGUACCGAGCUCUCCAUACGCGUAGUACCGUAGCAUGCUGCGGUAGUACCAUGAGCUCAAGAAAAAGCAGGUUUCAACACAAAAGAGGUCUUUGCAAGGAAACUUUUAGCACAAGAGACACCACAAGAACACGCACAACCCAAAGGCAGAAAGACAACAAGAAGCAACCACGCAACACACCCUCUCAAAAAGAGAGGGCGGUGGCCGGAGCCACCUAUGUUUGAGUCAGUUUGUAUGGCACCGCGAAGAAUUAUCCUUGGGCCCAUAAUCGAAACUCAUCUUUGAAGCACAAGUACCAUAAAAAAUGGUUAAUGUGACAGACUUGAUCGAUUUAUGCAUAAUGGGGGAGGGAGGGUUCAUUGAGAGAACGGUAGUCCCCCUAUGUCCAUGCCCGCACCUAAACUAGACAACAAGUUGAGUGAGAUGGGGUGUGCACGGGCUCAAGUCACAUUGAUCAAACCAAUGAUAUUUAGCUCAUGCCUUAACUCGCGAAAUCGUGCUUCAUCGAAGGGCUUCGUGAAAAUAUCUGCAAGGUUAUCAUGAGUGUUGACAUACUUGAGCUUGAUCUCCCCUCGCCUAAUGUGAUCCCGAAUGAAGUGAUACCGAAUCUCAAUAUGCUUCGUCUUGAAAUGUUGCACCGGGUUGAGAGAAAUCUUGAUGGCACUUUCAUUGUCACACCAAAGAGGCACUUUGUCACAAAUGACACCAUAUUCCUUUAAAGUUUGUCUCAUCCAUAGGAGUUGUGCACAACAACUACCGGCCGCCACAUAUUCCGCUUCGGUGGACGAGAGAGACACACAACUUUGCUUCUUGGAAGACCAACUCACCAAAGAGCAACCAAGAAAUUGGCACCCUCCGGAAGUGGACUUCCUAUCCACCUUGUCUCCCUCCCAAUCGGAAUCCAUAAAUCCUUCAAGCUUGAAGUUAGCUCCUCUUGGGUACCAUAGGCCAAAGUUUGGGGUAUGAGCCAAAUAUCGAAAGAUUCGCUUGACCGCCACAAAGUGGCUUUCCUUUGGUACGGCUUGAAACCAUGCACGCAUUCCCACACUCAACAUGAUAUCUGGUCUAGAUGCACAAAGGUAAAGCAAGGAUCCAAUCAUAGAGUGAUAUACCUUUUGAUCCACCGCUUUACCAUUGGGAUCAAUGUCAAGUUGGCACUUGGUGGGCAUUAGAGUAGAGGCCGGAUUGACAUCACUUAGCUUGAAUCUCUUAAGCAUGUCUUGAGUGUAUUUGGCUUGGUUGAUGAAGGUACCUUCUCUUCUUUGUUUGAUCUCAAAACCAAGGAAGAACUUUAACUCUCCCAUCGAAGACAUCUUGAACUUAGAGGUCAUGAGAGCGGCAAAUUCUUCAUUGAAAGCAUUGUUAGGGGAACCAAAGAUAGUGUCAUCAACAUAUAGUUGGCACACAAACAACUCCCCUUUGACCUUCUUAGUAAAAAGAGUGGGACCGAUUUGCCCAACUUCAAAUCCACGAUCUUGUAACAACUCGGUAAUGUGGUCAUACCACGCACGUGGGGCUUGUUUAAGGCCAUAGAGUGCCUUAUCAAGUUGAUACACAUGAUCCGGGAAGUAAGGAUCCUCGAACCUGGGGGGUUGCUUGAUAUAAACCAACUCAUUAAUAGGACCAUUAAGAAAAGCACUUUUCACAUCCAUUUGUUGUAACUUAAAGUUGUGAUGGGAAGCAUAAGCAAUCAACAAACGAAUGGAUUCAAGGCGAGCAACAGGAGCAAAGGUUUCACCGUAGUCGAUACCGUCGACUUGGGAGUAGCCUUGUGCUACCAAUCUUGCCUUGUUGCGAAUGAUGUUCCCAUGAGCGUCUUGCUUGUUCUUGAAAAUCCACUUGGUUCCAAUGACAUUAUGGUUCCCUGACGGCCGUGGCACCAAUCUCCACACCUUGUUGUACUCGAAGUUGUUAAGUUCUUCAUGCAUGGCAUUGAGCCAAUCUGAAUCUUCGAGCGUCUCAUAGACCUUUUGGGGUUCAACACAAGAGACAAACGCGUGAUGUUCACAAUAGUUUGCUAAUUGUCUACGAGUGCUUACCCCCUUUCUUAGGCUUCCAACCACAUUCUCCAUAAGAUGGCCUUUGGUGGUGAGCUUGGAAGCAAUCUUUGCGGCACGACGCUCUAAUUCCUCCUUGGAUGUGGAGGAAGGAGGAUCAACACAAGAGACAAACGCGUGAUGUUCACAAUAGUUUGCUAAUUGUCUACGAGUGCUUACCCCCUUUCUUAGGCUUCCAACCACAUUCUCCAUAAGAUGGCCUUUGGUGGUGAGCUUGGAAGCAAUCUUUGCGGCACAAUGCUCUAAUUCCUCCUUGGAUGUGGACGAAGGAGGAUCAACUUGAUUAUCUUGAGCGCCGUCUUGAGCUUGUUCGAGAUCUUGAUCUUGCUCUUGAUCUUGAACUUGCUAAGGGGGAAAACUUGACCUUAGGCAUCAUUUGGUGGAUCACCACCAUCUUGAGUUUGAUCUUUCCCUUGGUCUUGUUUAUGAGGUUGCGGGCCUUCACUUUGUUGUUCGGAAGCGUGUGGGUCUUGGGGAGGUGAUGGCUCCACUUGAGUGGAGCAUUGUCCUUCUCCUUCGGCCACAAGGGAUUCCUCAAUGGGUAGAAUAUGACCAAUACCCACUCUUCUUAUGGCUUGGGGAGGAAUUUCAUCACCUACAUCACAAGUACCACUAAGCUCCACUUGGGAGCCGUUAUUUUCGUCAAACUCCACGUUACACGUCUCCUCAAUGAGUCCGGUGGACUUGUUGAGAACACUGUAAGCAUGAGAGUUUGUAGCAUAACCAAAAAAUAUGCCCUCAUAAGCUCUAGCCUCAAAUUUAUACAAACGGACACCCUUUUUGAGAAUAAAACACUUACACCCGAACACCCAGAAGUACUUGAGAUUGGGCUUGUUACCGGUGAGGAUUUCAUAAGGAGUCUUGUUCAAGCCUUUGCGGAGAUAGAGCCGAUUUGAUGCAUGACAUGCGGUGUUGAUGGCUUCGGCCCAAAAGUUGUAUGGAGACUUGAACUCCGCCAUCAUGGUCCUUGCCGCAUCCAUCAACUUCCGGUUCUUCCUCUCUGCAACACCAUUUUGUUGAGGGGUGUAUGGAGAUGAAUAUUGAUGCUUGAUCCCCUCAUCACUAAGGAACUCAUCCAAGGUGUAGUUCUUGAACUCGGUGCCGUUGUCACUUCUUAUUGUCAAGAUCUUUGCAUCAUGUUGUCAUUGAGCUUCAUUUGCAAAGUCGAUGACGGUUUGUUGGGUUUCACUCUUCCUCUUGAAGAAAUAUACCCAAGUAUAUCUUGAAUAAUCAUCCACAAUCACCAAGCAAUACUUUAUUCCCCCAAGACUAUCAAAGGAUGGAGGCCCAAAGAGGUCCAUGUGAAGGAGCUCCAAGGGUCUCUUCGAGUAGAUGAUAGUCGUGGGAGGGUGAGCCGUCUCAUGAAGCUUUCCUUUGAUACAAGCACUGCAAGCACGAUCUUUGGCAAAACUAACAUUUGUUAGUGCACGGACAUGGUCCCCCUUUAGAAGACUUUGCAAAGAUCUCAUAUUGACGUGGGCUAAACGGCAAUGCCAAAGCCAUCCCACAUCAACUUUAGCCAUUAGGCAUGUCGCGGUCUUAGUGGGUCGCUCCGAAAAGUUAAUCACAUAGAGACCGUUCUCGACAUGCCCAACAAAGGCUACUUUAAGAGUCUUGCUCCACAAGAGGGCCACGGUAUCAACAUCAAAGAAGGUGGCAAAGCCCAUGAGUGCGAGUUGACGAACGGAAAGUACAUUGUAUGCAAGGGACUCAACAAGCAUGACUUUCUCGAUCGUUAGAUCAUGAGAAAUGACAACCUUGCCAAGACCCAAUACCUUAGAAUGUGAGGCAUCACCCCACUCGACAUUUGUGGGCAUAGAUGGGAUCUUUUGCACGUCCACAACCAAGUCCUGCUCCCGGUCAUAUGAUUUAUUGCUCCACUAUCGAGCAACCAUGAUCCCCCACCAGAAGCAAACACCUACAAGAGAUCAAUGCUUGGUUUAAUGUACCCAUUGAGUAAUGGGUCCUUUGAUGUUAGUAACAAGGGUCUUAGGAACCCAAAUAGACCAUUCAAUGUACUCAUAAGAAGAACCAACAAAUUUAGCAUAAACAUGCCCAUCACUAGCACGGCACAACACAUAAGAAGAGUUAAAUUCACCGGCUUUGUUGGGAGAGGUGACUUUGCCCUUUUUGGCAUCACCACUCUUCGCAGUGUUCUUCUUCUCCUUAGGAGCACCUUCUCCCUCCUUCACAAAAGUUUGCUUAAGCGGGGGAGGUCGUUUGGUCUUGUCAUUCUUCUUCUCGUUCUUCUUCUUGUUCUUGGACUUGGGUGAGAACCCACCUCCCUCCUUUGCCACAACUUCCUUUUGAUUGCUAAAAAGGUCAUUUAGGUUCUUCUCACCUUGUAUGCAUGACACAAGGCCUCUCUCGAGUUGUUCCUUCAACUUGGCAUUCUCCUCCACAAGAUGCACAUGCUCACAACACGGGUUAGUAGCAUUUGCGUUAUCAAUUAAGAUUAAGUGAGGAAAGGUGGCCUUCUCCUUGGUUAGCUUAACUUGGAGUUGAGCAUGAGACUUCUUGAGGUUAGUAUGAGCACCCUUCAAGACCUUGUGGGCCUUGUCAAGCACAUCAAACUCCUCCUUGAGUCUAGCAUGAUCAACCCCAAGUUUAGACUUCUCGGAAGUCAGCACACGAGACACAACAAGAGCAUGAUCGAGAUCUUUCUUUAACUUGGCAUGGUCAUCGUUUUGUGACUCCUCAAGAGCCAAACGAUGCCCACACUCUUCCUCAAGAGCAUUAGAGAGAUCCGAUAUCUCAUCGGCAUAGUCAUGACUAUGACCUUCCAUCUUAGAGAUGGUUUCUUCGUGAGCCUCGAUCAUGUCAUUGGCUUCACCAAGUUGUUCCAAGAGAGCAACAAAGUGCUUCUUGGAUUUGCCCUUGAGCUUACUCAUAAAGGACUCAAAAUCAUUUACCUCCUCAUUAGACCCCUUACCAUCAUCAAUCCCAACCGUCAAAGAAGGAUUAAGAAUAAUGGUGGUUUUGAUGUUGGGGGUUACCUUGUUGGUGGCUUUAGUCAUGAGGCACUUGGCGGUGAUGUUCUCGUUGGGUGAAUCGAAGAGAGACACCCGGGGAGUUGUGGCAAUUGCAACGGAUGCCAUGGCCAUUGAUUCACUAUCUUCAUCAUCAUCGUCAUCCUCACGGUACUCCUCUUGAACCACCAACCCUUGAGUAGGAGUCUUCUUGGUGAAGUUGUUCUUGUUGGGGAAUGACUUGGCUUUGUCUCUCCGGAUGAGCUUGCCACCAUUGUCUUCCCGCUUCUCGUAAGGACAAUCCGCAACGAAAUGGCUCACAUUGCCACAGUUGAAACAAGUUCUAACUCGUUGUUUGCUCUUGAAGCCACUUGAGUUGUUCUUGUUGAAAUUGGGUCUUGAGUUCUUCUUGCUCCAAAAUUGCCUUGAAGCGAGAGCCAUGUGCUCGUGAUAAUCAUAUUUUGUAUCUUCGGGAUUGCUCUCCUCAUCUUCCUCUUCUUCCUCUUCUUCCACAAUAACCUUGGCCUUCAAGGCAAGGUUGGGCUUCUUUGCUCUUUGAGAUCGGAGCACCGCAUUAUCGGCGGUCCUGUCCAAGAUGCUCAUUGCAACGAACUCAUCCAACACUUAACUUGAGGUCAUGGAGUGGAAGUCCGGCCUUUGACGAAUGACGGAGGACAUGGACUUGUUGUAGGGCAUCAUGGCCUUGAGAAACUUGCGUUUGAUCCAAUUGUCAUACGUGUCCUUGCUCCCAUGAUCUCGGAGCGAGACCACAAGUUUGGUUACUCUCCGAAAGAGCUCACGAGGUUCUUCAUCUUCCUUCAUAGCAAACUCAUUGGCUUCAUCUUGCACUACUUCAUAGUUGGAGCGUUGAAUGCUCAUGCUUCCCCAAUAAAGAGACACAACGCACCGCCACGCGUCUUUGGCCGUGGCGUCGGGUCGAAGAUGAGGGAGAUCUUUGGGGAGAAUUGCUUCUUGGAUGAUGAAGAGAGCAUUCUCAUUGAAUUGAUUAUCCACGGCUUCUCGAGGGGUGAAGUUGCUUGGGUCAUGUGGAUAGAAACCUUCUUCAAUGAUUCUCCAAAGAUUAGUAUUCACAUGCUUUAAAUGACGCUUGAAGCGAUACACCCAAGAAUCAAAAUCCUCAUUUUUCACAAUCUUAGGAGGAGGACCGACAUGAUUUAAAUGAGUAGACGGAAUCGGUCCACCAUAAGUUGGAGGUUCCACAUGGGCAAAGAUGCCGGAGCCAUUUUUACCGCUAGUAGAAGGACCCUUUUCACUGUUAGCUCCCCCCUUGUCGGAGGUAGCAUCCGUCACCUUGUUAGCGGGAUCACCCACUUUCAUUAGUGAGGUGGACAAUUUAAGUCCUUCUAGAAAUUUAGUAAACAUGCUUUCAACCUUGGUCGUCAUGGAGUCUUUCAAUGUGUCUAGAGCCACAUUGAAUUCCUCAUGAGAGACCGAGGUUCCCCCAUCGGCCAUAGACGAGGUAGGAUUCACACCGGAGUGCUCUUCCACAACGUCUGUGGCGUCAACCAUACUCUUCGGACGGCAAAGUCCUUAAUAAAGAGACGAAGCUCUGAUACCAAUUGAAAGGAUCAAUAUAGUUGACUAGAGGGAGGGGUGAAUAGGCAACUAACAAUUUUAAGCUUUUCUUUGCCAAUUUAAACUUUGCAUCAAAAUAGGUUGUCUAGAUAUGCAACUAUGUGGGCAACCUAUAUGAUGCAAUAACAACUAGAACAUAAGCAUGCAAUGGAUACAACACAAGUAAGCUUGCAAAAGUAAAGGCACGAAAUAACCAAGAGUGGAGCCAGUGGAGACGAGGAUGUGUUACCGAAGUUCUUUCCUUUUAAGGGGAAGUACGUCUCCGUUAGAGCGGUGUGGAGGCACAAUGCUCCCCAAGAAGCCACUAGGGCCACCGUAAUCUCCUCACGCCCUCACACAAUGCGAAAUGCCGUGAUUCCACUAUUGGUGCCCUUGAAGGCGGCGACCGAACCUUUAUAAACAAGGUUGGGGCAAUCUCCACAACUUAAUUGGAGGCUCCCAACGACAACACGAAGCUUCACCACAAUGGACUAUGGCUCCAAGGUGACCUCAACCGUCUAGGGUGCUCAAACACCCAAGAGUAACAAGAUCCGUUAGGGAUUAGUGGGGGGAAUCGAAUAUCUCUUGGUGGAAGUGUAGAUCGGGGCCUUGUCACCCAAUCCCGAGCAAAUCAACAAGUUUGAUUGGCUAGGGAGAGAGAUCGGCCGAAAAUGGAGCUUGGAGCAACAAUGGAGCUUAGGGAUGGAAGAGGUGGUCAACUAGAGGUAGGAGACACACAUUUUAUAGUGGAGGACAACAUCCAACCGUUAUCCACUUAGACCAGCCUGCGACAUGCAAUACUACUGCUCCAAGAGCGCGGUACUACCGCAAGGCCCCGCGGUACUACCGUGGGAGACCACGGUACUACCGCGACAGCUUCAGAGACUAUAACACAAGCAGUAUUACCGCGAGCAUGGUACUACCGCUCCCACCUGCGGUACUACCGCGAGGCAGGUAAGUCCUAGUCUGGAAAUGGCACGGAUGAAUAAAAAUACAUCCGUGCCUACUUCCGUGGUCAAAGAGACGAUGCAAACAUCCGUCACGGUACUACCGUGCACAAGGCACGGUACCACCGUGUGUGUGCGGAUGUAAAAAAUUACAUCCGCACCUACUACCGCGAGGCAGCAGUACUUGGCCAGGGAGCCACAGUACUAUGACUCCGAAGGAGCUGUACUACCCUGGGCUCCCACGGUACUACCGCGCAUGGGCACGGUACUACCGCAAGUGCCUGCGGUACUACCGCUCCAGGGAGCAGUACUACCGCAAGCUCAGCAACAGUAGUCCAGACACUCACAUAGAGGAUAUACGGGGAAUGCUAGAAAGUGCAAGGGAAAGGAGGAGACAAGGAAGGAAACGUGUACGUGAUGAUUCCACCCGAACCUUUCCGACGCGGACCCCCUCUUAAUAGUACGGCUCUCCUACGACUCAAAUCCACCAAAAAGAAACGUAGAAAAAUGUCGUCUUCAAUAGUCUUUGAGGGGCACCGAACCGUCUUGUGCCCAGCGAUGAAGCAACUGAGAAACUCAAGGCACACGAUUAGUCCGCUAAAGCAUUGUCAUCAAUCACCAAAACACUUAGGGAUAAAAAUGCCCUUAGAGGAGGAACUCGAAAACGCUUUCAGGGCCAAUUUUCAAGGGACUUAUGUCCGGCCUCCGGAUGCAGACGAUCUAAGUCACAUAGUCCAACAGCCCGGAGAGUCCGCCCGCAAGCUUUGGAACAGAUUCCUCACUAAGAAGAAUCAAAUUGUUGACUGUCCGGACGCCGAAGCCUUAGCGGCUUUCAAACACAGCAUCCGUGAUGAAUGGCUCGCCGGCACCUCAUCCAAGAAAAGCCUGCCUUUACGGGCCAACCAGCUAUCCUCACCCGCGUAAAAGCGGGUCAUAAGGCUUGUUAAGGCUGCCAUUGUCCUGAUUCAGGGGCUCUCGACCUGAUCAGCAAAAUAAGCCAUUGAAAGGCAGUAAAGACGGACCGUCCGGUCUGAACAGAGUCUUGGACAUACUAUGCCAAAUUCAUGGCACCCCGGAGAAACCUGCGAACCACACCCAUAGAGAGUGCUGGGUUUUCAAGCAGGCCGGCAAAUUAAUUGCCGAACACAAGGGGAGGGACACACCAAGUGAAGAAGAGGAUGAACCCCACCAGCCGAACACCGUGGUACAGAAAAAAUUCCCGCCAGAGGUUAAAACAGUCAACAUGAUCCACGCGACUCGCACAUCCACGAGAGGGCAUAAAACGCGCGCCCAUAGAAGCACACGAUGUAGAGCCCGUCGUACCCACGUCUCACUACUGGAUGUCUUGUCCCAUCACAUUCGAUCGCACGGACGACCGAACUAGUAUUCGGCACGGAGGAUCACAGGCCUUGGUGCUUGACCCACUAAUCGACGGAUACUGUCUCACCCGCGUCCUCAUGGACAGCGGCAGUGGUCCCAAUUGAAUAUAUGAGGAUACUGUCCGCAGAAAGGGGAUAGACCCAUCCAGAAUUAAACAAAGCAACAUCACCUUUGAAGGGGUGAUACCAGGCGUUGCAGCCUGCGCCAGGGGCUCCGUCAUGCUGGAAGUAACAUUCGGCUCCCCAGGCAACUCCAGAAGCGAAGAGAUGCUCUUCAAUAUCGCACCCUUCCAAAGCAGCUAUCACGCAUUGCUAGGAAGAACGACCUUCGCCUGCUUCAACGCACUGCCGCACUAUGGCCACCUUACACUCAAGAUGCCCGGUCCCCGUGGCGUCAUCACCGUUAGCAGAAUCAUAAAGCGCCAUUCACGCGCAGAGGAAUAUGCGACGGCCCUGGCGGCCGUACUAUAAGCGGCCUCCAGUUUUUAGAAAACAUGAUUGGUCAUUAUGACCACAGACACGGUUAGACGAGUCCGUUAGCCCGGAUAAAUUCAAACAGGGCACUGUAUAUAUAAUCCCAUAAGGGAAACCAGGCGUUGUUUGUAUUUAAUACAGCCCCACGCUUAGCUCGACCUUAUUGGCAGGCCAAUAGUUUACACUCUUAUUAUUAAUCGCAUACUUACGAUGCAGCCUCCUGUGAGUUUUUCUUUUUUACAGACAACGUUCGCGCGAUACCCUUCCAGGAUACGGCACAAUAGAGACAAAGGCGCAGACGUGCAGCAGGGCCUUGUGCAACAGGUUUCUUUUUAGAUUAAGCCCCUGUGUAAUCCUUUUCUACUGCCUCUUGUUGUUUAACCAUCCCAUGGGUUCUCUACCCACAGAGGAUACUGCCGUUUUUGGCAUUUGGCCACGGCAGACUAAAAUGCACGUACCUAGAAAUAAAGGGCAUAAAAUAGGCUCUUGUCAGCCUAUCUUCUUUUACAAAAGACCGAAUACCCUCGGGAGUGUUCGGCGUCACGAGUUUGACCAUAUAUGCAUCAGCUCCGAAUCAUGUCUUAGGUCAAAAUGUUGGGUUUGCCCGACUCCUGGGUAGGCCGCCUUAUGUUCCGCUAUCAUCCGGCUAAGGCAGGCCAAAGGAGAACUACUACGAUUGUGCCCUGGUUAUUCCGGAUGAGCACCUCAGUAGAGAAAGCCGAAAACUGGCCGUCAUGAUGCAGCGAGAGACUGUUCAACCACUCGAAGACUCACCGGAAUCCCUAAAUAUUCCUUCGCCUUAACGAAGGGCCGUUUUUCGGCCAUGUACACAUGCGCCCAUAUUUGGAUGCACGUAGAGGUACCAGGGGCUACAUAGUCCCCACCCUUAGACUCCCAUGGCUAAGCGAAAGUGUUACAGCUAUAUAGUCCGAAUGCCUAGUUCGGCGUGCGAUCACCUCCUUAAUGGACCAAGACGUUGGAUCAAGUGUGCUUAUGCAUAUUUUUUCGCCAACACCCUCGCAUUGUCCGCGAGGGGGCUGAAGCCAACGACUGCUAUCUUUUAGACUACUUAUACAUAUAAGAAUAGCCGCAAAGGGAGGACAAUCAUACUUCCGGGCAAAAGUAUAAACAUAGCCUCAUAAUUAAACUAAACAUUGUUUUCUACAAUGAUUCGACUUAUCACUCGAAUAAAACACUCUUCGAGCAUUGCACCUCUAUCAGGCGGGCACCUUCUGUGACUUGCACCAAGUAGUGCUCGGCCGGAUGUUGGCCUCCCGCCGGAUCCUGGCUCGCUAUUACCGUGGCCUCCAUAUCCGUCCAGUAGGCUUUAACGUGGGCUAGAGCCAUCCGCGCACCUUCUAUGCAUGCCGACCUUCUCAGGGCGUCAAUCCAGGACACCGCUCCAAGGAAUUGUUGCACUAAACCAAAGUAGCUGUCCGGCUUAGGCCCCUUCGGCCAAAGAUGGUCUAUUACAGACCGCAUUGCCAGUCCGGACAGCCUGUGGAUCUCCGCCAUAGCAGCCACCUUGUCAUUCAGUGGCAGCGGGCGAGUGGGAGCAUUAAACUGCGACCAGAAAAGCUUCUCCACUUCUUCAUCGCCUUGACCCUCGAAGAACUUGGCAGCGUCAGCUGUACUAUUCGCCAAGUCCGCAUAUGCGUCCGCAGGACUCAUGCGACCCGCCAGGGGAGCAAACUUCGGAUCCAAGAACUUCGUCCGCAGCAAGUAUGAGCCCCCAGCCACGAUUUUGUCAGCUUGUUGGAGCUCCUCCCGCAUACUCCGGAUCUCGGUCCACAUCUCCUUGGCGGCAUUAUGUGCCUUGUCCAGCUCGGCCGAACUAGCCUUAUUCUCCUUUUCAAGGAGUGCGUACCGGUCGGCGGCAUUUUUUAACUCUUCAGCCAUUUCAUCUAUCUUUUCCUCUCUUCGGCGACGAGCAGCCUGUUCGGCUCUCAACUCUUCGACCGCCUUUAGGGCAGCCGCAUUGCUAGCCCGAGCUUGUUCCUUGGCUUGAGCAAGUUCCGCCCUCAGGGCCUCCACGGCAGCAGCACCAUCUGCAGUGCACACGUAUUGCAUUAAUAUUAUGCCUUUUGGCAUCUUCCUAUACAUUAUAAUAAAAACCAAGCACAUACCCUGGGACUCCUCCAGCCGUUUAUUCACCAGCAUGAUAUCGGCAUCGAUUGAUCUAAUUUGCCUCCUUAGCUCGGCAACUUCAACAGACUGGUCGGCUGCCGGAUCCUUGUAUACCUGGGCACAUGUACGGCGCAGCCAUUAGUAUAUGAUCCACCGUUUGACGCCUAUGGCGGGCAACCAGAGUCUCAGGGGCGACUAUCUAUAGGGAGCACACCUAGCACGUGUUUCAUAACCAAAAAGUUGUGCAUUUUUUCACUACAUACCUCAAAGCCUUUGAGCAGGCUUGUAAAUGCCUCAUUCAAGCCGCCGGUAGCAGAUGAAAUCUUCGUGAGCACCAUGCUCAUUAAAGAGCGGUGCUCCUCCGAGAGUGCGGCUCGCUCCAGAUGGCCCGUCAGUACGUCCGGCCGGACAUUAAAUUGCGCCGGACCCUUCUCCUCGCCCCCCGUAGGAGCCAAACGCUCCGGGCUCAGGGCGGCUGACGUACUAGCCUCCGGCUUCGGCAGAUCCAGACUCCUCCGUGACGACACCUCCGUGUCGCCCGCUUCAUGAGGCGGAGAGCUGGGUGGAGUCUCGCUCUCCAUCAUCUCCGGACGAAGGUCCCCCAAAGACGAACUCUGUUGAGAAGAGCUACUCGCCGGACUACAAAAGACGAAGUCCUGGUUAUGGAUCUCGGAGUAACACUUCACCUUCGAAUUGAUGAAUAACUUACGGCUCGGUCGAGGGCUGGCCCGUUGGUGGGCAUGACGUGGUGAGGGCGCCCAUCACGGCAGAACCCCUUGGAGAUGUUUUCUUCCCUUGCUUGGGCGUCUCCGCCUCCAAAUCUUCAGAGGCGGCCCUUUUCCUCCCGCGUGGGGAGGAGGCUUUGACCUCCCCUUCCCGGCUAUCCUCCAUAGGACGGGUAGCGACUUCCCCGGUCUGGAUGUGCAGCGCGUGAAGUUCAACUUCACUGCCCUUCCCUUCGCCUUUCCCUGUAGGAAUUUUGCUGAGCGCCCGAUCCAGCAUCUUUGCAAUGGUUGGACCAGGCGGGCCUUCAGGAAGUGGCGCCGGACACCUGAUUCUCUUUGCCUUGGCGAGCCAUUCCUGGCCGCGGAGGGAUUGUCAGAAUAACAGUUAUGAUAAAUAUAAAUGAAGUAUCCGGCUUUAAGGUUACUUACUUGGGCAUCUAGGCGAUUGCAGCUUAGGCCCGCAUCCUCGGUGGUGUCCAGACAAUUUACUUGUGGUCCGGAGAAUAAUUUACAGAUCCCUUCGAGCUUCAGGCCGAAGAAGUGCUUAAUAGUCCAGGACCCUCCGGAUUAAACUCCCACAUCCGGAGAGGUCGACAUUUGCACGGCAACAUCCGCCGGACUAUCAUCACCUGCAUUAUGCUGACAACAUUUAUGUCCCUCUCAAUAAGCUCCCGGAUACGAUUCUGCAGUUCUGGCACAUCGCCAGCAGGCCCAUAAUUCCGUCCUUCGUCGGUCCAAGACGCUAACUGUGACGGAGGGCCCAAGCGGAACUCGGGGGCAGCUACCCACUUUGUGCCUCUGGGAGCAAUGACAUAGAACCAUCUCCGUUGCCAUACAUCGGACACUUCCGGAAAAGAACCCUCUGGCCAUGGGGCAUCGGUGUUCCUGCUUCUUAUGGCGCCUCCGCGCUCCGCAUGUCACCCCUCAAUCAUCUUCGACUUCACAUUGAAGGUCUUUAGCCAUAAGCCGAAGUGUGGGUUGACGUGGAGAAAAGCUUCACACACGAUAAUGAAAGACGAGAUAUGGAGGAUGGCGUCUUGAGCCAGAUCAUGGAAAUCCAAGCCAUAGUAGCACAUGAGCCCCCUCACAAAGGGCCUCGGAGGAAGUGAGGAGUAAACACGACGCUCUCAUUGGGCUCCGGCAUGGGCAUGACUUGCCCCGGAGCAUGAAGCCUAUGCUGGAUAUCAGCAGUCAGGUAUCCGACCUCCCUAAGCUUCGCAAUAUCCUCCUCCUGAAUCGAGGAGGCCACCCACCGGCCAGCUGCGUUGGAUCCGGACAUUCUGGAGGAUCUGGGGGGCUGGAGCUUAGGUUUUUGGGCGAUGGAGCUCGAGGUAUGAGAAGGAGCGGAGAGGUGGAGAUGAGGCGUAGGCCUCGACCCCUUUAUAAAAGGGAUGAAUACCAAGAGUCCUCAGCAUGGCCGCUUGAGACUUGUCUAAAACACGGAAUUAUACCAACCAUCGCCGUGGGGUCGCAUAUGCCCAUAUUGAUGAAGGAUCCCGUAUUAAGAGGGACACGAUCUCUGCUUUGACAGGACGUGCCGAUAAAACCGCCUCGCAACGUGAGUCGAGGUGGAGCACGAAGCGCUGGUUCGUGUUGGACCAGGUCAUGAUGCAAGGGCACAAUGUACGAAGAUUUCCAGCAGAACAGAUUUAUGCUAAGGGUAUGUGAAGAUCAUCUUGCAGAUCCGGACACGACCUACGUGUUCGAUAAUCACCUUGGAGUAUUCGGAGGAGGAACCCUCCUUGCAAUGCCGAAGACAAGACUGCAUGCCGGACUCAUCAUCAUUGAAGCCUGGUUCAGGGGCUACUGAGGGAGUCCUGGAUAAGGGGGUAUCCGGACAGCCGAACUAUAUUCAUCGUCCGGACUAUAGAAGCGUCAAGACACAUGACUCAACACUUCGGCUCGUGUCCGGAUGGGACUCUCCUUUGCGUGGAAGACAAGCUUCGCGAUCCGGAUAUUAUGUUUCCUUCCUUGUAACCGACUCCAUGUAAACCCUAGCUCUCCGGUGUCUAUAUAAACCAGAGAACAUGGUCCUUAGAAGGCCGAUCACAAUUACAAUCAUACCAUCAUAGGCUAGCUCUUAGGGUUUAGCCUCUACGAUCUCGUGGUAGAUCUACUCUUGUAUUCCACAUAUCUUCAAUAUCAAUCAAGCAGGAAGUAGGGUUUUACCUCCAUCGAGAGUGCCCGAACCUGGGUAAACAUUGUGUCCCUUGCUUCCUGUUACCAUCAUCCUAAGAUGCACAGAUCGGGACCCCCUACCCGAGAUUCGCCGGUUUUGACACCGACAGCGACCACCGCCACAACUGCAGUUAGAGUUCCAGUGCCACAAUUGCAACCAGAAAAUCCAUCUCAGCAACAACCACAAGAGCAAGUUCCAUUGGUGCAACAACAACAAUUUCUAGGGCAGCAACAACAACAAUUUCCAGGGCAGCAAUAACCAUUUCGACCACAACAGCCAUAUCCGCAGCCGCAACCAUUUCCUCCACAACUACCAUGUCCGCAACCGCAACCAUUUCCACCACAACAAUCAUAUCCACAACCACAACCACAGUAUCCGCAACCACAACAAACAAUUUCGCAGCAACAAGCACAACAACAACAAUGACAACCACAACAACAAAUCCUUCAACAAAUUCUACAAAAACAACUGAUUCCAUGCAGGGAUGUCGUCUUGCAACAACCCAACAUAGCACAUGCAAGCUCACAAGUAUCACAACAAAGUUACCAUCUGUUGCAACAAUUAUGUUGUUAGCAACUGUGGCAGACCCCCGAGCUGUCACGGUGCCAAGUCAUCCACAAUGUCGUUCAUGCUAUUAUUCUCCAUCAACAACAACAACAAAAACAACAACAACAACAACAACAACAACCGUCGAGCCAGGUCUUCUAGCAGCAACCUCAGCAACAAUAUCCAUCAGCCCAGGGCUCCUUCCAGCCAUCUGAGCAAAACCCACAGGCCGAUGGCUUUGUCCAACCUCAGCAACUGCCGCAGUUUGAGUAAAUAAGGAACCUAGCGCUGCAGACACUACCAGCAAUGUGCAAUGUCUACAUCCCUCCAUAUUGCUCGACCACCAUUGCGCCAUUUGGCAUCGUGAGUACUAAUUGAGAAGAGAAGAACUCUAGUACUAGAUAUAUGAAACACCGUUUUCUUAGACCAUGGUUUGGUCGUUGUAGCGGUGAAGAAUAAAGUGACAUGCACUAUCAUGUAAGAACCCGAACUAGACUAUUUCAAACUUGGAAAUAAAAGACAAACACAGGUCUUGUCUGCAUAUGAUUGUUUGUAUGAGUUCCAUUCAUGUGCCCGUUCACAAGUUCACCCCUAAUUAUAUAUAUUAAGCAUUAAGUAGAUGUUUAUGUGCAUUAAUCUAAAGAUAACAAAAUGAAUCUGAAACUUGAAUUAAAUUGAAGUAUUUUCUUGGACUUUCAAAUUGAGCAUUGAUAGUGUGGUCUAUCCACAUCCUUGGCUUGCCCUUGAUCAAUUUUUUCCAAAGAAGCAUUCAAUUCAUCAGUCAAUUACAUUGAUUUUUGUGGCUUGUACUUCUCCUCAACAUGAGUAUCUUCUUUACGGCUACUCCAAUUCUCCCACAUAACUGAAGCAUUAAUAGCGCUCUUCCUUGCAUCAAGGAAAUAUGGAUCGAAGAUAUAUCUUGACCAUGUUUUUGGGUGCAACCUUGGGAGUUUUAUGUCAAAAUAUUCUCAAGAAGAAUCCAAGAAUAAACUUGCAUGCUCACGUGUGAUAAGGGCAUUAGAAGUAACAUUUCCUCAGCAAGGCCACACAUAGGGCACACACAUAACCCCAUCACAUGCCUUCUUAAUUAUGCAUAUGAAGGUAGGAUGUUUUUAAUUACUCUGCACCAAAAUACUCUUAACUUGGAUUGUACCUUAAGCUUUCAUUGCCUUUUCAAUUUUUCUUCCACAUUAGAUGAACUAGAUAGUCCAGCUACCACACGAUACCUUGUGUUCAUCACGGCUCUAUACAACAAUUGAACAGAAGAAAUGUCAUUUCUUUACCAUACCCAUGACCAAAUGUUCUCUACUACUCUCUCCGUCCGAAAAUACUGCCAUCCAUGUCGACAAAAAUGAGACAUAUAGGACCGCUAUGCCUCUGUCGAAGGAGGUGGUGGAGCGAUCCGGAGAUUAUGCUGCCAUCCAUGUUGAGUAAAAACCUCACUGGCCACUUGCUCCAACCGCAUACACACCACCAUAAACAACGGUUGGUACUCAGUUCGGUGUAGCAUACACCAUGUAGGAAGCGAGUGCUUACUCCUAGUUACUGAAUUAUGUACACCAAAUAAACCCAUUUACACGUAGUUAAUGACCAAAAAAAGGUGAUGCUUGCUACGGAGAUGUGUAGUACAAAUUAAGAAGUGCAAGAUAAAAAGAUGCUGGUCCUUGAUUCGUUGUUGAUCCUCAACAUGCCAUCAUCAACUUGUAGUUAAUUAUCAUACAAAUUGGCUCUUUCAUAGAGUUGGAGGCUAGCUCCUUUGAUCAGCACGCGCUUAAACACAAAGAACACGUAUAUGUAUUCUCUCCGGAGUUCAACUCUUGAUUGGCCAGCAAAAAUGGUCUGACCGGGUAGAGGAAAGGCAUGUUUGCUAGUACGCCUGGAGGAAAUGCCUUUGAUUAGGGCAUCUCCAACGGCGACCGGUAAAUUUUCUCCCACAUUCGUCCACGGACAGGGGAUCAGUCCGUGGAUACGGAUAUAGGAAUCGGCCAUCCAACGUUGUCCGCAUAUAUUUCGAACACUUCUUUAAAAAAAUCGGAUGAAAUUCAUGCAAACACAGUGGAUUCGAUACAAACCGGACAAAAACGUUUACAUUUUGGACAUAUUUUUAACUAAAAACUCUACAGCCGGCGCCGGCGACGACGAAUAUCCUCCGGCGACAUGGAUACCCUUGAAUAGUCUACUGCCGGCUGCAGCGGAUCUCCAAUGUCGUCCCCAUGUCCGGCAGCUGUGAGCCCUAGGUAUAUGCUUCAACGCAAAGAGCAGCUCGCCUCCCUACCACUCAUCGGAGUGGAACAACCAACUGAUGCUUCUGCCAGUGGGGAAGGGUUCCUACGUUACACAGGCCAGAGUUGAUUUUGGGUUGGGAACGGCGGUGGCCUGCCAGAGGGCAAGACACCGAUUGUGUACGCUGGUGUCACCUCGGUAUGGCAUUCAUGGGACCCAAGCGACAGCUUCUCCUCGACGAUGGUGGCGAGCGCAGACGUGUUGGACACCACCUCGUCGAUGCACUAGUAGAAAAUGGAGCUUUAAAACCGGUUUGUAAGGGCCUUUAGUGCCGGUUAUGGAACCGGCACUAAAGUGUGGGCACUAAAGCCCCCCCCCUUAGUACCGGUUCGGCACGAACCGGCGCUAAAGUGCCACCACGUGGCGUGAGCUCGCGCCCUAGUAUGGGGGACCUUUAGUGCCGGUUGGUGUUACCAACCGGUACUAAAGGUUUUUUUUUUUUGAAUUUUUUUUUUGAAAAUUUUGGAAUUUUUUUUUGAUUUUUGAUUUUUCUGAAUUAUUUGAUUAUUUAGUCUCUAAUCACCUCUCUUAACUGCUCAAGUGUGGAUCACUCAUUCCAAAUCAUCUAACUUCCCGACCGGUCACCCAUCGCUCUCACUAAUCCAGUCCGAGCACGCUUAACUUUCAGGUUCUAUUCUCCUUCGUUUCCGAGUAUGCACUUGUUGUUUUCCUGACAAUAGUAAGAUGUCAAUCCUAUUGACCCUCAGGAGUUUAGCUUGAGCAUGAAGUCACACAUUUCACCGUUUGAGUUUGAAACUAUUAUUCUAAAAAAACAGUAAUUAUUUAGUAAUGCUAAUAUUUCUUGAAUAAGUUUGACCAUAGUAUGACCAUAGUUUGACCAUAGUUUGACCAAAAUUCAAAAAAUUAAAAUAAUUAUUUAGUAACACUAAUAUUCUUGAAUAAUUAUGUAGUAACAUUAAUACUUCUUGAAUAAGUAGUUUGACCAAAUUUAACCAAAUUUUUUAAAAAAACUGAAAUUUGGCCAUAUCUUUUUUUCCUUUUCGAAUUUGAGGAUUCUAAAAAAUUCCAAACAGGCCGUAUGCGGUCUCCAUUGGAUGCGGAUUUUCGUGCUGAAUUUUUUGAUAUAUUAUACGUUUUAUUCUGACAUUGUAUGCAAAAGUUAUAGCCGUUUUACAUUUUUCCCUACACUUUUUGCAAAACAUGUCCAAAUUUAAGUUUUCAAAUUUUCCUAACUAGUAGAUAUAGUAAUAUAACUACCUCUCGAAGGAUUUUAUUUUUUGAAGUUUUUAUCAUUUUCUNNNNNNNNNNNNNNNNNNNNNNNNNNNNNNNNNNNNNNNNNNNNNNNNNNNNNNNNNNNNNNNNNNNNNNNNNNNNNNNNNNNNNNNNNNNNNNNNNNNNNNNNNNNNNNNNNNNNNNNNNNNNNNNNNNNNNNNNNNNNNNNNNNNNNNNNNNNNNNNNNNNNNNNNNNNNNNNNNNNNNNNNNNNNNNNNNNNNNNNNNNNNNNNNNNNNNNNNNNNNNNNNNNNNNNNNNNNNNNNNNNNNNNNNNNNNNNNNNNNNNNNNNNNNNNNNNNNNNNNNNNNNNNNNNNNNNNNNNNNNNNNNNNNNNNNNNNNNNNNNNNNNNNNNNNNNNNNNNNNNNNNNNNNNNNNNNNNNNNNNNNNNNNNNNNNNNNNNNNNNNNNNNNNNNNNNNNNNNNNNNNNNNNNNNNNNNNNNNNNNNNNNNNNNNNNNNNNNNNNNNNNNNNNNNNNNNNNNNNNNNNNNNNNNNNNNNAGUACCGGUUCGUGGCACGAACCGGUACUAAAGGCUUGUCCCCUUUAGUACCGGUUCGUGGCACGAACCGGUACUAUUUGUUAGACCUUUAGUACCGGUUCGUGGCACAAACCGGUACUAAAGGGGCUCGUGGGGACCCGGCCUGACGCCAGCCUGCCACUACCUCUUUAGUACCGGUUCGUGGCACGAACCGGUACUAAAGGCUCAACACGAACCGGUACUAUUGAUCGCAGCCACGAACCGACACUAUUGAUCAUAUUAGUGCCGGUUUUUUUACAAACCGGCACUAAUGUGCUUCACAUUUGACCCUUUUUCUACUAGUGAUGUCCAUGCAGCCCACUUCUUUCUCUGUAGGUAGGACGCGGUGACACACGUUUUGACAUCGAAUGACGCGCUCACAAUCACGGGAGGGGCGGUACGACAUGGCACCAUCAAUGGCAGCCAUGAUGCCCGUGCCACCAUGCUCCCUCUCAGUGCCGACCUGGAACAACUCGCCACUCCUCGGCUCGUGACCGGCGGGCUUGAUGGGCCCCCUAGCCAUUAUUUAUGCCAGACAACUCUUUUUCCUUCUCAUCAGAUGCCAUGGAAAAAACUGUUCAAGGAGGAAAAUGGUGAGUGGAGGUGUGAUGCGGUUCUUGCUCAAAAUCUGACAUUGUUUCAAUAGCGAGGGGACACGAGGAGCCAACCGGCGUUCUGUUUAAUGCCAGCCGGCUCACGAACGGACAUGUGACUGGAGUAAUUAUCCUGGCACACGCGCGGGUUUAAUGGUGGAAGGCGGGCAGUCUGGAGGAAUGACGCAGGAUGUGUGUUUAGCCGGCGUGCAGCGGGGCGGUACCCUUGGCGUGCAUGGGGCGGUACCCGGAGGCAUGAAUGCGGGCAAAGGUGUUGUCAGAAGCGGUCGUAGGUGUUGUCCGGACGCGUGCAAAGCCCCCCUCCCCCAUGUGUUGUCUCCGGUUUGCGAGAGAAAGUACAUCCAGACUGCCCUGUGGACCGAUACAAGCCCGCAUUGGAUGGCACAACACGUCCGGACCAUGUGGUCCGGAUAGUUGUGGACGGUUUAAUUGAGGGUCUGCGUUGGAGAUGCCUUAGAGUUUAUGAAUCCAUUGAGUUUUUCUAAUCAUUAAAAAACACUUAUAAUAAGUUAUAAGAAAAGACACGUAUAUAUGUUAGGUUCAGACUCCAGCUUUGCUCUUACAUAUGCUUUUUUUCUGAUCCGACAGAUUCCAAUAGAGUGAGCCCAACGUUGUUUUUCUGGAAACUCGAUACACGUUCUUUCAAGCAAAUCACAUCCAUUCUUUUUAACUCAUUUUUUCUUGUUUUAAUAAUAUAAUAAAUCAUUUGUAUUUUUUAUCUCGAACAGUUGACGUGUAAUUCCUAUUGUAAUCUAAGGAUAAUGUUUGGAUUUUACUUUCAAAUAUUUGAAAUGGCCAUGAUGGAAUCACAUCCAUUUAUUUUAUUAUUAUUUGAAUUUGAUCCAAAAGAUAAAUAAUGAGUACACGUCCUGAAAACUUUUCUGAGAACUUUGGUAAUCAAAAGACAAAAAAGGUUUUAAGAACUGAAGCAAACCACGAAUUUUACUCUAUUUUACUAAAGCAAGUGGCUGCUAUUUAGGUCUAGUAAAUAGCAAAUUGACCAACAACCUUUUUUCCAAAUUGGAAGGAAUGCAGUUCUCAGCUCUCACCAUGGUGAUUAUACAAUCUGGAUUUUGGAGCUGUAGCUAGUCAACUUAUGUUAGUGGCAUAUGUACCAUAGUGUUGGUCACUGGGAAUGGACGAAGCCAUGAGUGAAGGAACAGGAAAUGACAGAAGUAUGAUUUGUAGAAUUUCAAAACUCAAACUAUCUAGUUUUAUGGAGUGAUAUGAAAUAAGCAAAACCAACUGCUAAUAAAAAUGUAAAAUUAAACGAUAUAUUUAGCAAUGUGAUUGUGAAGUCAUUGUCACAAAAUAUGACCUCACUAAAAAUGAACAUUCAACCUUAUUUUCAGAAGUUUGCAUACAAAUUCCAUGUAAAUUAUGGUAGUGCCCAUAAACAAAUAAACCAUAAUCGUGCUUGAUCUACCAUGAAACUUACUACCUUGUCUAUACUCUUGAAAGGACAAAAAAUGCUGAUGCAAUGCCACCUCGCUAGAUAUAUACUUUUGUCAUGUCCAGAGAUUUCCUGCACCAUGAACAAAAAUGCCACCGCAAUAAUAGUCGUUCUUUUGCGACAAAAAAAUACUGAAUUUGGACAGCAAUGCCUGCACAACUACUAUCUGUACACCACGCAUGCACCCAUUUAUAUCAGUAAUACAUAUUAUAAGCUUGUGAACAUUGGUUUCAAAGUAGUGAUACCAAUAGUACGUCAUCCAGUGAUGGCCAGUCGCAGUACCUAGAUGCCACCUCGGUGCCUGGUUUCAAAGUCGCAAGUUCAUGGCAGGGAAAGCAAUCAUGCGUCUAGAGUAGAGACUUAAAAAAAGACUCAUGCCAUGUAGAUGGAUCAGAUAAUUAUGCCAAUCCUGAUUUUUCAGUGCAAAUCCAGUUCUGAAACUUCCACCUGAUCAGUUGCUCCCAAAAUGGGCUAUACAGUUAACCAAAAUGAAUUUUGCUCCUAACACCAUAGUUUGUUUCCAACGAUCACUAGAGCGAGCUUCACCAGAGUGAUGUGGGUUUGAUUAAGUACCUGAGCUGGUGUUGUACAUGCAUAUAUGUUAUGUUCACCGCUCCUACCGGAUGCCCGCCGCGGAACUCACCAUCCGUUCUACACAAGCAGCAAAACCGAUUGGAUUAGCUAUUUUGUUUGUUACUUGUAUAGUCUGGUGGAAUGACCAGUUCCAGUAUUACGCCAUGGCGGCAUCUUUUAUAUGCAAUAUACUGUGAACUGAAUUUUCUGUUAGUGAAGUUGACAAAACAGAGUACUACAGGGUAGAGGGGUAGAGCAUGUAAGUGGUGAUUGUUGUGUGGUUUGUGCGUUAGUUAUGUGUGAACCGGGCGUCGAGGUAGCGUUGGCUGGUCAUCUGCAGCUCAUAGGCGCACGAGCACAGCGGUGGCACGCCCACCACCGCCUCCAUUGCCCGCAAGGACGCCACCUAGCCGCCACCGUAUCUGGAGAAGAAGCAACAAGCAUGUAAGAGUUUCUCCUUGGACGCUCUAUGGAUCGACCUGAUCGAUAACUCGUUUUGUGCAUGCACCACCACACAUGGCUGAACCGAGCAUCCUCCUGGCGGCUCCCAGUGAGACUGUCCUCGCAGCGGCCACGGCUCGAUGGUUCACCCCCGUGCGCAUGGUACGUGCCGCAGCCUGCAUUCAAAACAGAGCGCGUAGAGCACUAUCAGUGAGAUCGAAGGAGAGGAAUAUCAAAAUGGAAACUUAGCUGGUGUGCUAGGAGGGAGAUUCUUGGAGCUAGGGAGCACGCCGACGCCAUUGCUCAAGGUGCAAGAUUGUUUCAAUCUUUAAUCCUGCUCGUUGUUGAUUCUGGUUACAGUAAAUUUUAGCUAGCUAUGGUGCAAACUAAGUGUUAUGCCUAGUCUUAAUCUAUCUAUCUAUCCUAUCUUCUAUUCGGCGAGGUGGCUGCGCCUGUGGCGGAUGUGGCCGCUGCCAUGGCCGGCGCCAGACCUGGUCGAUCUCCCUCUUCUGUAUUUGAGAAAAAAGAGAUCUCCCUCUUCUCUUCUGAUGAGAAGGGGAAGAGAUGGUGAGAGAUGAAGUCGACGGCUUUGGGGAGAGGAUACGGGAGGACGCCGGCAGUGAGGCAGCGUGAGGAAGACUAGGUGGUUGGCGGCGGCGACGCGUGAGGGGAGGGGAAGGGAGGGGUAGCGGUGCAUGGAGAGGAGUGGGUGUGCGGCGUGCCCAGUUCACGAGAGAGGAAAGAGGUCGUCAAGGGAGCGAUCCGUGGGUGUUUUUUUUCCUUUUGAGCGAGCCUAGUUGGGCUCUCUGCGGCGUCUAGGCCCAAUGCCCAUAGAACAGACAGGGCCAGUUUGCAAAUUUUAAAACAUAAGUUUUUUAGCGCCCAUGAAAAACAGAACACAUAUCUUUCCAAACAUAAUGAACUAUAGGUACCACCAAAAAAACCAUAAUGAACUAUAGGUUGUUACAAGAACUCAUGCCAUCCAACAGCCUACCUCUGACCCUGCCAACAUUGUUGCAGCUGCACUCGCAAGCGUUACCAUAGGUGAUCAUUUGCAUGAUCUUGCGUUAAACAAAAUAAGAUCUAAAAAUGAAUAGAAGCUACACAUACCUUGGCAUGGACACACAUUGCAAGCCAUACUAAGGUGAUAAGUGUUAAUAACUUGUACAACAUAUACAACACUUAAGAGAAGUAAAAGCAAUUUGAUGAGUCAUGGUCUAUCAAAGCAAGCUGCAUUACUACUCUAAUCUAUCUUAACAGGCCACACAUGAUUACAAUCCUUUUUGUGUGCAAGUCAAGCUUAUCUAGUUUACACGUAACAACUUGUAGAACAUUACACAAUUGAUGUUUGCUAAUAACUCCUAAAAAACUACAACACUUGACACGUAAAAAGAAUUUGAUGAGUCAUGACCUACUAAAGGAAGUUACAUUACUAGUCUCAUCUAUCUUAACAGGUCACACAAGAUUACAAACUAAGUUCUGCGCAAGCAAUGCUUAUCUAGUUUACACAUAACAACUUGCAAAACAUUACAAACUUAGUUUCAAAAAAUUAGGCAAUCUAGAUUAAUGUUUGAGUUGUAAAGUGAAUAAGAUGAGUCAUGUGUGUUAUCACAACUUUUUGGUGGUGGAAUGAUAGUGCCACCAAACACAACAUACCAAAUUAUGAUUUUAGGAACCAUCCAAGCACUUUCCAGACAAGAGAAUGCCAAUUGUGAAGGAGAUGAUGCCAUGGCAGCUAUAAAUAGGCAUGUAGCAUGAUAAUCAUCCUUCCUCAACCAUCAUUCUCAUAAGUAGAGUGCAUCGUUCAAGCCAAGCAAGCAGUGGUCAAUACAAAUCCACCAUGCCCUCCUUGCUAUCGUGGCGACCACCGCCACAACUGCAGUUAGAGUUCCAGUGCCACAAUUGCAGCCACAAAAUCCAUCUCAGCAACAACCACAAGAGCAAGUUCUAUUGGUGCAACAACAACCAUUUCUAGGGCAGCAACAACAACAAUUUCCAGGGCAGCAAUAACCAUUUCGACCACAACAGCCAUAUCCGCAGCCGCAACUAUUUCCUCCAAAACUACCAUAUCCGCAGCCGCAACCAUUUACACCACAUCAAUCAUAUCCACAACCACAACCACAGUAUCCGCAACCACAACAAGCAAUUUCGCAGCAACAAGGACAACAACAACAACAACAACAAAUCCUUCAACAAAUUCUGCAACAACAACUGAUUCCAUGCAGGGAUGUCGUCUUGCAACAACCCAACAUAGCACAUGCAAGCUCACAAGUAUCUCAACAAAGUUACCAUCUAUUGCAACAAUUAUGUUGUCAGCAACUGUGGCAGACCCCCGAGCUGUCACAGUGCCAAGUCAUCCACAAUGUCGUUCAUGCUAUUAUUCUGCAUCAUCAAUAACAACAAAAACAACAACAACAACCGUCGAGCCAGGUCUUCUACCAGCAGCCUCAGCAACAAUAUCCAUCAGGCCACGGCUCCUUCCAGCCAUCUCAGCAAAACCCACAGACCCAGGGCUUUGUCCAACCUCAGCAACUGCUGCAGUUUGAGGAAAUAAGGAACGUAGCGCUGCAGACACUACCAGCAAUGUGCAAUGUCUACAUCCCUCCAUAUUGCUCGACCACCAUUGCGCCAUUUGGCAUCGUGAGUACUAACUGAGAAGUGAAGAACUCUAGUACUAGAUAUAUGAAACACCGUUUUCUUAGACCAUGGUUUGGUCAUUGUAGCGGUGAAGAAUAAAGUGACAUGCACUAUCAUGUAAGAACUCGAACUAGACUAUUUCAAACUUGGAAAUAAAAGACAAACACAGGUCUUGUCUGCAUAUGAUUGUUUGUUUGAGUUCCAUUCAUUUGCCCGUUCACAACUUCACCCCUAAUUAUAUAUAUUAAGCAUUAAGUAGAUGUUUAUGUGCAUUAAUCUAAAGAUAACAAAAUGAAUCUGAAACUUGAAUUUAAUUGAAGUAUUUUCUUGGACUUUCAAAUUGAGCAUUGACAGUGAGGACUAUCCACAUCCUUGGCUUCCCCUUGAUCAAUUAUUUCCAAAGAAGCAUUCAAUUCAUCAGUCAAUUACAUUGAUUUUUGUGGCUUGUACUUCUCCUCGACAUGAGUAUCUUCAUUACGGCUACUCCAAUUCUCCCACAUAACUGAAGCAUUAAUAGCGCUCUUGCUUGCAUCAAGGAAAUAUGGAUUGAAGAUAUAUCUUGACCAUGUUUUUGGGUGCAACCUUGGGAGUUUUAUGUCAAAAUAUUCUCAAGUAGAAUCCAAGAAUAAACUUGCAUGCUCACAUGUGAUAAGUGUUGGAAAUGUGCCCUAGAGGCAAUAACAAAAGGAUUAUUAUUAUAUUUACUUGUUCAUGAUAAUUGUCUUUUAUUCAUGCUAUAAUUAUAUUAUCCGGAAAUCAUAAUACAUGUGUGAAUACAUAGACCGCAAUACAUCCCUAGUAAGCCUCUAGUUGACUAGCUCGUUGGUCAAUAGAUAGUAAUGGUUUCCUGACUAUGGACAUUAGAUGUCGUUGACAAUGGGAUCACAUCAUUAGGAGACUGAUGUGAUGGACAAGACCCAAUUCUAAGCAUAGCACAAGAUCGUGUAGUUCGUUUUUGCUAGAGCUUUUCCAAUGUCAAGUAUCUCUUCCUUAGACCAUGAGAUCGUGUAACUCCCGGAUACCGUAGGAGUGCUUUGGCUGUACCAAACGUCACAACGUAAUUGGGUGACUAUAAAGGUGCACUACAGGUACCUCCGAAAGUGUCUGUUGGGUUGACACGGAUCGAGACUGGGAUUUGUCACUCCGUAUGACGGAGAGGUAUCACUGGGCCCACUCGGUAGUGCAUCAUCAUAAUGAGCUCAAAGUGACCAAGUGUCUGGUCACGGGAUCAUGCAUUACGGUACGAGUAAAGUGACUUGCCGGUAACGAGACUAAAUGAGGUAUUGGGAUACCGACGACCGAGUCUCGGGCAAGUAACAUACCGACUGACAAAGGGAAUAGUGUACAUGGUUGCUUGAAUCCUCGACAUCGUGGUUCAUCCGAUGAAAUCAUCGAGGAACAUGUGGGAGACAACAUGGGUAUCCAGAUCCCGCUGUUGGUUAUUGACCGGAGAGCCGUCUCGGUCAUGUCUGCAUGUCUCCCGAACCCGUAGGGUCUACACACUUAAGGUUCGGUGACGCUAGGGUUGUAUGAAUAUGAGUAUGCAGCAAACUGCAAGUUGUUAGGAGUCCCGGAUGAGAUCCCGGACGUCAUGAGGAGUUCCGGAAUGGUCCGGAGGUAAAGAUUUAUAUAUGGGAAGUCUUAUUUUGGUCGCCAGAAAAGUCUCGGGCAUUAUCGGUAUUGUACCGGGAGUGUCGAAAGGGGCCCGGGGGUCCACCGGGGGGUCCACCUGCCCCGGGGGGACACAUGGGCUGUAGGGGGUGCGCCUUGGCCUAUAUGGGCCAAGGGCACCAGCCUCAAGAGGCCCAUGCGCCAAGGAGACUUGGAGAGGGGAGAGUCCUAAAAGGGGAAGGCACCUCCGAGGUGCCUUGGGGAGGAUGGACUCCUCCCCCCUCUUGGCCGCACCCCUUCCUUGGAGGAAGGGGCAAGGUUGCGCCCUCCCCCCUCUCUUGCACCUAUAUAAAGGGAGGGGAGGGAGGGGUGGCCGCACCCAUAAGCCCUGGCGCCUCCCUCCUCCCUGAAACACCUCCUCCUCCUCCCGUAGUUGCUUAGCGAAGCCCUGCCGGAGUUCUGCUGCAUCCACCACCACGCCGUCAUGCUGCUGGAUCAUCAUCAAUCUCUCCUUUCCCCUUGCUGGAUCAAGAAGGAGGAGACGUCAUCCGCACCAUACGUGUGUUGAAUGCGGAGGUGCUGUCCGUUCGGCACUAGGUCAUCGGUGAUCUGAAUCACGGCGAGUACGACUCCAUCAACCCCGUUCCAUUGAACGCUUCCGCACGCGAUCUACAAGUGGUAUGUAGAUGCAAUCACUCUCCCAUGACUCGUUUCUAGAUGAAAUCAUAGAUGGAUCUUGGUGAAACCGUAGGAAAAAUUUUAAUUUUCUGCAACGUUCCCCAACAGUGGCAUCAUGAGCUAGGUCUAUGCGUAGUUCUCUAUUGCACGAGUAGAACACAAUUUUGUUGUGGGCGUAGAUCUUGUCAACUUGCUUGCCGCUACUAGUCUUUUCUUGCUUCAGCGGUAUUGUAGGAUGAAGCGGCCCGGACCGACCUUACACGUACGCUUACGUGAGACAGGUUCCACCGACUAACAUGCACUAGUUGCAUAAGGUGGCUAGCGGGUGUCUGUCUCUCCUACUUUAGUUGGAGCGGAUUAGAUGAAAAGGGUCCUUAUGAAGGGUAAAUAGAAGUUGACAAAAUCACGUUGUGGUUAUUCGUAGGUAAGAAAACGUUCUUGCUAGAACCCAAUUGCAGCCACGUAAAAGAUGCAACAACAAUUAGAGGACAUCUAACUUGUUUUUGCAGCAAUUGUCAUGUGAUGUGAUAUGGCCAGAAGUUGUGAUGAAUGAUGAAUGAUAUAUUAUGAUGUAUGAGAUCAUGUUCAUGUAAUAGGAAUCACGACUUGCAUGUCGAUGAGUAUGACAACCGGCAGGAGCCAUAGAAGUUGUCUUUAUUUUUCUAUGACCUGCGUGUCAUUGAAGAACGCCAUGUAAAUUACUUUACUUUAUUGCUAAACGCGUUAGCCAUAGAAGUAGAAGUAGUCGUUGGCGUGACAACUUCAUGAAGACACGAUGAUGGAGAUCAUGGUGUCAUGCCGGUGACGAAGAUGAUCAUGGAGCCCCGAAGAUGGAGAUCGAAGGAGCUAUAUGAUAUUGGCCAUAUCAUGUCACUACUUUAUAUAAUUGCAUGUGAUGUUUAUUAUGUUUAUGCAUCUUGUUUACUUAGAACGACGGUAGUAAAUAAUAUGAUCCCUUAUAACAAUUUCAAGAAAGUGUUCCCCCUAACUGUGCACCGUUGCUAAAGUUCGUCAUUUCGAAGCACCACGUGAUGAUCGUGUGUGAUAGAUCCUUACGUUCACAUACAACGGGUGUAAGACAGAUUUACACAUGCAGAACACUUAGGGUUAACUUGACGAGCCUAGCAUGUACAGACAUGGCCUCGGAACACAAGAGACCGAAAGGUCGAACAUGAGUCAUAUGGAAGAUACGAUCAACAUGGAGAUGUUCACCGAUGAUGACUAGUCCGUCUCACGUGAUGAUCGGACACGGCCUAGUCGACUCGGAUCGUGUAACACUUAGAUGACUAGAGGGAUGUCUAAUCUGAGUGGGAGUUUAUUAAAUAAUUUGAUUAGAUGAACUUAAUUAUCAUAAACUUAGUCUAAAGUCUUUGCAAAAAUAUGUCUUGUAGAUCAAAUGGCCAACGCUCAUGUCAACAUGAACUUCAACGCGUUCCUAGAGAAAACCAAGCUGAAAGAUGAUGGCAGCAACUAUUCGGACUGGGUCCGGAACCUGAGGAUCAUCCUCAUAGCAGCCAAGAAAGAUUAUGUCCUAGAUGCACCGCUAGGUGAAGCACCCAUCCCAGAGAACCAAGAUGUUAUGAACACUUGGCACUCACGUGCUGAUGAUUACUCCCUCGUUCAGUGCGGCAUGCUUUACAGCUUAGAACCGGGGCUCCAAAAGCGUUUUGAGAAGCACGGAGCAUAUGAGAUGUUCGAGGAGCUGAAAAUGGUUUUCCAAGCUCAUGCCCGGGUCGAGAGAUAUGAAGUCUCCGACAAGUUCUAUAGUUGUAAGAUGGAGGAAAACAGUUAUGUCAGUGAGCACAUACUCAAAAUGUCUGGGUUGCACAACCGCCUGUCCCAGUUGGAGAUCAACCUCCCGGAAGAGGUGGUCAUUGACAGAAUCCUUCAGUCGCUCCCACCGAGCUACAAGAGCUUUGUGUUGAACUACAAUAUGCAGGGGAUGGUGAAGACCAUUCCUGACGUAUUCUCAAUGCUGAAGUCAGCAGAGGUUGAAAUCAAGAAAGAACAUCAAGUGUUGAUGGUCAAUAAGACCACUAAGUUCAGGAAAGGGUAAGAAGAACUUCAAGAAGGACGGCAAAGAUGUUGCCGCGCCCGGUAAGCUAGUUGCCGGGAAGAAGUCAAAGAAUGGACCCAAGCCUGAGACUGAGUGCUUUUAUUGCAAGGGGAAGGGUCACUGGAAGCGGAACUGCCCCAAAUACUUAGCGGACAAGAAGGCCGGCAACACUAAAGGUAUAUGUGAUAUACAUGUAUUGAUGUGUACCUUACCAGUACUCGUAGUAACUCUUGGGUAUUUGAUACCGGUGUCGUUGCUCAUAUUUGUAACUCACAGCAGGAGCUGCGGAAUAAGCGGAGACUGGCGAAGGACGAGGUGACGAUGCGCGUCGGGAAUGGUUCCAAGGUCGAUGUGAUCGUCAUCGGCACGCUACCUCUACAUUUACCUACGGGAUUAGUUUUAAACCUCAAUAAUUGUUAUUUAGUGCCAAGUUUGAGCAUGAAUAUUGUAUCUGGAUCUCAUUUAAUGCGAGAUGGCUACUCAUUUAAAUCUGAGAAUAAUGGUUGUUCUAUUUAUAUGAGAGAUGUGUUUUAUGGUCAUGCCCCGAUGGUCAAUGGUUUAUUGUUAAUGAAUCUCGAACGUAAUGUUACACAUAUUCAUAGUGUGAAUACCAAAAGAUGUAAAGUUGAUAACGAUAGUCCCACAUACUUGUGGCACUGCCGCCUUGGUCACAUUGGUGUCAAGCGCAUGAAGAAGCUCCAUACUGAUGGACUUUUAGAGUCUCUCGAUUAUGAAUCAUUUGACACAUGCGAACCAUGCCUCUUGGGCAAAAUGACCAAGACUCCGUUCUCCGGAACAAUGGAGCGAGCAACCAACUUAUUGGAAAUCAUACAUACUGAUGUGUGUGGUCCAAUGAGCAUUGAGGCUCGUGGAGGAUAUCGUUAUGUUCUCACUCUCAUUGAUGACUUGAGUAGAUAUGGGUAUGUCUACUUGAUGAAACACAAGUCUGAGACCUUUGAAAAGUUCGAGGAAUUUCAGAAUGAAGUAGAGAAUCAACGUGACCGAAAGAUAAAAUUCUUACGAUCGGAUCAUGGAGGAGAAUAUUUAAGUCACGAAUUUGGUGCACACUUAAGAAAAUGUGGAAUCGUUUCACAACUCACGCCGCCUGGAACACCUCAGCGUAACGGUGUGUCCGAACGUCGUAAUCACACUCUAUUGGAUAUGGUGCGAUCCAUGAUGUCUCUUACCGAUUUACGGCUAUCAUUUUGGGGAUACGCUCUAGAGACAGCUACAUUCACUUUAAAUAGGGCACCGUCUAAAUCCGUUGAGACGACACCGUAUGAAUUAUAGUUUGGGAAGAAACCUAAGCUGUCGUUUCUAAAAGUUUGGGGAUGCAAUGCUUAUGUCAAGAAAUUACAACCUGAAAAGCUCGAACCCAAGUCGGAAAAAUGUGUCUUCAUAGGAUACCCUAAGGAAACCAUUGGGUAUACCUUCUACUUAAGAUCUGAGGGCAAGAUCUUUGUUGCCAAGAACGGAUCCUUUCUGGAAAAGGAGUUUCUCUCGAAAGGAGUAAGUGGGAGGAGAGUAGAACUUGAUGAAGUACUACCUCUUGAACCGGAAAGCAGUGUAGCUCAGGAAAAUGUUCCUGUGGUGCCUGCACCAACUGGAAAGGAAAUUAAUGAUGAUGAUCAAGGUACUUCGGAUCAAGUUUCUACUGAACUUCGUAGGUCCACAAGGACACGUUCCACACCAGAGUGGUAUGGCAACCCUGUCCUUGAAAUCAUGUUGUUAAACAACGGUGAACCUUCGAACUAUGAAGAAGCGAUGGCGGGCCCAGAUUCCAACAAAUGGCUUGAAGCCAUGCAAUCCGAGAUAGAAUCCAUGUAUGAAAACAAAGUAUGGACUUUGACUGACUUGCCCGAUGAUCGGCGAGCGAUAGAAAACAAAUGGAUCUUUAAGAAGAAGACAGACGCGGAUGGUAAUGUCACCAUCUAUAAAGCUCAACUUGUCGCUAAGGGUUAUCGGCAAGUUCAAGGAAUUGACUACGAUGAGACUUUCUCUCCCGUGGCGAAGCUUAAGUCCGUCCGAAUCAUGUUAGCAAUUGCCGCAUACUAUGAUUAUGAGAUAUGGCAGAUGGACGUCAAAACGGCAUUCCUUAACGGUUAUCUUAAGGAAGAGUUGUAUAUGAUGCAGCCAAAAGGUUUUGUCGAUCCUAAGAAUGCUAACAAAGUAUGCAAGCUCCAGUGAUCCAUUUAUGGGCUGGUGCAAGCAUCUCGGAGUUGGAACAUUCGCUUUGAUGAGAUGAUCAAAGCGUUUGGGUUUAUGCAGACUUAUGGAGAAGCCUGCGUUUACAAGAAAGUGAGUGGGAGCUCUAUAGCAUUUCUCAUAUUAUAUGUAGAUGACAUACUUUUGAUGGGGAAUGAUAUAGAAAUCUUGGACAGCAUUAAGGCCUACUUGAAUAAGUGUUUUUCAAUGAAGGACCUUGGAGAAGCUGCUUACAUAUUAGGCAUCAAGAUCUAUAGGGAUAGAUCGAGACGCCUCAUAGGUCUUUCACAAAGCACAUACCUUGAUAAGAUUUUGAAGAAGUUCAAAAUGGAUCAGUCCAAGAAAGGGUUCUUGCCUGUAUUGCAAGGUCUGAGAUUGAGCUCGGCUCAAUGCCCGACCAUGGCAAAGAUAAAGAAGAGAUGAGCGUCAUCCCCUAUGCCUCAGCCAUAGGAUCUAUUAUGUAUGCCAUGCUGUGUACCAGACCUGAUGUAAACCUUGCCGUAAGUUUGGUAGGAAGGUACCAAAGUAAUCCCGGCAAGGAACACUGGACAGCGGUCAAGAAUAUCCUGAAGUACCUGAAAAGGACAAAGGACAUGUUUCUCGUUUAUGGAGGUGAUGAAGAGCUCGUCGUAAAGGGUUACGUCGACGCUAGCUUCGACACAGAUCUGGAUGACUCUAAGUCACAAACCGGAUACGUAUUUAUGUUGAAUGGUGGAGCAGUAAGCUGGUGCAGCUGCAAGCAGAGCGUCGUGGCGGGAUCUACAUGUGAAUCGGAGUACAUGGCAGCCUCGGAGGCAGCAUGAAGCAAUAUGGAUGAAGGAGUUCAUCACCGACCUAGGAGUCAUACCCAAUGCGUCGGGGCCGAUCAAACUCUUCUGUGACAACACUGGAGCUAUUGCCCUUGCCAAGGAGCCCAGGUUUCACAAGAAGACCAGGCACAUCAAGCGUCGUUUCAACUCCAUCUGUGAAAAUGUUCAAAAUGGAGACAUAGAUAUUUGCAAAGUACAUACGGAUCUGAAUGUCGCAGAUGUCACGACCGGUUUUCCAAUAAAAUAUUUAUUGAGAAACCAAUCUUUUGAGUCCAGUAUGAGAGAAAUCCUCCUCACUGGUAGACAAAUUCUUGAUGCAAUAAGCCAGUAGCAUAGGAUAUAUUACAGGGUUGAGCUAGGGCUGCUCAACAAAUUAUUACAAGCGCGCCAAUAAUUAUACAUAAUGGCGGAUAUAACACAAUGGUGUGGUGGCAUACUACUGACUCGAGGAUAAAGUGAUGGUGGAAUAACACAGUGGGGAGUGUGAUAACACGACUCUCAAACUGGCAUCUCAUCGAGUUUCGAGGUGAGGCUCGAUAAAUUUAUUCGGGUUGCGGAAGCGGAUAUAAUACAGUGACCAAAUCUAGGGUCGCACGAGACUGACUGGGAUUACUCUAGGCGUCGGACUCGCUAUCGAACUCUUCAUCCAUGAGAUCGCCUUCGUCAGCAUCUGGCCAAAUCAACAAGCCAGUGAGUACUUUGAAAGUACUCGCAAGACAGUUCGGAUGUAAGAUAUAACAAAUGCAUGCAUGAAUGCGUCAUGAUUAAUUCGCCAAUGUACAUUCAGAAAUUAGCAUAAUGAGGUAAGUAAAAGGGAAACGGCGGUAGUCCGCCUUAAAUCCCAUGAAACAUAAAUGAAGACCGAUCGGGUGUCUGAAGCGACGCCUCGAAAGGUGAACAAAUAAAUAUAAGGAAAUGAUGCCACAGUCGGGCGUCUUAGAGACACCACAUAAAGGGCUUUAAAAGAAAUGCCACAGUCGGACGUCGGGGCGACAUCACAGAAAGGGCUUUAAAAGAAAUACCACAGUCGGGCGUCUUAGCGACACCACAUAAAGGGCUUUAAAAGAAAUGCCACAGUCGGACGUCGGGGCGACAUCACAGAAAGGGCUUUUAAAAGAAAUACCACAGUCGGGCGUCUUAGCGACACCACAUAAAGGGCUUGAAAAGAAAGUAAAAUACAAUUAUGCCACAGUCGGACGUCUGAGCGACAUCGCAGAAAGGGCUUUUAUUCACAAGUAAAUAAUACUCAUAAUAUACAUUCAAUUUAUGAGAAUAAAUGGGUUAGUCCAUUCACUGAAAUAAUCAUUUAACCGGACUUAGCACUCAGGCGAUUCACCGGAGUCUCUGUCAUCAAAACUGAAAUUUUGAUCAGGAUAAGAUAAUAUCGAUCUUGGACAUGGAUAGAUGAUUUGGAGGAAAUAUAUGACUCUGCAGAGUUUGUACAAAUUUUUUCCCACAGCCAACCGAUUUCCGUAGUCCCGAAGGACUAGUUCCGUUUACGGUUUUUCGGGAGAAAACACAGCUAUCCAGUACACACCCAUCCUACCUCUCGAUGCCAGGACUCACCCUAGACAUCGUCCAAGAAAAACUUUUGAGACGGGGAGAUCACAAUCUCGAAUAGCAUGGGAUCAAAUUUAUAUACGCGCGCUCUAAGGGGUGCCCCCCUCUCGGUCCCAACCGGAAACACCCAUGCCCCCUAACCGGAUGACUGGCUUUAAUCCAGGGCCAUGGAACCAUCAUCACGGCCUCUCCUUUGUGGUGUGUACCAGGAAGCGGUUUACAACUUACUAAGCCAUAUUCCUUACGAAAAAUCUGUGGUAGUACAAGGAAGGAAGAAUGGAAGGAACUGGAAUGAUACGAGUUGACAUUGAAGUCACAUAGUCUGGCAUAAGCCUGGCAUGCUACAACACUGCCAUCUUACCCAUCCUCAUGCCAACACAUGGCCAUGCAUACUCACAUCCAUCCACUUAUGGAUCAUCGAACUCACUUACCUCAACAUUGCAUAAAAUAACGUUCUUCGGUAUGCUCAUCAACAUGCCAUGAAACUAACUAAAUGCAAAACAUGCCAAGACACUCAUCAUAUCAAAAGUUCAAACAUGCUUGCCUGGUUCAGAGUAGUCGGAGCCUAGCUCGGUGAAGUUCGCGGCUCCGUCACCUCCUUCGGUAUCUACGGUAUAAAGAAAAUAUAUGCGCUAUCGUAAAUACCAAGGGGUGCACAAAAAGUAUUCCAAAUAUUUUUCAAAUAAAUCUGGUAAAAAACUAGACAAAAUUUUAAAGAGAACAGAAAAAGAAUCAAUCAAAAAUACCUUUCUGUUUAAAAGUUAUAAAGGUUUUUUUCCAGGGACUCAUCUGUAAUGAAACAGAAAGUUCCCAGGGGCUAGCUUAUGAAAACAGAAAACGCUUCGGCAGAAACUACGCCAGCCCAAAAGGGAAAGCGCAUUUGGCAGAAGGCGUUUUCAGAAAACGCUUCGUUUAGAAAGGACAGAGAGGCUGACAGCGGGUCCCGCCUGUCAGGUUUGAAUAUAUGAACGGGCGGCAGAUUUCGCCGGUGCCCGAGAGACGCGGUGGUCGCCGACGGCGAUCCACGGCGAGGCAGGGGGAUUGGAGGGUACCUCCGUGUUCAGGGCACCUUCCCGCGUCGGUUGGUGGUGGUGGUGGUGGUCGCCGGCGAGUACCACGUCGACGGCGAGCUUUGCUCCGGCGGACGGCGGCUCGGGUGGUCAAGGGACUCAUCGGAGAGAGCUGCGAAGGACAAAUUGAUGCUGGCGUUAGCUUACUGGGUGCUAGAGGGAGUAACUGACGGGGUUUGGGCGCCGGAGACGGCCUCACCGGAGCGAAUCGUGGUGGAGGCCGAGGCGGAUCGGGGCGGCCGGAGUUGGGGGAGGAGACCUCCUCGAGGUCCUCCGGGUGGCUUGGCAGAGCUUUGGUGAGGUGUAGAGGUGGUGCGUGCUCGAGGGUGAGCUCGGGGGCCCUUUUUAUAGGCGGCCCGAGGCGGUGGCCGUGAACGGGGGUCUCCGGUGAAGAUUACGGCGGCGCAGGGCUUGGUCGGGGGUAAUUAGGGAGUUGUGCGUCGUCGUUGAGGUCCACCGGUUCCAUUUAGGUGCUAAUCGGGCUGGGAUUUGGUGCUAUGGGCGAGUUCGAUAGAACGGGGCGGCGCGGGCCCGUCGGCGGCAGUGAGCACGUUCCGUGCUUGCCGGGCCACGGCGACGGUGCCACGGGCAUGCGCUGGCAUGCAUGAGGCCACGCGGAGAGCAGAGGGGCGUUGGGCGGCGCCGAACGGCAUUGAACCGCCGUUCCGUCCCCUGUCGGCUGCCACGGGGGUUCGGCCGCCGCAAGACACGCCGGCGCGGGCGGCCAGGGGCGCCACCGACGCUGGGAAGACGCCAAGCGCGCGUGCGGGGAUGCUGGCCAGGGAGAAGAAGCCGCGUGCAACGCGCCAAGCGCACUGUCAACGCGUGAGUGAAGCUGACGGACGAAAAACGACACUGAAGUCUGAAUUUUCUGAAAAUGAACAGCAACAGCGCAAGCAAGGUGUUCGACAGAAUGAAUUUGGCCUCUGGGGAUUUUUCCUUGAGCUGAAACUUGGUGGAGUGGCUACUCAUUGCUCCAGUAGGCUGCAUGAUUUUUGGUGGAAUUUUUGGAGGAGUGUAGAUAUGAAUUUCACCAAAUUUGGCAAAUCUGGUCCAAACUUGCAGAGACUGAAUUUUGAAAAAUUUGAAAAGAGAAGGAGUGGAUCAAGAUGGUUCUGGGUUGUGGGUAUAAAGGACUUUCCAGGAGGGUUGGUUUGAGGUCAAAACUCAACUGAAAAAGGGUACUUGCUUUGAAAAACUCUCAGGCUCCAAAUAAUUUUCAGAAAUGAUUUGAGGGGAAAAAUAAUUAUAAUAAAAUCCAAAACUUGCUUGGAUUAGUUGGGACAGAGAACUUAGGUUGAUUACAAGGAGGAGGGGAGGUUUUGGAGGGGUUUUAUCACAUGGGCAAAAUACAAAGUCAUGGGUGGUUUUCAAGAUAUGAAAAUCCCAAAUUUUCAUAGAGUUUCUUUUUAAAAGAAAAAGAUUAAACUCCCAAAAUAAUUUGAGAGGGAACCAACAGAGAAGAAGUUUCAAAAGAUCAAACACCAUAGCUUGAAGAAAAAUAAAAACCUUGCCAAAGAAAAGGAAGUUUUUAAGAGGAAGGUUUUCUGGAAAAAUUUUAAAUGCCCUCUUUUAAAAUCCAACAAAGUUUUUGAUGAAAACCAAAUUAGAAUUUUGGAGUGUCACAGCAGAUCCGUUGACUAAACCUCUUUCGCGAGCAAAACAUGAUCAACACCAGAACUCUAUGGGUGUUCGAUUCAUCACAAUGUAACUUGAUUAUUGACUCUAGUGCAAGUGGGAGACUGUUGGAAAUAUGCCCUAGAGGCAAUAAUAAAAGGAUUAUUAUUAUAUUUCCUUGUUCAUGAUAAUUGUCUUUUAUUCAUGCUAUAAUUGUAUUAUCCGGAAAUCAUAAUACACGUGUGAAUACAUAGACCACAAUACAUCCCUAGUAAGCCUCUAGUUGACUAGCUCGUUGGUCAAUAGAUAGUCAUGGUUUCCUGACUAUGCACAUUAGAUGUCGUUGACAAUGGGAUCACAUCAUUAGGAGAAUGAUGUGAUGGACAAGACCCAAUUCUAAGCAUAGCACAAGAUCGUGUAGUUCGUUUUUGCUAGAGCUUUUCCAAUGUCAAGUAUCUCUUCCUUAGACCAUGAGAUUGUGUAACUCCCGGAUACCGUAGGAGUGCUAUGGGUGUACCAAACGUCACAACGUAACUGGGUGACUAUAAAGGUGCACUACAGGUAUCUCCGAAAGUGUCUGUUGGGUUGACACGGAUCGAGACUGGGAUUUGUCACUCCGUAUGACGGAGAGGUAUCACUGGGCCCACUCGGUAGUGCAUCAUCAUAAUGAGCUCAAAGUGACCAAGUGUCUGGUCACGGGAUCAUGCAUUACGGUACGAGUAAAGUGACUUGCCGGUAACGAGACUGAAUGAGGUAUUGGGAUACCGACGAUCGAGUCUCGGGCAAGUAACAUACCGACUGACAAAGGGAAUAGUGUACGGGGGUGCUUGAAUCCUCGACAUCGUGGUUCAUCCGAUGAAAUCAUCGAGGAACAUGUGGGAGCCAACAUGGGUAUCCAGAUCCCGCUGUUGGUUCCGUCUCGGUCAUGUCUGCAUGUCUCCCGAACCCGUAGGGUCUACACACUUAAGGUUCGGUGACGCUAGGGUUGUAUGAAUAGGAGUAUGCAGCAAACUGAAAGUUGUUCGGAGUCCUGGAUAAGAUCCCGGACGUCAUGAGGAGUUCCGGAAUGGUCCGGAGGUAAAGAUUUAUAUAUGGGAAGUCUUAUUUUGGUCGCCGGAAAAGUUUCGGGCAUUAUCGGUAUUGUACCGGGAGUGCCGAAAGGGGUCCGGGGAUCCACCGGGGGGGUCCACCUGCCCCGGGGGGGCACAUGGGCUGUAGGGGGUGCGCCUUGGCCUAUAUGGGCCAAGGGCACCAGCCCCAAGAGGCCCAUGCGCCAAGGAGACUUGGAGAGGGGAGAGUCCUAAAAGGGGAAGGCACCUCCGAGGUGCCUUGGGGAGGAUGGACUCCUCCCCCCCUCUUGGCCGCACCCCUUCCUUGGAGGAAGGGGCAAGGCUGCGCCCUCCCCCCUGUCUUGCACCUAUAUAAAGGGAGGGGAGGGAGGGGUGGCCGCACCCAUAAGUCCUGGCGCCUCCCUCCUCCCUGAAACACCUCCUCCUCCUCCCGUAGUUGCUUAGCGAAGCCCUGCCGGAGUUCUGCUGCAUCCACCACCACGCCGUCGUGCUGCUGGAUCAUCAUCAACCUCUCCUUUCCCCUUGCUGGAUCAAGAAGGAGGAUACGUCAUCCGCACCGUACGUGUGUUGAACGCGGAGGUGAUGUCCGUUCGGCACUAGGUCAUCGGUGAUCUGAAUCACGGCGAGUACGACUCCAUCAACCCCGUUCCAUUGAGCGCUUCCGCACGCGAUCUACAAGUGGUGUGUAGAUGCAAUCACUCUCCCAUGACUCGUUGCUAGAUAAACUCAUAGAUGGAUCUUGGUGAAACUGUAGGAAAAAUUUUAAUUUUCUGCAACGUUCCCCAACAAUAAAGGCAUUAGAAGUAACUUUUCCUCAGCAAGGCCACACAUAGGGCACACACAUAACCCCAUCACAUGCCUUUUUAGUUAUGCAUAUGAAGGUAGGAUGUUUUUAAUUACUCUGCACCAAAAUACUCUUAACUUGGAUUGUACCUUAAGCUUUCAUUGCCUUUUCAAUUUUUCUUCCACAUUAGAUGAACUAGACAGUCCAGCUAGCACAUGAUACCUUGUGUUCAUCACGGCUUUAUACAACAAUUGAACAGAAGAAAUGUCAUUUCUUUGCGAUACCCAUGACCAAAUGUUCUCUGCUACUUUCUCCAUCCGAAAAUACUGCCAUCCAUGUCGACAACAAUGAGACAUAUAGGACCGCUAUGCCUCUAUUGAAGGAGGUGGUGGAGCGAUCCGGAGAUUAUGCUGCCAUCCAUGUUGAGUAAAAACCUCACUGGCCACUUGCUCCAACCGCAUACACACCACCAUAAAUAACGGUUGGUACUCAGUUCGGUGUAGCAUACACCAUGUAGUAAGCGAGUGCUUUCUCCUAGUUACUGAAUUAUGUACACCAAAUAAACCCAUUUACACGUAGUUAAUGACCAAAAAAAGGUGAUGCUUGCUAUGCAGAUGUGUAGUACAAAUUAAGAAGUGCAUGAUAAAAAGAUGCUAGUCCUUGAUUCGUUGUUGAUCCUCAGCAUGCCAUCAUCAACUUGUAGUUAAUUAUCAUACAAAUUUGCUCUUUCAUAGAGUUGGAGGCUAGCUCCUUUGAUCAGCACGCGCUUAAACACAAAGAACACGUAUAUGCAUUCUCUUCGGAGUUCAAUUCUUGAUUGGCCAGCAAAAAUGGUCCGACCGGGUAGAGGAAAGGCAUGCUUGCUAGUACGCCUGGAGGAAAUGCCUUUGAUUAGGGCAUCUCCAACGGCGACCAGUAAAUUUCUCCCACAUUCGUCCACGGACAGGGGAUCAUUCCGUGGAUACAGAUAUAGGAAUCGACCAUCCAACGCUGUCCGCAUAUAUUUCGAACACUUAUUUUAAAAAAUCGGAUGAAAUUCAUGCAAACACAGUGGAUUCCAUACAAACCGGAGAAAAACGUUUACAUGUUGGACAUAUUUUUUAACUAAAAACUCUACAGCCGGCGCCGGCGACGAUGAAUAUCCACUCCGGCGACAUGGAUACCCUUGACUAGUCUACUGCCGGCCGCAGCGGAUCUCCAAUGUCGUCCCCAUGUCUGGCAGCUGUGAGCCCUAGAGGUAUAUACUUGAAUGCAAAGAGCAGCUCGCCUCCCUACCACUCAUCGGAGUGGAACAACCAACUGAUGCUUCUGCUAGUGGGGAAGGGUUCCUACGCUACACAUGUUAGAGUUGGUUUUGGGUUGGGAACAGCGAUGGCCUGCCAGACGGCAAGACACUGGCUGUGUACGCUGGUGUCACCUCGAUAUGGCAUUCAUGGGACCCAAGCGACAGCUUCUCCUCGACGAUGGUGGCGAGCGCAGACGUGUUGGACACCACCUCGUCGAUGUCCAUGCAGCCCGCUUCUUUCUCUGUAGUCAGGACGCAGUGACACGCGCUUUGACAUCGGAUGACGCGCUCACGGGCACGUGAGGGGAGGUACGACAUGGCACCAUCAAUGGCAGCCAUGAUGCCCGUGCUACCGUGGUCCCUCUCAGUGCCGAUCUGGAGCAACUCGCCACUCCUCGGCUCGUGACCGGCGGGCUUGACGGGCCCCCUAGCCAUUAUUUAUGCCAGACAACUCUUUUUCCUGCUCAUCAGGUGCCAUGGAGAAAAUUGUUCAUGGAGGAAAAUGGUGAGUGGAGGUGUGAUGCGGUUUUUGCUCGACAUCUGACAUUGUUUAAAUAGCAAGGGGACACGAGGAGCCAACCGGCAUUCUAUUUAAUGCCAGCCGGCUCACGAACGGACAUGUGGCUGGAGUAAUUAUCCUGGCACACGCGCGGGUUUAAUGGUGGAAGACGGGCAGUCUGGAGGAAUGAGGCAGGAUGUGUGUUUAGCCGGCGUGCAGCGGGGCGGUACCCUUGGCGUGCGUGGGGCGGUACCCGGAGGCAUGAAUGCGGGCAGCUGGCGCAGAGCGGGAACACGUGCGCACGAGAGAGGAGGGGGUUUGGGUGGGCACGGGUGGUCAGAAGCGGUCGUGGGUGUUGUCCGGACGCGUGCAAAGCCCCCCUCCCCCAUGUGUUGUCUCCGGUUUGCGGGAGAAAGUACAUCCGGACUGCCUCGUGGACCGAUACAAGCCCGCAUUGGAUGGCACAACACGUCUGGACCAUGUGGUCUGUAUGGUUGUGGACGGUUUAAUUGAGGGUCUGCGUUGGAGAUGCCUUAGAGUUUAUGAAUCCAUUGUGUUUUUCUAAUCAUAAAAAAACACUUAUAAUAAGUUAUAAGGAAAGACACGUAUAUAUGUUAGGUUCAGACUCCAGCUUUCCUCUUACAUAUGCUUUUUUUUCUGAUCCAACAUAUUCCAAUAGAGUGAGCCCAGCGUUGUUUUUCUGGAAACUCGAGGGAUAAGGAGACAUGCAUACAUGUUCUUUCAAGCAAAUCACAUCCAUUCUUUUUAACUCAUUUUUUGUUUUAAUAAUAUAAUAAAUCAUUUGUAUUUUUUAUCUCAAACAGUUGACGUGUAAUUCCUAUUGUAAUCUAAGGAUAAUGUUUGGAUUUUACUUUCAAAUAUUUGAAAUGGCCAUGAUGGAAUCACAUCCAUUUAUUUUAUUAUUAUUUGAAUUUGAUCCAAAAGAUAAAUAUUGAGUAGACGUCCUGAAAACUUUUCUGAGAACUUUGGUAAUCAAAAGACAAAAAAGGUUUUAAGAACUGAAGCAAACCACGAAUUUUACUCUCUAUUUUACUAAAGCAAGUGGCUGCUAUUUAGGUCUAGUAAAUAGCAAAUUGACCAACAACCUUUUUUCCAAAUUGGAAGGAAUGCAGUUCUCAGCUCUCACCGUGGUGAUUAUACAAUCUGGAUUUUCGAGCUGUAGGUAGUCAACUUAUGUUAGUGGCAUAUGUACCAUAGUGUUGGUCACUGGGAAUGGACGAAGCCAUGAGUGAAGGAACAGGAAAUGACAGAAGUAUGAUUUGUAGAAUUUCAAAACUCAAACUAUCUACUUUUAUGGAGUGAUAUGAAAUAAGCAAAACCAACUGCUUAUAAAAAUGUAAAAUUAAACGAUAUAUUUAGAAAUGUGAUUGUGAAGUCAUUGUCACAAAAUAUGACCCCACUAAAAAUGAACACUCAACCUUAUUUUCAGAAGUUUGCAUACAAAUCCCAUGUCAAUUAUGGUAGUGCUCAUAAACAAAUAAACCAAAAUCGUGCUUGAUCCACCAUGAAACUUACUACCUUGUCUAUAUUCUUGAAAAGCUCAAAACAUUCUGAUGCAAUGCCACCUUGCAAGAUAUAUACUUUUGUCAUGUCCAGAGAUUUCCUGCACCAUGAACAAGAAUGCCACGGCAAUAAUAGUCGCUCUUUUGCGACAAAAAAAAUACUGACUUUGGACAACAAUGCCUGCACAACUACUAUCUGUACACCAUGCAUGCACCCAUGUAUGUCAGUAAUACAUAUUAUAAGCUUGUGAACAUUGGUUUCAAAGUAGUGAUACCAAUAAUACGUCAUCCAGUGAUGGCCAGUCGCAGUACCUAGAUGCCACUUCGGUGCCUGGUUUCAAAGUCGCAAGUUCAUGGCAGGGAAAGCAAUCAUGUGUCUAGAGUAGAGACUUAAAAAAAGACCCAUGCCAUGUAGAUGGAUCAGAUAAUUAUGCCAAUCCUGAUUUUUCAGUGCAAAUCCAGUUCUGAAACUUCCACUUGACCAGUUGCUCCCAAAAUGGGCUAUACAGUUAACCAAAAUGAAUUUUGCUCCUAACACCACAGUUUGUUUCCAACGAUCACGAGAGCCUGAAGUGGGUUUGAUUAAGUACCUGAGCCGGUGUUGUACAUGCAUAUGUGAUAUGUUCACCGCUCCUACCGGAUGCCCGCUGCCGAACUCACCAUCCGUUCUACACAAGCAGCAAAACCGAUCGGAUAAGCUAUUUCGGUUGUUACUUGUAUAGUCUGAUGGAAUGAUCAGUUCCAUAAUUACGCCAUGGCGCCAUCUUUUAUAUGCAAUAUACUGUGAACUGAAUUUUAUGUCAAUGAAGUUGACAGAACAGAACAGGGUAGAGGGGUAGAGCAUGCAGGUGGUGAUUGUUGUGUGGUUUAUGCGUUAGUUAUGUGUGUACCUGACGUCGAGGUAGCGUUGGCUGGCAAAUUGCUGCUGAUAGGCACACGAGCACAGCGGUGGCACGCCCAGCACCGCCUCCACUGUCCGCAAGGCCGCCACCUAGCCGCCGCCGUAUCUGGAGAAGAAGCAACAAGCAUGUAAGAGUUUGUCCGUGGACGCUCUAUGGAUCGACCUAAUCGAGAACUUGUUUUGUGCAUGCACCACCACACAUGGCUGAACCGAGUAUCCUCCUGGCGGCGCCCAGUGAGACUGUCCUCGCAGCAGCCACAACUCAAUUGUUGGCCGCCGUUCGCACGGUACGGUGCAGCAACCUGCAGUCAAAACAGAGCGCGUAGAGCACUAUCGGUGAGAUCGAACGAGAGGAAUAUCGAAAUGGAAACUUAGCUAUAGGAGGUGAAGGCAAGGGGAGCUGGUGCGCUGGGAGGGAGACUCCUAGAGCUAGAGAGCACGCCGACGCCAUUGCUCAAGGUGCAAGUUUGUUUCAAUCUUCGAUCCUGCUCGCUGUUGAUUCUGGUUACAGUAAAUUUUAGCUAGCUAUGGUGCAAACAAAGUGUUAUGCCUAGUGUUAAUCUAUCUAUCUAUCCUAUCUUCUAUUCAGCGAGGUUGCUGCGCCUGUGGCGGAUGUGGCCGCUGCCAUGGCCGGCGCCAGACCUGGUCGAUCUCCCACUUCUGUAUUCGAGAAAAAAAGAUCUCCCUCGUCUCUUGUGAUGAGAUGGGGAGAUAUGAGUUCGACGGCUUUGGGGAGAGGAUACGGGUGGACGCCAGCAGUGAGGCGGCGUGAGGAAGACGAGGUGGUUGGCGGUGGCGACGCGUGAGGGGAGGGGAAGAGAGGGGUAGCGGUGCAUGGAGGGGAGUGGGUGUGCGGCGUGCCUAGUUCACGAGAGAGGAGAGAGGUCUUCAAGGGAGCGAUCCAUUGGAGUUUUUUUUUCCUUCUGAGCGAGCCUAGUUGGGCUCUCUGCGGCGUCUAAGACCCAAUGCACCACAUAUCUUCAAAUUGGCCACCAGUAGCAGCCCUUAGAACAUACAGGGCCAGUUUGCAAAUUUUAAAACAUAAGUUUUUUAGCGCCCAUGAAAAACAGAACACAUAUCUUUCCAAACAUAAUGAACUAUAGGUACCACCCAAAAAACCAUAAUGAUCUAUAGGUUGUUACAAUAACUCAUGCCAUCACAUAGCCUCCCUCCGACCCUGCCAACAUUGUUGCAGCUGUACUCGCAAGCGUUACCAUAGAUGAUCAUUUCCAUAAUUUCGUGUAAAAAAAUAAGAUCUACAAGCGAAUAGAGGCUACACAUACCUUGGCAUGCACACACAUUGCAGGCCAUACUAAGAUGAUAAGUGUUAAUAAUUUGUACAACAUAUACAACACUUAAGAUAAGUAAAAGCAAUUUGAUGAGUCAUGGUCUAUCAAAGCAAGCUACAUUACUACUCUAACCUAUCUUAACAGGUCACACAUGAUUACAAUCCUUUUUGUGUGCAAGUCAAGCUUAUGUAGUUUACACGUAACAACUUGUUGAACAUUACAUAAUUGAUGCUUGCUAAUAACUUCUAGAAAACUACAACACUUGACAUGUAAAAGGAAUUUGAUAAGUCAUGACCUACUAAAGCAAGUUACAUUACUAGUCUCAACUAUCACAGGUCACACAAGAUUACAAACUAAGUUCUGCGUAAGCAAUACAUAUCUAGUUUACACAUAAAAACUUGCAAAACAUUACAAACUUAGUUUCAAAAAAUUAGGCAAUCUAGAUUAGUGUUUGAGUUGUAAAGUGAAUAAGAUGAGUCAUGUGUGUUAUCACAACUUUUUGGUGGUGGAAUGAUAGUGCCACCGAACACAACAUACCAAAUUAUGAUUUUAGGAAGCAUCCAAGCACUUUCCAGACAAGAAAAUGCCAAUUGUGAAGGAGAUGAUACCAUGGCAGCUAUAAAUAGGCAUGUAGCAUGAUGAUCAUCCUUCCUCAUCCAUCAUUCUUACAAGUAGAGUGCAUCAUUCAAGCCAAGCAAGCAGUGGUCAAUACAAAUCCACCAUGAAGACCUUUCUCAUCCUUGCCCUCCUUGCUAUCGCGGUGACCACCGCCACUACUGCAGUGAGAGUUCCAGUGCCAUAAUUGCAGCCACAAAAUCCAUCUCAGCAACAACCACAAGAGCAAGUUCCAUUGGUGCAACAACAACAAUUUCUAGGGCAGCAACAACAACACUUUCCAGGGCAGCAACAACCAUUUCCACCACAACAGCCAUAUCCGCAGCCGCAACCAUUUCCACCACAACUACCAUAUCUGCAGCCGCAACCAUUUCCACCACAACAAUCAUAUCCACAACCACAACCACAGUAUCCGCAAUCACAACAACACUACAAAAAAAAUACACUUCCAUGAUGAUACGUGUUUGUCAUAGUAGGUCGCGUUUUUUGUCAUGCAUGUACAUCCAUGACAAUUUUAUUAUAGAAUCAAGAUAGUCAUACAUGUGCUGUCGUAGAAGUGUUCCAUGACAUUACCAAAAUUAUCAUCACGGAAGUUUCCACUUCCAUGAUGAUAAAUCGCGCGUCACAAAAGUGCUUUCGUCAAGGUUGACCGACAUGUGACAUCCACCAUAACGGAACGCCGUUAACCUAUCGGGUCGGGUUUUGGAUCUGAUAACCUGUUAACAGCCCUGACCAAUGGGGAGUUUCCACGUGUAAAAUAAUCAUUGGCUGGAGGAGACACGUGUCAGCUCCGCGUCGGCACAUGUGUCACUCAUCCAAUGGGCGAGACGCACCUAUGAUAUGUUGACACGUGGACCGUCCCAUCAAGUUUAAAUGGGCCAGCCCAACUAAAGGCCCACAAGAUUUUACGGACCAUAAUGGGUCGGCCCAGCUAAAGGCCCACGAGAUUUUGCAGACCAUAAUGGGCUGGCCCAGCUAAAGGCCCACAAGAUUUUGCGGGCCAUAAUGGGCCGGCCUAGGUAAAGGCCCACAAGAUUUUUGUGUGCCAUAAUGGGCCGGCCCAGGUAAAGGCCCACAAGAUUCUUGCGGAUCAUAAUGGGCCGGCCCAUCUAAAGGCCCACGAGAUUUUGCCAACAUUAAUGGGCCGGCCCAGCUGUAGGCCCACAAGACUUUCAGGACCCUAGUAGGCCGACCCAUUAACUGGCUGCCAUGUUUUGGGCCAAAUGCCGGCCCAUAUUUGAUCUGGUCCAUUAAUGGCCUGCCACGUUUCGGGCCUAAUAAUGGCCCAUAUGAGAUCCAGCCCGUUAAAAGCCUACCACUUUCUAGGCCAAAUUAUGGCCCAGAUCAGGUUCGGCCCUUUAAAAGGCUUUGGGCUAAAUUAUGACCCAUAUCAGAUUCGGCCCGUCAACUGGACGCUAUGCUUUUGGACCAACUUGCUAAAGGCCCAUUUAGUAAUUCGGCCUGAUAUUAGUUUCAGCCUGUUAAGGGCCCGUUUAACAUUUCGGCCCUAUAUUAAUUUCAGCCUGUUAAAAGCCCGUCAUAUAAUUGUGCCUAACUACGGCCCGGUUUGCAUUCGGCCUGCUCACAGCCGAUAUCUGAUUGGGCCAAACAAGGACCGAGACAAUUUUGGCUGUUAAAAGCCCGUGAUUUGAUUCGCACAAUCAUGGGCCGGGGUUCAUUUCGGGCUGCUGCCAGCCCGUGAGCUGUUCGGCACAUUUCAGGCCCAACCUACUUCUCAGUCUCCUAAAAGUACAUUGAGUUUUCUUGCAAAAAGAGGGUCGGGGGUUACUCGGCCUAUUAAAGGCCCGAAUCUACUAGUGGUCGGGUUUACUUUUGGCCUUUUAACGGACCAAGAUGACGGGGCCAAUGAUGCGGUUCAUACAUCGUGAUUGCAUGACGGCCCGAUUAUGUACCGUAAUUUUACCGUUUGUCCGGUUUACUGCGAAGACAGGAUGUAUAUACAGUAAAAUAACUGUAGCAUCGUGAAUAAGAAAAAACCUAGACUAUACAAUAAAGAAAUUACGGUAUAUUACAUCCACUGGGCAUCAAAGUACGCCACUAUGAUAAUAAAGCACAAGCAGACAUCAGAUUACAUACACUGGGCAUCAAAGAUCGCCACCAGUGCAAAUAAACACGACGACAAAAUAAUAUACAAAACUGACAGCACUUCAAUAGAGUUCAAGAAAGGUUAGCCCUGCUGGGGAGCUGUAGCGCAAGCAGUUGAGCAAGCUGAUGAGACUGUUCUUGUUCAACACUUAUAUCUUCCUCACUCUGAAAGACAGAUGACAGGUUUUGCACAUAAAAGUAUCAGUGCUGACAAUUCAUCACAUUUGUUACUGGCGAAUCAAGUGACAUAGUUUAAAAUUGCAUUAACACAAUAUGGUAUUGUUCAGGUCAAGACAUGGCAGGAAAUGACAUUGUGAAGGAGUUGGCAGCUUCACGACACCAUUGGAUUACAGAUCAAGAACUCAUAAGUAUCAAUGGUUAGUGUGCUGUCAAUUUAUCCCAUUUCAGAUUGGCAAAUAAAGAGACGGUUUAAAUAAUAGUAGAAUGAUAUGACAUUGUUCAUAGUUAAGACAUUGCAGAAUAUGACACUGUGCUGUAGUGGGUAGCAAGGUUGUCAGAAUCGCGAUUCUGUUAUACGAUUCUACGACUUUACGAUCCAAAGUAACCCCUCUGAUUCUACGAUUUUACUUCAUAGAAUCUACGUUCCUACAAUCCUGAUAGUAAAGAUUCUAUGAUUUGCGAUCCUACCAUCGGAGCUCCGAUCCGAUUCAAAAUCACGAUUUUGACAACCUUGGUGGGUAGGUUCACCACACCACUGGAUUACGGAUGAAGAACAGAAGCAUACAUGCAGUGCAAAAGAAGAUCACUUGCUCUGUAUAGUUUAAUUUACAUGGUAUGAAGAAGGAACUUGGUUGUACAACUGAAAAUUAAAUUGAGAAGGAAAAAACUUUUGUUUAUGAACUACAUAAUAAACUUUAAACAUGCAAUUUGAUGCAAACACCAAAAAUAAACAGCUGUUGCAGUCAUUCCUAACCAAAUAUACACAACAAAGUUUGAAGGCUUGAGAAGGACAAACUUACAUUAUUGGUGAAGACAGGUUCUAUAAAGCCCUUGUCCAUNNNNNNNNNNNNNNNNNNNNNNNNNNNNNNNNNNNNNNNNNNNNNNNNNNNNNNNNNNNNNNNNNNNNNNNNNNNNNNNNNNNNNNNNNNNNNNNNNNNNNNNNNNNNNNNNNNNNNNNNNNNNNNNNNNNNNNNNNNNNNNNNNNNNNNNNNNNNNNNNNNNNNNNNNNNNNNNNNNNNNNNNNNNNNNNNNNNNNNNNNNNNNNNNNNNNNNNNNNNNNNNNNNNNNNNNNNNNNNNNNNNNNNNNNNNNNNNNNNNNNNNNNNNNNNNNNNNNNNNNNNNNNNNNNNNNNNNNNNNNNNNNNNNNNNNNNNNNNNNNNNNNNNNNNNNNNNNNNNNNNNNNNNNNNNNNNNNNNNUUUACCAUAGAAUCUUCUUCAUAAGCAUUGCCUUUAUUCUACAUUUUGCUAAGAGUAAAUAUAGAUGUGAUAAUAUAUGAAAAAAUUGAGAAUAUUUAAGAUAAGAUGAAGAUUGAUGCUACAUAACCAAGUAGCUAUAAAUGUAAGUGCAGCGAUACAGGCAAAAGGUAUAGCCAAGAGCAAUGCACAGCUAAACUUCUUCAGUACCAACCUUAUGGUAAGAGUAAAUAUAGAUCUGAUGUGUAGAAAAUGGAGGGCUAAGGAAAAUAAGAUGCAGAGUGAUGGUACAUGAACAACUACCUAUCAAUAUAAGUACACUGACAAAGGACAUCAUGUACUUACAAGAACAAUGCAGAGCUAAAAAAAUUUAUUGGCAUUGGAUAUAUUCUACACUGAUGUAACCAUUCAUACAGAUUAGAUAAUUUGGAGCGAACAAUUGAUAAGUAAGCUAUCAUGCAUACUGCUGUCAUAUAAUGAACCAGGUAUGUAUGCAAGUACAGUGAUACAGGACAACAAAUACUAACAAGAGCAAAGCAGCGGGCAGCAUAUUAGCGAUAUCCUGUCGUUCUUUUCAAACCGACAUUCUUCUACGAGCAGAUUUCCUGCAAAAAAGAUCCGUAAGGCACAUGCGGAAAAGUAGAAGUUCAAAUUAUCAUGUGAUUUCAUAGACAGUACCUCAUCCUGGGAACGAGACCAAUGCAUGAUGACCCACAAGUGUAGGGGAUAAUUGUAGCCUCUUUCGAUAAGUAAGAGUGUCGAACCCAACGAGGAGCUAAAGGUAGAACAAAUAUUCUCUCAAGUCCUAUCUGCCACUGAUACGACUCUACACACGCUUAGUGUUCGCUUUACCUAGAACAAGUAUGAAACUAGAAGUACUUUGUAGGUGUGAUAGGAUAGGUUUGCAAGAUAAUAAAGAACACUUAAAUAUAAACUAGGGGCUGUUUAGAUAAAGAAUCAAUAAAGUAAAUAUUAGUAGAUAGCUUUUUGUCACAAGAAAUUUAUUUGUCCCCAGGCAAUCGAUAACUAGACCGGUAAUCACUAUUGCAAUUCUAUUUAAGGGAGGGGCAUAAGCUAACAUACUUUCUCUUCUUAGAUCAUAUGCACUUAUGAUUGGAACUCUAGCAAGCAUCCGCAACUACUAAAGAUUCAUUAAGGUAAAACUCAACCAUAGCAUUAAAGUAUCAAGUCCCCUUUAUCCCAUACACAAACAAUCUACUUACUCGGGUCUGUGCUUCUGUCACUCACGCCACCCACUAUAAGCAAAUCAUGAACAUAUUGCAAACCCUACAACGGGGAUCCCUCACACUUGCGCGACACGGAGAGCACCAUAGUAUAGAACCAAUAAUAAAACAAGCAACUCAAACCAAUCACGAUCAUCAAUUAACCCAUAGGACAAAACGGAUCUACUCAAACAUCAUAUGAUAGCCAUACAUCAUUGGGAAAUAAUAUAUAGCGUUGAGCACCAUGUUGAAGUAGAGAUUACAGCGGGUAAGAGAGAGGUUACACCGCUGCAUAGAGGGGGGAAGAGUUGGUGAUGAAGGCGGUGAAUUUGUUGGUGAAGAUCGCGGUGAUGAUGAUGGCCUCCGGCAGCGCUCUGGCACCACUGGAAGCAAGGGGGAGAGAGCCCCCCUUCUUCUUCUUCUUCUUCCUUGACCUCCUCCCUAGAUGGGAGAAGGGUUUCCCCUCUGGUCCUUGGCUCCCAUGGCGUGGGAGGGGCGAGAGCCCAUCCGAGAUUGGAUCUAUCUCUCUGUCUCUCUCUGUUUCUGCGUUCUCAGAUUCUGCCCCUUCACCGUUUCUUUUAUAUCCGGAGAUCCGUAAUUCUGAUUGGGGUGAAUCUUUCGCCCAGAUUUUUCUCAUAAAAUUAGCUUUCUUGCGGCAAAAAAAGGGCAUCAACCGCCUUAUGGGUGGACCACGAGGGUGCCAGGAGCGCCCAGGGGGGAGGGCGCGCCCCUGUCUCGUGGCCACCUCGGACACCGUUUCACGUUGACUCUUCCUCCGGAAAAUCCCAAAUAUUCCAAAAUAAUUUUCUAUCUGUUUUUAUCCCGUUUGGACUCCGCUUGAUAUGGGGUUUCUGCGAAACAUAAAACAUGCAAUAGACAGGAACUGGCACUGUGCACUAGAUCAAUAUGUUAGUCCCAAAAAUAGUAUAAAAUGUUGCCAAAAGUAUAUGAAAGUUGAAUAAUAUUGGCAUGGAACAAUAAAAAAUUAUAGAUAUGACGGAGACGUAUCAGCAUCCCCAAGCUUAAUUCCUGCUCGUCCCCGAGUAGGUAAAUGAUAAAAAAGAUAAUUUUUGAUGUGGAAUACUACCUAGCAUAGUCUUGAUCAUAUGUCUAAUCAUGGCAUGAAUAUUAAGACACGAGUGAUUCAAAGCAAUAGUCUAUCAUUUGACAUAAAAACAAUAAUACUUCAAGCGUACCAAUAAAGCAAUCAUGUCUUUUCAAAACAACAUGGCCAGAGAAAGUUAUCCCUACAAAAUCAUAUAGUCUGGCUGUUGCUCUAUCUUCAUCACACAAAGUAUUUAAUCAUGCACAACCCCGAUGACAAGCCAAGCAAUUGUUUCAUACUUUAGUAAUCUCAAACUUUUUCAACUUUCACGCAAUACAUGGGCGUGAGCCAUGGACAUAGCACUGUAGGUGGAAUAGAAUAUGAUGGUGGGGGUUAUGUGUAGAAGAAAAAAAAGGAGAGAGUCUCACAUCAACUAGGCGUAUCAACGGGAUAUGGAGAUGCCCAUUAAUAGAUAUCAAUGUGAGUGAGUAGGGAUUGCCAUGCAACGGAUGCACUUAGAGCUAUAAGUCUAUGAAAGCUCAAACUGGAAACUAAGUGGGUGUGCAGCCAACUUGCUUGCUCAUGAAGACCUCGGGUGUUUGAGGAAGCCCAUCAACGGAAUAUACAAGCCAAGUUCUAUAAUGAAAAUUCCCACUAGUAUAUCAAAGUGAAAGCAUAGGAUACUCUCUCUAUGAAGAACAUGGUGCUACUCUGAAGCACAAGUGUUGUAAAAGGAUAGUAACAUUGCCCCUUCUCUCUUUUUCUCUCAUUUUUUUUAUUUUUAUUUUUUAUUUUUGGUGGGCUUCUUUGGCAUCUUUUUUUUAUUUGGGCUUCUUUGGCCUCUUUUAUUUUUCAUAAAGUCUGGAGUCUCAUGCCGACUUGUGGGGGAAUCAUAGUCUCCAUCAUCCUUUCCUCACCGGGGCAAUGCUCUAAUAAUGAUGAUCAUCACACUUUUAUUUACUUACAACUCGAUAUCUAGAACAAAGAUAUGACUCUAUAUGAAUGCCUCCGGCGGUGUACCGGGAUGUGCAAUGAUCUAGCGUAGCAAUGACAUCAAAAACGGACUAGCCAUGAAAACAUCAUGCUAGCUAUCUUACAAUCAUGCAAAGCAGUAUGACAAUGAAUGCUCAAGUCAUGUAUAUGAUGAUAAAAGAAGUUGCAUGGAAAUAUAUCUCGGAAUGGCUAUGGAAAUGCCAUGAUAGGUAGGUAUGGUGGCUGUUUUGAGGAAGAUAUAAUGAGACUUAUGUGUGAUAGAGUGUAUCAUAUCAUGGGGUUUGGAUGCACCGGCGAGGUUUUCACCAACUCUUGAGGUGAGAAAGGGCAAUGCACGGUACCGAAGAGGCUAGCAAUGAUGGAGGGGUGAGAGUGUGUAUAAUCCAUGGACUCAACAUUAGUCAUAAAGAACUCAUAUACUUAUUGCAAAAAUCUACAAGCCAUUGAAAAAAAAGUACUACACGCAUGCUCCUAGGGGGAUAGAUUGGGAGGAAAAGACCAUCGCUCGUCCCCGACCGCCACUCAUAAGGAAGACAAUCAAUAAGUAAAAUUAUGCUCCAACUUCAUCACAAAGCGGUUCACCAUAGGUGCAUGCUACGGGAAUCACAAACCUCAACACAAGUAUUUCUACUAAUCCACAAUCGCCCACUAGCAUGACUCUAAUAUCACCAUCUUUAUAUCACAAAACUAUUGCAAGGAAUCAAACAUAUCAUAUUCAGCAAUCUACAAGUUUAUGUAGGAUUUUAUGACUAACCAUGUGAAUGACCAAUUCCUGUCAUCUCUCUAAACAUAUAUAAGUGAAGCAAGAGAGUUUAAUUCUUUCUACAAAAGAUAUGCCCAUGCUCUAACAAAUAUAAGUGAAGCAAAAUAGCAUUCUACAAAUGGCAGUUUUCUAUGUGAAGAGAAACAGGCAAUCCAGACAUCAAAAGAUAUAAGUGAAGCACGUGAAGUAUUCUAUAAAACCAUACUCAAAAGAUCUAAGUGAAGUGCAAUGAGCAUUCUAUAAAUCAACCAAGGACGAUCUCAUACCAUCAUGGUGCAUAAAAGAAAAGUGAAAACUAAAUGCAAAAGACGCUCCAAGACCUGCACAUAUCGCACGAACGAAACGAAUCCGAAAACAUACCGAUACUUGUUGAAGAAAGAGGGGAUGCCUUCCGGGGCAUCCCCAAGCUUAGAUGCUCGAGUCUCCUUGAAUAUUUACUUGGGGUGCCUCGGGUAUCCCCAAUCUUGAGCUCUUUCCUCUCUUCCUUUUACUCAUAUUGAGACAUCCUCGAUUAGACACUUCAUCCACACAAAACUUCAACAGAAAACUCGGUAAGAUCCAUUAGUACAAUAAAGCAAAUCACUACUCUAAGUACUGUUGCAAACCAAUUCAUAUUUUUUUUCAUUGUGUCUACUGUAAUAUAACUUUUUCAUGGCUUAAAUCCACUGAUAUAAAUUGAUAGAUUCAUCAAAACAAGCAAACUAUGCAUCAAAAACAGAAUCUGUCAAAAACAGAACAGUCUAUAGCAAUCUGAACAUUCACCAUACUUCUGGUACCCCAAAAGUUCUACCAAAAUUAGGAAAAUUAAAAAAUUUCUACAGAAAGACAUUACAAAAAUAAUCAGAACCAUUUUACUUUCCAGUUAAAAAUGUAAAAUCGAGCAUUACAGUCAAAGUUUCUGUCCUGCACUGCACAAACCAACAAGCAUUGUAAACAUCUUAAAGGCAAACCUUGGCAAACUAUUUUUAUAAUAAAAUAGAAUUGUAAAAGGGGAUAAUUAUUUUUUAUGAAAAGUUUCUGUAAUUAAGAUUCACAAAGUUUCCGUGAGCAUGAACAAAGUUCAAGGCUAGCUCCCACUUCAACAAUGCUUGUCUUUCUCACUUUCACUUUCCUUUUUGAAAAGUUUUUAGGUUCCCCUCUUUAUUUAUUUUUGUUUUUAGACUAUAUAUAAGCACUCAACAUAAAUAAAUGACUCUCUAAAACUUCCGGGUUGUCUCCCUGGCAGCGCUUUCUUUAAAGGCAUUAAGCUAGGCAUAUAGUGCUCAAGUAAUGAAUCCACCCGGAUCCCAAGGUAUAUCAAAGCCAAUUUUAAUUAACAAUGAUUUGUAAUUUAGUAGUGAGCACAAAGUAACAUAUAUCAUGCAACAACGAAGUCUAACUCUCUUCCUAUGCAUAGGCAUGUCAUAAAAGAACAAUUCAUGCACACCAAGUAAAGGCCAAUGCAUAGUAUAAGCAGUUCUUGCAAUUUUAUCAUAUUGGAAACAUGGAGAGGUGGAGAUAUAGUUCCUCUCUCAUAAUAAUUGCAAGUAGGAGCAGCAAGCACAUGCAUAUUAUAUCUAUCAAAAUUAUCAUGUGUAGUAGUAAAACGCAACCCAUCAAUAUAAUCCUUAAUAAGGGCAAACUUCUCCGAUAUAGUGUAGUUGGGAGAAUUCAAAAAGAUAAUAGAACUAUCAUGCGUGGGUGCAAUAGCAACAAUUUCAUGUUUAACAUAAGGAACUAUAGAAAGUUCAUAUCCAUAAGCACAAUUCAUAUAUCUUGGCCACAAGCAUAGCAAGCAUCGUCAAAAAGGGAUAUUUCAAGAGAAUCAACGGGAUCAUGACAAUCAUCAUAGCAAUCAUCCUUCGGUAAGCACGAAGGGGAAUUAAACAAUGUAUGAGUUGAAGAGUUACUCUCAUUAGAAGGUGGGCACGGGUAGCUAAUCCGCUCUUCCUCCUUUUGUUCUUCGCUCUCCUCAUCAUCUUUUUCAUCCAAUGAGAUCACAGUUUCAUCAAUUUCCUCUUCCAUAGCUUCUUGCAAAAUAUUAGUCUCUUCUUGGAUAGUGGAAUAGUCCUCAAUAUAUAGUUUAACAUAGGCAUUAGAAGCAUAAUUAUCAUAGCAAUAUUCAAGUAUGGAAAAAUGUUCAGAUUUUUAGAGAGUAGCAUCAUACUUUUCAAUCAAAGAAGGAAUUUCAUAAGCACCCUUAAAAGCAACAAAUUCUUCAAUUUGUUGAACAUCACAGUAAUUAUAAACACCCUUAGCAUAUGAAGAUACGAUCCCAUUAUCAAUAACCUCACAUUGGUAGGUGCUACCUCUUGAGCACUGCGUUGGAUUUCCCCGAAGAGGAGAGGAUGAUGCAGUAAAGUAGCGUAAGUAUUUCCCUCAGUUUUUGAGAAGCAAGGUAUAAAUCCAGUAGGAGAUCACGCACGUGUCCCUCGUACCUACACAAAACGAUAGCUACUCGCAACCAACGCGAUUAGGGGUUGUCAAUCCCUUCACGGUCACUUACGAGGGUGAGAUCUGAUAGAGAUGAUAAAUAAUAUUUUUGGUAUUUUUGAUAGAUAGAUGCAAAGUGAAAAGUAAAAGGCAAAGUAAAAACAAAGCAAGUAAAUAAAGUAAUGGAGAUUGAUAUGAUGAGAGACCCGGGGGCCAUAGGUUUCACUAGUGGUUUCUCUCAAGAGCAUAAGUAUUCUACGGUGGGUGAACAAAUUACUAUUGAGCAAUUUAUAGAAAAGCGAAUAAUUAUGAGUAUAUCUAGGUAUGAUCAUGUAUAUAGGCAUCACGUCCGAGAUAGGUAGAUCGAAACGAUUCUGCAUCUACUACUGUUACUCCACUCAUCGACCGCUAUCCAACAUGCAUCUAGAGUAUUAAGUUAAAAAUAGAGUAACGCCUUAAGCAAGAUGACAUGAUGUAGAGGGAUAAAUUGAUGCAAUAUGAUAAAAAAACCAUCUUGUUAUCCUCGAUGGCAACAAUACAAUACGUGCCUGGCAACCCUUUCUGUCAUUGGGUAAGGACACCGCAAGAUUGAACCCAAAGCUAAACACUUCUCCCAUUGCAAGAACUACCAACCUAGUUGGCCAAACCAAAUGGAUACUUCGAAGAGACUUACAAAGAUAACUCAAUCAUAUAUAAAAGAAUUCAGAGAAGAUUCAAAUAUUAUUCAUAGAUAAGCUGGAUCAUAAACCCACAAUUCAUCGGUCUCAACAAACACACCGCAAAAAGAAGAUUACAUCGAAUAGAUCUCCACAAGAGAGGGGGAGAACAUUGUAUUGAGAUCCAAAAAGAGAGAAGAAGCCAUCUAGCUACUAGCUAUGGACCCGAAGGUCUGAAGUAAACUACUCACACUUCAUUGGAGAGGCUAUGGUGUUGAUGUAGAAGCCCUUCGUGGUAGAUGCCCCCUCCGCCGGAGCUCCGGAACAGGCCCCAAGAUGGGAUCUCGCGGAUACAGAAAGUUGCAGCGGUGGAAUUAGGUUUUUGGCUCCGUGUUUGAUCUGACGGGGGUACGUAGGUAUAUAUAGGAGGAAGGAGUACGUCGGUGGAGAAACAGAGGGCCCACGAGGCAGGGGGCGCACCCUCCACCCUCGUGACCGCCUCUCGCACUUCUUGGAGUAGGGUCCAAGUCUCCUGGAUCACGUUCGGUGAGAAAAUCACGUUCCCGAAGGUUUUAAUCCGUUUGGACUCUGUUUGAUAUUCUUUUUCUUUGAAAUACUGAAAUAGGCAAAAAUAGCAAUUCUGGGCUGGGCCUCCGGUUAAUAGGUUAGUCCCAAAAAAUAAUAUAAAAGUGGAAAAUAAAGCCCAAUAUAGUCCAAAACAGUAGAUAAAGUAGCAUGGAGCAAUCAAAAAUUAUAGAUACGUUGGAGACGUAUCAGGCAUCCCCAAGCUUAAUUCAUGCUCGUCCUCGAGUAGGUAAAUGAUAAAAAAAAUUGAUGCGGAGUGAUACUUUGGCAUAAUUUCAAUGUAAAUCUUCUUAAUUGUGGUAUGAAUAUUCAGAUCGGAAAGAUUCAAGACAAAAGUUCAUAUUGACAUAAAAGUAAUAAUACUUCAAGUGUACCAAUCAAAGCAAUCAUGUCUUCUCAAAAUAGCAUGGUUAAAGAAAGUUAUCCUGCCAUGCAACGGAUGCACUAGAGCUAUAAGUAUAUGAAAGCUCAACAAAAGAAACUAAGUGGGUGUGCAUCCAACUUGCUUGCUCACGAAGACCUAGGGCACUUUUUGAGGAAGCCCAUCAUUGGAAUAUACAAGCCAAGUUCUAUAAUGAAAAAUUCCCACUAGUAUAUGAAAGUGACAACAUAUGAGACUCUCUAUCAUGAAGAUCAUGGUGCUACUUUGAAGCACAAGUGUGGUAAAAGGAUAUUAGCAUUGUCCCUUCUCUCUUUUUCUCUCAUUUUUUUAUUUUUUUUAUUUUGGUGGGCUUCUUUGUUUUUUUUAUUUGGGCUUCUUUGGCCUCUUUUAUUUUUCAUAAAGUCCGGAGUCUCAUCCCGACUUAUGGGGGAAUCAUAGUCUCCAUCAUCCUUUCCUUACUGGGACAAUGCUCUAAUAAUGAUGAUCAUCACACUUUCGUUUUUUUUACAACUCAACAAUUACAACUCAAUACUUAGAACAAAAUAUGACUCUAUAUGAAUGCCUCCGGCGGUGUACCGGGAUAUGCAAUGAAUCAAGAGUGACAUGUAUGAAAGAAUUAUGAAGGUGGCCUUGCCACAAAUAUAAUGUCAACUACAUGUUCAUGCAAAAAGAAAUAUAACAAAAGUAAUGUAUGUCAUAUGAACGGAACGGUGGAAAGUUGCAUGGCAAUAUAUCUCGGAAUGGCUAUGGAAAUGCCAUGAUAGGUAGGUAUGGUGGUUGUUUUGAGGAAGGUAUAUGGUAGGUGUACGAUACCGGCGAAAAGUGCGCGGUAUUAGAGAGGCUAGCAAUGAUGGAAGGGUGAGAGUGCGUAUAAUCCAUGGACUCAACAUUAAUCAAAAGAACUCAUGCACUUGUUGCAAAAAUUUAGAAGUCAUCAAAAACCAAAGCACUAAACGCAUACUCCUAGGGGGAUAUAUUGGUAGGAAAAGACCAUCGCUUGUCCCCGACUGCCACUCAUAAGGAAGACAAUCAAUAACUAAAAUUGUGCUCCGACUUCAUCACAAAGAGGUUCACCAUACGUGCAUGCUACGGGAAUCACAAACUUCAACACAAGCAUUCUUUAAAUUCAUAAUCACCCCAACUAGCAUUGCUUUGAUAUUAUCACCUCCAUAUCUCAAAACAAUUAUCAAGCAUCAAACUUAUCUUACUAUUCAAUGCACUCAAAAGAAAGUUUCACAUAUCUUGAAUACCAAGUAUAUUAUCUUUAAGCAAAUUACAAUGCUAUUAAAUACUCUCAAAAUAAUCUAAGUGAAGCAUGAGAGAUCAAUAGUUUCUUUAAAACAAAUCCACCACCGUGCUCUAAAAGAUCUAAGUGAAGUACUAGAGCAAAAAUUAUUAUGCUCAAAAGAUAUAAGUGAAGCACUAUGAGCAAAACUAUCAAGCUCAAAAGAUAUAAGUGAGGCACAAUGAGCAAUAGUAUCAAGCUAAAAAUAUAUAAGUGAAGCACUAUGAGUGAAACUAUCAAGCUCAAAAGAUAUAAGUGAAGCACUAUGAGCAAAACUAUCAAGCUCAAAAGAUAUAAGUGAAGCACAUAGAGUAUUCUAGAAAAUUCCAAUUGGUGUAUGGCUCCCUCAAAAGGUGUGUACAUCAAGGAUGAUUGUGGUAAACUAAAAAGCAAAGACGCAAAUAAUACAAGACGCUCCAAGCUAAACACAUAACAUGUGGUGAAUAAAAAUAUAGCUCCAAGUAAAUUACCAAUGGAAGUAGACGAAAGAGGGGAUGCCUUCCGGGGCAUCCCCAAGCUUUGACUUUUUGGUGUCCUUGGAUUAUCUUGGGGGUUCCAUGGGCAUCCCCAAGCUUAGCUCUUGCCACUCUUUGUUCCAUAAUCCAUCAAAAGAAUUCACCCAAAACUUGAAUAAUUCACAACACAAAACUCAAUAGAAAUCUCGUGAGCUCCGUUAGUGAAAGAAAACAAAAGACUACUUUAAGGUACUGUAAUGAACUCAUUCUUUAUUUAUAUUGGUGUUAAACCCACUGUAUUCCAACUUCCUUAUGGUUUAUAAACUAAUUUAUUAGCCAUAGAUGCAUUGAAAUAAGCAAACAACACAUGAAAAACAGAAUCUGUCAAAAACAGAACAGUCUGUAGCAAUCUGUAACUAACUCAAACUUAUGGAACUCUAAAAAUUCUACCAAAAUUGGAAGUACUGGAAAAUUUGUUUAUUGAUGAGCAGCAAAAAUAAUCAAUGCAAAAUCACGUUUCUGUGAUUUAUUGAAUGUUUUCUCAUGAGCGCAAAGUUUCUGUUUUUCAGCAGAAUCAAAUCAACUAUCAUCGUAGCUUAUCCUAUAGGUUCUACUUGGCACAAACACUAAUUAAAACAUAAAACCACAUCUAAACAGAAAGAAGAAACAAAAUUUAACACUAAAUAGGAACAAAAACAAAGAACAAAAAAUAAAAUUGGGUUGCCUCCCAACAAGCGCUAUCGUUUAACGCCCCUAGCUGGGCAUAAAAGCAAGGAUAGAUCUAGGUUUUGCCAUCUUUGGUAGGCAAUUAUUCAAUGAGGCAUCUAUCUUUCUUAGAACUUUCUUUCUUUCCAGUAAUUAUCAAACUCUUAGGCACAAGAUCGAAAAAUUCACUCAUAGCAAAAGGUUCCUUAAUGAUGGCAAAAAGAUUGGGAUGAACACUUAUAGAUUUAAGAUCCGCAGUUUCCUUACUAGACGAUUCAUCCUUACUCUUAGGAACAUAAAUAAGCUUAGGUUUUUUAGUAGAAGAACUUGGAGUGUUUUGAAUGGAGGAAAAAGUGGUUCCCAAGUUGGUAAUUGGUACGUCCAUUUUGCAUCAUACUUUUAUGAUAAUAUUUAUUGCAUUAUGGGCUGUUAUUUCACGUUAUGUCACAAUACUUAUGGCUAUUCUCUCUUAUUUUACAAGGUUUAUAUGAAGAGGGAGAAUGCCGGCAGCUGGAAUUCUGGGCUGGAAAAGGAGCAAAUAUUGGAGGCCUAUUCUAUGCAACUCCAAAAGUCCUGAAACUCCACGGAAUACCUUAAAAUAAAUAAAGAAAAAUCGUGGCCAAAGAUGAAGGCCAGGGGGCCCACACCCUACUCACGAGGGUGGAGGGCGCCCCCCCCCCUGGGCGCGCCCCCCUACCUCGUGGGCCCCUGGUGGCUCUCCGGCGCCCAUCUUCUCCUAUAUGAAGUAUUUCGAUGAGAAAAAAAUAGAAGGCAACCUUUCGGGACGAGACUCCGCCGCCACGAGGCGGAACCUUGGCGGAACCAAUCUAGGGCUCUGGCGGAGCUAUUCUGCCGGGGACAAUUCCCUCCGGGAGGGGGAAAUCAUCACCAUCGUCAUCAUCAACGCUCCUCUCAUCGGGAGAGGUCAAUCUCCAUCAACAUCUUCACCAGCACCAUCUCAUCUCCAAACCCUAGUUCAUCUCUUGUAUCCAAUUCUUGUCUCCAAGUCCGGGAUUGGUGCUAGUAGUUUGCUAGUAGUGUUAAUUACUCCUUGUAGUUGAUGCUAGUUGGUUUAUUCGGUGGAAGAUCAUAUGUUCAGAUCCUUUAUGCACUUUAUUACCCCUCUGAUUAUGAACAUGAAUAUGCUUUAUGAGUAAUUACGUUUGUUCUUGAGGACAAGGGAGAAGUCUUGCUAUUAGUAGUCAUGUGAAUUUGGUAUUCGUUCGAUAUUUUGAUGAGAUGUAUGUUGUCUAGCCUCUAGUGGUGUUAUGUGAACGUCGACUAUAUAACACUUCACCAUUAUUUGGGCCUAGAGGAAGGCAUUGGGAAGUAAUAAGUAGAUGAUGGGUUGCUAGAGUGACAGAAGCUUAAACCCUAGUUUAUGCGUUGCUUCGUAAGGGGCUGAUUUGGAUCCAUAUGUUUCAUGCUAUGGUUAGGUUUACCUUAAUACUUUUGUUGUAGUUGCGGAUGCUUGCAAUAGAGGUUAAUCAUAAGUGGGAUGCUUGUCCAAGUAAGGGCAGUACCCAAGCACCGGUCCACCCACAUAUAAAAUUAUCAAAGUACCGAACGCGAAUCAUAUGAGCGUGAUGAAAACUAGCUUGACGAUAUUCCCAUGUGUCCUCGGGAGCGCUUUUCCUAUUAUAAGAGUUUGUCCAGGCUUGUCCUUUGAUACAGAAAGGAUUGGGCCACCUUGCUGCACCUUAUUUACUUUUGUUACUUGUUGCUCGUUACAAUUUAUCUUAUCUCAAAACUAUCUAUUACCACUUAUUUCAGUACUUGCAGAGAAUACCUUGCUGAAAACCGCUUACCAUUUCCUUUUGCUCCUCGUUGGGUUCGACACUCUUACUUAUCGAAAAGACUAUGAUAGAUCCCCUAUACAUGUGGGUCAUCAAGACUCUUUUCUGGCACCGUUGCCGGGGAGUGAAGCGCCUUUGAUAGGUGGAAUUUGGUAAGGAAAAAUUUAUUUAGUGUGCUGAAAUUUGCUGUCACUUGUUACUAUGGAAAGCAAUUGUCUGAGGGGCUUGUUCGGGGUAUCUUCACCCCGUCCAGCAGAGCAAAGAGUUGCUCCUCAACCUACUCAACCUACUGAACCUAUUGAAAAUGAAACUCCUUUUGAGAUUCCUUCGGGUUUGAUGGAAAAACUGCUAGCUAACACUUUUACAGGAGAUGGAACAAAGCAUCAUGAUGAACAUCUAUGCUAUGUGGAUGAUGUUUGUGGACUAUUUAAGCUUGCAGGUAUACCCGAUGAUGUUGUUAAGACGAAGGCUUUCCCUGUAUCUUUAAAGGGAGACGCAUUGACAUGGUAUAGGCUAUGUGAUGAUACGAGAUCAUGGAACUAUAAAAGAUUGAAAUUGGAAUUUCAUCAAAAGUAUUACCCUAUGCAUCUUGUUCAUCGUGAUCGCAAUUAUAUAUAUAAUUUUUGGCCUCGCGAAGGAGAAAGCAUCGCUCAAGCUUGGGGGGGGGGGCUUAAAUCAAUGUUAUAUUCAUGCCCCAAUCACGAGCUCGCAAGAGAAGUAAUUGUGCAAGAAAUUUAUGCUCGGCUUUCUGAUAACAAUCGCACCAUGCUCGAUACUUCUUGUGUUGGCUCUUUUAUGAUGAAGACUAUUGAAUUCAGAUGGAAUUUAUUGGAUAGAAUUAACCGCAACUCUGAAGAUUGGGACCUCGACGAAGGUAAGGAGUCAGGUAUGACACCUAAGUUUGAUUGUGUUAAAUCUUUUAUGGAUACCGAUAUUUUUCGUAAGUUUAGCACUAAAUAUGGACUUGACUCUGAGAUAGUAGCUUCUUUCUGUGAAUAUUUUGCUACUUAUGUUGAUCUCCCCAAGGAGAAGUGGUUUAAAUAUCAUCCUCCCAUAGAAGUAAAAGUAGCUGCACCUAUUAAAGUUGAAGAAAAGAUUGUCACUUAUAAUGAUCCUAUUGUUCCCAUUUCUUAUGUUGAGAAACUACCUUUCCCUGUUAGAAUGAAGGAUCAUGCUAAAGCUUCAACUGUUGUUUGUAAAAGCAAUAUUAGAACUUCUACACCUCCUGAGCAAGUCAAAGUACAACCUAAUAUUGCUAUUUUUAAAGAUCUCUUGUCUGAUAAUAUCGAUGGGCAUGUUAUUCAAUUCCAGGGUGAAACUGCUAGAAUUGCUAAACCUUGUGAUAAAGACAAACAUAGACAUGUGGUAGGCCUGCCUGUUAUUUCUGUUAAAAUAGGAGAUCAUUGCUAUCAUGGCUUGUGUGAUAUGGGUGCUAGUGUUAUACCCAUUGCCUUAUACGAAGAAAUUGCCCAUGAUAUUGCACCUGCUGAGUUAGAAGCUAUUGAUGUCACAAUUAAACUUGCCAAUAGAGAUACUAUUUCUCCAGUGGGAAUUGUUAGAGAUAUUGAAGUCUUGUGUGGGAAAACCAAAUACCCCGCUUAUUUUCUUGUUCUUGGUUCUCCGCAAGAUAGCUUUUGUCCCAUUAUAUUUGUUAGACCCUUCUUGAAUACUGUGAAUGCUAAGAUAGGCUGCAAAAAGAAUGUUGUUACUAUUGUCUUGGAUGAUAUGGUUCAUGAGUUUAAUUUCUCUAAAUUUAGUAAACAACAUCGCGAGGAAGAAUUGCCUAGUAAGGAUGAAAUUAUUGGUCUUGCUUAUAUUGCUGUACCUCCUAGUGAUCCUUUAGAGCAUUAUUUGCUAGACCAUGAAAAUGAGAUGUUCAUGAAUGAAAGAAGGGAAAUAGAAGAAGUAUUCUUUAAACAAGAACCUAUUUUGCAACACAAUUUGCCUGUUGAAAUCCUAGGGGAUCCUCCUCCACCCAAGGGUGAUCCCGUGUUUGAGCUUAAAUCGUUGCCUGAUAAUCUUAAAUAUGCUUAUCUUGACGAAAAGAAAAUAUAUCCUGUUAUUAUUAGCACUAACCUUUCAGAGCAUGAAGAAGAAAGAUUAUUGAAAACUCUGAAGAAGCACCGCGCCGCUAUUGGAUAUACACUUGAUGAUCUUAAGGGCAUUAGUCCCACUCUAUGUCAACAUAAAAUAAAUUUGGAAGCAGAUGUCAAACCAUUUUGUGAUCCUCAACGACAUUUGAAUCCUAAAAUGAAAGAAGUGGUAAGAAAAGAAAUACUCAAGCUUCUGGAGGCAGGUAUAAUUUAUCAUGUUGCUGGUAGUCAGUGGGUAAGUCCUGUCCAUUGUGUCCCUAAGAAGGGAGGUAUUACUAAUAUCCCUAAUGAUAAAGAUGAAUUGAUUCUGCAAAGAAUUAUCACAGGCUAUAGGAUGGUAACUGAUUUCUGUAAGUUAAAUAAGUCUACUAAGAAAGAUCAUUACCCCUUACCUUUUAUUGAUCAAAUGCUAGAAAGAUCAUGCAAACAUACACAUUAUUGCUUUCUAGAUGGUUAUUCCGGUUUCUCUCAAAUACCUGUGUCGGCUAAAGACUACUUUUACAUGCCCUUUUGGUACUUUUGCUUAUAGACGUAUGCCUUUUGGUUUAUGUAAUGCACCUGCUACCUUUCAAAGAUGCAUGAUGGCUAUAUUCUCUGACUUUUGCGAAAAGAUUUGUGAGGUUUUCAUGGACGACUUUUCCGUCUAUGGUUCCUCUUUUGAUGAUUGCUUGAGCAAUCUUGCUCGAGUUUUGCAGAGAUGUGAAGAAACUAAUCUUGUCUUGAAUUGGGAAAAGUGCCACUUUAUGGUUAAUGAAGGUAUUGUCUUGGGGCACAAAGUUUUUGAAAGGGGUAUUGAAGUUGAUAAAGCCAAGGUUGAUGCUAUUGAAAAGAUGCCAUGUCCCAAGGAGAUCAAAGGUAUAAGAAGUUUCCUUGGUCACGCUAGAUUUUAUAGGAGGUUCAUUAAGGACUUCUCAAAAAUUUCUCGACCUCUGACUAAUUUAUUACAAAAAGAUGUACCAUUUGUCUUUGAUGAUGAUUGUGUAGAAGCAUUUGAAAUACUUAAGAAAGCAUUAGUCUCUGCACCUGUUGUUCAGCCACCUGAUUGGAAUUUACCCUUUGAAAUUAUGUGUGAUGCUAGUGAUUAUGUUGUAGGUGCUGUUCUAUGGCAACGAGUUGAUAAGAAAUUGAAUGUUAUCCAUUAUGCUAGUAAGACUCUAGACAAUGCUCAAAGAAACUAUGCUCCAACCGAAAAGGAACUUUUAGCAGUUGUAUUUGCUUGUGAUAAAUUCAGACCCUAUAUUGUUGAUUCUAAAGUAACUAUUCACACUGAUCAAGCUGCUAUUAAAUAUCUUAUGGAAAAUAAGGAUGCAAAACCUAGACUCAUUAGAUGGGUUCUCUUGCUGCAAGAAUUUGAUUUGCAUAUUGUUGAUAGAAAAGGAGCUGAGAACCCCGUUGCAGAUAACUUAUCUAGGUUAGAGAAUGUUCUUGAUGACCCACUACCUAUUGAUGAUAGCUUCCCUGAUGAGCAACUAAAUGUCAUAAGCACUUCUCAUAGCACUCCAUGGUAUGCUAAUUAUGCUAAUUACAUUGUUGCUAAAUUUAUACCACCUAGCUUCACAUACCAACAAAAGAAAAAGUUUUUCUAUGACUUGCGACAUUACUUUUGGGAUGACCCACAUCUUUAUAAAGAAGGAGUAGAUGGUGUCAUUAGACGUUGUGUACCUGAGCAUGAACAGGAACAGAUCCUACACAAGUGUCACUCCGAAGCUUAUGGAGGACACCAUGCUGGAGAUAGAACUGCACAUAAGGUAUUGCAAUCUGGUUUUUAUUGGCCUACUCUCUUCAAGGAUGCCCAUAAGUUUGUUUUGUCUUGCGAUGAAUGUCAAAGAAUUGGUAAUAUUAGUAGACGUCAAGAAAUUCCUAUGAAUUAUUCACUUGUUAUUGAGCCAUUUGAUGUUUGGGGCUUUGAUUAUAUGCGACCUUUUCCUGCCUCUAAUGGAUACACACAUAUUUUAGUUGCUAUUGAUUACGUUACUAAGUGGGUAGAAGCUAUUCCAACUAGUAGUGCUGAUCAUAACACUUCUAAUAAAAUGCUUAAGGAAGUUAUUUUUUCGAGGUUUGGAGUCCCUAGAUAUUUAAUGACUGAUGGUGGUUCACACUUUAUUCAUGGUGCUUUCCGUAAGAUGCUUGCUAAAUAUGACGUUAAUCAUAGGAUUGCAUCUCCUUAUCACCCGCAGUCCAGUGAUCAAGUAGAGUUGAGAAAUAGGGAGCUCAAAUUAAUUUUGCAAAAGACUGUUAAUAGGUCUAGAAAGAAUUGGUCCAAGAAACUUGAUGAUGCAUUAUGGGCCUAUAGAACUGCAUAUAAAAAUCCUAUGGGUAUGUCUCCGUAUAAAAUGGUCUAUGGAAAAGCUUGUCACUUACCUCUCGAACUAGAACAUAAGGCAUACUGGGCUAUUAAAGAGCUCAACUAUGAUUUCAAACUUGUCGGCGAGAAGAGGUUAUUUGAUAUUAGCUCACUUGAUGAAUGGAGAACCCAAGCUUAUGCAAAUUCCAAGUUGUUUAAAGAAAAAGUUAAAAGAUGGCAUGACAAAAGGAUACAAAAGCGUGAGUUUAAUGUAGGUGAUUAUGUAUUGCUAUACCACUCCCGUUUAAGAUUUUUUGCAGGAAAACUUCUCUCCAAAUGGGAAGGUCCCUACGUUAUCGAAGAGGUCUAUCGUUUCGGUGCCAUAAAAAUCAACAACUUCGCAGGCACAAAUCCGAAGGUGGUAAACGGUCAAAGGAUCAAACACUAUAUCUCAGGUAAUCCUAUAAAUGUUGAAACUAAUAUUAUUGAAACCGUAACCCCGGAGGAAUACAUAAGGGACACUUUCCAACCCGCUUCAGACUCCGAAAAGGAAUAGGUAUGUGGUACGGUAAGUAAACCGACUCCAAAACAAUUUUUAAGGCAAUAUUUCUCCGUUUUGGAAUAUUUAGAAAAAUAGAAAAAUGGGUAGCAGUCCGGGGAGGACACGAGGCCUCCACGAGGGUGGAGGGCGCGCCCUACCCCCCUGGGUGCACCACCCUACCUUGUGAACACCUCGAGUGCCCUCCGGACUCCGUUUCCUUGCACGAUACGUAUUUUGGUCAGUAAAAAAUCAUUAUUUAUACUCCCGAAGGUUUUGACUCUCGCAUUACGCAAAUCUCCCCUGUUCUUGUUUCGAGUUGUUUCUCUGACAGGUCUAGAUCAUCACGACGACCCCAAGUGCUUCCAAGGACAAGUUCUUCGAGAAGGUGAUCAACCCUUACCUCGCGGAGGUGCUGCGACACCCUCAAACCAUUGAGAUGCGUGAUGGGUUGCUGCACAUCCGCGAUGCUGAGGGACCAAAGGGAACUGGAAGCGUGGAGUCGAGGCUUGAAACAAUGAAGCAACAAGUGUUCAAGUGUCAGGGAAUGGUGGAGCGUGGAAUCAACGCUACCCACAAGAUGCUCGCGGAGUUCACCAACAACUAUGAGCCGGAUGCCAAGAAGACCGAGGAGGUCAUCUUCAAGCUACAUGAGAAGAUCGAGCACCUCUAAGUCCAAAUCUAUGAUCUGCAAAACCAAAACUAUGAGUAUGAAUAUAGAUUCAAAAGGAUGAGUUUGGCUGCAGAUUUGAGGAUUCCGGAGACUCGAUCAUCCUUCUAUGAUGGUGAGCCUAUGCCAUGGAAGGUGGACGACAAGCUUGCAUCAUCAACAACACCUCCACCGCCAACAACAAAGAAUGAGACAUAAUCACAUGGGUAUGGGCACUCCCCUUGGUAACUGCCAAGCUUGGGGGAGGUGCCCUGGUAUCGUAUCACCAUCACAACUCCUAUCUUUACCGUUUUUCUUAGUUCGAUCCUAUUAGUAGUAUCUUGAUUUAGUAGAAUAAAGUCAUUGGCAUGAUCUAGUUUUGAGUUUUGCUUUACAAUCCUUCUUUGUAAUCGAGUCCGUUAGCUAUAUAAUAAAGAUUAGUGUUGAGUCAAGGGAUUGCUUAUCGUGCCAUGAUCUUGGGUGAAUAGAAGAAUAGAAUAAAAAGAAUCAAAGAGUUCAUAUUGAUCUUAGUGAAGGUAAUGAUUUCACAUAGAAAGAGUAUGAUGAUUAAAAGUGGUUGGGAGUUGGCAAAUAUAGCUCUGGUUCGUUGCAAUUAAUAGGAAGUAAUAAGGAAAGAGAGGUUUCACAUAUAGAUAUAUUAUCAUUGACAUCUUUUAUGAUUGGGAGCAAUCAUUAAAAUAUGACAUGCUAAAGAGUUGAGGUUGGACAAGGAAGACAACAUAAUGAGUUAUGUUUUCUUACAUCCGAGAUAAAGUAUGUUUCAUGGAUCAUCUACCUUGUUGAGCUUGCCUUUCCCCCUCUUGCUAGCCAAAUUCUCAGCACCAAGUAGAAAUACUACUUGUGCUUCCAAAUACCCUUAAACCAGUUUUGCCAUGAGAGUCCACUAUACCUACCUAUGGAUUGAGUAAGAUCCUUCAAGUAAGUUGUCAUCGGUGCAAGCAAUAAAAAUUGCUCUCUAAAUAUGCAUGACUUAUUAGUGCAGAGAAAUACUCUUUGUACGAACUUGUUGUGGACGCAAUAAAAGCGACGGACUGCAUAAUAAAGGUUCACAUACAAGGGGCAAUAUAAAGUGGUGUUCUUUUGCAUUAAGAUUUUGUGCAUCAACCCUAAACGUGCAUGACAACCUCUGCUUCUCUCUUCAAAGGGCCUAUCUUUUCUUUUCUCUACCUUAUGCAAGAGUCACGGUGAUCUUCACCUUUCUUUUUCAUUUUAUCCUUUGGCAAGCUCAGCAUGUUGGAAAGAGUAUGAUAUAUAUAUAUAUAUAUAUCUAAUUGGAUGUAGGGGAGCAUGAAUUAUUAUUGUUGACAUUACCCUUGAGGUAAGAGGUUGUGGGGCAAAACUACAAGCCCCUAUCUUUCUUUGUGUCUGACUAAAACUCCGUAACCACAAGUACCGCCUGAGUGCUAGCAAUUAUGAAGGACUAAGUGAUAGUUGAGUAUGUGGACUUGCUUUUAAUCUCUGACAUAGACUCUUUCUGAUGUUAUGGUAAAUUGCAAUUGCUUCAAUGACCAAGGGUAUAACUUGCUGGUGCUCAAUAAGGUUUCUGAUUCAUGCUUUGGCUUUGUGAAAAGAUCAUCACUUGAACAUGAGUAAUCAUAUGACAAAAUCUUUAUAUGUUGCCGUUAUGAAAUAAUCAUGAUGCCUUCAUGUCUGUAUUUUAUUUUUAUCGACGCCUCUACCUCUAAACAUGAGGACAUAUUUAUUGUUAUCGGCUUUUCCCUUGAGGACAAGCGAGGUCUAAGCUUGGGGAGUUGAUACGUCCAUUUUGCAUCAUGCUUUUAUGAUAAUAUUUAUUGCAUUAUGGGCUGUUAUUUCACGUUAUGUCACAAUACUUAUGGCUAUUCUCUAUUAUUUUACAAGGUUUAUAUGAAGAGGGAUUAUGCCGGCAGCUGGAAUUCUGGGCCGGAAAAGGAGCAAAUAUUGGAGGCCAAUUCUAUGCAACUCCAAAAGUCCUGAAACUCCACGGAAUACCUUAAAAUAAAUAAAGAAAAAUCGUCGCCAAAGAUGAAGGCCAGGGGGACCACACCCUACUCACGAGGGUGGGGGGCGCCCCCCUGGGCACGCCCCCUACCUCGUGGGCCCCCUGGUGGCUCUCCGACGCCCAUCUUCUCCUAUAUGAAGUCUUUCGAUGAGAAAAAAAUAGAAGGCAACCUUUCGGGACGAGACUCCGCCGCCACGAGGCGGAACCUUGGCGGAACCAAUCUAGGGCUCUAGCGGAGCUGUUCUGCCGGGGACAAUUCCCUCCCGGAGGGGGAAAUCAUCACCACCGUCAUCACCAACGCUCCUCCCAUCGGGAGAGGGCAAUCUCCAUCAACAUCUUCACCAGCACCAUCUCAUCUCCAAACCCUAGUUCAUCUCUUGUAUCCAAUUCUUGUCUCCAAGUCCGGGAUUGGUGCUAGUAGUUUGCUAGUAGUGUUAAUUACUCCUUGUAGUUGAUGCUAGUUGGUUUAUUCGGUGGAAGAUCAUAUGUUCAGAUCCUUUAUGCACUUUAUUACCCCUCUGAUUAUGAACAUGAAUAUGCUUUGUGAGUAAUUACGUUUGUUCCUGAGGACAAGGGAGAAGUCUUGCUAUUAGUAGUCAUGUAAAUUUGGUAUUCGUUCGAUAUUUUGAUGAGAUGUAUGUUGUCUAGCCUCUAGUGGUGUUAUGUGAACGUUGACUACAUAACACUUCACCAUUAUUUGGGCCUAGAUGAAGGCAUUGGGAAGUAAUAAGUAGAUGAUGGGUUGCUAGAGUGACAUAAGCUUAAACCCUAGUUUAUGCGUUGCUUCAUAAGGGGCUGAUUUGGAUUCGUAUGUUUCAUGCUAUGGUUAGGUUUACCUUAAUACUUUUGUUGUAGUUGCGGAUGCUUGCAAUAGGGGUUAAUCAUAAGUGGGAUGCUUGUCCAAGUAAGGGCAGUACCCAAGCACUGGUCCACCCACAUAUCAAAUUAUCAAAGUACCGAACGCGAAUCAUAUGAGCGUGAUGAAAACUAGCUUGACGAUAUUCCCAUGUGUCCUCGGGAGCGAUUUUCCUAUUAUAAGAGUUUGUCCAGGCUUGUCCUUUGCUACAAAAAGGAUUGGGCCACCUUGUUGCACCUUAUUUACUUUUGUUACUUGUUUCUCGUUACAAUUUAUCUUAUCUCAAAACUAUCUAUAUAAGUGAAGCACUAUGAGCAAAACUAUCAAGCUCAAAAGAUAUAAGUGAAGCACUAUGAGCAAAACUAUCAAGCUCAAAAGAUAUAGGUGAAGCACAUAGAGUAUUCUAGAAAAUUCCAAUUGGUGUAUGGCUCUCUCAAAAUGUGUGUACAGCAACGAUGAUUGUGGUAAACUAACAAGCAAAGACGCAAAUAAUACAAGACGCUCCAAGCAAAACACAUAACAUGUGGUGAAUAAAAUAUAGCUCCAAGUAAAUUACCGAUGGAAGUAGACGAAAGAGGGGAUGCCUUCUGGGGCAUCCCCAAGCUUUGACUUUUUGGUGUCCUUGGAUUAUCUUGGGGGUGCCAUGGGCAUCUCCAAUCUUAGGCUCUUGCCACUCUUUGUUCCAUAAUCCAUCAAAAGAAUUCACCCAAAACUUGAAAACUUCACAACACAAAACUCAAUAGAAAUCUCAUGAGCUCCGUUAGUGAAAGAAAACAAAAGACUACUUUAAGGUACUGUAAUGAACUCAUUCUUUAUCUAUACUACUAUAUAGUGUAUGAGUUUUGAAUUGUACAACAGAAUCAAUCCUGGCCGUUGGUCUCAUAAAUUUAACGGUUGGGAUUCAAAGGAUUCGCAGUGAACAGUAGCCCGCAGCUGCAUCUGCUGGUUUCUAGAAAAAUCGCGUCACAUCUCCUCUCUUCUCGUCAUGUUGCAUGUGCCAGUGCGUCAGGCAAACAGCCAAGACAGGGGCAGAGACAAGUGAACAUUAUUAGCCGCCUGUCAGCUAAUGGCCGCAGCUAAUUGCAUCAUUAGUCCAUAUAAAAUACAUUUAUAGAACCAACUACACCGAAUAUAAAGGAGACCAAAGCCCAGUAGCCCAUACAUGUAGGUGUGGUUAACUAUUGUUUUGCCCUUGGACAAUUGAUCGAUUCGAUCGCCUGGGCUACUACCCAGUGAAAUGUAAAUGAUCACCACAAUACCGAUUUUAUUAGCAGAAAAUCAUCACUUUAUAAUUCAUGUUAAUAUUUAUUUUUCUCCGAAUACAUUACAAAGUAAUAUAUGAUUUUCUUUUUCUUUUCAUAGAAUCAUAGGAACAAUACUGUUAAGACGUGCAUUGCACGUGUAUACCUAAUAGUUUAUAUUGGUGUUAAACCCACUGUACUCCAACUUCCUUAUGGUUUAUAAACUAAUUUAUUAGCCAUAGAUGCAUUGAAAUAAGCAAACAACACACGAAAAACAGAAUCUGUCAAAAACAGAAUAGUCUGUAGCAAUCUGUAACUAACGCGAACUUCUGGAACUCUACAAAUUCUACCAAAAUAGGACGUACUGGAAUUUUUUUUAUUGAUCAUCAGAAAAAAUAAUCAAUGCAAAAGAAUGUUUCUGUGAUUUAUUGAAUUUUUUCUCGUGAGCGCAAAGUUUCUGUUUUUCAGCAGAAUCAAAUCAACUAUCAUCGUAGCUUAUCCUAUAGGUUCUACUUGGCACAAACACUAAUUAAAACAUAAAACCACAUCUAAACAGAAAGUAGAAACAAAAUUUAACACUAAACAGGAACAAAAACAAAGAACAAAAAAUAAAAUUGGGUUGCCUCCCAACAAGCGCUAUCGUUUAACGCCCCUAGCUAGGCAUAAAAGCAAUGAUAGAUCUAGGUUUUGCCAUCUUUGGUAGGCAAUUCUUCAAUGAGGCAUCUAUCUUUCUUAGAACUUUCUUUCUUUCCAGUAAUUAUCAAACUCUUAGGCACAAGAUCGAAAAAUUCACUCAUAGCAAAAGGUUCCAUAAUGAUGGCAAAAAGAUUGGGAUGAACACUUAUAGAUUUAAGAUCCGCAGUUUCCUUACUAGACGAUUCAUCCUUACUCUUGGGAACAUAAAUAAGCUUAGGUUUUUUAGUAGACUAACUUGGAGUGUUUUGAAUGGAGGAAAAAGCGGUUCCCAAGUUUGUAAUGAUACCCUCUAGUUUAUCGAUACUUGUGGAAUCUAGAUUUAUUCUCUCGUUAACUAUGGGUUCUUUUUCUUUAAUAUUUUUCAAAGUCGUUCCUACCUUAGAUUCAUAUUGGGUAAUUUGAUUGUGGAUAUUUUUAUCAAGAUUUUCAAUUGAUUCAAUGGUAGCAACUUUAUUCUCAAUAAUUUCAAGUCUUUGCAUAACAUGCUCCAAAGUUAACAUAGUUCCAUUAAUAAAAGGAGGUGGUAAGCCAAAUAAAUCUAUUAAAGCAUUGUAAGAAUCAAAAGUAUGGCUACCCAAAAAAUUCCCUCCGGUAAUGGUAUGAAGGAUAUAUCUAAACCAAGGAUUAACACCUACAUAAAAAUUACGAAGAAGAACCAAAGUAGAUUGCUUCCUGGUAGAUCAAUUUUGAGCAUUGCAAAUUCUAUACCAAGCGUCUUUUAGAUUUUAUCCCUCCCUUUGCAUAAAAUUUAAAACUUCAUUCUCGGGAGAUAACGGAGAAGAUAGGAGGCUAGUCAUAAUGACAAGGUGAACGAACUAACACACGAGCAAGCAACAAAGCAAAUGAGAAAAAGGCGAAAGGGAAAGAGAGGAGGAGAUUGGGAAAGAGAGGGCGAAUAAAACGGUAAGGGUGAAGGGGGGAGAGGAAAACGAGAGGCAAAUAAUGUAAUGCGAUAGAUAGGGAUUGUGAUGGGUACUUGGUAUAGUUGACUUUUGCACAAACUCCCCGGCAAUGGCGCCAGAAAUUCUUCUUGCUACCUCUUGAGCACUGUGUUGGAUUUUCCCGAAGAUGAGAGGAUGAUGUAGUAAAGUAGCGUAAGUAUUUCCCUCAGUUUUUGAGAACCAAGGUAUCAAUCCAGUAGGAGAUCACGCACGAGUCCCUCGUACCUACACAAAAUGAUAGCUACUCGCAACCAACGCGAUUAGGGGUUGUCAAUCCCUUCACGGUCACUUACGAGGGUGAGAUCUGAUAGAGAUGAUAAAUAAUAUUUUUGGUAUUUUUGAUAGAUAGAUGCAAAGUGAAAAGUAAAAAGCAAAGUAAAAACAAAGCAAGUAAAUAAAGUAAUGGAGAUUGGUAUGAUGAGAAUAGACCCGGGGGCCAUAGGUUUCACUAGUGGCUUCUCUCAAGAGCAUAAGUAUUCUACGGUGGGUGAACAAAUUACUGUUGAGCAAUUGAUAGAAAAGCGAAUAAUUAUGAGUAUAUCUAGGUAUGAUCAUGUAUAUUGGCAUCAUGUCCGAGACAAGUAGAUCGAAACAAUUCUGCAUCUACUACUAUUACUCCACUCAUCCACCGCUAUCCAGCAUGCAUCUAGAGUAUUAAGUUAAAAACAGAGUGACGCCUUAAGCAAGAUGACAUGAUGUAGAGGGAUAAAUUCAUGCAAUAUGAUAAAAACCCCAUCUUGUUAUCCUCGAUGACAACAAUACAAUAUGUGCCCUGCAACCCUUUCUGUCACUGGGUAAGGACACCGCAAGGUUGAAGCCAAAGCUAAACACUUCUCCCAUUGCAAGAACUACCAAUCUAGUUGGCCAAACCAAACAGGUAAUUUGAAGAGACUUGCAAAGAUAACUCAAUCAUACAUAAAAGAAUUCAGAGAAGAUUCAAAUAUUAUUCAUAGAUAAGCUGGAUCAUAAACCCACAAUUCAUCAGUCUCAACAAACACACCGCAAAAAGAAGAUUACAUCGAAUAGAUCUCGACAAGAGAGGGGGAGAACAUUGUAUUGAGAUCCAAAAAGAGAGAAGAAGCCAUCUAGCUACUAGCUAUGGACCCGAAGGUCUGACGUAAGCUACUCACACUUCAUCGGAGAGGCUAUGGUGUUGAUGUAGAAGCCCUCCAUGGUAGAUGCCCCCUCCGGCGGAGCUCCGGAACAGGCCCCAAGAUGGGAUCUCGCGGAUACAGAAAGUUGCGGCGGUGGAAUUAGGUUUUUGGCUCCGUGUUUGAUCUGACGGGGGUACGUAGGUAUAUAUAGGAGGAAGGAGUACGUCGGUGGAGAAACAGAGGGCCCACGAGGCAGGGGGCGCGCCCUCCACCCUCGUGACCGCCUCUGGCACUUCUUGGAGUAGGGUCCAAGUCUCCUGGAUCACGUUCGGUGAGAAAAUCACGUUCCCGAAGGUUUUAUUCUGUUUGGACUCCGUUUGAUAUUCUGUUUCUUCGAAAUACUGAAAUACGCAAAAACAGCAAUUCAGGGCUGGGCCUCCGGUUAAUAGGUUAGUCCCAAAAAAUAAUAUAAAAGUGGAAAAUAAAGCCCAAUAUAGUCCAAAACGGUAGAUAAAGUAGCAUGGAGCAAUCAAAAAUUAUAGAUACGUUGGAGACGUAUCAGUAGGGAAGGUGUUUCUUAGGGUUUUCAGAACAACAAGUAACAUCAUAUAUUUCACAUAAAGUCUAGGCAUAGCAUUGCAAACGAUGAAUUUGAUCCAAUAAAAGUUUCCCCUUUUCAGAUAUACGGUGUCGCACAUAACAAGCAUGCUCAUCUAAAGAUUUUCCCUCAACUAAGCUAGUUGGGGUUUCAGCACGAGCACAAAGGGAUCAAAGAUGAUCCAAGUAAAAAGCUUCAGUAGUGUGAUAGAUUUUGAGUGGUUCUUCAACCAUUGGUGUAGUAGGUACAACUAAUUUUAUUGGUAUUUUGCGUUUCCUACCCAUAACUAAAGAUAGAAAACAACUAAGAACAGCAAAUAAAAAUUACUUAGUGAUAAAGAAAACAAGCACACACGAGAAUAUUCGCCCCACGCUAUGACUCCCCGGCAAUGGCGCCAGAAAAAGGUCUUGAUGACCCACAAGUGUAGGGGAUAAUUGUAGCCUGUUUCAAUAAGUAAGAGUGUCGAACCCAAGGAGGAGCUAAAGGUAGAACAAAUAUUCUCUCAAGUCCUAUCUCCCACUGAUACGACUCUACACACGCUUAGUGUUUGCUUUACCUAGAACCAGUAUGAAACUAGUAGUACUUUGUAGGUGUGAUAGGAUAGGUUUGCAAGAUAAUAAAGAACACGUAAAUAUAAACUAGGGGCUGUUUAGAUAAAGAAGCAAUAAAGUAAAUAUUAGUAGAGAGCUUUUUGUCACAAGAAAGUUAUUUGUCCCUAGGCAAUCGAUAACUAGACCGGUAAUCACUAUUGCAAUUCUAUUUGAGGGAGAGGCAUAAGCUAACAUACUUUCUCUUCUUGGAUCAUAUGCACUUAUGAUUGGAACUCUAGCAAGCAUCCGCAACUACUAAAGAUUCAUUAAGGUAAAACCCAACCAUAGCAUUAAAGAAUCAAGUCCCCUUUAUCCCAUACGCAAACAACCUACUUACUCGGGUCUCUGCUUCUGUCACUCACGCCACCCACCAUAAGCAAAUCAUGAACAUAUUGCAAACCCUACAGUGGGGAUCCCUCACGCUUGCGCGACACGGAGAGCACCAUGGGACAGAACCAAUAAUAAAACAUGCAACUCAAACCAAUCACGAUCAUCAAUUAACCCAUAGGACAAAACGGAUCUACUCAAACAUCAUAGGAUAGCCAUACAUCAUUGGGAAAUAAUAUAUAGUGUUGAGCACCAUGUUUAAGUAGAGAUUACAGCGGGUAAAAGAGAGGUUACACCACUGCAUAGAGGGGGGAAGAGUUGGUGAUGAAGGCGGUGAAGUUGUUGGUGAAGAUCACGGUGAUGAUAAUGGCCUCUGGCAGCGCUCCGGCGCCACCGGAAGCAAGGGGAGAGAGCCCCCCUUCUUCUUCUUCCUUGACCUCCUCCCUAGAUGGGAGAAGGGUUUCCCCUCUUGUAAUGGACGGCGGCAGGGGGGUAUCAGCUCCGGCAUGGUGGAGGAGGACGGCGGUGGAUGGGGUGGCGGACGUCGGCGGACGGAGGAGGCUGCGGUGGAGAGGGUGUUUUGGCGCCCAUGGAGUACGAAUGGGGGAAAAGGGAGGUAGAGAGGAAGGGGGGAACUAUGUAUUCACGGCACGCUUGUCUCAAAUGCGAGGAAAUUUACAAACUUAGCCCCCGUUUCAAAUUUCCUACAUCACAACAAUAUUAGUCGGUUGGGGAUAGGACGGUAAUCUCGCAUACACCGAAUAUUUGCCAGCGAGAGUUUGUUUUGGCGCCCACCGUGUAUGAAUAGAAUCGUGGAGGGAGUCGAUUUCGGCCGAGGACACAAUGUGUUUUGGUGCCCACCGUGUAUGAAUCCGGGUCAGAGGCGGUUACGUGACGUUUGGGCGAAAUUACAAACCUAGCCCUAUCGAAACCUAUAGAAAUCCAGCAGAUAGGCUUUGCGUGGCAGGGAUAGGAAGUAGUAAUUUCCAUCUCACAAAUUUUGGGUUCGGGCGGUUACUGCGACUUUCCCCGCUUUUUCAAAUUUUACAGAGUGCGCGUUUACCGUGCCAACUCAAUUCGAAUCCCGUUUGUAUUCUAUUUUUUUCGGGCGGGAUCCAUUUUCAAUUGGAAUUAAAUUCUAUAUACAUCAUUUUUUAUAUAUACUUUCAAAAGCACAACACCAUUUAUACAUAAAUAUGGUUUACAAAUGGCAUGAUCUCAGAUUCAUAAGGUUGUAUCCAUCAAUUUGGAUUUUCAAAUAUUUGAAACCACUUUAUGUUGAAAUCCAAUGUAUGUAUUCCUCGCUAACUUUCUCCAAUUAAUGUGUGUUUCAUGCUUGUUUUUUUACUUCUCAAACAUGUAUAAUGUGUUUCACACACGCAACAUAUAGUGUAAUCCCGUUUAGACAUUAAUUGCAUAUAAACCAUGCAUUGUUUCUAAUUAAAGAAUCUAUGGAUCACCAAUAUUGAUCAACUAUAUAACAUUACACGUGUGCCCAAAUUCAAAUGAAUAUGCAUGUUUCAUACACCAAUUUGCGUUAUGAUAUUAUCGAUGUCAUGAUCUCCAGUUUAAAUAUUUGAAUCCCCUUUAAUCCAGAUAUUCGUCUCAUAUAGCUAUCACUCAUGCUUAUAUAGGACUAUCUCUCUGGACCUAUACGCGUUCAUCGUCUCUCAGGUAUCUCUCGUGCUACCUGUAUGUCGACAAUGAUCUUUUAUCUUCGUAAUAACGGUACUCUCUCCCUCGACCUUCAUCACUCUAUCUCUGAUACCAACUUGUCACGCCCAAUAUGCGACCCUAUCCAAAAGGAACUCGAAGGUCCCACCAAGGAUAGACCCGCAUAUUGAAACGCUUUUGCAAGGUGGAUAUCAUUACAUCAACAUUACAUAAUAGAUGGGGAUACAUACAUACGGCAUACAAUGCCAUACGAAUACAACACCACAAUACAUCAGAGCAUCAUCCGACUACGGAUGAAACACAAACAGAAACUCAAACGACAUCCACCCUGCUAGCCCAGGCUGCCGACCUGGAACCUAUCCCCUGAUCGAAGCAGCAGAAGAAGAACUCCAAGACAAGCAAACAUCGCUCUCGCGUCAUGAACAUCGCGAAACCUGUACCUGCAACUGUUGUUGUAGUAAUCUGUGAGCCACGAGGACUCAGCAAUCCCAUUACCAUGGGUAUCAAGACUAGCAAAGCUUAAAGGGAAAGGAAGGGGUAAAGUGGUGAGGCUGCAGCAGAGACUAAGCAUAUAUGGUGGCUAACAUACGCAAAUAAGAGCGAGAAGAGAGCAAGCAGACCGGUCGUGAAACUAGCAAUGAUCAAGAAGUGAUCCUGAACUCCUGCUUACGUCAAACAUAACCCAGAAACCGUGUUCACUUCCCGGACUACACCGAGAAGAGACCAUCACGGCUACACACGCGGUUGAUGCGUUUUAAUUCGGAUCUGGUGUCAAGUUAUCUACAACCGGACAUUAACAAAUUCCCAUCUGCCUAUAACCGCAGGCACGGCUUUCGAAAGAUUAUACCCUGCAGGGGUGUCCCAACUUAGCCCAUGACAAGCUCUCGCGAUAAAUGAAGGAUAUACCUUCUCCCAGGAAGACCCGAUCAGACUCGGGAUCCCGGUUUACAAGACAUUUCGACAAUGGUAAAACAAGACCAGCAAAGCCGCUCGAUGCGCCAACAUCCUCAUAGAAGCUGCACAUAUCUCGUUCUCAGGGCAACACCAGAUGAGUCAAGCUACGAGUAAAACCAGCCCUCAAUUUGCCAAGAGGUGGCCCCGCAGGUUGCUCAGUUCGGACCAACACUUAGACAAGCACUGGCCCCGGGGGGGGGCUAAAAUAAAGAUGACCCUCGGGUUGGCCGACCCAAGGGAAAGGGAUAGGUGAUGGUGAGGCAAAUGGUAAAACCAAGGUUGGGCCUUGGUGGAGGAGUUUUAUUCAAAGCGAACUGCCAAGGGGGUCCCAUAAAUCACCCGACCGCGUAAGGAACGCAAAAUCCGGGAACAUAACACUGGUAUGAUGGAAACUAGGGCGGCAAGAGUGGAACAAAACACCAGGCAAAAGGCCGAGUCUUCCACCCUUUACCAAGUAUAUAGAUGCAUUAAAAUUAUAAGAGAUAUUGUGAUAUCCCAACCAAAAUCCUGUCCGCCAUGGAGUAAUCUUCAACUUCACCUGCAACUAGCAACGCUAUAAGAGGGGCUGAGCAAAAGCAGUAACAUAGCCAAACAAUGGUUUGGAUAGGGAAGGUGUCAAAGGUUAGAGGUUCAUGGCAAUAUGGGAUGGCUUGAUAAGCAGGUGAUAGGUAGCGCAGCAAAGCGAUAGAAUGAAGCAACUAGCAUAGCAAUGAUAGUAGUGAGAUCCAGGGUAGCGGUCAUCUUGCCUGAAAUCCCACAAGGAAGAAGAACGAGUCCAUGAAGAAGAUGAAGCCACGAAGACGAACCAAGCGUAGACGAACGAAUCCUCACGAUCGCAGCGAAACAGGAACUAUCGAGAAGAAGCACACAACACAGUAAACACACCACAAAUGAACAAGGCAUGAUGCACAACAAGCAUGAUGCAUGGCAAAGCUACAUGAAGCUACUCAUGGCAAGAGAUGAUGCAAACAAGAGCAACACACCAAGGCAAGUUUAAACGAGGCCGGGAACAACAUAUAACAAUUCCGGUAAGUCCUCAUAUGCAUAUUUCGAAGUUGGUCCAGAUCUGAAUAAACAUUAUGUUCUAGUUGUUAAACAACAAGUUAAGAUGCACAACGAUGAUCUACACGAGAUUCUAGUCAAGUUACAUAUAAAGUUCAUUUAGUUCGGAGCUACGGCCUAGAAGAUAUGAACAAAACAAGUUAAACAUGGCAUUGAUGCAAAAUGCAUUCAAACAUCAAGCAAACACCUCAAAACAAGGAUGCAACAUGAUAAUAUGAAACUACAUGCAAAAUCAAGCAAGUUUCAUAUAGAGCACACUCAAAACGGAGCAACGGUUCAACACACACACAUGAAACAAGUUAUAAGGACAAGUUGUCCAAAACAGCCACUAGGCAUGUUGCAAGCACCAAAACGACAUGCUACAACACCCCAACAUGAAAACAAAAGACAUGGGCAUGAUGUACAGGUAAAGCAUUACAAAACAUGAACACUGAGCUAUCUCUAGAAAUCACUAGAACAUGCUCAACCACACAUGGUAAGAUGGCAAGUAAUAACAAUUUCAGACUUUGCAUAAAAUAACAUCACGAUGCAAUGUUUAGAGCUAUCAAACAACAUGUUACAUGAACUUAUCAUGGCUAACAAAGGCAUGGCAUGAAUCUACUAAUUUCAUAGAUCAAAAGUCCCUUACUGACCAUAAGCGAAAAAGGAGCAGAAAAUAUGAUGGCACCCAUGUAAACAUAGCAAGUUAUUAUUACAGAUUCAUACAUGGCAGGAACAUAAUUAUGAAGGCAUGUAGAUGAGCUUGUGCAACUCACUACAGAUCAAUACAUGGCAUGGCAAGGCACCCAACAGUAAGAAGGCGUGUUUGUGAAGCUAAGCAUGGCAAUAGCAAGUUCAUAGGAUGCAUGGAUCACUAGCAAAACACAUGAUAACAACUGAACUUAAUGUUAACAGGCUGACAACAACAUUUUCAAGCAACUUUGGAGCAAGAUAUGAACAAGCUACAACAAGCUAUAAUUGCAACCACGGGCAUGGCUGGUUAGAUCAUGACAUGUAGAUCAAAACAUGUUUAGUGAUCAUCUCCAUAUUAUGCAUAGAAUGAUUAGUAGCAACAUGUUUAUAUAGCAUCAUGAAAUAACACAUUCAACCUAGCAAAAUAGCAACAGCGAGAACACUACUUAACAAGCUCGAUACACUCACCACAAGUCAUGGCAUGACAAGAUAAGCAUAGCAUCAUCAAGAAGACAUGUUUGUGUAACAAUCCAAAGCAAGAACAAGUCCAUAGCAUGCAAGGAUCAACUAUAGCAACCUUGGCAAAAUUGAAUAACAUGUAAACAAUCUGCCAGGAAACAUUUUGAAGAAAAAGUAGAGCACGAAAUGACAUGCUAAACUACUCCAUAAUUGCAAACAAGGGCAUGAAUGGAUAGAAAAUAACUUAUUGUUCAAAACACCCUUACUGAAGUAUCUCAAAAUAUGCAUGGAUCUCUCUAUAGCAACAUGUUUACAUGGCAUCAAAAUUAUAGCAGAACAGGGACUAAAAUCAGCAACAUCACGAUGCCUAGUUUGCAUGCUUGUGCUAGUCACCAUAUUGAUCACAAAAAUACAUCGCAUACACCCCUGUAAAGAUGGCAUGGCAUAGUUCAAAACACAUGUAGACAUCAACCUCAUAGGAUGCACACAUCAAUCAUGGCAAAAAUGACAAAAGAGCUCGUUCUGUUAACAGACAGCAGAAAACAUUAUGAAGCACUCUUGCAACGAUGAUUCAGGCAUCAAUAUAACCUAAAAUGAAUAUGAUGCAAUGGAAUGAAAUGAUGUGCUCGUUGGGACGAACAAUUUGACAUAUUACACGCACGAAACGGAGCUAUGGAUGCAGAGAUACAAUGCGAUGAACAUGGCAUGAAAAUUACAGAAAUCUGGGACUUAGCAGUUUCAGGAAAAAAAACAGGUGAGCGUCAAAUAACUACGAGACGCCCAGAGCGGGGAUUAGGGGGCUGCUCACCCUGGGCUCAGCCCACGAAGAGGAAGCAGGCCGGGGUGGAGGCUUGGCGGGCUGGGCCUUCACGGGGCCCACGCGGGGUCAACGCGAGCGGGCGGCGUCGUGUGGGAGGAGGCCGCUCCCGAGCGGGAUGACGGCGGCGCUAGCGGGGCUCCAGCAAGGCGGGGACGUCGGCGCAGGGUCAGCGGGCCCCGGAUCAGGCGGAGGCCGGCCGGAUCUGGGCGCCGGAGGAGGGACGGCGCCGGCGAGGGUCGCAGGCGGCGCCGGGCGGCGACUUGCGGGGCGGCGGCGAGGGACCUUGACGCGCGGAGGCGGCGGCGNNNNNNNNNNNNNNNNNNNNNNNNNNNNNNNNNNNNNNNNNNNNNNNNNNNNNNNNNNNNNNNNNNNNNNNNNNNNNNNNNNNNNNNNNNNNNNNNNNNNNNNNNNNNNNNNNNNNNNNNNNNNNNNNNNNNNNNNNNNNNNNNNNNNNNNNNNNNNNNNNNNNNNNNNNNNNNNNNNNNNNNNNNNNNNNNNNNNNNNNNNNNNNNNNNNNNNNNNNNNNNNNNNNNNNNNNNNNNNNNNNNNNNNNNNNNNNNNNNNNNNNNNNNNNNNNNNNNNNNNNNNNNNNNNNNNNNNNNNNNNNNNNNNNNNNNNNNNNNNNNNNNNNNNNNNNNNNNNNNNNNNNNNNNNNNNNNNNNNNNNNNNNNNNNNNNNNNNNNNNNNNNNNNNNNNNNNNNNNNNNNNNNNNNNNNNNNNNNNNNNNNNNNNNNNNNNNNNNNNNNNNNNNNNNNNNNNNNNNNNNNNNNNNNNNNNNNNNNNNNGGCGCGGGGAUCCGCGAGCUCCGGCGAUGGGGGAAGGCGCCGAAGUCGGGGACGGGGCAGGGCAGGAUUAUAUAUAUCGGAGAGUAGGAUUCUUUUACUCCUCAGCCCCUUCGUCGCUCUGGUGAGGUCUCCUGACGUAGAUGUUUUGACUGUCCUCUUCUCAAAUUUCACUAAAAAAAAUUAAGGAUCACGCGGGUAUCUUGGAAUCGUUCCGAUGGUUUUGUGACAAGAACAUUGUUCUUGGUGCCUCCUGUCUAUUAUGUGGCUUUGACCCGGGGAGUUGAGCUCCGAGGUGUUGUCAUCACAAUUUUAUCAUUGCAGUUCUGGAAUACCUGAGUUUUGCCGACAUUGAAAAUCUCUUUUAUGCAGUUGUUGGUGAGAUAACCUCGACGUCACCAGUACUUGGGAGUUCGGGAGUAUUGCCAUAACUCGUACAACGGAUGCUUUUCGAAGGUUGAGGUACACGAUUUCUGGAGUUUUCUUGGUUAUGUCACUACUAGGAAAAGGCCUACUAAUGGCGCACCUAAUUUGGCCAUUAAUGGCGCAUUAGUGGUGCUCCAUUAGUGCCACGCCAUUAGUAUAUUUUACUAAUGGUGCACCACUGGUGCGCCAUUAGUAUCUGGUAUACUAAUGGCGCACCAUUGGAUGCGUCACUAGUAUAUACAACAGUGCGCCAUUAGUAUGCCUCCCAGGGGGCCAUGUAUACCCAGGUGCUUUGGCAUACUAAUGGCGCACAAUAGCAAGAUGCGCCAUUAGUAACUUCGGCAUACUAAUGGCGCACUGUUUAAUGAUGCGCCAUUAGUAUCCUUUGGCAUACUAAUGGCGCACUGUGAAGUGAUGCGCCAUUAGUAUGAAUAUUAGGUUUUUUUUUAUUUUCUGUUUUUUGCACAGGUUACAAAAUGUAUAAUUGGACAAAAUAUAGACAGCACACAUCAACAACAGAUUCAUCGAAUACAAUAGAAGAUUAGUCUCUGAAUACAAUUCAUCAUAUUAGUCUCCGAAUUGAAAAGACCGAACAAAGAUAGAACAUUAUAUUACAAGUCUCGAGACCGCGAGUAGCGAGUUUGUCUUCACAUUACAAGUCGAUAUCGAUCAUCUAAACUACCGUCACAUAGAAGAGAGCUGCGGUCAUCACGAUGAGCAUCAUCACGAUGAAACUCGUCUUCAUCCGGUUCCUCCAACGCUCCCUCCCCUCUCCCGCUAGAUAGCGGGCGUAUCUAGAUUCGGCCUCGGCCCUAGUGGUGUACCCUUUGUAACUAUUACCGCUGAAUCGGUGAACCUGUCUCCAACACUCCUCCCAGUCGUCGUAGACUCCGGGAACCUUACCCUUGUACACGACAUACGACGGCAUCGCUAUGCACUAGCCAAACGAAACAUUAGUACCAAUUCACAGACAAUACAUAAGCAAUAUAUAAGUAUGCAACAGAACGAUCGGAAGAGAAAAGCAAGACAUUAAUAGCAUCGAUUACAUCUAAGUUGAACGACUCUCGAAACCAAAGAGACAUACUACAAGUUCAUUAAAGUUUAAUUACAACAUGAGCCAAUCGAUGUUUCAGAACUAGACACAGCAUCACUGCUUUCAACUCGACUCAAGGGACCGGAGCGUGGAUGAAGCCGCCGUCUAUCGUGGGAGUCAUGAAAGACCGGGCGUUGUCAGCCUGCAUUUGUAGCAUUGUGUCGAUGUCACUGUUGGACGGUUGAUUUCUGAGGUAGAACUGCCCCGAGGUACGAAGGACAUCUUGAUGGAUGAUUUCCGCAAACUCCGACUGGAUGCGAAAGAAUUCUUGUCUGAUGUCCGCGUCCUGGAUUGCCGACACGCUCGCGGCCCAAUCUUUGAGUUUACUCGGUAGCAGAAGUUGAUGAUGGUCCCGUACGAUCGCCCGCAUGUGAUGGAUGGCGUAGUAGGCACCCUUCUGACCGCCAGGCGGCUGCUUGACGCAGCAGAACAUCGUAUUGUGGGAGAACACGUGCUUGCCGUACUUACGAAUAGGCCUGGUGAAGGUGCCUCCAGAUUUGGCGUAGCUAGGGAGAACAUCAUCAAGAACCUUCUUGACAUUUGUGUAGUCUACGUUCGACUGACGGUCCGGGUCAAAAUACGUGGCCAUGGAAUAUUUGGGGCUUAGGAGGAUGAGCGUGCAAUGUGUGUCACUGCAGAAAACACGGAGUGUUAAAAGAAAAACGAUCGAAAUCUAAGAAUUCAUAUGUUACAGGCCGGUUGAGGAGAGGACUUACUCAGGAAAGUAAGGCACGAGGAAGUUAUCCUUAUCUUGGUUUGCCAGAAUGACGCCUUCGAGGUAAGAACUCGCGACUUGCCGGUCCCCAACGCUGCCCAAGAUCUUGGCACGCAUGUAGAUGGGGUCGACUAUCACGAUGUCCGGGGUCUUGUCGCGAAAAUAGCCGAACGAAGGUGUAGUGCAGCGGAUGAAGGUUCAUCAUAGCGUGGAUGUCAUCAAACCGCAGGAUGAUCGUACGCCCGAUGGAGUUAUCCACAAAGCCCUUGCCCUCUGGCACCUUGGCCGCGAAAACCGGGUAUGCCACAUCCUUCUCUCUGAGACGCCGCUUCUCCAAAGAAAGAACACUGUCAUGCAGACUCCGCAUAGCACCGGUUGCAGCAUUGAGCAUAUUUGUCGGUAGCAUCUCCCUACCCGCCACCCUCCUCGAGAUAUCCUCAGGUGAAGGUGGCCCGCCCUGAGCACGGAUCGUACUCGGUGCCGGCUGGCUCGCACCCUUGUUAGUCUUUCUUUUUCGUGCCUUCUUCUUCUCCUGUAAUGGGACCGAGUUCUGCUCACAUACCGCCUUCUUGAGUGUGUUUGGGCUGAUAAUAUUUCGCACCUCGCCUAUCUGAGGCUCGGUGAAGUCGGCAGCUGGAGGCGUCUCCUGAGAGCUGAACGGCAGACGACGCCUGUUGCAACUUGGCUUCUCCACGGUACCAGCUAGAUCGCGCACGUAUUUUGUUGGGUUGGGUUCUUGAGAAGGAGCCCCCAUGAAGUCGCCAUCGUACCCAUGUUCGGCAAAGUACUGAUCGACGUUGCCAAAUGUAUCGUCGUCGUCGUUGUUCUGAUCCUGUGCCAUAUGCAUGUUUGGAUCCAGUGGCAUAGGGAUGUCCGGCACCGUUGCGGCGGUCUUGCCAUGGGGCCGACUUGGCGCCGGCACGACUGGCGGUGUUGUCUUUGGGGUGGUGUCCCCCGCCCCCAAACGAAUCUGGCUCUUCGGCCAAAGCAGGGGCCAGCUCAGGCAGGCGCUGAGGGUCAUCACGUCAUCAUCGUCGGCCCCGACGGGUCGAAUCGGAGGUAACAACUCGUCACAGCCUGGCAGCACCCGAACCAGUUCAACCCUAAACAAGUUGGGUGGCAUCUGGGUACCGUGGAACAAGGGGUUGCCCGGUUGAACGAUUUUUCCCUUGGCGACAUCGACCAACUCGUUGUUCACGAAGUGCAGGAGAGUGCACAGAACGUCGGCGGCGCCCUGCGAAAACAUGUAGGGCGUCAGGGAUGCCCAGUCAACGGCAAGAAGAUGAAGUCCUCGACCGAGAGAGGCUUAAUUAGUUACCGUGAUGAUGGCGUCGAUCUCGGCUAAUGUCGAGGCACCGCCAACGGCGGGCGUGUAGUUGACGGAGGGGCCGCUUGCUGCAGAGGUGCCGGCCGGCGUACACCUGGGUGCAUUAAGCUCCCGUGCCGGCGUCGGAGACACCAAUGCCGCCUCCGUAGGAGACAACAAUGGCCCCGCCAUCGCAUUCUGCGAGUUGCUGGCCGUGAAGCUAGGAAUCAGGGGCGGCCCCUGUUGGCCGCCCGCAAUCCACGCACUCAACCCCUGGAUCAAGGUAGGAACAAUGGCGGUGAUCAUCGCUCCGAGUUGUUGUUGCACUUGCUCUUGGAAAAUCUCCAGAAUCCGCGCCACCUCUGCCUUGAGUUCUUGAACCUCGCGCACCUGGCUUUCCGAGCUGGUCUUUUUCUCCUUCCGCACACCAGCGGUAUAGUAUGACCCCCAUUUUGUCGACAAGCCUUUGCCGGCCACACGACUAGCUGAUGUCGGCUUACUGAGCUUAUCCUUGUUCUUCAUUACAUUCAAUGCCCUAUUUAGAGUGGUGUCCCAAGGGUUGCUCUUAGUCGACCCCGCGCUACUGCUUUCAGUCGCCUGCGGAAGGAAUGUGAACCAUUUCGAAAUUUGGCUUCAUUAAUUAGAAUGCAACCAUAUGGAGCUAAUUACGCGGGGGUGUAUUCCUUACCAGAACAAGCUCAAGCGCCCUGGUCUUCGGAUCCAUGGUAAGCUCCUUUGUUAGCGGGUCCUCCUUGUACCGGGCCCUGACAUAGUUCCUGGUCUGCUUAUUACCGCUGUAUUUCUCGAAGCGGGGCGGUAGGCCUUGCUCGGCAUGCUCCGCGUCCUCCUUGUCCCAUAUAGGCUCCGCCACUCUGUAACCGCCGGGACCGAGUUUGUGUUCCCCUAAGUUCAGCUCCUGCAUUUCUUUCCCCCACUGACUUGAUUGGGAGUUUGCGGUGCUCGAGCAAUUGAUCUUGAAGUCGUUGUAGUCAUCUUUGGUGAUCGAAGGAUUUUUCUCCUUGAUCUUCUCAUAACUCUCACCUUUCUCGAUCAUUCUCUUCACAUUGCUUUUCCAUGUAGACAGGGCCUUGCUCAUCUUCGUGAGGGCAGCAUUGUUCACUUUAUUCCCUUUGGGGCUUGUGUUUUCAAAAUCAGCGGGGAACUUGUAUCGUUCAUGCAGCUUCGUGAAGAGGAGGUUGCGCAAAUUCCCUCGGUCAGGAUGCCUCAGGUUCUCGGUGUUGAUCGAGACUGUGCUCCGGAGAAUGCACCCGAGCUGAAGCGAUUACCCCUUGACUAUUCGUUCGGGCGCCGUUGGAUUCCCGUCGGAGUCCAUUCAGUAACUUCCUCCUUGAGGGUGCGGAGCACGGUCGGGCGCCGGUCCUUCCGUUGCCUCUUCUGUUGGCUGCCAUCUGUGCGUGCGCCGCCAUCAUCAGUGGUGGCAUCCUCGGCGGCACCAUCAGUGGUGGCAUCAGUGGGGUCAUCCUCGGCGGUACCAUCAGUGGUCUCAGGAUCGGUGGGGAAGGCAGCGUCCUCAUACAAGUGAGGUUGUUCCUCCAUCUCCUGGGACAGCUCCCAGAAUGCCUUGCCACCCGAACCCCCGGCCUGAUCGUUGUUGGCCAUGUUUCUCUCUAAAUAGGAACAAAGUUUGGUCAAAAAGUUGGUUAUUGUCAAGGAAUAAGAUCAUGGUCUCAUCAUUUAGGGUUUGUCGACACCGAGGCAUCCUAAAAGCUAAGCUUUUAUCAUUGAGGGUUUUUCGACGCCGAGGCACCCUAAAAGCCUAAGCUUUCAUCAUUAGUCACAAGUACCCCGGCCCAUGCAUUAGUCACAAGUACCCCAUAUGUCCUAUUUUUAGCAAAGUCAUGCUAAAAUUCACGGAAAAUUUCAGCAUGACCUUUGCUGAAAAUUGGACAUAUGGAGUACCCGAAUUUGCUGGAACGGAAGUUAAUCGACAUUCCAGCAAACUCAAGGGCCUCUCGGGUGGACAAGGCAAAAAAGGCCUUCAUCACAACAUGGAAAAUACAUUGGCAUGUGAAGAGGUGAAACAAUAUAUGCAUCUCCAAGCAGUAUCAUUCAACAUUUUGGACAAACCACUACAAGCAAUACUGGAUCAGAAUGUUUUUUAUACAUAACUGCUAAAACCCUAGGAGUUAACCGAGCCACCAACAGAAUGUGGACUUAAAAAGAGAGAGUCACGGACAGUGACAUGAUACAUUUUCAUUUGACAAAAACAGCUUAAUUAGAAAACAUGUAAUGGGCUUCAGCCCAACAAGAAAUCGACUGACCCAAAAUAGGUGUCAAUCAAAAAACGUGCAACCCAAUACAGGACAGCACACACAACAGAAAAAAAAUCCUAGAACGUAUCUUGGAGCAGCAAUCAACGGUUAAAAAAUCGACUGACCCAAAAUGUAUAACUCAGUCAGCUAACAUGUAGCUAAAGUGUAGUAUUAUUUGUUCCUCCUGUAUCUCAUCAUGUGAUUUUUUCCCUUGCAAUUUUUGUACCUACAAGAUGUCAGCUAACAGUCUUUCAGUAUCUAAACAGAUGCAGCAACUAUGAUGUUGGUAUGAAACUGUCCUACAGGUCAGGUUUCAAACUGUUGACAAUAGAUGUGCAGAUCGAUAGAUUGUGUUAAAAUCAUUAACUUGCCUGGGCUGAUUUUGUAAUGGAUUAACUUGAUUUAAUGGCGUGCAGCUUCAGGGGCAGAUGGAAAUGUAUAGCUUAUGACAUAAUCGCAGAAACUCGGGCAACCCAUUUGCUUAUUUGAUAAAUCCUCCCCUGGUCCAGGCCACUAACGUGUCCAUUUCCUUAGCUCCUCCUCAUGACGUAGCAUUCUUAUUUAUUCCAUAUCCUUAAUUUUUACACUAACUGGGCCAGCGAGUCUUUGUUAGUUAAGUGUGCCAAUAUAUGUCUAUUUUUUUCUUGUCUUAACGACAUGACAAAUGAUACAUGAUUAGUGAGCUGAGUUGUGACCAAAGAUCAAAUUCUCUUGGUUAUAUGAUAUUCUACAUUGUCAGCAAAGGCGCAUGGGUAGUGUUUCCUAAAACUGGGUAAGUUCUCACACAAAAUUGUUCAUCCAUUACUUAGGUUUGCUUUUAUUCACAUUGUUCAGCCAUUACAUAGGUAGUCCCUGAUGCAUUUUCUUAAAUAUAUAUUCAGCUUAGUGCUAGGUUGGUCUUGAAGGAUUAAGCAGUGCCACAUUAAAUUACUUUUACUUCCCUGUAAACACCUUGGAUCCUACCUUCUUUAGAAACAAAACUGCACUACUUUUUCCUAGAGAAGCCCAAAUUUAAAGAAGUGUUUCUUUUCCAUGUUGUUUCUUCUACUGGUUGUCAGAGUCUUAUUCUUGAUUGAGAAAUUAUAAUGUGACAUUGUAGUUCGAAGGUAACUACGAAGUUUUGAGUGAUGUACAUUAGUUAAUGAUUUUGAGCUACUGGUGGGAAAAAAUCAAGGUUCGGCAUAUUGGACAGUAAAGCAUAUGUUUCAAGGUUCAGCUAUACUUUUCUAGGCUGUACAGUUUUUUUCUAACUUGAGAAACACCUGUCUUUGACAAACAUAAUUAGAUCAUAGGCUUUUUAAAGAAGAUACCAGGAACAUAUAAGUUUGACAUUCCCAAUAUUAUUUUCCAUUCCCUUGAGAUAAUAUUAUUUUUGCUAAUAUUCUUAGUAUACACAAUUUUGCCAUGAAAUACACACGAUAAGUCAGAGUAAUGCCAGUUGGCUGGUGCAGAUAUAAUGUUUGGUGGUUCGACUAUCCAUUUCUGGUGUUUGAGUAGAACCCUAUUAUUUCAGGUAGUCUCAGUGAAGCUAGAUGAAUGGACAGAUGAACAAGUUGAUUUUUUGACCGACUCGGGCGGAAAUGGCGCAGUAAACAGUACACCUUUCUCCUAAUACAUCAUACCAAGCAUGAGCAGGACGUGAGUAAUGGUGACACCAACGCAUAGGGGAGAGGGGGNNNNNNNNNNNNNNNNNNNNNNNNNNNNNNNNNNNNNNNNNNNNNNNNNNNNNNNNNNNNNNNNNNNNNNNNNNNNNNNNNNNNNNNNNNNNNNNNNNNNNNNNNNNNNNNNNNNNNNNNNNNNNNNNNNNNNNNNNNNNNNNNNNNNNNNNNNNNNNNNNNNNNNNNNNNNNNNNNNNNNNNNNNNNNNNNNNNNNNNNNNNNNNNNNNNNNNNNNNNNNNNNNNNNNNNNNNNNNNNNNNNNNNNNNNNNNNNNNNNNNNNNNNNNNNNNNNNNNNNNNNNNNNNNNNNNNNNNNNNNNNNNNNNNNNNNNNNNNNNNNNNNNNNNNNNNNNNNNNNNNNNNNNNNNNNNNNNNNNNNNNNNNNNNNNNNNNNNNNNNNNNNNNNNNNNNNNNNNNNNNNNNNNNNNNNNNNNNNNNNNNNNNNNNNNNNNNNNNNNNNNNNNNNNNNNNNNNNNNNNNNNNNNNNNNNNNNNNNNNNNNNNNNNNNNNNNNNNNNNNNNNNNNNNNNNNNNNNNNNAGACGAGGACGACGGGGCGGCGGGGCGGCGGCGUCGGGAGAGGAGAGGGCGGUGUUGGGGCGUCGGGGCGGAGACGAGGACGACGGGGCGGCGUCGAGGCGGCGUCGGGGCGGCGGGGCAGUGGCGUCGGGAGAGGGGAGGGGAAGGGGAUCGAGGGCGAGGGCGAGGGAGAGAGAGGGGAUAGGUUUGGGCCGGCCGGGAUAUGGAUGGGGGCGGCACAAUACUAAUGGCGCACCACACCACGGUGCGCCAUAAGUACAUCCAUACUAAUGGCGCACCUCGCCCUGGUGCGCCAUUAGUAUUUUUUUUUAUUUCUGCUCGAGCCAACAGGUUAUCUUCCACCUGACCUGAUCCACAUCAAGUUCCCUCUACUAGCUCGACUGGUCAGCAACCAGUUCUCACACCAGGAGGUCCUGGGUUCGAUUCCCAAGCUCCACAAUUUUUUUUAUGCAUCUAAAAUGUUGUUUGAUACUUAUUUGUGUUUAAAUAUGUUCAAACUUGUUUAAAUCAUCACAGUAAUAUAUUUUUUAUAAGACAGUAAUAAUUUUUUAAAAAUAUCAUCAAACAGUAAUGCCGGUGGAGNNNNNNNNNNNNNNNNNNNNNNNNNNNNNNNNNNNNNNNNNNNNNNNNNNNNNNNNNNNNNNNNNNNNNNNNNNNNNNNNNNNNNNNNNNNNNNNNNNNNNNNNNNNNNNNNNNNNNNNNNNNNNNNNNNNNNNNNNNNNNNNNNNNNNNNNNNNNNNNNNNNNNNNNNNNNNNNNNNNNNNNNNNNNNNNNNNNNNNNNNNNNNNNNNNNNNNNNNNNNNNNNNNNNNNNNNNNNNNNNNNNNNNNNNNNNNNNNNNNNNNNNNNNNNNNNNNNNNNNNNNNNNNNNNNNNNNNNNNNNNNNNNNNNNNNNNNNNNNNNNNNNNNNNNNNNNNNNNNNNNNNNNNNNNNNNNNNNNNNNNNNNNNNNNNNNNNNNNNNNNNNNNNNNNNNNNNNNGGUGUGCGGGGGGUCGGCGGCGGCGGUUGAGUAGCGGAAUCGAGGGUGCGGGGGGUCGGCGGCGGCGGCCGGUGGACCGGGGGGUGCUCGGCGGCGAGGGGGGCCGGAUCUGGCGAGGUGGGAUAGCGAUCGAGAUGGAGGGGGAUCGAGAUCGAGUGUCCAUGAAAUUUAAAAAUAUUCAUGAUAGUUCAAAAAGUGCCCAUGAAAUACAAUCGAGAAAUGAAGGCUACGAUUUAAAUACAAUCGAUCUUAGCUAGCUAUCUAUUCACAAUCUUCUUGCCCUUCUUUUUCUCAAAUGGAGUUCUUCUGUGGAACGGACGUCCAUUAGGUAGGGUGGUCCUGCUUCUUCUUGUGGUGUAUGCUGCUACUUCAUCAUCGUCGUCAUGUUCGAUCCUCAGGUCGCCGUACUUGUCGAAGUCUUGCUCAUUGGCUACUCCAUCCAUUCCGAUGAUCUUCCUUUUGCCUCUCCUCACGACAACACGACUGGGCUUUGGAGGGUCGGUAAUGAAGAAGCAUUGGUCCACUUGGGAAGCCAGUACCCAUGGCUCAUUUUUCGCGGUGACGUUUGCGCCCGCGGUCUUGGAUUUGGCUUCGGGUAUAACCAUGGUGGUGAAAUAUCGGUCUUCUUUUAGGACGCUCUUGGCCCAUCUGACACGGAACAUCGGCACCUUCUCUCCAGCUUAGCUCAGCUCCCAGAUCUCCUCGAUCCUUCCGUAGUAUCUAUCCUUGUCCUUACCGUUGUAGGAUUCCAUCGUUACCCCGGAGUUCUGAUAACCAUCGCUCUUCAUGUCCUUGUCCUCGGUGUAGAAUAUGUAGCCGUUGAUAUCGUACGCCUCAUAGGUCAUCAGGUUGUGCUCGGCGCCCUGUGACAAGGUGAAUAUGAGUUGUUCUUCCGCGGAAGAAUCUUCAUGUAAAGGGUACGACAGAAACUUCUGCUUGAACCAACACGUGAAACAUGAGUUGUGCUCUUUGAGUAUAUCUCCGUCCGUCCUCUGUUGGCCUCGGUCAUUGUACGUCUUCUCAAUAAAGGUUUUGUGCUCUACCACCCAAGUAUCGACCACGUCUAUGUGUUGUAGCGCGACUAGGUUUGCUCUUUCAAAGUCGGCGAGUCGACCCUCGAAGUCGACAUGCAUUUCGCGGCGACCCUCACGGUGACCCCAUCCAGCGAGCCUGCCGAGGUGCCUGUUGACGGGCAGACCAACGGGGUUCUCGAUGCCUAGAUAAUUCGUGCAGUAGGAGAUGCACUCUUCGGUCAGAAAGCCCCUGGCUAUACUUCCCUCUGGACGUGACAUGUUCCGAACGUAUCCUUUGAUGACACCAUUCAUCCUUUCGAACGGCAUCAUGCUGUGCAGGAACGUCGGCCCGAGUUGGAUGAUAUCCUCCACGAUAUGGACCAGCAGAUGCACCAUAACGUCGAAGAAUGCGGGCGGGAAGUACAUCUCAAGCUCGCAUAGUAUCACCACGAUCUCUUCCUGUAGCCUUCUGAGUUGCCUCACGCCAAUCGACUUCCGAGAGAUGACGUUGACAAAGUUGCAUAGGCCAAAUAGCGUUUCACGGACGUGCGCAUCCAUGAUCCCACGGAUUGCAACUGGAAGUAUCUGCGUCAUCAGCACGUGACAGUCGUGAGACUUCAUCCCGCUGAACUUCUGCUUUGCUGGGUCUAGGUAUCUGCUUAUCUUCCCCGCGUAACCGUAAGGAAGUUUUACUCCUAGGAGGCAGGUGAAAAACUACUCGAUCACCUCCUGACUUAGAGUGAAGCACGCGGGAGGGUAGUCAUUUCCGGUCUUCUUGGCCUUUUUGCCUUUGCGACGACUUUCUGUGUCCUGCUUCGCCUCAUCAUCAUCAUCAUCAUCAUCAUCAUCAUCAUCAUUAGCAUGAAGCUCCUGCCUGAUGCCCAUUGAUUUCAAGUCUGCCCUUGCUUUCGGCCCAUCUUUGGUCCUCUCUGGCAUGUUGAGCAGGGUACCAAGCAGACUCUCGCACACGUUCUUCGUGAUAUGCAUGACAUCAAGGCUGUGAGGCACACGGUGGAUCUUCCAGUACGACAAGUCCCAGAAAACAGACCUCGUUUUCCAUACCUUGAGCAGGGGCUCUAGCGCCUUUCGCUUCUUUCCCGGCUCUGGCGCCUUUUGCUUCUUUCCCGGCAGUGGGCAGUCUUUCCAAUUUUUGAACAACUUGUCUAUUUCCUCGCCGCUCCUCGUACACGGGCCUUUUCGGGGUUCGGUUUCACCAUCGAACAGAUCCGCACGUUUCCUCCACGAGUCAUCGUCGCGAAGCCACCUUCGAUGUCCCAUGAACACGGUUUUCGAAGACCCGGGAUCUCUAUCUAGCUGGCGAUACAUUGUGUCAUCCAUGCACCUUACGCAUCCAGAAAAUCCGUGGACUACCUGCCCCGCAAGAUAUCCGUAACCGAGAUAGUCGUGCACCGUCGUGAGCAGUGCGGCUCUCAUAGGGAAAUAUUCUUUCUCUGCGGCGUCCCACAUAUUGGCUGGCAUUUUCCACAGCGUGUCAAGCUCCUCUUUCAGCAGCCCCAGAUACAGAUUGAUGUCGUUCCCUGGUUGUUUCGGCCCUUCAAUUAGCAUACUCAUGUGAAUGUACUUCCUCUUCAUGCACAACCAGGGGGGAAGGUUGUACAUCCACACAAACACAGGCCAGGUGCUAUGUGUGCUUCUCUGGCUGCCAAACAGAUUGACUCCAUCGGUGCUCGCGCCCAGCACGAUGUUCCUUGGAUCGUUCCCAAAUUCUGAGUCUUCGAAGUUCAACGCUUGCCACUGGCUCGCAUCCUUAGGGUGACUCAGCAUCUUGUCUUUUUUAUCUAUCUCCGGAUCAUUUGCCUCAUCUUCUCGCUUCUUCUCCCCCCUAUCCACAUGCCAACGCAGGAGCUUUGCUACCUUAGGGUCCGCAAAAUACCGCUGCAGGCGAGGAGUGAUCGGAAAGUACCACACCACUUUUCGAGGAGCUUUCUUCCUCUUCUUGUAUCGAGUGACGCCGCACACCAGACAUAUGGUAGACUCCGCGUGCUCGUCCCGAUAAAUGAUGCAAUUGUUCAUGCACACAUGGUAUUUCAUGUGUGGUAAAUCCAGAGGACACACGAUUUUCUUCGCCUCCUCCAAACUGGUCGGGCACUUGUUCCCCUUGGGAAGACGUUCGUGCCAGAAUGACAUGUUCUCGUCGAAACAUGCGUCGGUCUUUUUGUGUUUUACCUUCAUCUCCAGAGCCAUGAGCGUUACUUUCAGGCGGGUAUCCUCGGGCCUGCAUCCUUCAUACAAUGGAGUAACCGCGUCUAACUCAAGUUGAUCCAUCUUGGCUUUCUCUCGGGCGGCAGCUCUUGCGUUAUCCGUUUGCUUGAGAAGCAGCUCUUGAAUAUGAGGGUCCUGCACCCAGCCCAUCGAUGGUCCAGCGUCGUCUGCUCCGCCGGCAUCAUCAUCUUCAUGAUCAUGCCCGUCGUCUGCUCCGGCAUCUUCCUCAUCAUCAUGUCCUGCAUCUUCUACAUGAUGACUGUGUACAGCAUCACCAUCGUGAUCAUCUCCUGGGGAUUCUUCGUCUUCUCGCCCGUCCGAGCCCCGGUGGUUGUCUUGCUGCCCUUCCUCAUUUCUUGCCCGGCCCCCAUGGACGACUUUGUAGUCAUCUUCAUCACCUUGCCACCGAUAGCCAUCCAUGAAACCACGCAAGAGCAGGUGGUCCCGCACCUGCCUGGAAUCCGGGUCCGCAAUAAGGCUCUUCAGCUUGCAUCUUCUACACGGAUAUCUUAUCUCUGUCUCGUUCUUUUGAAGCAUCUCGGCCUUCACGGACCUCAAAAACCUAUUCACGAUGCCUUCGGUCAUCGUGCGGACCAUGGUCGCCUGCGGGGUAGAGCAAAACGAUAUUUUAGAACCAAGAAAAAAUUUGGCAUGACUUUCCCUAAAAAUAGGACCAAAAAGAAUGCUUAAUGCCAAAAUUCUCGCUAAAACGGAAAUGAAUCAACAUUCCGGCAAAAUAUUGGCAACUAUCGCAUUUCAAAUACCGGUACACCUCCAAACACAAACACAUAUGCAACACCACAAACAUAUGCAACACCACGAACAUACAUAGAUCUAGCUAGGCCAUAAAAAGUGCAUGUGCACAUUGUUGUAGGGAGAACAACAUAAAUAUAGCUUCCCCCCUUACUUACCUAUCAAAACAAGGUAAUUUAACCACUUAAUUUGAAUGAAUCUAUGGUGGAAAUGAGGUGAAAAAGAGAAGGCACCCGAGACAAGGAGGAGGUGGAGAGAAUGAAGUGGGGAGAAAGAAAGUGUGGGUAGGAGAGGUUGUCCAAAAUAUCUUGUUGUUGCCCACUUACUAAUGGCGCACCAGCACUAAAUGCGCCAUUAGUAAUCCAGGUUACUAAUGGCGCACCUUCUCGUGGUGCGCCAUUAGUAGUUUUGCAAAAAAAAACAUACUAAUGGCACACUGUUCUACAGUGCGCCAUUACUUGUUUAAACUAGUAAUGGCGCACGGUUGUACAGUGCGCCAUUAGUAGUAUUGCAAAAAAAGGAAUAAAAAAUAUAAUAAAAAAACAACUUUAGUGGCGCACUUUCCGACGGGUGCGCCAUUACUAGUUACAACUAGUAAUGGCGCACUGUGCCUGAUGCGCCAUUAGUAUGUUUGGACAGGCGCACUAGUUCAAAAAAAAUUUUGAUACUAAUGGCGCACCUUGUGCCAGGUGCGCCAUUAGUAGUUUCAACUCUAAUGGCGUAUCUGAAGGUGGUGCGCCAUUAGUAUAUACUAAUGGCGCACCCCUUGUCUGGUACGCCAUUAGUGUCAAUCCCAUCUAUAGCCCUUUUUCUAGUAGUGUGUGUUGACGGAUGGAUACAGCUGGAUGUAGGUAUUGUUAGUUUGGGUGAGAUAUAUUGCUUCCGCUGUAUCCCCAACACCAGAUUGCAUAACCAGAAAGUUUCGGGAGUUUAUAGGUGGUAAUUCAAGUAGCUCCUAGAAUAUCUUUCUGACAGAUGCAUGGUAUGGGAUUGGGUAAAUCUCUAUCAUAUGUUUGAUUCCGGCUUAUUCUGCAAGCCAAAUCCUUUGUUUUGUUUUAUUUGUGGUAUUCAAGUUGCUUCAAUGUCAAGUGUUGAUUCCAUACCUUUCAAGCGGUGUUCUCAUAUUUCUAUGGGAGUACUAAUCCUUCUUGAUCACUGAGGUUGUCAUGUCAACUAUUUUCCAAACCGGCGUGCUUCUCUUCAAGUGGAUCCCAUCAUUUUUCCCAUCCGCAAGAUCAAUUCUAAGUUUUCUGAACGGUGUUUAUGCCACCUGCCCCAAGUUGUCUUUGUUUUUCCCCACCCUCCCACCCUUUUCUUCAAGGACUCAGAUUUCUUAAUCAUGUAUCCUUCUAUUUGUGGGAAGUCUCUUCAUUCUUUUCUGUCAAUGUUCUUAUCCGGUGAUUUCCCAAGAAGAUGCUCAACAGUUUUAAGUUCAUCAUCCUCCAUUGUUGUUUCUUCUCCGGUGGAUCCAAUUCAAGCUUUUGAUAUUCAUCAUAUUCUUUUCCUCGUUUCUAAUGCUUUCUCAUGCCGAUGCACCUCUUAAUCAUUCACUUCUUCCUAUUCAUUUGUCCUGGAGUGCUGAAGAUAUCUCGGAAGACUUGUGUUUCCAUUCUCAAUCCGUUCAAGAUAUUUUCGAGGUUGUUAUCUCAUUCAAGUCAUUUAAUUCAAUCGGUGCAAUCCCCCCUUUCAAUCUCGUUCAAUGGUGUUUUCUUUUGAGUGGGCCCUAACCCACUGGUCUUUUCCCAGGAUCUUACCUGACUCUUCGAAUUAUCAGGAGCGAUUCUCAAAUUCAUUUCCAAGUUGACGUAAGAAUGAAUUAUCAUCAAUCAAAUGUCUUUCUCCAAGAUUUUUCAAAUCAUUUCAUUGUUGGCUCAACCUCUUCGCUUUUCAUUCUCCCGGAGUAUCUCAAUAAUUUUGGUGCUAUUUCCCGUCGUCAUUUGAAGACCGAAGAAGAGUUUUUCCUCUAAAUCAUGUCCGUUCACUCGAAGAUUCGUGGUUCUAGCUUCAUGUUAUCAGUCUCGAAUUAUUCCAUUUGUCAGAUAUUCCUUUUCUCACCCAUCCGGAGUAUUUCAGGAGUUGAUUUCUAUUUCUUUUCACCGGAGGCCAUCGUUCCAGUUACCGUUAUCCAUUUAUCCCGGUGCUUCGUUCAAGUGUUCUUUAAUCAGCUCAUUAUCUCUUCAUUCUUUUGCAUCUAAAUCCCCUCUAACAUAUUUGUUCUUCUAAUUCUUCCCGGUGAUUCAUUCUCUUUCAUCAAUCAUUUUCUAAUUCUUACGGCGGUUCAUUCAGAUUCUUUUUCCUUUUUUAUCGUAUCAAUCCAUUCAUUCUUUCCAAUCGUACCGAUGGUUCAUGAAGACUUUCUCAAGUUUUGUGCUGUCACUUCUCAAUCCUUUUCAAGAAGAAUAAGUAGUAUGAAUAAUCCAUUGUUUCUCAUCAAUUUAAUUGGUGGAGGAUAAGCAUACAAUAAAUCUUAUUCUUAUUUCAUCCAAGUGAGUAAUCCCUUCCUUUGGAGUUUGUUCUUAAUGAAUAAAUUCUAGUUCCAAGUGUUUCCCAUCUUUUAUUUUCCGGAGUUCCAAGUUUUCUUGGUUAUAUCGUCGUAAAGCUCCAUCUAAAUCAUCGCAAGGCUUCACCUUGUGUUUUUCAACUUAUCUUUCUUUCUAUCAUCCUUUCAUUACCGGAGUUCUUCAUGGAGGCUCUACAUGGUGGUUCGUCAAGGAUUCUUUCAUUCUUCAAUUGUUCCUCAAGUUUUCUCUCGAAGCUAUGAUCCGUCAAGCCAUACUUCAAAAUAAACAUGGUGCUCAACACAUGUUUUGUUUUGAGGAGUUCAAGAAUUCUUCAUCUUGCAUUCCAAAGUGCAAUUAUUUCUACCUUAUCUUUUGAGGUGGUGUUAUGUCACUCUUGACAAUUUCAUUCAUGUUUCUUGAUUCAUAUGUUGUCAAGAAUGAGGUAGUUAAACCCAUCAACUCCUUCGAGCAUGAGUUCUUCUCAGUCCAUCAAUCUCUUCAUUGGAGUUAUCUUGUGUCAGAUUUCACUUAAAGCCUUCCCUAAGGAAUGUUGCUAUUUGUGGUGCUUAUCAAUGAUCCAAGUUUUCUCCUAUCCUCUCGGCGAAGGCAGUUUUCAGCUCUUCGUUGAUCUCAAACAAGCAAUUGUUUUUUGUUAGUGGCAGAAUUUCACCUCAAGUGUUGAAAUGUUUCAAUAAGCCCACUACAAGCUUAUUCGUUUCAUUGUUGGUUUCCCAACAACUCCGUUAUAACCUUUUUGGAAGGGUGUUUUCCAAGCUCAUUUGGGGCACAAGUUGGCAUUUUCUCCUCCAUCUGUUAUUCCAAUGAUCUAUCUUCUAUUCAAGUUAACCGGAGUGUUAUUCCGGAGGCAUUGUAAUGUCGCUCUCUUCACUCAUCUUCGCGAAUUGAGGAUCGUGUUCUUUUCAUGCUUAUCCAGUUAACCGGAGUGUUGUAGUCUCAUUCAAGUUCUUUCAUCUUAUCAAGUUUUGCUGCCUUCCUCUACCGGAGAGCUGUCUGAAAUCCUUCUUACCCCUUGUGCCAUUCUUUCAAUAGUUUCGGAGGUAGUGUGUUGUUUAUCUCAUCAAGUAUCAUCCCUUCUUCUCAAGUUCAUGUUCUAUUCCUUCCAUGUUCAACCGGAGUGCUGCCCAAAUUAUAUCAAUCUUAUUCCUUCUCCAUCUAGUUUUAACCGGAGUGGUUUCAAUAUCUAUCUCAUCACUAAACCUACAAGGUUCUCGAAUGUUCCUUGUUCCUCUUUUCUAACGGAGUGUUUUCAACUUUGUUCAUCUUUGUUGUUUUCUUUCUUCAUUUUGCUCAACCUCUCAAGGUUCUUUGGUUUCACUCGUUUGUCGAAGAAGCAACUUAGUUUUACCUCUUCUCUUCCUCUUCCGUUUCUCUCCGGUGCCAUCCUGGAUCUCGGGUCGAGAUCCUCUCGUAGUGGUGGAGUGUUGUAACGCCCCGGAUCCGAUGCGCCAGGUGUCAUUCAGUUAUUCGCCGUCGUUGCCAUGUCAUUUGCUUGCGUGUUGCAUUUUGUCAUGUCAUCAUGUGCAUUUCAUUUUGCAUACGUGUUCGUCUCAUGCAUCCGAGCCUUUUCCCCGUUGUCCGUUUUGCGAUCCGACACUCCUAUGCCCUCCGGCGUUCCCCUUUUCGUCUCCUGUUGUGAGUGGGUGUUAAACUUUCUCGAAAUGGCCCGAGGUUUGCCAAGCAGCCUUGGUAUAGCACCGGUAGACCGCCUGUCAAGUUUCGUGUCAUUUGGAGCUUGUUUGGUCUCCAAUGGUUAACCGGGUAACCGUAAAGCCCCUCUCUCUUUGCAGCCCAACACCCCUUCCAAAGUGGCCCAAAACCCAUCUAACUCCCCUCCAUGCUCUCGGUCGUUCGAUCACGAUCGUGUGGGCGAAAACCGCUCCUCAUUUGGACUCUCCUAGCUCCCUCUACCUAUAAAUAUGCCCCUCCCCCGAAAUUCGCGGAUCAAAUCCCCCCUAACCUAGCCCUCUCCUCCCCGCGCUGCCGGACAUGUCCAUCCGCGCCGGACAUGUCCGCCGGACACGUCGCUCCGGCCAAUCCCGUCGCGCCACAUCGCCUUCCCCGCCGCCUCAUCCAACCAGGAGCCACCACCUCAGCCCACGCCCGCAUCAUCUCUCUCCCCGCGCCGCCGCGGACCGCCCGGCCCACGGGAGGCCCGUCCCGGGCCGCGACCGGGCCCGAGCGCGCCCGUGCUCCGCCUCCGUCNNNNNNNNNNNNNNNNNNNNNNNNNNNNNNNNNNNNNNNNNNNNNNNNNNNNNNNNNNNNNNNNNNNNNNNNNNNNNNNNNNNNNNNNNNNNNNNNNNNNNNNNNNNNNNNNNNNNNNNNNNNNNNNNNNNNNNNNNNNNNNNNNNNNNNNNNNNNNNNNNNNNNNNNNNNNNNNNNNNNNNNNNNNNNNNNNNNNNNNNNNNNNNNNNNNNNNNNNNNNNNNNNNNNNNNNNNNNNNNNNNNNNNNNNNNNNNNNNNNNNNNNNNNNNNNNNNNNNNNNNNNNNNNNNNNNNNNNNNNNNNNNNNNNNNNNNNNNNNNNNNNNNNNNNNNNNNNNNNNNNNNNNNNNNNNNNNNNNNNNNNNNNNNNNNNNNNNNNNNNNNNNNNNNNNNNNNNNNNNNNNNNNNNNNNNNNNNNNNNNNNNNNNNNNNNNNNNNNNNNNNNNNNNNNNNNNNNNNNNNNNNNNNNNNNNNNNNNNNNNNNNNNNNNNNNNNNNNNNNNNNNNNNNNNNNNNNNNNNNNNNNNNNNNNNNNNNNNNNNNNNNNNNNNNNNNNNNNNNNNNNNNNNNNNNNNNNNNNNNNNNNNNNNNNNNNNNNNNNNNNCAAGUCGCCGCCCGGCGCCGCCUGUGACCCUCGCCGGCGUCGUCCCUCCUCCGGCGCCCAGAUCCGGCCGGCCUCCGCCGGACCUGGGGCCCGCCGACCCUGCCUCGUCGUCCCCACCUCGCCGGAGCCCCGCCAGCACCGCCGUCGUCCCGCUUGGGAGCGGCCUCCUCCCGCUCGACGUCGCCCGCUCGCGUUGACCCCGCGUGGGCCCCGUGAAGGCCCAGCCCGCCAAGCCUCCACCCCGGCCUGCUUCCUCUUCGUGGGCUGAGCCCAGGGUGAGCAGCCCCCUAAUGCCCGCUCUGGGCGUCUCGUAGUUAUUUGACGCUCACCUGUUUUUUUUUCCUGAAACUGCCAAGUCCCAGAUUUCUGUAAUUUUCAUGCCAUGUUCAUCACAUUGUAUCUCUGCAUCCGUAGCUCCGUUUCGUGCGUGUAAUAUGUCAAAUUGUUCAUCUCAACGAGUACAUCAUUUCAUUCCAUUGCAUCAUAUUCAUUUGAGGUCAUAUUGAUGCCUGAAUCAUCGUUGCAAGAGUGCUUCAUAAUGUUUUCUGCUGUCUGUUAACAGAACGAGCUCUUUUGUCAUUUUUGCCAUGAUUGAUGUGUGCAUCCUAUGAGGUUGAUGUCUACAUGUGUUUUGAACUAUGCCAUGCCAUCUUUACAGGGGUGUAUGCCAUGUAUUUUUAUGAUCAAUGUGGUGACUAGCACAAGCAUGCAAACUAGGCAUCAUGAUGUUGCUGAUUUUAGUCCCUGUUCUGCUGUUAUUUUGAUGCCAUGUAAACUUGAUGCUACAGAGAGAUCCAUGCAUAUUUUGAGAUACUUCAGUAAGGGUGUUUUGAACAAUAGGUUAUUGUCUAUCCAUUCAUGCCCUUGUUUGCAAUUAUGGAGUAGUCUAACUAUUUCCUGGCAGAUUGUUUACAUGUUAUUCAAUUUUGCCGAGGUUGUUGUAGUUGAUCCGGGUAUGCUAUGAUGUUGUUUAUUGCCAUGUAUAGCUUCUAUGACAUGUCUUCUUGAUGGAUGUAUGCUUAGUUUAUCAUGAAAUGCUCUGUAGUGAGUUGCACAAGCUCAUCAACAUGCCUUCAUAAUUAUGUUCCUGCCAUGUUUGAAUCUGUAUAAAACUUGCUAUGUUUACGUGGGUGCCAUCAUAUUUUCUGAUCCUUUGUGGCUUAUGGUCAGUAAGGGUCUUUUGAUCUAUGCAAUUAGUAGAUUCAUUCCAUGCCUUUGUUUGCCAUUAUAAGUUCCUGUAACAUGUUGUUUGAUAGCUCUAAACAUUGCAUCGUGAUGUUAUUUUCUGCAAAGUCUGAAAUUGUUAUUACUUGCAAUCUUACCAUGUGUGUUUGAGUAUGUUCUAGUGUUUUCUGGAGAUAGCCCAGUGUUCAUGUUUUGUAAUGCUUUACCUAUACAUCAUGCCCAAGUCUUUUUUUUAUGUUGGGGUGCUGUAGCAUGUCAUUUUGGUGCUUGCAACAUGCCUAGUAGCUGUUUUGGACAGCUUGUCCUUAUAACUUGUUUCAUGUGUGUGUGUUGAACCGUUGCUCCGUUUUGAGUGUGCUCUAUAUGAAACUUACUUGAUUUUGCAUGUAGUUUCAUAUUAUCAUGUUGCAUCCUUGUUUUGAGGUGUUUGCUUGAUGUUUGAAUGCAUUUUGCAUCAAUGCCAUGUUUAACUUAUUUUGUUCAUAUCUUCUAGGCCGUAGCUCCGAACUAAAUGAACUUUAUAUGUAACUUGACUAGAAUCUCGUGUAGAUCAUUGUUGUGCAUCUUAACUUGUUGUUUAACAACUAUAACAUAAUGUUUAUUCAGAUCUGGACCAACUUCGAAAUAUGCAUAUGAGGACUUACCGGAAUUGUUAUAUGUUGUUCCCGGCCUCGUUUAAACUUGCCUUGGUGUGUUGCUCUUGUUUGCAUCAUCUCUUGCCAUGAGUAGCUUCAUGUAGCUUUGCCAUGCAUCAUGCUUGUUGUGCAUCAUGCCUUGUUCAUGUGUGGUGUGUUUACUGUGUUGUGUGCUUCUUCUCGAUAGUUCCUGUUUUGUUGCGAUCGUGAGGAUUCGUUCGUCUACGCUUGGUUCGUCUUCGUGGCUUCAUCUUCUUCAUGGACCCGUUCUUCUUCCUUGUGGGAUUUUAGGUAAGAUGACCGCUACCCUGGAUCUCACUACUAUCAUUGCUAUGCUAGUUGCUUCGUUCUAUCGCUUUGCUGCACUACCUAUCACAUGUUUAUCGAGCCAUCCCAUAUUGCCAUGAACCUCUAACCUUUGACACCUUCCCUAUGCAAACCAUUGUUUGGCUAUGUUACCGCUUUUGCUCAGCCCCUCUUAUAGCGUUGCUAGUUGCAGGUGAAGUUGAAGAUUACUCCAUGGCGGACAGGAUUUUGGUUAGGAUAUCACAAUAUCUCUUAUAUUAUUAAUGCAUCUAUAUACUUGGUAAAGGGUGAAAGACUCGGCCUUUUGCCUGGUGUUUUGUUCCACUCUUGCCGCCCUAGUUUCCGUCAUACCGGUGUUAUGUUCCCGGAUUUUGCGUUCCUUACGUGGUCGGGUGAUUUAUGGGACCCCCUUGACAGUUCGCUUUGAAUAAAACUCCUCCAGCAAGGCCCAACCUUGGUUUUACCAUUUGCCUCACCACCACCUAUCCCUUUCCCUUGGGUCGGCCAACCCGAGGGUCAUCUUUAUUUUAGCCCCCCCGGGGCAGUGCUUGUCUAAGUGUUGGUCCGAACCGAGCAACCUACGGGGCCACCUCGGGGCAACUCGAGGGCUGGUUUUACUCGUAGCUUCACUCAUCCGGUGUUGCCCUGAGAACGAGAUAUGUGCAGCUCCUAUCGGAAUUGUCGGCGCAUCGGGCGGCUUUGCUGGUCUUGUUUUACCAUUGUCGAAAUGUCUUGUAAACCGGGAUUCUGAGUCUGAUCGGGUCCUCCUGGGAGAAGGUAUAUCCUUCGUUGAUCGCGAGAGCUUGUCAUGGGCUAAGUUGGGACACCCCUGCAGAGUAUAAUCUUUCGAAAGUCGUGCCUGCGGUUAUAGGCAGAUGGGAAUUUUUUAAUGUCCGGUUGUAGAUAACUUGACACCAGAUCCGAAUUAAAACGCAUCAACCGCGUGUGUAGCCGUGAUGGUCUCUUCUCAGCGGAGUCCGGGAAGUGAACACGGUUUCUAUGUUAUGUUUGACGUAAGUAGGAGUUCAGGAUCACUUCUUGAUCAUUGCUAGCUUCACGAUCGUUCCGCUUGUUCUCUUCUCGCUCUUAUUUGCGUAUGUUAGCCACCAUACUUGCUUAGUCGUUGUUGCAGCCUCACCACUUUACCCCUUCCUGUCCUUUUAAGCUUUGCUAGUCUUGAUACCCAUGGUAAUGGGAUUGCUGAGUCCUCGUGGCUCACAAAUUACUACAACAACAGUUGCAGGUAGAGGUUAUGAGAUGAUCAUGACACGAGAGCGAUGCUUGCUUGCGUUGAGUUCUUCUUCUGCUUCUUCGAUCAGGGGAUACGUUCCAGGUCGGCAGCCUGGGCUAGCAGGGUGGAUGUCGUUUGAGUUCCUAUUUGUGCUUCAUCCGUAGUCGGAUGUUGAUCUUAUGUAUUGUGGUGUUGUAUUCGUGUGGCAUUGUAUGCCUCUUGUAUGUAUCCCCAUCUAUUAUGUAAUGUUGAUGUAAUGAUAUCCACCUUGCAAAAGUGUUUCAAUAUGCGGGUCUAUCCUUGGUGGGACCUUCGAGUUCCUUUUGGAUAGGGCCGCAUAUUGGGUGUGACAAGUAUAUAUAUAUUGGGCGGGUCUAAGUAUAUCUCGCUCCCUGUUAUGUGUCUCUAACUAUGAUUCUCCAUGUGGAAUCUCUUUCUCUCACACAAACACAAAACUUUGUCUCCUGGGGUCUCAUUUCUCUCUACUAUUCCCAUGUGUGCCACUCGCACACCCCUCUUACAGAGAUGUAUUUCGCUCCUUAGAUAUGAGAACCUACGACUCUUCCUCUUAAAUAUCUCUUUCUCACACACAAACACAAACUCUGUCUCCCAGGGUCUCAUAUUUCUCCACUGUUCUCUUGUAUGUCGCUCACACACACUCUCUCUCCCUGGAGAUAUCUUGCGUUCCCUCAUAUUUCUCUCUAGCUAUCAAUCUCGUUGUGAAAUAUCUUUCUCUCUCACAGACACAAAACUCCGUCUCUCGGGAUCUCAUUUCUCUCUGAUAUCUGUUUGUAUGUGACUCGCAUGCACCCUCUCUCUAUCUCUCUCACACCCACACACAUAACUCAGCCUUCUAAUCCACUCGACUCCUAUCUCUAACACACACACUAGCUAGCAUAUUUAUCUCUCUAUUUAUCUGAUGCUCACCCUCACUCUUGCUUCCUAUCACACACACUACAUAUGUUUCUCUCUGCAUGCAGUCAAGUGCCCUCUUUUUAUCUUUCUCACACACACACACAUAUAUAACUUCACCCUCUAAACCACCCGGUGGUCAUCGCCAACACUCAAACUAGCGGAUGUCCCUCUAGCUAGCAUCUCCAUCUCUCUAUCUAUCUGUAGUUUCUCCGUCAACAUUUCUUUCUCGCACGGAGUCUUGCUUCCUAUCACCCACACUAUAUAUGUCUCUCCAUACAUAUGCAUUUAUAGGUUGAUCUCUUUUGCACAAUCGUAGUGCCUCACUCCCUCUGCUCGCCAUAGAUGCAUGCUCCAGACCACGCCACUAUCUCUUAAUGACAAAAAGACAUGCUCAAUUGUCGGGCAUUCUUCCCUGCAUUCUCACAUGCAUGCAUAUUGUCAUACCGAUCCGUCUCUCCCAUGUCGUUGAUCUUAUGACUUAUGUCUUCUUUCUUUUAUCUCGAUCAUGUGCGCGCACACACACACAUCCCACGUAUACAUGUAUACCUAUCACACAUGCACGUUCAAGGUCUCUAUGUCUCCAUACGUAGUUAAUUACCCUCAACCCUAACGCCACAUCGAAUCAUUCUCCUCUUGUGUACACAUAACUUCCGCCUGGAUGGGUAAAACACACACUCACACUUAACAAUCUCCUUCUAGCUACCCCCCUCUCACUCUUCCCCUAUAUCCCCGAAACCAAUAAGACCAUCCCUUUGUUUAAUUCUCGCCUACAUGCACCAUCGAUAUAUAGUAGUCUUCCUCGGUCUCUCACAAACAAACACAUUCUCUCGAUGUCGACUACUCUCACGCGCACACACCUUCUCUUCCCUCUCUACGGGCAUUUUCUCUCUCGCACCCCAUCGUUGGUGGCCUCUACCAUACACAUCACCUCUCUAUGAUGAAGCCAUGCACACUUACAUUACAUACGCCACCGAGAACCGCGCGACACACACACACACACACAAACAUACACACACACGCACGCACGCACACGCACCCACCCACCCACACACACACACACUAAGACUCCAUCUCUCUNNNNNNNNNNNNNNNNNNNNNNNNNNNNNNNNNNNNNNNNNNNNNNNNNNNNNNNNNNNNNNNNNNNNNNNNNNNNNNNNNNNNNNNNNNNNNNNNNNNNNNNNNNNNNNNNNNNNNNNNNNNNNNNNNNNNNNNNNNNNNNNNNNNNNNNNNNNNNNNNNNNNNNNNNNNNNNNNNNNNNNNNNNNNNNNNNNNNNNNNNNNNNNNNNNNNNNNNNNNNNNNNNNNNNNNNNNNNNNNNNNNNNNNNNNNNNNNNNNNNNNNNNNNNNNNNNNNNNNNNNNNNNNNNNNNNNNNNNNNNNNNNNNNNNNNNNNNNNNNNNNNNNNNNNNNNNNNNNNNNNNNNNNNNNNNNNNNNNNNNNNNNNNNNNNNNNNNNNNNNNNNNNNNNNNNNNNNNNNNNNNNNNNNNNNNNNNNNNNNNNNNNNNNNNNNNNNNNNNNNNNNACACUCUAAGACUCCAUCUCUCUCUCACACACACACACACACUAAGACGCCAUCUCUCCCCCCCUUCUCUCACACACACACACACACCCACACACACACACUAAGACUCCAUCUCACACACGCAUGCUUCUAGGUGGAGCAUUUGUUCCUACCACCCUUCAUCCAACUUUACCAGUAUGAUAAACAAUCACCUUAAUUUACUUGUAUAACAUGGACAAAUUCCACUUUACUUUAGUAGUCAGCAAACUUAUCAUCUGUACCCUUAUAAAAAACGAGUUAGCGAUGAUGGUGUGCCUGCCAUCUUGUAAUAUAGACCGUCUGAUCUAUAUCUGACGGAUAGAAAGCAAACUAUGAUAAUUUUACAAAAGAUACUCGCACCUCUCUCCACAUCCUUAUCUCCCACAACCUCAUUGCUCAGCAAUUAAAAAAGGAAGUCUCUGAAACAAUCUAGCAUGGUGGCUGCUGCCGCCUGCCGGCGUCGUCCACCCCCAUGCGUCUGCCCAUUCCGACCACCAGUCACCACCAUGCUCCACUCCUCCUCACCUGAUCUCUCAUCUUUCAUUUUGUCGAUGACAUUCUCGAGAUACCAGUUAUCCGAUAAAAUUCUCGAGAUAUCAUUAGUUUUUACACAUGAGAUUACUCCUGCAUGGGUCAAUCACAACAGGUGUUUUGGUAAAAAAAUGCAUAUUGAUGUUCAGUGAAAUGCACGAGCAUCUUGCUUGUAAUUAUAUAACGCAAAUCACGAGCAGGAAGUGACAUUUUUUUACACAACCACGUUAACAUAGCUACGUAAAUCACUAGCUAAAGUAAAUACCAUUAUACUUAUAUCCUGAUGCAAAAGGUUGAGUACAGGUCGGAAGAGUAGAGUCGCACACACGCACUCUGUCUCUCAGAAUCUCUCUCACACACACACCAGUUACGUGACGCCCACUUAAGCAGACACGUAUGUUAUAAUUUGUGCACCCGCGGGUACACGUGAUGCUGCAUAUUUAUUUAAGCCGGACGGCGAACCCAAACAGUAGCUGCAUUCAUUCCCCUCCUGGCGCCUCUUCUCUGGUCGCCGUCGCCCGGUAGCCAUGGCCCGACCGAAGGUAACAACAUAUGCCAUACUCCACGUCGGAGCGGCGUUUAAUAUGGAAAUUUUAGUGGUCAUGCAUGCAUCUUUUUGUGCUAGCACUCCUAUAUAAGGGUUGACCGGUCGCUUCCCGCGGACGUGUGCGGGUGGUGGAAGAGGAAGGAGAAGGGAAGAAGGCUGUGGAGUAACAUUUUUUACCACAAUUUCUUAGGAAAUUGAGUACAAUAAUUGAGUAGUUUUGCAAACUACCAGUACUACACCUGAAACGGUUAAAACCCCAUACUCCCUUGCCAGCGCGCUUCCCGCGUGAAACGGUCAGCAUUGCCCUGGAGUGUCAGUGCCGCAUUAAUGCCCGGCUAGAGCGGAGGCGACCUCUCACUGGCGCCGGCUUUGAAAUGGCGCGAUGGCCGAGAGAGCACGGCUUCCCGGUGCACGCGACUGCUCCGCGUCGAGACUGGCCAUAGGCCCUAUUUGGAUCCAUGGAUUAGAGUUAUUUUGAGCUAGUUGGGACUCAAAUAGCCCUAAAGUAUCCAAGCAUGAGGGUUUAAAUUGGAGCAAGUUGCACCGAACCCACCAAAAAAACUAUCCCACCAAAGAGGUGCUAACUGGAGAUAGUCCUCAUUGGGACCACUGAAAAAUCACUUUUCUCUCUCCAUCAAGUGCAUUUAUUGUCAUCUAACCCUGUCGCCCAAACACCUCUUUGGCUACAGUUAGUUCAGGGUUAGACAUGAGUUAGUCUAACCUCUAGCUAAGUUAGAGUAUCAAACAGGAGCAGUAUAGGACAUGCAAGUUGCUCAAAGCAUACAGUCAAAUUCGUACGUGAAAGGAUUUUUUUGUUUUUGAAAACGGAACGUGAAAGGAGUUUUUUUAGAAUGCUCUUGGCAUGUCACUAACAUGUGAUGAGUUAACCGACCUCAAUAGACGGCAAAAAUGCCAGCCCGCCACACUUUUAGAGAGUAGAGGAGGGAGAAACGAUAUAGGUUGCUGGAUUACUAGAGAUAGGUGUAGCACGGAAGCCAAGAAAUAUGGUGAUAGCGUGGGUUAGCCAUGUACUAGUAUGAUGUAACUACACUGGGCUGCCGUGUUUCGUACUCUUCCAGUCCACUGUGGGGAUGAUUGGUUGAUUUUAUAUCGCUGAAUAAUAUUAAAUAUUAUGAGUGCAGACACUCCACCACGAGGUUCCUUGCUCCUUCUCGGUCGUCGGGAAUCUAUGUUCUUCCACUCUAUUUUUUUACGUGAGCUUUGUUCAUCAUUUUGCCAACACGCAAGAUAUCUAGCAUGAAGGUGCACGUGUUAUGCAAGGAUCGUUCCAUCUAUAAGAAGAACACGUGGGACUGGAACUACGAGACGGACAUGUACCCAGAAGUGGACGUAAAAACCUGAGUAAUGUAGCGCAGUAAGUGAAGUAGAAAAGCACAAAUGGUAUGAACAUGCGUGGCAUAUAGGGUGUGUUUGGUUGCGUUCUCGUCUCAGCAUUGUUGUUCCCUCUUCAUGCAUGCUCAACUCAACACCCCUCUUCAUGCAUGCUCUCUUCAUGCAUGCUUCUAGUGUAUUUGUGCUAAACUAGUGUGGACUCAUGCACCCUCCAUACACUCUACCAAACACCCAAAAGUGGGUCGAGAAGGGAACUCUUGGGCGGCAUUUGUCUCUUACUACGUACUACCACUAAAUGUUGUACGUGCAAUGCACGGUGAUGUUAUGGAGUACGUGCCUAAGUACUCUACUACUACUAUAUUAGUUGGAGGCACAUAUUAACUUCUAUAUUUGUUUACGUGUAUGCCCCGAGACCUUCCAAUUAGACGUGUCUUUCUCUCCAGGUUGCACUUUGUAUCAUUCAUACCACUAAGUACUACUACAUGUGGUCUCCGACCCAGAAGUGGAAGAAGUGGAGACGCUCUACCACGCUGUUUUUUUUUUUGCGCUGGGCUCUACCAUGUUGUUCAUGUCCCACUCCUUUCGCUGACGUGUGGGACAUCCAGCACGUGCCGUGUUUGGCACUCUUUGUCGUAAGAGUUGAAACGCUAGCAUUCAUCAGAAAUAAAAAAUAAUUAUAAAUCAGCAGUGAUACUAUUUUUUUGAGAACCAAUCAGCAGUGAUACUAUACCACGCGGUUUCCUUGAUCCUCGAUAUCGGAAAGAAUACUUCCAUUCGCCAACAUGUGGGACGUCGACUAUCCUAGUCCACUUGCCAUGCAGGCAGAACUCCAAGGGAGAGUCACCCCGGUCGUCGCGCCGCAGUAACAAUGACUAAUGAGCCGUCAAAUCAUAGGCCCACUUCCCACUUUGAAGUUGCUCGGACGAAGGAACCAUCAUGACUUCAUUGAAUUCUGCUUCUUGAAGAAAACUACUGUACUAGUAGUACUGCUAGCUACAGUAGUUACUCCAACAGAGGCCUCCUUUGGUUCAUAGGAUAGGAAUUUUAUAGGAAUAUGAAAAUCAUAGGAAGUGAGCUGACAUACAUCUCAAUUCCUAUAGAGAAAGAGAUGCCAUUUGAUGCAUAGGAUAGGAAUUUUUCCAUUUAGUCUAGGCUAAUGUACUGGUAAUUUGCUCUAAAAACUACAAUAGUAACUAGUAGUACUGGUACAUGCUCAUACUCAGACACAGACACACACACUAACUACUAGUACUACUACUUCUCAUGUGCUGGCCAGACGCCGUCAUUCUCCUUCCCGGCUUUGCCGGUGACACCCCACCGUGCUUGGAUCUCCGCCGACCUCUCCGCAGCAGCGCGUGCGUUCUCUUCUUUCUUGCGGCGACGGGCCUCUAUUUUCUUGAGUGCUUUCUGACUUUUCCGCUCCCUCUGUGCGGCUUUGGCCGCCUCUUGCUCGACCGCCCAUUCAGCCUUGGCAUCUUCAAAUUCCUCCCACAUAGGCGUGAGGUCGUGAGCGGCGAUGAACUCGGCAUGGCGGGAUGCCAUCGCUUCCCUACCAUUUUGUGUGCAGUCAUGGGCGGCGAGGAACUCGGUGCGGCAGGAUGCCAUCACUGACUUACCGGUUAGUGUGCGGCGCGGUGGCAUCAACGAUGCUUGGUGAGAGCUCUGGGGUGGAGUGGCCGGACAACCGUAUAGUGUGUUGGUUUGUCAAGAGCUCAAGGACAAAGGACAAAGAAAAUUUGGAUUCCCCUUCAAUCCUGGUCAUUUAUUACCGAGUAAAAUGCAUUGCGGUCAUCGAACUUGUCUUGAUAGUUCACUUUGAUCAUUGUAUACGAACUAUGGUGAAUAUACGGUCACUGGCUCAGCGUAUAGCUCUGUAUUUGUCUGGUUGACCAGUAAAACAGUCCGCAUGCGCCUCAUCAGCUCGUGUUCUUUAUCUAUCUACGCGGGCCUACCUGUCAAUGGAGAAAGAAAUAUUGUAAAAACCAUGAGUUCACACUUUACCACCACGCCAGCGUCUGAUCGCCCUGGCCUACCAAAACCCCUUCCAUCGCUAGUGCGCGCUUCCCACCAGAAAUGGUCACCGUUUCUCCAGAACGUCAAUGUUGCAUUAACCGGACUUAACUGCAGGUGCAAUUGGUGUGUCACUGACAUGCGGGCCAGAUGCCCGUUGGGCCCACAUGUCAGUAACCCAAUGCAUCUGCAGUUAAGUCACUAAAGCAGCGUCCGCAUUCACGCCCGAUGAACCUACUCCGGCGCCAGUUGUCCAUCCGUCUGCCGCGGCUCAUUGCCAUUCGCUCACUAUAUUAACUUGAGCCCCAGCUCCCAGCCAUAGCCAAAGACCCACACUUAUUCUCCUCCGGUCCCUUCCUUCUGUCGGCACCACUCCAACCAUGGCCUCCUUGCGCUCCGAAGCUCUCUUGGACGUACUAUCGCAGGAGCAGACAAAGGACAUCGCCGGCUCCGCUCCGAGCGAGCUCCAAAGCUCUCUUCGAUGUACCCCCCCCCCCACCCCCCCGACAGCGAGGAAGAGUAGUACACGGUAGGUCGCUGAUGUCUACUACACAACCUUCUUCUUGUAGACGUUGUUGGGCCUCCAAGUGCAGAGGUUUGUAGGACAGUAGCAACUUUCCCUCAAGUGGAUGACCUAAGGUUUAUCAAUCCGUGGGAGGCGUAGGAUGAAGAUGGUCUCUCUCAAGCAACCAUGCAACUAAAUAACAAAGAGUCUCUUGUGUCCCCAACACACCCAAUACAAUGGUAAAUUGUAUAGGUGCACUAGUUCGGCGAAGAGAUGGUGAUACAAGUGCAAUAUGGAUGGUAGAUAAAGGUAUUUGUAAUCUGAAAUUAUAAAAACAGCAAGGUAACUAAUGAUAAACGUGAGCGUAAACGGUAUUGCAAUGAUAGGAAACAAGGCCUAAGGUUCAUACUUUCACUAGUGCAAGUUCUCUCAACAAUAAUAACAUAGAUAGAUCAUAUAACAAUCCCUCAACAUGCAGCAAAGAGUCACUCCAAAGCAACUAAUAGCGGAGAAAAAACAAAGAGAUUAUGGUAGGGUACGAAACCACCUCAAAGUUAUCCUUUUUGAUCUAUCUAUUCAGGAGUCCGUAGUAAAAUAACACAAAGCUAUUCUUUCCGUUCAAUCUAUCAUAGAGUUCAUACUAGAAUAACACCUUAAGACACAAAUCAACCAAAACCCUAAUGUCACCUUGAUACUCCAUUGUCACCUCAAGUAUCCAUGGGUAUGAUUAUACGAUAUGCAUCACACAAUCUCAGAUUCAUCUAUUCAACCAACACAAAGUACUUCUAAGAGUGCCCCAAAGUUUCUACCGGAGAGUCAAGACGAAAAUGUGUGCCAACCCCUAUGCAUAGGUUCAUGGGAGGAACCUGCAAGUUGAUCACCAAAACAUACAUCAAGUGGAUCACAUGAAUAUCCCAUUGUCACCACAGAUAAGAACGGCAAGACAUACAUCAAGUGUUCUCAAAUCCUUAAAGACUCAAUCCGAUACGAUAACUUCAAAGAGAAAACUCAAUCCAUUACAAGAGAGUAGAGGGGGGAGAAACAUCAUAAGAUCCAACUAUAAUAGCAAAGCUCGCGAUACAUCAAGAUCAUGCCAUAGAGAGAACACGAGAGAGAACACGAGAGAGAGAGAGAGAGAGAGAUCAAACACAUAGCUACUGGUACAUACCCUCAGCCCCGAGGGUGAACUACUCCCUCCUCGUCAUGGAGAGCGCUGGGAUGAUGCAGAUGGCCACCAGUGAGGGAUCCCCCCUUCGGCAGGGUGCCAGAACAGGGUCCCAAUUGACUUUUGGUGGCUACAGAGGCUUGCGGCGGUGGAACUCCCGAUCUAUUCUCGUUGUCGGUGUUUUUAGGGUAUAUGGGUUUAUAUAGGUGAAAGAAGUCGAUCGAGGGGUGCUCGAGGGGCCCAGGAGACAGGGGGCGCGCCCAGUAGGGGGGGCUCCUAUCUCCUGGCUUCCUCGAAACUCCCCUGGCUUGCACUCCAAGUUUCCUGGAUUUCUUAUGUUCCAAAAAUGAGUUUCCCGAAGGUUUCAUUCCAUUUGGACUCCGUUUGAUAUUCCUUUUCUUCGAAAUACUGAAACAGGCAAUAAAGCAACAAUAUGGGCUGGGCCUCCGGUUAAUAGGUUAGUCCCAAAAGUAAUAUAAAAGUGUAUAAUAAAGCCCAUAAUCAUUCAAAAUAGAUAAUAAAAUAGCAUGAAUGCUUCAUAAAUUAUAGAUACGUUGGAGACGUAUCAGUCGCCGCCGCUCUGGUCCCAGGAAGGACACCGCUACUCCACUAAGUUGACGCCAAGCUUUGUGGGGUAAACAUUGGCGGCCGAUUAGCCGCUUGACGGCAACAUGGAGGAAGAAAUCUUCAGAACCUUGUGCUCUAGAGGAGGAGGUUAUCGAGGCAGAUGAGGAGGAGGCAAAGGCAAUGGCCGGCUUUCUCGGCUUCAUGGCCGGACAUGGUAGUCGGGCGCCGGCGAUCAUUUAGAUUAGGUUUAAAGUACGUUUUAGUAUGGUUUGUGUGAAAUAUGUAAUGAAUAUCGUCCAGUUUGUAGGAAAAGUUUUUGAAAUGUAAUGAAUUUCAUCCGGUUAAUCUGAAAUUUUCUUUGUUUGCACGAAUUUCAUCCGGUUAGUUCAUAUAGUUGUCGAAAGGUAUGCGGGCGGCAUCGGAUGGCAUCCAUCAGUGUCCUCGGACAGAUGCCGGUGUAAAUUUGUGGGCCAGCACUGGAGAUGCCCUAACUAUCAUGCUAUAAUCGCUAACAGUGCUCCAUUAUUUGGCAGGGAACAAUUAUCCCUCGAUCAAAAUCAGAUCCGCGGUGUUUCGCACUCCUCCCGCGUAAGAGUGUAAACUCUUGCUUACAUAAAAAUGGAGCAAGUGGACGACACUGUAGCACGUCAUAUCACUCAAACUAGACCGCCUAAUGAACGGGAAAGCACCGCCCUCGUCAUUUUGUUAUGGAUUUCUAUUGAUCGAUCGCACGAAAAUGUUACGCUUCGCAUGUUCUAAAGGAAAAGGCGGCACACUUACGACUCGUACGCGUCGCACCCCCCGGGAUUGGCACUCACGAUAGUCCGGCUCGCACGCCGCUCACCAGAGGGGACACGCGUUGUCUUGCAAUUUCACUGACAUGUGGGACUGUAAUUGAAUAAACCGUCGAUAGCCAAAAUCUAAUCGCUCGGCGGGUGUCGGCUGAGAAGAGAGAAACGGGGGAGGGAGAAGAGAUCGCCCACCUGCCGCGCACAGACUCCAAGAAAUAUAUGGUGAUAAUGUGAGGUGGGCCAUGUUGGAGUCUGGACCGCUUCCGGAGCCCGCUCUGACCAGACGAGACUUGCCUGCUCACCCCGCGUGUGCCCAUCCAUGCUCCCACGUACGUGGCUUGAUUUGAUUGGAACAGAAUAAGGCGCAGCCCCACCCCCUAAAAAUCAGGGGGGAGAUGAUUAGAUUAGAAAGACAAAAGGAAAAAAGACAGCCGUAGGAUGAAGUGGGCUCACGGAUGGGAGCAUGGAGAGGGAGCAGGCAAGCCGGAUCCGCUCUGACCGCCCUGGCCCCUCAAGACGCCAGUUGUCCGCCGCAUGCAUGCAUAGCAAGUACUAAAAUAUUGGGCUAUAGGCCCGCUUAUGUGGAGGAGAGAGAGCCAUUGACAAAGUCAAGGAGUGGGCUCUGCAAGAGCCCGUCUCUACACGUGCUCCUAGGUAUAAAAAAAUAAUUCUAAAAAAAAGCAUAAAAUACAAUUGUGUCGAAAAAAAUAAAGAUAAAAAACAUUUGAGAGGAAAUAGAUAGAGAGAAAGUGAGAAAAAGUUCUAGUCUUAUAGCCAACCUUAUAGUCAACAGUAUGGUAGCAUUACAUGAGGAAGGAGGGAGUGGUGCACAUGCCAAGUUCACUGGGCUGCCGUGUUUCACACUCCUCCAUCGUAACAGUGGAAACAAUAGAUUUCAUCAAAAAUAAACAAUGAAUGCUCGUUGCUCGUCCUCUAUAUCGGAUUGAAUACUUUCAUUCACCGACAUGUGGGACGUCGACUAUCCUGGUCCACCUGCCAUGCACAAAAUUAUCCUGGUCUACCCGGUCGUAUCGCAGGCCCAACCUUUCCCACUGUAAGUUGUUCGGACGAAGGAACCAUCAUGACUUCAUUGAAUUCCUCUUCUUCAAUAAAACUUACUGUACCCGCAAUACUGCUACCACACGUGAAGACUGGACGGCACUGUACCACGUCAUAUCACUGAAACCCACUAGGCCAAACUAGCCUGCCUAGGUCGGGAGUACGUCUCUGCACUGCUAUGAUUUUGUGUUGUACGUCUCUGUACUUCUGCUAUGAUUUUCCUACCCUAUGAAACAAAUGAGGCCUGAAUGUAUCCGUGUCGACUAUUGUCUGAUCGAUCGCUAGGCCUACAACUUUAGGAGCUAGGGCUAUUGGUCGAUUGACAACGGAUAAGUAUAAGCGUACCACGAGCUCAUCAGCCCCAACGUUUCUCUUCGGUGAGUGUUUCGCAAGUACUAUAGCUCGCACAGUAGCUAGCCUAUUAACACCAAGAAUCAUCAAACAAGCCCUGCUGAUAUGAUAAACAGUGCAAACUUACAUCUAAGCAUGCCAUAUAUUACAUCAAAAGCUGGUGAGGAUACAUCUGUUUCCAUAACUCGGAGAGGGUUCGCAUGAUUCACUAUCAAACAAAAGUUGCAAGUACUGCCCACACAAGACAGUGCACUAGCCCUAAGAUGGUUUGAUAACAUGCAUCGCUCUGGUAAUUAAACACAGGGCAAUGCAAACUACUCUGAAGGAUUAGCGCGACCAACUAUUUCUUGUCAUCGGUCUCUCGGGCAAUGACCAUAGCACGGAUAGCGGCAUGGGAAUCGAUCUUUGGGGCGAUGUCCACAAGACUGACCGCGACAUCAGAAUCGAUCUCUGGGCGAUGUCCACAGGAUUGACAACGGCAUCGGAAUCGAUCUCCGGGGCGAUGCCAACAGGACGGACCGCGACAUCGAAAACAAUCUCUGGGGCCUUGUCCACAGGACGGGCCGUGACAUCGGAAUCAUCAAGGACGUCCACCAGCACCUGCACAACCCUAACAUAUUAGCAAGCACAUUGCAAAUAAUCAAAAACCACAACUAUGGUAAUAAGCCAUUGUUUUUUACCUUGUGCAGCUCACCGGGGGAUCUCAUCCCUCCGGGGGCCAUCUCCUCGUCCUCGAUGGGGGGCGAUCACCUUUCCAGGGGAAUACUUCUUCUCAACGGCGACUAUCUCCUCAAACUCGGCCUUGAGCCUCGCAUAGGUGGCCAUCAGAGUUUCUAGGGUAGGCACGGUGGGGCCCUUGCUGUUCUUCCAACUUUCAUGAGGAGUUCGUCCGCCUACGUCGUCAACUCUUUGUCCAGUGCUUGUUUCUUGGAGUUCUUCGUCUCCAUGGGUUGGCCCGCCAACAUGGUCAACUCGUUGGUCGGUGCUUGCUUCCUGGAGAUCGCUGUCUCCAGUGGGUUGUCCGCCGGUAACUUUUUGCCUAGUGCUCCAGGAUCCAUCAAUGAACUGACAAACAAAAAGAAAUCGAAAGGAAACCACAAUCGCAAUGAAAACGGGAAAAUAAUAGGCUGUGAGAAUCGGUCGGUGCUUCGCAAAAAGAAGAUUCUUGGAAUGAAAAUAUAGCAGCAUAACUGAUUCGCCCACCUUUCCUUCGUCGGUACAGAAGAAAAAUGGCAGAAGUGAGUCGCUUGGAGUGAGGUUUUCUGCAAGAAAGGGAAGAAAGGGCUUCGUCCAGUCCAACUUGGAGGCCACCUUACCACUGUUGGUAAAGGUGUGGGUUUUGUGAUAUGACGGGUCAUGACGGCCACACCAGGGUGACAGGUGAGUCUCGAUUGUAGCACCUCACUGUGAUUUGGUGGAUGGCACACGGGCCCGGAUGCUUUGAUGUCCCGCAUGUAGAUAGAGUGGCUAGUCAUAUAGGAGUGAUCAGUAUUGUGCACCGCGACCAAGGCGGAGAGGAAAACGAGAGAACUACGUAAUUAAUGCCCGAGUUUAAUUAGGGUAGUUUUGUAAAGUACAAGAUACAUUCCUCCAAUCGCAAAAUGCCUUGGUUCAUGAGAUUUGAGAUUUGAGCCCUAUAAACCGGAAGGGAGGGGGUACUGCAUGCGGUGUAGUCUAGUCACUUGUUGAAAUCUCUAGAAAGGCAAGUACUCCUUUCCGGUUUACAGGGUUAUACUAUUCCCUCCGUCUAGGUGUGUAAGUCACCUUACGAAAACCAAAUAGUCCCAAAACACUUAGGCGCGGUGCAUUAACUUCUACCUUGUUUCUUGUUUCUUGACAUAUCAACCAAUAAGAGAUGAGAGGUGUGCAUGCUUUUAAUUACUUGAGACUACCAAACACGACAUGCAGUGGCUAGUUCAUUUCAUGCAAUGCUAUUAAUUAGCAAAUAAACAUUGGUGACCCCAGGAGGAAACGGUGCUAAGCGCGUGUACCUAUGCAGAAUGAGUAUCAACCAAUGGAUGAUGGAGUUUAAUUGUUAAACAAUUCAAUGAGGGAAGCUUAGCUACAAAUUCAAUGACUUACUCACCUAGACGGAGGGAGUAGCAAGUACUACUACCUCCAUCCUAGUUUAUUGGUCCCCAUAGUAUUUAUGCCAAACUUUGACCAUAUAUUUAACUAAGUAAAUAAUAAUGCAUGCUAGCAAAAAUUAUAUCCCUGGAUUCGUAUUUGAACAUAGUUUUGAGAGAUAUUAUUUUUGGUUACAUGCAUUAACAUUUUUUUAGUUUAAUCUAAGGUCAGAGUUUUGCACAAAAUACUAAAGGGACUAAUAAACCCAGACGGAGGUAGUAGUACUACUGCAAUGGUGGGCUCAAAUAGCAAACAGGCUCUCAUGCAAGAGCUUGGCUACUAUAUGCGUGCUCCAAGGCACCACACCACGCGAACGUUCGCAACUGCCACGUUCGGGUUACGCUUGGCUCUUCGCCUCUUCGAGAAGAUGAACAAUGAUGUUACUCCUACUUCUACAAUAUUGAACACUGCUGCAUGUCUGUCCACCUCGUGCGGGAGGGAUAGCGUGUAGAGAAAGCUUCUAAUUACUGCUCCUGCCUUUGCGUCUAUGACAGGUGGGCCCAACAGGUGGUUGGCCCUCCUGUCAUGCAGCCAAAGGCAGGUGCAGUUAAGGCACCGGAGCUCAGUCCGCGAGGGAGAGGGCAUUCUAGUAAUCAAACUUGUCGGUCUUGUACGAGUUGAUGCGACACAUCAAAGCACUGCACUCGAUAUAAGUCUUUUUACACAUUUCAAAUGGACUACAACAUACGGAUGUAUGUAGACAUAUUCUGCUUCUUAUGUAGUCACUUUGUUGCAAUCUCUAAAAAUACUUAUAUUUGGAAACGUAGGGAGUACAACGCAUGUAUGCAUGCCGUGACUUUCCUUUUGAUACUUGCAUGUGUUGAUUUGAUGCACCUUGCCAAAUUUUAACUAUAAAUUUAACUAACCAAAUUUUCAUGCAUGUCACAAAAAAUUACGGGGCUGUUUGGAUUGUGACUAUGUUUGUAUUAUGUUGCCACAUUAUUUUUCCUACACUUGCCACACUUGCCAAACUUGAGUUGCUCAAAUUGUUAGACACACUUUGGCUUGCCUAAGGGAAUCUUGCCACAAUUUUUGUGUCUAUGACAUGUGGCGUUCACUGCUAAUAAAAAAAUUCUUUUCUUAGGUGUGGCUAAUAAAAAAGACUUAUAUUUAGGAAUGGAGGGAGUAAAAAAUAUAAAUUAUAAUGCAUGUUGGGGCAACCCACGUUUCCGCUAAUUUUAGCCGUGGGCUUGUUCACAAUUUUUACAAGGGGUGGUUGUUCAAUUAAUGGAGGGACUUGUAGUACCAGACUUGAACGACACAAAGUGCGACCUGCACACUGUAACACCACUUGGAACAAGCGGGUAGCUAUCUCAAAACACAAUCAACAACUAAAAAACGCGACAUGUCAUGUAGUACACAAUUUUAAACGAUUGUUUUGAUGGAGUGAAAAAGGAAAACUACCCACUACAUAUAUAUAGGCCGCAACCUCCCUGCUUGCUUGCUAGGGUUUCUCUAUUCACACAAUCUCAUCCUCUCCAUAUCUAAACAAGAUAGGGGUGGUAACACUGUCUUUCUCCCUUCAAAAAACACUGUCUUUCUAUCCUCACCGCUGGUUACAGAUCUGGACGUAUCCCCCUCCGCCGGUGAAGGGGAGGAGGGGCAGCGUUUAGCCCGUCGUCGACAGCGAGGGAAGAGACCCACUUUCGGCCGCAUCGUUAUCUCUGGCCGAGCGCCGGCGCGGGAGGUCCUCCGAUCCCUUCAUCGUUGCCUAUGGGCGGAUCCUGCCUACCGCCGACCACCUAUCCACAUCCCGACGACUUUCAGGUAUAUCUUCGUUCGAAACCGCCUUAGCUCUACUUGCCCAGCUUGCUACAUCGCUGCAUGUGCAUCAUUUUCUACCUCUCAGCCCCUCUCGAUCGGAUGGUCCAACGUCACGUAUUUUUUUCUUCUAUUGUUAGAGGUAAAGCUACUUCAUGGAGUCGAAUCUUGUACUCUGUCCAUCCGGAAAUACUUGUCAUUGAAGUGGAUGUAUCUAGAUGUAUUUUAGUUCUAGACACAUCCAUUUUGAUGACAAGUAAUUCCGGAUGGAGGCAGUACUUGGUUCAAACAAGAAAUAAAGUGGGGAUGGGGGAAUUUAGUAUGUACAUCGGACUUGGUACAAACAGGAAGGAAAGGGGGUGAAAGUAGUACAGACUGGUCAUCCAACCGGUCUCUUGGUUGAAAGGGGAAAUAUAGGGGUAACGUUGUACACAGUGGUAUGUCCAGGACUAGAUUUACUAUCCACACAUAGGAGUAGGUGGCUAGAGUGAACAAAAAUGGGACCAACCCAGAUAUGUUUCUUGGAUGUUUGUUUCUCAGUGCAACAAACUAUGAAUCACCACUUUAUGCCCUAUUUAGGUACAUGGUGCUGGACUGCUGGUGCACCCACUGUCCCAUGCCCUUAUACCAAAUAUUUAGUUGUUCUUAAUCUAAUGUCCCUGGUAAAAAUGAAGCGAUGCCACUGUUAUAAGCCAUGACAAGUCUAACUUAAUUAAUUAGGAGUACUUAAGUACCACAAUACAAUGAGCUGUAUCCCAGCCAGUGCUUUAACUCUGCUAGAAGUUCUUGAUAAUCUUUCGAUAUAAUCUCAGUACUGGUAAACAAGAGUGAUUUCAACCAUACAUUUGAAGUGCACAAAAAUAUAUACUAUUGUGUGAUUCCAUGAGUGCUUUAUCAUCUCUUAUGGGACUACAUGAAUAAGAUUUUUUUUCUCAGGUUGGUACGGGCCUAAGGCCUUCAUCCAUAUUAGUUUUUUUCAUCUCUAUUUGUAUCGUGCUACUGUCCUGAGAAACUCCUUUAUCUUUGCACGUUAAAGUUUUGCAACCUGUGAUAAAUGGCAAUGCUUUGAGUGUUGAGCUAAUUGGCACUGAUUAAAUAAACUAAUACCUCUCUUUAAACAAGACUACUAUGUUGCUAACUUUACCCAUUAAGAUAAUGAGGGUGCUUCGAUUUGUUAGUGUAUGUUUCAUUAACUAGUCCCACUAUUACAGUAAUCUCACUCUCUCAAUAUAUGUGCCAACAGGGAUGCUCGAAUUUGGUGGAACUGCACAAAAACUUUGGGUGCUUCAUUGCCUCGACAACUUCCGUCCUUUCCUGUCAGUCGCUAAUCUCGGCUUGCUUUCUUCCUUCGCUGUCAGUCGCUUCGCUUAUCUCGGCUUCCAGUCAAAGGAAAUAGUAAUUGAUAUGCUACCUCCCACAGGUUGGUACUGGUCUUUAUCCUAAUUAUUGUGCUUGUCAUGUAUUGGUAAUUUGGUAUUGUGCUACUGUUUGUCGAUUUUAUAAAGGAGUAACUUGGAGCCUGAACUCGCAGGCAAAUCAUUGCAUUUGGUGAUUUCGGUAGAACUGCACAAAAUGAUCGGAUGGACAAAUACUUAUGCUGCUGCUAUGUACUCCAAAGUUCACUCAGACAAGCAUUGAUGUUGACAAGAAGUGCCUAUAUUCAUUCGAGUAUCAACCCGCGUCAACCAGUUGUCAAACUCCCAAGUAUUAUUAGAGUGAACGCCAAAAAUAUUGCUUGGCACAUAGCCCAGAAGAACACAGUCCAGUUUUUGGUCCCAACUUGUGCCUUUUGGUUAUCGGCAGAUAUGGUAGCGAACUGUAUGGCAUGGAGUCCAAAGAUUCCAGAUAAGUUGGUUGACGCGUAUAUUCAUCUGGCACUUAAUCAGUUUGCACGCCAGGGAUGCUACAUUUCAGUUGAACUGCACAAAAAAAUUAGGUGGUUCAUUUUCUAAACCGCCUCCUUUCUCAUCUGCAAUGUAGAAUUUAGGCGAGCUACAUGACCAAGAUGAGCCAGUAAACUAGUUGGAUGAAAGUAGUGGCCAAGUUGAUCAAACCUCGCUCGGCACGAUGCCACUAUUUGAGAAUAAACCUACAAGCAAAGUUCAGAUUGUCUGUGCUGCCUCUUAUGUACUCAAAAGUUUACUCGUACAAGAAUUAAUUUUAGCAAAAAGUACCUCUGACUGAACACCAUUUACCAGUCUGUACCCUAGGUAAUUAAUGUUCGUCCAUGGAUCAUAUUGGUUGUGAUCUCAAUCAUUUGGAUGCAUAAACAUACUGAACAUGUGUAUAUCUGAAUCUUUUUGUGAAUUAUGUAUGAAUAUUGUCGUGUGAUCUAUCAAUCAUUUGGAUGCAUAGAUAUGCUGAGCUUGUGUAUAUAUGAAUCUUUUGAGUUGUUGAUAGUGAAUGUUGGCUAUGAAUAUGAACGUGUCCUGUGAACCUGUGUUUGAUACGAUUGUUUACCUUUUCUGUUGUAUAGGUGUGAAAACUUGUUAGUAUGCCUACUGUGGGGUAUGUGACGUGUGGGUGUCAACGGCACACCUUCUUCCCGAGAAGAAUUGCACCUGCUUUGUUAGGGUAGCAACGGCACAUCAGCUCUUUUUAAUCUUUUUUAUUACUCUGUCUUCCCCUCUCCCCCGCUCAACCCCCGUCGUAAUGUUUUCGGCCUCAAAACAAACAUAGUACUACGUUGUUUUUAGGGCUUGAUGAAAAAUCGAGUGCUGGUUUCUGUAGGUUGGCCCGCCCAGCAAAUGGGUUGCUGGUCCACCACGACGGACUAGGAGGCUAAAAAUACAAGUUGUAUGGUGCAGUGGCAAUUAAAAAAAUGCUAUCGAGAGCCAUCCACUGAAGAAAAAAUCGCUCCUGAUGUGCUUCUUCAGUCAUGCCAUCGGCCCCCUCUUUAAUCCAGUUCGCUCGGGGAUAUGGUAUCAUUUUUUUCUAGAGGGCGAACAAGUAUGAGCUAGACCUAAGUUUUGUAUUUUAACAUGUGUAGCCCACGACAUACGGAGAUAGUGGUUUCAACUAAUUUUUUAGGUCUAUACCGGCCUAUGGGCUUCUUCUUAAAGAUCGGUAGCCCAAUGUAUUUUUUUAAUAGAACACAGGUCUCUGUUCUAUUUAUCUAUAUUAAGAAUAAUAAUGAUGUAUCCAAUUUAUGUUUUCCCUUCUAACCACAUUAUAUAUAUAUUUAUAUUAUUAUUAUUAUCGUAUAUUUUAUAGAGACUUAUAUAUAUAUAUAUAUAUAUAUAUAUAUAUAUAUAUAUAUAUAUUAUAAAAACAUCCCAUGUGUUAUUAACUUAUAAACGUAAAUGUUUAACAGAAGUUGGCAAGGAAAAUUCUAGUUGUUUUUGACUCACAGGCAAGGAAAAUCCUGGUGAUUGCGUACAAAAGCUUGCGAAGAUUUUAAGGACCAAUUUAAUAAUAACACACUCAUUUUUAUUUUGAGCAAUAACACGUUAAUUUGUUAAUCUAUCUCUAAUUCUAAUAAUAAAGCACGGAUUGACUCCUUGGAUUCACCGUCACAAUACGCUUUCUUACUGUGAAUUUAUGUUUUCAGUUUUUUUCUUCAACGCGUAGGUGGUACUACUCUCUACUCCCUCCAUUCCUGGCGAAAAAUAAUACUCCCUCCAUUCCCUUAUACAAAGCCACAGACUCAAAUUACAGGUACCAAGAUAAAAUUUACUGUGAAUUUAUGUUUUCAGUUUUUUUCUUCAACGCGUAGGUGGUACUACUCUCUACUUCCUCCAUUCCCUUAUACAAAGCCACAGACUCAAAUUACAGGUAUCAAGAUAAAAUUUAAUGACGGUAUUUUUCAUAGUGGAGUACGACACAUAGAGCCGGCCCGUCAGCAGAUGACGUAGUACAAACUCGGUUGAAAAAGUAUAAUACGCCGCAAGCACUCGAACCCAGGAGCUCCCGCUAGACAGUCUUGAUUGCUAGCCAGUAGAAUAAACAACAUAUGAUAUUUGGUAAGAGCGCACUCCUAGAUAUGUAGGUCCUCCCUUCCGGUCAGGAAAAAAACAUACACACAUAAACGUGCAUGUAUCGUGCAAUCAAUCAGCCUCAACUAAAGCUUAAAAAAGCACCAAGUAAAAAAUAUGUACGCAUCUACUGACAGUAAAAAAAGACACACAUACACUUCUGCGUUGGACGAGCACAGCCAUGGCCCACGGCUGCCAUGCAUGCCGUCAACUGCUGGAAGAUUAAUCGGCCACGUAUCAUCAUGUGUCCAACUCAAACAUUUUCUUUUAUCUCUACCAUAUUACAAGUAAUAUGUGCACAUUAAACAUGUAUAACAGAUCUAUUCAAGCCAAACAUUAGUCUUUAAUCGAAUGACUUCCUAAUAAAGUUAGAAAAAAGAUUGGUUGUGAUUUUCACGUGUAAGGUGAAGGAUUAUUUCUUUCCUUUUUUUGAUACAUCCUUUUUAUUCCAUUUCAUCCGUUCGUUACCGGUAUCAUGUAGUUUUUGCUUCGUUUGGUAUGUUCGUUGUCGGUCCCUAAAAAAAAGCGAGCGUAGAGGGAUUGGAAGCAUGGUUGCGAGGACUCACGAACCAACUCAUCCAACCAAGGAUCCUGCAGACAGAGAGGGGGCUUUAGACCGUCUCGCCAUAGGUGGAAUUCAUUUACGGUUCGGAAACCUCCAUCAUGUAUGAUUCCUUUCUUAAAAAAUUCCUAUAUGUACAUUGUAGAACACGGUUGCGGACGUGCUGCGUCAUGGGUUGGAGCUCGAGCGGAAGGAGCGGGAGAUGGGGCUACUAGAGGACGUAAACGGGGAAGAUGGCGAUGAGGAUGAUAAGAUUGGGAAGGAGAGGGUGGAGAGAAGGUCAUGGGAAUCGAGCCACCACAAUCGACGACAUGUGCGGCACGCAACGCGCUGCCAUCAUGGCCUUGAUCCCGCCGAUCUGGUCACGCGUUAAAGCACGUCUCCUGCCUUAAACUAUCAUCCUGGAGAACCUUGCCGUCGAUCGGUCCACCGUUUUUGCCAUCAACGACCAUUGUUCCGCGACACAAUUCCUUAACCGAGGCAACCUUGAUCAUGACAACUGGUAUUUUUUUCCAUACCGACGCAUGAACAUUGUGUUUAUCAUGCCAGGGACAAGUUUUUUUCUUUCCCAUUGCAACACACGGACCUUGCCGUCAAUCGAUCCACCGUAUUUGCCAUCUACGACCAUUGUCCCACCACACAAUUCCUUAACCGACAGAACCUUGAUUCAUGACGGCUGGUAUUUUUUCCAUACCAAAACAUGAACAUUGUGUUUAUCGUGCCAGGGACAACUGUAUUUCUUUCCCGUUGCAACGCAUGGGCAUGUUUGCUAGUUAUAUAUAGAUAUAAUGUGCCUCUCCGGUUUAUUCUUUGAUAUUAAUUGCUUCUUCUAACAUAACGUUAUAUAUAUAACAAGCCCAGCUAAUUCAUUUAUUUCAAGGAAGUACAAAUGGGCUGGGAUUUCUUAGAAAACAUAAAUGGGCCUGAUUGACGCGAAAUUAUUUGUUCAUCCAGCCUAGCAAUUGGACUGUACAUUCUAGAAAACAUAGGUUAAAUAUAUGUCAUAUUUUUGCAGGCUAACAUGUGGGCCAAUAGGUCGAAGCCUACGCAGGGCGUUGUCAACUUGGUCAACAAAUGAUUGUGACAUCCACAGCCAUUGAAUUUAUAUCCAAUGGCCGGCAUGCACCUUCAAUCUCUCGUCUUCUUCCUCCAGCGUCGUGGGGACCGCCUGGUCCGGCCUCCAGCGGCUAGCGGCUCUGCUUAGCACGCAUCGCUGCGAAGCACUACCCCACCGCCGGCCAGGCUAUCCCUCCACCCCUCAACACCUCCUGUUAUUCUCCACCGAUUACAGCCCCACGCCGCACCAGAACCAGUUAUAAUCCUUCUCCUCCUCUCAAUCUGCGACUCCACGGUCGCGUCUUCCCAUCUCUGAGUCGUUCCCGUCCGGGGCCUCGCCGUCGUCCACCGCCUCGCUGCGCUCGGUGCAGCAUGGUCAACAAACGAGAGUCAUCAGAAGAGGACUGUAUGUGGAGAGCCUGACGGCUGGGACCCACGAGGUGCAUGGUCGCACGCAAGGAAAGUUCCUUCUUAUUAAGCUGAAAAAAAUGUUUCCUCCACCUGACAGCUGGGACCCACCGACUGUAUCUUCGCACGGAAGGAAGUGCCUCCUUGUUUUGCGAAAAAAAUUAUUCAUCCCAUUGACAGCUGGGACCCGUCAGAUUUGGUGGCUGACUUGUGGGCCUACUAAGCGGACGUGUACGCAGGGCUUUGUCAACUUAAUCAACAAAUGAUUCUAGCAGCUGGACCAUUGGAUGUUAAUCCAACAGCCGUGCUCCUUCUUCAACCUUUGUUCUUGCUCCUGUCUCCCGUGGGCUGCACCGCGACUGUGCUGCCGCGCACCCGAACCAGUCAAGUUUCUCACUCCUCUCCAGCUGCGACUCCACUGCCCCGUCUUCCCCAUUUUCGAGUAAUUCCAGUCUGGGGCGUCCACCGGCCUUGGUGCACUCGGCACGGUGUGGUCAACGCGGUCAACAACAGAGAGUCAUCAUAAGAUGAAUGUACGUGAGAGGCUGACAGUGGGGACGCACCACGCCCAUGGACGCAGUGGCGGAGCUUGACAAGAACCUAUGGGGGGCCAAUGUAAAAAACAUAGUGUUGUCGUGUUGCCCCUGUUUUACUCGUUUCCGGCAACACUGUAAAAGGUGAUCCAGUAGUUUAAGGUUGUAACUGAGCUGGGUAGAUGGCACUUAACAAAUUCAGUAGCCAAAUUCGUAUGGGGGGCGGCCGAGGACGAGGGGGUGGCCUGCUGCAGGCGGACAUCAGCGAGCAUUGGCCAGUGGCGAUCAGCCGAAGACGACCGUGUAUCAGGUGCACCCUUGUUCCCCCCUCACAAGUCACAACCUCCUCGGCGCGCUUGAAUCAAAGGCGAGUUUCUCCUUGGCAUCGGCCUCGAGUCAGUGUGGCGGCUUGGUUCCCGGAUGGAGCAGGCGGUUGAGGCUGUUGCACUCCUACCGUUGCACCCAGGUAGCCUUCUCACGCGGCUUUGUCUCUCUGUAACUGAAUUCUCCUAGUCUCUUGCGCUGUUAUAACAUGCACAAGAUUUGUGGAGUUAGCUGCGGUAGUAGUUGAGUUAGUGGCAGCACCUGCGAGUGCUUUGUACUGGUAUAUAUAUACUAGUGUUGGAAUUAAUACAAGUGUGGUUCCAAUCAUCUUGUGAUCUCCUUUCUUACAGAGGCGUGCAGCAGUGCCCGAGCAGCAAACGUGGUCGGGGAAAAGAGACGGAGACGAGCCUUGAGCAGGUUUGUGCGGCGCUUGUGCGGCCCUAAGCAGCGAGCGUGGUUGGCAAAAAGAUGAGCUUUGUGGCCUUCUGCGGGUAUGUCUACUACGUAGUAAAAUUAAAUAAGCAUUUGGGCUGGGGGGCCACAACCCCCUCAGUGUUGUACAUAGCUCCGCCGUUGCAUGGACGCAUGCAUGCAACGGAACGCGGCGUGGUCAACACGGUCAAGGAACGACUUCCCUCGGAAGUGUACUGAGAGGCUAACAGCUGGGUCCACGGCCGCAGCAAGGAAGUGCCUCCUUAUUACAUGGAAAUAAUGAUUCGUCCAUCUGACAGCAGGGACCCACUGGACGGGCCACCGUAUUUUGCAAAAAAAACAUUUCCCCCUAACUGCUAGGACCCACCUAAUGGGACACCGUAUUUCACGAAAAAACGUUCCCCCCGCUGUCAGCUCGGACCCACCGGAAGUGCCUCCUUAUUAAGCAGAAAAAAUGAAUACUCCCCCUGCUAGCUGGGACCCACCUUGGUGGGAGGCUGACUUGUGGGCCUACUAAGUUGACGGGGACGGAGGGCUUUGUCAACUUAGUCAAUAUGAACUAUUCUAGCUCCAGUGACCGUACGAUGUCCAUCUAACGGCUGUAGUGCUUCUUCAACCUCUGGUCUUCUUGCUCCAGCCGCCCAAAGCAGCUCCGGUCGUGCCGCGUGCUCCUGCCUCUCGUGGCCGACUGUGAUGCCGCGGAGGCCUCACUGCCCCCUACUACUCCUGCCGCUGGCCGGGCCAUCCCUCUACUCACCCACACCCCCUGCUAUUCUCCGGCAACGGCAGCCUCACACCGCAACCGAACGAGUGAACCCUCAUACUCCUCUACGCAUGGGCAUCCACUGACGCGUCUUCCCCGACUCCACGUCGUCCCCUUCCUAGGUCUCGCCGUCGUCCACCGCCCUGGUGCUCUCGACGCGGCGUGGUCAAUGUGGUCAAG